rnacentral:lncRNA from 1 species
GAAUAACUCCAUCAAUGUUGUGCAUCUUUCUUUGAAAUGUAGGAAAGUGGCUUUUUUAUUUUUUUAUUUUUUGAAUAUCUCCUUCUCAUAAAUAGGUAUGGUACGCCCAACAACAUUUUAUUUUAUCAAAAUUCUUUGAUAACAUAGCUUAUCAAUAUGAUGAAAGGAUCAUAAUGUGUCUCAUCAACCUGAUUUCAUAUUGCACAAUGGAGCCUAGAUUUUGAAGUUCUCUCAGUUACGAAGGGAAAUCUUGUGUUGAUGUAAUGGCAGAUAUUGAUUUCUGUAGUUGGGAUUCUUCAAGGGUUUGGGAGGUGGGAGGAGUUCUAGAGGGAGAGCACUGUGCAGAGAGACCAACUUAGCUGGCUAAUGGAUUAUUCGGCUUCAGAGAAAUGAUUGGAUACUUGAGAACAUGAGAAAAUCUUUCACUGACUUGUGUGCUAAUGUAUAUUAUCUCACAACUCUUUGAAUACCUGUCACUGUAGAGUUCUUUAGGUUCCCUUUAAUGCAUAUACAUUCAUUUUUGGAUCGGAGAUCAAUAUGCCUUUCCCGUCGGAGAGUGCUUUUGUGCUGGAGGAGGCACUGCCUGUGCUAUUUCUAGACUCCUGACUGUGGCCAGUCCACUCUUCACUUUUUUCAGUUUCUGGACACAACAUGUUAUACAAUUAACAUAACAGCCUCUAUGUGAUCGAAUUCAGCUCCACCUCAAUCAUUGGAAUUAGCAGCAUGCCAACAAUCACAGUGUGGGCACCAGUUUUUAGUUAUUCACCUGCCUUGCUUUUCUGGUGAAGUCAGGCAGCAUCUUUUCAUUUCAGAAUGCAGCAUGCUGUUGUUUGUGACUUUUUGGCCAUCAGAGCAAUUGUGGAUGGCCCUUCAAUCGACAAAACUUUAUAGAUGUGUGUUUGUGCCAAAUCAAGGCUCAAGUUAUGAAUGAAAAUAUGAAAAUGAAAAGAGAAACAAAGCAGAAAUUCAUUUUACUAUGUCUCUGUUCUUUCCAUGAGGGAUUAGGCUUAUUCCUCUUUGGAAGACUCAGAAUCUCCUUUCGGUUUUUCAAUGGCUCCUUUCUCCUAUGACCUGUUCAAGAAUGCUGCUUUAUUGUGGACCUUCUAUGCCUUUAUUGAAAAAGAAAAAGUGAUAAGAUAUUUCAACCAGUUGAAAAUAGAGGACCCUGAGGCCUGAGAUAGACUGAUGCUAGAUAGAAAAUACAUAUGUAUGGAUAUUCAAACUUAUCUAGAAGAAAUAGAAGCAAAUGAUACAUGAUAAGUUAGUGUCAAAAGGUCAACUAAAGUCUUCGACUAGAUAGUCUACUUAGAUGUCAAAAAUGUAGUGGGCUCUUUAGCCUCAUGGUAGCCUAAAGCUCAAGUUUGGUUGAUGUUACCUAGCAAACUCGAGACAGAUGGAAAUUUCCAGCCUUUUACAGGUCCAUAGAUGUGUGAUUAUUAGGGCUUUUUAAUGUCAUUUGUGAUGGGGUUUGCUAUUGAUGUGAUGCAGAGGUCCUGAAACUAUUAGAAGGGAUGUAAAUCUGGUGAAAGAGUUGGAUGUUUAUGAUCUUAUGGGGAAGGAGAAUUGAGCAAUGGUUCUCUCUUGCAUGUCACUGGGUCAAAAAGGGUCAGGGAGAUAAAACCACCACUUGUGGAGGAUUGUGGAUCUUUUUAGAGACAUUGGCUGAUCAUUUCUUGAAAGUCUAGAUCGAGAAAUCAAGAAGAUGAGAGGCUGAUUAAGAGAGAAGUCAUGUCCUAUGCCAACUUUGUUUGAGUGAGCCAUAUCAUAUACUUCUACCUGGGGUUAAUCUUUAAGGCUGGAGGGUUCCUUGUCUCUUCAUUUUUUUCCCUUUAUUUUUUUUCCCCUUAUUGAAUCAUGUUCUUGUACAUCUACUUGUUUGAAGGAUUUCUCAUCCUUCCUUGUAAAUAACUGUUUGCAUAAUAUUAUCACACAAAAACAUAGAUCAUAGACAAGCUGAGAAUUUCUUUAGGAUCCAUAAUGUGAUCUUAUGUUUGCUUCUAUACAUAAUUAUUAGCUUUUAAUUAGCUUAUCUUCAUUGGACUACUUAUGUGGAGAUUUGUUUUAUCUGUUUCUCCGUGUUUCAGGCACAACUAAUUGACCCAGCACUAGAAGGAACAAUGAGCGUUCUAGGAUCUUGUGCAAAAGUUCCAUCUGUCAAAAGAGUAGUUGUAACAUCAUCUAUGGCUUCAGUUGCAUUCAAUGGGAAACCUCUAGCUCCUGAUGUGCUAGUUGAUGAGAGUUGGUUUUCAGAUCCAGUUUUCUGUGAGAAAUCAAAGGUUGCUUAAAUGAGAUGAUUUCCCAUCACAUGCUAUCUCUUUUGCAUGAUCUUGUUUGUGGCUUUACAAAAUGUUUUCUUUCCAUGGCUCUUCACUUCUUUUACCCUGCAGAAGUAGCUGCCAAUUUGUCAUGCCCUCUUGUUUUUACACUUCUGCUAGCCAGCUUAGGGUUAAAUAACACGAUGGGAAUGGGAGGAUUAUCCCUUUAUUUUGCUAAGCCUGCCAUUAGAUUAAAUAAUCCUUCCAUGUAUGUCUAAUAUUUCACUAAUAUGGUGUUGGUAGCUGUCUGAUCCAUUAAGUCUCAUUCCUCAAACAAGAAAUUAAAUGAGAACUCUAAUUUGGAUAUUAUAUGAUUGAAAUGAAUGUUAAUCUCUGAUUGUCUUACUGUCCAUUAAGCAUGAUGGGCUCAGAAACAUGGGUUGACAAAACUCACAUUAGUUUUAAUGUGAGUGUGUAUGCCUGCACAGCCUCCUAUAGAUUUUUCUUGGGUUCAUAAGUUCAUUGCUUGUUCUCUAUGUUCCAUUAUCUACUAGAAAUGCUUCUCACUAUAUAUUUUCAANNNNNNNNNNNNNNNNNNNNNNNNNNNNNNNNNNNNNNNNNNNNNNNNNNNNNNNNNNNNNNNNNNNNNNNNNNNNNNNNNNNNNNNNNNNNNNNNNNNNGGGGUUUUGAUUGGGCCUCUCUUACAGCCUACUCUUAAUCUAAGUGUGGAGGAAGUUCUGAAGCUACUAAAAGGUACUCUUCAACAAUUGAUGAGAAUCUCUUUUUUAUGUUUAUCUUUCUGCUCCAGUAGCAAUACAUGCUUCACUUCAAUAUUGAGUCAACUCUAUCCAACAGCCCUGCAAAUGGAAACUCAGAAGUUUAAAUCGAAACUUAUCAAUAAACCGUCACAAGACUUCCACAGUUCCACAUAAAAGGACUACAUAUGCAUUUUGAUAUAUGCUGACUAAUCUCCUAACAUUAAAAAAUUGUUCUCUCCUCUGGUCAUUAUAGUUAUAUCACCAAGAUACUCAUUUGGGAGAUUUGCAUAUGAGAUUAGAUGAAGAUAUAUUUCGUUUUGGCCUCCUAAGCCAGACUGGUUUGGAAGGACCCCUGGACUGUGAAAGGACUGAAAGCAUGGGUAUGCAAUUACUAUCUUGAACUUGACGUAUAUUUGCAUGCAAGUUCAAUCCAAGGGCAAGAACUUCUUAAAUAAUCCAUUAAUCCUUUUGAUCCAACCCAUCUAAAGUGGGGGUUCCCCGCAUCCAACUCCAUUGCAAAUGAGUUGUUCAUGUGCAACUCACUUGAUCAGUAUUUUUAAAAACUUCUACCAACUUUUUUGGACUAUUUUGCAGAUCUUAACAUUCUUUAAACAUUUAGAAUCAUUUCUAGUGGCUUUAUAGGGAAAUAUCAUGUUACUUUAUUGACAACUCUUACAAGAAUCAAUACUUCCAUAACUGUAUAGCCAAUAUGGUUUGUUUACUUACUAACCAACCUCUUCUGCCUCCAACUGACCUCCCCUGUAUCUUGCUUCAAUUAUGAGGGUGUUGCCAUUAGGUUGAGCAUUGGACAUAUGAUAAACCUGUGCCUUGAUGGCUGUACUCUGAUUCAUGGAUCCAGACCAUUGUCAUUGGGAUUAGACUUGUUGGUAGUUGCUUUAGUUCAAUGCUUGCAAUAACCAAAGUAAUUUGUCAUGCUGCUUUAGAACCAUUGGAUCUUUCAUAUGAAAUAAGAAAGGUAUUUUGUACAAAAUAAUGUUUUCAUGUGUAAUUUCCAACAUUACAUAAAGCGAUAAAUAGAAGUGUAUUUGCUAAGUGUGAUUGCAUCAUUAUCUAAGCAUUUCCGUUUGAGACAAACAGUCUAAGACGAAAAUGUGUGCUUCAAAAAUUUCAAAACAUUAAAAAUCAGUAAUGCAGAUAAGGGCAUUUAUAUGUACACAUAUUGAUCAGAAAAUAAACUCCAUCCUAUAGCAACCUAAAAACUCAAAAGAAAGAAGUAUAAUUUCCGAUAUGCAAGAUUUUGAUCAAUUAAAGUCCAAAGCAUUUUAUGUUCAUACAAAUGAGAAGACAGAAUGGCAGCUGACUUUGAGGAUUGAAAGAAAAAUGAAUUGAUGCUACUUCUCAAUGCUAAUGCCAUUAAUUUGUUGCUGCUUUUUGUUGCCAUGUCGAGCCUGUCCAUCAGAUAAGGUUUGAAUCGCUUCUAUUAUUCUUGUUUAAGACAAUCCCUUCUUUUUUUCCUUUUUUUUUUCUUUACAUAGUCAAUCAUCUUGUUUCAUGUUUGCCUUAUAGUUGGUCUGCUGAUGGUAGGCUUCUUUUGAGUGGAAGCAAGGACUCUAUACUGAAGGUAAAUUGUGGGAACUAUGUCUUUUUGUGGUAUAGAUGGGGUUAUCAUAUAGUUGAAUGAUUCUAUUGCUUCCUCAUAGCUUUUCAAGGCACUAAAAAAGAAAAAAACAAAGGUAGAACUAGGAAUAAUAUUUCGUCCUGAUUUCAGGCAUACUAUUUCCUUAUGAAGUCUUAUUUUGGUAAAUUACAGUUAGAUAUAAUCACAUGGCAACAUUUUUUCUUCCAAGUUUAAAUAGUAAUUCAGGAGAGUGUAUUAUGAAAAUAUACUAAAAUAAAAAAAUCCUAUGAAUGCAUUCUACUUUGGAUAUUUCUUAUGAAUCUUCCCCUGCACUCCUGACCACCACAGACACUCCCAUCACACCAAGCCUUGUAGUUGUUCUAAAUUGUUGCAAAUAUGUUAGAAACCAAUUACUAAUAUUAAGGACGGUCAUGUCUACUAAUUUUGGGCUAGAAUUUUUAGAGCAGGUGAGAAAUUAUGGUUGCAGUAGGGAAUGUGAGUGCUUCUAUUUUGCCAAAGUGGCUUUCCUUAUUCAUGUUAACAUCAACAACAUAGCAAUGAACUCGAUUUAAUAUUGUUUAUCAUAUAGGCUUGAGAUAUCCGGACACAAAAGUUAAAACAAGAUCUUCCAAGCUAUGAAGAUGAGGUAUUUUCCUCCUCUUAAGUACUAGUUAAUAUUCUUCUUUUGACAUUGUACUUGGUUUAAUUAAUGUUUUCCUUCUUUUCGUAUUCUGGAAAGGUUUUUGCUGUUGAUUGGAGUCCAGAUGGUGAGAAGGUAGCCUAUGGUGGUAGGGACAGAGUACUUAAUUUAUGGAUGGGUUGAUGGCUAAAGGAGGAAGAGAUGUAUGAAAUGAAGAUUGACAUGAUUCUUCCACAACAUGAUGGACUUGGCAAACACUCAAUUUUUGCCUAUAGUUGAUAGUCUACCACAUGUAACUUAAAGGUUGUGCACUAAGUUCUGAUGUUAUGAAGGAUCGAGGGUGGUUUGUGCACUAAGCUUUUCUAAAAUAUUUUUCUUUAUUGAGCUGUAAUGAUUGUAUUAUUUGGAUUUAAUUGUAUUCAUUAGGUUUGCAGAUCACGAUAUGAUUAUUUUCCUCUUUGAUCAUGUAAAGUUGGGAAACAGUUAUGGGUUACUGUAAUAGCAUGGUAUAUUGAUGCACACAGUUUGUGGCAUGACAGUUUGAUGAAAUUGCAGAAGUGUAGCACUCAUGGGCAUAUCAUGUGAACCUUAUUCAAUGUGGCAUUGACAAUUAGUUUAAAUUUACAUGGGUGUAAUGUCGCACCAGUAUCCUCUGAUGAUAUGCCCAUGUUAUAUUGUGGCAGGGUUCUUCUUCAGUUGCCAAAUACCACUGGAGCUUAGGUGAGGUCUUGGUGAUGUAGGAAAGCCAUGGAUUCUGGAAUCUUUACAUGAAAAUAUACAUGAGAUAUAUUGGAAGAAAGGGCAGGCCAUCUAAGAAGAAACACAUCUUAAAGUAUACCAUCAAUCAUGAGUUGUUUGAGAGUCAGGAGUCUUUGAAGGCCUCACUCAGAUAAGGGACGUCUUUGACAUUUCUCACUCUUCAAUCUCAGGAAGGUACAUCAUCAACUAGAACCUUAGGAAUGUGAGUCAUCAUGGGACAACUUGUUUAUGUUCUGUAUUCUUUUCUUACCAGAGGGGAUUGAAAGAUAUGUAGUUGCAAGGACAAAAGAUGUAGCCAAUAAUGAGAGCAUUGAACAAUCCUUCUUUAAUGCAUACCACAAAUUUUAGUAACUCGUGAUCUCCACAAUUUAGAGCACAAGGAAGCUGGCCUUUGGAAAGAUGUGACAUGACAUUUAGAAAUGGGUAAAAAUUCCAGAGAUCAUUCCAAUCAUUAAGGAAUCCAAAGCCUUAUAAUUUGAAUAGGGCAUUUACUUGGCAUGGAUAACGCACCUAUCUUAGGACAAAUACCACAUGUUGAGCACCAAUUCAAUUAUCAACUCUCUAUGAAACUGGAGAUACAAGGUACUAAUGUUAGUAAAAAUUAGCUGGCAGCUCUUCUUCUUAUACUAGUAUUAGGGGCAAAGCCUUGCGAAAACCCUCAAUCAACAAAUUACCAAGGACAUGAGAUCAUGUUGUAAUCUUAUCUCCAAUCUCCAGUUGCAAAUAGAUUAUUUCUUUCAAUUAACAAUCUUUAAUGCUUUCACUUCUAUCAUAGGAUAUGAAAUUUGGAAAAACAAGUAAGCUUUAUAAUAUUAGGAAUAUGCAAGGAAUUGAUGAAGGUCAUGAAUCUACUUAAAAUUAAAAAUUAAAAAAUAAAAACAAAGAUUUUUUCACCUAUGAAUAUCGUAACCAGCUUCCAAAAAGCAUUAGGUAAGGCAAUAACCAAAUGUUCCUCAGGUAUUAAAGUUAAAGUUCAAAGUUACCAAGAGUGCAUUUUUUGACCCAUGCAUAAAAUAAAAAGAAAAUAAGAACACAUACCAUAUAACUCACAAUUGUGUCAAGUAUGAGUUCAGUUUAUGUUCAUGCACAAUUGCAUUAAGUAUUUGAAAGCUAAAUAAGGCUAUGCGCAAUUCAAAGAAUAACAUACAAUGCUCACAACUUAUCAUAGAAUGAGAACUCAAUUGUCUUUCUUCCAGUCAUAAGAGUUUGUGCUCUUUGAGCCUCUGACUUGCACAACUCAAGAUAGCAGAACAUGCCAAAAAGUCUCCUUCACCUUAAACAUUAUUCAAAUAUGCAAUAUAAAUCUUGAUAAGAAAAUUUUCUACAAAUAUAACAUGUUGCAAACAAAUAACAAUAUGUUAGUUUAAAAUUGAAGAGCAUUUUAAACUAAACAAAAUAAAAAAAAAAUUUAAUGUUUAUCACUCACCUAAAAACUUGUAUGUUGGAUAAAAUUCAUGCUAAUGAAUCCUGACAAUUGUUUGCAAUCAAAAUUUAGUAAUAACUUAUAAACCAAAAAAAAAAGAGGAAAUUACAAAAUUCUUUAGCAAUUUUCCAUGAAAAAUACAUUGUACAUUGAUUGAGAAGUGAAUAUCUAAUUUGAAAGACACUAAAAACUAGAUGUUAUCUUGAGUUCUCCAUGUAUCAAAAUAGAUGCAAGUUGCUAUUCGAGCCACCACAAUCACGGAGUACGAGACUUCUCAGCAUGGAAGGCAUACCAGAUUUCAAACAAGGUUCUUAACUUUCCAAGAGACAUAAGAACAUGGUGUGUUGUAUAAACUGUAGAAUAAAUAAAUGGAAGUUAGAUACACAUGCACUUGCUACUUAUUUUUUUUAAUCAUCUAUGAAAUAAAUAAAGAGGUGUUACUUGUAUUCAAUCCAAACUUGUGGUCUCCAAUGUAAAAUCCAAAUCUCAUUUUGUCAACACAAUAAGAGCAUUAAACAUACAACAAAUUGAAUCCUUCCUUUUGACAAUGUGAAAACCUGAAAGAAAUGACUCGGGAUCAUAAACAAUUAUACGAUAAAGAAAAUUUUCAUUAUUCUUUCUAAAAGAAAAAUAUGUUAUUUCCUUGAUUACGGAAGAUAGAUAUUUUGACAUAAAGUGCACUUAUUAAGGUAAACUUUGUGCAUUAUACAUUGAAAUUAGAAAAUUGUAUUUAAAUCCAGUUAGAAAGGUACCAUAAAAGAUGCAUAAUUGAAAUGAAGGCAUCCAUGCCAAUUUGUAACUGUUGUCAAAUAACACCUUCCCUUGACAUUUUAUGUCCCAUGCCUGCAUGUCAAAUCUCCAACUAAGACUACUCAAAGAGCACCUAAAAGAAAAUUACCAAGAUUUCAUCACAUGCAGAACUCGAGAUGCUAACAUUGAACCAUGGGAGGGAUCAACAAGAAACAAAAUACUUACCCAUAAGUUUGUAAUUUGUUGUACUCAAAACCCGCUUCCUAGUCAAACUUUCAACACAACUCCAUGGAGACUUUCACAAAUAGUUAAGCCACUAGUAGAAAAUAACAUCAAUAUGAGAAAUUGACAAGGUACUGUGCAAAUAAAAGAGUAUAAAUGUGUGUUGAGAAUAAGAGUUACCUUAAUUAAUGUAAGGAUAGGAUAUGGUUGAAUUGGCUCUGCACCUAUUUUUGCAAUUUGAAUUUAUUACGGUUCAAAAAUGAGUUUAUGAUCUAUCCUCACUUUAGGGAAAGUGGGCAAUCUUCUUGAAACAUCUUUGAUUUAGAGAUUCGAUAAAACUUAAAAGGCAACCUUUCACUUGGAAAAGAGGGCUAGAAUAGGGCACCCCUCAAUCUCUACAAGUUAAAGAGAUGAAGUUUUGAAGACCAAGGAAGGGGGCUAGGGAUUCUGGAUUUGACAAUAUUUUCAUUGAAAUAUCAAUGAGAGUUGUAGCAAGAAAUACUGUAAAAAAGAAAGGAUGUGAAAGGUGGAAAUUCCACGAUUUCCAAUGAUUCAAGAAGAUAAUUCCUAUGGCUAUUGUUGUCAUUGUGCAUCAUUCAACUAGCUAUAGACUACAUAAUUGAACAAUCAUGAACACAUAGAUGCUCAAAUAAGGUAUGUAGUUCAUUGAGUGGAAAAGCAAAUGAGACUUGGACAUCUCAAGAUUUCUAGGAAUCAAGACAGAUACAAGUUGUUGUUGUUUCCUAUUAUAAUUCAUCUAGAUUGCAAUCAACAAGCACUAACUCCAUUCACUGCAUGUUUUGAGUCUUCAACAUAAAACCCAAAUUCCAUUCUAUCAACCAAAAAAAAAAAAAAAAAUCCUAAUAACUCCUCUAGAAACCAUUUUUUGUCUCAUAUUAUAAGAUGUAGGAUGUAACUCACUUCCAUCAUUGAGAAUGAAUUGAUAAAACUUUGCAAUACUAGUAUAUUCAGCUUCAUUAUAAUGACCUCAUUAGAACUAGAAUAAGUGAAGUGAUAAUGUUAUCUAAUUAGUAAACCAAACCAAGUUAAUAAACUAGAACUUCCUCUAGUAUAGCCUCUACGUAAAAGAAAUUUAAAGGUCUUGAUACAUUAGAUAUUGAAAUUGUUGGAUUAAAAUCUUAUUUAUUGCACCUGGCAAGAUAGAAGUAAUAAUGCUAAUUUCGAAUUAUGACAGAUUAUAGAGAAAAUUAGACAUUGAGAAAAUACCAAGCCAAAAGCCAUGUCAAGAUCUGCUUUCUAGUUAAAAAUUUUAGCAAAAAAUUAAGUCCAAUUAAAAAAAAUUGCAGUAGUAGGUAAAAGAAAUUGAAAGUGAUGUUGAGGAGAGAAAGAGGAAUAAUGAUGUUGGGAAUGAGAUGUAAUACCUGUUUUAUUGCUCAGAGAUGGAUUAGUCAUAUAUUUCUUGACUAACCUUAUAAAUUAGUAGAAUUUAACAAGUUACAAAUAGUUCCCCCACCUAAUCUUUUAAAUUAAUCUUGAUGUUGACAAGCAAUUUGCCAACCAUAAUUAUAAAAAGACAAAUAAAUCGAGUUGAUUUACUAGAUUGCAAGUGGGUGCCCUUACCUAAUCUUUUAAAUUAAUCUUGAUGUUCACAAGCACUUUGACAACCAUAAUUAUAAAAAGACAAAUAAGUCAAGCUGAUUUUACUAAAUUGAGAUUAAUAAAUUGCAAGUGGGUGCCCUUUACCUAAUCUUUUAAUUUAAUCUUCAUAUUGAUAAGAACCAAAUCGGCCAUAAUUAUAAAAAUAAGAAGACGACAAGCUAUGAUUACUUUUAUUAACUAAAAUUUAAUAAAUCACAAUUUCUCUUACCUAACCUUUAGAUUAAUCUUGAUAACUUUGCAAUAUAAUUAUAAAAAGAGAAAGACGACAAACUAAUUUAAUUGGCUAAUUUUAUUAACUUAGGUUUAAUAAAUUAAAAUUAGGUUGAUCUCUUACCAAUCUGUGGACCCCGUAUUUCGGCUCAUGCGUUUCCCACUCAAUGGCGAGCUUGAUUUUUAUUUUGAAAAAUGAUUUUAUUGAUUAAGAACAUGACUUGGAGUCGCCACUUAUUUUUGUUUUAUUUUUAAAAGGGUAAACAAAAUAAGACAGAAAACCCUAGGUGUGACUCCUUGUUUUGGAAAAGGUUGGUCUGCGAAAAAUCGGAUCGGGUUUCGGGGGUCAGGUUACUUAUUGGGAAGGUACGAUGGAGAUCGUAGCACCCCUCUAAAUCCCUAGAAACGGGUCUCUACUAAUAAAAUGAAGCAAUCAUGGCAAUCGAUUAAUCGAGCAUGGAUACCAAAUGAAUGUCACUCAAAACAAAAUAACUGAAUGAACGAGAGAGGCAAAGAAUGUACCUAAGUGAUGAACCGGUUUACUUCAAGGGAAACAAGGGUUAGUGAACCAAUAUAAGAUGAAUAUAUGCGUAUCACAAAGCAGAAUAAAUCAAUCACGCAUGACAAUUGGAUGAAUCAAUCCAUUAAUCAAUCAUAAAUCACAUGUGUAGGGCCCCCACCAAAGCCCGGUUUUUGACAGACCACAUUUUCCAAAAUAAGGAGUCACACUUAGGAUUUUCUUUCUUAUUUUGUUUACCCUUUAAAAAAUAAAACAAAAAUAAGUGGUGACUCCAAGUCAUUUUCUAAUAAAUAAAUCAUUUUUCAAAUAAAAUCGAGCUUGCCAUUGAGUGGAAAACGCAUGAGCCGAAAUGUGGGGUCCACACUAUCCUUUUUAAUUUAAUCUUAAGAUCAAUAAGAAUCAUACAGACCAUAAUCAUAAGAAGAGCCAAAACAAAAGUCGAUUUGAUAUUUAAUUAGUUAAUUUUAUUAACUAUAAGAUAUAAAAAAUUGUUAAGAGGUGUCUUAAAUUCCAAAUUAGAAUAUACCAUUUUUUUGUGAAACAAAUAUUACAUAGAAUAUUUCCAAAGUUUAUAUGUGAUUGUAAUUAAAUUCAAGCUAGUACAAAUAUAUUUAUAAAUAUUUUAGGACCUGAAGAGAAAAAAUUAUGGAAGAUAUGAAAAAGAGAUGUGAUCAAGAGCAAGAGACAUUGGUAGAACAAGAGGGUUCACUAGGGAAGGGUGUAGAUGUGAAGAAGAAUGAGAAACACUUAGUGGAGCAAAAUGAUUCUUGGUUUAUGAUAGAGAUACAAAGAGCAGGAAAAAUGAGAUGUUUGGGCCUUAGUAGUUGUCUAACCGUUAUAUGUGGUUUUCUUUAUUCAUGUGUUCUUCCUUUAAUCUUUUUGAAUUGAGGUUUCCAUUUUUCUUUUGUUCCUAGGAUUUUUUCAUGUUAUCAAUUAUGCCCAUUUCCAAUUUCAUUAGAAACUUGUGUUCUACAAUUUGGGAAAUGAAAAUAAUUAUUUUUCUAUAAUUUUUGUAUAAUUUUGUUAGUUAAUAAAAAGUAGAAUAUAGAUAAUAUUAGCCAUCAAAUAGAAAAAUAAAUAUGACAAUUAAUGUGUUUUCACAUCAUAUUUGUACUUAGAUGGUUUUGCUUGUAUGAAGUAAUUUAAUGCAACUAUGAAGAUUUAUAUGAAAUAAACUUUAUAUAAUUUUAGAUUUAAUAAUCGAUUAAUUUUUAUUUGAAGAUACAAAAACAUAAAAUAAAAGUCUUGUUCAAAAACUAUUAUUGAAAACAACAUGAAAAAUGAGGUUUUUUCACUUAGAAAUAUACAUUUGACAAACUUUUGAUAUAAAACAAUUUAUUUUUAGAAUUUAUUCUUCAAAUAAGUUAUUUUUCAGAACAAAAUUGAUUUUUUUUUUAAUUUUUUCACAAUAAUUUAAAUAAAAAUUGAAGAUAUAGAUAAUAUAUAUUUUGGAAAAUUUUGUAUCGUAUUUAAGUGUACAAUUCCUUUGGAAAGAAUAAAUCGAAAUGGGUAAUUGCAAUUUUCAAAAAUUGUUUUGAAGAAUUAUUUUCACAAAUGUUAUCAAAUGAGCUCAAAACUUUCUACAUCAUUUAUAUUAAUCUUGAGUUCAAUAAAAAUCUUUCCACAAUUGAAAAGAGAAAAAAAAAAAGUUAAUUAGUUGGUUAAUUUUUACAAUCCUAAAAAAGAAAAUUAUAAAAAAUAAUAAUAUUUAAAAAAAUUUAAAAAAAAAAUUCACUAGCUAAAAUAAAAAUUCACUAUCAAAAUAAAAGAUUAUCUAUUAUUUUUCUAUUUUUGACUUAUAAUCAAGAAUGUUCAUAUAAUUUCUUUUACAAUAACAUACUAAAGUAGAAAGAUAUUAAAAUGGAAAAAGAAAAUGAUUAACAAUAAAAUUCAUAAAAAGAAAUGAAAAUUAAGAAGAUUUUAAUCCACUUGAAAUUUAUUUCAACGAAAUAGUAUUGCAUUUAAAUUAUUGAAGGUCAUACCAAUUUAUUUUCUUCCUUUUUUAAUACUUAAUUUUGUUAUCAAACGGUGAAAAAAUUACUAAUCAAGGAAAAUGAGAAAAGAAAAUAUUUUUCUUGAAAGUUGAUGAAUUUGUUAAGAAAUGAAAACAAAAGGUCUUUUAUGGGAUACUUUAUUAAAUUAAAUUAAAAACUUAAUUUAAAUCAUUAAAUAAAUUAAGUAUGUUUAGUAAAAUAACAUAAUGGUAUGAUUUAAAAUAAAUAAAAAACUUUAAAUGAUAAAUAAAAAUAAUUAACUUAUUCUUAAAUUCAUAUUUUUAUUUUACCUUUUUAUCCUAAUUUUCCAUAAUUACCUUCACAAUUUCCUUUACUAUUCCACGAUCUUUACUUUUACACGAUCUCCUUUACCCUAGUUAUAAUUUAUGAGGAUAAAUAUGUCAAUUUGAUCAUUUAUAAUUAAUCAUAAGUUAGUUUUGUAAAACAAUCUUCAUACUUAAAAUAAAAAUUAAGUAAUAAGUUUUAAGUUAAUAAUUUAACUAAAAGUCAACUUAAAUAAUUAAGUAAUUAGUAUUAAGUUUUAUCAAUUUGGGUGACCAAUUUUUAUUGAAAAUAAAAAACCAAACAAAAGCUGAUCAAUACAAAAGAAAAAAAAAUGAAUGGUAUGAAGUAGACAUUUUGUCUUUAUGAGAUUAUUGAUGGAAGUGUAAUAGACUAUAAACAAGUCUAUGAGAAUCAAUUCCAAUGAGUCCUAAAACACAUCUAUGAGAAAUAAAAUAAAACCAUGACAUAAAGAAAUGAUAUUUAAGUGUUAAUAAAUAGGAAUCGGAUACAUAUAAAUAAAAUUUAGAUUGAUUAUAAAUGAAAUUAUUUUUAUUAUGUGGUUGUUUUUAAUGGACCACCAAUUUUUAUUUUUAUUUAUUUUUUUAUAUUCCAUAGAAAAAUUACUUUCCAAUACCAUAGAAUCACCCUAAUUUCAAAUUGAGAUUUACUAUCUUAAAUUUUAAAUUUUUAAGGGCAUGAACUAAAUCUAUAUUUUUUGUUAAGAAUUUCUAUUCUUUAUAUGGAAGUUUUUAUCAAUUUUUAUUUUUAAAAACAAAAAAUAAGUACUUAGAGUACCUUUGACAAUAAUUUUAAGAAGUCUUUCUAAUAUUUUAAAUACUUGAAGAAUAAAAAAUUUUAUUUAUUGAAACAAUUGAAAAAUGCACUUUUAGUAUGUAAUGAUAUUAAUUUCUUCGAAGAGAGAGAUUUACAUUUAAGAUAAAAAUAAAUAAAUAAAACAAUACAAGGAUAAAAAAUUAUUUUUAAAAAAAACUUUUAACUUCUUGUACUUUAUCAUUACACACUUUUUUCAUUAGAUGCUUUAAAUAAUUUUUAUGAAAUAAAAUUAUAAUUAUAUUGAUGGAGGGCUAAUUAACUUUGCUUUAGGUGAGAAAGAUAGAGAUAACAUUGAAGUGGGUCCACAUCUAAAACAAAAAUGAAAUAAAAAGUAAAGAUGAAGAUAAGGUUGAGGUGGGUUCACAACUAAAAAAAGUAUGAGAUGAAUUGACCAAAGCUUAUGCCUUCUUCCAAAUAGUAAAAGCAAAGCCCAAUAGUAUAAAGUGAUGACACUAGUCCUAUUCAAGGCCCCACUUGCAUAAUUGCUACAUCUUUUGACUUGAUUUUAGUUCAAUUUCACUAAAAUGAAAUCAUUUAUUUGAGCCCAAAAAUUCAAAUCCAAAUCCAACCCACUUAUUUAUAUACAUUAUUGGCAUGGAAUCAGAAGAGUUAUAAAGUAAGAAAAUUUGAUCAUAUGAUAAAUAGUAAUUUUUCAAAGUUGGAGCCAAUCCAAUACCCAAUGGGUAUAAAAGAAAAAUGAAAGAUGUGGAAAUUAUAGUGGAAUCUUGAAACAAAAUUUUGAGGUUUAAAGUGAUGUGACAACCGUUUCCAAGUAAUUGCCUAAGAAUGUGAGAUGUCAUUGAAAAUUGAUAUUAAAUCUCAUUGGGUAACUAUAAGAAUUGCUUUACAUAAAGACAAGUAAUAAAUAUAUCCUGUUUUUUCAAAAAGUUUAUGACCCUAAGUGAAUAAAAUGGUGAAUAAAACUUUUAGAGUAGGAUGAAUGCAUUUCACGUGAGUCAUGUCCUAGAUAUAUUUUUAGAAUUUUCUAGUAGGAUGUCGAGGAAAACUCUAUGAUGAGUGCUUUCUUUCUAGUUAAGGUAGGUCCAAUUUGGUGCAAUUCGCCAACAUAAUUCAAACCCAACUUAUGUUUUAGGGAUUUGAAUUGAGUAAAAUCAUAUUUAAAUUAAAUUAAUCAUAUGAAUCUACAUAACCCAUUUAAUAAAUAGAUUAUUUUUAGGUCAAUCUGGAUAACUCACAUUUGACUCAAAUUAACUUAUUUAAUAAUGGUAUUGGUUAACCUAAUAAUAACUUUAACUUAUUGAACUCAUAUUUGACUCAUGUAAAUUUUUUUUCUUCAAUAAGUAUGUCAUAAUUGGGUCAUAAACAUGUCAUAUUAGAAUAUUAACCAUAUUAUUUCAUUCAACAUUUAACUUGACUUGAUUAUGAAAUAACAUCUUAUUAUUAAAUCGGUUAAACCUGUUAUAAUGUAUCACCUAGAUAAUAAUUAUAUUGUGUUUGAGUUUAUGUUUUAAAUUUUUAUUAUUAUUCAUGUCAUGUUUGGGUUGAGUUAUUUAGUGGAGGAUCUAACCUUUGAUAUAACACAAACACAACCCACUAACAUAAAUUGUCAUCCUCACUUCUACUAAUAAGUGAUUUGUUUCUUACAAUUAAGAAAAUUGAGAAGAUAUAAUUUUUUUUAUAAAUCUUAAAUGCAUGAUUAAAGUUAAUUAUAACUUUUAAAAGUUUUCUAAUUCAUAUUCCAUCCAAACUAACAAAAUAUUAGAAAUCUUCAAUGGUUUUGUCUACAAUAAUUGUGUUGUGCUAAAUUAUCCCCUUCUCUACUAACCAAAACAUGUUCUUUCACAAUCAAAUAUCAACAUGUUUAAGCAGCCGGUGAGGCAUCUCUUGACAAUGAGGUGAGAGGUAGAAACAAGAAACAUACCUGUAUUCAAGAAAAGUGUUGUUUCUUCAUUUGCAUUAGACAACAUUCAUUUAGUCUAAACUUGAAGGUGGAUUGCUAGAAUCUAAGCUCUUGGAAAGACAUAAGAGAACUACAUUUAGAAAUAUGAAAGAAGCCUAGAGACUUGUUGCUACUUGUGAAUCACUGUAAUCAGAAACAAUUCCAGAUAAUCCUGCAAUUUUGGCCCUUUGAUUUGCUCUGUUGCAUUUUUCCAAGAACAAUUCUAAAAUGUUUUUCUUUAUUGAGCUAUAAUGAUUUUAUUAUUAGGAUUUAAUUAUAUUCAUUAGGUUUGCAAAUCACAAAAAUGGUGUCGUGCCUAUGAAUAUUUUUCUCUUUGAUCAUGUAAAGUUGGGAAGCAAUUAUGAAAUACUAUGAUAGCACAAUAUAUUGAUCCACACAGUUUGUGGCAUGACAGUUUAAUGAAAUUAUAGAAGUGUAGCACUCAUGGGUAUGUCAUGUGAACCGUUUUCAAUGGGGCUACUUGUUUAAAUUUACAUGGGUGAAUUGUCACACCAAUAUCCUUUGAUGAACCUUGGGUUUUUUUUUUCUGUUUCUUCCUCUCUUGGUCAAGACAAACAAUUUGUCUUCAUAAGGACUUCGUGUUACCAAUAAGCAGCAUCUUGUGUUCUCCUUCUCUCCAUCCCUUGUCAAGACACAUCAAUCUGAUGCAUCUUUGCAUUGGGUUGCUUCCUCUCCUUUCCCUUUCCUUCCUCCUUGAGGCAAAAUCGCAUCAUUGCUUAGUUUUGACUAUGUUUAUUUUGAUCAUUGUGAGAGAGCAUCAUUGUAAGAUGAACAAGAAACGUGUUGUGGUGCAUUAUUCCCUCCUCUACCACCUAAAAUCUAUUUUACACGAUCAUAAGGACCAAGGUGUUUUAAACAUCAGGUAAGAAUUUGUUGACAAUGAUAUGAGAGAUAGAGACAAGCAACAUACCAGUAUUCAAAAGACGUGAUGUUCUUCUUUUGAAUUUGACAACAUUCAUUUAAUCUAAACUCCACAUUUGGGCAACUCAGAAUCUCCACCUUCAUUAGGAUUGCAGGAAGCUGGCUUCUUGGAAAGACAUGGAAAUGGGGCAUCUAGAAAUCCAAAAGAAUUCUAAAGGCUUGUUACUACUUUUGAAUCAUUCCAAUUAAUAACAACUCUAAAAGAUAUAAACAAAUCUGUCCCUGGGAAAGAGACGUGUCAUGUGCAUAUGCAACUAUCUCUCUAAUAGACUUAGGGUUGUGCACCCUCAUGGUAGUUUCUUAUAUAUUGCACCAUAUGAGUUAAAGAUAUUCAACUACCAAUAUCACUACACCUUAAUGAACUAGGAGUUAUGCUGAAAGUGAAGUUGACAACCCAUCAUCGAAAGAAUCCUAUAGGAAUACACCAAAAUGAAAAUCUUAUUAACAUAAAUGAAUUCAUCCAGUUAAAAGAUAAAGUUGCUUGAAAAAUUGAAUUGGGAGAGAUAGAAAUAUUAAUGCUUUCAUAGGAUUGUGGAAGGGGUCAACAAGUGGAACAAACAUUGAAUAGUAAAUGUAAAUCCAUAAAGCUUGUAACUAUUGUCAAAAGUUGCUCCCUAGUGAAGUUUUUUCACAAUAAAGGUAAGUGCAAAAUUCACCUAAUAGCUCCACUUGUAGAAAAUUUCAAUGGUGUGAAACUAGGAUAUGGUGAACUCGCUUCCGCUAUUGCAGUGAACCAUUAUGGAUCAAAAAUGAAUCUCACCAUUGGUUUUCACAUAGGAGAUGUGGGCUAUCUUUGGCCCAUAUCUCAAUAUUGGAUUUAGGAGUUCUGUUUCUCAUAUAUGGUUCCACUUGCAAAAUACAAAUGGAGCUUAGCUGAUGAUAACAAAUUUAGAAAAAUGCAAGAAUUCCAUAGACAUGUUUUAUGCUAUCAUGAAUCAUUCCAAUCAGUAAGGAAUCGAAGUGCUAUAAUUUUGAAUUGUCUUAAGGAACAAACCCCAAUUCCAUCUUGUGAAAGUAAACUAUCUUGAGCACCAACUCAAUUAUGAGUUCUUUAGGAGACUUGAGACACCAAUUCAAUCAAAGAUGCUAGUUGUUUCUGAGGUAGAUUGUCUUCCUCCAUUAAUACUAGGGAAAAUGCUUUUGAAGACCAUUCAUCUGCUAAUUACAAAGGGAAAUGAGAUUAUGUGAUCUGGGAAGAGAAUUAAGCUUCAAAAUAUUGCCAAUAUGCAACCAACAAUUUCUAAUUCUAUCACUUCUAUUCUAGCAUGUGAUUUGUGAAGAGAAUUAAGCUUUGAAAUGUUUCCAAUAUGCAACAAAUUGAGAGAGGCCAAGUGGGCAACCACCAUAGCUAGUUCACAAACAAAACAUGUUUCCCACAAUCAUAAAUACCAAGGUGUUUAAGCAUGAGGUAUGGCAUCUCUUGACAAUGAUGUGAGAGAGAGACAAACAACAUACCAGUGUUCAAGAGAAGUAGUAUUCUUCUUUUCCAUUCGACAACAUUCAUCUAUUCUACAUCCCAAAUUUUUAGCAACUUAAGAUCUCCACCUUCAUUAGGAUUGCAGGAAGCUAGCCUCUUGAAGACACGAGAGAACAUUUAGAAAUCUAAAAGAAUUCCAAAGACUUUCUGUUGCUUGAAUUGUGAAUCAUUCCAAUCAUAAAUACCAAAGUAUUCUAAGAUCAGGUAAGACAUCUCUUGAUAUUGAUGUGAGAGAUAAAGACAAGAAACAUACCAAUAUUCAAGAGAAAUAGUAUUCUUCUUUUGCAUUUGACAACAAUCAUCUACUCUAAACCCCAAAUUUUAGCAACUUAGGAUCUCCACUUUCAUUAGGAUUGCACGAAGCUGACCUUUUGGAAACACAUGAGAGGACAUUUAGAAAUCUAAAAGAAUUCCAGAGACUUGCUAUUGCUUGAAUUGUGAAUCAUUCCAAUCAUAAAUACCAAGGUGUUUCAAGAUCAAGUAAGACAUUUCUUAGCUAUGAUAUGAGAGAUAGAGACAAGCAACAUACCAGCAUUCAAGAGAAGUAGUAUUCUUCUUUUGCAUUCAACAACAUUCAUCUACUCUACACCCCAAAUUUUAGCAACUCAGAAUCUCCACCUUCAUUAGGAUUGCAGGAUGCUGGCCUUUUGGAAACACAUGAGAGGACAUUUAGAAAUCUGAAAGAAUUCUAGAGACUUGUUGUUGCUUGAAUUGUGAAUCAUUCCAAUCAUAAAUACCAAGGUGUUUCAGGAUCAGGUAAGGUAUCAAUUGGCAAUGAUGUGAAAGAUAGAGACAAGUGACAUACCAUUAUUCAAGAGAAGUAGUAUUCUUCUUUUGCAUUCGACAACAUUCAUCUACUCUACACCCUAAAUUUUAGCAACUCAGGAUCUCCACCUUCAUUAGGAUUGUAGGAAGCUGGCCUCUUGGAAACACGUGAGAGGACAUUUAGAAAUUUGAAAGAAUUCCAGAGACUUGUUGUUGCUUGAAUUGUGAAUCAUUCCAAUCAGUAACAACCCCAAAGCCCUAUAUACAAUUUUGAACUGUCAACCUUCUUACAUUGAAUGAAAAACCUAUCCCUAGGAAAAAGGUGUCUUGGGCAUACAACCAUCAAUUAUUAUCUCUCGAAGAGGCUUAAAGUAGUGCACCCUCUUGGUAGCUUCUAAUUCAUUACAUCAUAUAACUUCCAGAUAUCCAAUUGACAUGUCACUACACCUAAAUGAAGUAGAAAACAUGGUGAAUAGGAAGUUAGACAACCUUUCACAAAAAGAAUCCUGCAACAAGAAUACACCAAGCAGAACUUCUUGUUAACAUAAAUGAAUUCACUCAGUUAAAUUAUUGUGUUAAAAUUUAAAUUGGGAGAAAUAAAAAUACUAAUGCUUACAUGGGACUAUGGGAUGACCAACAAGAGGAACAUACUAUGAAUAGAAAAUGUGAAGCCAUAAAGCUUGUAAUUGUUGUUAGAUGCUGCUUCCUAGUCAAGUUUUCAACAAAAAGGUUGAGUGUAGGGGUUCUCUAGUAGUUGAACUUGUAGAAAAUUUUAACAGUAUGAUAAUUUAUACUUGUAACAAGAAGAUAAAAUGUAAGAAUUAUGUGUUGGGAAUAGAUGAAACUUACUAAAUAUAUGGAUAGGAUAGGGUGAACCCUCUUUGCUUCCAUUUUUGGAAUCCAAAUUAUUAUGGAUCAAAGUUGGAUUUCUCCAUCUAUUAAAUACAACUAGAGCUUAGGUGAGGUUUUGGUGAUAUAGGAAAUUCAUGGAUUCUGGAAUCUUUACAUGGAAAUAUACAUGAGUGAUUCAUUGGAAGAAAGGGCAAGCCUUAGUCAUAUGAGAAGAAACAAAUCUUAAAUAUACUAUCAAUCUUGAGUUGUUUGAGAGUGGUGAGUCUGUGAAGGCCUCCCUCAGAUAAGGGAUGUCUUUGACAUUUCUCCUUCUUCAAUCUCAAGAAGGUACACCAUCAACUAGAAAAUUAGGAAUGUGAGUCAUCAUGAACAACUUGUUUAUGUUCUUUAUUCUUUUCUCACUAAAGGGGAUUAAAAGAUAUGUAGUUGCAAGGACAAGAGAUGUAGCCAGUAGUGAGAGCAUCAAACAAUCCUUCUCUAAUGCAGACCAUAAAUUUUAGCAACUCGUGAUCUCCACAAUUUAGAGCAUUGAAGGAAUUUUCCUUGUUGGAAAGAUGUGACAUGACAUUUAGAAAUAUGCAAGAAUUCCGGAGUUCAUUCCAAUCAUUAAGGAAUCCAAAGCCCUAUAAUUUAAAUAGGGCAUCCCCUCGGCAUGGAUAACACACCUAUCUUGGAAAAAAGACUGGGCACCAAUUCAAUGAUUAACUCUCUAUGAAACUUGAGAUACAAGGUACUAAUGUUAGUUGCUUCCGUGGUAGUUCUUUUACUGGUAUUGGGGUAAAGCCUUUUGAAAACCCUCAAUCUACAAAUUACCAAGGACAUGAGAUCAUGUUGUAAUGUCAUCUCCAAUCUCUAGCUACAAACAAAUUAUUUCUUUCAAUUAACAAUCUUUAAUGCAUUCACUUCUAUCAUACGAUAAGCAAUUUUGGAAAACAAGUAAGCUUUAUAAUAUUAGGAAUAUGCAAGGAAUUGAUAAAGGCCAUGAAUCUGCUUUCAAAAAAUAAAUUAUAAAAACAAAGAUUUUUUCACCCAUGAAUAUUGUAAUCAGCUUCCAAAAAACAUUAGGUAUUGCAAUAACCAAAUGUUCCUCAGGUUACCAAGAAUGUUUUUUUUUCACCCAUGCAUAAAAUAAAAAGAAAAUAAGAAAGCAUACCAUACAACUCACAAAUUUGUCAAGUAUGAGUUCGAUUCGUGACCAUGCACAAUUGCAUUAAGUAUUUGAAAGCCAAAUAAGGCUAUUUGCAAUUCAAAUAAUACCAUACAACUCACAACAGAAUCCUCAUAGCUCACCAUAGAAUGAGAAUUCAAUUGUCUUUCCUCUAGUCAUAAGAGUUUGUGCUCUUCGAGCCUUUGACUUGCACAACUCAAGAAAGCAAGACAUGCCAAAAGACUCCUUCACCUCAAACAUUAUUCAAAUCCAUAGUAUAAAUCUAGAUAAGAUAAUUUUCUACAAAUAUAACAUGUUGCAAACAAAUAACAGUAUGUUGGUUUAAAAUUGAAGAGCAUUUCAAACCAAACAAAAUAGAAAAAAUUUCAGUGUAUAUCACUCACCUAAAAGCUUGUAUGUUGGAUAAAAUUCUUGCUAAUGAAUCUUGACAAUUAUUUGCAAUCAAAAUUUAGUAAUGAUUUAUAAACAAAAAAAAAAAAUUACAAAUUUUUUUAGCAAUGUUCCAUGAAAAACACAUUGCAUAUUGAUUGAGAAAUUAAUAUGAAAUCCACUAAUUUGAAAGGCACUAAAAACCAGAUGUUGUCUUGAGUUCUCCACGUAUCAAAAUAGAUGCAAGUUUCUAUUCAAGCCACCACAAUCACGAAGCACGAGACUUCUUUGCAUGGAAAGCACACUAUAUUUUAAACAAGGUUCUUAACUUUCCAAGAGACAUAAGAACAUGGUGUGUUGUAGAAACUGUACAAUAAAUAAAUGGAAGUUAUGCACUUGCUACUUAGUUUUUUAAUCAUGUGUGAAAUAAAUAAAGAGGUGUUACUUGCAUUUAGGCCAAACUUGUAGUCUCCAAUGUGAAAUCCAAAUCUCAUUUUGUCAACAGAAUAAGAGCAUUAAACAUAUAGCAAAUUGAAUCCUUCCUUUUGAAAAUUUGAAAACCUUAAAGGAAUGACUUGAGAUCAUAAAUAACUAUACGGUAAAGAAAAUUUUCAUCAUUCAUUCUAAAAGGAAAAUUUGUCAUUUCCUUGAUUACAGAAGAUUGAUAUUUUAACAUAAAGUGUACUUAUUAAGGUAAAAUUUGUGCAUUAUAUAUUGAAUUAGAAAAUUGUAUUUAAAUCCGGUUAGAAGGGUAUCACAAAAGAUGCUUAAUUGAAAUGAAGGCAUCCAUGCCAAUUUGAAACUAUCGUCAAAUAACACCCUCCCUUGUCAUUUUACGUCCCAUGCUUGCUUGUCAAAUCUCUAACUAAGACUGCUCAAAGAGCACCUAAAGAAAAUUACGAAGAUUUCAUUACAGGUAGAACUUAAGAUGCUUACAUUGACCAUGGGAGAGAUCGAUAAGAAACAAAAUACUCACCUAUAAGUUUGUAACUAUUGUACUCAAAACUUGCUUCCUAGUCAAACUUUCAACAUAACUCCAUGGAGACUUCCAUAAAUUGUUGAGCCACUGGUAAAACACAACAUCAAUAUGAGAAAUUUACAAGGCUAUGUAGAUAAAAGAGUAAGAAAUGUGUAUUGAGAAUAAGAGUUACCUUAAUGAAUGUAAGGAUAGGAUAGGGUUGAAUUGGCUCUACACCCAUUUUUGCAAUUUGAAUUUAUUAUGGUUCAAAAAUGAGUUUAUGACGUAUCCUCAUUUUAGGGGAAGCGGGCAAUCUAGGGUCAAUCUCUAUCAUUCUCCUUGAAACAUCUUUGAUUUCAAAGUUUGAUAAAACAUAGAAGACAUCCUUUCACUUGACAAGGAGGACUAGAACAAGGCAUCCCUCAAUCUCUACAAGUUAAAGAAAUGAAGUUUUGAAGACCAAGGGAGGGGGCUAGGAUUCCAGAUUUGACAUUAUUUUCAUUGAAAGAUCAAAGAGAGUUGUAGCAAGAAAUCCUGUCAAAAGGAAAUUGCAUUUAACAAUAUACAAUAUAAAAUGAAUGAACUGAGUUUUUAGAGAGGUGAAUAUUUGGAGGCUCCACAAAGAUAAGGGAUUUUAAUACCCUUGCAAGUGUAUUCUUGAAAUUGUUUCCUCAAAGGAAACUUGAACCUGGACAAUGUGCAACACAAAGCUAUUAAAGAGAUGUGAGACUCUAAAUUUGAUGAGGUAGGACUUGAGAUUCGCAUUUUCUUUAGUGAGGAAUUCUGAGGUUGUAGACACACUAGUACUUUCCAGAUUUAGAUACUUCUCUUCAACUAUUUGUAUAACGUACAUCUUCUUUGACAUUGCUACUCCAACAGGAUGUCCAAUAGGAUGUGCAACCUAUUUGGGCAUACUACAUGUACAACAAAAAAUUUCAUUAAAACAAAAAACUUUUACUAAAACAAAAAUAUGAAGUUAAUGUCUAAGAAGAUAAGAUUUAUAUAUAGUGAAUUAUCAUGAUUGAUUUUAGCACAAAGGGAAUGACACCAAAAGUUUUAAGAAUAUCACCACCACAAGUACCUAAUUUGCAUCAUUAAAAAUUCCACAAGGAUUUGAUGGUUAGGCAAUAAAAUAAUUCUAGUAAAUGAGUUAAAAUCAGUUGAGCUAAGAAAGAUUAAAUCCAAAUAAGCAUCAAUCAUUAAAGAAUUAACCAACUACGAAAGACUUCAAAUGACUUUUUUUCUGUAAUUUCUGUUCCUAAUUGGCCCCAUUUGCUUGUACCAAAAUAUUAUUAAUUUGCUUUAAAGGAAAUGGGUGACUCAUAUCUCUGAAAGAAUGUGAGAGGUGGAAAUCCCUCGAUCUCUAGUGAUUCAAGAGGAUAAUUCCUAUGGCUAUUGUUGCCAUCAUACAUCAUUCAGCUAGCUAUAGACCACAAAAUUGAACAAUCAUGAAUAUGUAGAUGCUUAAAUAUGGUAUGUACUUUAUCUAGUGGAAAAGCUUAUGAGACUUGGACAUCUCAAGAUUUCCACAAAUUGAGACAGAUACAAGUUGUUGCUUCCUAUUAUAAUUUAUUUGGAUUGCAAUCAUCAAGCACUAACUCCAUUCACUGCAUGUUUUGAGCCUUCAACAUAAAACCCAAAUUCCAUUCUAUCAGCCAAAAAAAAAAAAUCACUACUAACUCCUCUGGAAACCAUUUUAUGUUGCUAAGAUUAUAAAAUGUAGGAUUUAACUUACUUCCAUCAUUGAAAAUGAAUUGAUAUAACUUUACAAUACUAGUAUAUUCAGCUUUUGACAUGGCUGAAAUUGAUCCUGGAAUAAAAAAUCACAUACACAAGUAGAUAUUUAACAGAAGAGGAUCCAAAAUCUCUUCAAUUGAUUAAUGUAUAAAUGAAUUAUUCAAAAUUUUUUGAGAUAAUUAUGGGGAGAUGAACCUUGUAUCUCUAAGUUUCUUAUUCUUCUUAAACAGAGCAAUGAGCAUCAAGUGUUGAGCACCUAGGAAUCUCCCUUCCUCCACAGGCAAAGUCUGAACAAUCUAUCCUUUCUUCAUAUUCCACUUCCUUGCAAAAGUCAAAACAUGAAGAAAAUAUCAUCAAAAUUGAGACAAAAAUAAGUGCAUCAACUAUCUCAAGAAGAGAUUUAUGCCUAUUGCUUACCUUUUGAAGAAGGCCACUUGAUUAGAGCACAUUUUACAUGGACGCCCAAUCACUGCAAGCUGCUGAACCAAAGGAGAGUUCAAACAUCUAAAAAAUUUGAAAAACUCAAGUAUCAUAAAAUACUUCAUAUGAAUUCUAAAUGAUCUCAUAUCUAAAAAACAUUGGCAUAAAAUUAUUGUUGUUUACCUUACAUGUUUCUUCCAUGGUCAUAAUCGAAACUUUGUUUAUCAUAAGAAAUCUUCUAUGCUCAUCUUGAUAACUUACAAUGAACACUGAAAUGAAAAGAAAAAAAAACACAAAAAAUGAUGAUUAGUUUGGUUUGAUAAAUUUAGCACACAUAAUUUCCUUUUUCUUGCAUGAGAAAGGAAAGAGUAAUAUAUAUAUAUAUAUAUAUAUAUAUAUAUAUGAAUUUAAUAAUUUUUUAAAAUUAGUAAUUAUAAAACUAUUUUGGUUCUCAAAAAAUUUAUGGGAAAGUAGGGAAAAAAAUUAUGAACUUUUUCUCUUGUUUGAUUAUUUAUCGAAAAAUUGAGGGAAAAACAAAAAUCUAUGAGAAAUUUAUUUAACACUUUUGAGGAACCAAAAAUGUUUUAGAUGUUGUCAAAUCGGUAAUUUAAAUGUGUUUAAUUCCAAUUAUUUGAGUUUAAUCAAACACAUGAAAUUGUGAAUAAAAUUAUUUAAAAGCAUUGAAAUUCAAGUCAUUAAAGUUGUCCAUAAAAUUUGGUUUAUUGAAACAAGAAAAAAACAAAGCAAUUUGAAUAACUUGCUAAUAAAGCAACUAACUAGAAUAUGCCCUAGAGUUGUUCAGUGCCCUCUAUAUAAGAAAUAAACAGAGAACACAAAAAAAAAAAAAACCCAGAAAAAAAGCAAACAAAAAACAGAGAACACUUCUUACGUUAUUUUUUCUUAAUUUUUCAACAGUUAUAAAUGAUUCAUUUCAUUUUUGCAAACUGCCAAAUCAAAAUAGAGCAUGAAAAUGUGUUCAAUAUUUGUGUCACCGUUUUUCCGGUAAAUGACCUCAUUGGAACUACAAUAAGUGAAGUGAUCAUGUCAUCUAAUUAGUAAACCAAACCAAGUCAAUAAACUAGAACUUCCUCUAGUAUAGCCUCUGUGUAAAAGAUAUUUAAAGGUCUUGAUACAUUAGAUAUUGAAUUUGUUGGACCUGGCAAGGUAGAAGUAGUAAUGCUCAUUUUUAUUGUGACAGAUUAUAGAGAAAAUUAGACACUGAGAAAAUACCAAGCCAGGAGCCAUGUCAAGAGCUGCUUUCUUGUUAAAAAUUAAGUCCAAUUAGAAAAUUAUAGUAGCGCGUAAGAGAAAUUGAAAGUGGUGUUGAGAAGAGAAAGAGGAAGAGUGAUGUGUUGGGAAUGAGAUGUAAUACCUUAUUUAUUACUCAGAUGGAUUAGUCAUCUAUCACCACUAGGGGUCUCCAACGGGCGGGCCGGGCCGUAAAUAGGAGGCCCGCGGCCCAGCUCGGGCCGGGCCUAUGGGCCCGUUGACUGGUCAACAGGCCGGGCCGGGCCGGGCCAGGGAAAAAUCUUCGGCCCGCGGCCCGGCCUAUGAGCCCGCGGGCUGGGCGGGCUGGGCUGCGGGCCGGGCUGGCGGGCGGGCUGGCGGGCCGGGCUGGGGGCGGGCUGGCGGGCCAAGCCUUGGGCUUUUUUAAAUAAGCCAAAAGGCUUUAGAAAUGAAUGGAGAGGGGGGGAUUCGAACCCCUCCCCUCAUGGUUCAAAGUAAAGGCUCUAACCAACUGAGCCACAUUACUUUUGUGUUUAAUGUUAGAGUUAGUUAUAUAUAUAUAUAACAUAAAGUAUAUUAUUUUUUAAAAAAAAAUUAAAGGCUCCAACGGUCAUGUGACCGUUGGAGCUCCAACAGUCCAACCCAUGCUCCUAGCUGCCAUGUGACCGUUGGGCAACGGUCACAUGGCCAAUUUUUUUUUUUUUUUUUUUUUAAAAAAAACCUUCCUAUAAAUACAUCUUCUCCCUUUUCAUUUUUUCAUCAAAUUCUCUCUAUUUCUCUCUCUAUUUCUCUCACAUUCUACAAUAUUUCAAUUUUUUUUAUUUUUCCCUCAAAUUAUACAAUAUUGUUGGUGGUGCAAAACAAGCAUUGGUGGCUCCAAGAGUUCAAAUUUGCUAGGAAUUUCUGCAUCGGUUCUCUAAUUGAGUAACAUACUUCACCUCUACUACUUUAUUUUUUUGUUACAUUUUUUUUUAUAUUUAUUACUUUAUUAUUUUUGGCAUAAUAUUUUAUCAAUAAUUAUAAUAUGACAACAAGUGCUUCUUCAUCUAGUCCAUGUGAUGAAAUAUCAUCAAACAAAAAAUUUACUUCAAAUAUAUGGAAUUUUUUUGAUAGAGUAGAAAUAAUUUUAGAAAAUAAUAAAAAAGAAAUAAAAGCAAAAUGUAAAAUUUGUAAUAAAUUUCUUACUGGUGGCUCAAAUGCAGGCACAAGUCAUUUAAAAAGACAUCACGAAAAUUGUAAAACUAAAAAUAAUGUAGAUAUUAGAAAUUAUAUGCAAUUAGGUAAAAAUGAAAGUGGAAAUUUAAAAACAUUUUCUUAUGAUGAAUCUAACUGUCGUGAAGAAAUGAUUGAUUAUAUAAUAAGAGCAGAACAACCUUUCAACAUGAUGGAAACUCAUGAUUUUGUAGGAACAAUUCAACGAGGUAUUAAUCCUCAAUUUAAAGGUUGGUCUGGAAAUACAGUUAAAAGAGAUAUUAUGAAAAAAUUUUAUACACAAAAAGAAAUUUUAAAAAUUUUUUUUGCAAAUUUUGAAGGAAAUAUUUGUUUAACAUCUGAUAUUUGGACAUCUUUAACUCACACUGGUUUUUUAUGUAUAACUGCUCAUUACAUUGAUAAUGAAUGGAAAUUAAAUAAAAGAAUAAUUUCAUUUAAAUUAAUAAAUGCUCCACAUAGUGGUAAAAAUAUAGCAGCUUUAAUAAAUGAAGAAAUUAUAAAUUUAGGCCUUCGUGAUAAAAUAUUGACAGUAACAUUAGAUAAUGCUGCUAAUAAUGAUGCAGGAAUAAAUAGACUAAAACUAUAUUGGCAAGUAAAAGAUGAUCAUGCUAAAAUAUUUCAUGUGCGUUGUUGUGCACAUAUUUUAAAUUUAAUUGUAAAGGAUGGAUUAAAAAAUGUUGAUGAUACAUUGGAAAAAAUUAGAGGCAUUGCAUAUAGUAUUAAUAGUUCUCAAGCAAAACAUGAAUUAUUUUUUGAUUGUUGCAAAAUGUUAAAUAUGAAAAGAAAAAAUAUAAAUUUGGAUAUGGCCAUUAGAUGGAAUUCCACAUAUAAACUUUUACAAAAUAUUACAAAAUAUAGAAAAGUAGUCGAAUUAUAUGAAAUACAAUUACUUAACAAUGAUUGUGAUGCAGAUAUUGAUGCAUUAAGUGAUUAUGAUUGGCAUGUUGCGGAUCUUUUAAGAGAUCUUUUUGAAAUUUUUGAUACUUCAACAAACAUUUUUUGUGGUGUAUAUUAUCCAACUUCAAAUCGAGUUAUUAUGCAAAUAACUAAUAUUUUUAUUGUACUUCAAAAAUAUUUAAGUUUUGAAAUAUUUAAUGAUACAAUAUUUGCAAUGAUAGAAAAAUUUAGAAAAUAUUGGGGAGAAAUACCUUUAAUUUUUUAUAUUGCUUUAAUUGUGGACCCUAGAUUGAAAUUUGAAGCUUUGGAUGAAUGGUUAACAAUUAUUUAUUUUAAUGACCAAAUAAAAAUUGAAGAAAUUAAAAAUGAAAUAAAUUCAUUAUUAUAUAAUUUAUAUAACUAUUAUAAAGAAAAAUAUGGUAAUGAUAUUAAUACUAAUAAAUUACCACCUACAUCUACAAACUCCUCAUCUUUUUAUAAAGGAGCUCUAGAAAUGUUGAAAAGUCGAAAAAAGACAACAAAUAGUUCUCCAAAUAAUACAUCUGAUUUAGAUAAAUAUCUUAAUACUGAUAUAAUUCCAUUUGAAGAUUUUGAUAUUUUAAUAUGGUGGAAAUCACAUCAACACAAAUAUCCUGUGCUUUCUAUAAUUGCUCGUGAUGUACUAACAGUUCCUGUGAGUACAGUUGCAUCAGAAGCUGCUUUUAGUGCAGGUGGAAGAGUUAUUAGUAAAAAACGAUGCAACUUAGCGCCAGACGUUAUUGAAGCAGGGAUAUGUGUAAAAGAUUGGGAAAUUGCAGAAAAAAGGAUGUACGAUUCCAUUCGAGAAACAGAGAUGCUUGUCGAUAUGGAAUCUUUAAAACUAUCAAGAUCUUCAUGGAUGCAUGAUAAUUCGCCAUCACCGCCAGAAAAUAAUGACUAAAUGUAUAUUAUAUUUUUAUUUUUAUUUUUUGUGGUUGAAAAAUACAAAUGAUUGACAAAUAAAUAGGUGCCAACCUAGUUGGGAUGUAUUUAUUUUGUAGUGAUGUAAAAUUUUCCCACAUUUUUAAAUGUAAUUAUACAUUCAAUGAAUAAAAUUUUGAAAUGAAUAUUUUUUUUAAUACUUUUUAUUUUUGUAGUUUUUUUUUUUAAAUGGGCGGGCCUAAGGGCGGGCCUACGGGCCGGGCCUACGGGCCGGGCCUACGGGCCGGGCCGGGCCUAAUUUUAGGCCCGCGGCCCGGCCCGCCCAUAAACGGGCUCGGGCCGGGCCGGGCCUAAAGCGGGCCGCGGGCCGCGGGCUUUUUGGAGACCCCUAAUCACCACACAGGGGAUGUGAGCAAUCUUGGGCCAAUCAUCUCCUUCCUCCUUCGAGUACCUUUGUGUUAGAUGUGGGCAACGCCACGCAUGCAGUCGAGAAAGGGUGUCAGGCAAUAGUCCUUCCCUUGGCAAAAUCGACCGGAGCUUAGGGCAACUUUCGAUUCCUAGUUGUUCAAGAGAGGUGAGGGUUUGGAGAGACAGGGAGGCUAGGGAUUCCAGAUUCUGGAAUUCUGAAAGGGAAAGGAAGGUGAUAAUUGUAGGAAAAGGAAUCGAGUGGGGGUCAUCCGAAAAGGAAGUUGCAUCUGGAAACAUGCCUCUAAUCCAGAGGUGUUUAAGAGAGGUGAGUCUGGAAAGGCCCCAUUGGGAUAGGGGGGUCUUGAUAUUCUUGCAGUUAGAGAUCUCGAGCCGUGUAAGACGGGUGAGCUUUUUUAUCUGAGGAAGCAACAAUUCCAGAUUUUCAAAAUCUGCAAUACGUAGAUUUGUGAGGGUGUUGAGGCAAUCUGGUAGGGUUUUGAGAUUAGGAUACCUCCAGAGGGUUAAAGAUUGAAGUGAAUUAUUAGUAGAGUGAAACAUCUCCUCUGAAAUUGACUCGAGGUGUUCACAAUCCCAAAUGUCAAGUCCCUCAAGGGUGGAGGGAAACUUGCCUCUUGGGAAGGAUGUGAGAGAUGAACAAUGACAGAUAGCCAGGCUUUGAAGAGCAGCAGCAUAUGUGGAAUCGUAGUGCAUUAUUCCCUCUGGUAGAGACUCCAGCUUUUCACAAUCACUUAUGUAGAGUGCCUUGAGAGUGAUGGGUAACCUACCUCUCGGAAAACCAAUCAAAGAGGGACACAUAUUUAGACUUAAGUAUUCAAGGGCACACAUGUCCAUGGUGCUGGUGGUGGCGAUGGAAUUGCAGUGCAUCAUUCCUUCUGGAAGAGACUUGAGAUUUUGACAAUCACGUAUGGUUAGUUUCUUAAGGGUGGUGGGUAAUUGCCCUUUUGGAAAGCAAAUGAGAGAUGGACACUUCCAUAUCCUUAAGCAUUCAAGGAGACACAAGUUGUUGUCAGUACUACCGUUCCUCAUCUUCAACAUCAUGCCAUCAGGUAGACGCUUUAGACCUUUACAAUUAUUAAGAAAAAGAUUUCUCAGCAUUGGUGGGAAACCUACAUCUGGAAAGAAGAUUGUCAAUUCUUCAAGGCAUGUUAGACUCUGCCAUCCAUUUGGAAGCCUCUCUAGUUUAUCACGUUUAAUUAUUUCCAAAGACUGAAGAUUGCAUCCCAAGGAUACAAGUUGAUCACAAUCUCUAAUCUCAAGAGAAAGAGAGUUUUUUGAUCCAAAACCAUCCUCCCACAAAUAUUCGAGUUCUUCACAUUCUGAUACUUCCAAAACCCGAAGCCCUUGCAAAAAUUGCACAAGUCCUUCAUGCAAUUUUACAAGCCUUGAAAUCCUAGAAAUUGUUAACCUGGUGAGUGAGGUGAGGUCAUUUCCACUUCUCAAGACCGCCUCAUUACAUCCUCUUACUUGCAAUUCCCUCAGCAGUGGAAGUCUUGAAAGUGGAGACUCCAAUUUUGGACAAAAGUGAACAGAGAGCUUUGUAAGAGAAGGUAGGUAAGUGGGUAGUUUCAUAAUCAAUUUGGGGCAAUACUUAAUUAUAAGCUCAUGGAGACAAGGGAAUAAUGACUCUGUUGAGGAAGACCAGUCCUCCCAGUGCUCCCAUUCUGACAUGCUCUCAAAAUGUAGAGACUCUAGUGAUGGGAAAAACUUACCUGCAGAAACACGAGUCUCUCCAUAAAACUCUGCACCCACUUUUUUUACUCCAACCAUUCCUUGGAUCCUCAACUGUUUGAGCGAUGGCAACUGCCCCAAGCAUGGUAAAGACGUGCACUUUCUGCAAUCUAUGAGACUUAGAUCCACCAUCUUAGAGAACAAGGCAUCCCCUAUCCAACGUGGGAAUUUUGGACCACCAUACAACUGAAUGCAGAGUUUGUUCAGAUUCAAACAACGUUGUAGAGAGUCAAGGACAUCCAUUUGAUUCCUUUCAUUCCCUGAACCAUCCAACUCAGAACUCCACUGCAUUAUCAAGCUUUCAAGGUUACGCUUUAAUUUUAAAUCGGCAUCCCUUGCAUCUUGAAUAUUCACCACAUUUUCCAAUUUCGAAAUGCAAAGUUCUCCUCGCAGAUGUGACACGUCCUUCAACUCUUUGAUUGUCAAACCUUUGUUUUUGUCCACAAUGAAAUUAGACAAUAUCCGCAAAUCUUUUAGUUUGUCAAUUCGUAUAGGCAUUUCUUGUAAUUUUAUUGCACCGGCAACAUCAAGAUGUCGAAGAUUGAUUAGGUUAUCGAUGCUAAUAGGCAACCUGAUAAGCUCUUUACAACAUGAUAAUUUCAAUGUCUGAAGGUAAAAAAGAUUACCAAUUGAAUCGGGUAACCAUUUUAUACUAAUGUAGGAUAAAUUAAGGUAUCUCAAAUGUUUCAACUUACCAAAUGAAUCCGGUAUCUCACUUAUCAUGUAAUUAGUCAAUGAGAGCACCCUUAAGUGCCCUAACCUUGGUAUCAAUUCUUCAAGCACCUUAUUACUUAUGAAGUGAUCAAGCCAUGUUGGUUGUUCAUCAAUCGGGAAAGCUAUGAAUGUGCGCAAGUGCUCCUUUUCAUGAAACCUUUCAAAAUUUUUAAAGAUAUCAUAAUGAUGAUGGAUGAAUGAUGAAUGACGAGCAUUUUUCAAAAAUGGGGCAUUGCAAAUCAUUCCACAACUCAUCAUCCAAAUGCAAGCAUGUGUCUCCAGCAAUAGAAUUAGCUAGACCGUUAAUAAGAUCAUGCAUAAUGAAUCAUGAUUUAUUGCUGCUCGACGAUUGGAAAAAUGACCUUGACAAUAGUUCACAAAAAUAAUCAUCACCAAGAUCUUCCAUUUUCUCAUCCUCAUUUGAUUGUUGAAUUAACCCCUCCGCCAUCCACAAGAGGAUUAGCUCUUCCUUCUUAAACUCGUAAUCUUGGGGAAAUAAUGCGCAAUAAGCGAAACACCUUUUUAAAGUGUAUUUCGAAUUUAAAUUAUUGCAAGUGUAUUUGCUUGACUAACCUUUUGAAUUACUCAAAUUUAACAAGUUGCAAAUAGGUCCCUUAGCUAAUCUUUUAAAUUAAUCUUGAUGUUGACAAGAAUCUUGCCGACCAUAAUUAUAAAAAGAGAAAUAAUUGAAGCUAAGUUGACCUAAUCUAGUUUAAUAAAUUGCAAGUCGGUGCCCUUACCUAAUCUUUUAAUUUAAUCUUCAUAUUGAUAAGAAUGAAGCCGACAAUAAUUAUAAAAACAAAAAGACGACAAGUUAAUUCUAUUGACUAAUUUUAUUAACUCAAAUUUAAUUAAUUACAAGUAAGUUUUCUUAAGUCUUAACUAACGUUUAAAUUAAUCUUGAUAUAUAUAAGAACCUUGCCAACUGUAAUCAUAAAAAAGAAAAGGCCGACAAACUAAUUUAAUUGACUAAUUUUAUUAACUUGAGUUUAAUAAAUUGCAAGUAGGUUAAUCUCUUACCUAACCUUUUAAAUUAAUCUUGAGAUCAAUAAAAAUUAUAAAGAUCAUAAUUAUAAGGAGGAGAAAAAGGCAAACUAGUUUGAUAUUUUUAAGGGCUUAAGCUAAAUUUAUACCUUUUAUACAAGAGUUCCUAUUUUUAUAUAAACGUUUUUAUCACUUUUUGUUUUUAAAAACAAAAAAUGAGAAGUAUAUCUAAACAAAUACUUAAUAUUGAAUGGUAUAAACUCCUACUCAUUUAAAUGAAAUAAAGAGAUAUUUUCAUUUAAGAUAAAAAAAAAUGUAAGGAUAAAAAAUUAAAAAACUUUUUAACUUCUUGUACUUUAUUAUUACAUUUUUUUCAUUAGAUGCUUUAAAUAUUUUUUAUCAAAUAAAAUUAUAAUGCUAUUGGUCGAGGGCUAAUUAACUUUGUUUAAGCGAGAAAGAUAUAGUUAAGAUUGGGGUCGAUCCACAACUAAAAGAAGAAUGAAAUAAAAAGUAGGAGAUGAAUUGAUCAAACCAAUGUCCCAAAAAUAGUCCUAUGCAUGGCUCUACUUGAAUAUCUAUGAUUAUGAUUAUUAUUAUUAUUAAACUAAUCUUAACUUUAAGUUAAAGAUAAUUUAAAAAUAUAUAUAACUUCAAAAAUUAUUUUCAAAUCUAGAGAGUUAUUUUGAACUAGCAAUUAAAAGAUACUUCUUCAAAAUCAUUUUUUCUUAUUAUACAUUUUAUCAUCGAGAACCGUUUCAAACCAUCUUUUUGGUUUGCUUUCACAAAAAUGGUUUUUUCCCCCUCCAAAAGAGCUAUCAAUGGAAGCGUUAUAGGCUAAAACCGUAUUUAUGAUAAUCAAUUCCAAUGGAUCCUAUAAGUUAUGCCAUUUUUAUGAAGUUUUUCUUUGGUUUUUAAUCUUUGUAUUAAUGCAUCAAUAAAUGUUUUAUUAAAGAAAUUACUAGUAUAAUAAAUGAUACAAGAUUGUACGUGGGUUCAUGUUGAUAGGACAAUGAGAUAAAAAAAUAUAAGGUGAAUACAAAUCUCCAUGCAUAAAUGAAGCAAUUAGCUUGUUCAAUAUAUUUAGCUUGAUGUAAAAUUUCCUUUUUAUUUUCCAAAUUCUUUAUAACAAUUGGCUUUCCCUCGUAGUACAAAAAAAAUAAAAAUCCUCCUUGCAUUAAUUUUUCUCCUAAAACAAUUUUUUUUAAAAAAAAUUAACUUUUCAAAAAUUAAAAGCUAUUAAAAACAUCUGCCUAUAAUAACCUAUAAGUAAAAGUUCCUUCAACUAGCCUAUUACUUUUUUGAGAGUUCAUAUGAAUUAUGUAUGGCCCACAGUUGGACUUUGAAGAGUUUCAAAGCAAUUUAGUUAAAAGAUAACAAAAAAAAAAAAAAUGAUAUGACAAAUAGUGAAAAUCACUUUGGAUUCCAAUAAUAUUUUCUAUCAAUAUAAUAUCUCAAUACAAUGUCUCCUUGGUAGGUUUAGUAUGAAAAUGAAUUAUUUUAUGAAUAUGACUUUGGAUUCCAAAUUUUGAACUUUCUAAUGCCUUAACAUAGUGGUAGGUGUCACACCCCUGAAGGUCACACCAAAUUUUUCACAAGUGCGCGGUGCUAAGGACCCUUCCUUAGCCAACCUUCCUUCCCAGCGUUUAGAAAAACAGAGUAAAAGCACAACAACAGUAAAUCAAUAGGGACACAAACGUUUACAAGAAACCUUUCCCAACUUGUAUUAAUUCACUCUACAAGACAAAAUUGUUCCUCUGAACCAGAGUACAAUGCUCACACCCAAGCAUUACGACAAGAACCCUUUUCCCCAAAUUCUCUCUCUCUCCGUUUCAAGGCUCUAGGAGCCCUUUUAAAAGACUUAAGCUGCACUUACAAAUUUGAAUUUCCAAAUUCAAAUGUUGGAGCCAAUAUGGUGGUUAUGCAACUAGCCAGAAUCACCCAUAACUGCCUUGCAUAACCACCCACCACCCAGAUAGUGGCCUGCACAUGCCACCCACUUGCACCAGCCAUCAGCCCUCAGCCAACUACAAGUCAAAUGACAGCUUGACUUAGUCACUUGCUGUCUGAGCUAGCUGCCACUAGCUAGCUACACUGCCAUCUUCUCAAGCCCUGCUCGCUAAGCUGCUGGAGAGUCCCCCUAACAAGCUGUCUCCUUCCCCGCAAGGUGCCUCUUGUGACUGGGUGCCCAUCAGCAUGUCUUUGAUCAAGGCCUUCUAAGCCAGGCAGUGUGCACCAACCAGCUGACCAAGCGUCUGGUGCAUCAGUGUGCCUUCCCCACACUAAUGUGUGAGCCCAUGCCAUGUCUAAGUGCCCAUGGCUUGGGCUUGUUGCUUGCUUCCCUUGUCAGAUCCAGCUUCAUAGCAACGAGCCAUGGCAUUGCGCCCAUGGCUAAUCCCUCUUAGUGCACAGGGCAUUGUGCCCCGGUGCUGUGCGUAGACAUCAUGGUGCGAGUCAGCUAUUGCUUGGUGCCCCAUCAGACCAUGGCAUUGUGCCCAUGGUUUCAUCAGCUGGCUCACCGCACAAGUCUUAGGCACUCUCGUGCUUGCGCGGGAAGGAGGUAGGCCGCACCAAGCCCCAUGCCGUUGUGGCCAUGGGGUACACACCACACAUGUCGUGGAGCCCAUGUGUGCAUGCUCAAGUCGCAUCCGUGUGUCCUAGGCACGCCCAAGGCCGUGCCAUGGUGUCCCCUUGGUGCAGUCAAGGCUUUCCUUGGUGCUCUCUCCUUUGAGUCACCUAACCCCCCCCCCUUAAAGAGCAAUACGGGUCGUUUUCAUUGUUUCUGGAGGAGACAUUAAUAUGCCUGAGGAGACAUAAUGGAAUAAUAAAUAAUUAUAAAUUAAAAUUCCAAAAGUCUCUCAGCCUUCAUCUGCACCACCUAAGUCAGGUGCGCACACGAUGCCCAUCUGGUGCGCACGCGAUGCAUGUCUGGCUCGCCCGUAGUGCGCGCACGGUGCCCAUCUGGCCUGUUCACAAUGUGCGCACGGUGCGCGUCUGGCUCGCCCGUGGUGCGCGCGCGGUGCACGUUUGGCUCGCCCACGGUGUGCACGUGGUGUGUAUUUGGCUCACCCGUAACCUCUCACAUAGCCCCUAGAGUUUGAACCACCAAACCUCUAGGAUUUCCUUGCUUUCAGCCUAGGCUCUCAUGGGUACAAGGCCUAUCCAUGAGGCCUUUUCCUCCAUGGUUAAGUCAAGAGGCUAAGGGGCUGACAGUAGGCCUUAUAGAAAAUGAAACUUGGGAAAAAGUAUAGUAUGGACAUAAUUUUUGACUUAGGAGGUGAUGUUACAACACCUUCAAUUAAUUACCUUGAAAAUGAUAUGUUAUUGUAUUGAAAAUGAUAUUAAAUUUAAUGAAGACAUAUCUAAUAAAAAUAACACCCGUUUUUUAAAACAAUAUUAUGAUCUUACUAUUGUGUCAUGUUGGAUCAUAAAAAUAUCACCCAUUUUUUAAAACAAUAUUAUGAUGUUACUAUUGUGUCAUGUUGGAUCUCAUUUGGAAAACAAUUUAAUUAUGUUGUGUCAUAAUUUUUUUAAAAUUUAUUCCAUUUUUCUUUUAAUUUUUGAAGCAUGCAAUUGGAGUUGGUCUAAACUUUGAAUAGUUGGAGCCAAUUUCAAUGCCUUAGUGGGUCUAAAAGAAAAAAAGAAAAGAUUGGAAAAUUGAAGUGGAAUAUGGAGACAAAAUUUUAAAGGCUUGAAGUGAUGUUACAGCUUUCCAAGUAAUUACCUUGAAUGUGAGAUGUCAUUAUAUUGAAAAUUCAUAUUAAAUCUCAUGAGGUAACUAUAGGAAUUGCCAUACAUAGAGACAAAUAAUAAAUAUAUCUCACUUUUUCAAAAUGUUUGUGAUCCUAAUUAUACAUUGCCUUUAUAGUGGGAUGAAUGCAUCUUCACUUAAAGUCUUAUUCUAAACAUAUUUUUAGAAUUUUCUAGGAAUAUGUAAAGAAAACUUUAUGAUAAGUAAUUUCUAUCUAAGACGGGUAAAGUCUAAUAUGAUUUGUUCACACCAUUCAAAUCCAACACAUUUUUUUAUAAAUUUGAAAUGAGUAUAAUUGUAUUUGAAUAAAAAUAAAUUGUUUUUAGGUCAACUUUCAUAACAAACAUUUAACUCAAAUUGACUUAUUUAAUAAUAUUAAUCUUAAUUAUAACUUUAACUUAUUUAACUCAUAUUUGACUCAUUUAAAAUUUGAUUUUCAAUAGUGACAUCAUAAUUGAGUUAUAAACAUGUCAGUUUAGGACACUAACCAUAUAAGAUCAUACAAUGUUAAACUCAAUUUGACUAUUAAAUAACAUCUAAUUAUUAUAAGAGUUAAAUAGGUUACAAUGUAUUACUUGGUUAAUAAUUAGAUUGUGUUUGAGUUUGUAUUUUUAAUUAUAAUUUAGUUGAGUGUUUGAUCUACGUUACCAACAUGAAUUAUCACUCAUAUUUCUAUUGCAAAACCAAAGAUGGGAUAAUUCUUAGUUUUGAUGAUAAUAAAAGAAGGUUCGACUAAAGUUUCAUCUUGAGUGUGACUAGGCAAGAUGAUUUUUAAAGUAACAAUUACAAAGAUAAACCAAAACAAAAGAAAAAAAAGAAAGAAAAGGAAGACCUCAAAGAGAAGAGACUUCAAAAAUUUUUAUAAGAUCUCUUUGUAAGGUUGUUGGUGCACUAGAAUUUACAUGCAUUUUAUUCAAGCAUCAAAGAUCAUCCUUGUGCGAUUUUGUUUUAAAUUUUUUUAUAAUUAGAUGAUUUCAUGUUUUUAAUUAAAACCUUAUGCCAAAUUUUUUUCUAAACUUUUUAAAAGGGUUGCAUGAGUUGCUAGAGGUUUGAAACCUAAAACCUGAGUAUUUGAGUACUUAAUAGUGCAACCGGUCAAAAGUCCAGGGAAUUGAUUAAAUCAUUUAGGUUCAAUCAAUUGAGGGGUGUUUUUACACACGCUUUCUCUCUUUCUUGGUCAAGACUUUGCCUUUCAUGGUCAAAGUCUUGAACCCUAACGAACACUUACUAAAAGUAUUAAUUGCUAAUGAUUUUAGCAUUAAUUGCUAACGGUUAGUGAAUCAGUCAAAUCGGAACUUGACUGGUUGACCCCCUAAAUGUGCCUAACAACAAGUUUAGCCUUUCUACUUCUACAUAAAGGUUCCAAUCUUCAUUGUUGGUAAGUCUAACAUUCCCAAGUCUUUUAUGAACAGUAUUUGAGCCUUGGUGGAGUGUUUUUUAGCACACCUUGUUUCAAAACUUGCAUAUCAUUAGUUCACCAUUAAUCUUAAUUUAUCUUGUAUCAUUUGAGCUUAAAUUUGUACUAGGAAUGUGUGAGAUUAUCUUUCCUAUCAUUUUGUGUAAACCUUUGUAAGGGGAGAUUAAGUGUGGGGUAUUACUUAAAGGAAAAUUUAAGCAUGAGGUAUCACUUAGUGUUUGUCAAGUGUGGGGUAUCACUUAGGAAAUUCAAGAGUGAGGUAUUUUUUGAAAAAUUUGUAAGUGUCCAUUGGAGUCAGUUAAUCUAAUAGUAUGAUUAGAAACUUUAGAUUAGUAGAACCUCAAGUUUAGGAUUGAAGUUAUAGGAGAGUGAACAUAGAACGAGUUGCACCAAACCACAAUAAAAAUAUUGUGUUUGUAUUCUCUCUUCCCUAAUCUUUUUAAUUUGUAUGAAAUUACUUUUCAUUGUAUUUAUUGUAUAUUUGCAUAUAAUUGUCUUUUGUAUUCAUGUAGUUUAAGUUUGCAAAAAGAAACCAUCACCCUAUUUAUCCUCCCUCCCCCUCCCCUUCCCCUUCCCCCCGAGGGUGACUACCUUAGGUUAAUUUAGCAAAAAUCAUAACAUUUACAAAUAUAUUAUUUGCUUAUUAUAGUUAAGAAAAAUGCCAAGAAAAUUUAUCAAAAAUCAUAACAUUUACAAAUAUAUUAUUUGCUUAUUGUAGUUAAGAAAAAUGCCAAGAAAUUUCAUUGAUAAAAAUUUCCAUGAUAAAUUCUAAAAACCACUUUAAUUCCAAUUAUCUUUUUCCCAAUGCAAUGUCUCAAUGAUUCUAGGAUGAAAAGGAAUUUUUUCAUGUCAAUAUGACUUUGGAUCCCAAAUUUUAAGGCAAUUUCAAUGCCCUAGUGGUGGGUCUAGAAGAAAAUAAAAAAUGUGGAAAUUAAAGUGGAAUAUAGACACAAUUUUUUACUAAUUGUAAGAUGAUGUUACAAUACCUUAUGUAGUUACUAUGAAAGUGACUUUGGAUUCCAAAUUUUGAGCCAAUUUCAAUGCCACAAUGAUGGGUCUAGAAGAAAACAAAAAAUAUGAAAAUUAAAGUAGAAUAUAGACACAAUUUUUUACUUGUUAAGUAAUGUUACAAUGCCUUAUGUAAUUAUUUUGAAAGUGAGAUAUCAUUGAAUUGAGAAUUGAUAUUAAAUUUGACCAACUAUCAUAAGGAUUUGCUUUCAAAAGAGAGAUAAGUAAUAAAUAUCUCUUAUUUUUUGGAAAAAAAAAAAUUAUCAUACUAUUAAUGUGUUUAAUUUUAUUUUUUUUAAAUAGAGAUUGUUAUAUUUUUUUGUAAAAAUAAGUUUCCUUAUAAAAUAAGAAAAAGUGGUAGAAGUAUUUCUAUAAAUAUUUUAUUAAGAGAAAAAGCUAUAACAUGAAGAAAAACAUGUAUAGUUUAUAUUUAAAAGAUAGUGAUAUGGGAAAGAGUGGGAAACAUUUCUUGGAAUGGGGACAUAUGAUUCAAGUAUAGAUACAAAGAACAAGGAAAUAUAAGAUGUUUUAAAUUAAUUAAUUAUAUCUUCUUUUUUUAAUCUUUUGUAGUAUUGUAUAUAGUAAUAGAAGAUGAGUUAUCAAAUGCGAACUUUCAUGUAUAUAUGAUGCAAUUAACUUGUUCAAUAUAAGCACCUUGAUGUAAAAUCUCAUUUUUGUUUUCUAAAGUCUUUAUGACUAUUGGUUUUUCUUUUGAGUGCCAAUAAAUAAAAGAAAAAACCCUUCUUUUUUGUUUGAAGAAAAAAUCUUUAUUAAUCCAAACCCUAUCAACUUAUAUAUGACCUAUUGCAGGAUAAUGAAGUUUUUUAAAGUAAUUUUAAAGACAAAAAAGAAAAUUUGAUAUGAUAAAUGAUUAAAACCACUUUAGAUUCCAAUAGUAUUUUCUAUCAUAUAACGUCUCAGUGAAAUGUUUCAUAACAAAAUGAAUUAUUCUAUGAAUAUGACUUUGGAUUCCAAAUUUUGAACUUUCUAAUGCCUUAACUUAGUAGUGAGUCUCAUAGAAAAUGAAAGUUAUGGAAAAGUAGAAUGUGGACUCAAUUUUUGACUUAUAAAACUGAUGUUACAACACCUUCAAGUAAUUACCUUAAAAAUGAUAUGUCAUUGCAUUGAAAAUGAUAUUAAAUUUAAUGGAGAGAUAAUUUAUAAAAAAUAUCACUAAUUUUUUUAAAAAGAAUAAUGUGAUCUUACUAUCGUGUUAGGUUGGAAAAAAAUUUAUGUUGGAGUUAAUUUUUUUUUAUUUGUAUUUCUUUUUAUUUAUUUAUUUAUUUUGCAUAUUGUAAGGUCUCAAACUCGUUUAGAAAUAUGAACACUGAUGAAGAGUUAGAAAUUUAAAAACAUUAAAGGUAUGGUUAAAGUUAUUUUUAGAUAGUUGAAAUUGCAACCAAAAAAACAAGAAAAUGAAAGAAGUUCAAAUUUUAUUUGAUUAUCUUAAAAAUAUGAAAGAAAUUACAUAUAAUGAAAAUUGUUUAGAGUUUUAUAUACUUUUAAUAUUUACUCUUUACAGAAAAGAAAAAAGGCAAAUAAAUUUUUAUGAACUUAUGGAAAAUAUUAAACUUCAGCUUAAUUUUUUUGUUUUUCUUGAUUUUUCUUUCCUUUGUGAUCUUUCCCACUUUAUCCAAACUUUCCAUAGUCUAAACUUUAUACAUGUUUUCUCUUCUUUUUAAUUAAAAAUUUUUAAAUUUUCCAAUUAAAAUUCCAAGAUAGGCUAAUAAAAACUUAAAACUAAUAUUACAUUUUAAACGAACUGGAUCGAUUUGGUAGCCAAUUCGAACCCAAUCAAAUUUAGCCUCUAAUGUGAGGUAUUUGACCCAAACUUAGCUCAAACUCAUUUUUACCGACUAAAGUUAGGCUUAAAUUGACUCAUAGUACUUUUAGUUGAGUUGAUUAGGUUGUAUGAUCAUAACUAGGUUUGGUAAGGUUGAGUUAGUUUGAACCUAUUCAUAAAUGUUUUUUUUUUCUCUUUUAUAUUUAUUUUAUAUCAUAAUUUUAAAAAUUAAAUUGGAUAACUUUUAAACAUGAUAACAAAAAUAAAUAAAUUUAUGUAUAUGUCUAACAAAAAUGAAAUAAUAUAAUUAAAAUUCAACAUUUUUUAAAAAAAACUAAAAAAAAAAACACAAAAUAGGUAUUAUUAUAUAAAAUAAUAUAAAUUAUAAAUAUAUAAAAUUAGGUUUGGGCUAGCUUAGGUUAUCCAAACCUUAGCCUAAGUAGUUUCUCGAGUGUUUGCCACUUGUAAAAGUUUUUGGUAAAUUUUUAUUAAAAUUAAUUUUAAAAAAAGAAAUAAAAUGUUUUUAAAAAAUAUUAAAUGCAUAAUUAAAAUUAUGCUAAUGAAACAAAGGGAAGCAAACAAGAUAAAAAAUUUUCUCUCAAAAGGUGUAGUGUAAUGACUUCAAAUUUUAAGUUUUGAUGGUCAAUCUGCCUUCAAUUAUAAGGAUAAGAAGCUUGUAGAGAACAAAAAAUAUAUAGCAAGUGGAUAUAUAUAGAUAUAACAAAAAAUAAUAUAUAUAUAUAUAUAUAUGCAUGAUUGGAGCCAAAAUAUGUGCUCUAAUGGCACAUAUUCGAUAUGAUUUGUGCACCAAAGGACAUUCAAAUCACCCAACUUGACCUAAAUCAAUGCUAAGGCCCUAGCCAUGGGUUUAAUCUAUACUUUGGAGAUUUAUCUCAGGUUCAAGGGAAGAAAAUUGUGCAAAUUGAAUGACUUUAGAUUUUGAAAGAUCAAGAAAGGGCUAAAUGAGGAAAUAAGUGAGUCAAGACUCAUUGAACGUAAAGAAAGGCAAAACAAGGAUAUCAUGAGGUUGGAGGAUUAUAAAUGACCAUUAUGGAGUAAGAAAGAAGGCAAGAAAGCAUGGGGAAUGAGGCAUGAAGCAAGAUUUAGCUGCAUGGAAAUUUAGAACUCAAAAAUCUGAUGGCAUUAUAUACUCUGACUUUGAGGACAAAUUUGGAGCACUUUCUGGAGUCCAUUAUAUACAUACUAUAUAUCGUUUCGAAUCUCGGGAAGUCAGGAGUCCAACACUUCAAACGGUUUGCAAAUCGGAGCUGAAAUGAAGAAGUUAUGUCCAUUUGAAGACAACUGCACCAAGCUGGAGGGUCAUUUCGAAAUGAUUUCGAAAUUCAACUUAUGAUUUCGAAAUUCAACUUAUGAAUUCGAAAUCCACUUCGAAAUGACACCAAUUUCGAAUUCACCCACUGCCACUUUGAUGUUCCGCCUCCUCUACCCCGAGAAUUGCAUCUAUUCAACUUAUGAAUUCGAAAUCCACUUCGAAAUGACACCAAUUUCGAAUUCACCCACUGCCACUUUGAUGUUCCGCCUCCUCUACCUCGGGAAUUGCAUCUAAAGCACUCCAUCCGCUCUAGGUGGACCCCACACGACUAGAAAUCACCAUUUUAUUAUUUUUAAUCAUUUUUAGGAAAUUAUUUUUGUAAUAAGUGGCCAAUGAGAGUGUGCCACAUGUUAGGUAAGUGAGGAUAUUAUAUAAACUCUCUCAAUUCUAGGUUUUAGGGAUCUUGGAUCUUGGAUCUUGGAUUUUUUUUCUAGAGAGUUUGACAUUGAAGGUGGAAGAAGACGAGAACUUUGGUUUGUUUUCUUUUUCUUCUUUAUUGAAUAUAUUGUUUUUAGUUUCUUUUGAUUCAAAUUAUGAAUUUUUACCCUAUUAUGGAUUGUGAAUGUGACAUCACCCCCAUGAGAGGCUAAGAGCCAACUUGGGGCUUGAAGCAUGAAAACCUAAGGGUUAGGAAACCUAUAGGGACAAUGGGUAAAUUACUAUAACAAUGAGAUUAAUUAUUGGUUGGGUGACAAUUUAUUAUAUUUUUUUAUCCUAUCCUUGUGAGUUCAUUUAGGGAAUGAUACGAUAGGUUAUUACUUGAUACUAGUGAUUCUUGGUAAUUCUUGAUCAUUAGUUAUCCUCGUUUUCCCUACCGUUAUUUGCCCCUAAACAAAGCUAUAAGGAGUAGGAAGGGUUAAAAAGCCAAAUCUUAAAGUGAUAAUCAAUCUCAUUCAUUUGAUGGUUUUAGGAAUCUGUUUGAAAAAGGAAAAAUUAGGUUUCGGAUGCAAUUUUGAGUUAUAAAACCCAACUUGAUCGCGAGUGGCCAAGGAUCCCAAAACCCUAAGAUCAUAUUACUUAAAAUACCCUUGUUUUCUAUAAUUUCUAUACCCUAGGUUGGAUUGUGGAAAACCCCAAACUUGAAUCAAUUGAAUUUAAAAUCAAUAUUCAUUUUCUCUUAUUAAUCCAAUUUCUUUUACUUAGUUUCAUAUUAUUCACAUAUUGUUUUUCACUUAAGGAUUUAAACAAAAACAAUUCAUUUAUCUAGUAUUGACAAUUUUCAUAAGCCAGUCCUUGAGAACGAUACCCGGAAUACUACAAAAGCCGUAGUGACUCUUUCUCUAAUUUUUCUUGACCAGAGUUACUACGUAAAAAGGCUAAGUAUUUUGGUACAAUAGAGAAAUUUCGGUCAAUGCAUCAUACUUUUGUCACAAGCAAACCCACUAGUAAACCUUUAUCAUCUUAUUAUAUAACAAGUGGGUAUACCUAGAUAAAAUAAAAAUAGGUCUUUGUUUAUUAAAUUCAAAAGUUUAUGAUCAUCACUUAACAUUUAACAAAGUGGUACAAAUGAUGGUAAAAAUAGUAGUAUAAUCAAUAUUUUCCUAUAUUGAAUAUUAUAAUUGAUGUUUUUUUUUUUUUUUUUUAUCAAGAAGCAAUUUUAGAGAUAGGUUUUUAUCAAGUAACAAUCUUCAAUGUUUUUUGUCUAUAUUAAUUUACCAUCAUGAUCUCUAAUAUUGUACCAUUGAAUGCAAUUGCAAAACAUCUAUGUAAUUGUUAGUAAAUUUUUUUUCAUGCUCAUUAUACAAUAUUUGUUUUAAUUUUCAAGUUGCAAUUAUAGUCUAAAGGUUGAGGUUCCUAGAUAGUUAUAGCUUUGAUGAGAAGUCUAAUCAUGUUGUUGUUGUUCAUGUCACUUUAAUUAGACCAAGUUCAAUGAUACUUUAGACCAUAUUUAAGGAUCCUUUUCAAAUAUCUAUCUAACUUUUGAUAUGCAAUUUGAAAAGAGGAUGGAGAGAGGAUGGUUGUUCUCCAUAAUCCAUUAAUAAAUAAAUAAAAAUAAUUAUAUUUAGAAGGAAAAUAAAAAAUUAUUAAGAUCAUUAGCAAGUAAUUUUGGUAAAACUUGAUAUUUAACUAGGUAAGAUGACUUUAAGUUAAAUUAAUUGUAUUUAAGUCAUUAAGUCAUAGUUAUUAAUACGAUUUCUCAAAAUCAUUUUUAAAUUUAUUAUUUUAUCAAUCAUACUUGAUAUACUUAAUAACUUAAAAUUAAGUCAUUAAAUUGAUUUAUCAUCACCCUCUAAAGUCUUUUCAAUUUUGUACAUUUAUUUGAUACAUAUUUAAUCAUAAACAAUCAAAAAAGUGCUAUCUCAAAAUUUUUAAUUCAAACUCCUUCAAAGUUAUUCAUGACUAAAAUUCAUUAAUUAAUUUACAUUACAAGCUUUGAAAGAAACUUGUUUUAAAACAUAAAAUUGAUAGAGAUAGUACAUAUUUUAAACUUUUAAUUAAAAUAAAAAGCUCAUAACAAAAUAAUUUGAUGGAUGUUUUAGUAUUUGAAAAGAUUAUGAGGUCGGUGUGGACUUACUCUUGGCAUGCGUACUUCCACAAAUCAGAAAGAACAACCUCUCCAACAACUUCCAUGGUGAUCAGUUUGCAGAGAGAGAAUUGUAGCUAUAAACCAAAGCACUGUGAAAAUAAAUUGGGGAAGCAGAAAGAAGCGUGGGUUGUUGGGUGAUGGCUUAAAUAUUAGAAAGCUUAGAGAAAGAGAAAGUUGGAAGUUGGACUAGUCUUUUGUUUCCAUACCCUUAAAUCCAAUAUGCUGAGUAGGCCAUGUGCUCCACACCCCGUCUAUUGUGGUGUGACUGGUGUCACAUUCAAAUAAACAAAUCGAAAUCUCUACUACAACAUCAUAUUUUAAUGGAUUUAGUAUAACCGAGUGAAGGCAAUUUAUUAAAUUAUUGGAAAUUGUUAAAAUUAUAUAUUUAAUGGAACACUGUUUUUGGAAUUUGAGACUCCCAGACUGCCCAUGUGCAUCCCAUUGUUCGUGUUCUUAGUUUUUUCAUUUUAGUACUUCUAAAAAUUCUCAAAAUUUCAUCAGGCACAUUUUUCAAGCUUACGAUUCUCAUGGCAAUGAUGUAAGUAAAUUAAAGAUUUUACUAAUUUGAACGCAAUUUGAUAAAAAUAAAUAAAUAAAAAUGAAGAUUAUGUAAAAAGGCUUCAAAGAGUUUUAAAGAUUUUUUAAAAUUUUUUUUUAUUUAUUUCUUAAAGAUAAAAGUACUUUCUUCAUUGUAAGACUUAAUAUUUACUUUUUCCAAUUAAAAAAAUAAAUUUAUUUUGAAAAGACAAAUCUAGUUUUUAUAUUGAAUUCAUCUUUUCAAAAAAAAAGUUUUCCAGUGAACUCACUUUAGUAUAAAUUAGGGAAAAGUAUAGUUCUAUUCGGUUCAUAAAAUAAAAAACCCGAUAUUAUGAUAAUUUAAGAAAUAUUUUUGGAAAAAUGCUAUUUCAAUUUUUUUGAACGGUUUUACUUGAAUGGAAAGUCUGAUGCUACAUAUGAUAUUAUGUCAUUGAAAUGAAACUUAUACCAUGUAAUAACUUUUAAUUAACAAUAAUUUAAAUUAAAACCGUAAAUAUUUAAUUUUUUGUUGAUUUAAAUAAAUGUUAUUUAUUUAUUUAUUUAUUUGUAACACAAGUUUUGAAGUUUUAAGACUGACCAUGCAUGUGCAUACCACUGUUUAUUUAUUCACUUUAAAACUUUAGGUGCAUUUUUUAAGCUUAAAUUCACAUGCUAUCACAUUAUCCUAAAUAUGCUUGUACCAUCUAUAAUGUAUCUGGAAUAAGGUGCAUGGGGAUCACGUAGAGCCGGCUGGACUGGACAUAAGUUUUGGAGUUUUAAACUUCCAAUGGCCAAUUAUGUUUUAAUUUUCAUAAUAUAUUAUUAUAUUUUCUUUAUUUGAAUGGAAAAUGGUUUGCUUUGAAAAAACAAGUUUAAUAUAAAAAAAAAUUAAAUUUAUAUUUUACAUUAAAUUAUAAAUUGCAUGUAAAAUGAAUUUAUAAAUUUUCAUAAUAUAUUAUUACGUUUUCUUUAUUUUAAUUUAACGUAAAGUAUAAAUUAGUAUUUUCAAAAGAAAAGUUGAAUGUAAAAGUAAUAAACUAAAACACAAAGACAGAUAUUAAAUUUAUAUUUUCAAAGACAAAUUACUUCUAAAAGCACGGACUUGAUUUUUUUGUGCAAUGUAAAAAGAAUUUUUUAUUUUUUUAUAUAUCAAACUUAUGUUUUAAAAAGACGAGUUAGUAUUUAUUUUGAAUUUGUUUUUCGUAAAAGGUUUCCCAUGUGUACUUCAUAUGAUUUUAUUUUGUUGAUAGGAGAUUUAUAUCAUGUAACAACUUUUAAUCGGUCACAAUUUAAAUUAAUUAUAAAUACCCAAUUCCUUUAUUAUUUCAUAAUUAACUAUAGGUUAUAAUGUGAAAUAAUAUCACACUACAUAAAUAUUAUUAUUAUUUUGCAAAAUUGGAUUAGCACAACUAUUCCCAAUUAGAGUGUCACAUGGCUUCUUUUUUUUAUAUUUAAUUAUUUUUUUAAAUAAUUGCUUUAAUUAGUCAUGGAUUAAAUUAGAGGUGUAAUUUGGACAUAUUCAACUCAACUCAACUCAAUCCAAUUUUGAACUAAGUUAGGUAGUCUUGUUUUUUCAUAAAACAUUAUAAGCUAUUUUUCAAUCCUACAAGAUUUUUUGAGAGUAUUUUCUAAAUUUUAUCAAAUACAAUUUUUUUGUAAAAACAUUUAUUAAGUUAAAAACGCUUCUUAAAAUCACUAUUAAAUGACCAUUAUAUGAUAUUGAGAGAUGAAUAAUUUAUUAUAUUAAAAAUUACUUUCCCAAUUGAACAAAAGGUGUGGCGUUUCUUUAAAAACACUUUUGUAAGUAAUAUUUUUUUUAGCACAUUCUCAAUUAUUUUUAGACCCAAAAUAUGUUUUUUUUAAAAUGUUUUAUAAAAAAAAAAUCUUAAAAUACCUUUAUUUAAAAAUUUAAAAAAAAUCUAUUUUCAAAAAACUACAUUUUAUUUUGUUUGAUAUGGUGAGGAGGAGCAUUAAUCUAUGGCUCCCGAGACUGGGCAUGUGAUGCUGUGCAUGCCAUUGUUGGCUUAUGUAUUUCCGGAAUAUUUAGUUUUGAAAAGUACUGAGAAAAAAAAUAAUAAGAAAAUGGUUGGUAUUCAGAUGGCAAAAAUACACACAAAUACACUGAACAAGUUAAUAACAGGCGGGCUGAGAUUCUAUUGCCAAGAGACAGGUUUGUCAUCCAUGUCAAGAAGUCUCACACUUCAAAAUUGUGGGACUUUGGCAUCAACACAUUUCUGGAAUUGUUUCAGGCUUCUAAAUGGAACGAUUCAGGCACCUUCCCAGAAUUCUUUUAAGAUUUCUAAAUGCCAUCCUGGCGUCUUAGUUGGAGGCCUGCUUUCUUCAAUGCUAAAAGAGGGGGUGAUAAGUUGCUAAAAAUUGCAGUCCCUGUGUACUAGAUGGGCAUUCACCCAUGGACAAGAUCUGCAGAACUUAUAAUAGAAACAUGUAUGUUGCUCUAUCAUCUUCGCCUCCUAUUUAUUCUAGUGAAGAAACAGGUUCCGAAAAAAUAAAAAGUGUUCUUCUUACUCUUUUUUAGUAGAAAAUUAGUUCAUUUCCAGUCCAUUGAAGAAAAAAUAAAUUCUGAACCCAGAAGCCAGGUACUUAAAUUUCUGUUUAACUAGGGGAACAUUGGAAACUUACUUACAGCUUUAGCAUAAGAACAUACAAGAUUCUGAUCAACAUACACUGCACGGUAUUAUGUUGGUCCAGUUCCUCUACUCUGCAUUGCAACAAAGUGUAAGGGGUUUCGUAUUUUCUUCAUCUUCAAAUAAAACAAUCCUUCUCAAUAAAAGAAUAAGAGAAAUUGAGAGCUAAGACCAUUUUCUUUCAUUGUACCUCUGUUUCCUCUGCUCCUUGCUCUCUUGGUCAGGCCAAAUGGUGUGUGGUUUGUCCAUUUCUUCUUGACCCCACAUCAAAAAGCAGCAUCCUGGGCUCUCCCAUCUCUCUAUCCCCUUAUCAAGACAGAAUUUGAUGCACUGCUGUCUUGGAUUCUUCCUAGUCAAAAGGAAGCUUGAAAUAUCUCCACUGCUUCUCUGUUUCUUUGAGUCAAAGGACAGUCUGGUUUUAUCUGUUUCUUCUCAUCAUUUUCAAAAUGCAUCACUGUGAGAUCCACUAACCCAAUACCUGUUUUUCAAAUAAUCAAAAUCAUAAACACCAAGAUGUUUACACAUUCAGGUAACACGUCUCUUGACAAUGCAGGUGUGUUUACGUACACACCUGCAUUCAAAGGAAGUACCAUUGUUCUUGUGCAUUUGACAACAUUCAUUUAGUUAACUCCAAAUUUUAGCAAUCCAGAAUCUGUAACUUCUGCAAAAGUUACCUAGUUGUUCAGGGAACAUGCCCCAUCCAAACUAUCUGUAUUUGGGCUUCAUGGUUGUUUUUGGCUUUGCUUUUCUUUUUCUUGUGGUUGUUACUCCUCUUAAAAGGACUAUUGAUUCAUGAUUCAAUGGAUUAUUUGUUGUUUCUGAUAAAAAUAAAUAAAUAAACUAAAAAAAAAAAGAAAAAGAAAAAAAAAAAGAUUUGAUGAAAAUUUUUGGAGUAGCCAUUCAUCAAAUUGCCAUGAGCUUCUCUCCUUAUUUACAUAGUAUAUCACUAUUGCAGAGUCUCCUACUAGAAGGUUAGGUAAACCCUCAUCUUUAGCAAGCUUUAGUCCUACCAUCAACACUAAAAUCUCUGCUUCAAUGGCUAGACCCACUCUAGCAUUCUUAGGGAAUGCUUUCACUUAUGCCCUUUUAUGAUUUAUAAGUGUUCCUCCAAUUCCCAAUUGUCCUGGGUUGUCCAAGGAGCAUACAUCAAAAUUUAACCUGUUGCAUGGGUUGUUCUCUAUGCAUGGUAAAGAGACCCUUAAAUUUUGAACCUAUCCAAUUGCAUCGAUUUCUUCCUUCAAACUCAAGUUGAGCCUUUAAAUUUUUUGCUUGCUGUCAGAUUGACAUGAUUCUUCCACAACAUGAUGGACCUGGCAGACACUCAGCUUCUGCCUACAGUUGCAGUCUACCUUAUGUGUAACUUAAAGGUUGAGCACCAAGUGCUGAUGUUAUGAGGGAUCAAGGGUGGCUUGUGGAGCAGUCCCCUUUUCAGAGUAUUGCCAACAUUCUAUCAAUUGGUUCGGGUGUUCUGUAACUUUGGGACACCUAUAGUAUCUAGAUAAUCCUGCAAUUCUGGAGAAAACCCUUCUGAUUUGCUCUGUACCCACUAGUCGAGAAUAGUAAAAAGAUUCAGCUGUAAUAAUUUUAUUACUUAGAUUGAAUCUUAAUCAUUAGGUUAGAAGAUCAGGAAAAAGUGUCGUGGUUUUGAAUGUUUGUCUCUUUAAUAAUUGCAGUGUGUAUUGAUCCACAAAGUUUGCAGGAUGACAGCAUGACAGUGGGUAUAUAUGUCAUAUGAAAAAAUUUAAAUAGAGCGACUUGUUUGACUUUACAUAGUUUGCUUGCUUCGGUUGUCUACCUUUAGGUAAUAUCACACCAGUAUCUUUUGAUGGUUGGAAUAUCCUUGCACAUAUGUUACCAUUUUCUUUUCUUCAACAUUGUUUUCUUUGUUUCUUCCUUUCUUGGUCAAGCUAAAUAAUCUAGUGAUUCUUCUUUUGUUCUUCAUCCCAUCAAGAGGCAGCAUCUCAUGCAUCUUUACCUUGGGUUCCUCCCUUUCCUUCCAGCCUAUGGAAAAAUAAUAUCAUUGCUUAGUUUGGACUUCUCUGUUUUAUUUUUUUUUAUCAUUUUGAAAGGCAUCAUGGGAAGAUGUACAAAAAAUGUGUUGUGCUGAAUUAUCCCCUUCUCUACUAACCAAAACAUGUUCUUUCACAAUCAAAUAUCAACGUGUUUAAGCAGCCAAUAAGGCAUAUCUUGACAAUGAGGUGAGAGGUAGAAACAAGAAACAUACUCGUAUUCAAGGGAAGUGUUGUUUCUUCAUUUGCAUUAGACAACAUUCAUUUAGUCUCAACUUGAAAGUGGAUUGCUAGAAUCUAAGCUCUUGCAAAGACACAAAAGUACAUUUAGAAAUCCAAAAGAAGCCUAGAGACCAGUUGCUGUCGGGCUUUGUGGAGCCUAGUUUUGUUUGAUCCGGUUUGAUGACCCGACCCGAAUAAUAUUACAUAGUUUUUUAAUGGGAGAUUUAUUGAGGCUUGUCCAUGGAGUGAAGGCUUGGGCUUUUUUAGGCCCGUUUAGCCCAUUGUGGAACCGCCCUUUGUAAUUAGGUUUUUUUUUUGUGUGGUGUGGUUGUUGUGUUAUAAAGAGAACAUAUUGUAGCCGAAAAAAGUACUUUGUAUUCUUCCCUGAUAAUAGUGAUAUCCCUGCAACUCCGUUGAUAUAGGCAAAUUGCCGAACCACAUAAAUACUGUCUUGUACGUGUGAUUGUUUUUUUUUUUUUUUUUUGCGUGUGUUUUCUCUAUUUUUUGUUUCUCACAGGUUGGGAAUUCAGCUUAAUUCCCUUCAACCGGUAUCAAAGCCUAGGGUUAGGUUUGAGUGGGAGCAAUGACAAAGGAAGCAGGAAAGGCGUUUGGAAUAGAAAAGUUUGAUGGCACAAACUUUGUGUAUUGGAGGAUGCAGAUUGAAGAUUAUCUUUAUGGGAGGAAAUUGCAUCUGCCUCUUUUGGGGACAAAACCUGAGAGUAUGAAGGCUGAGGAAUGGGCGCUUCUUAACAUACAGGUUCUAGGAGUUAUUAAGUUAACUCUGUCUAGGUUUGUUGCACACAAUGUUGUAAAGGAAAAGACCACAAUAGAUCUGAUGAAGGCUUUGUCCGGUAUGUAUGAAAAGCUAUCCGCAAACAAUAAGGUGCAUCUGAUAAAGAAAUUGUUCAAUUUGAAGGUGGCAGAGAAUGCAUCAGUAGCACAACAUCUGAAUGAAUUUAAUACAAUCACAAAUCAAUUUUCGUAUGUAGAAAUUGAUUUUGAUGAUGAGAUUCGUACUCUGAUCGUCUUGGCUUCUUUGCCAAUCAGUUGGGAGACAAUGAGGAUGGCAGUAAGCAAUUCUACGGGAAAGGAAAAGCUCAAGUACAAUGAUAUACGAGAUUUAAUUCUGGCUGAGGAGAUUCGCCGAAGAGAUGCAAGCGAAACCUUAAGAUCUGGUUCUGCCCUAAACCUUGAGACAAGAGGCAGAGGUGAUAACAGAAAUUCAAACCGGGGUAGAUCAAAAUUCAGAAAUUCUAAUCGAAAUAGAAGCAAAUCUAGAUUAGGCCAACAAGUACAAUGUUGGAACUGUGGGAAAAUAGGUCACUUUAGAAGGCAAUGCAAAAGUCCUAAGAAGAAGAAUGAAGAUGAUUCUAUUAAUGCUGUAACAGAAGAGGUACAGGAUGCAUUACUUCUUUUAGUAGACAGUCCACUUGAUGAUUGGGUUUUGGAUUCAAAAGCUUCAUAUCAUACCACUCCACAUUGAGAAAUCAUAUAGAAUUAUGCUGCAGGUGAUUUUGGUAAGGUGUAUUUGGCUUAUGGUUCAACCUUGGAUGUUGUGGGUCUGGGAGACAUCCGGAUAUUGUUGCCCAAUGGGUUUGUUUGGUUACUGGAGAAGGUUCGACAUAUUCCUAACCUAAGAAGGAAUUUGAUUUUUGUUGAGCAACUUGAUGAUGAAGGACAUGCAAUACUAUUUGUUGGUGGUACUUGGAAGGUUACAAAGGGAGCUAUGGUAUUGGCUCAUGGAAAGAAGACCGGUACUCUGUAUAUGAUCUCAUGUCCAAGAGACACAAUUGCAGUUGCUAAUGCAAGUACUGAUACAAGCCUAUGGCACAGCAGACUUGGUCACAUGAGUGAGAAAGGGAUGAAGAUGUUGUUGUCAAAAGGAAAACUACCAGAAUUGAAAUCCAUUGAUUUUGACAUGUGUGAAAGUUGCAUCUUAGGAAAGCAAAAAAUUGUGAGCUUCUUGAAAACUGACAGGACACCGAAGGCUAAAAAAUUGUAACUAGUACACACUGAUUUGUGGGGGCCUUCUCCGGUUGCAUCCCUUGGAGGUUCAAGGUACUAUAUCACUUUUAUUGAUGACUCAGCAAAAAGGUAUGGGUUUAUUUUCUGAAAAAUAAAUCUGAUGUAUUUGAAACUUUUAAGAAGUGGAAGGUCAUGGUUAAGAUAGAAACAGGUUUGAAAGUAAAAUGUUUGAGGUCAGAUAAUGGAGGAGAGUACAUAGAUAGAGGGUUCAGUGAGUAUUGUGCUGCACAGGGAAUUAGGAUGGAGAAGACCAUUCCUGGGACACCACAGCAGAAUGGUAUGGCUGAGCGCAUGAACAGAACUCUCAAUGAACGUGCUAGAAGUAUGAGGUUGCAUGUUGGACUACCAAAAACUUUUUGGGCUAAUGCUGUUAGUACUGCAGCUUACCUGAUAAACUGAGGACCAUCAGUUCCCAUGGAGUUCAGACUUCCUGAGGAGGUUUGGAGCGGUAAAGAGGUAAAGUUUUCACAUUUAAAAGUUUUUGGUUAUGUUUCUUAUGUUCAUAUUGAUUCUGAUGCUCGUAGUAAACUUGAUGCAAGGCUAUAGGUUUUGGGAUGAACAAAACAGGAAAAUCAUCAGAAGUAGAAAUGUAAUAUUUAAUGAACAGGUUAUGUAUAAGGACAGGUCAACUGUAGUGUCAGAUGUUAUAGAGAUAGAUCAAAAGAAAUCUGAGUUUGUCAACUUAGAUGAAUUGACUGAAAGUACUGUCCAAAAAGGGGGUGAAGAAGAUAAGGAGAAUGUAAAUUCACAAGUAGAUCUGAGUACACCUGUAGCUGAAGUUCACAGAUCUUCCAGGAACAUUACACCUCCACAGCGUUAUUCACCUAUUUUAAAUUAUCUCCUGUUGACUGAUGGUGGUGAGCCAGAGUGUUAUGAUGAAACCUUGCAAGAUGAGAAUUCAAGCAAGUGGGAUUUAGCCAUGAAGAAUGAGAUGGAUUUCUUGUUGGGGAAUCAGACAUGGGAACUGACUGAAUUGCCAGUAGGAAAGAAGGCUUUGCACAACAAGUGGGUAUACAAAAUAAAGAAUGAGCAUGAUGGUAGCAAAUGUUACAAGGCCAGAUUAGUUGUUAAAGGGUUCCAGCAGAAGGAGGGCAUUGACUACACAGAGAUAUUUUCUCCAGUUGUGAAGAUGUCAACAAUCAGACUUGUACUGGGAAUGGUGGCUGCAAAAAACUUACAUCUUGAGCAGUUAGAUAUGAAGACAACAUUCCUUCAUGGUGACUUGGAGGAAGACCUUUACAUGAUUAAGCUAGAAGAGUUCAUUGUUCAAGGACAAGAGAAUCUAGUCUACAAACUAAAAAAGAGCUUGUAUGGCCUUAAACAAGCUCCUAGACAGUGGUACAAGAAGUUUGUCAGUUUUAUGCAUAGAAUUGGGUUCAAGAGAUGUGAAGCUGAUCACUAUUGUUAUGUUAAGUCUUUUGACAAUUCUUACAUCAUAUUACUGUUGUAUAUGGAUGAUAUGCUUAUUGCAGGGUCUGACAUUGAGAAGAUUAAUAAUCUGAAGAAGCAAUUGUCCAAAUAGUUUGCAAUGAAGGAUUUGGGAGUUGUAAAGCAAAUCCUUGGUAUGAGAAUCAUUAGAGACAAGGCUAAUGGUACAUUGGAGCUUUCACAGUCAGAGUAUGUGAAGAAAGUUCUCAGCAGGUUCAACAUGAAUGAAGCUAAACCAGUGAGCACACCCUUGGGUAGUCAUUUCAAACUAAGCAAAGAACAGUCACGGAAGACAGAAGAAGAAAGUGACCAUAUGAGCAAGGUGCCCUAUGCCUCAGCUAUUGGUAGCUUGAUGUAUGCUAUGGUGUGUACAAGGCCAGACAUUGCACAUGCAGUGGGAGUUGUGAGCAUAUUCAUGAGUAGGCCUGGAAAGCAGCAUUAGAAGGCAGUCAAGUGGAUUAUAAGAUAUCUGAAGGGUUCAUUAGAUAUAUGUUUUGCUUCACAGGUGCAAGUUUGAAACUGCAGGGUUAUGUGGAUGCUGAUUUUGCUGGUGAUAUCGAUAGUAGAAAGAGCACUACUGGGUUUGUUUUUACUCUAGGUGGUUCAACUAUAUCAUGGGUUUUAAAUCUAUAGAAGAUUGUUACUUUGUCUACUAUAGAAGCGGAGUAUGUUGCAACAAUUGAAGCUGGAAAUGAGAUGAUUUGGCUACAUAGUUUCUUAGAUGAAUUGGGUAAGAAGCAGGAGAUGGGCAUUCUACACAGUGACAGUCAUAGUGCAAUUUUUCUUGCCAAAAAUUCGGCUUUUCAUUCAAAGUUAAAGCAUAUACAAACAAAAUACCACUUUAUCUGUUACCUUGUUGAAGAUAAACUAGUAAUACGUAAGAAGAUUUUUGGAUCUAAGAACCCAACAAACAUGUUGACUAAGGGUGUCACUAUUGAGAAGUUGAAGCUGUGUGCAGCUUCAAUCAGUCUUCUAGCUUGAGGACGGGAGGAUGAAUUGCAGGGAUGAGGGAUUGUUUCUUGGAGGAUAGCGAUUUGAUGUUGGUGAUUGAACUAGUCUCCAAGUGGGAGAUUUGUCAAGUUUUGUGGAGCCUAGUUUUGUUUGAUCCGAUUUGACGACCCAACUCGAAUAAUAUUGCGUGGUUUUUUAAUGUGAGAUUUACUGAGGCUUGUCCAUGGAGCGAAGGCUUGGGCUUUUUGGGGCCCAUUUAGCCCAUUGUGGAACCGCCCUUUGUAAUUAGGGUUUUUUUUUUGUGGUGUGGUUGUCGUGUUAUAGAGAGAAAAUAUUGUAGCCAUCAGAAGUACUCUGUAUUAUUCCCUGAUAAUAGUGAUAUCCCUGCAACUCCGUGGAUGUAGGCAAAUUGUCGAACCACGUAAAUACUGUCUUGUGCAUGUGAUUGUUUUUCUUUUUUUUUUAUGUUUUCUCUAUUUUUUGUUUCUCACAGGUUGGGAAUUCGGCUUAAUUCCCUUUAGUUGCUACUUGUGAAUCACUGUAAUCAGAAACAAUUCCAGAUAAUCCUGCAAUUCUAAACCUUUGAUUUGCUUUGUUCCAUUUUGCCAAGAACGGUUCUAAAACAUUUUUCUUUAUUGAGUUGUUAUGAUUUUAUUAUUUGGAUUUAAUUGUAUUCAUUAGGUUUGUAAAUCACAAAAAUGGUGUCGUGCUUAUGAAUAUCUUCCUCUUUGAUCAUGUAAAAUUGGGAAGCAGUUAUGGAUUACUAUUAUGAUAGCACAAUGUAUUGAUCCACAGUUUGUGGCAUGACAGUUUAAGGAAAUUACAGAAGUGUAGCAUUGAUGGGUAUGUCAUGUGAACAUUUUUCAAUGAAGCUACUUGUCUAAAUUUACAUGGGUGAAUUGUCACACUAAUAUCCUUUGAUGAACCUUGGGUUCUUUUUUCUGUUUCUUCCUCUCUUGGUCAAGCCAAACAAUUUGUCUUCAUGAGGACUUCAUGUUACCAAUAAGCAGCAUCUUGUGUUCUCCUUCUUUUCAUCCCCCUGUCAAGACACAGCAAUUUGAUGCAUCUUUGCAUUGGGUUGCUUCCUUUCCGCUCCCUCUCCUUCCUCCUUGAGGCAAAACCAUAUCAUUGUUUAGUUUUGACUAUGUUCUUUUUAUCAUUUAUGAGAAAUAAAAUAAAAUCAUGACAUAAAGAAAUUAUAUUUAAGUGUUAAUAAAUGAGAAUCGGAUACAUAUAAAUAAAAUUUAGAUUAAUUAUAAAUGAAACUAUUUUUAUUAUGUGGUUGUUUUUAAUGGACCACCAAUUUUUAUUUAUUUUAUUAUAUAUAUAUAUUCCAUAGAAAAAUUACUUUCUAAUACCAUAGAAUCACCCUAAUUUCAAAUUGGGAUUUACUAUCUUAAAUUUUAAAUUUUUUAAAAAUAAUUUUUAAGGACAUGAACUAAAUUUAUAUUUUUUGUUAAGAAUUUCUAUUCUUUAUAUGAAAGUUUUUAUCAAUUUUUGUUUUUAAAAACAAAAAAUAAGUACUUAGAGUGCGUUUGACAAUGAUUUUAAGAAGUAUUUCUAAUAUUUUAAAUACUUAAAAAAUAAAAAAAUUUAUACAUUGAAACAAUUGCAAAAUGCACUUUUAGUAUGUAAUGAUAUUAAUUUCUUCGAAGAGAGAGAUUUACAUUUAAGAUAAAAAUAAAUAAAUAAAACAAUACAAGGAUAAAAAAUCAUUUUUAAAAAAAACUUUUAACUUCUUGUACUUUAUCAUUACACACUUUUUUCAUUAGAUGCUUUAAAUAAUUUUUAUGAAAUAAAAUUAUAAUUAUAUUGAUGGAGGGCUAAUUAACUUUGCUUUGGGUGAGAAAGAUAGAGAUAAGAUUGAAGUGGGUCCACAUCUAAAACAAAAAUGAAAUAAAAAGUAAAGAUGAAGAUAAGGUUGAGGUGGGUUCACAACUAAAAAAAGAAUGAAAUAAAAAGUAUGAGAUGAAUUGACCAAAGCUUAUGCCUUCUUCCAAAUAGUAAAAGCAAAGCCCAAUAGUAUAAAGUGAUGACACUAGUCCUAUUCAAGGCCCCACUUGCAUAAUUGCUACAUCUUUUGAUUUGAUUUUUGUUCAAUUUCACUAAAAUGAAAUCAUUUAUUUGAGCCCAAAAAUUCAAAUCCAAAUCCAAUCCACUUAUUUAUAUACAUUAUUGGCAUGGAAUGAGAAAAGUUAUAAAGUGAGAAAAUUUGAUCAUAUGAUAAAUAGUAAUUUUUCAAAGUUGGAACCAAUCCAAUGCCCAAUGGGCAUAAAAGACAAAGGAAAGAUGUGGAAAUUAUAGUGGAAUCUUGAAACAAAUUUUUGAGGUUUGAGGUGAUGUGACAAUCGUUUCAAGAAAUUGCCUAAGAAUGUGAGAUGUUAUUGCAUUGAAAAUUGAUAUUAAAUCUAAUUGGGUAACUAUAAGAAUUGCUUUACAUAAAGACAAGUAAUAAAUAUAUCCUGUUUUUUUCAAAAAGUUUAUGACCCUAAGUGAAUAAAAUGGUGAAUAAAACUUUUAGAGUAGGAUGAAUGCAUUUCACGUGAGUCAUGUCCUAGAUAUAUAUUUAGAAUUUUCUAGCAGGAUGUCAAGGAAAACUCUAUGAUGAGUGUUUUGUUUCUAGUUAAGGUAGGUCCAAUUUGGUGCAAUUCGCCAACAUAAUUUAAACCCAACAUAUGUUUUAGGGAUUUGAAUCGAGUAAAAUCAUAUUUAAAUUAAAUUAAUCAUAUGAAUCUACAUAACCCGUUUAAUAAAUAGAUUAUUUUUAGGUCAAUCUGGAUAACUCACAUUUGACUCAAAUUAACUUAUUUAAUAAUGGUAUUGAUUAACCUAAUAAUAACUUUAACUUAUUGAACUCAUAUUUGACUCAUGUAAAAUUCGUUUUUCAAUAAGUAUAUCAUAAUUAGGUCAUAAACAUGUCAUAUUAGAAUAUUAACCAUAUUAUUUCAUUCAACAUUUAACUUGACUUGAUUAUGAAAUAACGUCUUCUUAUUAAAUCGGUUAAACCGGUUAUAAUGUAUCACCUAGAUAAUAAUUAUAUUGUGUUUGAGUUUAUGCUUUAAAUUUUGAUUAUUAUUCAUGUCAUGUUUAUGUUGAGUUAUUUAGUGGAGGAUCUAACCUUAGAUAUAACACAAACGCAACCCACUAACAUAAAUUGUCAUCCUCACUUCUACUAAUAAGUAAUUUGUUUAUUACAAUUAAGAAAAUUGAGAAGAUAUAAUUUUUUUAAAAUUUUUAAAUGCAUGAUUAAAGUUAAUUAUAAGUUUUAAAAGUUUUAUAAUUCAUAGUCCAUCCAAACUAACAAAAUAUUAGAAAUCUUCAAUGGUUUUGUCUACAAUAAAUGUGUUGUGCUAAAUUAUCCCCUUCUUUACUAACCAAAACAUGUUCUUUCACAAUCAAAUAUCAACGUGUUUAAGCAGCCGGUGAAGCAUCUCUUGACAAUGAGGUGAGAGGUAGAAACAAGAAACAUACAUGUAUUCAAGAGAAGUGUUGUUUCUUCUUUUGCAUUAGAAAACAUUCAUUUAGUCUAAACUUGAAGGUGGAUUGCUAGAAUAUGAGCUCUUGGAAAGACAUAAGAGAAGGACAUUUAGGAAUCUGAAAGAAGCCUAGAGACCUGUUGCUACUUGUGAAUCACUGUAAUUAGAAACAAUUCCAGAUAAUCCUGCAAUUCUGGACCUUUGAUUUGCUUUGUUCCAUUUUGCCAAGAACAGUUCUAAAAUGCUUUUCUUUAUUGAGCUAUAAUGAUUUUAUUAUUAGGAUUUAAUUGUAUUCAUUAGGUUUGCAAAUCACAAAAAUGGUGUCGUGCCUAUGAAUAUUUUCCUCUUCGAUCAUGUAAUGUUGGGAAGCAAUUAUGGAAUACUAUGAUAGCACAAUAUAUUGAUCCACAUAGUUUGUGGCGUGACAGUUUAAUGAAAUUACAAAAGUGCAUGUAGCACUCAUGGGUAUGUCAUGUGAACCUUUUUCAAUAGAGCUACUUGUUUAAAUUUAUAUGGGUGAAUUGUCACACCAAUGUCCUCUUAUGAACCUUAGGUUCAUUUUUCUGUUUCUUUCUCUCUUGGUUAAGACAAACAAUUUGUCUUCAUAAGGACUUCGUGUUACCAAUAAGCAGCAUCUUGUAUUCUCCUUCUCUUCAUCCCCUUAUCAAGACACAGCAAUCUGAUGCAUCUUUGCAUUGGGUUGCUUCCUCUCCUCUCCCUUUCCUUCCUCCUUGAGGCAAAAUCGCAUCAUUGCUUAGUUUUGACUAUGUUUCUUUUUAUCAUUAUGAGAGAGCAUCAUUGUAAGAUGUACAAGAAACGUGUUGUGGUGCAUUAUCCCCUCCUCUACCACCUAAAAUCUAUUUUACACGAUCAUAAGGACCAAGGUGUUUUAAACAUUAGGUAAGGCAUUUGUUGACAAUGAUGUGAGAGAUAGAUACAAGCAACAUGCCAAUAUUCAAAAGACGUGAUGUUCUUCUUUUGCAUUUGACAACAUUCAUUUAGUCUGAACUCCACAUUUAGGCAACUCAGAAUCUCCACCUUCAUUAGGAUUGCAAGAAGUUGGCUUUUUGGGAAGACAUGGAAAGAGAGCAUCUAGAAAUCUGAAAAAAUUACAACGACCUAUUGCUACUUUUGAAUCAUUCCAAUUAAUAACAACUCCAAAAAAUAUAUACAAAUAUGUCCCUGGGAAAGAGAUGUGUCUUGUGCAUAUGCAACCAUCUCUCUAAUAGACUUAGGGUUGUGCACCCUCAUGGUAGUUUCUUAUAUAUUGCACCAUAUGAAUUGUAGAUAUCCAACUACCAAUAUCACUACACCUGAAUGAACUAGAAGCUAAAGUGAAGUUGACAACCCAUCAUCGAAAGAAUCCUGUAGGAAUACACCAAAAUGAAAAUUUUAUUAACAUAAAUGAAUUCAUCCAAUUAAAGGGUAAAGUUGCCUAAAAAAUUGAAUUGGGAGAGAUAGAAAUAUUGAUGCUUUCAUAGGACUGUGAAAGGGACCAACAAGUGGAACAAACAUUGAAUAGUAAAUGUAAAGCCAUAAAGCUUGUAACUAGUGUCAAAAGCUGCUCCCUAGUGAAGUUUUUUAACAAUGAAGGUAAGUGGAAAAUUCACCUAAUAGCUCUACUUGUAGAAAAUUGCAAUGGUGUGAAACUAGGAUAUGGUGAACUCGUUUCCACUAUUGCAAUGAACCAUUAUGGAUCAAAAAUGAAUCUCACCAUCGGUUUUCACAUAGGAGAUGUGGGCUAUCUUUGGCCCAUAUCUCAAUAUUGGAUUUAGGAGUUAUGUCUCUCAUAUAUGGUUCCACUUGCAAAAUACAAAUGGAGCUUAGCUAAUGACAACACAUUUAGAAAAAUGCAAGAAUUCCAUAGACAUGUUUUGUGCUAUCAUGAAUCAUUCCAAUCAGUACGGAAUCGAAGUGCUAUAAUUUUGAAUUGUCUUAGGGAACAAAUCCUAAUUCAAUCUUGCGGAAGUAAACCAUCUUGAGCACCAACUCAAUUCUGAGUUCUUUAGGAUACUUGAGACACCAAUUCAAUCAAAGAUGCUAGUCGUUUUUGAGGUAAAUUGUCUUCCUCCAUUGAUACUAGGGAAAAUGCUUUUGAAAACCAUUCAUCUGCAAGUUACAAAGGGAAAUGAGAUUAUGUGAUUUGGGAAGAGAAUUAAGCUUUGGAAGAGAAUUAAGCUUCGGAAUAUUGCCAAUAUGCAACCGAUAAUUUCUAAUUCUAUCACUUUUAUUCUAACAUGUGAUUUGGAAAGAGAAUUAAGCUUCGAAAUAUUUCCAAAAUGCAAGGAAUUGAGGAGGCCAAGUGGGCAACCACCAUAGCUAGUUCGCAAACAAAUGAUAGCAUUGGAAGUGGAACACAACACAUAAACUUCAAAAACAAAACAUGUUUCUCACGAUCAUAAAUACCAAGAUGUUUAAGCAUGAGGUAAGUCAUCUCUUGACAAUGAUGUGAGAGAGACACAAACAACAUACCAGUAUUCAAGAGAAGUAGCAUUCUUCUUUUGCAUUCGACAACAUUCAUUUAUUUUACAUCCCAAAUUUUAGCAACUCGGGAUUUCCACCUUCUUUAGGAUUGUAAGAAGUUGGCCUCUUGAAAACACAUGAGAGGGCAUUUAGAAAUCUGAAAGAAUUCCAGAGACUUUCUAUUGCUUGAAUUGUGAAUCAUUCCAAUCAUAAAUACCAAGGUUCUAAGAUCAAGUAAGGCAUCUCUUAAUAAUGAUGUGAGAGAUAAAGACAAGCAGUACACCAGUAUUCAAGAGAAGUAGUAUUCUUCUUUUGCAUUCGACAACAAUCAUCUACUCUACACCCCAAAUUUUAGCAACUUAGGAUCUCCACUUUCAUUAGGAUUGUAGAAAGUUGGCCUCUUGGAAACACAUGAGAGGAUAUUUAGAAAUCUAAAAGAAUUCCAAAGACUUGUUAUUGCUUGAAUUGUGAAUCAUUCCAAUCAUAAAUACCAAAGUGUUCCAAGAUCAGGUAAGACAUCUCUUGGCAAUGAUGUGAGAGAUAGAGACAGGGAGCAUACCAGUAUUCAAGAGAAGUAGUAUUCUUCUUUUGCAUUCGACAACAGUCAUCUACUCUACACCCCAAAUUUUAGCAACUCAAGAUCUCCACCUUCAUUAGGAUUGCAGGAAGCUGACCUCUUGGAAACAUAUGAGAGGAUAUUUAGAAAUCUGAAAGAAUUCCAGACACUUGUUGCUUGAAUUGUGAAUCAUUCCAAUCAUAAAUACCAUGGUGUUUCAAGAUUAGGUAAGGCAUUUCUUGGCAAUGAUGUGAAAGAUAGAGACAAGCAGCAUACUAGCAUUUAAGAGAAGUAGUAUUCUUCUUUUGCAUUCAACAACAUUCAUCUACUCUACACCCCAAAUUUUAGCAACUCAAGAUCUCCACCUUCAUUAGGAUUAUAGGAAGCUAGCCUCUUGGAGACACGUGAGAGGACAUUUAGAAAUUUGAAAGAAUUCUAGAGACUUGUUAUUGCUUGAAUGUGAAUUAUUCCAAUCAGUAACAACCCCAAAGCCCUAUAUACAAUUUUGAACUGUCAACCUUCUUACAUUGAAUGAAAAACUUGUCCCUAGGAAAAAGGUGUCUUGGGCAUACAACCAUCAAUUAUUAGCUCUCAAAGAGGCUUAAAGUUGUGCACCCUCUUGGUAGCUUCUAAUUCAUUACAUCAUAUAACUUCCAGAUAUCCAAUUGGCAUGUCACUACACCUGAAUGAAGUAGAAAACAUGGUGAAUAGGAAGUUAGACAACCUUUCACAAAAAGAAUCCUACAAGAAUACACCAAGCAGAACUUCUUGUUAACAUAAAUGAAUUCACUUAGUUAAAUUAUUGCGUUAAAAUUUAAAUUGGAGAAAUAAAAAUACUAAUGCUUGAGAAUAAGUAUUGAGAAUAAGAGUUACCUUAAUGAAUGUAAGGAUAGGAUAGGGUUGAAUUGGCUCUGCACCCAUUUUUGCAAUUUGAAUUUAUUAUGGUUCAAAAAUGAGUUUAUGAUAUAUCCUCAAUUUAGGGGAAGCGAGCAAUCUGGGGCCAAUCUCUAUCAUUCUCCUUGAAACAUCUUUGAUUUCAAAGUUUGAUAAAACUUAGAAGACAACCUUUCACUUGGCAAGGAGGACUAGAACAAGGCAUCCCUCAAUCUCUACAAGUUAAAGAAAUGAAGUUUUGAAGACCAAGGGAGGAGGCUAGGUUUCCAUAUUUGACAAUAUUUUCAUUGAAAGAUUAAUGAGAGUUGUAGCAAGAAAUCCUGUCAAAAGGAAAUUGCCUUUAACAAUGUACAAUAUAAAAUGAAUGAACUAAGUUUUUAGAGAAGUGAAUCUUUGGAGGCUCCACAAAAAUAAGGGGUUUUAAUACUCUUGCAAGUGUAUUCAUGAAAUUGUUUCCUCAAAGGACUCCUGAACCUAGACAAUGUACAACACAAAGCUGUUAAAGAGAUGUGAGACUCUAAAUCUGAUGAGGUAGGACUUGAGAUCCACAUUUUCUUAAGUGAAGAAUUCUGAUGUUGUAAACACACUAGUAGUUUCUAGAUUUAGAUACUUCUCUUCAAAUAUUUGUAUAAUGUACAUCUUCUUUGACAUUGCUGCUCCAAUAGGAUGUCCAAUAGGAUGUGCAACCUAUUUGGGCAUACUACAUGUACAACAAAAAAUUUCAUUAAAACAAAAAACUUUUACUAAAACAAAAAUAUGAAGUUAAUGUCUAAGAAGAUAAGAUUUAUAUAUAGUGAAUGAGCAUGUUUGAUUUUAGCACAAAGGGAAAGACGCCAAAAUUUUUAAGAAUAUCAUCACCACAAGUACCUAAUUUGCAUCAUUAAAAAUUCCACAAGGAUUUGAUGGCUAGGCAAUAAAAUAAUUCUAGUAAAUGAGUUAAAAUCAGCUAAGCUAAGAAAGAUUAAAUCCAAAUAAGCAUCAAUCAUUAAAGAAUUAGCCAACUACGAAAGACUUCAAAUGACAUUUUCUCUGUAAUUUCUGUUCCUAAUUAGCCUCAUGUGAUUGUACCAAAAUAUUAUUAAUUUUCUUUAAAGGAAGUGGGUGACUCAUAUCUUUGAAAGGGUGUGAGAAGUGGAAAUCCCUCGAUCCCUAGUGAUUCAAGAGGAUAAUUCCUAUGGCUAUUGUUGUCAUCAUACAUCAUUCAGCUAGCUAUAGACCACAAAAUUGAACAAUCAUGAAUAUGUAGAUGCUUAAAUAUGGUAUGUACUUUAUCUAGUGGAAAAGCUUAUGAGACUUGGACAUCUCGAGAUUUCUAGGAAUUAAAACAGAUACAAGUUGUUGCUUCUUGUUAUAAUUUAUCUGGAUUGCAAUCAUCAAGCACUAACUCCAUUCACUACAUGUUUUGAGCCUUCAACAUAAAUUCCAUUCUUUCAGCCAAAAAAAAAAUCAUUAAUAACUCAUCUGAAAACCAUUUUAUGUUGCUCAAAUUAUAAAAUGUAGGAUGUAACUGACUUCCAUCAUUGAAAAUGAAUUGAUAUAACUUUACAAUACUAGUAUAUUCAGCUUUUGAAAUGGUUGAAACUGAUCCUGGAAUCAAAAAUCACAUACACAAGUAGAUAUUUAACAAAAGAGAAUCCAAAAUCUCUUCAAUUGAUUAAUGUAUAAAUGAAUUAAUCAAAAUUUUUAGAGAUAAUUAUGGGGAGAUGAACCUUGUACCUUUCAGUUUCUUAUUCUUCUUGAACAGAGCAAUGUGCAUCAAGUGUUGAGCACCUAGGAAUCUCCCUUCCUCCACAGGCAAAAUCUGAACAAUGUAUCCUUUCUUCAUAUUCCACUUCCUUGCAAAAUUCAAAACAUGAAGAAAAUAUCAUCAAAAUUAAGACAAAAAUAAGUGCAUCAACUAUCUCAAGAAGAGAUAUAUGCCUACUGCGUACCUUUUGAAGAAGUCCACUUGGUUAGAGCACAUUUUACAUGGACGCCCAAUCACUAUAAGCAAUUGAACCAAAGGAGAGUUCAAACAUCUACAAAAUUUGACGAACUCAAGUAUCAUAAAAUACUUCAUAUGAAUUCUAAAUGAUCUCAUAUCUAAAAAACAUUGGCAUAAAAUUAUUGUUUUUUACCUUACAUGUUUCUUCCAUGGUCAUAAUCAAAACUUUGUUUAUCAUAAGAAAUCUUCUAUGCUCAUCUUGAUUACUUACAAUGAACACUGAAAUGAAAAGAAAAAAAACCACAAAAAAUGAUGAUUAGUUUGGUUUGAUAAAUUUAGCACGCAUAAUUUCCUUUUUCUUGCAUGAGAAAAGAAAGAGUAAAUAUAUAUAUAUAUAUAUAUAUAUAUAUAUAUAUAUGAAUUUAAUAAUUUUUUAAAUUAGCAAUUAUAAAACUAUUUUGGUUCUCAUAAAAUUUAUGAGAAAGUAGAGAAAAAAAAUUGUAAACUUUUUCUCUUGUUUGAUUGUUUAUCGAAAAAUUGAGGGAAAAACAAAAAUCUAUGAGAAAUUUAUUUAACACUUCUGAGGAACCAAAAAUGUUUUAGAUGUUGUCAAAUUGAUAAUUUAAACGUGUUUAAUUCCAAUUAAAUGAGUUUAGUAAAACACAUGAAAUUGUGAAUAAAAUUAUUUAAAAGCAUUGAAAUUCAAGUCAUUAAAGUUGUCCAUAAAAUUUGGUAUAUUGAAGCAAGAAAAAAACAAAGCAAUUUGAAUGACUUGCUAAUAAAGCAACUAACUAGAAUAUGCCCUAGAGUUGUUCAGUGCCCUCUAUAUAAGAAAUAAAUAGAGAACACAAAAAAAAAACCAAGAAAAAAAAACAAUCAAACGAAAAACAGAGAACACUUCUUACGUUAUUUUUUCUUAAUUUUUCUGAUUUAUAUACAUUUUUGUUGGUUUUCUUUUGACCAUAAAAGGUUCGAGCAUUGGCAUUGUCAUGUGUAAAUUAUUGUGGCUACAAACUUCAUUCGUAUCCAAUUGCACACCUAUCCAAACUCUUGAUGAUGAAGGUAUGAUUGCAUUUACUAGCAUUAAAUUGCUAAAAUUUGUCAUCCAAAGUUCCAAUUUCUUUUGAACCUUGAAGACUUCAUUUGCAUUCUUGUAGGAAUUAGACGUGGAAUCAUUUUGCAAUGCUUGUGGUCUUGAGACCAGCAGUGAUGAAUGGGGAAAUAAGUUCUUAUCAACCAAGCAAACAAACUUCCAUUAUCCCAAGAAAGUCUUUCCAAGCUACUCUUAUGGGUUUGGAACACUUUUAGAGGUAACAAUCAAUUGGAACUAGUUACUCUUUCAAACUUCUUAUUGUACAAAUAUAGCCUGCAUGUGCAACCAUUUUUUAUCCCAUAAUUUCAAAAAUUUAUGACACCUUCUAGUGGUUAGUUUUUCUGGGAAUGGAGUAAAGCAAUCUAUUCACUCCGAGAAAUUAUCGUAAGAAGAAUAGUAGAUAACCUCGCAAGACCAAAUUUAUGUGUGUGCAUGGAGGUGCAUGUUUUCUGCAUCCCAAUCAUGCAGCGUUGUGUCAAAUGGAACAAUAGCAGGUGAUGAUAAGUGGUAUUUCUAAAAUCUUCUAAGAGUAUUCCAUAUAUUGUAAUAUUGUUUUCUCAAAAUUGUCUUUGAGUCUUAUGUGUAAAUAUUAGAGUUGACCUCUUGUAAGCUAUCAACUGAUGUUGUAACUUAACUUGAAAGGGAAAUUCUAUAAAUUUAGCCUUGGUUUGGCUCUUGGAAAGCAAAGAAAAAUUAGGUUAAUAGUGAGUUGAUUUCUUCCCUUCCCAUGGAUGUAAGCACAUUCUUAAAUUAUGUUAAUUAUGUUUUGGUUUAUUUUGUUGUUUUCUUGUUUAUUGUUCAAUUGUCUCCGCAUAACAAGUGGUAUCAAAGUUGUUUCCAACACAAUAGAUGAUUCCUAUGCUAACACAAUGUUUGAGGCUAAAUGUAAGAUGGUAAAAGUUUCUAGAAUAUUUCUGUAUGACAACUGCCAAUAAAGGAUGUACUUAACAGGAAAUUCGUAAGGUGUUACAUGGCAAGUUGAACAAGACCAAUAGCCAAAGAUAUCUGAAAUAUUUGGGGCCAUUGAUCCAACAAUAGCAGAGAAUAACACAAGAAGAGACCCUCUAAUCACCAUUUUUGCUUUUGAUUCUUCUCUACAAAGCAUCAUCUCCUUUAUACAAAAAGACAACCCAUGGCUAAGCCCACAUUAUUCUCUACAUAUCCCAAAAAAACCCUCUAACCCAUGGCAUGGCGCACUUUUUGGGGGUAUUUUUGCUACUAAAUUUGUGGUAGUCUCUCAAAUACCUAAACUAUCCUCCAGAUAUUAAGGUAUGGCCUACUCUUUGAGGUGGUAUUAAGGUAUGGCCUAAAUUUGUUAAGAGAGGUUUUGGUGUGGAAACUAGAGGGCUUUACACACGUUGCAUGUAUUUUCUUUUGCAUGCAUUACACGUAGAUCGGAGUUUAUGCAGUUACUCACUUUUUGUGAGUCCAAUAGUACUGUAGUGCCACGUCACCAUAUGAUGGGCUCUUUAGUCUUUUCAAACCCAAAAAAAAAAACUAAUACUAAAAGGACUGCUAACUAGCUAUGUGGAGGUGAACCUCUAUAGCUAGCUUCUUAGAGGGACCAUGAUCACUUAGGCCAAGAAAGUUUGAGGUGAUAAUAGGUUUGUGAUGCCCUUAGAUGUUUUAGACACAUGUGUGUUACACUAAUGUAUGCAACGAGUCUAUAACCUUGAUUGACAGGUCCGGGUAAUCUUUGAAAUUCCACUGUGAUAGGAAGGUUCCAUGUGAACAACAGUUGCACAUGGGUUAGUCAAUCUUAAGAGACGGGGGAAGCCCGUUUAAUAGCACACAAUGUGCAAGCUUUGAAAGGCAAUCAGGUUAACAUUUUUUAAUUGGGACAUGAUAGCGAACAACAACAUUAGGUAGUUUGGAGAUGUCGUCAUAUUAAUUGUUAUCAAUAUUUUUAUUUAUUCAAUAGAAAUUGAGGAUUAAAAAAAUACCACAAAAAUUAGAAAAAACAAAAUUAAUUACAUGGCUUACAUUUCAAAUAUUUAAUAAAAUAUUGUUUGAAAAUUGAAUAUCAUACAUUAUUAAAUGGCUGGAUUCUCUUCUUUAUUUUUUUAAUUGUCUCAUCCUAUUAAAUUACUCAUCUAAUAUUAAUUUAUUUUAAAGGUAAAAUUAAUUAUUUUGUAAAAAAAACUUUUAAUUGACCAGAGUUUGUGCCAUGCAUCUAAUAUAUACUUAAAUACUUUUCCAUGCUAUAAUCCUCCAACAAAGGAAUGAAAUCAAAACUUAAAAAUCAUUUAUAUAUAUAGAUAUAUGUUAUUAAGUUUAGGUAGUGAAGCAAUUAUUGUGAAUAUAAAAUUAAUGCCAAAAAUUUUGAUUGUUCUUUCACGUUCUCCACAACCAAACAAAGGAUAUAAGAAAAAUCAAGAAAGAAAUUUAGGGUAGUUUGAUUUUUUGUUCUCAUCUUGUCGUGAAGUUAAUAGAGGAAUGCUUGGGUUAGUGCUUGACAGUUAGGUGACACUAGGGUAUAAUGAUUCUUCCAAUCAAGUAAAUAUUAUCCGCUUUAAUUUCAAUGGAUCAUCAUCACUUUAAAUUGCAUCCACAUGGUUAAGAGCAACUCAUAUGUGUAUAAUAUCAUGAAUUUCUUCUUAUUCAAUAUGGAAUAUCAAAUUAGGUAUCUUUCAAUUUUAGGUAUUGUAUAAGUGUUUCAAUUCAAAUGACUUGGCUUAAUGUAUACUCAAAGCCUUUACAAAGGAACGUACAUGUAAUAAAGUGAAAAUUAAACCUUGUCGCCCGUCUAUCUCUAGUAUGAAACACAACUCCAUUAGCGCUUAAACAUCUGCAAAAAAAGAUAUACACCUUUGUUACAUUAAUUAAAAUAAAUGAUAGAAAAACAGACUCCAUAUAUCCAUGUACAAUAUUUGAUUAGAUUUGUUAUAUAUAUAAAGAGAGAGAGAGAGAGAAAAAGAAAAAAAAACUGCUUAGAUUAAGGAUCUCAUUAAUUAAUACCUAGAAAAUAUAAAAUAAUAAAAAAAGAUUAGAAGGUGUGAAUUAUAAGAUAAGACUACAUUUUUGAAUUAGAUUCAUCGAAAGAUGGCAUAUUGUAUGAACAUUUUUACUCUAUAUAUAAAAACUUAUAUUAUGGUUGAGAUGUAUUAAUUUGUCAUAUUUUUGGACAAUUCAAGUAAUGAGUAAUUACACUAAAUUAAAUUAUUGACCUUAUUAAUUGAUACCUCAACAGUAUAAAAUAGUAAGAAAUGAAUAAUACAAACUUCAUCGAAAUAUUUUUAUAGACAUAUUGCGUAAAUAUUCUUAUUUAAUAAAAUUUUAUAUGUCAUUAAAUAAAUAGAGAAUUUUAACAUUAAUUGCAAUGCUAAGUAGAGGAGAUCUCAUAUUUAAGCUGAUGAUUAAGGCUUAUUUGAUAAAACUUAAUAUUUAUUACUUAAUAACUUAAGUUGACUUUAAGUUAAAUUAUAUUUAAGUUACUCAAAAUUUAUUAUUUAAUAUUUACUUUAAGUAUUAAAGUUAUUUGAUAAAAUUAAUUUAAAAAUCAUUUUAAAUUAUCAAAUUGUCAUAUUUAUCUUCGUUAAUUUGAUAACUAGAUGCAGAUAAAUGAAACAAAAUAAAAUUGAGAUUAAGAAUAAAUUAAUUACUUUGAUUUAACACUUAAAAUUAAAAGUAACUUUAAGAUAUAAUAUUAAGUUAUUUUAUCAAAUAUAUUUAAUCUAUUUAAUAAUUAAAUUAAGUUAUUAAGUUAAUGAAUGAUUACCAAACACCCUAUAAGACCCAAAAAAUCGAAUGAGUUUUAAUAGUAUUCAGGAUGGACAUGACUAGGUGGCGGUUCAAUGCUGAUUAAUCAUAAUUCAAUCAAGGCAAAAUAUGUAACAAAUACAAGUCAAACUGCACCAUCCAAAUGGGCGCCAAGAAGUUACAUUUGACAAAUGCCAUUAAACCUCUACAGCUAGCAAUUAUUUUGAUCACAGAAAAAAUGGCAAAAAAGUGUGUCGUACUUCAUCUUGAAGCCCAUUAACUUCAUCUUAAUUUGAUCCAAAUUGCAGAAACAUGCAAAACUCCAUGAAUCUAUGGUGCUAUGGUGGCCUACAUUCAUAUAACUGGGGACACUUUGGUUUACACCACAAUGACCCCAAACAGGGUUUGUAGAGGCUUUAUCAAGAUCACUAGCUUUAAAAGACUAAGGAAAGAAAGAUGUUCUCAAUGAAAACUUGGAGUCAAAUUGCAGAUAAAGACCUAAAACUCCCACUCAAUGUGUUUUAGGAAUUGUUGUUUCAUGGGGAUAAGCUGCUUGGUUUGUACAUGUCUCCUUGGUGAUACUUAGAGAUUGGCAAAGUAUAUUCUCCUUUGUGAUCUGGUUUGUAUAUGGGCAGAUGAAUGUUCAUGCCAGGUUCAUAUAUGUUUCUGAUAUAUAUCACCCUGGAAGGAUCUAGAUCAAGGGGAUGAGUUUGAAAAGCUUGAGUAGGUUUAAGAUGUUCCCAGAAUUGGUGAGCAUGAUAUAUAUCAACAUGAUAUUGCAGAAGACAACAGAGCUUCUGAAAUAUAUCAGGUUCAAUAGUAGGAAAUCUUAUCAGCUGUCACUUAUUGUAAUCCUAUGCUCUCAAUAUUCAUUUGUUGAAGAAGAAGAAAAAAUUGCUGUCACACUAUUCAAUUACCGGAGAAUGUUCAAUUAUAGAAGAAAAUAAUAUUCACUAGACUCUUUCAACUUAAUCAACAUGCAGAGAAAAGCCGUCGGGUGGCCAAUUAUUCACAUACCAACUUACAUACAUCGUCUCUCUACCUCUACUUGUUACUCAUUAGCCAAGCUUAUAGUAAUAUAAGCUUGGGUUCAUCUCUCCAUGUCUCUGAUGACAACUCCACAUGGGGUUCGCCUUCUGGUGAUUUUGCAUUUGGAUUCUGACCCUCUCCAAGUGAAAAGGAUCAAUAUCCUUCUUGCUAUCUGGACUGCAAAUGGAAGUUAACUGGUGCCAAGAGGAUCAAAAGUUGAGCUUACUACCAAUGGACAACUUGUUCUCCAGAGGCUAAGAGAUGAAGACAAAGACUGGUAAUGUGAGCAGCGAAGCAGUGCAUGGUGCCAUGCUUGGACAUGGAAAUUGUAUACCAGUAUAUGGGAGAGCUUCAAGCACCCAACUAAUACCAUAUUGCCAACCCAGGGAUUGGUGUUGGAGCCUCCUGUGCAGUUGCUAUUUUUGAGGACCUGAGGUUUGCAAAUGGAACUGGAAGCUGUUGGAGGAAAAGACUACCUCUUUCAAAUGGGAGGUUGGAUCAAACUGAUGUUUCCAGAAGUGCUCUAAUCAAGAAGUCCAGUGAACUAACGUCAGGCAGAGGCAACCAAAAUAAAGCAAUUCUAAUACUCUCAGUCCUCUUAGGCCCCUCUGCGUUUUUCUUCUUCGUUUCUCUGGCUGCAAUUUCUCUAGUUUUCUACCACUUGAACCUCAAAAAUCUGCAGCUUUAUCACAGAAUCCUGAGUACAAGCGAUGGUAGAAGCCUUUGACACUGUCUAUAAAGGGAUAUUACCAUCAGGUUCUGGAAAUUCUGUUGCUGAAAAGAAGUUGGAGAAGGUGGUGGGAGAAGAUGAGAAAGAAUUCAAAGCAGAAGUGAAUGUGAUAGGCCAAACUCACCAUAAGAAUCAAGGACAGUUGCUGCGUUACUGUCAUGAGGGUGAACACUGACUACUGGUGUUUUUUUUUAUUUUAUUUUUUUAUGCACAAUGGCUCUUUAUCAAGCUUCCUUUCUGGAGGCGCCCAAGGACUUGUGUACCUACAUGAAGAAUGCAGUAAACAGAUCAUCCAUUGUGACAUAAAGCCCUCAGAACAUAACUCUUAGAUGAUUCUUCUACAGCCAAAGUUGCAAACUCGGACUGGGAAAGCUUCUGAUAAUCAACCAGACUAGAACACUCACAGGCAUCAGAGGGACUAUGGGGUAUAUUCAGACAACUCGAGCAGCCUAUGUCUCUUAUAAUAACACGUUAUGAAGCAUCAGCUCAAUGCCAAGGUUCAAUCUGCAAAGCAAGGGAUUCAUCAAUGUUUCCUUCAAACUAAAUAACAAGGAACAGAAAUGGAUCAUUCUGCAUUUUCAGUGGUGUUUGUUAUAGCAUUUAUACAAGAACUCUAGGGGUUUCUAUGUAUAACUUCAUUCCUAUUUUGUCAGUGAAUAUGGUGAUGGUGUUAUAUUAUAAAUCAUAGUGAACUGGUGGAAUUUGAUCAUUUGGCCAACUUUAUCCAAAACUGUUUCACGGUUGAGGGGAUUGUUGACUUUGCCCUGGGCGAAACAGCAAUUUCUUAAGAAGCUGGGUAACGAAGAGUACCAUAAUUUGGACUGGUUUCAAUGGAAACUCUCCUGUUUUUGUGCAUGGUAUCUUCAGCUUCAGCUUUUCCUAUGCUUUUGACUAUCCUGAAACUGAUCCAAAUCUCUUCAAUUGAUUAAAUGUAUAAAUGAAUCCUAUUCAUUGUUUGGAGUAACAACCAAAUUCUGGAAGACUGGGAAAGUUUCAACACUGGAGAGAAAACAAAAUGACAAGACCAUAAAUUCUGGAAGAGGGCUUUGCUUUCUAAUCAUUACCAUAAUUUUAGAGCUCAACCCGGGUGAGUAAAUUAUAUUUCAGAAUGUUCAGAAGAUAAUUCUGAAGUGAUGAACCUUCUACUCACAGUUUCUUGUUCUUCUUGAACAGAGCAAUGAACAUCAAUAGUUCAGCACCCAGGAAUCUCCCCUUCCUUCAAUUCCUUUACUGGGAAAACUCUGCCAAAAUCAUAACAAUCUGUCCUCUUCCUUGGAGGAAAAGUCACCUUCCCAAUCAAGAAAAUCAUCAGGAUUAAUUUGAGCAAAACAUCAGAGUAUACAUCAAGAAAGCCUUGAUCAAAAUCAAAAUACAUCAAGAGCUGCCAUUUUCUUCUAUUUCCUCUUCCCUGAAUGGAAUGCCUUUUGGACUGAGGUGAUCAAUGGUAACAGUCUAACACACUCCUUAAGCUCUGAUUGAGGUCAACGGGGAUUGGCACAUUUAAUGACUUUUGAAAUCAUAGCUGUGUGAAGGGAGGCAAACAUGAAUCUCAGGAUAAUCAACAAGUCAACAACUAUCAAUCAGCAAGGAAAAGGAAAUACCUUUGGAUAUUUACAAAUCAAAAAUUUGAGAGAGUCCAGCUUCUCUGUACAGAAAGGCUUGAGCUUAUUCCAUGGCCAGGCUUUAGAUGGUUCUGAAUUACGGAUGAGAGGGUUGAGUUUUCUUUUAUUCUGCAACAAGAUUAAAAACAUCAAUGAAACACUAAAAGUUUAUAUAUAGAAGCCCUUUAAAGAUAAGAACUGGUAAGAAAGCUCACCCAUGGUCUAGUAAAACAACAUCUGUUAGAUAAGUAACCGCCAUUCGAUUGUCCAGCUAAUGCAUUUAGAUCUAAGAUAAGAUAUGGAAAAAUAGUCAAAAAUAGCUGAAGACAGUCCAAAAACUCAUUUGACUAAUAAUUUUCUAAAAGCAGUAACAUAAAACCUGGAUGAAGAAUCCACCCCUCUACCUGACACCACUUCAAUACCAAAUAAAAUGUUACGAUGACCAUUUAUGGUCUUAAGAGACAGUGGAUGUUGUUUGGGCUCAAGACCUAAGACAAGCCAAAAAACAAGAAGAAAACAUCAAAAUUGGCACAGAAACAAGUACAUCAACUAUCUAAUAAAGAGAUUUAUGCAUGUAACAAAUGCAAAUGAAAUAUGAAACAAGAUUUUCAUGGAUUAAACAAAAAUAGAUGGCAAAAUAGAAGGAUAAGGUCACAGACAGGACAAUAUUAAAAGAAAUGAUUAUUUGUCCCACCUGAAAAUCAAGGCAUUCAGAACAGUACACAUUUGUAAGUAGUCCAUGGAAACCAGGGAACAUAUGCAGAUGUUGUAUUCUAUUGCAUAAGGCAAACACUCAAUACUUACAAGCAUAACCAUGCCCAGAAAGCCAUGAAUCCCUUUUAGUUUUGCUUUUUUACCUAUUCCCAUCUCUUAUGGCCAGAAGUGCCCAGGAUGAUAUAACAUCACCAAAUAAGUUAGAAACCAGCCCAUCCAGCAGGUUGAGUAGCCAGCUUGCCCUCAAUCUUCUUUGAGUCAACAAACAGCUGGGCAUUAUUGCCUCCAAUGGAGGGUCUGGAAAUAUUAGAGCUGGCACCAGGGGUGGCUGUAAAACUCUCUGUUCCAAAACCCCAAGUUUCAGGGCCAGAAGUUGCUUCUGUGGCUGGUUUGUUGUGAUGGCCAUUUCGGGUCCUAACAGACUUGCUAUUGUUGUCUGGGCACCUACCUCAGAGAAAGCCUGCCAUGGAUUAGAGUCCUGACAUGGCUGAAACUGAUCCUGAAAUUAAAGUGCACAUACACAAGUAGAUAUUUAACAGAAGAGUAUCCAAAUCUCUUCAAUUGAUUAAUGUGCAAAAGAAUUAAUCAAAAUUUUUAGAGAUAAUUAUAGGGAGAUGAACCUUGUACCUCUCAGUUUCUUAUUCUUCUUGAACAGAGCAAUGAGCAUCAAGUGUUGAGCACCCAGCAAUCUCCCUUCCUCUACAGGCAAAAUCUGAACAAUCUAUCCUUUCUUCAUAUUCCACUUCCUUGCAAAAGUCAAAACAUGAAGAAAAUAUCAUCAAAAUUGAGACAAAAAGAAGUGCAUCAACUAUCUCAAGAAGAGAUUUAUGCCUAUUGCUUACCUUUUGAAGAAAUCCACUUGGUUAGAGCACAUUUUACAUGGACGCCCAAUCAGUGCAAGUUGCUGAACCAAAGGAGAGUUCAAACAUCUAGGCUCAUCUUGAUUAUUGUAAUGAACACUGAAAUGAAAAAAAAAAAUGAAUUUAAUAAUUUUUAAAAAUGAGCAAUUAUAAAACUAUUUUGGUUCUCAUAAAAUUUACGGGAAAGUAAAGAAAAAAAAAUUGUAAACUUUUUUGUUUUUGUUUGAUUGUUUAUGGGAAAUUUGAGGGGAAAAAAAAUCUAUGAGGAAUUUAUUUAACACUUCUUAGGAACCAAAAAUGUUUUAGUUGUUAUCAAAUCGAUAAUUUAAACAUGUUUAAUUCCAAUUAAAUGAGUUUAAUCAAACACAUGAAAUUGUAAAUAAAAUUAUUUAAAAGCAUUGAAAUUCAAGUCAUUAAAGUUGUCCAUAAAAUUUGGUAUAUUAAAGCAAGAAAAAAACAAAGCAAUUUGAAUGACUUGCUAAUAAAGCACCUAACUAGAAUAAAUAAAGCAGCUAACUAUAUAAGAAAUUAUAAAAUAAAAAUAAAAAAUAAAAAAUAAAAUUGCCAAAAAAAAAACAAACAAAAUAUCCAUGGUUCUUACGUUAUUUUUUUCUUAAUUUUUAAAUAGUUAUAAAUGGUUCAUUUAAUUUUUGCAAACUACGAAAUCAAAAUAGAGCAUGAAAAUGUGUUCAACAUUUGUUUCAAGCUUGAAGCUUCAAGAAAAAAGAAAAUCUUAAAUCAAAUAAACAGAAAGAAAAGUUCAAGCGCAAAAGAAUUACCUAACUGUGUAUUGGCGGAGUGGCACUUUGAUUAAAAUAGCACUUCAUUGAUCACUAUUUUAGGAAUGAGAUCUAUAUAACGCCAUUCUUCCCCUUUCUCAAAUUGACACCGUUUUUCCAGUAAAUGACCUCAUUAGAACUACAAUAAGUGAAGUGAUAAUGUCAUCUAAUUAGUAAACCAAACCAAGUCAAUAAACUAGAACUUCCUCUAGUAUAAAGGUCUUGAUACAUUAGAUAUUGAAUUUGUUGGACCUGGCAAGGUAGAAGUAGUAAUGCUCAUUUUUUAUUGUGACAGAUUAUAGAGAAAAUUAGACACUGGGAAAAUACCAAGCCAGGAGCCAUGUCAAGAGCUGCUUUCUUGUUAAAAAUUAAGUCCAAUUAGAAAAUUACAGUAGCGCGUAAGAGAAAUUGAAAGUGGUGUUGAGAAGAGAAAGAGGAAGAAUGAUGUGUUGGGAAUGAGAUGUAAUACCUUAUUUAUUAAUACACAGGGGAUGUGGGCAAUCUUGGGCCAAUCAUCUCCUUCCUCCUUCGAGUACCUUUGUGUUAGAUGUGGGCAAUCCCGCACAUACACUCGUGAAAGGGUGUCAGGCAAUAGUCCUUCCGUUGGCAAAAUCGAUCGGAGCUUAGGGCAACUGUAGAUUUCUAGCUCUUCAAGAGAGGUGAGGGUUUGGAGAGACAGGGAGGCUAGGGAUUCCAGAUUCUGGAAUUCUGAAAGGGUAAGGGAGGAGAGAGUUGUAGGAAAAAUAAUCGAGUGGGGGUCAUCCGAAAAGGAAGUUGCAUCUGGAAACAUGCCACCAAUCCAGAGGAGUUUAAGAGAGGUGAGUCUGGAAAGGCCCCAUUGGGAUAGGGGGGUCUUGAUAUUCUCAAAGUGAGAGAUCUCGAGUGAUGUAAGAUGAGUGAGGGUGUUGAGGCAAUCUGGUAGGGUUUUGAGAUUAGGAUACCUCUCGAUGGUUAAAGAUUGAAGUGAAUUAUUAGUAGAGUGAAACAUCUCCUCUGAAAUUGACUCGAGGUGUUCACAAUCCUCAAUGUGAAGUUGCUCAAGGGUGGAUGGAAACUUGCCUCUUGGGAAGGAUGUGAGAGAUGGACAUUUACGGAUUUCCAAGGCUUGGAGAGCAGCAGCAUAUGUGGAAUCGUAGUGCAUUAUUCCCUCUGGUAGAGACUCUAGCCUUCUACAAUCAAUUAUACUGAGCCUCUUGAGAGUGGCGGGUAACCCACCUUUCGGUAAUCCAAUAAGAGAAUGACACCUAUCUAUCAAUAAGUCUUCAAGGGCACACAUGCCCAUCAUUCCUUCUGGAAGAGACUUGAGAUUUUCACAAAACUCUAUCUGUAGUCUCUUAAGGGUGGUGGGUAAUUGCCCUUUUGGAAAGCAAAUGAGAGAUGGACACCUGGAUAUCACUAGCUCUUCAAGGAGACACAAGUUGUUGCUGUCAGUACUGUCGUUCCUCAUCUUCAACAUCAUGCCAUCAGGUAGACUCUUUAGACCUUGACAAUUCUCAAGAUCAAGAUUUCUCAGCAUUGGUGGGAAACCUACAUCUGGAAAUGACGCUAGCUUUGGACAAUUGCUGAUUGUCAAUUCUUCAAGGCAUGUUAGACUCUGCCAUCCAUUUGGAAGCCUCUCUAGUUUAGCACAUCUAUCUAUUUCCAAAGACUGAAGAUUGCAUCCCAAGGAUACAAGUUGGUCACAAUCUCUAAUCUCAAGAGAAUGAGAGUUUUCCGAUCCAAAACCAUCCUCCCACAAAUAUACGAGUUCUUCGCAUGCCCAUACUUUCAAAACCCGAAGCCCUUGCAAAAAUUGCACAAAUCCUUCAUGCAAUUUGAUAAGCCCUGAAAUCCUAGAAAUUGUUAACUCGGUGAGUGAGGUGAGGUCAUUUCCACUGCUCAAGACCGCCUCAUUACAUCUUAUUACUUGUAAUUCCUUCAGCAGUGGAAGUCUUGAACGUGGAGACUCCAAUUUUGGACAAAAGACAACAGAGAGCUUUGUAAGAGAAGGUAGGUAAGUGGGUAGUUUCAUAAUCAAUUUGCGGCAACCCUGAAUUGUAAGCUCAUGGAGACAAGGGAAUAAUGACUCUGUUGAGGAAGACCAAUCCUCCCAGUGCUCCCAUUCUGACAUGCUAUAAAAAUGUAGAGACUCUAGUGAUGGGAAAAACUUACCUGCAGAAACACGAGUCUCUCCAUAAAACUCUGCACCCACUUUUUUUACUACAUCCAUUCCUUGGAUCCUCAACUGUUUGAGCGAUGGCAACUGCCCCAAGCAUGGUAAAGACGUGCACUUUCUGCAAUCUAUGAGACGUAGAUCCACCAUCUUAGAGAACAAGGCACCCCCUAUCCAACGUGGGAAUUCUGGACCACCAUACAACUGAAUGCAGAGUUUGUUCAGAUUCGAACAUGGUUGUAGAGAGUCAAGGACAUCCAUUUGAUUCCUUUCAUUCCCUGAACCAUCCAACUCAGAACUCCACUGCAUUAUCAAGCUUUCAAGGUUACGCUUCGAACAUGGUUGUAGAGAGUCAAGGACAUCCAUUUGAUUCCUUUCAUUCCCUGAACCAUCCAACUCAGAACUCCACUGCAUUAUCAAGCUUUCAAGGUUACGCUUCGAUUUUAAAUCGGCAUCCCUUGCAUCUUGAAUAUUCACCACAUUUUCCAAUUUCGAAAUGCAAAGUUCUCCUCGCAGAUGUGACAUGUCCUUCAACUCCUUGAUUGUCAAACCGUUGUUUUUGUCCACAAUGAAAUUAGACAAUAUCCGCAAAUCUUUUAGUUUGCCCAUUCCUAUAGGCAUUUCUUGUAAUUUUAUUGCACCAGCAACGUCAAGAUGUCGAAGAUUGAUUAGGUUACCGAUGGUAAUAGGCAACUUGAUAAGCUCUUUACAACAUGAUAAUUUCAAUGUCUGAAGGUAAAAAAGAUUACCAAUUGAAUCGGGUAACCAUUUUAUACUGGUGUGGGACAAAUUAAGGUAUCUCAAAUGUUUCAACUUACCAAAUGAAUCUGGUAUCUCACUUAUCUUGUAAUAAGCCAAUGAGAGCACCCUUAAGUGCCCUAACCUUGGUAUCAAUUCUUCAAGCACCUUAUCACUUAUGAAGGAAUGAAGUCCACUAGUUAAUUCAUCAAUCGGCAAAGCUAUGAACGUGCGCAAGCGCUCUUUCUUAUGAAACGUUUCAAAAUUUUUAAAGAUAUCAUAGCGAUGACGGAUGAAUGAUGAAUGACGAGUAUUUUCAGGAACGGAGCGUUGCAAAUCAUCCAAAUGCAAGCAUGUGUCUCCAGCAAUAGAUUUAGCUAGAUCGUUGAUAAGGUCAUGCAUAACGAAUCGUGAUUUAUUGCUAUUGGACGAUUGGAAAAAUGACCUUGACAAUAGUUCACAAAAAUAAUCAUCACCAAGAUCUUCCAUUUUCUCAUCCUCAUUUGAUUGUUGAAUUAACCCCUCCGCCAUCCACAAGAGGAUUAGCUCUUCCUUCUUAAACUCAUAAUCUUGGGGAAAUAAUGCGCAAUAAGUGAAACACCUUUUUAAAUGUGAAGGGAGAUGAUUGUAGCUCAAUCUCAAGGCAGGGAUGAUGUCACAUUCCUUGUCUGUGAAAUCCCAUACUUUGCUGUACAAUACUCUUUCCCAUUCACACUCACGUAGUUUUUUAGAGCGCAAAAGGCCACCAAGGGCUCUUGCCGCUAAGGGCGAACCUCCACACUUCUCUACAAUUCUCCUGCCAAUUGAUUCCAAAUUUGGGUGCUCAUCGAUAUUCAUAUGUUCAAAAGCAUGUGUUUGAAAUAUCUUCAAACAAUCAUCAUAAGGUAACUGUUUGAGCUCAUGUAAGAUCUUGUGGCCUCUCAUCAUGUUUGCAACAUUAUUAUUGCGAGUUGUGACUAGAAUUUUGCUUCCCUGUGCUCCCACCCAGAAAGGGGAGCAUAGCCUGUCCAACUCAUCGUAAUCAUCAUUCCAUAAAUCAUCCAAAACUAUCAGAAAUUUUUUUCCCUUCAAUUCCUUCCUCAAAUUUUCUUGAAUUUCAUGCAAGUCUUGUGAAUUACUGCUUUGAGAAUUAGUCACCAAGUUGAGAAUUGUCUCUGUUAUUUUCUUUGCAUCGAACUGAACUGAGACAGUAACCCAAGCUUUUUUAUCAAAAUGCUUGGUUAUGGUCUUAUCGUCAUAGUACACCAGUUUUGCCAGUGUGGUCUUGCCCAUCCCACCCAUGGCCACAAUGGAAACUACAGAAAAAUUGGUUUUAGUGGGUUCAUUCCUAAGCAGCAUACCAAUUAUAAUCUCUUUUUCUGUCCCCCUGCCAUAGACCUGAGGUUCAUAGACAGUGAAUGGCCUUCCACAAGCAGAGUUGGUUAUCGCAGCCACCUUUUCUAGACGAAGCUCAGAUUUUUGAGCCGAAAUAUCUCGUAAGCGGCGAGUGAUUUCCCACACCUUGGACCUCAUGUUAACAUUAGGAUUGAAAAUGCGAAGACAAGUGGAGAUGAGCUUGCGUACCUUGCUCGGCCUGCCUUGAUGAUCAGCUUCUUUGGCCGUGAGCUCCCGUUGCAAAGCUUCGUAGGCGAACUCAUCCAAGAUGUCCUCCAUAUCAUAAGCCAAAUCUUUCAGAUUGCCCAGCCACUCUUUCACAGGGCGAUCCGUGAUCUGCUUGUCCUCCGCGUCAUUAAGCUCUUCACGAAUAUCCGACAAUUCUCUCUCCCAUUUCUUGAGAUCAGAGUACACCUGUUGGCGUGCAAAGUCGAGCAAAUCAGUGGAGGCCAACUUGUCAAACAAGAGGCCGAUGGCAGCAGAAAGAAGAGCGUCUCCCACAGCCUCCAUGGUUGGUUUGUACUUUGUUUGGAGAGAGAGAGAGAGAGAGCAAAUCAAGCCGUGGGUAAAAAAGUGAAGCAGAAAGAAGGGAGUCUGCUCUGUGAAGGCUUUAAAUAUUAGAAACUCAUAAAACAUUUGUUUUAUGAAUUUAUUAUAUGCACCCAUUUUCAUUUUAAUUAUUUUGAGAUGAGUCCUAUUCCUCCCGUUGAGAGAGAGAGAGAGAGAGAGAGAGAGAGAGAGAGAGAGAGAGUUAUUGCUGUGAGCCGGCAUGCAACAACCUUACAGUGUAGCAAUUGUUCAAUUUUGACAGUGAAGGAGAGAGAGAGAGAGAAUUAUUGCUGUGAGAUGGCAUGCAACAACUUUAAAGCGUAGCAAUUAUUGAAUUUUGACCGAAAGAGAGAGAGAAAAUUAUUGUUGUGGGAUGGCAUGCAACAUCUUUAAAGUGUAGCAGUUAUUGAAUUUUGACCAAUUAUGUUAAUGGGUUAUAUCCUCAUCCCAAGUUCCCAACCCAUCUUGAUUACUUCAAAAAAAAUUUAUUCCGUCCCAAACCUGUACUAGAGUAGAACGGGGUCGGAAUUUUUUUAGAAGUUAUAGUCAUCCUAUCUUAUUUACUAUUUUCUGUUAUUUUUAUUAUUUUAAAAUUUUGUUUUUAUUAAAAUAAAUGUAAUUUAUGAGUAAAUAAAUUAUUUUUCAUAAAUUUUAUAUCCUACCUUGAUAAAAAAUAAAUUUACAACUUCAAUUUAAAUAUGUUUAAAGAAGAGAAAUGGAAAAAAAUAAAUUAUAUUUACUUAAUUUUAUUUAUAAAUGAGAUGGAUUGAGAUAAUAGUUAGAGUUUGUUUGAUAAUUAUUCUAAAGAAUGUUUUUAGUUUAAAAAAUAAAUAAAUUAAGGGUAUGUUUGAUAAUUAUUUUCAAAAAUAAUUUUUGAGAAUAGUUGUUUUCUAAUAUUUUAUAGAAUAAAAGUCUGUUUAAAAAUCUAAAAUAUUUUUUAUUAAUUUUUAAUAUUUUAAAAAUAAUUUUUAUAUAUGAUAUUUUAUUUUUAAUUAUUUUAUAAAUAAAUUACAUUUAAGUAUAAAUAAAUAAAAAUUAAAUACAUAUAAAUUAAAUUUAGGUUAAUAUUAUGUGGUUGUUUUUAGUGGACCACCAACUAUUUUUAUAUUCCAUAGAGAACUUACUUUCAACACCAUAGAAUCACCCUAAUUUUAAAUUGAGAUAUAUUAUCUUAAAUUUUAAAUUUUUUAGGGCAUGAACUAAAUCUAUAUUUUUUCUUAAGAAUUUCUAUUUUUUUUAUAUGGAAGUUUUUACCAAUUUUUGUUUUUAAAAACAAAAAAAUAAGUACUUAAAGUGUUUUUUAUAGUGAUUUUAAAAAAUAUUUUUAAUUUUUUUAAUAUUUAAAAAAUAAAAAUUUUAGAGAUUAAAAAAAUUAAAAAUAAUUUUUAAAAUCAUUGUAAAGCCCACUAUGAUAUUAAUUUCUUCUCAUUAUAUCCUUUCAUUAGAUGCUUUACAUGGUUUUUAAUAAAUAAAAUUAUAAUUAUAUUGAUGGAGGCCAAUUAUCUUUGCUUUAGGUGAGAAAGUAGAGAUAAGAUUGAAAUGGGCCCACAUAUAAAACAAGAAUGAAAUCAAAAGUAAAGAUGGAGAUAAGAUUGAGGUGGGUGGACCAAAUAAAAAGUAGGAUAUGAAUUGACAAAAGCUUCUACACUCUUCCCAAAAAGUAAAAGCAAAGCCUAUUAGCGUGUAAAGUGAUGAAAUUAGUCCUAUUCAAGGCCCUACUUGCAUAUUUGAUAUUUCUAUGAAUUUUUAUUUAUUUAUUUUAUUAAACUAGUCUAAUACGAAGACUUUUAAGUUAAAAUUAAUUUUUAAAAAUGAUAUUUAUUCAUUUAUUUAAUAUGAUAUUGUACACAUAUUAUUAGAAUUUUCUAAUAUGAUGCCAAGGACACUUAUGAUAAGUGUUUUUUUAUUUGAUUUAGGCAAAUACAACUUGAUAUGAUUUUUCAAUGACUCGAAUUCAACUUUUUUUCUUUUUUAGGGAUUUGAAUUAAUUAUAAUCAAUUUUAAAUCAAAGUUGCAUCAAUCUAUUAUAUAUCUAGUUUAAAGUCAAUGUACAUAACACAUAUUUAAUUUGAAUUGACUUAUUUAAUGAUGAUACCGAUAAACCUAAUGAUAACUCUAACUUAUUUAACUCAUAUUUGACAUAAUUAAUUUUUUUUCUAAUAAGUAUAUCAUAAUUAAGUCAUAAACAACAUAUUCAAUUAGAAUAGUAGCCACAUAUUAUGUCAUUCAACAUUUAACCCGAUUUGAUUAUUAAACAACAUCUAAUUAUUAAAUAGGUUAUAAUAUAUUACUUUGUUGAUAAUUACAUUGUGUUUGAGUUUAUGUUUUUAACCUUGAUUGUUAUUCACGUUAUAUUUGGAUUGAGAUAUUUAGUUGAGUAUUUAAACUUUAAUGUGACAUAAAUACAAUCCAUCUAUUGAGAUAUUAGAAAAGUAAUUUUGAUCAAAAUUAAUAUUUAAUGACUUUAAGUAAAUUUUAAAUUAAAUUAUAUCAAAUUAUUAACUUGAUUUAUUAAAAUUAUUGUUGAUUUUAUAUUAUAAUAUUAAAUUAUUUUAUCAAAGAUACUGAAUAUUCUUAAGAAAUUAAAUUUGAUUUAUCAACAUCCUCUAAUGUCUUCUCAAUUUUUAAUAUUUAUUUGAUACACAUUUAAUAAGAAACAAGUCAAAAAAUUUCAAUACAAGCAAGAGUUGAAAGAAAGCGGAAAGAAGAGCCUCUAGCUUCCAUGAGAGAGAGAGAGAGAGAGAGAGAGAAUUAUUGCUGAGAGAUGGCAUGCAACAACUUUAAACUGUAGCAAUUAUUCAAUUAUGAGAGAGAGAGAGAGAGAGAGAGAGAGAGAGAAGAACUUUACAGUGUAGCAAUUCUGAGAGAGGGAGAGAGAACAACUUUACAGUCUAGCAAUUAUGAGAGUGAGGGAGCGAGAGUUAUUGCUGUGGGAUGGGAUGCACCAACUUUAAACUGGAGCAAUUAUUCAAUUUUGAAGUGUAGCAAUUAUUGAAUUUUUGACCGAGAGAGAGAGAGAAAAUUAUUGUUGUGGGUGGCAUGCAACAUCUUUGAAGUGUAACAGUUUACAGUGCAGCAAUUGUUCAAUUUUGACAGUGAGGGAGAGAGAGAGAGAGAGAGAGAGAGAGAGAGUUAUUGCUGUGAGCUGGCAUGCAACAACUUUAAACUGUAGCAAUUUUGACCAAUUAUGUUAAUGGGGUUAUAUCCUCAUCCAAAGUUCCCAACCCAUCUUCGUUACUUCAACAAAUUUUUAUCCCGUUCUAGAGUAGAACGGGGUCGGAAUUUUUUUAGAAGUUAUAGUCAUCCUCUCUUAUUUAUGAGUAAAUAAAUUAUUUUUCAUAAAUUUUACAUCCUAUCUUGAUAAAAAGUAAAUUCGCAACUUCAAUUUAAAUACGUUUAAAGAGGAAAAAUGGAAAAAGAUAUUAAAUUAUUUUUACUUAAUUUUAUUUAUAAAUGAGAUGGAUUGAGAUAAUACUUCAAAUUUGUUUGACAAUUAUUUUAAAAAAUAUUUUUGAAAAAAAUAAAUUAAGGAUAUGUAUGGUAACUAUUUUCAAAAAUAGUUUUUGAGAAUAGUUGUUUUUUAAUAUUUUGUAUAAUAAAAGUUUAUUUGAAAACCUAAAAUAUUUUUGACCAAUUUUUAAUAUUUUUAAAUAUAUUUUAAAAAUAAUUUUUAUAUCUAAUAUUUUAUUUUUAAUCAUUCUAUGUUUAUAUAUAUUAUUUUUAAAAACAAUCAUUAAAAAAUAAAUAAAUAAAGUAAAAAAACAACUAAAAUAUGUUAUUUAAAAGUACCCUGUUUUUUGUUCUUAAUAAUAGAAAAUGGAAAACAAUUUUUUAUUAUCAAAUGUGUUUUCUUGAUUUUUUAUUCAGAGGAACAAAAAACUAUUCUUGAAAAUAGUUGCUAAACAAGCAUAAGGUGUUAGACAAAAUUUUAAAAAAAACUUCUCCAAAUCUAAAAAAUCAUUUAUACUAUUUUUUUUAGAAAAUCACUUAUAGUGUUUUCUAAAAAAUUAUUUGAUAGAUAAUUUUCUUAAAAACACUUCAAGUAAAAAUACCGUCAAACACAUUAUUAAUAUUAUUUAAUCCAACCUUGGAGUUAAAAAAUGAUUUAUCAAAUCCAACCUCGAUCGGUUUAAACUCUCCCAAACCCAUUCCCAUUUGUAAUAUCUGGUUUUGAAAAAUAAAAAUAAAAACAUAAUUAUGGACCCCGCAUUUCGACUCAUGCAUUUUCCACUCGAUGGCGAGCUCGAUUUUUGUUUAAAAAAUGAUUCUAUUGUUUGAAAAAAUGACUUGGAGUCGCCACUUAUUUUUGUUUUAUUUUUUUUAAAAAGGGUAAACAAAAUAAGAAAGAAAACCCUAAGUGUGACUCCUCAUUUUGGAAAAGGUAAUCUACGAAAGACCGGAUCGGACUUGGGGGUCAGAUUACUUACCAGGAAGGUACGGUAAAGACCAUAGCACCCCUCUAAGUCCCUAAAGUCGGGUCUGUACUAAUAAAAUGAAGCUGACAUGUCAAUCAGUAGGAAAAUCAAUGGAUACUCAAAUUAAUCAUGCACAUAUGAGAAUCAAAACACUCAAUAAAGAAUGAUCGAAGUGGGAAUGGACAUACCUUGGCAUCAAACGAUCAAUGCGCUAUCAAGAGAGCGGGUUAGUGCAUAAUUAAGAAAUAAUCUCAUGCAUGUCAGAGACUAGGAUGUAUGAUAAUCCAAUCAAACAAUCAAUCAAUCAAUCAUAAAGUCACCCAUGUUAGGCCCCCACCAAAACAUGUUUAUUUAGUAUGACUUAAUGUCACAGAUUCCAUUAUUCUGGAAUUAUGAAAAAUUUAUUCAUGCUUAUUGAAAUCAAGAGGAGCAGAAGAUCGUUUGAAAACCAGAACGGAAUUAAAACUAUUCGAGAGAAAACUGGAUUUUUGGAAAUUUAUUUGAAAAAUUGGAAUCUCGAAGAUUACUGGAAAAUUGAAAUUUUAGAGUUUAUUUGAAGAUCAGACUUUUAGAGAUUAAAUGUGAGAAUGUGAAUUUUAGAAAUUAAAUUUGAACGAGAUUGGAAUUUUGAAAAUAAUUUGAGAGUUUGGGAUUUUAAACGAGUGGGUAAGUGGAUGAGUGAAUAAGUAAAGGAAUGAAAUAAUAACAAUGGUGAAAUAAUAAAGAUUAGGUAAAUAAUUACAAAAGAUGGAAUUUUAGAGAUUGAGGAUGUGAAUUUAAAGAUUGAAAACUUAAGAAUUUAUUUAGAGAUGAGAUCUUUGGUAUGUGAAUAACUAAAUAGGUAAAUGAAUGGGAUAACGUUAAUAACGAGAAUAAUCAUUAAACGACGGUAUACGAACAGUGAAGCUUUUGAGAUUGGAAAUUAGAUUUGGAAGUCGGGUUCUGAAGAAUUAAACUUUAGCGAUUAUAAUAAAUAAAUAAAUAUGGAAUAAUAAUGCUAAUUAACAAAAAUAAUACUUAAACGAAUAAUAAAAAAAUGCGCAGUGGGAUUUUUUAUAUUGAAAAUUAAAUUAGGAAGUUGGAUUCUUGAAAAAUUGGACUUUGAAUAAAUAAAUAAAUAUAGGAUGAUAAUUCUGUUUAAGGAAAAUAACAUUUAAACGAAUAAAAAAGAAUAGUGAAAUUUUUAGGGUUGAAAAUUAAGUUCAAUGAUUGAGAUUUUUUAAAAGAGAUAAACAAGUAUAGAGUUUUUAAUUGACGAAAAUAACAUUUAGACGAAUAAUGGAAUUUUUAGGAUUGAAAAAUUAAGUUAGGCCAUUGGAUUUUUUAAUGAUUAGACUUUGAAUGAAUAAAUAAAUAUGAGACAAUAAUUCUAAUUAACAAAAGUGUCAUUUAGGAGGAUAGUGGAAUUUUUAGGACUUGAAAAAUGAAAUUAGGGCAUUGGAUUUUUGAAGGAUUGGAUUUUAAAUAAAUAAACUAAUAUAGGAUAAUAAUACUAACUAACGAAAAUAACAUUUAAAAGAAGAAAAAAGAAUAGUGGAAUUUUUAUGAUUGAAAAUUAAAUUAGGACAUCGGAUUUUUGAAGGGUUGGAUUUUAAAUAAAUAAAUAAAUAUGGGAUACUAAUUCUAAUUAAAGAAAAUAACAUUUAGACGAAUAGUGAAACUUUUAGGAUUGAAAGUUAAAUUAUGACAUUGGAUUUUUAAUAAAUAAACUAAUAUAGGAUAAUAAUAUUAAUUAAUGAAAAUAACACUUAAACGAAUAAAAAAAGAAUAGUGGAAUUUUUAGGGUUGAAAAUUAAGUUAGGACAUCGGAUUUCUGAAGGGUUGGAUUUUAAAUAAGUAUAUAAAUAUGGGAUACUAAUUCGAAUUAAAGAAAAUAACAUUUAGACGAAUAGUAGAAUUUUUAGAAUUGAAAAAUUAAAUUAAAAUAUGGAAUUUUUGAAGGAUUAGACUUUAAAUAACUAGAUAAAUAUGGGAUUAUAAUUCUAAUUGAUGAAAAUAAGAUUUAGAUGAAUUGUAGAAUUUUUAGGAUUGAAAGAUUAAAUUAAAACAUGGAAUUUUUUAAGGAUUAGACUUUAAAUAACUAGAUAAAAACGAGAUUAUAAUUCUAAUUGAUGAAAAUAAGAUUUAAACGAAUUAUUAAAAAAAUUAAAUUAAGGCAUGAAGGUAAAUAUGGGAGGAUAAUUCUAAUUGAUGAAAAUAAGAUUUAAACGAAUUGUGAAAUUUUUAGAAUUGUAAAAUUAAAUUAAAACAUGGAAUUUUUGAAGGAUUAGACUUUAAAUAACUAGAUAAAUACGAGAUUAUAAUUCUAAUUGAUGAAAAUAAGAUUUAGAUGAAUUGUAAAAUUUUUAAGAUUGAAAGAUUAAAUUAAAACAUGAAAUUUUUGAAGGAUUAGACUUCAAAUAACUAGAUAAAUACGAGAUUAUAAUUCUAAUGGAUGAAAAUAAGAUUUAGAUGAAUUGUAGUAUUUUUAGGAUUGAAGGAUUAAAUUAAGACAUAGGAUUUUUGAAAAAUUACUUAAGGACCUUUGUUUUGAAAAUAGAAUGUAAAGUUUAGAAUGUAGUAAAUUUAUCGAGACCAACAUAAGUUAAUUUAUACAAAAAUUUUAUUUAUAUGGUGAUUAGACAUAACUAAAGAAGGGAGAGAUAAGAUAUGAAUUAUUUUAAAUUUUGAAAAGGAUAUUCAACAUGAAUAAUUUGUCUUUUAAUUGCCUUUAAGUUGAGUUAACUAAAUUGGUAAAAAUGAAAUAAGAUAAAAAAAAUAAAAAAUGGAUGAACAAAUUAAUAAAUUAAUAAAAAAUGGAUCUACUCAAAAGAUUUUUAUUAUUAAUAAAUUAAUAAAUUAAUAAACUUUGAAAGAAAUUAGAAUUGAAAAUUAUUUGAGAAGUAGAAACUAUGAAAAUUAAAUAAUAAAAAUUGGAAAUCUUGGAAAUCAUUCGAAGGAUAAAUGAAUAAAAUGAUAAUAAUAAUGAUAAUAAUAAGUAAGUAAUGAAAUAAAUGCGAGAAUUGGAAUAUUGGAAACUGAAAAUUAAGUUCAAAAAUUGGAAAAUUAGAAUUUCAGAAAAUUAAAUUUGAAAAUCGGAAUUUUGAAUAAUUAUUUAAAGACAGAAUAUUUUAAAUAAAUGAAUAAUUGAAUAAAUAAAUGAAUGGAAUAACGAAAAUAAUAACGAUUGGAUAAAUAAUUACGAAGAUGAGAAUUUUGAAAAUUGGAAAUUGAACUUAGGGAUUGAAAAUUUAAAGAAUUAUUUAGGGAUGAAAUUUUAAAUAAAUGAACAAGUGAAUGAAUAAAUGAAUAGAAUAACGAAAAUAAUAAAGGGGAUAAAUAAGUGUGAAAAGUAGAAUUUUAGAAAUUGGAAAUUGAAUUUAGGGAUUGGAAAUUUAAAGAAUUAUUUAAGGAUGAAAUUUUAAAUAAAUGAAUAAGUGAAUAAAUAAAUGAAUAGAAUAUUAAUAAUGAUGAAAUAACAUAGAUUAGGUAAAUAAUUGCGAAAAAUAGAAUUUUAGAGAUUGAAGAUUGAAUUUAGAGAUUGAAAAUUUGAGAAAUUAUUUAAAGAUGAGAUUUUAAAUAUAUGAAUAAGUGAAUAAAUAAAUGAAUGAGAUAAAAAUAAUAACAACAAAAAUAAUCAUUAAAUAACUGAAUGUGAAUAGUGGAAUUUUUAAGAUUGGAAAUUACAUUUGGAAAAAGGAAUUUUGAAAAAUUGAACUUUAAUGAUUGGAAUUUUUAAAAUAAAUAAAUAAAUGAAAUAGUAAUAAUAACAAUGAAAGUAAUAUUUAAACGAAUGAACGUAAAUAGUAGAAUUUUUGGAAAUUUGAAAAAUUGUUUAAAGAUAGAAUUUUUAGUUAAAAUAAAUAAACAAAUAAAUGGAAUAAUGAUAAUAAUAACGAAAAUAAUACUUAAAUGAAUGAACGUGAAUAGUGGAAUUUUCGAAAUUGGAAAUUAAAUUUGGAAGACAGAAUUUUGAAAAAUUGUUUAAAGAUGGAAUUUUUAAAAUAAAUAAAUAAAUGGAAUAAUAGUAAUAACGAGAAUUGAAUUUAGAAAUUGGAAAAUUGAAGAAUUAUUUAGAGAUGGAAUGUUGGGAAAUUAAAUUUCGAAAGUUGAAAAUCCGAAAAAUUAUUUUAAGGAUGGAAUGUCGGAAAAUUAAAAUUUGAAAACUGGAAACCGAAAAAUUAUUUUGAGGAUGGAAUGUCGGAAAAUUAAAUUUCAAAAACUGGAAACCCGAAAAAUUAAUUUUAAGGAUGAAAUGUCGGAAAAUUAAAUUUCGAAAACUGGAAACCCAAAAAGUUAUUUUGAGGAGGGAAUGUCGGAAAUUAAAUUUCGAAAAUUGGAAACCCGAAAAAUUAAUUUUAAGGAUGGAAUGUCGGAAAAUUAAAUUUCAAAAAUUGGAAACCUGAAAAAUUAUUUUAAGGAUGGAAUGUUGGAAAAUUAAAUUUCGAAAAUUGGAAACCCAAAAAAUUAUUUUGAGGAUGGAAUAUCGGAAAAUUAAAUUUCAAAAGUUGGAAACAAGAAAAAUUAUUUUAAGGAUGGAAUGUCGGAAAAUUAAAUUUCGAAAACUGGAAACCCGAAAAAUUAACUUUAAGGAUGAAAUAUCGAAAAAUUAAAUUUUGAAAACUAGAAACCCGAAAAGUUAUUUUGAGGAUGGAAUGUUGAAAAAUUAAAUUUCGAAAAUUGGAAACCCGAAAAAUUAAUUUUAAGGAUAGAAUGUCGAAAAAUUAAAUUUCGGAAAUUGGAAUCUUAAAAAAAAAGUGUUUUGAUAUCAAAAUGUGAAGAAAUAGUAAAAAGAAUUAUGGAUUGUGGUGAUCAUCAUGUGCACGUCUCCGGUAUAAUGGCUAUAAACCCAUUUUAUAUAUUCUUUUCCACCACCACCACCACCAUAACCAUUAAGAGCCAUGCAUGGAUAUCUAUCACUCCCACCACAAACCCAUUUUUAUUUUGCAUAUUCACCAUGACUUCCAGCUCAUAACCCAGCCGGCGCUGUAGAGACUUCUCAUUGCUCUGCCCGUUUGUUUCAUUUCCAUUGGUAAUACUUGAGUUUUCAUGCGCUGAAGGCUUGUGAGUUUCUAGCAACUCUUUUAGCCUCUUGGCGGCCAUAGUGGCUGAACCCGUGUGCGUACGAGCUCGGGAUAGAAUGGAUGAUGGGAAAACUGUGUGAGGGUUGCAUCCUCUAUCCUUACCAUGGCAUGCAGAGGCCGCCGAGUAUGGAAGGCACCAAGGUAGGCAGCAAGCAUGUGCGGGCUGCACAUUACAUGAGAAGGAACGGGAAGAAAUUCAAGUGAAUGAAGCAGUGAGAGUGACAGACUUGAAGGUCGAGCCAAAAAUGGGUAUUAGUGAGAAAAAUGAGUGAUGAGUAAGGGGUGUGAGAGAAAUUAGUUGGAUGGUAUGACGAAAGAUUUAAAGAGGAUGGUGAGAUGAAGGCAUGAGCUUGGUGGAUGGGUAAUGAUGCAUGGUGAGAGAAGUAGUUGUGACGGGUAUUGAAAAAUGGAAGUGGUGAGCAUGGACGGUGAUAGAUGUAGUUGGGGGGAUGGUUUGGCUUGAGAAAAUGGGCAGAAUAUGAAGGCGUUUGGCUUGGGAUUGGAAUUCGAUGGAGAAUGGAUUUUAUGGGAAAGGUUUGGGAAGGAUGCUAAUGGGUCGUGUACAUGAACUGCAGUCACGUGGGAGGAUAUGGAAUAGGCAAAUGUUAGGAACAGGGGAAGACCAGAAAAACAGAGCACAAGGGAUAGGAACAAAAUAAUCCCAUACAAGCCGCGUUUCAUAUCCGGAUCAAUGGGCUUAGGUGAGGGUGAGCGCAAUCAAACGAGUAUCAAAUGGAAGACAAAACAUGAUUGCAUGUAUUUUCAUGAGGAAGCUUAAACAGGACCAAGUUAACAUUCAACAAAAACCAAAUAAAUGAGGAACAUGAACAUGCUAUAAUUCCACAAAACCAACCUGAAGGUCAGCCAAAAUAUACCUGUAGCACUUGAUGUCUAUUCCCAAUCAACAAAUAGCACUCAACAAUCAGCAGAGAAAAGAAAAGAAAAGCAUGCCAGUUGGAAUGAGUUAGAAACCCAUAAUAAUCAUACCUGAAAAACAAUCCUCCCCAAGAAGCCGUGUCGGAUUUCUAGCUGUUCCACUAGUUCCCUCUUUUUCCCUCUAGCUGCCUUUUCCUCAAGUCACCUCAAAAUCACAACCCUCAAGCAACCUGCAACCCUUUCCUUUUUCAGAUUCUUCUUUUCUUUUCACUCUCAGCACCUACUAUAUCCUUCUUCCAUCGGCUUCCUCUGUUUCUCUCGAACAGCUCUAAGGAAAAAAAAAACUCCUCCCUCUUCCUUAGCUUCCCCUCCAAGCUAUACUCUAAAUAUCUCUUCUCUGUUUCCAUCUUCUCCCGCAAGCCACCACCUGCUCCACUGUGCACCAUUCCGCCAAUGCGUCACCCUCCAAACCACCACCAUGGGCGAGCCAUGCAGCUGGUUCUCAGCAUAAGGAGGUCCCCCUCCAAAAAUGCAAGGAAAAGAAAAGAAAACAACUCUGCUCGAGCCCUCACCACACGUCCCAUGCUUCUCGUGUGUCUCCAGAAAGAGGUCCCUCCCCCCUACUUCAAAAAAAUGAAAGAAUUCCACUCUCCCGAGUGGUCCUAAAAUAAAAGAAAAGCUAUCCAUUUUUUUGAGGGGUCUACAACUUUAUUAUUACAUUUUAUUUUUUGUUUGAUGCUUUAAAUAAUUUUUAUUAAAUAAAAUUAUAAUUAUAUUGGUGGAGGGCUAAUUAACUUUGUUUUUAAGCGAGAAAGACAGUGAUAAGGUUGAAGUGGGUUUAAAAAAAUGAAAUAAAAGAAUGAAAAAAAGAAAAAGAAAAAGAAGAUAGAGAUAAGAUUGAGGUGAGUCCGUAAUUAAAAAAAAAAUGAAGAGUAGGAGAAAAAGUGACAAAAGCUUUUGCUUUCUUCCAAAAAAGUAAAAACAAAGGUUAAUGACAUCAUGUUAUCAAACUCUAUACAAGACCCUACUUGAAUAUUUCUAUGAUAAAAUGAAAUCAUUUUUUUGAACCCAAAAAUCCAAAUCCAACUCAUUUAUCUAUAUACUUUAUUGGCAUGGAAUGGGAAAAGUUAUAAAGUGAAAGAAAAUUUGAUCAUAUGAGAGAUUUUCCAAAGUUGGAGCCAAUUCAAUGCUUAGUGGGUAUAACAAAAAAAAAAUGUGGAAAUUAAAGUGAAACAGCCAAAUUUUUAAGGUUUGAGGGGAUGUCACUGCACCUUCCAAAUAACUGUCUAAGAAUGUGAGAUGUCAUUGCAUUGAAAAUUGAUAUUAAAUCUCAUAAAGUAACUAUAAGAAUUGCUUUACUUAAGUAAUAAAUAUAUCUUGCUUUUUCAUAAAGUUUAUGACCCUAAGUGAAUAAAAUUUUUAGAGUGGGAUGAAUGCAUUUCACGUGAGUCAUGUCCUAGAUAUAUUUUUAGAAUUUUCUAGCAAGAUAUUAAGAGAAACUUUAUGGUGAGUGUUUUUUUUUCUAGUUAAGGUGGGUACAAUUCGAUGUCAUUCGUAAACAUAAUUCAAACCCAAUAUAUUUUUUAGGUGUUUGAAUUGAAUAGAUUUGUAUUUAAUUUAAAUUCAUGUGAAUAUAUAUAAUUCAUUUAAUAAAUAAAUUAUUUUUAAAUUAACUCAGAUAACCUACAUUUGACUCGAAUUAACUUAUUUAAAAAUGGUAUUGAUUAACCUAAUAAUAACUUUAAUUUAUUGAACUCAUAUUUAACUCAUUUAAGAUUUGUUUUUCAAGUAGUAUGCCAUAAUUGGGUUAUUAUAUAAUAUUAGAACAUUAAGGAUAUUAUUUCAUUCAACAUUUAACUUGAUUUGAUUAUUAAACAUUAUCUUAUUAUUAAAUUGGUUAAACAGGUUAUGAUGUAUCACCUGGUUAAUAAUUAUAUAGUGUUUGAGUUUAUAUUUUUAAUUCUGAUUGUUAUUUAUGUCAUGUUUGGAUUGAGUUGUUUCGUGGAGUAUCUAUACAAGACAAACACAAUCCACCAACAUAUUAAUAAAAAAUUACGAGAUAUUAGGAGAGUAAUUUUGGUAAAAGUUAAUAUUUAAUGAUUUAAGAUGAUUUUAAAUAAAAUUAUAUUUAAAUGGUCAAGUCAUAUCAAAUCAUUAACUUAAUUUAUCAAAAUCAUUUUUGAUUUUAUAUUAUAGUAUUAAGUUAUUUUAAUGAUCAUACUUAAUAUACUUAAGAACAUAAAUUUAGUCUUAUCAACAUUCUCUAAGGUCUUCUCAAUUUUUAAUAUUUAUUUGAUACAUAUUUAAAAGCAAACAAGUCAAAAUAUAUUAUCUCAAAAUUUCUAAUUCAUACUCGUACAAGAUUUUAAAAUUCAUUAAUUAAUUUGAAAGAAAUUUGUUUUGGAACAUGCAAGUGAUGGACAUAUCACAUAUCUUAAAUUUUUAACUAAAAAACCUCAUAACAAAAUAAUUUGAUGAAUGUUUUUAAGUUUAAAAAACUUAGAACCAUUUCACAAUGAUUUUGGGAAGUUAGAAAUGUUUCCAAAUGCUUGAAAAUGUUUUAAUAACGAAAAUUAAACAUUUGAUAAAAAUUAAAGUUCACAUUCUAAGUAAUUGAUAGUGCUUCUUAUAAUUUUUUCUUUCUUUUCAUUAUAUAUAUAUAUAUAUAUAUAUAUAUAUAUAUAUAUAUUAGACAUUGAAAAGGUUUCACCAAUUAAAUGGUGUCACAUAUACAUUUUUUGUAUAACAUGAAUUGAAAAAUUUUCAUCAAUUAGGUGGUGUCACACAUAUAUUUUUGUCUCAUAGUUAAUACCAUUGUACCUUGGCCACAUUUGUUUAUACCUUUGUUUAAUGAUUAAGAUCUCACUACAUAUAUUUAAUGGUUUACAUCUAGACUUCGUCAGGUACCACUACAAAACCUUAGUAUUAUAUAUACAUAUACAUCAUACUAACUAGUUUUUUUUUUUUUAUCAAAACACUUACAAUAGAAAUGCUACAAAUUAGAAGUGUUUUUAUCAAAAUAGUUUCCAAACCAACCAUAAUAUUUGCAUUAGCUUUAACAUAUAAUAUCUUUUACUUUAGUUGUUGAUAUAGCUACAUAUAAGACCAACCAUUCAUAUGAUAAUUAUUAUGGAUCUUAUUUUAAUUUGAUAAAAAUAUCUACCCAAGCAUUACGCAAAUAGGGAUGACAAUGGGGUGAAAUAUAGACAAGUCAUUCCUAUCCCAACCUCACUCCAUUUAUUCAAAAUAAUUCUCAUUCUCGUCUCAUUGAAGAAAUUAAAUGGAAUGAGGUAGGUAUGAGAAUUUCCUGUACCCACCCCACCUACCUCUUUUAAUUUCUUUUUGAAAAUUUUUAAUUUUUUUAAAAUUAUUUUUAAAUUUGUUUAAAUACAUUAAAAUAAAUAUAUUUUAUAAAUAAUUUAAAUUUUAAAAUUUUUUUAUAACUUAUUAUUAUUAUUUUAUUAUUAUUAUUAUUAUUAUUAUUAUUAUUAUUAUUAUUAUUAUCAUUAUCAUUAUUAAAAAUAGGAAAAUAACAAUUUAUAUCUAAUUGAGGCAGGACAAGGUAAUAUCUAAAUAUACCCCAAACUUGUCUCGAGUUUUAAAAAAAUUCUCAAAAAUGCUUUUAACUCGUUUAUUUAAAUUUCAAAUCCAUCCCAUUAGGGAUGGGGUGAAAACCCGUCUCAUUGUCAUCUCUAUAUGCAAGUCAUAAAUAUAUAAUAAGAAAAAUAAUAAUAAAAUUAGUAUCUAUUUAGAUAAACUUCUUGUUUUUUGUUUUUAAAAUCAGAAAAUAAUAAUAACUUUUAUAUAAGAUAUAAGGAUACUUAUAUUUAAAAAAAAAAUAGUUUUAAAAAUCAUUUAAAAAUUUAAGGUAUUAAAAAAAUUUUACUAAACCAAAUUUUAAAAAAUUUUAAUGUGAUUUUUAAACAUAUGACAUAAAUUUAUAUUUUUUUGUAUAACAUGUUCUACUUUCAUAUAGAAAUUCUAAUUUAAAAAAAAAAUAAUAGAUGUAUUAAAUGGACACUUUAGCUUCUUAUUUUUUUAGUGGUUCACCUUGCCCCUUAGAUAAGAAGAUUAUGAAAAUUUUCAAUAAUUAUGAAAAAGAUAAAAGUGAAAGACUUUUGACAAAAUUAUGUGUGAGAUGGUGUGCAUCAACCUUAAUUUGGACAAUUAUGUUAAUGGGAAGAUGUUAUCCUCAUCUCAAUCACUAGCUUUAAAUUGUAGUACUUAUUGUAUUUUGGAUAAUUAUGUUAACGGUCAUGUCAUCCUUGUCUCAACUCAUGUUGAUAAUUUAAGUUAUAAGUUAUAGUCACCAUGUCUUAUUUAAACUUUUAUACUAUUUUUUAUUAUUUUUAAAUAUAAAUCUUAUUAAAAUUAAUAUAAUUUAAGAGUUAAUAAAUUAAUUUUUAUGAAUUUUAUAUUAGCAUUGAUAAAAAUUAUAUUUUCAAUUUUAUUUUAAACAUGUUCAAAAGGGGGAAAACGAAAAAAGAAACUAAAUUAUUUUUAUUGAAUUUUAUAAAUAAAAAUGAUUUAAUUUUAAUUUUUAUUUAAUUUUAUAAAAAAAUUCUCAAAUAUAUCCCUAAUUUGUUUGAACUGGUCCUAAAUCCUUCAAUAGUUGUCAUCUCUAAUUUUGACCAUAUAAAAAUUAAACCAAAAUAUAAGAAGGUUGAGGAAUAUCAAAUAUAAAGAGAGGUUGAAAAAAUUUAUAAUGCUUAGAGGUUUUUUUCUUACAAAUAGAACUUGUUUGGUCAUGUGAUUUAAAAAUAGUGCAUUUUUUUUUUUUUAAAAUAAAAAACUGUUUUUAAAAUUUUCUAACAAUGUUUGACCAUUGUUAUCUGGAAGCAAUUUUUAAAAAUAAGGUGAAAUAAAGAACAAUUUUUCGAGAACAAAUAUAAAUUGUUUUUAUUGAUUUUUAAAAACAAAAGGAAAAUAUGAGCCCAUUUGACCAUAUUUUCUUAAACUUGUUUUUACACACUUUUUUUUUUUUAAAAAAAACUUUUUAGAUUAAAAACAUUUUUUAGAAUCACUACCAAAAUGAUUUUAAGUAUUAUCUCACUUCACCUCAUUUAUAUAUAAAAUUAAGUAAAAAUAAUUUAAUUUCCUUUUCCAUUUACCCUUUUUAAUCAUAUUUAAAAUAAAGUUACAAAUUUACUUUUUAUUAAGAUAGAAUAUAAAAUUUAUGAAAAAUAAUUUAUUUACUCAUAAAUUACAUUUAUUUUAAUAAAAAUUAAUAUUUUUUUUAAAAAAAAAAGCAAAAACAAAAGGUGAAUUGAAGUAGUAAAGCUCGUUCGUAAAAGAAAAUAAAGAGGAAAAUUAGAAAAUAAUAAUAAUAAUAAUAAUAAUAUAAAAUAAAUUUAAAUUCAUAAUUUAUUUUUAUAUUUUAUUUAAAUCUUAUUUUAUUUAUAAAGAUUAAAUGAAUCUAAAAAUACACAAACUUUUAAUUAAUUUUAAUUAUAUAUAACUUAAAGUAAAACUAAAUAUUUCAUUAACAUUUUUUCGUAAUACUCUUGAACAAUCAAACAUAACUUAAAGCACUAAAAAAGUAUUUAUAAAAAAUUUCAGUUUGAUUGUGAUAAAUGUUAAAUUAUUAAUUUUCUUAAAAGUUUAAACUUAUAAGAUUUGAGUUAGUCCCCUCCCUAACAUACGAUCUCAUUUCAUAGAAUUGCAAAUGACAAGACGGGAGAGAUACCAAAUAAUUGUUACAGCUUAUGAUGCAGAGCCAGGAGCCCCAGUUGGACCAGAGCAUCCAGAGAUUCCACAUCCAUAGCAUCUAAAGGAGUCACAGCUAGUUGAAAUACCUGCUGACAUGAGAGCACCUGCCUUUGAAGUGCCCUCUACAGGACUUAUGCUUGAGGUUGCACCCUCUGCUCCUCCUGCCACACCAGGGACUCCGCCAGUUGUACCAGCUACAUCAGAGCCUCCUCCUCCAUUUGAGUCUAGGAUAGCCAUAUCCAUUUCCAAGUUCAGAGGCCUAUGUCACACUUUGCAGACAUUGAUCACUUCUAGCUCAGAGCAUCCUGACUCAACAGAUGACAGCCAUACGUGCCCAUCAGGAUCAGCUUAUCGCCACCUAUACCCAGCAUACUGCCAUCCUUAGGCAGAUACAACAGCAUCUGGGAGGUACCACUUUCUCUCUAUAAUUUCAAUCGCUCUUGCCACAUUGAAGACAAUGUUUAGCUUGGUUGAGGGGAAGAGAGUUGAGGAAGGAAGUUUUUAUUUUAAAUGCUAAGUUAUUUUGGUAAUUUAGUUGUUAAUGCUUAAUUUUAAAAAAAAAUUCUAGUUUUUAUUCUACUCUCCAUGGUUAUUAAGGAAAAAUUCUCAAAAUAAAAUGAGAGAAAUUGAAUUUUUGUUUUUCACUUGACUUAGAGUUUGUAUUAUGCUUACUAAAGUUGAUAAAUUGUUGAAAUUUCUAUUGAAUUCAACCUUAGUUCUUCCACUUUAAGCUAUUCACACAUUGUGCAUAAUAGGUUCCAAGUAUAAGAUGAAAAACUAUUUCCCUCUUGACUUAGGAAAAUUUUAGACUUGGUACCUUUGACCUCAAUUAAUAGUGUUGGGACACCUUAUAAAAGGCCAAUGAGCCUUUGGAAAAAAAAGAAGAAAGAAAAAUGUUUGCUUACCUUGAAACUUGAGCAAGGUUUGAGGGAUAUAUGGUGAAAAUCUUUAAAACCUGGUGCCCUAAGCCUUAAUUGGUUGGAAGUUACCGACCUCAAUGCUCGUUACAAGGGUGAAUAGGUGGAGUUUAACAUACUGUAGGUGCUUGGGUAUUAAAAAUUCAUUCUCAAGUCUGGGGUAAAAUCCGAGGAGUUAGUGGUUGAAAGAUCCUUAAAGCUUGAUGCCCUAAACCUUAAUUGGUUGGGAGUCAUUGAUGGACCCCCAUUACAUGGAAAAUUUAGAAAAUGAUACCUUUAAGCCUUGUACUCUUACAAUGAAAAAAAUUCUGAAACAAAAGGGUGCGUUCUUAGCCUAUUGAAUUUUGUCAGUUUGCUAAGUGUUGAAAAAGAACUAGGUUGGGGGGAGAGAUUAGUUUAGCAUACUAUAUUCAGAAACUAUCAAGUAACACUUAGAUUUUUGUGGAAGAGUAAGGAUUGGACCUUUGAAAGUGGAAACAAUUUUAAAGCUUCAAUUUGCAUAAUGUCUUCUCUUUAUGAAUUGUGAUUAGGCAAGGUAUUUGAUAACUCUUGUUGAAAUUUGAGUUUUAUAUCUUUAAUGUUCCAUGUGAGAGUUAGAUCAUCAUGCCACUUAAAAUUUUUUUGAAGUGAUCAGUAUGAUUUUGUAAAUUAUAUUACUGUUUGUUUUACUUUUUCUCCCCUUCAUUGCUAAGGAACUAGCAAUAUGUCGGUUGUGGGGAGUGAUUACUACUCAAAAAGUGUUAUUUUGUAGCUUGUAAUUAACUCUUUUAAACAUCUUUGAAUAAUAGUUAUUACCUUUUAACUCAAUUGGCAUGUUAAGGACCCUUGUAAUCGUUUUUAAUCAAAUUGUGUUAAGUUUUGGUGUUUUUGAUAGUAUUUUGAUCACCAAAGCAAUCCAAGAUUGAGGAGAGUUAUAUAGAAUCCAUGUAAAAUCAAUUGAAAGCUCAUUUACAUGAAGAAUCCAAGCUUUGAAGCUUCAUAGUCAUUUGCCAAAAGCAAAUCAUGAAUACAAGGAGGGAAAGAAAAGAGAGAAAUCUAACAUGAAGAAUUCAAGAGGACAGAAACUGUUGGACAUAUUUAGAGCACUUUCUAGAGUCCAUUUCAUGCGUACUAUAUGUUGUUUCGAAGCUCAGGAAGUCAGGAAUCCAACGCUUUAAACAGUACAUGAAUUGGAGUUGAAAUGAAAAAGUUAUAGCCAUUGGAAGCCAAUCAUACCAAGCUAAAGGCCAAUUUCGCAGCUGCGAAAUCAACCUUUGGCUGCGAAAUCACAAGGUGCUCGCUGCGAAAUCAACAUUUGGCUACGAAAUGGAGACCUUCAGCUUGCGAAAUUUCACAGCCCAUCUUGCAUGCCUACGAAAUCCACCUGAGUGCUUCCAGAUAUUUGCGACCGACUCUUUUAGAUUUUUUCUUUAGAUAUUUGUUGUUUAAAUCCCCAUUUUCUCCUUGUAAUCCACCAAUCAUAGGAUUCCUUAGUUAAUAAGUAAGAAUAAAGGGUGAAUAACCUCAUAUAUAUAGUUUGUAAUUUUCUUUACAAAAUCGUCUUGGGAGCUUGUUCUCAGAGACAACCGUGUGUAUAGUUUUGAAGGAAGUAAUAUACAGAGCUUUGCUCUGCCUUACAUACUCACUUUGAUUGUAUUUUUCUUACUAGCCAAACAAGCUAUAAAGAUGUUUUCUCAGAGAAUGAGUGGCUAGACUUUUUGUCUCUUGGAGUUAAGGGAGCUGGGUAAGGUGCCGAAUGCAAGAAUUGGAAGUUUUGUUGUUUCAGCUGUUAAUGAAGAGAAAGUGUGACCCGUUAAUGGUUUUUAUCUUUUUAGUAAACUUAAAACGCCGUUAAAUCACCUAGGCCAACACUUGGUAAGACAAGUGAUCUCCGUCCAUUGAGAUACACUAGUUUAUCUCUUGCGAGCCUUUGGGAGGUGGUUUAAAGGUAGGAUUUUCUAGAAUGGCCAACACUUGGUAAACUUUUGGACUCUAAGAAGACAUCCAUUAGUUAUCUCUUGCGAGCUUGAGAAGGGAAAUCCAAGGUUAAGGAUCACCUUGAAUGACCAAUACUAGGUGAGAGGUAUGAACCAUUGCACGAUGAAUCAGUGAGAGGGAUUUAGUGUUGGAAUCCAUAAAAGGGAAACAUCUGUACCACACCGGUUAGAGAAAUAACUAUAUGUUAAUUCUCCAAUGCGAGGAAAAGAUUCAAGUGACCGAAACUCUGUUUUUGUAUUAGGAACCUAACCCCAGUGAUCCUAAAACUCCAAGAAACGCUUUUCUUUAUUAGUAAUUUUAGUUACUAUUAUUUUUUGUUAGCUUAAAACCAAUCAUUUUUCAACCAAAGAUUAUGUUUUCUUUUAAAGCUAACCUUGAAAUGAAAAAACAUCAAUUCAACUUUGAAUUAAUGUCAAUAGUAAGUUGAAAACCCUUCCCAGUGAACGAUCUUAGAGCCACUAUGCUAUACUAGCUGAGGCUAUCCUAGUACAUGGUGAUAUAGGUUAUAAAUUUUGUUGGUUACUCCUGUCUGAGGACCAAAAUCAAGGUACACCAGCUAGGCACGAAAGUCACAUGGUAUAUUGAUGCACACAGUUUGUGGCACGACAGUUUGAUGAAAUUAUAGAAGUGUAGCACUCAUGGGCAUAUCAUGUGAACCUUAUUCAAUGUGGCAUUGACAGUUGGUUUAUAUUUACAUGGGUGUAAUGUCGCACCAGUAUCCUCUAAUGAACCUUGGAUUCUUUUUUCUUUGUUUCUUCUUCUCUUGGUCAAGCCAAACAAUUUGUCUUCAUGACUUUCUCCUAUUACAAAAAAGCAGCAUCUUGUGUUCUCCAUCUCUUCAUCCCUUUGUCAAGACACAACAAUUUGAUGCAUCUUUGCAUUAGGUUGCUUUCUCUCCUUCCCCUCUUCUUUCUCUUCGUCUCAUUGCUUAGUUUUGGCUACUCUGUUUCUUUUGAUCAUUAUGGUAGAGCAUCCUUGCAAGAUGUACAAGAAAUAUGUUGUGGUGCAUUAUCCCCUUCUCUACCACUUGAAAUCUGUUUUCCAUGAUCAUUAAUACCAAGAUGUUUAAGCAUCAAGUAAGGCAUCUCUUGACAAUUAUGCGAGAAAUAAGAGACAAGCAACAUACCGGUAUUCAAGAGAAGUGAUGUUCUACAUUUACAUUUGACAACAUGCAUUUAGUUUGAACUCCAAAUUUGGGCAACUCAAAAUCUCCACCUUCAUUAGGAUUGCAGAAAGUUAGCUUCUUGGAAAAAUGUGGAAAUGAGGCAUUUAGAAAUUUGAAAGAAUCACAAUGGCUUGUUGCUACUUCUGAAUAAUUCCAAGCAGUAACAACUCCAAAGAUAUAUAUAUAUAAAUCUGUCCCUGGGAAAGAGAUCGAUGUUUCUUAGGCAUGCAACCAUCUCUCUUAACAAACUCAGGGUUCUACUAUUGUGUCACGUUUGAAAGCAAUUUAAUCUAUGUUAGAAGUUUUUUUUUAAAUUUAUUCCAUUUUUCUUUUAGUUUUGAAACUUACAAUUAUACAUUGUAAGGUUUCAAGUUUAUCUAGAGAUAUAAAAAGUUGGAGUCGAUGUCUUAGUGGUAGGUUUCAUAAGAAAUGUAGUUAUUCUAUGAAUAUAACUUUGGAUUCUAAUUUUUUAACUUUCUAAUAUUGUAGCUCUUUAGUAGGUCUCAUAGAAAAUGAAAGUUGUGGAAAAGUAUAAUAUGGACUCAAUUUUUUAUUUAUGAGGUGUUGUUACAACACCAUUAAGUAAUUACCUAAAAAUGAUAUGUCGUUGCAUUGAAAGUAAUAUUAAAUUUAAUGGAGAGAUAUCUAAAUAAAAAUAUCACCUAAUUUUUAAAACAAUAUUAUGAUCUUACUAUUAUGUCAUGCUAGAAAACAAUUUAGUUAUUUUGUGUUAGCAUUUUUUUUGUACAUUAUAUUUUUCUUUUUGUUUUGAAGCUUGCAAUUGCAAAUUGUAAGGUUUCAAGUUCUUUCGAAAAUAUGAAUAGUCGAAGUCAAUGUCUUAGUGAUAGCCAGUAGGUUUCAUAAGAAAAGGAAUUAUUCUAUGAAUAUACCUUUGAAUUCCAAUUUUUGAACUUUCUAAUAUCUUAGUUCAUAGUGGGUCCCAUAGAAAAUAAAAGUUGUGGAAAAGUAUAAUGUGGACUCAAUUUUGACUUAUGAAGUGAUGCUACAACACCUUCAAGUAAUUACAUUGAAAAUAAUAUUAAAUUUAAUGGAGAUAUAUCAAACAAAAUUANNNNNNNNNNNNNNNNNNNNNNNNNNNNNNNNNNNNNNNNNNNNNNNNNNNNNNNNNNNNNNNNNNNNNNNNNNNNNNNNNNNNNNNNNNNNNNNNNNNNNNNNNNNNNNNNNNNNNNNNNNNNNNNNNNNNNNNNNNNNNNNNNNNNNNNNNNNNNNNNNNNNNNNNNNNNNNNNNNNNNNNNNNNNNNNNNNNNNNNNNNNNNNNNNNNNNNNNNNNNNNNNNNNNNNNNNNNNNNNNNNNNNNNNNNNNNNNNNNNNNNNNNNNNNNNNNNNNNNNNNNNNNNNNNNNNNNNNNNNNNNNNNNNNNNNNNNNNNNNNNNNNNNNNNNNNNNNNNNNNNNNNNNNNNNNNNNNNNNNNNNNNNNNNNNNNNNNNNNNNNNNNNNNNNNNNNNNNNNNNNNNNNNNNNNNNNNNNNNNNNNNNNNNNNNNNNNNNNNNNNNNNNNNNNNNNNNNNNNNNNNNNNNNNNNNNNNNNNNNNNNNNNNNNNNNNNNNNNNNNNNNNNNNNNNNNNNNNNNNNNNNNNNNNNNNNNNNNNNNNNNNNNNNNNNNNNNNNNNNNNNNNNNNNNNNNNNNNNNNNNNNNNNNNNNNNNNNNNNNNNNNNNNNNNNNNNNNNNNNNNNNNNNNNNNNNNNNNNNNNNNNNNNNNNNNNNNNNNNNNNNNNNNNNNNNNNNNNNNNNNNNNNNNNNNNNNNNNNNNNNNNNNNNNNNNNNNNNNNNNNNNNNNNNNNNNNNNNNNNNNNNNNNNNNNNNNNNNNNNNNNNNNNNNNNNNNNNNNNNNNNNNNNNNNNNNNNNNNNNNNNNNNNNNNNNNNNNNNNNNNNNNNNNNNNNNNNNUCCCAAUCUUUCCCACUUCGUCCAAACUUUCCAAGAUCUAAACUUUGUACAUGUUCUCUUCUUUUCAAUUAAAAAUUUUUAAAUUUUCAAAUUCAAAUUCCAAGACAAGCUAAUAAAACCCUAAAAUUAAUAUUAAAUACUAAGUGAAUUAAGUCAAGUUGGUAGCUAAAUUGAAUCUAAUCCGAAUUACUUAACCUAAACUCAAGUCAAACUCAUUUUUAUAAGCUGAAGUUAGGUUUAAAUUAACUAGGUUAUACUUUUGGUUCAAUUGAAUUGAUUAGACUCUAUGGAUCAUAAUUAGGGUUUGCAAGGUUGAGUUAGAUUGAACCUAUUCAUAAUUUUUUUUUGUUUAACUUCUUUUAUAUCAUAAUUUAAAUAAUAAAUAUGAUAAUAUUAAUUAAAAAUAAUAACAAAAGAAAAGAAUCACCUUGGAAUCACUCUAAUUUCAAAUUGAGGUUUCCUACCUCAAAAUUUUAAAUUUAAAAAAAAAAAAAAUUUAAGUGCAUAAACUAAAUCUAUAGUUUUUUUUUCGUAGGACUUUUUAUAUUCCAUAUAAAAGUUUUUACAUAGAGACAAGUAAUAAAUAUAUCUUGUUUUUUCAAUAAGUUUAUGACCCUGAUUGGAUACAAACAUUAUAGUGGGACGAAUGCAUCUUCACUAGAGUUAUGUCUUGACUCCUAACAUAAUUUUAGAAUUUUUAAGGAAAACGACAAGGAAACCUUAUGAUAAGUGCCUUUUAUUUAGGUAUGGUGGGUAAAGUGAUACCAUUUGUUAGUUGUUUUAUUUAUUUAUUUAUUUUUUUUAUGGAUUUAAUUGAAUAUAAUUUGUGUUUGAUUCAAAUUUGAGAUGAUCUAUAUAAUUUAUUUAAUAAAUGAAUUGUCUUUUUGGUUAAUUUGCAUAAUACGACUCAAAUUGACUUAUUUAAUAAUUAUAUUGAUUGAUCAAAUUAUAUUUUUAACUUAUUUAACUCAUCUAAAAUUUGAUUUUUGAUAAGUCAUAAUUGAGUUAUAAACAUGUUAGGUUAGGACGUUAAUCAUAUAAUAUCAUACAAUAUUUAAUUUGAUUUGAUUAUUAAAUAUAAUGAAAAUUAUGAAAAUUUUCAUGGAUGAACUUCUCGUAUGAGAAAACUAUGAAAAAGAUAAAAAGUACUAGAGGUGGAAAAUAAGACUUUAGAAAAAAUUAUUAGUGUGAGAUAACAUACACCAACUUUAAAGUGUNNNNNNNNNNNNNNNNNNNNNNNNNNNNNNNNNNNNNNNNNNNNNNNNNNNNNNNNNNNNNNNNNNNNNNNNNNNNNNNNNNNNNNNNNNNNNNNNNNNNNNNNNNNNNNNNNNNNNNNNNNNNNNNNNNNNNNNNNNNNNNNNNNNNNNNNNNNNNNNNNNNNNNNNNNNNNNNNNNNNNNNNNNNNNNNNNNNNNNNNNNNNNNNNNNNNNNNNNNNNNNNNNNNNNNNNNNNNNNNNNNNNNNNNNNNNNNNNNNNNNNNNNNNNNNNNNNNNNNNNNNNNNNNNNNNNNNNNNNNNNNNNNNNNNNNNNNNNNNNNNNNNNNNNNNNNNNNNNNNNNNNNNNNNNNNNNNNNNNNNNNNNNNNNNNNNNNNNNNNNNNNNNNNNNNNNNNNNNNNNNNNNNNNNNNNNNNNNNNNNNNNUUUUCUAAAAAUUGUUAUUUAUUUAAUUUUAUUUUUAAAAAUUGUUUCAAGAGAACAACCAAAUGAGGUGUUAGAAAAUUUUUUAAACAGAUAUUUGUUUUAAAGAAACAGCUUUAUAUAAUUAUGUCUCAUCAUUAUACAUAAAUGAGGUGGAGCAGGACAAUACUCAACCUCCUACCAAAACCAAGCCGAGUUUAAAAAAGAAUACUUCAAUCCUUCCCUCAUAUUUUUUAAACCUCUCAUAAGCCCAUCCCUAGUUGUCAACUCUAACUUUUACUAUAAAAAUAAAUAAAUAAAUAAAUAAUCUUUCGUAUACCAUAAAAAAAAAAAGGAAACUGUAGUAUUAAAUAAACAUUCUUCUUUCAAGAAUCAUCUUCUUUUUUUAAUUAUAUAUCUUAUAACUACAAAUAUUUUCAAAUUACAUUUUUGGUUUGUUUCUAAACAUUUACCACUAUCAAUGGAAGCAUUACACGCUAAAAAUACAUUUAUGAGAAUUAAUUCCAUAAAUUCUAUUUAUCAAGUUUUUAUUUGCUUUUUUAUACUAUAAUCUUCAUAAUUGUGUGAUUCAUAUUUCUAAAGCAAACUAACAAACCUAUUACGUGUAAUCUAAUAAGUUACAUUUCUACAUUUUUUCAUCAUUACACACUUAUGUUCUCGAGAUAUAAUCUCUCAUUGCUAGGUUUCAUAAGAAAAUGAAUUAUUCUAUGAAAAUGACUUUGGAUUCCAAAAUUUGAACUUUGUAAUGCCUUAUCUCAGUGGUGGGUCUCAUAGAAAAUGAAAGUUGUGGAAAAAUAAAAUGUGCACAUAAUUUCUAAUAAACUUGGACUUUUGGCUUCAAGCACCCUUUAUAAUCUUCAAGAGAUACCCCACUCUUGAACAACCUCUCAAGUGAUACCCCACACUUGAGAAUCUUCCUCUCAAAGAUAUACAAAUAAUUGAUCUCACAAAAUCCUAGUACAAAAACUUUAAGCUCAAAUGAUACAAGAAAACUAGAAUUGAAAUGUACACUAAUGAUAUGCAAGUUUUAGAACAAUGGUGCACUCAAAACACUCUUCCAAGACUCAAAUAUAUUCAAGAAAGGUUUGGGAAGGUUUAGUUCCUGAACAAUGAAGAUUUGAAACCUUUUUAUAGAGGAAAAAAACCAAACAGCCAUUGGGGGUUUGACCAAUUGAGCUGGGGGUCGACCAGUUGACUAGCCGUUAGCAUUUAAUGCUUGGCAUGUGACCAUUAGACCUUAACUAGACCUUGAUCGGACCUCGACCGGUUGAGGUGUGGGUCGACUGGUUCCUCAUCCGGUUGAACAACCAUUCUAGAAGAGAGAAAAGGUUGUUUGCACCCGUCAAUCGGUUGAGCUAGCGGUUGACCGAUUAUUGUUCACACCCUUGACUAGUUGAACUGGGGGUCAACCUACUCCUAGACCGGUUGAGCUGGCGGUCGACCGGUUCCUCAUCCAGUUUAACCGAUUGAGCCGUUUUUGGCUCAAGAACCAACUUUUUCAACUUAAAACCUUUUAAACAAGUUUGAAAAACAUUUAACACAAGGUUUUAGUUGAAAACAUGAAAUCAUCCAAUUUUAAAAUAUUUAAAGCAAAACAACUCUUGGAUGAUUUUGGUGCAUAAGUAAAAAAUGUAAUACAUGAAAAUCCUAGUGCACCAACAACCUUACAAAGAGAUAUUAUAAAGCUUGAGUCUUGAAAAACACUUCUCUUUGAGGUGGUCUUCUUCUUCAUGAUUUCUUCUUGGCUUGAUUUGUCUUUGUGAUUGCCAAUUUGGAAAUCGUUUUGCCUAAUCACACUUAAAAUAUAAUUAUUAAUUCUAAACCUUUUUUUGUUAUCAUCAAAAUCGAGAUUAAUCAAAUAUUGGUUUCACAAAUAUAACAAACUAUAUAUAUAUAUCAAUUUAAAAAUAAAAAUAAAAAUAAAAUAUAUAUUUUUUACUUCUUAUAUAAUUUUUUAGAGUUUGUCUUAAUAUUUUAUUAUUUUUUACUUGAUCGAUAUUUUGUGUCAAAAUAUCCAUCAAUAUAUCUCCUAUAUAUUUGAUAUAUCCGUAAAAUCGAAGUACUGAUAUAUUUGUAAUUAUCGAUAUUUUCAUCAUUGAGUUCAUUGCAUGGUCUCUGUGUUCUAUUAUUUACUGGAAAUGCUUCUCAUUAUAUGUUUUCAAAUGUAUUGGUUUCUACUAACUAUGAUAUAUGCAAAGACGUUAGCUGAGGAGGCUUCUUGGAAGUUUGCAAAAGUGAAUGGGAUUGACAUGGUUACAAUACAUCCAAGGUGGGUGAUUGGUCGUCUCUUACAGCCUACUCUUAAUCUAAGUGUGGAGGAAGUUCUGAAGCUACUAAAAGGUACCCUUCAGCAAUUGAUGAGAAUCUCUAUUUUAUGUUGAUCUUUCUACUUCAAUAUCAAUUUAUACUCAUAAUAAGUAGAUAAAAUGCAAUUAAAAAAUCAACAUUAUUUUCUAUUUUUAAAUUAUAAAUAAAAAAAUUAUAUUAAUAAUUCAAAAACUAUUUUGGAAAAUACUUUCUAAAAAAAUGUUCAUAAAUAAAAAUUAUCUUUUACAUUUUAGAAGUAAAAAAUUUAAUGAUUAAAACACUAUUUAAAAUAAAUAUAUUCACUAUUUUCUUUUCUUUUAUACUAAAAAGUAUUUUAAUAUUUUUUUUACUAUUAUAAAAUAAAAGGUUUAAUUUUUUUUUGUUAAAUUUUCUUCCUUCCUUAUUUUAAUAACUUUUUGAAUAUGGCUUUUAGUAAUAAGUUAUAUAAAAUGUUGCUAAGGAUUUUCUUUUAAUGAUUUGAAUUAAUUGAAAAUUUAUCAAAAUAAGAAAAAGAAAAAGAAAGAAAGAUGAUGGAUGGAGAGUUUUUAUUUUAAAUAUUCAAUUAAAUUUUUUUCCUAUGACCAAAUUUUAGAAAUGAAUUAUAUUAAUACAGAGUAGAAAUUGAAAUUUUCUUAUAUAAAAUGGUUGAAAGAUAUAUUUACUCAUUUUAUAUGAAAAUAAGUAGUUAAAAAUUAUAUAGUUAUGUUUGACUUUGGUUUAAAAAUAUUUUUCUAGUUUUUAUUUUUUAAACUAAUUUUUAUUUUCUAUAUUGUCUCUUUUUAAAAAUACGUUUGAUUACAAAAUGAAAACUAUUUUUAAAAAUAAAAAUUAAAAGCCUUAUUUAGUUCUAUUGUUUUAUAAGAAAAUAAUAAAAAGAAUUAAAUUUCAUUUAUUGAUUCUUCUUUUUUAUUUUUUCUAUUAGUUGUUUUAAUAAUAAAAUAAAAAAUAUAUAAUAUGUUCAAAAUUAAACAAAGGAAUUGACCAAUUGUGUAAUUUUUUCACAAAAAUAUAAUAUAUUCACAAAAAAAAUCAAAUUUAAGUUUUUCGCAAUUUUCUCAACCAAACUACAGGAAUCAUGUUUAAUACACCUAUAGGCACGCAUUCACUACAUGAUAUGGAAUUUGCGUAAUUAUACAAGGGUAUUCACUAACUGUACAAGGGGUAUACAAGACUACCUUUUAUAAAAGAUUUCAAUUGAUUUUGAACCACCUUUUUAUUUUCCUUGUCACCCAAAGAUUGCAUACUCAUGUCAUGCACUUUAUUUAAUUUUUACAUGAAAAUUUCAAUACUUUCCCCAAUAUUGAUGUUUGGGGAAAAAAAAUUUGAUCCUGAAUGAUCUACCCUUUUCUCAAGUAAAUUAUUAGAAACAUGGUUGAUACACUUAUGUGGACACAUGACUUAGGAGGAAUAUGGAAUUUGUACCACUGUAUAAUGGUAUUACACUAACUGUACAAAGAAAAUGUACUAAGUGUACAAGGGUGCACAAGGCUACCUUUUGUGAAAGAUUUCAAUCAAUUAUGAACUAUUCCUUUAUUUUUCUUAUCACCGACGAAUUGUACACCUAUGUUAUGCACUUUAUUUAAUUCCCACAUGGAAAUUCCACUUACUUUCCCCAGUAACGAUGUUUGGGGAAAAAAAUUUGACUUAUGUCAUCCACUAUUUUCUUAACCAAACCAUUGGAAACAUGGUUAACAUACCUAUGUAAACACAUAAUUUAGGAGGGAUAUGAAAUUUGUGCCACUAUACAAAGGUGUUAUAUUAAUUGCACAAGUGAAAUGCACUAAGUGUACAAGAGUGUACAAAACUACCAUUUGUGAAAGAUUUCAAUCGAUUCUGAACCACUUCUUUAUUUUCCUUGUCACCCACGGAUUGUACACCUUAUGUCAUGCACUUUAUUUAAUUCCCACAUGAAAAUUCCAAUACUUUCCCCAGUAAUGAUGUUUGGGGAAAUUUUUUUAACCCUAAGUCAUCCAUUAUUUUCUCAAUUAAACCAUUGGAAACAUGGUUAAACACAUCUACGUGGACAUAUAACUUAGUAGAGAUAUGAAAUUUGUGUCAUUGUAUAAGAGUAUUAUACUAACUGUACAAAAGAAAUAUACUAAGUGAACAAGGGUGUACAAGAUUACCCUUUGUGAAAUAUUUCAAUUAAUUCUGAACAACUUUUUUAUUUUCCUUGUCACAUAAGGAUUGUACACUUAUGUCAGACACUUUAUUUAACUCCCAUAUCAAAAUUCCAAUACUUUCGCAAUAAUGAUGUUUAGGAAAAAAAAUUUGACCCUAAGUCAUCCACCAUUUUCUCAAUCAAACCAUUGAAAACAUGAUUAACAUACCUACAUAGACACAUAACUUAAGAGAGAUAUGUACUUUAUUUGCGUAACUGUACAAGGAUAUUAUACUAAUUGUACAAGGGAAAUGUGUCAAAUGUAUAAAACUCUUAAUAGGUUUGUAUGAUUUUUAAACAAUUUGGGCUUGACAUUAAGACGAUUAUCAAUAGUUUUUUUUUACCAAACUAUGUCAUUAAUACUUUCCCUACAAAAAUUAACACAUAGGAAAUAAAAUUAAAAUCAAUCAUGUUUGAAUUGUUCAUUAUAAGUAAACUAAAUGAAAUAUAUAUUUUUACUAUUUUGCCCUAAUAAACAUAAUUUUAUUGUUAUUAGUACAGAUUAAAAAAUCCUAUUUAAAUGGAAUUAAAAAUAAACAAAAAUGAUUUUUGUAACAUUUUUAUUUUUUAAAACCAUUAAUUUAAAUUAUGAAAUUAGUUUUAAAAUAAAUAAAGUUUAAGUGGUUAAAUCAUAUCAAAUCAUUAACUUGAUUUAUCAAAAUAAUUUUAUAUUUUAUAUUAUAAUAUUAAGUUAUUUUAUCAAAUAUACUUAAUAUACUUAACAACUUAAAUUUAUGUGGUGUUUGGUUUUUGGUUGAAUAAAAAAAAACCAAAAUAUGUGAUUUUUUUAUUUAAUUAAAAAUAAUCUAUUGAUGUCAACUGGCAUAACUAAAUUGAACAUAUUAAUUACAAGUUUACUUUAGUUAUGUUGAUUGACAUCAAUAUUAUUUUUAGCUUAAUAAAACAAAGUCAAUUUGAUUUUUUCUAUUCAACUAAAAAACAAAUACCGCCUUAAUCUUAUCAACAUCCUCUAAGUUCUUCUCAAAUUUUAAUAUUUAUUUGAUACAUAUUUAAUAAGAAACAAGUCAAAAUGUUUUAUCUCAAAAUUUCUAAUUCAAACUCCUACUAGAUUUAAAAUUCGUUAAUUAAUUUGAAACAAAUUUGUUUUGGAUAAUACAAUUGAUGGAGAUAGUACAUAUCUUAAAUUUCUAACUGAAAAAAGCCUCAUAACAAAAUAAUUUGAUGAAUAUUUUAAGUUUAAAAGAUUAGAACCAUUUCACAAUGAUUUUGGAAAGUUAGAAAUGUUUCCAAAUGCUUGAAAAUGUUUUUAUAACACAAACUAGACAUUUUAUAAAAACUAAAGUUCACAUUCUAUGUAAUUGAUAAUGCCUCACAUAAUUUUUUUUUUCUUUUGGUUAUACAUAUAUAUAGGGUGAACAUACUUUUUAAGUAGGUAUAAAAAAGUUCUACCAAUUAGGUGGGUGAGUAUAUAUUUUUAAGUUUCAUAAUUUGUGCCUUUGUACCUUCACUCUAUUUGUUUAUACCUUUGUUCAACAAUGUAAAUCACACCAUAUAUAUUCAAUGGUCAAAAUCUUAACUUCGGUUAAUAUCACUACACUAUCUUAGUAUUUUUUUUCUCUCUCUCUCUCUCUAUAUAUAACACUAACUACUUUUCUAUGAAAACAUUUACAAUAGAAAUGCUACAUAUUAGAAGUGUUUUUAUCAAAAUAAUUUCUAAACCAACCUUAAUAUUUGUAUUAGCUUUAGUUGAUAUGGCUACUUGAUAAACCCAACCAUUCAUAUGAUAAUUAUUCUAGAUCUUACUUUAAUUUGAUAAAAAUAUCCACCCAAGCAUCACACAAAUCAUAAAUAUACUCCAUGUCUAUUUGGAUAAACUUGUUGUUUUCUGUUGUUAUGUUUUUAAAAUAUGGAGGGAUAUAAGAAUUCUUAGAGAAUUAUAUUAAAAAUAAAAUAAUAGUUUUAAAAAUCAUUUAAAAAUUUAAGGUAUUAUACUAUUUUUUUAUUAUUUUUAAACUUAAAUUUUAUUCAAAUAAAUAUCAUUUAUGAGUCAAUAAAUUAGAUUUCGUAAAUUUAAUAUUUAGUAUUUAUAAAUAUAAAAUUUUCAAUUUUAUUUUAAACAUGUUCCAAAAGGGGGAAAACCAAAAAGGAAACUAAAUUAUUUUUAUUUAAUUUUAUAAAAAAAAUUCUCAAAUAUAUCCUUAAUUUGUUUAAACUUGUCCUAAAUCCAUCCAUAAUUGUCAUCUCUAAUUUUGACCAUAUAAAAAUUAAACCAAAAUAUAAAAAGGUUGAGGAACAUCAAAUAUAAAGAGAGGUUGAAAAAUUUUAUAAUGCUUGGAGGUAUUUUUCUUACAAACAGAGUCUGUUUGAUCGUAUGAUUUAAAAACGGUUUUCUGUUUUUAAAAAUAGAAAACUAUUUUUAAAAAUUUACAACACUGUUUGGCCAUUGUUAUCUGGAAGCAAUUUAUAAAAACAAAGUGAAAUAGAGAACAAUUUUUAGAGAACAAGUAUAAGUUGUUUUCAUCUGUUUUUAAAAACAAAAGGAAAAUAUGGGUCAAUUUGACCAUAUUUUCUUGAACUUGUUUUUUUUAAAAUAUUUUUUAGAUUAAAAAUGUUUUUUAAAAUCACUACCAAAAGGAUUUUAAGUAUUAUCUCAAUCCACCUCAUUUAUAUAUAAAAUUAAGUAAAAAUAAUUUACUUUCCUUUUCCAUUCCCCCUCUUUAAUCAUAUUUAAAAUAAAGUUACAAAUUUACUUUUUAUCAAGAUAGAAUAUAAAAUCUAUAAAAAUAAUUUAUUUAAUCAUAAAUUAUAUUUAUUUAAUAAAAAUUAAAUUUAAAAAUGAUAAAAAUAACAGAAAAUAUAUUUAAAUAAGAUAGGAUGACUAUAACUUCUAAAAAAAUUCCUUGACCCCAUCCUACUCUGGUACAGGUUUGGGUCGGAAUAAAAAUUUGUUGAAGUAAUCAAGAUGGGUUGGGAACUUGGGAUGAGGAUAUGACCCCUUUCACAUAAUUCGUCAAAAUUCAAUAAUUGCUAAACUUUAAAGUUGUUGCAUGCCAUCUCACAGCAAUAAUUUUGUAGGAGGUCUUUCCACCUCCACUUCUAUUUGCUUCAUUAAUUUGUUUACACAUUGCUUUGCUUUCUACCUCUCUCUCUCUCUCUCUCUCUCUCUCUCUCAACAAACCCCUCCUUACUUGUUUAAUCUCUUCCAAAAACAAAUAAAAACAAUUAAUUCUAACUAUUCAAAAGUUAAAAGUUAAUAUUAUAAAUGUAAACUUAAAUGCAAGCAUAUAAAAUAUAUAUCAUAUCAAACUCUAAAUCUAAAUCAUUAAUAUAUUUAUCAAGUCCAAAUUAUUAAAUAAAAAUAAAAAUAUAUAAAAUGGGGUAUAAAAAAAUAAAACUAAAGCAUACAACAAAAAAAUGAUAUUUAGGUACAAAUAAAUAAAAAUUGGAUAUAAAUUAAUAAAAUCUAAAUCAAAGUGUUAGAAAAUCAUGUACAUAGGAUUUCAUAAUUCUAGUUUAAUGAACCAAAAAUAGAUGUACAAAACUCAUCUUGAGAUAUUAUGAUAGAAAUCACCUUACAUAUAUUGUUUGCAACGCUGCAUCACUUUAGUAGCACCUUGUCACCUUGUAUCGGUAUUAACCCCUUGUAUCUUCCCUCUCUUUACUCUCUCAUUCUUAAUCUUUGUAUAAAUGAUAGGAAAUGAGAGAGGGACCAAGAGCUAAGGCCAUUUUCUUUAUUUGUACCUUUGUUUCCUUAGUUUCUUCCUCUCUUGGUCAAGCCAAACUGUUCGGUUUCUCCAUUUCUUCUUCACCCCACUGCAUUUUGGGUUCUCCCUAUAACGGAAGCAUCCUUAAAUCAAGAAAAUCCCUCAAAUCAAGCAACAAAAAUGACUAUAGAUUUUUAGCUUUCAUUCAAGGAUGUAACAAUCCUUAUUUUCCUUGUAAUCGAUAGCCUUAAUUCUAGGAAACUUACUUAGAAUUGCUCUUGUUAAUGUGUAUUUAUUUUUUCUCAUACAAUCUCUUGUUAUGGUGUAAUAUUUUUCAAACAGAGCAGUAAUACAUUAUUGAGAAAUUCUCAAACUCCAUCAUGGUAUUAGAGCAGCCUUCCUCUCACGAGAACUCGAUCCCCAAUUCUGAAAACACCCACCACCCGAUUUCCACUCCACCAUCCCCAACCAAUAUUCCUAUCAUUGCUCUCAACAUCUCUGCUCAAAUAAAUGAAAAACUCACACCAUCAACCUUCCCUCAAUGGCGUGCCCAGUUUGAAUCCCUCCUAAUUGGCUACAAUCUACUUGAUUAUGUCACGGGUGACAAUCCUCCUCCUCCUCCGAGUGAUUCCUCCGCUACCAAUCCAUAGAAUACCCACUGGAUAAGACAAGAUAAACUUAUCCCCAGUGCCAUUUUGGCAUCCACCACCUCCACAAUCACCCCAUUCAUUUCCGUUACACAAACAUCACAACAGGCAUGGCAAAAAUUGCAUACCAUGUAUGCGAGCAAAUCUCGUACUCGGGCCAUGCAAUUGAAGGAGGAACUCACAAUGAUUAAGAAAAGGAAUCAGACAGUUCAAGAAUACCUGCACAUUGUCAAGGCUCUUGUUGACAAAAUCUCCCUCAUCGAUCAUCUCAUUGCAGAUGAUGAUCUCACCUUGUACAUUCUCAAUGGACUGAGCAGUGAUUUUCGAGAAAUCGCGACACCUAUAUGAGAAAGGGAAAAACCACUCGCGUUUGAAGAAUUGCAUGAUCUGCUCGUAGGCCAUGAUGCCUACCUCCGACGCCUUGAAACCACCACACAACAACUGGUUGCAUCGGCCAACUACUCCAAUCGGCAUCCUGCUUCUUCAUCAGACGGCCAACACUCUAAAGCUAACUUCAAUGGGCAACACAAAUACACUCUAAAGUGCCAAAUCUAUGAUGAACUGGGCCACAUUGCAAGACAUUGUCCACGUCUGCGCUUUGUUGAGCCCACUGCCAAUUAUGUUGCCACUUCACCUGCAACAAACCCAAAAUGGCUUAUUGAUUCUGGAGCUUCACACAACAUUACUGGUGAUUUAGCCAAUUUAUCUAUUCACUUUGAGUACAACGACACUGAUGAAGUUGUCAUAGGUGACGGUUCAGGUUGCAUGUCUCACACGUUGGCUCAUUGGUUCUCAAAUCACCCACACACACUUUUCAUUUAAAUGAUACUCUUUAUGUUCCUAAUAUUCACAAAAAUCUCAUUUCUGUCCAUCACUCCACCACACAAAACAAUGUUUUUGUUGAAUUUCAUCCCUUGUUUUUCCUUGUUAAGGACAAGAUCAUGGGGGCGGUUCUACUCAAAGGUGCAUGUGAAAAUGGCGUUUACACUCUCCCAGAUUUACUGGUGCAAGAUUCUCAAAAAAUGGUUGCCAAUGUGCAUGAACGGACCUCAAUCAAUGGGUGGCACAAGCGUCUUGGACAUCCCUCUAAAAAAAUAGGUCAUCACCUUGUUAAGAAUUUUUAUCUUCCAAUAAUACAAAAAGAACAUAGUUCUCAUUUUUGUACCUCUUGUUCUAUUACUAAAGCGCACAAACAACCAUUUCGGACCAAUAGCCUUCAAAGCCAUGCACCUCUUGAUUUAAUUUAUACUGAUGUUUGGGGUCCCUCAAAUACAAUUGGUCUUGAUGGAUCACGGUAUUAUUUGAUUUUGGUUGAUCAUUUUACAAAGUAUAUUUGGUUUUAUCUAAUGGAAACCAAAUCUCAACUAAGCAUGAUAUUUCCUCAAUUUAAACAUCUCAUUGAAAAUCAAUUUCAAUCAAAAAUCAAAAGUAUCUACUCGAAUAAUGGUGGUGAAUUUGUUGCCUUAAAAAAAUAUUUUUCUAUACAUGGCAUAAGUCAUUACACCACAGCUCCUCACACACCACAACAAAAUGGUGUAUCCGAGCGUCGUCAUCAUCAUUUGGUAGAAACGGGUCUUACCCUUUUACAUGAUGCUUCUUUACCUUUAUCAUAUUGGCCUUAUGCCUUUUCAACGUCUACUUACCUCAUCAACAAACAACCAACCCCUCUCCUACAUAACAAACCCCCUUUUGAAGCAUUAUUUCAUCAGCCCCCCAACUAUCUUAAACUAAAAAAAUUUGGGCAUCUAUGUUUUCCUCUCACCAAGCCCUAUAACACACAUAAGUUGCAGCCCAAGGCAACACCAUGUUUGUUUGUGGGCUAUUCCCCAACCCAAAAUGCGUAUAAAUGUCUUGAUCCACAAGCCCAUAAACUAUAUUUAUCUAGGCACGUUCUGUUUGACGAAAGUCAAACCCAUCAUCUCCUCCGUUCAGUCGAAACACAGGUACCAUCCAUGUCCAUUUCGCUUGCCCCACCUGUGCCACUCACACUUUUGCCGCAACCACCGCCAGUGCCAACGAAAGGUAACGCCAUUUUCGCCUCAUCUCCAAGUAACUGCCUCGACUCAUCUUCUUCUCUUUUUCGAGACAUGCAAUCCCUAAAUUCAUGCCCUAAUUCCUCUCAAUCACAUGAACACUUGCAUUCUAACUCAAAUUCACACACCAAUCCACUCUCAGAACCCAUGGUUGUCCAUGAUCACCAUCACAGUGACCCUCCACUGCCUCCUUCUCACCGCAUCCACACCAUGACCACUCGGUCAAUGAAUAACAUUCAUAAGCCCAAACAGUUCAACUCUGUGACCAAACACCCACUCUCACCAAUCGUUGAACCAACAUGUGUGGGCCAAGCACUUCGUGAACCUCACUGGAGACAUUCUAUGUCAGAUGAACUUACUGCUCUCAUGCGUCAUGGCACUUGGGAUCUAGUUUCCUAGCCCAAAAAUUGUAAUCCUGUUGGGUGCAAAUGGGUAUUCCGUGUGAAAUGAAACUCGGAUGGUUCAAUUGACCGCUUCAAAGCUAGGCUUGUUGCUAAAGGAUUUAAUCAACGAGAAGGGUUAGAUUACAAAGAAACCUUCAACCCAGUUGUACAACAUGCAACAUUAGGACUGUCUUGACAGUGGCUGUAAUGCAGGGGUGGUCAUUAAGACAGUUAGAUGUUAACAACGCUUUUUUACAUGAUGACUUGACUGAGACUGUGUAUAUGACACAACCACUAGGAUUCAAAGAUGUCAACAAGCCAAAUCAUGUGUGUAGGUUAUGUAAGGCUAUCUAUGGCCUUAAACAUGCCCCAAGAGCUUGGUAUUCAACUCUUAAACUGACAAUUAUGGGUCAUGGUUUUUAAAAUUCCAAAGCUGACUCAUCUCUUUUUAUCUAUUGUUAGAACUCUGUCAUAUGCUAUAUUAUUAGUAUAUGUGGAUGAUUUGGUUAUCACCGACAAUAAUUUGUGCUUUGUGUCUGAGAUUGUUGCACAACUUGGUAAUUGGUUUUCCUUAAAGGACAUGGGACAACUCAACUUUUUCUUGGGAAUGGAGGUUAUUUCUACAAAAUCUGGGCUUUUUUUUUCUCAACAUAAAUAUAUUCGAGACCUAUUGUCCAAAACCAAUAUGAUUGGUGCUAAAGAUGUCUCAACCCCAUUGUCCACCACCACGUCCCUCAAAUUGAUUGAGGGUACUUCAUCUACCAACAGUAUAGAGUUUCGAAGUGUCAUUGGUGCUCUUCAAUACCUGUCCCUCACUAGACCGAAUAUCUCAUUCUCUGUAAAUAAACUUUCUCAGUUUAUGCAUAAGCCUACAGUGACACAUUGGACAGUUGCAAAGCAACUUCUUCGCUAUUUAAAGCACAUUAUGUUUCAUGGACUUCACAUAAAAAAAAAAAAAUCCAGCUUUGAACUCAUUACAUAUUCUGAUGCGGAUUAGGCGGGCAACUAUGAUGAUUGGACCUCCACCUCCGCAUAUAUCUCAUUUCUUGGUGUCAAUCCUAUCUGCUGGAGUUCAAAGAAGCAAAGGGCAGUGGCACGUUCAUCCACUAAAGCAGAAUAUAGAGCCCUUGCCAAUGCAGCCUCCGAGACAUCAUGGCUUCUCUCAUUAUUCAAGGAACUAGGUCUGCUUUUAUCUAGACAACCCAAGUUGCUCUGUGAUAAUUUGGGUGCAACUCACCUCAGUUUUAAUCUAGUCCAGCACUCUUGAAUGAAACACAUUCAGAUUGACCUUCAUUUUGUCUGAGAUAUGGUUCAAAGUGGCAUUCUAAAUGUUCAUCAUGUUAACACCUAGGACCAGUUGGCUGAUCUUCUCACAAAAGGCCUCUCACGCCAAAGGACAGAAAUUUCAAGGGACAAGAUUGGCUUAGCCGAUGGCAGCUCCAUCUUGCGGAGGCAUAUAAAGGAAGCAUCCUCAAAUCAAGAAAAUCCCUCAAAUCAAGCAACAAAAAUGACUGCAGAUUUUUAGCCUUCAUUCAAGGAUGUAACAGUCCUUAUUUUCCUUGUAACCGAUAACCUUAAUUCUAGGAAACUUACUUAGAAUAGCCCUUGUUAACGUGUAUUUAUUUUUUCUCAUACAAUAUCUUGUUAUGAUGUAAUAUUUUUCAAACAGAGCAGUAAUACAUUAUUGAGAAAUUCUCAAACUCCGUCACUUCCAUCUCUUUGUCCUCAAACAAUUAAGACACAAACUUUGAUGCAUCUCUGUCUUGGAUUCUUCCUGUCAAAAGGAACAGUUGAAGUACCUCCAUUGCUUCUCUAUUUCUUUGAGUCAAAGGACAAAGUCUGCCUUUCUCUGUUUCUUCUAAUCAUUUUCAAAAUGCAACAUUGUGAGAUCUACUAAUCCUAAACUUGUUUCUCAAAGAAUCAAAAUCAUAAAUACCAAGAUGUAUACACAUGCAGGUAACACGUCCUCUUGACAAUGAUGUGACAGGUGUAGUAGACAAGGAACAUACAUACCUGUAUUCCAAGGAAGUACCAGUGCAUUUGAUGACAUUGUUCUAGCCUAAAUUCUAAAUUUUAGCAAUCCGAAAUCUGUAACUUCUGCAAAAUUUACCUAGUUGUUGAGGGAACAACACAUCUUCUCUUACCAUUUUCAUCUUAUGCACUACAAAUCCCAUGUCAACUGCCACUUCCACUAGACCUGAAUGAAGUAGGAACACAAAUGAACAUUUCAAGGCAUCGGAUUGUCUGAAAAUUAAAUUGGGAGAGGUAGAACUACCGAUGCUUACAUGGAACUGAGGAAAAGACAAACAAGAUCAACAAAAAUGGAAGAGAAAAUGCAAAUCCAUAAGCCUGUAGCUGCUGUCCAAAGCAGCUUCCUUGUCAAUUGUCAACAAAAAGUCCACUAUGAAAUUCACUGGUAGAGCCACAUAUAGAAAAUUGUAAUAAAUGGUAAAGUAAGAAAUCUGCGCUGGGAAUGGGUGAAGCUUAUUGAAUGUAAGGUUCUAAACAGUCUCUGACUAAACACGGUUGAAGAAUAGGGUUUCACAGGAAUAAUUUUCUUUCAUUGAGAUUAUUCUUUUAUAGAGUUUACAACAUAUAGAAAUCCUUCAAAUUAGGAAACUAAAUCACUGAUUAAAAGGAAAGAAUAACUCCUAACAAUUACUUUCCUAAAAAUACAAAGAUUGACAACUAAUAAAUAAUUUACAGCUUUACAAAGUUAUUUAUUUCCAUAUCAGUUUCGGUUUUCCAACAAACACCAUUGGAGUAUAGAUAGUAGCUCUUAGAGAGAAGUGAGGUCUUGGUGACCCUGGAAGGUUAAGGCUUCCAGAUACUGGAAUCUUUGUGUGCAGACAUACAUGAGAGAGAUGUAGGAAGGAAGAGGCAAGCCUGUGUCAUCCGAGCAGAGGCAUCUGGAAUCUUUGUGUGCCAUUAUUCAAUCCAAAGAGAUGCUGGGAGAGAUUUGUUCAGGAUUUAUGUGAUGUACAGUCUUUUCACAAUCAUAAAUAGUAUUUAAGUAUGGAAUUUUGGAAUAAGGUGAUAUACCAGUAACAUGGAAAAUAAGGUGAUCACAAAGGACUACACAGUUAGCAUGUUUGGAAUAGUUGUGGUUGGUUAAUUUCAAGCCCAAGUUUUAGCACCUAAAAACAUGCCCAUUUUUUCCAGACCCUUUAGCAAGCCUGCACGGAAGCAUUCUCUGGUUGUUACAUACAUGGUGUCUACAUAUCAAUCAACACAUUUUGAUGUUUUUUUCUCAAAUUCCAUAUUAAAGUUAUACUGGACACUUGAAUGCGAACAUGUCUGAUUAUAUCUUUUCUUUCCAGACAUGUUUCAUCUCUCCAGUGCACUAGGUUUGGAUGAACCUUAAAGCUCAGCUACAGAAUGAAACUGGAAUAUUAGUCAUGUUUUCUGUACAUAGAUUGAUAAAAAUGUUGAGUAAGAUCAAGAAAGCUGUUAAAUGGGAAGAUGAUGAUUUUCUUACUGUCAGUUUGCAUUGAAAAAAUGGUAAUCAGAAAAGAUAUUUUGGAUAGGAUUCAGAAAGAAAAUAUAUUGAUUCAAAAGUUAGAGAUAUAGUACCCAAGGGGCUAUGAUCCUGUAUAUGGAUGUUUCAUGUUUUAAGAUUGUGCACGAAGUGCUGAUGUUAUAAGGGAUCAAGGGUGGUUUGUGGAGUAGUCCCCUCUUCAGAGUAUUGCAAGUAUAUAAUCCUACAAUUCUGGAGUAGGCUUCUUCUAAUUUGCUCUGCUCCCAAUCGUCCAGAAUAGUGGAAAGCUUCAUUCAGUUGUAAUAAUUUUAUUAUUUAGAUUGAAUCAUAUUCAUUGGGUUUGUAGAUCAAGAGAAAGUGUCAUGGCUUUGAAUGUUUGUCUCUUUGAUAAUAUCACAGUGCAUUGGUCCACAGAGAUGGAAGCAUGACAGUUGAAUGAAAUGACUGAAAUGUAGCAUUCAAGGGUAAAUUAUAUGAAAACUUUUAAAUAGAGCAACCUGUUUGACUUCACAUAGUGUGCUUGCAUCAGUUGUGGACGUCUAAUGGUUGGAAUAUCCUUGCACAUAUGUCGUCAUUUUCUUUUCUUCAGCUCUGUUUUCUUUGUUUCUCCCUUCCUCGGUCAAGCCAAACAGCUUGGUGAUUCUUCAUUUCUUCUUCAUCCCAUCAAGAGAACAGCAUCUCAUGCAUCUUUGUAUUGGGUUCCUCCCUCUUCUUCCACCCUAAGGAAAAACCGUAUCUUGCUUAGUUUGGACUUCUCUAUUUCUUUUGAUCAUUGUGAAAAGCAUCAUGAGAAGAGGUACAAUAAAUGUGUUGUGCUGAAUUAUUCAAAACAUUAUUUUCAUAAUCAUAAAUACCAAGGUGUUUAAGCAGCAGGUAAGGCAUCUCUUGACAAUGAGGUGAGAGGUAGAAACAAGCAACAUACCUGUAUUCAAGGGAAGUUCUGUUCUUCUUCUGAAAUUUGACAACAUUCAUUUAGUCUGAACUCAAUAUCUGGGCAACUCAGCAUCUCCACCUUCAUUAGGAUUGCAGGAAGCUGGCUUCUUGGAAAGACAUGAAACGGGGGCAUUUCAAAAUCUAAAAGAAUUUCAGAGACCUGUUGCAACUUUUGAAUUGCUCAAAUCAGUAACAACUCCAGAGAUAUAUACAUAUCUGCCCCUGGGAAAUUGAGGUGUCCUAGGCAUGCAACCAUGGAAUAUUAGCUCCCUAAUAGGCUCAAGGUUGUGAUCAUAAAAAAUGCACUGAGUGGGUGACUUGCAAUCGGUUCUGUGAGUCCCUCUUGGUAGCUUCUCAUUUAUUGCACCAUAUGAAUUGCAGAUUCCAACUGCCAAUUUCACCACCCCUAAAUGAACUAGGAGACAUGCUGAAAGCAAAGUUAGACAACUCAUCAUAGAGUUAAUCCUGCAGGAAUACACCAAAAAGGAAAUCUUAUAAUAUAAAUGAAUUCAUCCAAUUAAAGGAUAAGGUUGCCUGAAAAAUUAAAUUGAGAGAGAUGGAUAUAGUGAUGCUUACAUGGGAUUGUGGGAAGGAUCAACAAGAGAAACAAACAUUGAAUAGCAAAUGCAAAGCCAUAGAGCUUGCAACUGCUGUCAAAAGCUGCUCCCUAGUGAAGUCUUUUAACAAUAAAUUUCAGUGCAAAAUUCGCCUAAUUGCUCCACUUGUAGGACAUUUCAAUAGUAUGAAAACAGGAUAUGGUGAACUCCCCCUGCUUCUGCCAUUAGUGAACUAAUAUGGAUCAAAGAUGAAUCUCGUCAUCUACAUCUAUUUUUACAUAGGAGAUGUGGGCAAUCUUGGGCCAAUAUCUCAUCAUUGGAUUUAGUAGUUGUCUCUGAUUUAUGGUUCUAAAAGCAUGGCAGGAUCACUUGCCAAAUACUACUAGAGCUUAGGUGAUGUCUCAAUGUGGGGAAGCCAAGGAUACCAGAUUCUGGAAUCUUUACAUGAAAAUAUACCACCAACGAUGAAUUGUCUGAGAGUGGUGAGUCUGUGAGGGCCCCACUGGGACCUGGGGUGUUUCUCACAUUCUUUCAAUCUUCAAUUUGAAGUAGCCACUUGAGCAAUUGUACCUCCAGGAAUGAGUCAUUUUGGGGCAGAUUGUUUUCAUUUUCCUUCACACCAUUGUUUCACUAUAGGGCACUAAAUGAUAUGUAGUUGCAAGACGAAUAGAGGCAGCCAUUAAUGAAAGCUUAUGGAAAUUCAAGACAAACAGAUCUUCAUGGAGAUAUGAGGUUUUGAAAUCCAAUAAAGGUUUGAAAAUCCAAACACGAGUUAUCCAAUGUACCCAUUGGUAACAGAGUUGGGCAGUGUUGUUCCUUCUACCCUUGGAAAAGGACAUCACAUAAGAAAUUCCACUAGUAAUGGGGGGCUUAAGUGAUGUGUUGGGGCUUGGGCAAUGCUGUAUCUUAAGAUAUUCAAGAGAUGUGUGAUCAUGCAUCAACCCUAAUUCUGCUAGCAUAAUCUGGUUUUCAGUCACAAAUAUGUAGUUAAAAUGUAUGGCAGGUCAUGCAUGCAUCUCUUGAAUUGUCAUGAGAAGUGGAGAUUGAGCAACAUACAUGAUUCAAGGGAUGUGCAACUGUUCUUGUGCAUCAAACAAUCUUCAUCUGAUACAAAGCUUAGAUUUUUAGCAACUUGUGAUCUCCACAUUUUAACACAUUGGAGGAAGUUGGCCUAUUCAACAAACAAGACAGAACAUUUAGAAAAAUGCAAGAAUUCCAGACAUGUGUUGUUGUCAUGAAUUAUUCCAAUCAGUAAGGAAUCAAAGUGCUAUAAUUUUGAUUUGUGUAACUACUUAGCAUGGAUAACAGACCUAUCUUGGGGAAGUAACUCAAGUCCCAAGCACCAACUCAAUCCUGAGCUCUCUGGGAUACUUGAGGCACCAACUUAAUCAAAGCUACUUCUUGUUUCUAUGGCAGCUCAUCUUCCUCCACUGAUACUGGGGAAAAUGCAAAACAAAGGGAAAUGAAGUCAUGUUGUGAUCCUGUCUCCAAUCUCCUUGACAUAGAUAGAUGAUUUCCUUGCAACCGACAAUGUCUAAUGCUUUCACUUCAGUUCUAACAUGUGUUUUGGGAAGAGAAUUAAGCUUUCAAAUAUUGCCAAUAUGCAAGGAAUUGAGAAAGGCCAGGUGGGCAACUGCCACAGUUAGUUCACAAACCAAUGGCAACAUUGGAAGUGGAACAUGACACAAAAACUUCAAAAGACAAAACCUGUUUUUCACAAUCAUAAAUACCGAGGUGUUUAAGCACAAGGUAAUGCAUCUAUUGACAAUGAUGUGUGACGUGGAGACAAGCAACAUACCUGUAUUCAAGAUAAAUGGUAUUCUUCUUUUGCAUUGACAACAUGCAUCUAGUCUAGGCCCCAAGUUUUUAGCAACUCCAGAUCUCCACCUUCAUUAGGAUUACAGGAAGCUAACCACUUGGAAAGACAUGAGAGUAACAUUUAGAAAUCUGAAAGGAUUCUAGAGAGCUGCUGCAACUGUUGAAUCAUUCUAAUCAGUAACAACAAGGAGCCCUAUAUACAAUUUUGAACUGUCAGCCUUCAUAGCAUGAAUGAUAAACUUGUCCCUAGGAAUGAUAUGUGCCUUGGGCAUGCAACCUUCAAUUAUUAGUUAGAGUUACCCCCACCUAAUCCAUCUCAAUGUGUCUGGGAAAACGAGGUCCACCAGAUGUUGUGGCCAUUAUCUCAUGGUAGUGGAUGUUUUGAAGCAAAGUCUAAAACGAAGUCAUCACUGGAGGUUAUGUCCAUUAUCCCAUUGCAGCAGAUGUUUAGCACCAGAGUUUAAAACCAAGUCAUUGACAAAGGCCAUAGUGAUGUCAUUGAUUUUAUUCUAAACUUAUCAAAAACAAUAUGAGAUUCACUUUGAUUUCAAGUUAUGCAAGAUCUAUAUGAGCUCAAUUGUUUUGAAACUUGAUUGAUGUUUCGUUGGUCAGGUCUUCUUUAGACAUGAACCUAUUUUUUGUGCUUAACUUGAAGAAGCUGCCAAUAAGACUGAAUAGUCACAUAUCACUCAGAGAGUUGAGAAUAACACAACUCUUUCGUUUUUUUUUUAGGACUGGUUUGUCAUCAAGUAUUUUGCUCGGUUGUUGUGAUGGUUUGAAAUUUCUAUCUGAUGACUAUAACCUAUAUAAACAACAACUUGUAUUCUCUUAUCUUGAGCAUUAUUUUGCAAAAAAGAUUUUUAUGAGCACUUCUAUUUGGAUGUCUUUCUAACAGUCGUUAGUAUUCAAUAAAAAUGACCUUUACUAAACCUGCAGAUUUUUUCAGGUGAUAUUUUUUUUUUACAAUAAGGAAGGGAGGCAUUUUUAUUGGUAGCAUAUCCUGAUUCAUAGAGUAUAAACCCUUGCAAAUUGAAAGAAAGACAAUUUACAUAUCAUUAAAGGGUGAUCUGUAAGCACUCUUAUAGGCCUACAUCUUCCUCAUUUGGAUAAGCGUUUACUUGUUUUUAAUCUGUUUUUUAGGAAGACAGUUAAUGAGAUUUUGCCAACCAAAAACAGAGGUUUGUUAGCCCUCCUACCCUCUGGCUGGUUCUCUUGCAUAUGCUUGAAGAAUAUUGGAAACCAAUUAAUUAGUCAUUGCAGUUUCAUAGUCUUACAAGAAAUCUUGUUAUGGUGGCAAGAGAACAGACUGCAACAUAGUCUCAUUCCCCUUCAUGAUUUAGACAUUGUAAAGAUCAAAAACCUAUUCCUGGUAAUAUAAGAAGAAGAGCAGCCAAAGAAAAGGAACAAAAUGUAUAGGAACCUUAUGGACUUGAAUAGUUGGUAUUCAGGUGGCAAAAAUACACAAAAAUGCACUUAACAAACUACUAAUCAGCAGGCCAAGAUUCUACUUCCAAGAGACAGGUUUGUCAUCCAUGUCAAGAAGGCUCGCACUUCAUUUUUGUGGGACUUUGAUAUCAACAAAUUUAUGGAAUUCUUUCAGGUUUCUAAAUGGAAUGGUUCAAGUCAUCAACACAUUCCCAGAAUUCUUUCGUAAAUGUCAUCAUCCUGGCUAGCUUUCUUCAGUGUUGAAAGAGGGGGUGAUACCAUGUUGCUAAAAAUUGCAGUCUAUAUGUACUAGAUGGACAAGAACUACAACACUUGUAUUAGAAACAUCUCUGUUGCCUGGAUUGGUAUUACUUGCCAUAAUUAAGCACCUUUUUAUUAUUGUAGCAGAGUGUUUCAAAGUCACCCAUACUUAAUCCAUCUUCAUGUCUCUCAAACAACUAGGUCCAUUAGUAGCAAAAGAAGAGCAAUUUGAAUAGCUGGUCAUUUCCUUUUAUAAUUUAGGGAUAAAGGUCAAAAACUACAACACUUGAAUAGCUGGUAUUAAGAUGGACAAGAACUACAACACUUCUCUCAUAAACAUGUAUGUUCUUUCUUCAACUCUUACUCUAUUGCCUGGAGUUGCAUUACCUGCCAUGAUUAAUCGCCUCCUAUUUAUUCUUGUGGAGAAACAGGUUUUGGUGUAUGUAGAGACUACAGUUGCUGCACCUCUUGAUUUUCAAGACCACCCAGUCUCUCCUCAAGCAUCUGGAAUUGUCAAGCUGAUUUAUGGCUAACCUUCCAAGGACCUUAGGGGUUUCAUACAGGGUAGAUCUAGUGCAAGAGAUUCAGAAUUAUCUCUACAUAAUCCACCUCCAUUUCUUUAGAACAACUAAAUGCUAUGGCCAAAAUCUCACUUAAGGCGUCAGGUUCAUGUUGGGGCUCAUUCACAAGAUUAAGAUGAAUAUAGCAGGGGAUGUUCCUGAUCUACCACCAGCCAUGUUGUCCAGUUGUUCAAUGCCCCUGUGUUGACUAUGGCCACAGUCACAGUUGUGUCCUUUCCCCAAAGAAAUGUCAUUUUGAAAUUUUUAAUGUCAACAACAGAACUUUCAUGUUUCUACAUUCAGGUACCCACAAAAAAUUGAGUCCAUGUUAGCAUCCAAUGAUGGAAAGUAAUAAUCUAAACAAUGGAACAAGGGCUCUCCUUGCUCUUUUUUAGAAGAACACUAGUUUAUUUCCAAUCAAUUGAGGAGGAAACUAAUUCUAAACACGGAAGCCAGGUACUUGAUUUCUGUUUGAUUGGUGGAACAACUGAAACAUAUUUACAGAUUUAACAUUAGAUAAGUUUAACAAAAUCACUAAUUAACUCCCAAACCUCUCCCCCCACCCACCACAACGGAAAGAAAAAACGUUUUGGGAUCCUAGUAGCUUUAUGUUACAAGAUUCUGAUCAACAUAUGGUGCAGAGUAUUAUGUUGGUCCAGUUCCUCUACUCUGCAUUGCAACAAAGUAUAAGUGGGUUUUCUCUUUUCUUCAUCUUCAAAUGAAACAACCCUUCUCAAUAAAAGAAUACAAGAAAUUGAAAGCUAAGACCGUUUCCUUUCAUUGUACUUUGUUUCCUCUGCUCCUUCCUCUCUUGGUCAAGCCAAACAGUCCAUGGUUUGUCCAUUUCUUCUUCAUCCCACAUCAAAAAGCAGUGUGUUGGGUUAUCCCAUCUCUUUAUCCCCUUGUCAAGACACAGAAUUUAAUGCAUUGCUAUCUUUGAUUCCUCCUAGUUAAAAGGAAGCUUGAAAUAUCUCCAUUGCUUCUCUGUUUCUUUGAGCCAAAGGAUAGAAUACUGCUUUUCUCUGUUUCUUUGAGGUGCAAGAGGUUUGUACAGAACUUAGGUGAGGUAACUAUUGGUCAGGGAGGUAAGCAGAUCUGAAACAUUUUCUUGACUUCCAACGGAAUAUCCUUGCACAUAUGUUACCAUUUUCUUUUCUUCAACUCUGUUUUCUUUGUUUCUUCCUUUCUUGGUCAAGCUAAACAAUCUGGUGAUUCUUCUUUUGUUCUUCAUCCCAUCAGGAGGCAGCAUCUCAUGCAUCUUUGCCUUGGGGUCCUCCCUCUCCUUCCAGCCUACGGAAAAAUAAUACCAUUGCUAAGUUUGGACUUCUCUGUUUUUUUUUUUAUCAUUUUGAAAAGCAUCAUGGGAAGAUGUACAAAAAAUGUGUUGUGCUGAAUUAUCCCCUUCUCUACUAACCAAAACAUGUUCUUUCACAAUCAAAUAUCAACGUGUUUAAGCAGUCGGUGAGGCAUAUCUUGACAAUGAGGUGAGAGGUAGAAACAAGAAACAUACUCGUAUUCAAGAGAAGCGUUGUUUCUUCAUUUGCAUUAGACAACAUUCAUUUAGUCUCAACUUGAAAGUGGAUUGCUAGAAUCUGAGCUCUUGCAAAGACACAAAAGUACAUUUAGAAAUCUAAAAGAAGCCCAGAGACCAGUUGCUACUUGUGAAUCACUGUAAUCAGAAACAAUUCCAAAUAAUCCUGCAAAUCUAAACCUUUGAUUUGCUCCGUUCCCUUUUGCCAAGAAUAGUUCUAAAACGUUUUUCUUUAUUGAGUUGUAAUCAUUUUAUUAUUUGGAUUUAAUUGUAUUCAUUAGGUUUACAAAUCACAAAAACGGUGUCGUGCUUAUGAAUAUCUUCCUCUUUGAUCAUGUAAAAUUGGGAAACAGAUAUGGAUUACUAUUAUGAUAGCAUAGUGUAUUGAUCCACACAGUUUGUGGCAUGAUAGUUUAAGGAAAUUACAGAAGUGUAGCACUGAUGGGCAUGUCAUGUGAACAUUUUUCAAUGGAGCUACUUGUCCAAAUUUACAUGGGUGAAUUGUCACACCAAUGUCCUCUGAUGAACCUUAGGUUCUAUUUUCUAUUUCUUCCUCUCUUGGUCAAGCCAAACAAUUUGUCUUCAUGAGGACUUCAUAUUACCAAUAAGCAGCAUCUUGUGUUCUCCUUCUCUUCAUCCCCUUGUCAAGACAGCAAUUUGAUGCAUCUUUCCAUUGGAUUGCGUCCUCUCUGCUCCCUCUCCUUCCUCCUUGAGGCAAAACCAUAUCAUUGCUUAGUUUUGACUAUGUUCUUUUGAUCAUUGUGAGAGAGCAUCAUUGUAAGAUGUACAAGAAAUGUGUUGUGGUGCAUUAUCCCCUUCUCCACCACCUAAAAUAUGUUUUACAUGAUCAUAAGGACCAAGGUGUUUUAAGCAUCAGGUAAGGAAUUUGUUGACAAUGAUGUGAGAGAUAGAAACAAGCAACAUACCGAUAUUCAAAAGACAUGAUGUUCUUCUUUUGCAUUUGACAACAUUCAUUUAGUCUGAACUCCACAUUUGAGCAACUCAAAAUCUUCACCUUCAUUAGGAUUGCAGGAAGUUGGCUUCUUGGAAAGACAUGGAAAGGGAGCAUCUAGAAAUCUGAAAGAAUUCCAGAGGCUUGUUGCUACUUUUGAAUCAUUCCAAUCAAUAGUAACUCCAAAAGAUGUAUACAAAUCUAUCCCUGGAAAAGAGAUGUGUCCUGUGCAUAUGCAACCGUCUCUCUAAUAGACUCGAGAUUGUGCACCCUCAUGGUGGUUUCGUAUAGAUUGCACCAUAUGAAUUGUAGAUAUCCAACUACCAAUAUCACUACACCUGAAUGAACUAGGAGUUAUGCUGAAAGUGAAUUUGGACAACCCAUCAUCGAAAGAAUCCUGUAGGAAUACACCAAAAAGAAAAUCUUUUUAACAUAAAUGAAUUCAUCCCGUUAAAGGAUAAAGGUGCCGAAAAAAUUGAAUUGGGAGAGAUAGAAAUAUUGAUGCUUGCAUGGGACUGUGAGAGGGACCAACAAGUGGAACAAACAUUGAAUAGUAAAUGUAAAACCAUAAAGCUUGUAACUGUUGUCAAAAGUUGCUCUCUACUGAAGUUUUUUAACAAUAAAGGUAAGUGCAAAAUUCACCUAAUAGCUCCACUUGUAGAAAAUUUCAAUGGUGUGAAACUAGGAUAUGGUGAACUUGCUUCCGCUAUUGCAGUGAACCAUUAUGGAUCAAAAAUGAAUCUCACCAUCGAUUUUCACAUAGGUGGGCUAUCUUUGGCCCAUAUCUCAAUAUUGAAUUUAGGAGUUCUGUCUCUCAUAUAUGGUUCCACUUGCAAAAUACAAAUGGAGCUUAGCUGAUGACAACACAUUUAGAAAAAUGCAAGAAUUCCAAAGACAUGUUUUGUGCUAUCAUGAAUCAUUCCAAUCAAUAAGGAAUCAAAGUGCUAUAAUUUUGAAUUGUCUUAGGGAACAUACCCCAAUUCAAUCUUGCGGAAGUAAACUGUCUUGAGCACCAACUCAAUUCUGAGUUCUUUGGAAGACUUGAGACACCAAUUCAAUCAAAACUGCUAGUUGUUUUUGUGGUAGAUUGUCUUCCUCCACUGAUACUGGGGAACCCCAAAGCCCUAUAUACAAUUUUGAACUGUCAGCCUUCUUACCUUGAAUGAAAAACCUAUCCAUAGGAAAGAGGUGUCUUGGGCAUGCAACCAUCAAUUAUUAGCUAUCGAAAAGGCUUGAAGUUGUGCACCCACUUGGUAGCUUCUAAUUCAUUAAACCAUAUAACUUCUAGAUAUCCAAUUGGCACGUUACUACACCUGAAUGAAAGUGAAUAGGAAGUUAGACAACCUUUCACAAAAAGAAUCCUGUAAGAAUACACCAAACAGAACUUCUUGUUAACAUAAAUGAAUUCACUCAGUUAAAUUAUUGUGUGAAAAUUUAAAUUGGGAUAAAUAAAAAUAUCGAUGCUUACAUGGGACUGUGGGAGGACCAACAAGAGGAACAACCUUUGAAUAGCAAAUGUGAAGCCAUAAAGCUUGUAACUGCUGUCAAGACGUUGCUCCCUAGUCAAGUUUUCAACAAAAAGGUUCAAUGUAGGGAUUCUCUAGUAGUUGAACUUGUAGAAAAUUUCAACAGUAUGACUUUAUACUUGUAAUAAGAAGAUAAAAUGUAAGAAUUAUGUGUUGGGAAUAAAUGAAACUUACUAAAUAUAUGGAUAGGAUAGGGUGCACUCUCUGUGCUUCCAUUUUUGGAAUCUAAUGGAUCAAAGAUGGAUCUCUCCAUCUAUUUCCAAAUAGGAGAAGUGGGCAAUCUUGAAUUGAUGUCUCAUCAUUGGAUUUGGAACUGAUGUAUAGCUCUAAAACCAUGACAGGGUUCUCCUUCAGUUGACAAAUACAACUAGAGCUUAGGUGAGGUCUUGGUGAUAUAGAAAAGUUAGGGAUUCUGGAAUCUUUACAUGAAAAUAUACAUGAGAUACAUUGGAAGAAAGGGCAGGCCUUGGUCAUUUGAGAAGAAACACAUCUUAAAUAUACUAUCAAUCAUGAUGAGUUGUUUGAGAAUCAUGAGUCUAUGAAGGCCUCACUCAUAUAAGGGAUGUCUUUGACAUUUCUCACUCUUCAAUCUUAGGAAGGUACAUCAUCAACCAGAACAUUAUGAAUAUGAGUCAUCAUGAGGCAACUUGUUUAUGUUUUUUAUUCUUUUCUCACCAGAGGGGAUUAAAAGAUAUUUAGUUGCAAGGACAAGAGAUGUAGCUAGUACUGAGAGCAUCAAACAAUCCUUCUCUAAUGCAGACCACAAAUUUUAGCAACUCGUGAUCUCCACAAUUUAGAGCACUGAAGGAAGUUAGCCUGUUGGAAAGAUGUUCCAUGACAUUUAGAAAUAUGCAAGAAUUCCAGAGAUCAUUCCAAUCAUUAAGGAAUCCAAAGCCCUAUAAUUUGAAUAGGGCAUCCACUUGGCAUGGAUAACGCACCUAUCUUGGGAAAAAGAUUGGGCACCAAUUCAAUUAUCAACUCUCUAUGAAACUUGAGAUACAAGGUACCAAUGUUAGUUGCUUCCGUGGCAGUUCUUCUUUUACUGGUAUUGGGGCAAAGCCUUUUGAAAACCCUCAAUCUACAAAUUGCCAAGGACAUGAGAUCAUGUUGUAAUCUCAUCUCCAAUCUCCAACUGCAAACAAAUUAUUUCUUUCAAUUAACAAUCUUUAAUGCGUGCACUUCUAUCAUAUGAUAAGAAAUUUAGGAAAACAAGUAAGCUUUAUAAUAUUAGGAAUAUGCAAGGAAUUGAUAAAGGCUAUGAAUCUACUUUCAAAAAAUAAAAUAUAAAAACAAAUAUUUUUUUUCACCCAUGAAUACUGUAACCAGCUUCUAAAAAACAUUAGGUAUUGAAAUAACCCAAUGUUCCUCAGGUAUUAAAGUUGAAGUUCAAAGUUACCAAGAGUGCUUUUUUGACCCAUGCAUAAAAUAAAAAGAAAAUAAGAAAGCAUAACAUAUAACUCAUAAUUGUGUCAAGUAUGAGUUCAAUUCAUGGUCAUGCACAAUUGCAUUAAGUAUUUAAAAGCUAAAUAAGGCUAUGUGCAAUUCAAAGAAUACCAUACAACUCAUAAUAGAAUCCUCACAGCUCACCAUAGAAUGAGAACUCAAACGUCUUUCUUCCGGUCAUAAGAGUUUGUGCUCUUCGAGCCUCUGACUUGCACAACUCAAGACAGCAGGACAUGCCAAAAAGUCUCUUUCACCUCAAACAUUAUUCAAAUCUGCAGUCUAAAUCUAGAUAAGAUAAUUUUCUACAAAUAUAACAUGUUGCAAACAAAUAACAGUAUGUUGGUUUAAAAUUGAAGAGCAUUUCAAACCAAACAAAAUAGAAAAAUUUUCAGUGUACAUCACUCACCUAAAAGCUUGUAUGUUGGAUAAAAUUCUUGCUAAUGAAUCCUGACAAUUAUUUGCAAUCAAAAUUUAGUAAUGGUUUAUAACCAAAAAAAAAAUAUUACAAAAUUUUUUAGCAAUGUUCCAUGAAAAACACAUUGCAUAUUGAUUGAGAAAUUAAUAUGAAAUCCACUAAUUUGAAAGGCACUAAAUACCAUAUGUUCUCUUGAGUUCUCCAUGUAUCAAAACAGAUGCAAGUUCCUAUUCGAGCCACCACAAUCACGGAGCAAAAGACUUCUUAGCAUGGAAGGCAUACCAUAUUUUAAACAAGGUUCUUAACUUUCCAAGAGACAUAAGAACGUGGUGUGUUGUAGAAACUGUAGAAUAAAUAAAUGGAAGUUAGACAUAUGCACUUGCUACUUAGUUUUUUAAUCAUGUGUGAAAUAAAUAAAGAGGUGUUACUUGCAUUUAGGCCAAACUUGUAGUCUCCAAUGUGAAAUCCAAAUCUCAUUUUGUCAAUAGAAUAAGAGUAUUAAACAUAUAGAAAAUUGAAUCCUUCCUUUUGACAAUUUGAAAACCUUAAAGGAAUGACUUGAGAUUAUAAAUAACUAUAUGGUAAAGAAAAUUUUCAUCAUUCUUUCUAAAAGGAAAAUUUGUCAUUUCCUUGAUUACGGAAGAUUGAUAUUUUAACAUAAAGUGCACUUAUUAAGGUAAACUUUGUGCAUUAUAUAUUGAUUUAGAAAAUUGUAUUUAAACCCAGUUAGAAGGGUAUCACAAAAGAUGCUUAAUUGAAAUGAAGGCAUCCAUGCCAAUUUGUAAAUGUUGUCAAAUAACACCCUCCCUUGUCAUUUUACAUCCCAUGCUUGCAUGUCAAAUCUUUAACUAAGACUGCUCAAAGAGCACCUAAAAUAAAAUUACGAAGAUUUCAUUACAGGUAGAACUUAAGGUGCUUACAUUGACCAUGAGAGAGAUCGAUAAGAAACAAAAUACUCCCCCAUAAGUUUGUAACUAUUGUACUGAUAACUUUCUUCCUAGUCAAACUAUCAACAUAACUCCAUGGAGACUUCCACAAAUUGUUGAGCCACUGGUAAAACACAACAUCAAUAUGAGAAAUUUACAAGGUACUAUGCAGAUAAAAGAGUAAGAAAUGUGUAUUGAGAAUAAGAGUUACCUUAAUGGAUGUAAGGCUAGGAUAGGGUUGAAUUGGCUCUGCACCUAUUUUUGCAAUUUGAAUUUAUUAUGGUUCAAAAAUGAGUUUAUGAUGUAUCCUCAUUUUAGGGGAAGCAGGAAAUCUGGGGCCAAUCUCUAUCAUUCUCCUUGAAACAUCUUUGAUUUCGAAGUUUGAUAAAACUUAGAAGACAACCUUUCACUUGGCAAGGAGGACUAGAACAAGGCAUCCCUCAAUCUCUACAAGUUAAAGAAAUGAAGUUUUGAAGACCAAGGGAGGGGGCUAGGAUUCUAGAUUUGACAAUAUUUUCAUUGAAAAAUCAAUGAGAGUUGUAGCAAGAAAUCCUGUCAAAAGGAAAUUGCAUUUAACAAUGUACAAUAUAAAAUGAAUGAACUGAGUUUUUAGAGAGGUGAAUCUUUGGAGGCUCCACAAAGAUAAGGGGUUUUAAUACCCUUGCAAGUGUAUUCGUGAAAUUGUUUCCUCAAAGGAAACCUGAACUUGGACAUUGUGCAACACAAAGCUGUCAAAGAGAUGUGAGACUCUAAAUCUGAUGAGGUAGGACUUGAGAUCCACAUUUUCUUAAGUGAGGAAUUCUGAGGUUGUAGACACACUAGUAGUUUCCAGAUUUAGAUACUUCUCUUCAAAUAUUUGUAUAAUGUACAUCUUCUUUGACAUUGCUGCUCCAACAAGAUGUCAAAUAGGAGGUGCAACCUAUUUGGGCAUAGUACACGUACAACAAAAAAUUUCAUUAAAACAAAAACUUUUACUAAAACAAAAAUAUGAAGUUAAUGUAUAAGAAGAUAAGAUUUAUAUAUAGUGAAUGAGCAUGAUUGAUUUUAGCACAAAGGGAAUGAUGCCAAAAUAUUUUAAGAAUAUCAUCACCACAAGUACUUGCAUCAUUAAAAAUUCCACAAGGAUUUGAUGGUUAGGCAAUAAAAUAAUUCUAGUAAAUGAGUUAAAAGCAGCUGAGCUAAGAAAGAUUAAAUCCAAAUAAGCAUCAAUCAUUAAAGAAUUAACCAACUACGAAAGACUUCAAAUGACGUUUUCUCUAUAAUUUCUGUUCCUAAUUGGCCUCAUUUGCUUGAACCAAAAUAUUAUUAAUUUGCUUUAAAGGAAGUGGGUGACUCAUAUCUCUGAAAGGAUGUGAGAGAUGGAAAUCCCUCGAUCUGUAGUGAUUCAAGAGGAUAAUUCCUAUGGCUAUUGUUGUCAUCAUACAUCAUUCAGCUAGCUAUAGACCACAAAAUUGAACAAUCAUGAAUACGUAGAUGCUUAAAUAUGGUGUGUACUUUAUCUAGUGGAAAAGCUUAUGAGACUUGGUCAUCUCGAGAUUUCUAGGAAUUAAGAUAGAUACAAGUUGUUGCUUCCUGUUAUAAUUUAUCUGGAUCGCAAUCAUCAAGCACUAACUCCAUUCACUGCAUGUUUUGAGCCUUCAACAUAAAACCAAAAUUCCAUUCUAUCGGACAAAAAAUAAAAUAUAAAAAAAUCACUAAUAACUCAACCAUUUUAUGUUGCUCAUAUUAUAAAAUGUAGGAUUUAACUGACUUCCAUCAUUGAAAAUGAAUUAAUAUAACUUUACAAUACUAGUAUAUUCAACUUUUGACAUGGCUGAAACUGAUCUUGGAAUAAAAAAUUACAUACACAAGUAGAUAUUUAAUAGAAGAGGAUCCAAAAUCUCUUCCAUUGAUUAAUGUAUAAAUGAAUUAAUCAAAAAAAUUUGAGAUAAUUAUGGGGAGAUGAACCUUGUACCUCUGAGUUUCUUAUUCUUCUUGAACAGAGCAAUGAGCAUAAAGUGUUGAGCACCCAGGAAUCUCCCUUCCUCCACAGGCAAAGUCUAAACAAUCUAUCCUUUCUUCAUAGUCCACUUCCUUGCAAAAGUCAAAACAUGAAGAAAAUAUCAUCAAAAUUGAGAUAGAAAUAAGUGCAUCAACUAUCUCAAGAAGAGAUUUAUGCUUACUGCUUACCUUUUGAAGAAGUUCACUUGGUUAGAGCACAUUUUACAUGGACGCCCAAUCACUGCAAGCUGCUGAACCAAAGGAGAGUUCAAACAUCUAAAAAAUUUGACAAACUCAAGUAUCAUAAAAUACUUCAUAUGAAUUCUAAAUGAUCUCAUAUCUAAAAAACAUUGGCAUAAAAUUAUUGUUGUUUACCUUACAUGUUUCUUCCAUGGUCAUAAUCGAAACUUUGUUUGUCAUAAAAAAUCUUCUAUGCUCAUCUUGAUUACUUACAAUGAACACUGAAAUGAAAAGAAAAAAAACCACAAAAAAUGAUGAUUAGUUUGGUUUGAUAAAUUUAGCACACAUAAUUUCCUUUUUCUUGCAUGAGAAGGAAAGAGUAAUAUAUAUAUAUAUAUAUAUAUAUAUAUCAAUUUAAUAAUUUUUAAAAAUUAGCAAUUAUAAAACUAUUUUGGUUCUCCAAAAAUUUAUGGGAAAGUAGGGAAAAAACUAUAAACUUUUUCUCUUGUUUGAUUAUUUAUCAGAAAAUUGAGGGAAAAACAAAAAUCUAUGAGAAAUUUAUUUAACACUUUUGAGGAACCAAAAAUGUUUUAGAUGUUGUCAAAUCAAUAAUUUAAACGUGUUUAAUUCCAAUUAAAUGAGUUUAAUCAAACACAUGAAAUUGUGAAUAAAAUUAUUUAAAAGCAUUGAAAUUCAAGUCAUUAAAGUUGUCCAUAAAAUGUGGUAUAUUGAAGCAAGAAAAAAACAAAGCAAUUUGAAUGACUUGCUAAUAAAGCAGCUAACUAGAAUAUGCCCUAGAGUUGUUCAGUGCCCUCUAUAUAAGAAAUAAACAGAGAACACAAAAAAAAAAGAAAAGAAAAACCUAGAAACUACAAUAAGUGAAGUGAUAAUGUCAUCUAAUUAGUAAACCAAACCAAGUCAAUAAACUACAACUUCCUCUAGUAUAAAGGUCUUGAUACAUUAGAUAUUGAAUUUGUUGGACCUGGCAAGGUAGAAGUAGUAAUGCUCAUUUUUUAUUGUGACAGAUUAUAGAGAAGAUUAGACACUGGGAAAAUACCAAGCCAGGAGCCAUGUCAAGAGCUGCUUUCUUGUUAAAAAUUAAGUCCAAUUAGAAAAUUACAGUAGCGCGUAAGAGAAAUUGAAAGUGGUGUUGAGAAGAGAAAGAGGAAGAAUGAUGUGUUGGGAAUGAGAUGUAAUACCUUGUUUAUUACUCAGAUGGAUUAGUCAAAGUAUCUGCACACGGGGAAUGUGGGCAAUCUUGGGCCAAUCAUCUCCUUCCUCCUUCGAGUACCUUUGUGUUAGAUGUGGGCAAAGCCACACAUACAGUCGUGAAAGGGUGUCAGGCAAUAGUCCUUCCCUUGGCAAAAUUGACCGGAGCUUAGGGCAACUUUGGAUUUCUAGCUGUUCAAGAGAGGUGAGGGUUUGGAGAGACAGGGAGGCUAGGGAUUCCAGAUUCUGGAAUUGUGAAAGGGUAAGGGAGGUGAGAGUUGUAGGAAAAAGAAUCGAGUGGGGGUCAUCCGAAAAGGAAGUUGCAUCUGGAAACAUGCCACCAAUCCAGAGGAGUUUAAGAGAGGUGAGUCUGGAAAGGCCCCAUUGGGAUAGGGGGGUCUUGAUAUUCUCACAAUUACGAAUGAAAAGCGAUGUAAGACGAGUGAGCUUUUUUAUCUGAGGAAGCAACAAUUCCAGAUUUUCAAAAUCUACAAUACGUAGAUCUGUGAGGGUGUUGAGGCAAUCUGGUAGGGUUUUGAGAUUAGGAUACCUCCCGAGGAUUAAAGAUUGAAGUGAAUUAUUAGUAGAGUGAAACAUCUCCUCUGAAAUUGACUCGAGGUGUUCACAAUCCCCAAUGUGAAGUCGCUCAAGGGUGGAUGGAAACUUGCCUCUUGGGAAGGAUGUGAGAGAUGGACAUUUAAAGAUUACCAAGGCUUGGAGAGCAGCAGCAUAUGUGGAAUCGUAGUGCAUUAUUCCCUCUGGUAGAGACUCUAGCCUUCCACAACUCCAUAUUCUGAGUUCCUUGAGAGUGGCGGGUAGCCCACCUUUCGGUAAUCCAAUAAGAGACGGACACCCCCCUAUAGAUAAGUAUUCAAGGGCACACAUGCCCAUCAUUCCUUCUGGAAGAGACUUGAGAUUUUCACAACACGAUAUGCUUAGACUCUUAAGGGUGGUGGGUAAUUGCCCUUUUGGAAAGCAAAUGAGAGAUGGACACCUGUAUAUCACUAGCUCUUCAAGGAGACACAAGUUGUUGCUGUCAGUACUGUCGUUCCUCAUCUUCAACAUCAUGCCAAUUAUCAAGAAUAAGAUUUCUCAGCAUUGGCGGGAAACCUACAUCGGGAAAUGACGCUAGCUUUGGACAAUUCCUGAUUGUCAAUUCUUCAAGGCAUGUUAGACUCUGCCAUCCAUUUGGAAGCCUCUCUAGUUUAUCACAUCUAUCUAUUUGCAAAGACUGAAGAUUGCAUCCCAAGGAUACAAGUUGAUCACAAUCUCUAAUCUCAAGAGAAUGAGAGUUUUCCGAUCCAAAACCAUCCUCCCACAAAUAUUCGAGUUCUUCGCAUUCCCAUACUUUCAAAACCCGAAGCCCUUGCAAAAAUUGCACAAAUCCUUCAUGCAAUUUGAUAAGCCCUGAAAUCCCAGAAAUUGUUAACUUGGUGAGUGAGGUGAGGUCAUUUCCACUGCUCAAGACCGCCUCAUUACAUUCUCCUACAUAUAAUUCCUUCAGCAGUGGAAGUCUUGAAAGUGGAGACUCCAAUUUUGGACAAAAGUGAACAGAGAGCUCUGUAAGAGAAGGUAGGUAAGUGGGUAGUUUCAUAAUCAAUUUGGGGCAAUACUGAAUUGUAAGCUCAUGGAGACAAGGGAAUAAUGACUCUGUUGAGGAAGACCAAUCCUCCCAGUGCUCCCAUUCUGACAUGCUAUUAAAAUGUCUACUCUAGUGAUGGGAAAAACUUACCUGCAGAAACACGAGUCUCUCCAUAAAACUCUGCACCCACUUUUUUUACUCCAUCCAUUCCUUGGAUCCUCAACUGUUUGAGCGAUGGCAACUGCCCCAAGCAUGGUAAAGACGUGCACUCUCUACAAUCUAUGAGACUUAGAUCCACCAUCUUAGAGAACAAGGCAUCCCCUAUCCAACGUGGGAAUUUUGGACCACCAUACAACUGAAUGCAGAGUUUGUUCAGAUUCAAACAAGGUUGUAGAGAGUCAAGGACAUCCAUUUGAUUCCUUUCAUUCCCUGAACCAUCCAGCUCAGAACUCCACUGCAUUAUCAAGCUUUCAAGGUUACGCUUCAAUUUUAAAGCGGCAUCCCUUGCAUCUUGAAUAUUCACCACAUUUUCCAAUUUCGAAAUGCAAAGUUCUCUUCGCAGAUGUGACAUGUCCUUCAACUCCUUGAUUGUCAAACCGUUGUUUUUGUCCACAAUGAAAUUAGACAAUAUCCGCAAAUCUUUUAGUUUGCCAAUUUGUAUAGGCAUUUCUUGUAAUUUUAUUGCACCAGCAACAUCAAGAUGUCGAAGAUUGAUUAGGUUACCGAUGCUAAUAGGCAACCUGAUAAGCUCUUUACAGCAUGAUAAUUUCAAUGUCUGAAGGUAAAAAAGAUUACCAAUUGAAUCCGGUAACCAUUUUAUACUGGUGUAGGACAAAUUAAGGUAUCUCAAAUGUUUCAACUUACCAAAUGAAUCCGGUAUCUCACUUAUCAUGUAAUGAGCCAAUGAGAUCACCCUUAAGUGCCCUAACCUUGGUAUCAAUUCUUCAAGCACCUUAUUACUUAUGAAGGAAGGAAGUCCGCUAGUUGGUACAUCAAUCGGCAAAGCUAUGAAUGUGCGCAAGCGCUCUUUCUUAUGAAACCUUUCAAAAUUUUUAAAGAUAUCACAAAAAUGACGGAUGAAUGAUGAAUGACGGGUAUUUUCAGAAAUGGGGCAUUGCAAAUCAUUCCACAACUCAUCAUCCAAAUGCAAGCAUGUGUCUCCAGCAAUAGAAUUAGCUAGAUCGUUAAUAAGAUCAUGCAUAACGAAUCGUGAUUUAUUGCUGCUCGACGAUUGGAAAAAUGACCUUGACAACAGUUCACAAAAAUAAUCAUCACCAAGAUCUUCCAUUUUCUCAUCCUCAUUUGAUUGUUGAAUUAACCCCUCCGCCAUCCACAAGAGGAUUACCUCUUCCUUCUUAAACUCAUAAUCUUGGGGAAAUAAUGUGCAAUAAGCGAAACACCUUUUUAAAUGUGAAGGGAGAUGAUUGUAGCUCAAUCUCAACGCAGGAAGAAUACCACACUUAUCACUAGGUAAAUUCCAUAUUUUGCUAGCUAGUAUAAUAUUCCACUUAUCUUCUCUGUGUUCAUGGCGCAGAAGACCACCAAGUGCUUUUGCUGCCAAGGGCAGGCCUCCACACUUCUUUACAAUUUCCCUUCCUAUCAAUGCCAAGUCCGGAUGCUCCUUGGUAUUUCUGUUUUCAAAAGCAUGUUUUUUAAACAACUCCCAUCAAUCAUUGUCAGACAAAUGUUUUAGCUCAUAAAAGUUUUUAUCUCCUCCCAUCAUAGUUGCAACAUUUUUUAUUACAAGUGGUGACGAUGAUCUUGCUUCCCAGGUGCUCCCUCCUAUAGAGGGAGCGUAAGCUGUCCCAUUGAUCAUAUUUCNNNNNNNNNNNNNNNNNNNNNNNNNNNNNNNNNNNNNNNNNNNNNNNNNNNNNNNNNNNNNNNNNNNNNNNNNNNNNNNNNNNNNNNNNNNNNNNNNNNNNNNNNNNNNNNNNNNNNNNNNNNNNNNNNNNNNNNNNNNNNNNNNNNNNNNNNNNNNNNNNNNNNNNNNNNNNNNNNNGAUGAAAGUCCGGCGAAUCAUUGUUGCCUGGAGCAAUGUCCCGUAAAACUGCCCUGGUUAUGGUCUCCACAUGAAAUUGAUCAGACACACAAACCCAAGCUUUUAAAGCAAAAUGUUUGGAUGUCUCCUCAUCAUCGUACACUAGACCUGCCAGCGUAGUUUUUCCCAUCCCACCCAUGGCCACGAUCGAGACUACAGACAGAUUGCCACCGAGGGAUUCAUCAUUAAGCAUGGCUAGUAUCUUGGUUUUAUCUUCAUCCCUGCCGUAUACCCCAGGUUUGAAUACCAAAGGUGGUGGAGGGGUUGGGCUUUGAGUAGCUGCUCUGGUGCCUCCGAUCUGCACUUUGAGCUUUUCCAAACCGAGCUCAGCCUUCUGAGCUGAAAUUUCUUCUAAUCGGCGAGUGAUGUCCUCUAUCUUGGACCCCAGCUUAACAUUCCGCAUAGCCUGAAUUGGAGUGAAAGUAGUACAACAAGUAGGGAUGAAUUUGCGUACCUUGCUUGUGCUGGCCGCAUCACCCUCUGCCACCAACUUUCUUCUCAUCACUUGGUAGCCAAACUCGUCCAAGACGUCCUCCACAUCAUAAGCCAAAUCCCUGAGAUGUGCGAGCCAUGCUUUCACGUGCUGCUUAGUCAUCUGCUUGUCCUCAGCAUCGUCGAGCACUUCCCGAAUCUCCAACAGUCUUGUCUUCCAUUUCUUGAGCUCGGUGUGGACUUGCUUUUGGCGUGCGUACUUCCACAAAUCAGAGGAGGCCAGUUUGCUGAACAAGAGUUCAAGGGACACAGAAAGAACAACCUCUCCAACAACUUCCAUGGUGAUCAGUUUGCAGAGGGAGUGACUAGUGAGAGAGAGAGAAAGGGGAAGAGGAAGAUGAAAAUGGAAGCCUGAGAGCAGGCUUAGUAAGCCAUGUGCACCACACAAAAUAAACAAAUCAAAAUGUCCACUAUAUUAUUUUGCAGACAGCUGUCACAUAUUUUAAUAGAUUUUAGUCUAAGAGAAGGCAAUUUAUUAAAUUUUCAUUAUAUUUUUUUAAAAAAAAAUCAUUAGAAAUUUUCAAUAAUUUUAAUUAUUUUAUAACAGAAACCUCUAAAAUUAUUUUAAAGAAUUUAAUAAUUUUAUUAUAAAUUUUGACAUUUUUGAAAUAGAAAAGUUAUACGUCUUUAAAUUUAAAUUCGGUUGUCUUAUAACUUAAUUUCAUUUAUUUAUGUCUUAGUCUCAUUUCCUUUUUAAUAUAUAAUUUUGUUAUAAAAAUGAAAAUUUUAUUGAAAAAACAAAAGUUGUGAAGGAAGAAAAAAAGAAUGGUCUUUUAAGAAAUAUUUUUAAAAUUUUUAAGGGUGAAAACUUUAAAUAUCAUUAAUAUUUCUAGUAGUAUAAAACCAUGACACAAAUAAAUGGCAUUUAAGUAUAUAUAAAUACAUAUAAAUUAAAUUUAGAUUAAUAUUAUGUGGUGGUUUUUAGUGGACCACCAAUUAUUUUCAUAUUCCAUAGAAAAAUUACUUUCAACACCAUAGAAUCACCCUAAUUUGAUAUACUAUCUUAAAUUUUAAAAUUUUAAAAAAUAAUUUUUAAGGGCAUGAACUAAAUCUAAGAAUUUCUAUGUUUUUUUUAUGAAAGUUUUUGCCAAUUUUUGUUUUUAAAAACAAAAAAUAAGAAGUACUUAAAGUGUUUUUUUAAUGAUUUUAAAAAAUAUUUUUAGUCUUUUUAAUAUUUAAAAAAUAAAAAUUUUAUAUAUAAAAAAAAUUAAAAACACUUCUUCAAAUCAUUAUAAAGCACACUCUUAAUAUGUAAUGAUAUUAAUUUCUUCUCAUUUAAAUGGAAUGAAGAGAGAUUUAAAUGAAUAAAACAAAUACAAGGAUAAAAAAUUUACUUUUUGUGCUUUAUUAUUACAUCCUUUCGUUAGAUGCUUUAAAUAGUUUUUAAUAAAUAAAAUUAUAAUUACAUUGAUGGAGGGCUAAUUAGCUUUGCUUUAGGUGAGAAAGAUAGAGGUAAGAUUGAGGUGGGCGGACCAAAUAAAAAGUAGGAUAUGAAUUAACAAAAGCUUCUGCACUCUUCCCAAAAAGUAAAAGCAAAGCCUAUUAACAUGAAGUGAUGAAACUAGUCCUAUUCAAGGCCCUAUUUGCAUAUUUGAUAUUUCUAUGAAUUUUUAUUUAUUUAUUUUAUUAAACUAGUCUAAUGCGACGACUUUUAAGUUAAAAUUAAUUUUCAAAAAAAUAUAAUUUAAAAAAUUAUUUCAAAUCUACAUAAUUAUUAUAUCUUUUACAAAAAUGAAAUCAUAAAGUUUUGAUUUUAGACUAAAAAUCCAAAUCCAACCCACUUAUCUAUGUACUUUAUUGGCAUGGAAGGAGAAAAGUUAAAAAAGUAAUAUCAAAGAUAAAAGAAAAUUUGAUCAUAUGAUAAAUAGUGAUCUUCCAAAGUUGGAGUCAAUGUGUAGUGGGUCUAAAAGAAAAAGAAAAGAAGUGGAAGUUAAAGUGGAAUGUUGAGGUUUGAAGCAAUUACCUUGGAUGCGAGAUGACAGGCACCUUAAACUGUGUAGCAAUUAUGAGAGAGAGGGAGCGAGAGGCAUUGCUGUGGGAUGGGAUGCACCAACUUUAAACUGUAGCAAUUAUUCAAUUUUGAGAGAGUGAGAGACGUUUAAGUACAAAAUAUUCCGUUUAGAAAGAAACGGUGAAGAAUAAUACCCCUCUUAAAAUAUUUAUUAAAUUAGUCUCUUUUAUCUAUCUAAUCAUCCCAUUCAUAAUAAAAAAAAUACUAUCAAAUCAUCCACAUUUAUUUGGGUGAUUUUAAAAGUUUCAAAAUUCCCUAUUUGAUUUUCGAGAAAAUCCAUGCAAAACCCUCAAGAAAAACAAAAAAAAAUUUGCUUUUUUUUUAUUCCCUAUGUUUUCUGGAUCUAUUCUAGAGGUCUCCAUCUCGUAUUCAAUUUUUGAGAAAAUUCAUCCUCGUUUGAUUUCCGAGAAAAUCUAUGCAAAACCUUAAGAAAAACCAAAAAAAUUACUUUUUUUGCUCAUUGUGUUUUUGGGAUGAGGAAGACCAAAAGGGCAAUUUUAGAAAUAUAAAUAAAUCUCAUAUUUUAAUUAUAUGAGUUUUUAAAACUAUAUAUUUAGCCUAUUAACACAACUUUUCCAAAAAUUAUUGUUGUGGGAUGACAUUCAACACUUUAAAGUGUAGCAGUUUACAGUGUAGCAAUUAUUCGAUUUUGACAGUGAGGGAGAGAGAGAGAAUUAUUGCUGUGACAUGGCAUGCAACAACUUUAAAGUGUAGCAAUUUUGACCAAUUAUGUUAAUGGGGUUAUAUCCUCAUCCAAAGUUCUCAACCCAUCUUAGUUACUUCAACAAAUUUUUAUUCUGGCCCAAACCUGUACUAGAGUAGAACAGGGUCGUAAUUUUUUUUGAAGUUAUAGUCAUCCUAUCUUAUUUAAUAUUUUCUGUUAUUUUUAUUAUUUUAAAAUUUUAUUUUUAUUAAAAUAAAUGUAAUUUAUGAGUAAAUAAAUUAUUUUUCAUAAAUUUUACAUCCUAUCUUGAUAAAAAGUAAAUUUGUAGCUUCAAUUUAAAUACAUUUAAAGAAAAGAAAUGGAAAAAGAAAUUAAAUUAUUUUUACUUAAUUUUAUUUAAAUAAUUUUUAUUAAAUAAAAUUAUAAUUAUAUUGGUGGAGGGCUAAUUAGCUGUGUUUUUAAGUGAGAAAGACACUGAUGAGGUUGAGGUGGGUCUAAAAAAAUGAAAUAAAAGAAUGAAAAAAAGAAAAAGAAAAAGAAGAUAGAGAUAAGAUUGAGUUGGGUCCUAAUUUAAAAAAGAAAAAAAAAAGGAAUGAAGAGUAGGAGGCAAAGUGACAAAAGCUUUUGCUUUCUUCGAAAAAAGUAAAAGGCUAGUGACAUCAUGUGAUCAGACUUCUAUGAUUUGUUUAUUAAACUAGUCUUAUACAAGGACUAAGUUAAAAAUAUUUAUUUUUAAAAUAUUAUUUAAGAAAUUAUUUUCUAAUCUACAUAAUUGCUACAUCUUUUCGACUCGAUUUUAGUUCAAUUUCAUUAAAAUGAAAUCAUUUAUUUGAGCCCAAAAAUCCAAAUCCAAAUCCAAAUCCAAAUCCAACUCAUUUAUCUAUAUACUUUAUUGGCAUAGAAUGAGAAAAGUUAUAAAGUUAAAGAAAAUUUGAUCAUAUGACAGAGAUUUUCCAAAGUUGGAGCCAAUUCAAUGCCUAGUGGGUAUAACAAAAAAAAAAAAAAAAAAAAAGGAGAGAGAGAAAGAUGUGGAAAUUAAAGUAACCAAAUUUUUGAGGUUUAAGGGAUGUCAGUGCACCUUCCAAAUAACUGCUUAAGAAUGUGAGAUGUCAUAGCAUUGAAAAUUGAUAUUAAAUCUCAUUGAGUAACUAUAAGAAUUGCUUUACUUAAAGACAAGUAAUAAAUAUAUCUUGCUUUUUCAUAAGGUUUAUGACCCUAAGUGAAUAAAAUUUUUAGAGUGGGAUGAAUGCAUUUCACAUGAGUCAUGUCAUAGAUAUAUUUUUAGAAUUUUAAGGUGGGUACAGUUCGAUAUCAUUCGUAAACAUAAUUCAAACCCAAUAUAUUUUUUAGGGAUUUGAAUUGAAUAGAUUCGCAUUUAAUUUAAAUUCAUGUGAAUAUAUAUAAUUCAUUUAAUAAAUAAAUUAUUUUUAAAUUAACUUAGAUAACCCACAUUUGACUUGGAUUAACUUAUUUAAUAAUGGUAUUGAUUAACCUAAUAAUAACUUUAAUUUAUUGAACUCAUAUUUAACUCAUUUAAGAUUUGUUUUUCAAUAAGUUUGGUCAUCAUAUAAUAUUAGAACAUUAAGCAUUUUAUUUCAUUCAACAUUUAACUUGAUUUGAUUAUUAAACAAUAUCUUAUUAUUAUUUCAAACAAUCAAGACACAGACUUUGAUGCAUCUCUGCCUUGGAUUCUUCCUGGUCAAAAGGAACAGUUGAAGUAUCUCCAUUGCUUCUCUGUUUCUUUGAGUCAAAAGACACAGUCUGCCUUUCUCUAUUUCUUCUAAUCAUUUUCAAAAUGCAUCAUUAUGAGAUCUACUGACCCUAUUUUUUUUUUCUUAAUAAUAGAAAACAGAAAAUAAUUUUUUAUUUUCUUGAUAUUUUGGAGAACGAAAAACUAUUAUGGAAAAUAAUUGUUAAACAAGCAUUAGAUGUUAGAUAAAAUUUAAAAAACACUUCUAAAAAUCUAAAAAAAUUACUUAUACUAUUUUUUUAGAAAAUCACUUAUAGUGUUUUCUAAAAAAUUACUUGAUAGAUAAUUUUCUUAAAAACAUUUCAAGUAAGAAUACUAUUAAACACAUUAUUAAUAUCAUUUAACCCUUGGAGUUAAAAAAUGAUUUAUCAAAUUCAACCUCAAUCGGUUUAAACUCUCCCAAACCCAUUCCCAUUUGUAAUAUCUGGUUUUGAAAAAAUAAAAAUAAAAAUAAAAACAUAAUAGAAAGAGUAGGAGGAAUGUCAAAUAUAAAAAGAGGGUUAAAAAUGUUUUGUAAUGGUUGGAAGUGUUUUUCCUACAAAUAAUGAUGCAUUUUGAAAAUUUUUAAAAAUGAAGAGAAUCACUUUGAACUUACAUUCGAUACACACUUUAUCUAAAACCAUUUUUUAAGACACUUAUUUUGAUUUGUAUCUAAAUGCUAACCUACAUUUAUAAAAAUGUCAAAAUAAUUUUUUUUUUAAAUCUUUUAAUUUAUUGUACUUUAUGAAUACAUUUUAUUUUUUGUUUGAUGCUUUAAAUAGUUUUUAUUAAAUAAAAUUAUAAUUAUAUUGGUGGAGGGCUAAUUAACUUUGCUUUUAAGUGAGAAAGAUAGAGACAAGGUUGAGGUGGGUCUAAAAAAAUGAAAUAAAAGAAUGAAAAAAAAAAAGAAGAAAAAACGAAGAAGAUAGAGAUAAGAUUGAGGUGGGUCCUUAAUUAAAAGAAAAAAAGAAAAAGAAAUGAAGACUAGGAGACAAAGUAACAAAAGCUUUUGCUUUUUUCCAAAAAGUAAAAACAAAGGCUAAUGGCAUCAUGUGAUCAAACUCUAUACAAGACCCUACUUGAAUAUUUUUAUGAUUUGUUUAUUAAACAAGUCUUAUACAAGGACUAAGUUAAAAAUAAUUUUAAAAAAAAUAUUAUUUAAGAAAUUAUUUUCUAAUCUACAUAAUUGCUACAUCUUUUUGACUUGAUUUUAGUUCAAUUUCAUUAAAAUGAAAUCAUUUAUUUGAGCCCAAAAAUCCAAAUCCAAAUCCAACUCAUUUAUCUAUAUACUUUAUUGGUAUGGAAUGGGAAAAGUUAUAAAGUGAAAGAAAAUUUGAUCAUAUGAUAGAGAUUUUCCAAAGUUGGAGCCAAUUCAAUGCCUAGUGGGUAAAAGAAAAGAAAAAAAAAGAAGAAAAAAGGAAGAUAUGAAAAUUAAAGUCGAACAAACAAAUUUUUGAGAUUUAAGGCGAUGUCACUGGACCUUCCAAAUAACUGUCUAAGAAUGUGAGAUGUCAUUGAUGAAAAUUGAUAUUAAAUCUCAUCAAGUAACUAUAAGAAUUGCUUUACUUAAAGACAAGUAAUAAAUAUAUCUUGCUUUCUCAUAAAGUUUAUGGCUCUAAGUGAAUAAAAGUUUUAGAGUGGGAUGAAUGUAUUUCACGUGAUUCAUGUCCUAGAUAUAUUUUUAGAAUUUUCUAGCAAGAUAUCAAAGGAAACUUUAUGGUGAGUGUUUUCUUUCUAGUUAAGGUGGGUACAUGUCAUUCGUAAAUAUAAUUCAAAACCAAUAUAUUUUUUAGGGAUUUGAAUUGAAUAGAAUCUUAUUUAAUUUAAAUUCAUGUGAAUAUAUAUAAUCCAUUUAAUAAAUAAAUAAUUUUUAAAUUAACUCAGAUAACCCACAUUUGACUCGAAUUAACUUAUUUAAUAAUGGUAUUGAUUAACCUAAUAAUAACUUUAAUUUAUUGAACUCAUGUUUAACACAUUUAAGAUUUGUUUUUCAAUAAGUAUGCCAUAAUUGGGUCAUCAUAUAAUAUUAGAACAUUAAGCAUAUUAUUUCAUUCAACAUUUAACUUGAUUUGAUUAUUAAACAAUAUCUUAUUAUUAAAUUGGUUAAACAGGUUAUGAUGUAUCACCUUGUUAAUAAUUAUAUAGUGUUUGAGUUUAUGUUUUUAAUUUUGAUUAUUAUUCAUAUCAUGUUUGGGUUGAGUUGUUUCGUGGAGUAUCUAACCUUUGAUACAACACAAACACAAUCCAUCAACAUAUUAAUAAAAAAUUACAAGAUAUUAGGAGAGUAAUUUUGGUAAAAGUUAAUAUUUAAUGAUUUAAGAUGAUUUUAAAUUAAAUUAUAUUGAAAUGGUUAAGUCAUAUCAAAUCAUUAACUUAAUUUAUCAAAAUCAUUUUUGAUUUUAUAUUAUAGUAUUAAGUUAUUUUAUCGAUCAUACUUAAUAUACUUAAGAACUUAAAUUUAAUCUUAUCAACAUUCUCUAGGGUCUUCUCAUCUCAAUUUUUAAUAUUUAUUUGAUACGUAUUUAAAAAUAAACAAGUCAAAAUGUAUUAUCUCAAAAUUUCUAAUUCAAACUCCUACAAGAUUUUAAAAUUCAUUAAUUAAUUUGAAAGAAAUUUGUUUUGGAACAUGCAAGUGAUGGACAUAUCACAUAUCUUAAAUUUCUAACUAAAAAACCUCAUAACAAAAUAAUUUGAUGAAUGUUUUUAAGUUUAAAAAACUUAGAACCAUUUCACAAUGAUUUUGGGAAGUUAGAAAUGUUUCCAAAUGCUUGAAAAUGUUUUUAUAACGAAAAUUAAACAUUUGAUAAAAAUUAAAGUUCACAUUCUAAGUAAUUGAUAGUGCUUCUUAUAAUUGUUUUUUUUUUUCAUUAUAUAUAUAUAUAUAUAUAUUCGUCUGUAAUAAUAAUAUAGUCCCACUGGUUCUACAGUUGGUGGACUUAUUAUGGUCCAACUAUUAAGAUAUAAGUUAACAGAUGUUCAUAUCCGUAACCAUGACAUCUGUAUUAAGCAAACCUUUAUCCUUGUUAAGAACCUUAAGGAAAAAGCCCUCUUAGGAAUACCCUUCUUAAGCUCUAUUUAUCCCUUGUGGGUAGAUAACCAAGGUAUAAGAACUAAGCUUUUUGAUAAGGAAAUUCUUUUUGAAUUUGCUAAUCCUGUUGAAAGCAUCACUCGUUGUGAUCAAGAGAUUAAUCUUGUUAGAAUUAAUGAUCCACCUAAGAUUUUAGGUACCCAAUUCAUUCAUAAUCUCAUUAUAAAUGAUAUUUUAAGCAUUCCUUUAUGCAUUUCAAAAUUUCAAACUGAUAUUUUGAAUCAAGGAAUUUUAAAAAUUAUUUUCACAUCUGAGAAAACUAUUAAGUAUAUAGCUUUCAAGUAUAAUUUAACUGAUUGGAUUAUUUUAAAACCUAAUUUUCAAAUUAAGCUUAUUAAAGGAGAAAGUUUCAUUCCUAAUCACUCAAUUCAUGGAACUUGCAGGAUUCACAAGAACAUGGCCCCCAAGAAAGACAAACAACCUCUUAGGUCCAUUAAUUCUAAGGAUUCCCAUUCAACUCUCUCUGAGAAACUCACGCCAUUUUAUGACCAUUUUGAAAUAGCAGAUUCUUCCAGCCACUUCAAUCAUCACAUUACUUCACCAUCCACUAGUAUGGAUAUAGACUCAAGCUCGAAAUCUCUACCUUUUGUGGAAGAUUCCUUACCCACAAAUCCAUCUUUUAACAAUGCUAACACUUUGUCUGAUUAUAUCAAUUGCAUUUUUGAAUGGCAGGGAAGGUAUGAGACUCUUGAAAGGAAACUUGAAUUAGUUGACUUUCAUAAGCUCAUGUUAAAAGCUCAAGCCUCAUUUUCCCCACUGAAAAAUGGUGAGAAUAAGCAUUCUACCCCACUGGUGAAUGAUAAAUUGAGUGAGGAAGAGUUGGGUUACCGUAUGCUAAGGAUGUAUCAUCAUAAGACAGAGAAUCUAUACUCUCUUAGGCCAGAUCUACGUCUCCUAAUUUGGGAAAAGGCUAAGUCCUCAGCAGAAGAAAAACAAACUUUCAUCUCUUCAUACCUCCAGGAUCUUCAUCUCUAUCUUUCUACCAAUAUUGGUCUUAAGGUCCCAGGUUUAAGCUUGGUUACUGAUAAGGAAGUUGAUGAUUCAAAAAUUUGCAGAAUGAUUGAAGAACCUUUCCAGUACCAAAAAGGCAUCAAGAAGUUGGUUUGCAACUGCAACAGAAAUUUCACAAUCAGUCGUGUUUGCUUAGACUUGCAAUACUAUUCACCAAUCAGCAUCAAAUUCAAGGGUGAAGAUUUAUUAUUAACUCCAGAAAAGCUUCUGGACCAUGGUCUGGUCCAUCAAAUCAUCUGUUCUGAUUCCAACCAAGUUUCCCAGUUUGGAAGAAAAAUUGCUCUUGGCCUAACCCUGGGAUUUAAAAUGAAUAAGAAAUUCGCAAACGCCAUCAUCAUCAGCAAAGCUCCUGAGUGGGUUUCUAAUGGCAAGCUUAUUCCAGCUCAACACAUUGUUUCUCUUCACUAUCAGAAUAGGAGACCUACUCAGCUGUCUUACCCUCUGCUAUUUUCUGAUAUUUGUGGUGAACCUAUUAUUAAGCAAAUCAAACACUGGAGGGCCAGAAUUAUUUGCAAGGAUUUUGAGGCUUUUCCAAGAAAUAUGGGACAUCUCAUUGCUGCAGAUUCUUGCCAUCAAAUUUUCUGUGGCAAGAAGUUAAACCAUCUUCCAACUAUUUCCAUCACUGAAGAUAUCAAGCUUCUUGAAGAUCAUAAGGAUUUCUCAUGAUGGCCAGUCAACAAGAAUAUUUCAAGCUUUGCAGUUUCUGAAUCAAAAGCAGCAAGCAUGUGUCUACACAGUUUAAAGCAACCUGCCAGAAGUCUUCUCAGCCGAAAAAGGGUGUUUCGGGAAAUUUCGGUAUAAAAGUGAAUCUUACUAUUCACUAUUCACUACGCACUAUUCAAGCACGGGUCUACUGUUCAUGGCUACUAUUCAAGAUUCCUUUUUUGCCUAUUUAAGGAGGUAAGGGCCUCAUUUGUAAGGACACUUCAAUUUUUAGUUCUGUUUCUCUCUCAAGCUUAUGCUCUCCCUUCUCUCUUCUUUCUCUCUCAUUAUGUAAGCCUUUCAAGCUUUCAAGCUUUCUCCAAGCUUUCUUCAAGCUUUCCUACCUUUGUCCAUUGUAAGAUAUUUCUCGUUAUGUAUAAUAUAAGUAUGUUUUGAUUACCUCCUAUAUGGAUGGUUUUUAAUUAAGUUUUAUUUUCAUUUUGUUUUUUAUUUUAUUUUAUGUUCUUGUACCGCCUACAUGGACGGUUUUAAUUAAGCUUUGUUUUAAGUUUAUGUUUUUUAUUUUAUACCGCCUACAUGGUCGGUUUUAAGCUUAUGAUGAACUAACAAGUUUUUUGGUUCCUUCUCUUUAAAUUUCUUUGUUGGAUAUCUUUUGUAUUUUCUAACCCUCUUCUUUGUUUUGAAUCAUGGCAUAAUUCAUUUGUUCAUUUGCAUAUGACCUUGUCUUGGGUGUCUAUGGUAUCAGAGCCAUGUGGGAGGGAAGUUGGGUCUUGUUUUGGGUGUUCUUGGCCUAUCCUAGGAUAGGUAGCAGUGUGCCUGGGAGCGCGAGCCCUGCCGGUUGAGCCGUUGUUAGCCGUGGAUAGGCGUUUGUUAGGCUAUAAGAGGGUUGGGGUGACGUCUCAUAAGGUUUGUCAAUCUACUAUUAGGCUCUAGAUCAAAAACCCUAAAAUGAGUUCAAUUUUCCGAACCAUGUCUAGGAGAUCCAGUGAUUCUCAAGAUACUGUUGUAAACAGUGAAGAGAUCAAUUAUCCUAAGAUUCAAAAUGAUUUAGAUGAUUGGAAGUUACCCAAGGUGUCUAAUCAAGAAAUUUAUAAGAAAGGAACCUUUAAGUUCUUCACAGAUUAUACCAUUAAGACCUCUAAAAUGUCAGUCAGCUUAGAACAAGACGACCAAGUCAUAAGACUUCUAGAUAACAGAUCCAUUGAUAAGCAUAAGAAAGAUGGCUAUAAUUUCAUACACUUUGGUAUGAUUCAAGUAGCAGCUAAGCCUUUGACAAGAUUAGGUUUAAACACCUCUAUUGUCAUGUGUUUAAGGGAUAAUAGGCAUCUCGAAUAUCGAGAUUCUAUUAUAGGCGCAGUCCAAGCUGGACUGAAUGAUGGCCCAGUAUAUUUCCAGUGCUAUCCUAACUUUACAGUUAGAAUAAGAGAUGCAGACAUCUUAGAUUCAGUUGUCCUGCAUAUUAAGACUCAUGGCUUUAAGAUCAAACCAGGAAACAGUCCUGUUUCCAUCAUAACCAGGUUUGCCUAUAAGAGUAUGAACACAAGCGUUGGAUCUGGGGCUCUUUGCACCAGUCCUAAAGGUGAGACCACCUAUUUUCACUCUGAUAUGCUAGAUAAGUCAGAUUUCAUCAUCCCCAAGAAGAUCUUGUGGAAAGAUGUUGAUUUCCCUGAAAAUUGGCAUUUUGCUAAUGCUGUUCCAGCCAUAGCACAGCGUUCUGAAAGUAUUAAACAAAUAGUUCAAUAUCCAGAUGGAGGAGGAGAACUGGUCUUCUCCAAAUCUUUCAGACAUUCCAGUAGCCCUAGAGUGUCUGUUUAUGAACCCUCUAGAGCUUCAAGCUCUUCCAUCCCAGUUAGAACCACUAGGGAAGAAGAAGGAUCCAGCUCAGGAAAUCCUAAGAAUAUUAAGCUAACAGGUGUUAGAAGUCACACCAACGUGGCUAGACCAUUUUACAGUGAAGAAAAUGAGUCUACUCAGGAAUCCCAACAGGAUGAGUCCCCUGUUAUGUCUCCUACCUAUUCCCAGAUGAUUAACACAAUAAGCCUAAGUGAUGAGGACUUUGAGAUCAACAAGGAUCUCUUAAGAAAGGACUUCUAUUCUGAAGUCAAUAAGCAAAGAAAUGAUUGGUUCUUUAGCAUUGUCCCUAAGGUCAUUAGAACCAUUUACCAAGAAGAAUUCUAUGCCUACUUAAGACAAGAAAAGAAAAAUAUUAAGUUUUGGAUCUGGUUUGAACUCUUCAAACAAGAGGAAUAUCCAGAUUAUCCCUUUAAGCGUAUAAAGGUUACCAGUAGUAAUAAUGAAAAUAAGCCAUAUGAAUUCUCUAAGGAUUUCCAAGAAAAUCCCUAAGUCAACCAAGCUUUUGUCGAUAGGAUUAAUCAGAGGAUUAAGGAUAAUCUUGUUACUCCUUUGACUGUUCAGCCUGAUAAGAGAAUCAACAUGGUUAAAGGUGAUAUUAGUUCAGAAGAAGAAGCUGAUGAACUAAUUAAGAUGUUUAAGGAACCCCAUGAUCAAAUUAUUAACAAUUUAGAAACCUUUAAGACUAGGAAUUACAAUUCUAGACCGACUUUCCCUGACAUGCAGUUUGAGGAAAGAAAUCAGUACACUCAAGCCUCAUACACCAGUGGUACUAUCUAUGAAUGGAACAUAGACGGUAUGACCGAGUAUAACAUACUCACUAAGCUUCAAGAAAUGACCAUGGUUAGUACAACCUAUAAAUUAAACAAUAGACUGCCAGAUCAUGCUGUAGCUCAGACCAUUGUUGCUGGGUUUACAGGUCAACUUAAGGGUUGGUGGGAUAAUUAUCUCACUUUUGAUGAUAGGAAUAGUAUCCUUAAGGCCUAUAGGAUUAAUGAAAGUAAUGAAGUUGUUAAGGACGAAGAUGGCCAAGAUAUUGAGGAUGCAGUGGCUACUCUAAUCUACUCAAUAUCCAAGCACUUCAUUGGAGAUCCUGCAAAAAUUAAGGAUAAAACUGCAGAUCUCUUAACCAACCUUAAGUGUCCCAAGCUUCAUGAUUUUAGGUGGUAUAGGGAAGUCUUUAUAACCAAAGUCAUGUUAAGAUCAGAUUGUAACCAGUCUUUUUGGAAAGAAAAAUUCAUCUCAGGUUUACCCAAGCUUUUCUCCGAGAGAAUUAGGAUCAAGAUAAGGGAACAGUAUAAUGGUCAAAUCCCUUAUGAUAAGCUAACCUAUGGUGAGAUUAUAAGCAUUGUCACAGCUGAAGGGAUUAAGUUGUGCAAUGACUUCAAGCUUAAGCAACAAAUGAAGAAUGAACAAAAGAUCUACAAGAAUGAAUUUGGAUCAUUCUAUAGCUAGUUUGGUUUCAACCAAAAGGAAACUAAGCCUCCCUCUAAGCAAAAACCAAGCAGGAAACCUAGCAAAGAUAAGUUUUACCACAGUAAAAGAGGUACCUAUGACAACUAUAGGAUGAAUGAUACUAAGCAGUCAAGGCACGUCCAAAGAAGGGUCAAUAAAGAUACCCAGAAAAAGGUAGAAACUCCUUUAGACAUCAAGCCAAUUAUCUGUUUUAAAUGUGGCAAAGUUGGCCAUUAUAAGAAAGAUUGUAAAGUUAAGCAAAAGAUUAAUAACUUAAGUGUCUCAGAUGACUUAAAAAAUAUGCUUUGUAAGGUAAUGUUAAACUCAAAUUCUGAAUCAAGGACUGAUUCAGAUAAUGAAGAUGAUAUUAAUCAACUAGAUAGCAGUGGCAAUGUUUCUAGCCAAUCUUCUAGUGACCAAGAUGUUUGUAUUAAGGGUAAUUGUAAUUGUCGUCCUAAAACCAUAAAUGUCAUAAGCCAAGAUCAGGAAUUCAUCCUAGAUACUUUAAGAAAAGUUGAAGAUGAAAAGACUAAGCAAAAUCUUUAUGAAGUAUUUAAGAAAUCUGUUGUUAAGGUAGAAGCCAAAAAGACUGUUAAUCCUUACAACCUUAAUGAUAUCUUAAACAGGUUUGACCAGCAGUCUCCCAAGGAAGUCAGCAUUAAGGAACUUCAUGAAGAAGUUAAGCAACAUAAGAAGGAGAUUAAAGAGUUAAGACAAUUCAUAAGUUUAGGUCUCUCUGAUCUCCAAGAUCAAAUCAAUAGAAUUGGCAACCAAGAAAUCCAUAUGGAUAUUCCAGAAUCUUCUCAUGUUAAUGAUAAUGAGACAGAUACUUUUUUGAAUACUGUGAGUAGGGUUAUCUUCCAGAGGUGGGAAGUCUCCCUUACUAUAGUAGUCAAAGAUAAAUUUGUCUUUGAUAUUAUUGCUUUGAUUGAUUCAGGAGCAGCUGAAAAUUGCCUACAAGAAAGUCUUGUACCUAUUCCUUUAUGCGAAGAGACUAGUGAGUCUCUAUUUGGUGCCAAUGGCGAAAGACUUGUCAUUAAGUAUAAGUUAACAGACGUUCAUAUUCGUAACCAUGACAUCUGUAUUAAGCAAACCUUUAUCCUUGUUAAAAACCUUAAGGAAAAAACCCUUGUUGGAAUACCCUUCUUAAGCUCUAUUUAUCCCUUGUGGGUAGAUAACCAAGGUAUACGAACAAAGCUUUCUGAUAAGGAAAUUCUUUUUGAAUUUGCUAAUCCAACUGUAAGCAUCACUCCUUUUAACCAAGAAAUUAACCUUGUUGGGUUAGAUGUCCCAAGUAAGCUAAUAAGCAACCAGUUCAUGCAUAAUGAUAUUUUAAGCAUUUCUUUAUGCAUUUCAAAAUUUCAAAUUGGGAUUUUGAAUCAAGAAUUUUUAUUAAAAUUUAUUUUCAAAGAUUUUGAAAAAAUUAAAUAUAUAACUUUUAAGUAUGAUUUAAUUAACUGGUAUAUUAUUUUAAAAUCUAAGUUUCAAAGUUACUUUAUUAAAGGAGAUUAUUUCAACCCUAAUCAGCUAUCUCGUGAAUUUUGCAGGGUUCAUGAAAUCAUGGCCCCUAAAAAGAAUACCCAAGCUUCUGGCUCUCAAAAACCCCAAUCCAGUCAAGCUAACCAAUCUCGUUCUACCCAUAAAAUGCUUUGGAGUCAACAAGUUGAAGAAGAAGAAGCACAACUUUUGGCAAAGCUUCAUUCUUCUAAACCUAUGCAUGAAUCCAGCCAUAUGCCUAACAAAAUAUUGACCUUAUACUAUGAUCCUUCUGAUCAUUCUAAACCAGUUAAGGCAACACAAUAUCCAGCUACCUCAGGGUCUCAGACCUUUAAGCAGGUUACUAUGGCUAAUCCCUCUCAAAAGGAAUUAGCAACAAGCUCUUCUUUUUCAAGCAAACAAAUUGUGGUGGCUGCCAACCCCACACCUCUUUCAACAAAAUCAAGAUAUUGGCAAAAUGAUUUAAAUCAAUCUCUUUUAGUUAUUGAAAGAGAAUUUUUCUCUGAAAACCCCAGAGAGAUUGCUGCAAAAGCAUUUCAAGAAAAUUUUCAUUAUCCCUCUAGUGAUAUUUUAAAAACAAGAGAGUUUUAUGAAGCAGUCCUUAUAGAAACUGGUUCUGUUAAGAUUAAGCAUAACGCUGAUAAAUUCAGCAAUAUGGGCUUGGCAUUCUCUACCUGCCAUAUCUAUAAGAUCCUUACAGUCAAGCAAUGGGGUGGAAAUCCUAAUCUUUCAAGGGAAUUUUCUGAACCAUCUAAGCCAAGGUUUUUUAAUUAUUGGGAUUAUCAGAGAGCAUGGUUUAAUGCUUUUCUGAUCCAGAAUAGGGACUUCCAUCAUUCAUGGAUGUUCUAUUUUCCAUCUAAGAACCAGCUUUCCUCUUUCCCAUUUUGGUUCUACAGUUGGUGGACUUAUUAUGGUCCAACUAUUAAGAUUCUUCCUAAGCCCAUUCUGGAUGGCUUUGAGCUAUUCAGAAGUUCUUUUAAUAUUCCCAGAGAACUUUCAGCUUUUCCCCCUUUACUAUUCUUUUUCAGCAAUUUUGGCCUGGCUUGGAUAGUCCAGUGGGACUAUAUUAUUAUUACAGACGAAUCAGCAGCCUUUCCAUCUCUGGGAAGGACUUUUAAAACUAAAUGGUGGGAUGCAUUGAAAAAUGAUGCAUCUACUAAUGCAGUCAAGCAGUAUUUCCUCAAGAACCCCUCACAAGUCUCUGCUAGUGAUGAUAUGUCUCAGUUUCUCCUCAAAAAGCAACAGUUACAAGCCAUGCUCGCAGCAGCCAAGACCCCUCAAGAGUUUCAGAAAAUCCUUGAUGAAGGAAGCUCAAGCUUCUCCCAAGAAAAUUCUUAUGCAGAAUCUGACGAUUCAACAAGCUACCUUCCAGACAAUGGUGAUGACUGUGAAGGAAUCCUUCCUCUAAUAAGAAGAUCUAAGUAAUCAUCAAGCCUUUUGUCUUCCAUCAAGAGUAUUUUUCAGGCUUUGCAGCUUCUGUUCCAAAAGCAGCAAGCAUGUGUCUUCAUAGUAUAAAGCAGCUUGCCAGAUGUCUUCUCAGCCGAAAAAGGGUGUUUCGGGGAAUUCCGAUAUAAAAGUGAAUCUUACUAUUCACUAUUCACUAUUCACUACGCACUAUUCAAGCACGGGUCUACUGUUCAUGGCUACUAUUCAAGAUUCCUUUUUUGCCUAUUUAAGGAGGCAAGGGCCUCAUUUGUAAGGACACUUCAAUUUUUAGUUCUGUUUCUCUCUCAAGCUUAUGCUCUCCCUUCUCUCUUCUUUCUCUCUCAUCAUGUAAGCCUUUCAAGCUUUCAAGCUUUCUUCAAGCUUUCCUACCUUUGUCCAUUGUAAGAUAUUUCUCCUUAUGUAUAAUAUAAGUAUGUUUUGAUUACCUCCUAUAUGGAUGGUUUUUAAUUAAGUUUUAUUUUCAUUUUGUUUUUUAUUUUAUUUUAUGUUCUUGUACCGCCUACAUGGACGGUUUUAAUUAAGCUUUGUUUUAAGUUUAUGUUUUUAUUUUAUACCGCCUACAUGGUCGGUUUUAAGCUUAUGAUGAACUAACAAGUUUUUUGGUUCCUUCUCUUUAAAUUUCUUUGUUGGAUAUCUUUUGUAUUUUCUAACCCUCUUCUUUGUUUUGAAUCAUGGCAUAAUUCAUUUGUUCAUUUGCAUAUGACCUUGUCCUGGGUGUCUAUGGUAUCUAUAUAUAUAUAUAUAUAUAUAUAUAUAUAUAUAUAUAUAUAUGUAUAUAUGUAUAUAUGUAUAUAUGUAUGUAUAUUAGCAUAAAAAAGGUUUCACCAAUUAAAUGGUGUCACAUAUACAUUUUUAUAUAACAUGAAUUGAAAAGGUUUCAUCAAUUAGGUAGUGUCACACAUAUAUAUUUCAGUCUCAUAGUUUAUACCAUUGUACCUCGGCCACAUUUGUUACCUUUGUUUAAUGAUCUAGAUCUCACUACAUAUAUUUAAUGGUUCAGAUCUAGACUUCGAUAGGUACCACUACAAAACCCUAUAUACAUCAUACUAACUACUUUUUUAUCAAAACACUUACAAUAGAAAUGCUACAAAUUAGAAGUGUUUUUAUCAAAAUAAUUUCCAAACCAACCAUAAUAUUUGCAUUAGCUUUAACAUAUAAUAUCUUUUACUUUAGUUGUUGAUAUAGCUACAUAUAAGACCAACCAUUCAUAUGAUAAUUAUUAUGGAUCUUAUUUUAAUUUGAUAAAAAUAUCUACCCAAGCAUUACACAGGGAUGACAAUGGGGUGAAAUAUGGACAAGUCAUUCCUAUCCCAACCUCACCCCAUUUAUUCAAAAUAAUUCUCAUUCUCGUCUCAUUGAAGAAAUUAAAUGGAAUGGGAUAGGUAUGAGAAUUUCCUGUACCCACCCCGCUUAACUCUUUUAAUUUCUUUUUUAAAAUUUUUAAUUUUUUUUUAAAAUUUUUUUUAAAUUUGUUUAAAUGCAUUAAAAUAAAUAUAUCUUAUAAAUAAUUUAAAAUUUAAAUUUUUUUAUAACUUAUUUAUUAUUAUUAUUAUUAUUAUUAUUAUUAUUAUCAUUAUUAAAAAUAGGAAAAUAACAAUUUAUAUCUAAUUGAGGUAGGACAAGGUAAUACCUAAACCUACCCCAAACCCGUCUCGAGUUUUAAAAAAAUUCUCAAAAAUGUUUUUAACUCGUUUAUUUAAAUUUCAAAUCCAUCUCAUUAGGGAUGGGGUGAAAACCCGUCUCAUUGUCAUCCCUAUAUGCAUGUCAUAAAUAUAUAAUAAGACAAAUAAUAAUAAAUUAGUAUCUAUUUAGAUAAACUUCUUGUUUUUUGUUUUUAAAAUAAAAAAAUAAUAACUUUUAUAUAAGAUAUAAGGAUACUUAUAUACUUAUAUUUAAAAAAAAAUAAUAGCUUUAAAAAUCAUUUAAAAAAUUUAAGGUAUUAAAAAUUUUUUACUAAACCAAAUUUUAAAAAAAUUUUAAAGUGAUUUUUAAAGAUAUGACAUAAAUUUAUAUUUUUUUUUGUAUAACAUGUUCUACUUUCAUAUAGAAAUUCUAAUUUUAAAAACAAAAAAUAACAGAUGUAUUAAAUGGACACUUUAGCUUCUUAUUUUUUUAGUGGUUCACCUUGCCCCUUAGAUAAGAAGAUUAUGAAAAUUUUCAAUAAUUAUGAAAAAGAUAAAAGUACUAAAAGUGGAAAGACUUUUGACAAAAUUAUGUGUGAGAUGGUGUGCAUCAACUUUAAUUUGGACAAUUAUGUUAAUGGGAAGAUGUUAUCCUCAUCUCAAUCACUAACUUUAAAUUGUAGUCCUUACUGUAUUUUGGAUAAUUAUAUUAACGGGUCAUGUCAUCCUUGUCUCAACUCAUAUUGAUUAUUUAAGUUAUAAGUUAUAGUCACCAUAUCUUAUUUAAACUUUUAUACUAUUUUUUUAUUAUUUUUAAAUAUAAAUCUUAUUAAAAUAAAUAUAAUUUAAGAGUAAAUAAAUUAAUUUUUAUGAAUUUUAUAUUAGCAUUGAUAAAAAUUAUAUUUUCAAUUUUAUUUUAAACAUGUUCAAAAGGGGGAAAACAAAAAAAGAAACUAAAUUAUUUUUAUUGAAUUUUAUAAAUAAAAAUGAUUUAAUUUUAAAUUUUAUGUAAUUUUAUAAAAAAAUUCUCAAAUAUAUCCCUAAUUUGUUUAAAUUUGUCCUAAAUCCUUCUAUAGUUGUCAUCUCUAAUUUUGACCAUAUAAAAAUUAAACCAAAAUGUAAGAAGGUUGAGGAAUAUCAAAUAUAAAGAGAGGUUGAAAAAAUUUAUAAUGCUUAGAGGUAUUUUUCUUACAAAUAGAACUUGUUUGGUCAUGUGAUUUAAAAACAGUUUUUUUUUUUUUAAAAAUAAAAAAUAAAAAACUGUUUUUAAAAAUUUCUAACAAUGUUUGACCAUUGUUAUUUGGAAGCAAUUUUUUAAAAAUAAGGUGAAAUAAAGAACAAUUUUUAGAGAACAAAUAUAAAUUGUUUUCAUUGAUUUUUAAAAACAAAAGGAAAAUAUGAGCCCAUUUGACCAUAUUUUCUUAAACUUGUUUUUAAAAACUUUUUUUAAAAAAGCACUUUUUAGAUUAAAAACAUUUUUUAGAAUCACUACCAAAAUGAUUUUAAGUAUUAUCUCACUUCACCUCAUUUAUAUAUAAAAUUAAGUAAAAAUAAUUUAAUUUCUGUUUCCAUUUCCCCUUUUUAAUCAUAUUUAAAAUAAAGUUACAAAUUUACUUUUUAUCAAGAUAGAAUAUAAAAUUUAUGAAAAAUAAUUUAUUUACUCAUAAAUUACAUUUAUUUUAAUAAAAAUUAAUUUUAAAAAAAACAAAACAAAAGGAAAAAUUGUGCCCAUUUGAUCAUAUUUUCUAAAAACUUUUUUUGAGUUAAAAAAUAAAAAACAAUUUCUAAAAACAAGUUUCAAAAAACAUGACCAAAUGAACGACUAUAUAUAUUUGUAUCACUUUGAAAUAGCACUUAAUAGACACUUACUUGAAUAUCAAUUUUUUUUUUCUUUUCUAUCAUGUAUCUUAUCAUCAAAAACGUUUUCAAACCACUUUUUUGGGUCGUAUCUAGGCACCAAUUAAUUCUUCACAAAAGCGCUUUUUUUCUACUUAAAAGAGUUAUUGAUGUAAAUGAUAUAGGCUAAAAAAAAGCAUAUAAAGCAUUUAUAAGAAUCAAUCCCAAUGGGUUUUAUAAGUUGUGUCAUUUAUGAAGAUUUUCUUGACUUUUUAUAUUAUAAUCUUUCAUAAUUAUGUAAUUCAUAAUCAUAAAUACCAAGAUGUAUACACAUGCAGGUAACACGUCCUCUUGACAAUGAUGUGAGAGGUGUAAUAGACAAGGAACAUACAUACCUGUAUUCCAAGGAAGUACCAGUGCAUUUGAUGACAUUGUUCUAGCCUAAAUUCCAAAUUUUAGCAAUCCAAAAUCUGUAACUUCUGCAAAAGUUACCUAGUUGUUGAGGGAACAACACAUCUUCUCUUCCCAUUUUCAUCUUAUGCACUACAUAUCCCAUGUCAACUACCACUUCCACUACACCUGAAUGAAGUAGGAAUACAAACGAACAUUUCAAGGCAUCAGAUUGUCUGAAAAUUAAAUUGGGAGAGGUAGAACUACCGAUGCUUACAUGGAACUGAGGAAAAGAAAAACAAAAGCAACAAAAAUGGAAGAGAAAAUGCAAAUCCAUAAGCCUGUAGCUGCUGUCCAAAGCAGCUUCUUUGUCAAUUGUCAACAAAAAGUCCACUACGAAAUUCACUGGUAGAGCCACAUAUAGAAUAUUGCAAUAUAGAUAGUAUAUUGAAUGUAGGGUUCUAAACAGUCUCUGACUAAACACCAUUGGAGUAUAGAUAGUAGCUCUUAGAGGGAAGUGAGGUCUUGGUGACCCUGGAAGGUUAAGGCUUCCAGAUACUGGAAUCUUUGUGUGGAGAUAUGUAUGAGAGAUGUAGGAAGGAAGAGGCAAGCUUGUGUCAUCUGAGCAGAGGCAUCCGGAAUCUUUGCGUGCCAUUAUUCAAUCCAAAGAGAUGUUGGGAGAGAUUUGUUCAGGAUUUAUGUGAGGUACAGGCUUUUUCACAAUCAUAAAUAUGAAGGUAUUUAAGUAUGGCAUUUUGGAAUAAGGUGAUCUACCAGUAACAUGGAAGAUAAGGUGAUCACAAAGGACUACACAGUUAUCAUGUUUGGAAUAGUUGUGGUUAGUUAAUUUCAAGCCCAAGUUUUAGCACCUAAAAACAUGCCCAUUUUUUCCAACCCUUUAGCGAGAUUGCACGGAAGCAUUCUCUGGUUGUUAUAUACAUGGUGUCCGCAUAUCAAUCAACACAUUUAGAUGUUUUUUUCUUAAAUUCCAUAUUAAAGUUAUACUGGACACUUGAAUGUGAACAUGUCUGAUUAUAUCUUUUCUUUCCAGACAUGUUUCAUCUCUCCAGUGCACUGGGUUAGGAUGAACCUUAAAGCUCAGCUACAGAAUGAAACUGGAAUAUUAGUCAUGUUUUCUGUUCAUAGAUUUUGAUAAAAAUGUUGAGUAAGAUCAAGAAAGUUGCUAAAUGGGAAGAUGAUUUUCUUACUGUCAGUUCGCAUUGAAAAAAUGGUAAUCAGAAAAGAUAUUUUGGAUAGGAUUCAGAAAGAAAAUAUGUCGAUUCAAAAGUUAAAGAUAUAGUACCCAAGGGGCUAUGAUCCUGUGUAUGGAUGUUUCAUGUUUUAAGAUUGUGCACGAAGUGCUGAUGUUAUAAGGGAUCAAGGGUGGUUUGUGGAGGAGUCCCCUCUUCAGAGUAUUGCAAGUAUGUAGAUAAUCCUGCAAUUCUGGAGUAGGCUUCUUCUAAUUUGCUCUGCACCCAAUCGUCCAGAAUAGUGGAAAGCUUCAUUUAGUUGUAAUAAUUUUAUUAUUUAGAUUGAAUCAUAUUCAUUGGGUUUGCAGAUCAGGAGAAAGUGUCAUGGCUUUGAAUGUUUGUCUCUUUGAUAAUAUCACAGUGCAUUGGUCCACAGAGUUAGCUGUAUGACAGUUGAAUGAAAUGACUGAAAUGUAGCAGUCAAGGGUAUAUAUCAUAUGAAAAUUUUUAAAUAGAGCAACCUGUUUGGUGAUUCUUCAUUUCUUCUUCAUUCCAUCAAGAGAACAGCAUCUCAUGCAUCUUUGUAUUGGGUUCCUCGCUCUUCUUCCACCCUAAGGAAAAACGGUAUCUUGCUUAGUUUGGACUUCUCGAUUUCUUUUGAUCAUUGUGAGAAACAUCAUGAGAAGAGGUACAAUAAAUGUGUUGUGCUGAAUUAUCCAAAACAUUAUUUUCACAAUCAUAAAUACCAAGGUGUUUAAGCAGCAGGUAAGGCAUCUCUUGACAAUGAGGUGAGAGGUAGAAACAAGCAACAUACCUGUAUUCAAGAGAAGUUCUGUUCUUUUGAAAUUUGACAACAUUCAUUUAGUCUGAACUCAAUAUCUGGGCAACUCAGUAUCUCCACCUUCAUUAGGAUUGCAGGAAGCUGGCUUCUUGGAAAGACAUGAAAUGGGGGCAUUUCAAAAUCUGAAAGAAUUUCAGAGACCUGUUGCAACUUUUGAAUUGCUCAAAUCAGUAACAACUCCAGAGACAUACAUAUCUGCCCCUGGGAAAUAGAGGUGUCCUAGGCAUGCAACCAUGGAAGAUUAGCUCCCUAAUAGGCUCAAGGUUGUGGUCAUAAAAAAUGCACUGAGUGGGUGACUUGCAAUCAGUUCUGUGAGUCCCUCUUGGUAGCUUCUCAUUUAUUGCACCAUAUGAAUUACAUAUUCCAACUGCCAAUUUCACCACCCCUAAAUGAAUUAAGAGACAGGCUGAAAGCAAAGUUAGACAACUCAUCAUAGAGUUAAUCCUGCAGGAAUACACCAAAAAGGAAAUCUUAUUAAUAUAAACGAAUUCAUCCAAUUAAAGGAUAAGGUUGUCUGAAAAAUUAAAUUGAGAGAGAUGGAUAAAGUGAUGCUUACAUGGGACUGUGGGAAGGAUCAACAAGAGAAACAAACAUUGAAUAGCAAAUGCAAAGCCAUAGAGCUUGCAACUGCUGUCAAAAGCUGCUCCCUAGUGAAGUCUUUUAACAAUAAAUUUCAGUGCAAAAUUCGCCUAAUUGCUCCACUUGUAGGACAUUUCAAUAGUAUGAAAACAGGAUAUGGUGAACUCUCCCUGCUUCUGCCAUCAGUGAACUAAUAUGGAUCAAAGGUGUACUCAUUGUUGUUGAUUUAAAGGUAGCACCCAAAGGAAGCCCAAGAUACUUGGAAGGUAACAACCCCACUUCACACCCCAAAAUAUCCACCAACUCCUCCAUUAUUGGAACCCUUCCAACUAAGAUUCGCUCACUUUUUUCAAGGUUGAUCUUAAGCCCAGAAAUUGCUUCAAACCACAUCAAGACCCAAUGAAGAUGCAAUAGUUGGUCCUUAGAAGCCUCACAAAAAAUCAAUGUGUCAUCCGCAAACAAAAGAUGAGACACCUCCACUCCCUUGCCACCUCUACUUCCCACCUUAAAUCCUGAAAUAAACACCCUCCCCUAAACAAACAAAAACUCUAUGUUCUUAUCUUCAAGAGUGGAAAGUUAUAGCAUUUUAACUUACAACCAUUGCUUCAAGGUGACUGAAGAUGCAUUCCAUAAAAUGUUAGACAAGUUGCUUAUCAUUUUCCUGACCCCGAAUGCUAUAGGUAGAAGAAAUAGGUAAAUGUGCUUACUAGUAGUGGAUGCAUUCCACAAAAUGCUAGAGAAGUGGUUGUUUCCUUCUCUCUAUCUCUUUCCUUACCUCCUUCCUCACCUCCCUCACCUUCCUAAAUUCCCUUUUCCCUUAUUUUCUCAAACAACUCAAUUGCUCCACAUGAUUUUUUCAUUUUUUAUUUAAAUAGGAAUGCUUCACAAGAUUCAUAUAUUACCUCCUUGCUAAUUUUAGUUAGUUAGGCACUGCCCCUUAAAAACUCAAAUAAUUCUACAUGAUUAUACCUUUGAUGUAGUUAUGAAUACAAGGAUCAUCCAUAACUCCUUCAAUUGCAUGACAUAUUUGUUGUAUUACUGAUUAUAAACUGGCACUAUCAUAACAUGAUCAGCAAAAAAAUAAAAAUAAAAAUAAAAGUUUCUUCUAGAAUUUGAUGGAUGAACCUUAUGGCUAUGUUUGGUUCCUAGAAAAUUUGAGGCAAAAUGCAAGGGAAAGAAAAUAAAAAGGAAAAGUAGAAAGAAAGAAAAAUUGAAGGAAAAUUUAAAAUAAAUUUAAAGUCAAUAAAUUAUUUUUAUAUGUUGCUUCAAACUUAUUUCACUUACUUUAACUAUUGAAUAUAAAAUUAAAUAAUUUGAAAAUUUAUAAGUUUCUAAUUAGUUUUAAUUAUAUUUGACUUUCUUUGGUAUUUUCUAUAGAACAAUCAAACAUGAGAAAAUCAUUUUCCUUAUUAUUAUUAUUUUUUUAGUACUUUUCAAUCUAUUGAGUUUGUCUAUGAUGAUUGGCAUGGGUUAUUUUUUUUAGGCUCAUUCACCAACCAAUUGGUUUGUGGUGUACUGCUAUACUUCUUUUCCAAUUUUAUUUUAUUUUAUUUUUUUGGUUCAUUUUAUGUUUAAAGAGGUUUUAUUUGAUUUGAUUUUAUUUGAUUUUUUUUUAUUUAUCAUAAUUCAUGUGUAACCGCAAUUUCUUUGUCACCAUCACCAUGUGACUCCAUUUAGUGGUUGGGAGAGUUAGAUCUUGGAACAGUUAUGGAAUAACUCCAUCAAUGUUGUGCAUCUUUCUUUGAAAUGUAGGAAAGUGGCUUUUUUAUCUUUUUAUUUUUUGAAUAUCUCCUUCUCAUAAAUAGGUAUGGUAUGCCCAACAACAUUUUAUUUUAUCAAAAUUCUUUGAUAACAUAGCUUAUCAAUAUGAUGAAAGGAUCAUAAUGUGUCUCAUCAACCUGAUUUCAUAUUGCACAAUGGAGCCUAGAUUUUGAAGUUCACUCAGUUAGGAAGGGAAAUCUUGUGUUGAUGUAAUGGUAGAUAUUGUUUUUGUAGUUGGGAUUCUUCAAGGGUUUGGGAGGUGGGAGGAGUUCUAGAGGGAGAGCACUGUGCAGAGAGACCAACUUAGCUGGCUAAUGGAUUAUUCGGCUUCAGAGAAAUGCUUGGAUACUUGAGAACAUGAGAAAAUCUUUCAUUGACUUGUGUGCUAAUAUCUAUUAUCUCACAACUCUUUGAAUACCUGUCACUGUAGAGUUCUUUAGGUUCCCUUUAAUGUAUAUACAUCCUUUUUUGGAUCGAGGAUCAAUAUGCCUCUCCCGUCGGAGAGUGCUUUUGCGCUGGAGGACGCACUGCCUGUGCUAUUUCUAGACUCCUGACUCUGGCCAGUCCACUCUGCACUUUUUUCAGUUUCCAGACACAAUAUGUUAUACAAUUAACAUACCAGCUUCUAUGUGAUCUAAUUCAGCUCCACCUCAAUCAUUGGAAAUAGCAGCAUGCCAACAAUUAUAGUGUGGGCACCAGUUUUUAGUUAUUCACCUGCCUUGCUUUUCUGGUGAAGUCAGGCAGCAUCUUUUCAUUUCAGAAUGCAGCAUGUUGUUGUUUGUGACUUUUUGGCCAUCAGAGCAAUUGUGGAUGGCCCUUCAAUAGAAAAAACUUUGUAGGUGUGUGUUUGUGCCAAAUCAAGGCUCAAGUUAUGAAUGAAAAUAUGAAAAUGAAAAGAGAAACAAAGCAGAAAUUCAUUUUACUAUGUCUCUGUUCUUUCCAUGAGGGAUUAGGCUUAUACCUCUUUGGAAGACUCAGAAUCUCCUUUCGGUAUCUCAAUGGCUCCUUUCUCCUAUAACAUGUUCAAGAAUGCUGCUUUAUUGUGGACCUUCUAUGCCUUUAUUGAAAAAGAAAAAGUGAUAAGAUAUUUCAACCAGUUGAAAAUAGAGGACCCUGAGGCCUGAGAUAGACUGAUGCUAGAUACAAAAUACAUAUGUAUGGAUAUUCAAACUUAUCUAGAAGAAAUAGAAGCAAAUGAUACAUUAUAAGUUAGUGUCAAAAGGUGAACUAAGUCUUCCACUAGAUAGUCUACUUAGAUGUCAAAAAUGUAGUGGGCUCUUUAGCCUCAAGGUAGCCUAAAGCUCAAGUUUGGUUGAUGUUACCUAGCAAACUCAAGACAGAUGGAAAUUUCCAGCCUUUUACAGGUCCAUAGAUGUGUGAUUAUUAGGGCUUUUUAAUGUCAUUUGUGAUGGGGUUUGCUAUUGAUGUGAUGCAGAGGUCCUGAAACUAUUAGAAGGGAUGUAAAUCUGGUGAAAGAGUUGGGUGUUUAUGAUCUUAUGGGGAAGGAGAAUUGAGCAAUGGUUCUCUCUUGCAUGUCACUGGGUCAAAAAGGGUCAGUGAGAUAAAACCACCAAUCCUUUUAGAGACAUUGGCUGAUCAUUUCUUGAAAGUCUAGAUCGAGAAAUCAAGAAGAUGAGAGGUUGAUUAAGAGAGAAGUCAUGUCCUAUGCCAACUUUGUUUGAGUGAGCCAUAUCAUAUACUUCUACCUGGGGUUAAUCUUUAAGGCUGGAGGGUUCAUUGUCUCUUCAUUUUUUUCCCUUUAUUUUUUUCCCCUUAUUGAAUCAUGUUCUUGUACAUCUACUUGUUUAAAGGAUUUCUCAUCCUUCCUUGUAAAUAACUGUUUGCAUAAUAUUAUCACACAAAAACAUAGAUCAUAGACAAGCUGAGAAUUUCUUAAGGAUCCAUAAUGUGAUCUUAUGUUUGCUUCUAGAUCUAUACAUAAUUAUUAGCUUUUAAUUAGCUUAUCUUCAUUGGACUACUUAUGUGGAGAUUUGUUUUAUCUGUUUCUCCGUGUUUCAGGCACAACUAAUUGACCCAGCACUAAAAGGAUUAAUGAACAUUCUAGGAUCUUGUGCAAAAGUUCCAUCAGUCAAAAGAGUAGUUGUAACAUCAUCUAUGGCUUCAGUUGCAAUCAAUGGGAAACCUCUAGCUCCUGAUGUGCUAGUUGAUGAGAGUUGGUUUUUAGAUCCAGUUUUCUGUGAGAAAUCAAAGGUUGCUUAAAUGAGAUGAUUUCCCAUCACAUGCUAUCUCUUUUGCAUGUUCUUGUUUGUGGCUUUACAAAAUGUUUUCUUUUCAUGGCUCUUCACUUCUUUUACCCUGCAGAAGUAGCUGCCAAUUUGUCAUGCCCUCUUGUUUUUACACUUCUGCUAGCCAGCUUAGGGUUAAAUAACACGAUGGGAAUGAGAGGAUUAUCCCUUUAUUUUGCUAAGCCUGCCAUUAGAUUAAAUAAUCCUUCCAUGUAUGUCUAAUAUUUCACUAAUACGGUGUUGGUAGCUGUCUGAUCCAUAAAGUCGCAUUCCUCAAACAAGAAAUUAAAUGAGAACUCUAAUUUGGAUAUUAUAUGAAUGAAAUGGAUGUUAAUCUCUGAUUGUCUUACUGUCCAUUAAACAUGAUGGGCUCAGAAACAUGGGUUGACAAAACAGUUGUGACAUAUCUAAUUAGUUUUAAUGUGAGUGUGUAUGCCUGCACAGCCUCUAUAGAUUUUGCUUGGGUUCAUAAGUUCAUUGCUUGUUCUCUAUGUUCCAUUAUCUACUAGAAAUGCUUCUCACUAUAUAUUUUCAAACAUGUUGGUUUCUACUAGCUAUGGUAUAUGCUUUCAAAGACAUUAGAUGAGGAGGCUGCUUGGAAGUUUGCAAAAGAGAAUGGGAUUGACAUGGUUACAAUAAAUCCAAGGGGGGGUGAUUGGCCCUCUCUUACAGCCUACUCUUAAUCUAAGUGUGGAGGAAGUUCUGAAGCCACUAAAAGGUACGCUUCAACAAUUGAUGAGAAUCUCUUUUUUAUGUUUAUCUUUCUACUCCAGUAGCAAUACAUGCUUCACUUCAAUAUUGAGUCAACUCUAUCCAACAGCCCUGCAAAUGGAAACUUAGAAGUUUAAAUCGAAACUUAUCAAUAAACCGUCACAAGACUUCCACAGUUCCACAUAAAAGGACUACAUAUGCAUUUUGAUAUAUGCUGACUAAUCUUCUAACAUUAAAAAAUUGUUCUCUUCUCUGGUCAUUAUAGUUAUAUCACCAAGAUACUCAUUUGGGAGAUUUGCAUAUGAGAUUAGAUGAAGAUAUAUUUUGUUUUGGUCUCCUAAGCCAGACUGGUUUGGAAGGACCCCUGGACUGUGAAAGGACUAAAAGCAUGCGUAUGUAAUUACUAUCUUGAACUUAAGGUAUAUUUGCAUGCAAGUUCAAUCCAAGGCCAAGAACUUCUUAAAUAACCCAUUAAUCCUUUUGAUCCACCCCAUCUAAAUAUUAUUGCAGCUCAACAUAAUUAGCAUAAAGUGGGGGUUCCCCACAUCCAACUCCAUUGCAAAUGAGUUGUUCAUGUGCAACUCACUUGAUCAGUAUUUUUAAAAACUUCUACUAACUUUUUUGGACUAUUUUACAGAUCUUAACAUUCUUUAAACAUUUAGAAUCAUUUCUAGUGGCUUUAUAGGGAAAUAUCAUGUUACUUUAUUGACAACUCUUACAAUAAUCAAUACUUCCAUAACUGUAUAGCCAAUAUGGUUUGUUUACUUACUAACCAACCUCUUCUGCCUCCAACUGACCUCCCAUGUAUCUUGCUUCAAUUAUGAGGGUGUUGCCAUUAGGUUGAGAAUUGGACAUAUGAUAAACCUGUGCCUUGAUGGUUGUACUCUGAUUCAUGGAUCCAGACCAUUGUAAUUGGGAUUAGACUUGUUGGUAGUUGCUUUAGUUCAAUGCUUGCAAUGACCAAAGUAAUUUGUCGUGCUGCUUUAGAACCAUUCGAUCUUUCAUAUGAAAUAAGAAAGGUAUUUUGUACAAAAUAAUGUUUUCACUUGUAAUUUCCAACAUUACAUAAGGCGAUAAAUAGAAGUGUAUUUGCUAAGUGUGAUUGCAUCAUUUUCUAAGCGUUUCCGUUUGAGACAAACAGUCUAAGAUGAAAAUGUGUGCUUCAAAAAUUUCUAGCUGUAAUACUUUUGAGAUUGUGCCAAAAGCUGGUGGUCGUUCUUCUUCUAUGAAUCAGUUGACAAUGACUAUAAAUAAAUAAAUGGAAAAACAUCAUAUUAUCACUGAGCAGAUUGCACACUAAACUUAAAUAGGCAACAGAAACUGAUGCUUUCAGUACACUUACAUAAUACUUGUGAUGUAAGCUUCUGAGAUUUGUUUGCUGCAGGAGAUACAUUUCCCAAUAAAGCACAUUGAUGGGUUGAUGUUAGAGAUGUUGCCAUGGCACAUAUUCAAGCAUAUGAGCUUCCAAUGGCUAGAGGCAGAUACUGUUUAGUAGGGAGUGAGCUUCCAAUGGCUAGAGGCAGAUACUGUUUAGUAGGGAGCAUUUUACACUGUUCUGAGACAAUGAAGAUUUUGCAGAAGCUCUACCCUGCUUUAAACCUACCUGAGAAGUAAGAUUUUAUUAUUUGCAGGGCAUUAUUUCUAGUUUGCGUUAGUGCCCUUUGAAAUCAAUAUUGCAGCUUAGGCAAUGUUACUUUUUUUUUUGUUUAUUUUGGGUUUUUCUUUUAUUUUUUGAUAGGCUUAAUAUAUACAUAUUCUGUAAAGAAGUACCUAGAAAAAGGGGCACAACUCCGGUGCAAGUAGUAGUAUGAAAGUAGCACUAAAAUGUAAAAAUUAAAAACAAAAGGAAACAACUACAUCAGGAAGGCAACAGACACAAUAAAACAAGUAACCUGCAUUGGAUGAAUAUGUGAUACAUUGAUUUCAUCAUUUGGUUGCACAGACAACACCAAUUGACGAUAGACUAAACUAAGAAACAGUUGUUCUAAUAAGACUGAAACAACACCAUCAACAAAUUAUUGAGAUUUUCACAAAAGGCAUUGCCUUGAGAAUCAAACCUUGGAGAGGUGAAUCCUCUCCAUCUGAAUGAGCUGGGAAGCUGCAAAUUCACCUACCUUGUCGGUCUGUGUUAUCCUCUAUGAUGUGCCAGUGAAUCCAGUAGGAUGUAGCUUGCAUUUACUUGGGCCAUGGCUGGACCACUGUCUUUAAAUACUGUUGUAUGGUUGAAAUAUUUCACAUGCAUGUGUAGCCUUUCUCCAUUCACGGUGGUCAUAAUGGCACGUCUAUGCUAUUUCAACACAUCGCCUUCUUAUGAAUUGCAUCCGAUUCUUAAUAUGUUAUCAAAGUGCUAAGGAUCUAAAAGUACUUCAGUGAUCGGGGCUAAGGAAUUUUCUGAUUUAUAUUAUUUAUUAUGUUUUGGCUUAUCAUAUCCACAAAUGUGUUUUCAAACUUCUAUCAUCAAUAUUGACCUUGGUGGAGUUCCUUCAGAUUCACUGAAUACUUUCUGCCAUUUAGGUCUAGUUAAACCCAUAUUUCAUUCUUCUAGUACAAAAGAACUAAUCCCCAUUGCUUGGGGAUCUUCUCAAUUACCCAAAGAGAUGUGUUUUAAGCUUCAGGUCCGUGUCCUGAGAGUUUUCUUUUCUUCAAUACCAGUCAUUUCACUGAUUGAUUAAGAAACUGUGUUUCUGUUUUAUUUGUGGCAGAUGUGCAGACGACAAGCCUUAUGAACCAACCCAUAUGGUGUCCCAGGAGAAAACUAAAAGUUUGGGCAUCGACUUCACUCCUCUGGAGGAGAGCCUGAAGGACACUGUGGAAAGCUUGAGGGAGAGGAACUUUGUCAGUUUCUGACACAUGGUAUAGCCAUGCAAAUGAAUCAUAAACAAAAAAUGGUGUCUUCUUGGUAACUUCAUUGUUAAGUGUGUUGGAGUCAUGUAUUUUCUAAUAUGUUCAUGGUAAGCAAUUCCCAAGACAUGCUACAAGUUCUCCAAAAGAAAAACAACGACAUAUAAAAAGCGGUAACUUCUAUUUCUGCUUCUGCUCAACAACAAAAGCUAUCAACUAUCCUAAAUGGGCUCCAGGGAGAUUCGUAGACCUUAGGUCCCUUCCAAACUAGAUUUUUUGUUUGGGAAGUAACUGAGGAAGAUUUUCACUUGUCAUUAACUUAUGCAGAGGUUGGUAGCUAACGAACUAUGUAAGGGCAAUGUUCUUGAUUAUACCAUAUGUAAGGACACAGUGAGCUCUGCCUUUAGAAAUGUAGGCAGUGAGGUGGCAUGGUCCAUUAACUUCAUUCUGUGAUUGGCUGCUCAACCAUUCCAAAACAAGGGAAAAUUAUGCUUACUGAAGUUUUACUUUCUGUUGGGUUUGAUAGAAUCUCUGCUCAUUUUGUUUCUUAGAGUACUGAAAUGAUUAGAGACAAUAAGAUUGAAACCCCAAAUUUUUUUUAAUAACUGUUGAAUAUAAAUAUGUUUUAUAAAAAAUAAUUCUCACUAAUAAACCCCGGUAGUGCUUUUAUCAGAAAUGCUUAAGUUUCAAAUUUCAUUAUUUUAUUCUAAUUCUAAAAUUUUGUGCCUUAAACUUGAAUAAUGUUGAUAUGAGACUCAAUAGUAGUGAAGUAGUUUUCAAACUGCAAACUUAGAAACAAAAUUAUCAACCAAACCAAAACUUAAAAAAAUGCAAGUAUAAUUUCCAUCCUUGCAUGGUGAAAAAUUAUAGUAGCAUUUCAGUUUGUACCAAGCAGAUGAUCCAGAAUCAUGGAAUGGAGAACCAGGACUACUUCCAAAAAAAUAAAAAUAAAAAGGGAAGUCAAAGGCAAAUGGAUAUCCUUGUGGGAUGAAAACCGAGGGUAAAAGCAAGGGGAUGACGGAAGCUGACAGUGACCAAGGAGGUCAAAACGCUGACUCAUUCGCAUACGCUAGCAUUUAAAUUCACGUACGCAUUCGAAAACAGGUCACACUCUCUGUAUAUUGUCUCUAUAUACACCAAGUGUACAAGUGGAUAGCAUAGAUUUGAAGGUGAAAGUGAGUGGUCCAGGGAGAUGAAUAGUGGAGAAGGGGAGGUGGUGUGCGUGACUGGAGCUUCUGGGUUCAUAGCUUCAUGGCUGGUGAAGCUCCUACUCCAACACCGUUACACUGUCAAAGCUGUUAAAAAAUCUGGAGAAAGGAACUAAAACUUUCAGAAAAUAUUAGAGUACUGAGUUGGAGAAAGACACACACUAUAUUUCACCAAAGAGAAUGCCUAUUUAUAGGCUUACAACCAAACUGAAAAUGCUAAAAACUCUCAGCUGCUAUGACUACUUCUACUAACAGAAAAACUGAAAAUCAGAGAUAGCAAAACAGAGACUAAGUCUAACUAAGACAUUUUCAAAGGCAAACUCUCAUGAAUUCUAACACUCCUCCUUGAGAUUUGCCUUGGACAUACCAAGCUUCAACCUUAGGAACUCCAGCCUUGAUUUAGGAAGUCCUUUAGUCAUUAUGUCAGCAAGUUGCUCAUCAGUUGAGCAAUAAUGCAGCUUAACAAGUGAAUUCUUUUCAGCUUCCCUUAUGGAGUGGAAUUUUAAAUUUAUGUGCUUGGUUCUGCCAUGAUGGACAGGAUUUUGAGCAAUGGAAAUGGCUGACUUAUUGUCACAGAAAAGCUCAGUUGGUGAGCUUUGUUCUUGGCCUAAAUCAGCAAGCAAUUUUCUCAACCAUAUUGCUUGAUUUGCAGCAGCUACUAAGGAGAUAUACUCAGCUUCUGUAGUUGAUUGUGCCGCUACUUCUUGCUUUCUUGAAUUCCAGCAUAUGACACCUGAACCGAUUGUAAAUACAUAACCUAAAGUGCUCUUCAUAUCAUCAACACUUCCUGCCCAAUCACUAUCAGCAUAACCAUCUAGCUUAACUCCUCCUGUCUUUAAAUACCAAAUGCCAAGAUUUGUUGUACCUUUAACAUACUUUAGCACCCUCUUUGCAACUCCCAUGUGAACAUUGCUAGGUAAACUCAUGAACCUUGAAAGCAAACUAGCUAGAAACAUCAAGUCAGGUCUGGUUACUGUCAAGUAUAGUAGGCUGCCCACCAAGCUUCUAUAUGCAGAGGGUUCCUCAAGUUUCUCACCAUCAUUCUUUGAAAUUUUCUCAUUUUGUGCCAGCGGAGUUGCUACUUCUUUGCAUGAUUCUAGCUUGAAUUUCUUGAGAAUAUCCAUAACAUAUUUUCUUUGUGAAAUGAAGAUACCCCAGCUGCAUUGGUAUAUUUCCAUUCCAAGGAAGUAGUUCAUGAUGCCAAGGUCAGACAUCUCAAAUACAUCUUGCAUUUCCAUUUUGAAAUCAGCUAGCAAUUUUACAUUGCUUCCGGUCACUAGCAUGUCAUCAACAUAAAGUGAUACUACCAGUUGCAAACCAUCAUCAUUUUGUUUCAAAUACAAAGUAGCUUCAUUUUCACUCCUCCUAAAUCCAAGUUGGAUCAGAUGAGAAUCAAUUCUGCUAUACCAGGCCCUUGGUGCUUGCUUCAAACCAUAGAGAGCCUUAUGUAGCUUGUACACUUUGUGUUCAUGGCCAAUAACCUCAAAGCCUUCUGGUUGUUGAACAUAAAUUUCUUCAAGAAGUAUACCAUUUAGAAAAGCUGACUUGACAUCUAAAUGGUACACUUUCCAUCCCAUUUGACCAGCAAGUGCAAGUAGUAGCCUUAUAGUGUCAUGUCUGGCUACUGGUGCAAAUGUAUCACCAUAGUCCACUCCAGCAACUUGAGCAAAACCCUUCACAACCAAUCUAGCCUUGUGCCUGAAGAUUGAACCAUCUGAAUUAAAUUUAGUUCUGAAAACCCACUUUACACCAAUUGCAUUCUUAGCUUCAGGUAGUUCUGUCAACUUCCAGGUUCCAUUUCUUUCAAUAGCAUCAAUUUCAGCUUUCAUGGCCUCAAUCCAUUCUAGAAAUCUUGCAGCUUCCGUGUAACAUGUAGGCUCAACAUGUACAAGAUUGCACCUCUCGUACACAUCAGAUAAUGGCCUCAUCUUAAGCACUGGUGUGUCUGAAGUUGCUUCAACAUCAAGUGGACCUUCAAUGAUUGUACUUUCUAUUGCUGGUUCAAGAAUAGAUGGAGUGGUUUGAUCACAUUUAUGAACUUUCUUCAAGUCCCAAUUCCAAUAGGAGUUUUCAUCAAAGUGCACAUCUCUACUUAUCACGAUUUUCAUUCUACUCAAGCUAUAAAUUCUGUAACCUUUUGAUUCUGCUACAUAACCAACAAAGACACCUUUCUCAGCUCUUUCAUCAAGCUUCCCUCUCUUGACAGAUGGCACAUGAAGAUAACAAAAUGAGCCAAAAACUUUCAGGUGCUUGACAGAAGGUUUUACACCAGACCAUGCCUCUAUUGGUGUUUUGCUCUGAACAGACUUAGUUGGUAGUCUGUUAAGCAAAUACACUGAGGUGUUGACUGCUUCAGCCCAUAGAAGCUUUGGUAGCUUCUUCUCGAAUAGCAUGCACCUUGCCAUCUCCAUCACGGUUCUGUUCUUCCUCUUAGAGACUCCAUUCUGCUGUGGUGAGUAUGGAGCUGUUAGCUGGUGUACAAUUCCAGCUUCUUGACAAAAGACACUAAACUCUUUUGAGGUAUACUCACCUCCAUUAUCAGUUCUGAGCACCUUAACAUUCUGGCCACUUUGAGUUUCAACCAUUUUCUUGAAGCUUUUGAACAUAGAGAGCACUUGUGACUUGGUUUUUAGAAAAUAAACCCAAGUCAUUCUGCUGAAAUCAUCAAUAAAUAGUGCAAAAUACACAUUGUUGCUCAAUGAGGUUGUGCUCAUUGGUCCACAAAUAUCUGAAUGGAUUAAUUCCAGCUUGUGAGUAGCUCUCUUGGACAUAUUUUGAGGGAAUGGCUGUCGUUGUUGCUUCCCUAGCUCACAACUUUCACAAGUUUGAGCAUUAACUGAGAUUUCAGGCAUGUCUUCAACCAUACCAGCUUCUUGCAUGAACCUCAGUGACUUCAAGUUGAAAUGACCAUAUCUUUUGUGCCAAACAACACUCUCAUCAAUCUUGGCACUAAAGACAUGACCUUCAACUAAAUCAAGCUUCAAAUAAAAACUAUUUCCAUUCAUUUUAAUUUUUGCUAUCUUUGUUCCGUGUACAUCAGAGAUAAAACAAAAAUUUUCUUUGAAAGAGACUGCAUAUCCAUUUCUUAGCAUUUGUGCAACACUAAGAAGAUUCUGAUCUAAAUCUGGAAUAUAAAGAACAUUAGUGACAAUUUUUGUACCUCUCUUGGUGCUGAUAGCAAUUGUCCCUUUUCCUUUGGCUUGCACAACUUCACCAUUUCCCAACUUGACCUUUGGUUGAACUGAUCUAUCAAUGGAGGUAAAUAUUGACAGAUGUUUGGUCAUGUGACUCGUGCAGCCACUGUCAAUGAGCCAAGUAUUCAGUUCAUGAGAACUGAGUGCUUGUGAUGCCAUAAAUAAAUGCUCAUCAUCAUUUUUGUCUUCUUCAGUCACACUUGCAUGUUGUUCUGGUUGGUGUUGAGAUUGUUUUUUUUUGGCUCUGCAAUACUUCUCACUGUGGCCAAGUUUAUUGCAGAAGUUACAAUUAAAGAGAGGUUUACCUUUGUGCCAACAAUCUUUCUCAGCAUGGUUGGUUCUUUUACAAUGAGAGCAAGGCGAAAAUUUUCCUUUUCUUGAAGACCCUUCAGCUUUCCCUCUACUGUUCUUGAAGAACUUCUUUCCUUGCAAGUUUCCAGAAUUCUUUCCCUUGUGAUUUGCUUGAAAAGCACCUUCAGUAGCUUCAUCACCUCUCAUUAAGACCCUUUGCUCCUGUGCAUGAAGCUUGCUGGUUAACUCUACAAUUGUGAGAGUUUGCAAGUCACAAGACUCUUCAAUUACAGAAAUCUUGGCUUCAAACUUUUGAGGCACUGAAACCAUGAUCUUUUCUACCACCUUUUGAUUUGUAAAUGCCUCACCAAGAAGCCGCAUUUGGUUUACAACAUCCAUUAACCUGCCAGAAUAAUCUUUGACAGAUUCGUCGUCUUUCAUCUUCAUCAACUCAAACUCUCUCUUCAAUGUGAGGAGUCUAACAUUUUUGACUCUUUCACUGCCAUCAAAUUCACCCUGGAGCUUGUCCCAUACCUGUUUAGGUGUUUCCAAGUUCAUGAUUUUGGUGAAGAUGUGGUCUGCAAGUCCUGAAUGUAGGCAAGUGAUGACUUUGUCUUUCUUGAGUUUUUCUUCCUCAUAUGCUUUCAUCUGAGCAACUGUAGGAUUUGCUCCCAAUGGUGGUGGAUCAGCUUCUGACAUCACAACAUUCCACAAACCUUGAGACCUUAAGUAAAACCUCAUCUUGACAGCCCAAAUGUGAUAGUGUUCACCAUUAAACACUGGAAUUACAGAGGAAAUAUUGCUAGAAGGAGUCAUGUUUGCACCACAGUUGCCUGAAAAAAUAGAUCACUCAACCUCACUAGUGUUUGCACUCAACCUCACUGUGUUUAGUACUCAAAACACUCAAAAACUUUGCCUCACAGCCCGUAGGAAUUUUGCUCUGAUACCACUGUUAAAAAAUCUGGAGAAAGGAACUAAAACUUUCAGAAAAUAUUAGAGUACUGAGUUGGAGAAAGACACACACUAUAUUUCACCAAAGAGAAUGCCUAUUUAUAGGCUUACAACCAAACUGAAAAUGCUAAAAACUCUCAGCUGCUAUGACUACUUCUACUAACAGAAAAACUGAAAAUCAGAGAUAGCAAAACAGAGACUAAGUCUAACUAAGACAUUUUCAAAGGCAAACUCUCAUGAAUUCUAACAAAAGCAACCGUUCGAGAUCCAAGUCAGUUCUCUAUCUCAACCUUCGAGGGCAUAUUCACUUAUAUGUGCUUCCAUUUAACACACUAGUUGUGCUUACAUUGAUAUGUAUAUAUGCGACAGAUGAUCCAAAGAAGACACAACACUUGCUUUCACUCGAUGGAGCUCAGGAAAGACUUCAUUUAUUCAAAGCGGACUUAUUGGAAGAAGGGUCUUUUGAUUCUGCAGUUGAGGGAUGUAAUGGUGUUUUUCAUACUGCAUCCCCUGUUGCAUUGGAAGACAUUAACCCUCAGGUUCAUCCUACACUACUUUAUAUCCAUGGUUUGAGGUUGUUCAUUAAUGAUCUUGAACCUUCAUGGUCUAUAUUUCAAUCCAUACUAAUGGUGUUUUCCACCGAUGAAUCACUUGACAAUAUCCAAGAAAAUGAAUGACAGAACAUCAAAAUAUUCACAAGCAAAUUGCAUACUUUAUAUCAAGAUAUUUGAAAUUUGUUUGUUGCAGGAGCUCAAACAUUUCCCAAUAUAUCAUCCUAGUGGGUUGAUGUUAGAGAUGUUGCCAAUGCACACAUUCAAGCAUAUGAGAUCCCAAAAGCUAGUGGAAGAUACUGCUUAGUAGAGAGGGAUUUACACUAUCUUGAGACACUGAAGAUUUUGCGCAAGCUCUACACUAGAUUACCUCUACCUGAAAAGUAAGUUUCUAUUAGUUAUUUCUAGUGCUCGUUAGUGCCAUCAUUAGAAGCAAGUGAGACCAACAUGAUAUUACUUCUUAUUGUUCCAUUGGAUACAUUGAAGAGUACCUGCCAUCUUGUUUCCCCUUAAAUAUUUAUGCCUUGGUAUCAUGCAAAAAAUUCUUAGAUGGGACCCACACGUCUUUGAUAAUUGGUUGCAGAUGCGCAGAUGACAAACCUUAUGCACCAUCCUCCCAGGUAUACCAAGAGAAAGCAAAGAGUUUAGGCAUUCACUUCACUCCUCUAGAGGUGAGCCUGAAGGAUACAGUUGAAAGCUUGAAGGGGAAGAACUUUGUCAGUUUCUGACUCAUGGUAUUUAAUGCUAGACUUGCAACUAAAUCAUAAACUAAUGGUGCUUUCCUGCUAAUUUUAUUGUUAUGAACCUCACUGCACCUAUGAUUUGCUAGGUUUUGGGGCUUUUAUCUUAUAAUAUUUGAUUGUAAGCAUUUCUUAUGCUAGAAAUUGGUAUCUGUAUCAACUAUAAGUUUCCCUGUUCAAGUUUCCUAUUCGUGUUAGAAUAAGGUGAAACUAAAUCACACUUAGGAAGAGGGAAUUAGUCCAAGUGGAUUAUAAGGGUCCAAGAAUGGAAUCAGUCGAUGGAAGUGGUAGAAUAUAUUGAACAAAAUUAUAUAUACUACAGUAAGACACAAAACCGAAAAUUGCUUCAUAUUAAUAAUUAAAAGACAUAGGAAACAACAGGCUUGUGUCCUUGAGCAUCAACCCCAUUAUUCCACUAGCCAUGUGAUACGAAAUCCCUGCUCCAACUCCUAUUUGCUUGUAGAUCAUAGUUAUGUGGGCAACACCAACUCCUAUUUACUUGCAGAUCACAGUUACAUGGGCAACACCUCAACACCUGGCUUGAAUUUCGAUUUGUUGCUACUUUCCUAGUCUUAGGCCACUAUUUGUGUUUCAGUUGUCUGUGCAUCUAUAAAUGCACCUGCAUGAAGUGAAUAAAGGAAAAAACUUCUAUCUCCUAUCUCUCUUGUCCUCUCUCAAAUUAAACUCAUCAUUUGGUAUCAGAGCCAGGUUUAUUCAUGGACACACAAGGGAAAACCAAUGUUGAGUUUCGCAAUAAGGUCAACGAAGCCUUGGCCCGAUGUGAGUCAAGUUUUGAUCAGGUGAAUGCCACUCUAUAGAUGGUUUUGAUGGAGCUCCAAGCUUUGCGAGUAACUCAAAGUUCCAGCCACCCCCAAUCAGAAAUCAACCCCUUUGCACCAGAGGGAUCAACCCACCACUUGCACACCGCUAUCGUAACCACCAAUACUGACCCAUAUCUUCAACAACACCUCAAGCUAAAUUUUCCCAGAUUCAAUGGGGAAGACCCAAUCAGUUGGAUCUAUAGGGCUGAAUAAUAUUUUGAGUUUCAGAAAAUUGCAGUUGAAACCCAAGUUCAGUUUGCCUCCUUCCAUUUUGAAGGAAUCGCACUCCAAUGGCACUGCUGGUUGAUGAAGUUUCGAGGACCCCUUUCUUGGAAUGAUUUCACCAAGACCAUUCUCCUCAGGUUCGGUUCUACCAAAUAUGAAGACCCUUCUGAAGCAUUGUCCCGCCUAAAGCAGACAACUACAGUGGCUACAUACUAGGAGGCAUUUGAGAGACUCUCCCAUCAGGUCGACGGAUUACCUGAGCCAUUUCUCAUCGAUUGCUUUAUUGCAAGGCUGUGUGAUGACAUUUGCCUAGACGUCAAGAUUAAGCAACCACGCACGCUUGUAGCCGCCAUUGGAGUGGCAAGACUAAUUGAAGAGCGCAAUCUCCUUCAAAAGAAAACAACAACUCCUAGUCGUAUCCCAAUGACGACGACGCUACAAAAUGGACCCAACCCUCCAGUGGGAAUUCUUGGCCCCAAUCCAACCCAACAGUCCAACAAUAGCUCAAAUCCUUCCUUAAUGUUAGUUCUUCGAAUCACCAGUCAGGAGGCUCAUGAGCGGAGGGAGAAGAGAUUAUGCUACUAUUGCAAUGAGAAAUACUUCCAAGGACACCGAUGCGAACGACCCUAGUUUUUCAUGAUCGUAGAUACACCACUAGAGGAGGAAGAAACUCUAGACGACAACCAGUAAGGAAUAAAAGAGAUUAACACCUUACCCGAGAUAUCAUUCCAUGCCAUUACCAGGGGUGAACACCUGCAGACUCUCCGUGUUCUAGGCCGAUUGAAGAACAAGUACCUAACUGUCUUGAUCGAUGACAACAACACUCAUAAUUUCAUCGAUCAAAUAGUUGUCUCCAGAUUCGGAUUGCUAGUAGUAAGGGAGAAGAAAAUCCAGGUGGUCGUGGCGAAUCAAGAAUGGAUCGAGUGUAUGGGGCAAUUUCUAGGACUUACGCUCAUCAUCCAAGAAAUUCCUGUCACUGCAGACUACUACAUCCUACCAAUGGCAGCUUGUCAGGUGGUCUUGGGGGUCCAGUGGUUGGAGACUCUAGGUUCAAUUGAAUCAGACUAUAAGGCUCUCACUAUGUCAUUUAAAUUGGGAGGCGCUAGGCACACUUUCCAUGGGGUAAGAUGCAUUGUUGUAAUUUUUAACAUUAAGGCUUUGGAUGACAGGGAAUGUACAAAUCUACGGGGCACAUGAUUUUUUUUUUCAAAUUAUUCCUGUCCAUAACCAGUCCCCUUCACAUCGACGAUCGCCAGAAAUGGAAGAGUUGUUGAACCAAUAUGCUCGGGUUUUCGAGAAGCCAAACAACCUGCCUUCCAAACGCCAUAUGAUCAUCGAAUUCCACUACUGCCCAACAUCGAACUAGUUAGUGUGAGACCAUACUGAUAUUCCUACUACCAGAAGGUAGAAAUAGAGCGGAUGGUGGUUAAAAUCCUUUGUUCAGGACUAAUUAGACCAAGUACUAGCCCUUUCUCCUCACCAGUGUUGUUGGUCAAAAAGGUAGAUGGAUCUUGGAGGUUUUGUGUCAACUACAGGGCUUUGAAUAGUAUCACCAUCAAGGACAAGUACCCUAUUCCAAUGAUUGAUGAGUUAUUGAAUGAACUCUAUGGGGCCAAGUUCUUCUCUAAAUUGGAUUAAAGAUUAGGAUACCACCAAAUCCGAAUGCAAGCAGAAGAUAUUCUGAAGACUUCCUUUAGGACCCACAAAGGACACUAUGAAUUCGUGGUCAUGCCCUUCGGGCUAACCAAUGCCCUAACAACUUUUCAAGGCCUCACGAACGAUUUUUUUUUGUUCCCAUCUCUGGAAAUUCAUCCUCGUAUUCUUCAACGACAUAUUGGUAUACUCCAAGUCUUGGAAGGAUCAUUUAUUGCAUCUACAGAUUGUUUUUGAUAUACUGUCCAUUAACCAACUAUUUGUCAAAGAAUUAAAAUGUCAAUUUGGAGUUACACAGGUCACCUACCUAGGCCAUAUUAUUAUAGAAAAAAGAAUAUUUGUUGACCCCAAGAAAAUACAAGCAGUAGUCACUUAGCCUAAGCCCACUACAACCAAAGAAGUACGUGGGUUCUUACGCUUAGCAGGGUACUAUAAAAAAUUCAAAAGCCAUUUUGGCAGCAUGGUAGCAUCCUUAACCAAACUCCUGACCAAGGACCAAUUCGAGUGGAGCAGUGAAGCAAAAGACGCCUUCCACAAAUUAAAAGAGGCAUUGACCAAUCCACCAACCUUACGUUUUCCAAACUUCACUCAACGGUUUGUGAUCGAAUGUGAUGCAAGUAGGACCGGGAUAGGGGCAAUUCUUACUCAAUACAACGACCCUGUGGCUUAUUUCAGCGAAACUUUAAAAAGAUCUGCUUUGGCACUAUCCACCUAUGAGAAAGAAAUCACUAUAAGAAAAAACGCUAACCAUGACGCUUUUUAAGUGUCAAGAAAUACAUUCAAUGGCGCUUCCCCAAAGCAUCAUCUACUAGCCUGUCAUAAUAAGUAUUUGCCUACAAUGACGCUUCUAGAAAACGUCAUUGAAAAGAACCUUGACGCGUAAAAAAAGUGUCAUCAUUAGUCAUAUCAAACUACAUUGACACUUUUAUAAGCGUCAUUGUUGAGUAGAAGAAACCUUGACACUUUCUAUAAGUGUCAUUGUUUAGCAGUUUCAAAUAUUAAAGUAUAAGGACACUUCUAGAAAGCGCCAUUAAAGAGAACCUUGACACUAAAAAAAGUGCCAUUGUUAGUUGUUUACACUACCUUGACACAUUUAUUAGUGCCAUUAUUGGGUUGUAUAAAUGUUAUUGAUGGUUACUCUCAUUCCUUGAAACUUAGUCAAAACAUCAAGGAAGAUAAUUGUUUAAUUUUAAAUUUAGUUUUAAUUUAAUAAUUGUUGCACCUAAUUUUUCACCUGCUAUUAAAAUAAUGCAUACACAUAAGAAAAAAAGUAUGUACCAAUGAAAUUAGUUGUUGCACCUAAUUUUUCACCUGGUAAUACAUUCCAAAUUGCAGUAUUUAAUCACAAAUAGAGAACUUGUAUUUCAUAAAUAAGAAACACAAAAAAAAAAAGCUAAAAUAUAUUAAAAAAACAAAAAAAAUUCACAACUUUAAUGUUUAGUCCCUUAACAUAGUCCAUUUUUUCUUUACAUGCAACCCAAUUGUGCUUUGCUUCAACAUACUCCUUCAUACUAGCUUAUCCAACUACAAGGUUAAUUUCCCAAAAAGAUGACCUACAUGCACAAAAAACCUAAAAUCAAUUACAAUUUUAGAAAAUAUAUAUAUAUAUACAAGUGAAUACUUCUAGAAAUAGAGAGAAAGAAAUGACAAUCAAAAUAUAAUAGGAAAACAAAUGUGUAUACCAAUUGAUAUAUGUGACACUAAGAAUAAUUACAACAAAAUUACUAUCAAUAGUUAAAACACAAAGCAAGAGAUUAAUCAAAUAAGGGACAAGAGAACAUCAACAUCAAUAAUCCAUUAAAUCUUUUAGCCCAAAAGAAAAUAGAAAAACAAACCAAGUUUGGGACAAGAGAAUAUCAACAUCAAUAGUCCAUUAAAAUAUUCAAUUAGACAUCAUCUAAUAGUAAUAGGCCUCAUCGAAUGCGCAACAUUGACAAAGAAAGGUUUGGGAAUAUGGUGUAACAUGAAAUAAAUAAGGUUCACACCAUGAUACUUUAUCAACUAAGUUUUUUGUUAAGUUAAAAGAAUUAACAUUUCCCACCAUCUGAGAUGCAUUGCAACAUUGCAUCCAAAAUAGUAGCCAAUUGUAUCAUACUUAUCAUUCAUCUUAUUUAUCACUAUCAAGGCUAGCAACAACUAUAUAAAUUCCACAACCUAAUAAUAAAUAAAUUGGCCUGUAUAAAAAAUGUAGAGAAGAAUAUCUGCAACUUAAUAGAAGAUAAACAUCUUCUAAUGAUGAACACAUAGUAUUCACAAAGCCAUAGGUGUUUACACAUACACAUAAAUAAAUAAAUAAGCAAAUAGUAUUCACAUAAACAUGAAAAAAUCCAAUGAAAAGUAUAGAUGUUUCUUCAAUGGGACUUCAAAGCCAUAGGACAAAUAGUAGACUAUAUCUUCUAUGUAAUUUUAACUGAAAGAAAAAUUGCAAAUAUCCUAUAACACAGUUGAAAUUCCAAGAUUGAUCCACCUACUAAAAUUAGUUAUAUUAUUUAAUAAUAAAAUUUUUUAAAAUAUACUACAUUUAUAGAAAUAUUAAACAAUUUUCCACUUCAUAAAAGUAGUGCAUAAUAUUUAUUAUCAAAAUAAAGGAGAAUAUUUUUUUUUACUUCUAUUAUAGAAAAUAAAGAUUACAUACAAAAGACUUGUCUUCUCAUCAAGUACCAUAUUUAGAUUUGUAAAUAAUCAAUUUUUUUUUAUAUAUAAAGUACCCAAUUAUACUUCCAAAUUCAUGAACAAGUUUGAAUCAUGUUUUCAAGAAAGAAAAAACCUAAAACAAAAAAACAAAAAAAACAACAAAAUAGAAAAGGCAUUGCUUUAUGAAAUAGUUUAGAAGAGUCAAUUCUUUCAAGGAGUACAAGACUCCACUUAAAAUAGCAAUAAUUUUUAAUUUCCAAAAACCCACAUAGGUCUUGACACAGGUUCAGCCAAAUGACAUAACCCAUGGCCAAUGAGAGAGCCCAGUUCAAGCCAUAUUGCAACUUUUUUCACAUGACCACAUGAAAUUUAAAAGCACUCACCUUCCUCAAAAUAACAACAUCAAGAUCGAUUUGCUCUAUUGUUAAUUCUUCAACUUCUAAAACAGCUUUUGGAAUAACUUGGUAAAAAAUUUGACAUAAUCUCUGACUGCACAUACAAUUUUAUUAUUCACUUAUUACAUGCCCAAAUUAACAACAUUAUUUGCAACAUGAAUGAAAAAAGAGAAAGAUGGAAAGGAACAAAGCCCAAAAAGAAACAAUACUAUAAAUCUUUUAAUGUCCUUAAGAAGUGAAAUUAUAUAUUUUAUUCAACAUCCCACACACAGAAAAAAUAAAACUGAAAAUGCAUUACUAAAAUCAAUUAAUCAUGGCAUAACCAAUUUUCUAACAGCCCAAUACAUAUUUAUGAUUCUGCAUUUUUAGAGAGAGAAAACGCAUGGAGUAGAAAGAGGGAAAAGUGUGUACAUUGUCAUUUAGAGAAGAGCAACAACAAAAGAUUCAAAUUUGGAUUAAGAGUAUGUUACCUAAAAAAAUAAAUCAAAUUAAAUACAAUGAGCUAGCACCCUUGUUUUUUUUCCCUCUGCUUCUUCAUUAAUUAUCUUCCAUCAUCCUCAUUGACUAUUGUGUGUCAUUUUGUUGACCUACUUUUUUUUCUCUCAAUAUUUUAGAAUUUAAAAUAACAAAUAAUCUACCUAUAAUGAAAGAAAAAUAAAUUCAUUUUUAUUAAACAAUAUAACACCCUUUAAAUCAUUUUUAUUUCUCAAUAUUUCUAAAAGAUUGUUUCUUGUUAUAAAAGAUUAUUAUGUUUCUUGUACUAAGGAUUAUUACGAAAUUCAUAUUAAUCCAAAGUUAAGAAAAGGAGGAUAACAAUAAUAUAAUGUUUUUACUAUGAGUGUGUAUCAAAAAGUAAUUUAUUAGGAAUCAAAAAGUAGUGUAUGGAAACAAAAUCUGACUACAAGAUGAUUGAAAACUUUUGGGGCAAUAAUUUAUUAGGGAUAGUUCAAGUCCCAUCUCUUACAAAUUAGAACAUUGAAUCAAAAUAUCUUGGAGGAAAUAAAUACAAUCAAAAUUAUCAUGACACAUGAGACAACACUAACAAAAAAUAGAGAGGUUUUGUAUUCAGAGCAGUGCGACACAUUAGACCACAAAAUAAGCAAGCUUUGAAAGUACUUCUCCAUGAAGUUCGUGCUUAUGUAGCCUCCAACAGCUCUCCUCUUCCAUGCCAUUGGUUAACCACCAAACUUUGCUAAAUUCAAAAGCUAAGAUGUGAAAGAAAUUGCUAACAUUCUAAAAAUUCGCCCCAACCUUUAGGAAUUCAACAAUUGGACUUAAAGUUAAAAUUAUUCUCUACAGUGUACUAGCCCACAUCUAAUCCACAGCAAAAUCACAAGAAAUGCCUACAAUAAAUUUGUAAGUAUAAUUGUUUUUUAUUUAUUGACUUAAAUAUACUUAUCAUUUAAAAAUCUAAAAGCAACAAGGUUUCAGUGAUUUUAGAAAAAGUGAAUGUGUUACAAGAAAUAACAAUCCAAAGUUUAAUAUAUAGUAAUUAAAUUUUACUUCUAAUAAUAAUAAAAUUCAUAAUAAUUUUCAUAUUAGAAGAAUUGGAGAUAGUUAAUAAAAAAAAGAAGAAAAGAUAUAGAUUAAGUUGGAUAUAUAAUUAAUAAGAAUAAUCUAUAUAGUUAACACCUUUAAAGCAAUUUAUUUGUGCAUAUACAUUAAUUGAAAUUAAUAUACUUAUAAAAAAGUCAAAUUUAAUUAAUUUCUUGUCUUAAAUUAAGUUAGAUUAAUGAGCAUUUCUUAUGCUGUAAUUUAUCUUUGCUAUUAUUUUGUUAUAUUUGCUUCAUUAUUUUAUGAAUAAAACAUAUAUAGCAUUUUCAUAGCUAAGGUUAUUAAUGUAUAAAAAGAGAAAAAGGGAAACACUUACAUAGCAACACGCUUUCUUUUUCAGUUUCACAUUAAAAAUCUAAUUGUUCACAGUACCCAAGUUUCAUAUGUAUUCCCCCAUCCAAGUUUCAUAUGAUAAAAGAAAAAAGAAAAGAAAAUAUAAAAUUAUAAAUUAUGCAUAUAGAUAAAUACAUCUGAAAACCAUAAACUUAAUUGAAGCAUAUGAAUGUUAUGUAGUUAAUCUAGGAAACUAUAGGAUAAAACAAAAAAAAAAAAAAAAAAAAUAGUUGGAGAAUAUUCAGUCCACCAUGCAAGGCUGCUCGGCAUUCAGGUAUCGUUGGAAUUGUGCUUCAACUAGAAUUUUUAGUUACCUUAUAUUGUCUAUACCACAAAUCAAUCCAAGUCCAAAAUCACCAAUGCUAAUGCACAGAUAUCUCGAUUUUCCAUGCCAUUCGUGCAUGUGAGGAAGUAUUAUUGGUCAUGUUUUUCAUAAAAAUAAAAAAUAAAAAUUCACUUGUUACUGUUUGUCUAUGUGUUUCAAAACCUCAAUCUUUCUUAAUUUCUUUUCACUUCGAUUUAACCUUCUCCCACAUUAUUUAGAGAGGGGAAGUUCCCUAAAAUAGUCCUAUUGCAUGCAAAAAUAGACCAAAAAUGCAUCAUUGAGGAGAAAUAACCUUAUUUGAAGUUAAGUUCAUGAUUGCUAGUGAAUUAUUGGAGAAUUAGACUUAAAAGGUCUCACCUAGAAAGCCUAGUUGAGAUUUUCUGUCAUUGACAUUUUGGCCAUAGAUAACCAACACAUCUCCAAAAUGUACUAUUUCUAUUGAUUAUACACAGUUGGCAAUAGAAGUGAAUAACAAAAUGCCCAACAUGUACCGGCUAGACUACUUGGCAUUAGCAUUGGAAAUAAACAUGGAAUAUAAACAAGAAAAGAAGAAAUAAAAAUAAAUUGAAAAUAAUGAUAUAACACAUAUAGAUACAUAUUUUGGGGUUAAAUGUGACCCAUCUUCAAACAGUGGAGGAGCAGCAAGAAAAGAAAGAAAAAAAAAAAAAAGAGGAAUCUGACGACAAUCAGGAGUGUUGUUGAUCUGCAGAGACAAGUGUUUAAUCUAAUAGUCAAAAAAAUGGUUGCUCUUAAGAAUAGGCUUCUGCUUGCUCCCCAGAAAUUAUUAAAAGUCAUAACAAGAUAAAUUUCAUCUACUUCUCAACAAAACACUAAAGUUGAAUUCUUUUUUCAAAAUAAUAAUAAUAAUAGUCAUGGAGCCUCAAAUACAACCAAAACAGAGGAUUGGGGUUGAAUUGGGAAGAUUGCAAUUCCAAAUUAUAUCUUCCCGAUUUUACUUGGAUUUCUUAAUAAUAAAUGAAAACAUUGACACAAAACCACAAAAGAAUAAAGAAAUGAAAAUGAUAAAUUAAAAGAACCAAGCAAUAGAGACUUUGAUUUCUCGAGUGCGAAAUUGCGAAGGCUGUGACACCAUCAGAAAAAAAAUAAAAAAUUAUAGAAGCUUUACCUUCAGAAAAGGGAUUUACUUGUGCUGAUUAUUUGAAGGAGUUCCCAAUAUCUUGGUGGUGGCAAAUCAGUUAGGGCAUCUCACUACUGGAGAUCAUCUAUGAAAAAGGGUUAGGGCUUCUUCAUUUGAGAUUUCUCCAGUGAUGAAGGUUGUCCGUGGUAGUUGUUUUCUGGUGAAAAAUCAUCACAAUACCCAGUAAACAUAGAGAUUCAACUUACCAAUAAUAUUUAUUGAGGUUAUCGACUUAAUAGUAGAAGGAGCAUUCCAACUGGUAGUUUUUGUCCCCGAUGAGGCUACAGAUGGGUGUCUACUGGUUGCCAUUGAGUUCAUCAGUUGUCUUUGUUAUGGCUGCUGUUGGUAGAUUGCAAGGCUAGGGUUCUUAUCUAUAAUAUCGAUGGUUUGCGAGGUGGGAGAGAUUGGGAAAAUAGAAGUGUAUAUAUAGGCAUAGAGAUAAUGACAUUUAUUACAAGCGUUAAGGUUGGCAAAUUUUACUCUAGCAGACAAUGACACUCCAAAAAAAACAUCUUAUUUAAAGCGCCAAUGAAACCUUUGAAGAAGUGCCAAUAUUUAGGUAAAUUUCGUAAGCGUCAAUAUAUUUAUUCAAGAAGCGUCAUUGUUAGCCAAAUUUCUAUAAGUGCCAUGAUUAAUACAAUUCCUUGACAUUUUUUACCAGCGUCAAGAAAAUGAACGUCAUUGAAUACAUUUUUUGUAGUAGUGAAUGCUGGCAGUUGUCAAGGCAAUAAAAAAGUGAUGUUCCUACUUGUUGGGUAAACCAUUCACAGUUCGCACUAACCACCGGAGCCUUAAAUAUCUACUGGAGCAACGGAUUACCAUUCCCGUACAGACACGAUGGCUGCCCAAAAUCCUUGGGUAUGAUUAUACCAUUGAAUACAAGAAAUGGCCAAAUAAUCAAGUUGCAGACUCUUUAUCUCGUAGAGAAGAAGUCUAUUCCAUCUCAAUUUCUGUUCCAUGUGCAGAAUGGUGGCCAACACUUCAGAGAGAGGUCCUCCAGGACCAUUUUUACACCAACUUGGAGAAUAGGCGUGCUUCACAUAAACUUGUGUAGCGCAACGGGGUUUGGUUCUAUGAUGGGAAGGUUUAUCCGAGCCCUUCAUCCACCCCGCUCUUGUUGAUAUUGGAAGACAACCACUCUUCCCCAACAGGUGGUCACUUUGGGUUUCAUAAGACACUACACCGAAUUGGCAGAAGCUUUGUGUGGCCUAAUAUGUGAUUAAUGGUGAAGAAGUUUCUACAAACUUGUGAGGUGUGCCAACAAUACAAGGCCAAUUGUAUGAAACCAACAGGUCUCCUCCAACCCCUGUCGAUUCCAACUCAAAUAUGGUCAGAUAUUUUGAUGGGCUUCAUUGAAGGGUUGCCCAACUCCAAUGGUCAUUCUGUCACCAUGGUCGUUGUGGAUCGUCUAUCAAAAUAUGCCCACUUCAUCCAUCUUAAGCAUCCUUACAUGACGGUCAUAGUUGCAAAACCGUUUGUCUCUGGUUCAACUCCAUGGCAUUCCUACAUCCAUCGUCAAUAAUAGAGACAAGGUCUUCACAAGCACCUUUUGGUAGACCUUAUUCCAGUUGUAAGGGACUAAAUUGAAUAUGAGCUCCAGCUACCACCCACAAACUGAUGGCCAAAUUGAAGUUGUCAACUGCACCUUGGAGUAGUAUAUGUGGUGUUUUGCAAGACUACAACCGAAGAAAUGGAUAGAAUGGAUUCCAUGGGCAGAGUUUAGUUACAACACCUCCACCCAUUCCUCCACCAAAUUCAGCUCAUUCGAAACAGUUUAUGGGGUGCCUUCCCCAAGCUUCCUUUCUUACAUACCGGGCACAACUCGUGUUAUGGCGGUGGAUGAAUAUCUCCAAGAUCGGGAUGCAAUCUUGAAGGAGUUACGUCACAAUCUUUGGAUGGCACAAGAUAUAAUGAAAAGCCAUACAAACCAACGUGAUGAGAUAUUCAGUUCAAUGUUGGAGACUUCAUUUAUGUGAAGUUGCAGCCUUACUGCCAGACUUCAGUGGCUUUCAAGAAGUCUUUAAAACUUUCUCCUAUUUUUUUUGGCCCAUACCAAAUUAUAGAGAAGGUCGGACCAGUGGCUUAUAGACUAUUUCUUUCCGCCGGGUCCAACAUUCAUGACCUAUUUCACGUCAGCCUCUUAUGCAAGAAUUUGGGGUCAAUCACCCCCACAUCCGCUCAACUCCCACCAGUUUUGGACGCAUCCACACUAUUGCCACAACCGGAGUCCAUCCUAGCUCAGCGCGUGAUUCAUAAAGGGAAGAAUAGACCUAGCACCGAAUUUUUGGUGAAGUGGUUGGGCGCACCAAUUGAAGAUGCCACUUGGGAGAACACGUGGCGAUUCUCCAAAGCAUACUCGAAGUUCCAUCCUUAAGGACAAAGAUGCUUCGAGGAACAGGGAAAGAUAGGAAAUCCCUGCUCCAACUCCUAUUUGCUUGCAGAUCAUAGUUAUGUGGGCAACACCAACUCCUAUUUACUUGCAGAUCACAGUUACGUGGGUAACACCUCAACACCUGGCUUGAAUUUUGAUUUGUUGCUACUUCCCUAGUCUUAGGCCCUAUUUGUGUUUUAGUUGAUGUUUCAGUUGUCUGUGCAUCUAUAAAUGCACCUGCAUGAAGUCAAUAAAGGAUAACAAAAUUCAAAUCUUCUAUCUUCUAUCUCUCCUGUCCUCUCUCAAAUUAAACUCAUCAGCAUGUUGCCAUAGAAGUGGGUAUAAGGAAGCAUAUUUCGAUCAUCCAAGGACAUUGGGUUUGACUUCACCAACAAAGCUCAGAGUUGAUACAACAAACCAUGUAAACUUAAACCUGUUACUUCAUUGAAUGAGUGCCAUAAAAAAUGGUAAAUUUUUAAUGAUAGGAAAAAAAAAACUUAUUAGGCGUUUAUCAUUUCAAAAUUUUCAAAGAUAAUUAUUUUAAAAAUAUUGAGCAAUGUUUCUAAUUCUUCUAAAAUCAAAUCCCAAAUAAACUUCAAAAUUAUGAUAGCAUGUAAAUGACUGUAGAAUAACAUACCAUUAGGAUAUUCUUAAUUUGUGUGAAACAAUAAAAAAAAUAUCACCAUGCACCCAUUUUGACUCAAUUGCUUUGGACAACUCAUGAGUUUUUUUUUUUUUUUUAAAUAAAAAAAACCCUUGUCUUUUAAAAGGAAAAAGAAUCCAUAAGCCUAAGUUUGAACAUCAUAUUAAUGAGAUGAACAAGGUUUUGAAACAUUAAAAUUUUACAAAUUUGUUGAAGUGUGCCCAAACUACCUCUCAUAGGAACAACAGUAGAAUGACAUAAAGAAAACUAGGACUGUUUCACAAAAUCGAAGGAAUAUCUUUGUGGGAAGAGAAUAAAGAGAACAAAGAGGAUGCACAUAUUCAAAAUUUGUGGCUGAGCUAUUUAAACCUUUCAUUGAUACUGGUUGAGCUUCUCUCUGUAUUCGUAGGGUGUGUCCCCUCCUCUUUUGGCACUUUUUAAUGCAUGUUCUUGUUGUCUAUCAAAAAAAAAAUAUAUUGGUUGAUCUUCUUAAGAUUGACUCUUAACAGUUUUUCUCCAUUCUUAAUUUAUAAUCAAAAGACUGGCUGAGCUAUUUCUUUGUUCUUAUUGAGUUUUGAGAUGAACCCACAUGUGUUUGUCACUCAUGGAAGGUGUGCAGAUGACAAACCUUAUGUGCCAGCCUUCUAGGUGUCCUGGGAGAAAACCAAAAAGCUUAGGUAUUCACUUCACUCCGCUGGAGGUGCCUAAAGUAUACUGUAGAAAGCUUGAAGGAGAACCAGCUCAUCAGCUUAUGAGUCAAUUAUUUGGCUGUCAUUCAAACAAAUCACUAAUUAAUAAUGUACCCAAAAUACUAUCAUUGUUAUGAAAUAAAUUUGUGGCUAGGAUAGGCUGAUAGGUGCUAGAAAGAGACUGCUUGGGAAGAAUACCAAUCAGCAUUAGUAAGGCAUCUAUUGGAAAAAGACAUGACUUCAAACUCUUUUUUUAAUAAUUUCCAAUAAACAAAGAUGAGUUUUAUGUUUGUUGAAAUACUCAAACCUCCAAGCUUGUGAUAUAAAAUCAAAACACAAAUUCAAAAACUAAUUUGCAUGGGAAUUCAAGUAAUUAGAACAGAGCAUUAGCACCAGUUUGUGACAGCAAUUUUGCAUAGACUCUUUCUAAUGAGAGUUUGUAGGGGACAUGACCAUAUGUUCUUCACAAAAUUUGAUCUUAAGAUUCUUCUCCAAUCAAACUUCUCAGACAAAGGAUGGCUUUCAAUUCAUUGUUAAUCAACAUGAUCAUUUGAAGAUGUAGCAAGGUAUCUACUUACUUCAACCAAAUCACCAACUCUAAAGAAUAAAGGGAAAAGAACUUAUUUACUCUCCUUCCUUUAACCUUUUUCUUUGUCCCAUUCACAACAAUGGUAUUUUGCUUACACAAGUCACUUGAUUUUGCGCACACAACAUUUCAGUUGAAUUACCAACGAAUAAAGGAAGAUUGGAGAGGCUUUAACGCCCUUCUUUGGAAUAAAACUAUUCUUUGUUAAAUAUUCCAAUUUCUUUUCCCUGGGUUUGUGAGACCCACUUUUUGAUUUCCCCAUAAUAACUAUGAGAAUCCAAGGUCUGUAACCAGUUUCAGACCAAUUUCUUUUGUUUUUCUUGUUUCUACUUGAGAUUCUCCCUCUCUUUCCUUACAAAGAAACCAUGGAAGUUGUUGCAGAGGUUGUUCUCCUUGUUUCCCUUGAAGUGUUGUUUAGAAAAUUGGCCUCUUCUGAUGUCCUCAAGUUUGCACCCCAAGAGCAUGUCUAGACCCAACUCAAAAAAUGGGAGAAAAAAUUGUUAGAGAUUAAUGAAGUGUUGAAUGAUGCAGAGGAGAAGCAGAUCACCAAGCAGUCCGUGAAAGCAUGGUUGGGUGAUCUCAGGGAUUUGGCUUAUGAUAUGGAGAAAAUCUUGGACGAAUUCUCCUAUGAAGCUUUACGAAAAAAGUUGAUAGUUGAAGGCAAUAGGAGCAAGGUACGCAAGUUCAUCCCUAUUAAGGCUAUGCGUAAUGUUAUGAUGGGGUCCAAGAUUAAGGACAUCACUACUCGAUUAGAAGCUAUUUAUGCCCAAAAGGCUGAGCCUGGUUUGGACAAGGUGGCUGAUAUAACCCAGUCUACUUGGGAAAGGCCACUCACUACAUCACUGGUAUACGAACCUUGGGUUUAUGGCAGGGAUGUUGAUAAACAGAUUAUCAUUGAUAUGCUGCCUAGGGAUGAACCCAUUCAAACCAAUGUUUCUGUAAUUUCCAUUGUGGCCAUGGGUGGUAUGGGCAAGACCACAUUAGCAAGGUUGGUGUACGAUGAUGCUGAGACAACCAAGCAUUUUAACGUAAAAGCCUGGGCUUCUGUAUCAGAUUAGUUUGAUGUAGUGAGAAUAACCAAGACAAUCCUCAGAUCAGUCACUUGUUCAAGUGAUGAUUUGCUAGACUUCAAUCAAAUUCAAGAUAGAUUGAAAGAGGAACUGAAGGGGAAAAAAUUUCUUUUGGUUAUAGAUGAUAUAUGGAACGAGAAUUAUGAUGAUUGAAAUUGCUUGCGGUCCCCUUUAUGGUCAGAAGCACCAUGAAGCAAAAUCAUAAUUACUACACGGAGUAAAAAUGUUGCAAAUAUGAUGGGAGGAAAUAAAAACUUUUAUGAGCUAAAACAUUUGUCUGAUGAUGAUUGUUGGUUGGUGUUUCAGAAACAUGCUUUUGAAAAUAGAAAUAUCAAUGAGCAUCCAAAUUUGGCAUUGAUUGGUAGGGAAAUUGUAAAGAUGUGUGGAGGCUUGCCUUCGGCAGCAAAAGCACUUAGAGGUCUUCUACGCCAUGAAGAAAGAGAAGAUAAGUGGAAUAUUAUACUGACUAGCAAAAUAUGGAAUUUUCCAGGUGAUAAAUGUGGUAUUCUUCCAGCAUUAAGAUUAAGUUAUAAUCAUCUCCCUUAUCCUCUCAAGAGAUGUUACAAUUACUGUGCGAUAUUUCCGAAAGACUGAAUUUGACAAGAGAGAACUAAUUCACUUAUGGAUGGCAGAGAGUCUAAUUCAACAAUCAGAAUGUUAUGAGAAACAAAUUGAAAUUGAAGAUUUAGGCCAUGACUACUUUCAAGAAUUGUUAUCUCCAUCAUUUUUUCAACCAUCAAGUAGAUUUGUUGCUGGAGAAAUAUGUUUUUCUUUGGAAGAGACUUUGGAAGAAAAUCAAAACAAACUAUUUCUAAAAAGGUUUGUCAUUCAUCAUUAAUUUGUAGUGAACAUGAUGUCUUCAAAAAAUUUGAGGUCUUUCACAAGAUGGAGUAUUUACAUACAUUUAUCCCAUUACCAAUUGAUGUAUCAUGGGGUAGUUAUUGGUUAAACAAUAAGGUACUUAAGGAAGUAAUGCCCAAGCUAAGACAUCUAAGGGUGCUUUUGUUGAGAGGUUACAAAAUAAGAGAGAUACCAACUUCAAUUGGUGAUUCGAAAUAUCUUAGGUAUCUUAAUUUAUCCCGAGCCAGAGUUGAAUGGUUACCUAAAUCAAUAGGUAACUUUUAUAACUUAGAGACAUUAGUAUUAUCAAAUUGUGAGAGGCUUAUUAGAUUGCCUUUGAGCACUGAGAACCUAAAUAAUCUUCAACACCUUGAUGUAACUGAUACAUAUCUAGAAGAAAUGCCUCCACCAAUUUGCAAAUUAAAAAGCUUAGAAGUAUUGUCUAAUUUUAUUGUGGGUAAAGACAAUGGUCUGAAUGUAAAGGAGUUAAGGAAUAUGCCCCAUCUUCAAUGGGGACUUUGCAUUUCAAAGUUGGAAAAUGUAGCAAAUGUUCAAGAUGCAAGGAAUACUAGUCUAAACAAGAAGCUCAAGCUUGAAGAAUUGAUGAUAGAGUGGAAUGCUGGAUUAGAUGAUUCACACAAUGCAAGGAAUCAAAUAAAUGUACUUGACUCUUUACAACCACACUUCAAUUUGAACAAACUAAAAAUUGAGUAUUAUAGUGGUCUAGAAUUACCCUGUUGGAUAGGAGAUGUUUCAUUCUCUUAGAUGAUGGAUAUAAAUCUAGUGAAUUGCAAAAAUUGCACAUCUUUGUCGUGUUUGGGGUGGUAACCCAUGCUUAAACACUUAGGGAUUGAAGGAUUGGAUGAAAUAAAAAUGGUGGGUAGAGAGUUUUAUGGAGAAACUUGUCUUCCCAAUAAGCCAUUCCCGUCCUUGGAGUCUCUAUGUUUUUUGAAUAUGCCACAAUGAGAAGAUUGGGAAAGUCCAUUUUUAUCAGAGCCAUAUCCUCGUCUCCUUUACCUUUCAAUCCGAAACUGCCUCAAAUUAAUUAAGAAAUUACCCACUUACCUACCUUCCCUGGUACAUCUCUUUCUGAAUUAGGGAUACAAGAUUGCAAUGAGGCGGUACUAAGAAGUAGAUUGGAAUUGCCUUCACUCACCAAGUUAAGAAUUCAUUCUAUGCUAGGACACCAAAUUACAUGAUUGUCGGGGCUUCAAGUUUUAGAAAUUUAUAAGCAUGAUGAAUUGACGUGUUUGUGGGAAAAUGGAUUUGAUGGUAUUUAACCAUUGCAAACUAGCAGCUGUCUCGAGCUUGUAUCUUUGGGAGAGACAGAAAAGCACGAACUGCCUAACAAGCUUCAAUCUUUGCAAAUAGAGUGGUGUAUUAACCUAGAGAAGCUUCCAAAUGAACUGCACAGGCUAACAUGCCUUGGAGAGUUGACAAUCGGUGGUUGUCCAAAGCUAGUGUCAUUUCCAAAUUUGGGUUUCCCGCCAAUGCUUAGACAUCUUGAUAUAUUUUAUUGUGAAGGUUUAAGAUGUCUACCUGAUUAGAUGAUGCUGAUGAAGGAUGGUAGCAAUAAUAGUAGCGACAUGUGUCUCCUUGAAUACAUGAAAAUAAAAAAGUGUCUAUCUCUCAUUUGCUUUCUAGAAGGGCAGUUACCCACCACCCUUAAGCAACUACACAUAUCCGAUUGUGAGAAUCUAAAGUCUCUCACGGAAGGAAUGAUGCACCGCAAUUCCAUUGGCAUAAACAACUUGGAAUACUUAAGCAUACGAAUAUGUCCAUCUCUCAUUGGUUUUCCAGAAGGUGAGUUACCCACCACACUCAAGGAACUCAAGAUAUAGAGGUGUGAAAAACUAGGGUCUCUACCAGGGGGAAUGAUGCACCAUGAUUCCAACACCACCAUCGCCACCAGUGGUGAUGUUCAUGUCUUGAACAUUUGGGAAUGUCCAUCUCUCAUAUUCUUCCCCAUAAGCAAGUUUCCUUCCACCCUUAAGAAACUUGAGAUUAGGGAUUGUGCACGACUGGAGUCGAUUUCAGAGAAGAUGUUUCACUUCAAUAAUAGUUCACUAGAAUGUUUGGUGAUCUCGAGGUAUCCAUAUCUCAAAAUCAUACCAGAUUGCCUUCACAAACUCAGAGAAUUGGAUAUUUAUAAUUGUGAGAAUGUGGAGCUGCUACCUCAUCAGCUGCAAAACCUCACUGCUCUUACAUCACUUACUAUUUCUCAUUGUGAGAAUAUCAAGACGUCUCUAUUCCAAUGGGGCCUUGCCACACUUACCUCUCUUAAACACCUCACCAUUGCUCGCAUAUUUCCACAAGUUGCCUCCUUUUCAGAAGGUCAAAGACUACCACUUCUUCCUACAAACCUCAUUUAUAUUUCCAUUAAAGAUUUCCAGAAUCUGAAAUCCCUGUCCUCCCUAGCUCUCCAAAUCCUCACCUCACUUGAAAAGCUAUGGAUCCAAUGCUGCCCUAAGCUUCAAUCAUUUUGCCCAAGGGAAGGGCUGCCUGACACCCUUUCACAACUAUAUAUCAGAGACUGCCCACUCCUAAAACAAAGGUGCUAAAAAAGGAGAGGACAAGAUUGGCCCAAAAUCGCCCACAUCCCCUAUGUGAAAAUAGAUAAUGAAAGUCAUCUUUGAUCAAUAGCAAGUUAAGAGAUUGCAGAACAUAGCAGAACAUAGAAGCAAACACCAUUCACCCAUCUCCCAUCUUCACAUUAAACAAGGUAUGCCUAUUUUUUCUCUUUCAAUUUCUCAUAUACAUUAUACUAGUUUCCCCUAUUAAUUAUCUGUAAGUUUCUUACUCAAAUUUUUGUUGAAAAUUUACCAGGAAGUGGCUUUUGAAAUGGCUCAGGAUUGAUAUUUUCUCUUCAAUCUGCCACAAUUCUAUGUAAGCACCAAUGUUUUUGUCUCUCCAAAUUCUAUUAUCAAAAUUUUAUCCAUAAACUCCAUUCUUAUGUAGUUCUCAGUUUUCCUUUUCCUUUGUUCUUUUUAGUUCUUUGUGAGCAUUGAAGUUGAUGAUGUGAUACUUACAACUAUAAAAGGAAAAGAGAGGAUUUAUUCCAUUUAAGAACACGUGGAAUAUUUGGCAAUGGCUACUGAUUAGCAGUGUCUUCUUCAGUUCCUCGUGAGUAUCAUCAAUUGUACUAUUCAAUUACAUUUUUUUAAUAUAAUUUUCUGAUUUCCAGACUAGAGUGCAUGGUGACAUAAACAGAACUAGAAAGAAAUGCAAUUUAUCAAAAUUAAAUAGUUUUGCUAACUAAAUGACAUUAUCAAUUCCCUUGUGCAGCCAUGACGUUUAAGUUGAACAUAUUAGAUGUCAUGUUAGAUACUAUCCAAUGUUUUGUCAUCUGGAUAUCAAUUUUUUACAUUUAUGAUUUAGGUUCUCAAAGAGGAUGGAACUUGGGUAUUAUAUCAAAGACUUCAAAGUAUGGAGUGAAUGCAGCCAAUUCUAGUUGUCCCUUGUUGUUCCUUUUUUUACUAUAUUUGAGUGUGAACUGGAGACAAAGAAUAACCCAACAAGACUAUGGUGAGUGACUCUCGAUUAUGUAUUUUGUUUAUUUAUAUUUAUAUUUCUAUUUUAAUGACUAUUUUUCUCGAGUUUUCUUCUUGUCCACGGGAUGCUCAUUCCCAACAUGCAAUUUUUCCUCUUUCUCUCCUUAAUACUACUUUCUAUUUCUCACACAUAUAUUAUUGCAAUUUGUUGCCAUUUUACUUGGCUACUUGUGAACAGUAAUAAUAAGUCCUAUAGUUUUAUGUACUAAAUUGUUUACAUUGAUGAUGCAGGUGUCAAAAGGAUGGGUCCAAAGAUCACAAGAGGUAAAUGUGGUAUUUUUAUUGUGUUGGCAGACUAGAAUUUUCCUCCUAUAUCAAAGCCUUAAAAAACAUAGAGUGAAUGUUUCAAGGAUCACUGGCACUUUAUUACUAAAUUUUAGUGCAACAAAAAGAUGAUAAAGUACAACCUAGCAAGAAUGUGGUGCAUGACUUUAAUUUAUAUAGUUGAUCUAUAUAUUUUUGUAUUCUAAGGACCAUCUUCUUAAAAUUUUCUUCUUUUAUGACUUGUGAUAGAUUUUUUAGUGCUUUAGAGAGGUUCACAGAAUCAAGAUUUAAUUUGCAUCUUUAAUCAACAAAAGCUUUUUUUCCUGCCAUCUUGGGGAAGCUGCUUAUAGAAUAAGGUUGCAUGGUCUUAUGUAUCAUUCAAAAGUUGAGAACCAUCCGGUGCCUGAAACUCUUGUCUUUCACAAGAACCGGUUUCAUAAUAGCCUAAUUAAUCUCGUCUUUAUGACUGGUUGGAGAUAUCAUUUGAUUUCUGAAAAAAUGUAAGCUACUAUCAUAUUUACAUACGCCUAGUUAUACAUAUGUGAGCUAAAAAAAAAUGGCUUUGCUUGUAGUUCCUCAAGUUUUUAAUUUGAUAAAAUCGUGUCUCUUCUUUUGAAUUUUGUAGGUCUUAUAGGUGCAUGUCCCGAGUGCCAUAGUAUAAGUAUUUUUCUUCUUGUUGAAUGGAAUUUGGGUUUUAUAUUUGGAGGCUCAAAGUUUAGUGAAUGUGGCAAAUGCCUGUUGUCACUUGUUAUUUUUGUUUCUAUUGUUGAUGUUGAGAGUGUAGAAUGAGGAUAAACAACAACAUAGCAAGAUCAUGGUAUGUUACAAAUUUUAUUUUACAUUUUUAUUGGUUUUUUUAGAUUCCUAUUUUUAUUGACUUUUUUUUUUUCCUUUAAAUUUUCUAUGUUUGUGACUUGAGUUGUUCCCUAAGCACUUGCUACAAAGAGGAUUUUGGCACUGAAAUUAUCCUUAGACAUUGCUUAGUUCAACUGUCUUCAGUAGACAUGAACCUUUUUUUUGUGCUAACUUGGAAAAGUUGCUAAUAAGACUGAAAAGUCACACAUCUCUUAGAGAGUUGAGAAUCACACAUUUCUUUGGGUUCUUUCUGAGGAUUGGUUUGCCAUCCAUGACAUGAAGUCUUGUGCUCAGUUGUUGUGAUGGUUUGAAAUUGCUCUCUGAUGGAACUAUGACCUAUAUAAACAACUGCUUCUAUUUGUUUUACAUUGAUGAAUUGCUUAUCUUUGUGCAUUAUUUUGCGGAAAGGAUUUUUAUGAGCACUACCUUUUUUUUUUAUAUAUAUAUUUCGUUUUAUAUUGAUGCAUUUCAUAUUACUCCUUUUAGGUGGAUGCGCAAUGCUAAUCUAGCUUUCCCCCUUUUGGAUGUCCUUUUAACCAUGGUUAGGAUUCAUUAAAAAUGACUUUAAUCAUACCUAUAAUUUUUUUUAAGGUCAGUUAUAACUUAUACAAAUUAACCUUAUUAUGUAACUCGAAAUGCUUAUUUUUAAACCAAUAUAUUUCUACUGGCAAUUUAUGUGUUUUUCACUACAUUUUUUCCCAACAAUGAGGAAGAGAGACAAUUUUCUUGGUAGCAUACUAUGAUUCACAGAGUAUAAACUCUUGCAGAUUGAAAGAGAGACAAUUUACAUAUCAUUCAACAGUGAUCGGUAAGCAUUCUUAUAUGUUUACAACUUCUUCAUUUGUAUGGUUUGCCUUUUAUGGCAUUUACUCUCUUGUUACUCACAUAAAAAAAAAAUACCUAAUUUACCUUUCAAAUAUAAAAUGCAGUUAUGCAGGAAGGCCACAAAUUGAAUAUGAUAAAAUGGGAAAUGUGUUUCGAGACAAUUUUAUGUUCUUGCAUUAUAAGGUUUAGUAAUUGUAUUUAGUUUUAUAAUAAACAACCAUCUAUUGACUUUGGAUUUGGAAUUUAACGCUAAUGAGUGUUUACUUAUUUUUAAUACCUUUUUUAGGAAUCUAGUUAAUGAGAUUUUGCCGACAAAAAACCAGAGGUUUGUUAACUCUCCUACUAUUAGAGACUAGUUCUCUUGCAUAAAUUUCAAGCAAAAUUAUAACCCUCUUCAUUGAUAGUCUUUUAUAUUGGAAUUAAACAUAUUGGUGUCUUUGAAUUAUUUAAAUAUUGGAAACCAAUUAAGAAGUCAUGCAAUGGCAAUGUGAAUCUUGAUAUACAUACAAAUAAGAUCCAUUAUGUUAUUUUUCUUGCUAAAGAAUCAAAACAGAUGCUUUUGAUUUGGACUGUUUCAGACUUCAUAUCUUUUGUUUCACUUAUGAUACUGCCAUCAGUUUGUGAAUUGGGAAUGUCAUUAAGAACUUUGGAGCUUAACCAUCUGGCCUUUUUCAGUUCCUUAAAGAUUGGUAAUAAUGCAAGGAUCAAUUCUUUUCUCAAAGUGGCUUAUGGUCGCAUUGGCAGAUGUGAAAUUAUCAGUGACUGUUCAUUGUAAAGAAAUCUUGUUACUGUGGCAGGAGAAUAGAUUGCAACAUAAUCUCAAAAUUUUGGGGGACUUUGGUAUCAACACCUUUCUGGAACUCAGAUUUCUAAAUGAAAUAAUGCAAGACAUCAACACAUUCUCAGAACUCUUUAAGCUUUCCAAAUGUGAUGUUGGUGUCUUAAUGAGAGGCUAACUUUCUUCAAUGUUGCUAAAAUUGUUGUCCAUAUAUCCUAUAUGGGAGUCCACCCAUGGACAAGAAAUGCAUGUUGGUCUAUCUUCGACUUUCACUAUUUCACACCCUAUUGCCUGAAGUUGCAUUACCUGCCAUAAUUAAACAUUUUUUUAUUUAUCAUUAUGACAAACUCUUGAAUUACCCUCCUCAAGCAUCUGGCCUCACCUCAGGCUUUUGGAAUUAUCUAGUUGAUCACCAGACAACCUUCCAACUACCCUAAGGACUUGGUACAAAGUAGACUCAAUGCAAGUGAUUCAGAGUUACCCCUACCUAAUCCAUCUCGAUGUGUUUGGUAAAAUGAGGUCCAUCAGAUUUUAUGGCCAUUAUCUCAUGGUAGUGGAUGUUUUGAACCAGAGUCUAAAACGAAGUCAUCACUGCAGGUUAUGGCCAUUAUCCCAUUGCAACAGAUGUUUUGCACUAGAGUUUAAAACCAAGUCAUUGAUAAAGUCCAUAGUGAUGUCAUUGAUUUUAUUCUAAACCCAUCAAAAACAAUAUGAGAUUCACUUUGAUUUCAAGUUAUGCAAGAUCUAUAUGAGCUCAAAUGUUUUGAGACUUGAUUGAUGAAUAUCAUGUGUGGACUCGCAUUUUUCACAUGCAUCCCCACUCAAUCGACGAGACUCGCUUUUAUUUGUGAAAAAUUACUUUUGGAAAAGUCGAAGUCGCCACUUAUUUUAUUUUAUUUUAAAGGGAAAAUAAAACAAGAAAUAAAACCCUAAAAAAAUGACUCCAUAGUUUUUGGAAAAGAGCGUUUUUGAAAAACCCGAGUCUAGGUUCGGGGAUCAGGUUACCCAUUAGGAAAGUACCUCUAAAAGGUAGCACCCCUCUAGGCCUUAUAAAGGUCUCUACUGACUAAGUUGAGGAAGAUGAGGCAAUUAAUUGAUUAAUUGAAGAUACCUAGGUAGACUAAGGUGAUUUCAAAAAAUAGCAUGCCAAACAAGAAAGUCUGACCAUAAGAGAGAGUCAAAGUGCAUACCUGAACGGCUUCUCAAGCGCCAUAAAAAAGCAUCAAAGGUUAGUUUGAAAAUAUGACACAUAACAUACAUUUUUAUCAAAGACGAUCAAACAAUCAAAUAAAUAUCAAGACAAUCAAGCAUGACACCAAACAAAGGCAUGGUACACAGAGACAUGGAUAUUCAUGGAAUUUUGAAAAUGGGAUGAUGAAGAACGUACGUGGACAAUGAGUUGAGCGCUAAAGUGAGGAACAAGGUUAGCUCAAUAAUAGAUGUAAAAUAAUCUCAUGUACCAUAAAAAAGGAGGCACAAUCGAUCAUAUAUCAAGCAAACAAUAUCGAAGAGAAUAUCAUGAAUGUUGGGCCCCCACCAAAGCCUUAAUUAAUUUUGCAUGAAUUGGUUCAGUGAAUUCCGUUGCUUGGAAUCAUGAAGUUUCUUCAUGCUUACUUAAAAAUGAAAAUCAAGAAAAUCAUUUGAAAACAGUGAAAAUGCAUACCAGAGGAAAACUUGGCAGCAACGAGUUUGUUAAAAUCUAGAUCUUACUGCUUAAGGAAGGACUGAGGACGAUUCUUUAAAGUAAGAAUUAUUUGGAUGAAAAUGAUUUUGAGAACACAAUUUAAAAUACGUAAAAACACGAGGAUAACAAGAGGGUGCAAGAGGAAGAGGGUAAUGUGCACCAGAAUGGUCGUGCUAGAGUGGGGCUUGGGGGUCUAGCUAUGACUACGUGUCUGGUGAUUGUAGGUGCUGCUAUUAUUCUCUCUAAAUUUUUCCAUUCCUACUCUCUUGCACGCAUUCAAAUACCUUACAUCACUGCAUUUUAGAGCCUUUUCUAAUUCCUUGAAAUCUCCUACAUUCGAACUUACUUCCAAGAGCUUUGGCAUUAAUUCCUCGUAUGAAUCUCUGAAAUUUGCUGAGAAAUUUGUUCUUUUUGGACUUCCAUUUCUGAUAGUUGAAGAACUGAAGGCUGAAGAAUCAUAUCCAAUUGGAUUCAGCUUGAGAGGGUAACCAUAGGUCGUGGUCAAAAAUGAAGUUGAUUUCCUUUUCCUCAGACCUUUCUGUAUGUCCAUGUUCAUCUGUUAGCAGCAUGACUUCCUCCUUAGGCUUGUGGUGCAGGGAAUUGCCUAAGUCCUCUACAUGCAAUUGAGCCAUCAGCGAGCUGUUAAUUUUUCAGCUCAUGAUAUAAGUGAACGUUAAACUAUUGAAGAUAUACUAGUCCUUCCACGUCAACACAUCGAUCCGCUUGAAGUCGCCCAAUUUCUUUGGCAAAUCUCCAUUUUUUUUAUGUCUCAAACUAUAAUUCAGUUUCUUUACUUCUUCUACCUCAGAACAAAACUUACAAAUCAGAAUUCUCCAACUGCAAUUUUAUAUUAGGAUUCUUCAACUUUCCUACUUUGUUCUCUGAAUCAAGUUUGGACAUCACCACCUGUUUCAAUUUUUGGAGACCAAUUUCAGAUCCAAAGGUAGGGCUUUCUAUCCCUCUUGUAAUUGAGAGUGCAAAUUCUGCAGAUUCUACAAUUCUCCUAGCAUCUGCUUCUGGUUUUCCUCAAGCUCCUGGACAAGGGUUUCAUAGUAACACUCCAUCUGGUCCAUUUUUCUUGCAAGGCUUUCCCAUUCAGCUUUAGACCCAUCAAACUCUCUCUUUGAAGUUCAAAGAAUUUGUCUUUUAUUGUAUUGGUAGCAUCUAGAGAAUCAGGUACAAUAGAAACUAGGCCAGAUACACUAAACAAUGAAGAAAAUCUUUAGGUUGAUAUAAUUCAGCAUCAAACCCAAUUCCUGAUACAAAUUGUUGUCUUUCUCUCAUCUCCUUUAUGUUUGCAGUUUCUGAUGGUAAGGCAUUGAACAUAGAAAUUGCUUGUCCAAUUCUUUGUUUGAGGUCCUUAGUUUGAAACUCUCGUCUUUUCCUCCAUAUUUAAAAGUCCUUUUAGCAAUCUCAGCUGUGAAUCUUCAAAUCUAUGAUCCUAAUCUGUCCGGAUAAUUUCCUUCCUAGCGAAUUCGGGAAUUGACUUAGAAUUUCUAAGAUGUUCAAGGUCCUCCUUGAGUUUUGAACACUCUAAUUUCAGUACAGAAACCUCUUCUACAAAACCUCUCCUGAAGCAAUCUCAACAAGAAGUUGUUCAGCGAACUUUUGUGUUUCAACACCUAUUUCAUCAACAUGACUUUAUAGAGAGCUUACCUCCAGCUUAAGCUCAAUAAUAGAAGACUCUACAACUUCCGAGCUUCUUCUAAUCCUAUUAUUCUCUUCAUAAGCAAUUGCCCAGUCAUUAUUCGCAGAAUAAUCUGGACUCCAUCCAUGGACCCAAUCAUUGCUUCCCUGUGCCAAAAACCUCUGAUCUGAUGGGUCCCCUUUCUCCGUCUGAGGGCUUUGAAUGUAGGAAAGUCCAUUUAAAUCACCAGAGAUUAUGCUUUUAAGGCUAUCGAUUUCAUGUGUGCUGGAGGUAUCAUGCUGUUCAGCACAUAAACUUUCUGAUGUAUUCAAUGAGCCAUCAAAUCCAAUAGUUGAGUCAAAAUAUUCAUCAUUUAAUCCUCCAUCUUCUUCGAGUGAAGGAAGCUCCGUUAAUUCUGGUUUGAAUCUAACCCUUGCACUGAUUUUAUCCAUGUGUUCAUUGACAGUUUCUUUGGAUGAUAAUGCCUCUCCUCCAUUAGAUCCAUCACGCUUAUUUUGUCUAGUGUUCAUCUGCAACCCUCUCUCUCUCAGUUUCAUCUGCUGCUCAAACUCUCUGAACCCGUUUUUAGAAGUUAACAUCUUCACAAUAACAUGUAAUACAGAUUCAGAAUUGCAUCCAUGAAGAGGCAGUGCAACAAUAUAAGGCUUUAGAGCAAUGGAAUAAUCAGCAAGGAUGAUAUUAGCCUCACCCAGGAUAUUAGACCGUGAAGAACCUAUUGCGACAAUAACUUUAUAGAGCUUCUCAUCGUACUGAUUGGUUAGUCUUGUUUGGAAGUUGAGCGUUCACAUCAACUUUCAUACGUCAAAGGAGGUAUGGCAUACUCAAGUCACGUAGGACUACUGCACACCUGUAAACGGUGGAUACUUGUAAUGGAGAAGCAUUGCCAUAGCCACCAACAAAUAUAGGAACUGCAAAUUCUGCUUCAAAUAUAUGCAACACUCUCAACUUCCCAGGGAAUAUAAAAUCGAACAAAGACCACAGCUCAGCCAACUUAUUCUGAAUUGACGCACCAGUCGUUAUUAUACGAUGAACAGUCUGUAACUGUUUAUGGAGUAUGGUAACUUCAGCAUUUGAAUUCCGAAUUCGGUGUUCUUCAUCUAAAAUUGCAUAACCCCGUUUGAUAUCAAGUAGCUUUCCAGCUUGCAACCGGAUUGGCUCAUAAGUAGUGAUAAGUAAUCUACUCUGUGACCUCAAAACACGGUUUAUACUUGGUUUAUACAUAUUACUGAAAUGCAAUGCUCCAAGAAAAGACAAUACAUGGAUAGUCUUGCCAAGUCCCAUCUCAUCUCCAAUAAUUCCACCUACUUGUUGGCAAUGCAGUUCCCACAGCCACUGAACCUCCACCUUUUGAUAAUAAAAAAGUUUGCUGAAAAUGCUUUCAGGUAUUCUCAGACCACCUUCAAGUGUUACAUAAGGGGGGUUCAAUAUCAUCUAUAUCUUCAAUAUCUUUUUGGUUUACUUCUUCAUUAUUGGAGGUCACUAAGUUGUCAGUUGUAUCUUUCAUCAUGAUCUGUCUCCUCAAAUUCUAAGAUUAAAGCACCUGUAGAAAUAUUCUAAGCUAUGUCUAUGCUGGAAGAUAGACAAGAUUGCCUCUUAACUUCACUUCGAACAAUUGGAAUUUUUGAACCCUUACGAUUUGGAUGGCAAGGUGGCUCUGAAGGGGGCCAAUUUCUAAUCAGACUGCACAGCCUUCGAAUCGCAGUUUUUGCUUUAAGAAGUGGAACAGAUUCACCAAGAGAUGCAAGGCUUUGAUCCAGUUUUAAUGUAGAAUUUUUAGAACCAGUCAUUGUCAAACUACUCACUAUACAUUCUGAUUCAAACAAAAUCCUUUCUAUCAAAUGAGUUUCAUUCCAUCGCCUACCUCAAUCCUUUUUUAAUUUUGAACAUGAGAGAAAGAGAGCAUUAUAAAUUUUGUUUUGAUUUUCCAUUUCAAAUAGCAUUUACCUCAGCUUUUGGAGAAUAGUUUCAUCAUCUGGCCUAACCAUUUGCAAUGCUUCUGGAAAUUCUUACAGCCUGCAUUAUCUUGAUCACUUGGUUUGUUGUGAAAACUGCUUGUUUCUAUGAGAUGAGCAAAUAUUGAUUCUGCACUCUGCGUAUAGGUGGCUACCAGAAACUCCACUCUUUCAUCACAAACUGAGUCUUAAUUAUGGGCUAAGUUAUAUUGAAGCAUUAGAAAUCCUCCACUUAAAAUAUUUGAGCAUUCCAGAACCUCUUGGCAGAGUAUCAUCCAGAACUAUGGGAAACAAAGGCGAAAUGCUUGGCUGGAUUUAGGGCAAUGUAAUCCUCCAGUAGUGUAGUGAUUUCGAUGUGUUCCUGGCUGAUUUCAAAAGCAUUCUGUUAUUCUUUGAGGUUCUUAUAGCUGUUUGAACAUGAUGUGCUGUUGUUCCGACUGAAAAUCGUUAAACCUAGAUGGUUGUCUCGGACGAGGUUAUGGCAUAACUCGUUGUUGGGACUUGAUGAAAUGCUGCUGCACACCAAAGAAAGUUGAAAUUAGGAGUUUCAACAGUUUCAGACCUUUCUGAAUUUGUUGUCAGAGUAGGACUAUCCUCAGAAGCACUCUUUUGCUUGUUUGCAGAUUCUUGUGCCCAAAUAUAAGGUCAUUUGAAUUCAAUUAUUGGUAUCUACUGUAACUCUUUGAGAACUGAGGCCUCAGAAUUACAUGUGCAUGGUUUUGAUCAAAUGACACUCGCAAAGACUCACCACCAUGUCCUAUCAUAGAAUCUAAUUGUUGUACAUUGAGAUUAUUCAAAUUGAAAUUUAUAGCUUCUGCAAUCUGCCUCUAUUUUCCAACCCACUGAUUAUAAUUUAUAGGCCAACUCUCACCAACAGCUUGAGAUUGAAGGUGGCCCUGGGAAGAAUUGUCAUGCUCAAAGGAAUUGCAAAUCCUGUCUUCGACUUCGUUACUAGGCACAGAUAAUAAAGCCAAAAAAAAAUUAGCUAGUUCUUCUUUUCCGUGAAUAGGGACUGUUAAAUAAUGUAGUUAGUUAUACUCAGCUGUAGGUAAUGUUAAUUUGUGUUAGGAUCUGCCACGUGUAUGGUUGUUUUUUCCUUUCCUUCACUAUAUAAAUGUAUCCCAGGCUCAUUUUGCAUUGAGUUGGAAUUCUGUAACAUUCUCUAUUUUCCUUUUUUCUCCAGUCUCUCUUUUCUCUCUGUUUUCUCUUUUCUUCUUGCCUGCAUUUCAUCUUGGUAUCAGAGCCAAAAAUGUCCAACACUACUUCCUCUCCGACAACCCUAACUGCAAAUCCCCAAAAUAUUAACCCAACUCCAAUCUCCAGUCCGAACAUUACCCAAACCAAUUACCCAUCUCUUUCUUAGCCUCUAACUAUCAAACUAGAUGAAACGAACCUGCUUCUAUGGAAAAAUCAGCUUCUGAAUGUGAUCGUAACCAACAGGUUGGAAGAUUUCAUUGAGGGAGAAACGCCUAUACCAGCCAAAUUCUUGGAUGAUGCCCAACUGCAGAUCAACCCACUCUUCAUACAAUGGGAACGAAUGAAUAGACUUGUCAUGAGCUGGAUCUAUUCUUCCUUAACUCUUGCCAUGGUAAGAAGAAUUGUAGAAUACAAGACUGCUCGGGAAAUAUGGGGAGCUCUGAAUAGAGUCUAUUAGUCUCCUUCGAUUGCUACUGUGGUAGGGCUGAACUCUCAACUUCAGAAGAUUAAAAAGGAAGGUAUUACUAUUUCUGAGUAUCUUGCUCGUAUUAAGGAAGUCUUUGACAAGUAUUCUGCCAUGGGUGAGCCAUUAUCUUACAGAGAUAAACUGAUGUAUACCCUAAAUGGAUUGACUGAGGAAUAUGAUGGAUUUGUGACCUCCAUCUAUAAUAGAUCUGAUAAGUCUUCUUUAAAAGAGGUUCAUAGUCUUCUUUACACUUAUGCAUAUUGGUUGGAGCAAAGGAAUACUGCACAACAGCUUCAGUUUUCUCAGGUUAACCUCACUGCUUAUUCCGGCCAAAACAAAUUUCACAAAAAUCAGCAACCCAAUUUUCCAAAAUACCCACAAAAUUCAUAUUCAUCUUUUCCAAACAAGCCUAUUAAUCUCUAUCAGUCCUUUCGUCCAAACUCCCAACCUAGCAUCCUUGGAAAACCUCAAGGACAACCACAAUCAUCUUCUAAAUGGUUUCAGAAACAAGGAACAGGAAAUUUUGGACCAAGGCCACAAUGUCAAAUUUGUGGGAAGUUCGGUCAUAUGGCCUUAAAUUGUUAUCAUCGAGCAAACUUGAACUACCAACCACAGUUUCCAAAUUCUCAACCCAAGCCUCAACCUCCAAAUCCCAUAGCUGCAAUGCUCACUACUUCAACAUCUCCCACUAUGCCCUUUAAUAAUUGUGAUACUCCUUGGUAUAUGGAUUCUGGAGCAACACAUCACUUUACACCAGAGUUUGGCAACUUAACAGAUCCUUGUGUGUUAACUGGUGAUGAGCAAGCUAUGGUGGGCAAUGGUAAGUCAAUUAGAAUUUCACAUAUUGGUAAUGCUAUGAUUUCAAGCCUAUGAAACCGAUUCAUUUAAAACAUGUCUUGCACACUCCUCAAAUCUCAAAACAACUCAUCAGUGUCACUAAGCUUUGUUCUAAUAAUCAAGCUUUUGUUGAAUUCUAUUCCUCUCAUUUUCUUGUGAAGGAUCAAGCCUUGGGGAAGGUACUUCUUCAGGGAAUACUUGAAAAUGGACUCUACAAAGUUUCAUUAUCAGUCAGUACUUCACCAUCUCUUGUUGUCUCCUCUUCAUUAGCUUCACUUUUAGUUCCUGCUACUCAAUUAUCCUUCAAUCGUGCUCAAGCCUUCAUCACUCAGCAUAAUAAUAUCAUAUUGUGGCAUAAUAGACUAGGACACUGAUUCAUGCCCAGUCGGGUGUUUAUCAAAAUAUUUAUAAAAACUACAACACCUUAUACUAGGGUAGAAAGACAAAGCUACUAUAGUAUAGUGGUUCUAGGAUCGUCCACAGGGAUGGGUUUUCUUUGUACACUUGACAUUAAUGAAAUGAGAAAUGGUGAUUGCCUUUUUGAAAGUUAGUUUUUAAAUGAAAAUAAGAUUGAUUGGAAGGGUUGAUUUUAAGUUAAACAAACAUAAACAACUGAAAUUACUACAAAGAGAAAAUCUCUUGGAGCUAUAGGUUACUAGGAUCAGGUUCCUAUUGCAAAGUGGAAAAUUUCGGAUCUUCUCCUCACAUUGGGGACAAUAACAUAAAGGAUGGUUAUCUACCAAACCGGAUUUGUAUUUAACAAAUAAGUUUUGAUCCAAAGGGUUCUUGAAAAAUGGUAAUUGCUUCCCAUUAAUGGCUUCAAACACUAAAGACCCUCACCUUGAACCACCUUCCAAUGACUCGUACUUGAUAACUAAUGGACAUCCAUGGAUCUAGCAAUAAGCAUCCAUAGAAUCCUAAAAGCUUACCAAGUAUUGGCCAUUCAAGGUGAUUCUAAGGGAUUAAAGCUUAAACUUGAAAUACAAACCAUUAAUAAUACACAAGUACCUUCAUUUAAAGCAAGGAAAACUCCCACCUUUGCAUCUGGGUCCUUUACCUAGCUUCCAUCACUCAAAGAAACAUGAAACUUAGCCACUCAUCCUCUGAAAAAUCAUCAUUAGAGGGUGUUUGGCUAUAGAGAAUGUGAAGAGAAAAUGAGAAAGAAAGGUGGAGAAAAACUCCCGUAAAUUUCCUUCAAAAAUAGUCUUUACAAAAUAUCAAAAACAUCACAUCCUUUGAGAGGUUUUCCAACCCCUAUUUAUAGUUCCUAAACAAACCCUAAUGUCAUUUAUCUAUUAUAAAAGGAGAAAAAGGAAAAAUUACAAUUCUGGAGAAAAAUCUCGAAGGUCGAUGCGCACAAAGUGAUUUUCGCAAACCUUGCCAAAUUUUGGCACACCUUGUGAAAUCGAUGAUUUUGUCUUGCGAAAUGCUCUGUUUUCCUCCAUCUUACUUUUGAAAGUUUUGGUAACCCCUUGCCAAGUUUGCCAAGGGGUUUUGAAGUGCUCCAAAGCUCAAAAUUUUCAUGUGAUUGAUCUUCAACUUGCCUUGCCAUAGCUUGCAUAAAACUCUCCCUCAAUCUUGGCCUGUUUCAAUGAUCAAAAAGCUACCAAAAACAAUAAAACUUACCAAAAAUUGGUUAGUAACAAUUGCUAGGUUCUUAACAUGCCAAAUGAGAUAUAAAGGUCUAACUACUACUAAAAAGUGCUCAAUACAAUUAAGUUUAAGCUUAUAAAAAUGCACUUUUUGAGUAGUAAUCAGACACCCUACUUCUAAUGUAGUUACUCAAGUUAUGAGGAGCUAUAAUUUGAAAUUUUCUAAAUCUUUUGAUUUGUGUUCCUCUUGUCAAUUGGCUAAGAGCCAUGGAUUACCCUUUGUAAUUUCAAAAUCUAAAGCAAUGAAACCUUUUGAUUUGGUUCACUCUGAUCUUUAGGGUUCUUCUCCUGUCUUAUUUGUCACUGGUGCUCGUUACUUCCUUCUUUUUAUUGAUGAUUACUCUCGUUUUACUUGGUUUUAUUUGUUAAAAAGCAAAGAUGCAGUUUUCUCAUACUUUCUAAAAUUCAAAAAUCAAUUUAACACAACUAUUAAGGCUUUGCAAACUGACUGGGGUGGUGAAUUUCGUCCACUUAAGCCUUUUCUUGAAAAUCUUGGUAUUCAUCAUCGCCAUCCUUGUCCUUAUACUCCCCAACAAAAUGGGCGAGUUGAGCGCAAAAAUCGCCAUGUUGUUGAAGUUGUCUUGCCAUGUUAGCCCAUUCUUCUAUUCCUAUUUCCUAUUGGCCAUAUGCAUUCCAAUAUGUUGUGUAGUUAAUCAACAGAUUACCUACUACUGUCUUAAAUAACAAAACUCCUUUUGACUUGCUUUAUGAUAAAUCUCCUUCUUAUUCUUCAUUUCGAGUGUUUGGCUUCUCUUGUUUCCCAUUUUAAAGAGCUUUGAAUCAAUAUAAACUUCUUGAAUGUGUUCUUCUUGGGUUUAGUCCUCACCAUAAAGGUUAUUUGUGCUUAAAUAGACAAAUAGGUUAGAUUUAUGUUUCUUGUCAUGUUGUUUUCAAUGAGUUUUCUUUUCCAUUCUUUUUUUCUUCUUCUUCCUCUCCUCAUCUAUGCUUACUCCUAAUCUCCCCAUUUCCCUUUCCUUUCCCUCCUCAACCACUCUUCAUCCCAUAUCUAUCUCACCUUCUUCUUCUUCUUUUUCUCUUCAUCGAUCUACAUUCCCAUUGUCUUCUCAUUCUCUUUCUUCUCCUCCCACAUCUCUAUCUCAUUGUCUCUCAUAGGACAUUCAUCCCACUACUUCAGUACAUCCAAUUCCAUUGGUCGUACCUAUUGACUUACCAGAAUCUGUUCUUCAUCGCCCUCCACCUCCCACCAACACUCAUUCCAUGGUGACUAGAUCCAAGGCUGGGAUUUAUAAACCUAAAACUCUUGUGGUAGCACUUGAUAUCCCUAUUGAUCUUGCUCUUUUUUAGCCUACCUCAUUUCACCAAGCAGUCAAAUAUGAUCACUGGCAAAGGGCUUUGACUACAAAAUAUGAGGCACUUAUUAGAAAUGAUACUUGGACAUUGAUGCCUCUACCACUUGAUCACAAAGUAAUUGGAUGUAAGUGGGUCUUUAAGGUCAAGCUCAAACCGGAUGGAUCCCUUGAAAGAUAUAAAGCCUGGUUAGUUGCUAAAGGUUUUCAACAAACACUUGGCUUGGAUAUUUUGAAACCUUUAGCCCAGUUUUUAAGCCCACUACUAUACGAAUUGUUUUAAGUUUAGCUCUGUCACUUCAAUGGCACAUCAAACAGUUGGAUGUCCAUAAUGCAUUCUUAAAUGGUGACCUAUCAGAAACUGUUUUCAUGGAGCAACCCCCUGGUUUUAUCAGUACUACUAAUCCAGGCUAUGUUUGAAAGUUGAACAAGGCUUUAUACGACCUUAAACAAAGUUCUCGUGCGUGGUAUACAAAGCUCAGUACUUAUUUGCUGCAGUGUGGUUUCCAAGGCUCCAAACAUGAUACUUCAAUGUUCUUUUUCAACAAAGGCUCUUCCAUUAUUAUUUUGUUGAUUUAUGUGGAUGAUACUAUUAUCACAGGUAGUCAUUCUGCCUUGGUGAACUCCUUGAUUGACCAACUACAUAAUCAGUUUGCUCUCAAGGAUUUGGGGUCUCUCUUAUUUUUUGGGUAUUCAAGUUACUUUUACUCUAUCAUCCUUGCAUCUAUGUCAACACAAGUACAUUGUUGAUCUCCUUCAUCGGGCUUAAAUGUUUGAUUGUAAGCAUGCUUCUACUCCUAUGAGCACCUAGUUUUCCUUGUCCUUGUAUGAUGGUGAGCCUUUUUCGGAUCCAUCUUCGUAUCGCAGCAUUGUGGGGGCUCUAUAGUAUUGUACCAUCACCCGACCUGACAUCAGUUUUUCUGUCAACUAUGUCUACCAAUUCAUGCAUUCUCUGACCACUCAUUGGCAAGCUGUUAAGAGGAUUCUUCAUUAUCUCAAGAGUACAAUUUAUCAUGGUAUUUCUCUUCAACCAUCUACUGAUCUCUCUCUCAUUUGUUAUACUGAUGUUGAUUGGGCUAGCUGCCCGGAUGAUCGAAAAAGUACAAGUGGCCAUUGUUGUUUCCUUGGCCCUAUUUUGAUUUCCUGGUCUUGUACUAAACAAAAAGUUGUUUCUCGUUCAAGUGUUGAGUCCGAAUAUAGAGGCCUUGCUAAUGCCGCUUCAGAACUUAUUUAGAUUGAAACAUUUCUCACUGAACUACACAUUCCGUUCUUCACUCCACUAGUCUUUUUUUGUGAUAAUCUCAAUGCCACACAUCUUGCUGCUCAUCCCAUUUUUCAUGCUCGUACGAAGCACAUUAAAAUUGAUUAUCAUUUCAUUCAUGAUCGUGUGCUCCAUAAAUCCCUAUUGGUCAAAUUUACACUUUCUGAAGAGCAACUUGCAGACAUCCUGACCAAGCCACUGCCUGCACCUCACUUUCAAAGUCUACGAAACAAGUUGACUUUGCUUCACAGCCCUCUCAGCUUGCAGGGGGAUGUUAACUAAUGUAGUUAGUUAUACUCAACUGUAGGUAAUGUUAAUUUGUAUCAGGAUCUGCCACAUGUAUGGUUGUUUUUUCCUUUCCUUCACUAUAUAAAUGUAUCCUAGGCUCAUUUUGCAUUGAGUUGGAAUUCUAGAACAUUCUCUGUUUUCCUUUUUUCUCUAGCCUCCAUGUUCUCUCUGUUUUCUCUUUUCUUCUUACCUACACAUUUCAUCUGGGACACUCGGAGUUGAAUACUAAACUGAAGGAGACUAUUUUGCGUGAUGAAACCAUAUGCUACCCAGACACUAAUUGCCCAUGACAUCUGCCAAGCCAUGUCUAUACUAUAGGUAACAUUAAUCUGAUCCAGCCAGUCUAUGCAAUUGGUCCUAAGCAUCAAGAACCUAUUCACAUUCUGACUCUUCAACUCUAGAACAAUAAUUGACCCAAAGAAACUCUCAACAUUGACUAGGUUAGUCAAGACAUAAUUACCCCCAACCUCCUUAGUGGCAAGCGAGACAACCAAGAAUAUAACACUAUCCUUAUCCUUCCAAUUCACAUAUGGGUUUGUAGCAAAGGAGCCUAGCAUAUUUUGAAUCAAUACUAAAAUAAUAGCAGUCACCCUUUCCUUAUAAUUCAUAACAAGUACUCCUGAAACUUCCCCUCAUUUUCAUCCUUCAUGUUGAUGACUUGAAAGAUCAAAAAAAGAAAGAGUCAAUCAUUUGCACUGAUACAAUACUGCACAACUAAAUAAUCCUCACUAGUUUCAUAUACAACAUUAGGAAUUGGACAGAUGUUGGACUUUGUAUGAUUGACAUCGUAUUGAAGAUAUAUAUGCGUCUCUGAGAGAUCUUGUCAUAAAUGUUCAUGAAUAUUUUCCUCCCGUAACUAAGUCUCCUGUACUCUUUUCAAUUGCAGGUCCAUAAAUUCCCAAACUUAUAUCUGAGUUCUCUAUGGCCAUAUUGUUUGAAGCAUAUUCAGAAUGAAUUUCCACUCCCAUGUGCUUGAACUAAGCUUUAAUUUCAGACUCUUUCAUAAAUAAUCAACAAAUUUAGGAAUUUUCUAUAUUCUGUGAACCAGAACUGACGCAUGAAAGAUACAAAAUUAGAUCAAUCAUUCGUCACUGAUUUCUACAGCAGCUGAAUUUAUUAAACCAACCGAACAGCAAUGAUCAUCUUUUCUUCGUCUUUGGAAUCCAUUUCAAUCACGACAUUCCCAUUAAAUUUCCCUGUUGACCCCUUAACAUCAUCACCCUUUAUUGAAGCAAUUUAUGUCAAUAGUUUCAGUGGCCAUGUCAAGAAUGGUGCUUCUUAAUGAAGAUACAAAAUGUAAAAGGUUAUCCACAAAAAUGAUUGAGGGAGCAAUUGCUUCAUUCAUUGUUACUACAUAUUUAUUUAUGAUAGAGAUACUGAAAUUAAGGAGACGUAAAUGACAGACCCUAUUGCCUUCAAGACCUCAAAAGCCUCUUCUAUAUGUACAAUUGAUCAUCACCAUGUCCUGAGCUUCCACUCAAUGAAUAUUGAACCAUCAUUUGCUCUGGUUGAACCGAUAAUCCUAUAUGCCCCUAUAUGCAGCCUCUGUGCUUAAAAUUCUGCGUCCAUGAUUUCCGACGAAGUAAACUAUUGUACUGGAUAGUUUUGGCUGCAAUUACUUCUUCACAGCUAUCAUCCAACUCCAAAAUCCAUAAAAAAAAAAAAAAAAAUGAUCAACAAACCACCAGGCCAACCUGAACUGAAAGUAACCAAACUCCAUGGAUAUAAAAGUCUCCAAUUCUCUCCACAUCCACGUUGACUGAAUUUAUGAUUUUCUCACUAUUUGGAGCCAACAUUCUUGAUCGAUGGAGGCUUUGUGUAAACUAAUACCAUGAGAGCUACCCGCACAGAUGCCUAUUUGUUGCCCACCUAAGUACCAUUGUCUUUGUAAUAGAGACUCCACAGUCUUUGCCCUUAACAAGAUCAAUGCAAGAACCAAGGAAAUUUAGUCUAAAACACCUCCACCAUCUCUCAUUUUUCUCAAAAAACCUGCACCAAAACCUGCAUCAUAAGCGGCCAAAAGAAUGCCAGAUUAAUAAGACCCAGAGAGGAAUCCAACAGAGCUCCCCAAUGCAAAAAUCUUUAAAACGCCACCAUGUCUGCAAUCUCUAGAUAUGUUCAAGUAUGAAGAAAGCAUAUGGAUGCACCCCUUAAAAAUGUUGAUGUGGAAGGCUUUAUGCUUUACAUGAAGUGAGUCCGGGGGCUUUGAUCUCGUGGAAGGAGGCUCUAUCCUUUUGAUUGGUAUGUAUAAAUGAAAAAAACACCACACAAUGUCAUAAUCAAAAUUUCCCAAACGACUCACUGCUCAUAACCAUUAUCCAUAGAAUUUUUCCUUGCAAAUCCAAAUUCUCAACUCCCCAUUGCAUCUUCUUAUUAUUUCCCAUAUUUUUCCAUAGUCCCCAAAAUUUCCGAAUCAAUGUUGUCAAUGUUGUCCUUGAUUUCAGAUUCAUGCAUCCCUCUAAAGAACUGAUUAGAACUGUUGCUGAAGGUGAAUGGCCCAGAUUACUUUCAGAUUCUGACACAUCCUCUAUGGGAGCUCGUAAUACAUCCUUCUAAUGCAGAAUGGGAGGUUUUUUUUUUUUUUUUUUUUUUUUUACGAUUUUCUAUUUUUAAUUUCAAAACAAAGAACAAAUCUUGAAGGCUGGGAAUGGAACUUGUUGAGGUGUGGGCUAGAAAUAGAAGAAAACAAAAACAAAAACAAAAAAAAAAUCCAAAAAGAAGUGGAAAAUAACCAACAAAAGCCACAAUUUCACAUUUCAAUCCAUUGGUUUAGAAUAGGAGAGUGAUUCAAAACAAAUUUUUAAUAUAAACAGGGCAGGAUUUCUACCAUCAGAUUCAAGGAAAAAACCCAGAUGCAUACUAUUUUCAGAUGAAAUCAAUGGCAUUAACAGAAUGAAAAACAUAGCAAGCAAACAAUGAACCAAUUUCAACACAACAAUCUGUGAACCUUUCCGUCCACACUAAUCAACAAAAUAAAUGCCCAAAACCAUCAGAGAAUCAUCAAGAAUCAAACAUAAGAUAAAUCAUAGAAGAUAGUUGAAAACGUACCUGGGUAGUCUCCACCCAAUUACUUAGUUAUUUUGCUACAGUUCCUCUCCGAAAUCUCUCAAAGAAAACCUAGUGAACCGUUCUCUCUUUUCCUUGAAGAUAAUCCCUUCUCAUUCGUUCUCACUCUUAUGUGCUUUUCUACAAAGACAAUCCUAGCAUUCCCCUUUUUCAGCAUCCUUUCUUACGUAUAUAUUAGCCCCCAAAACCCAAAUUUGUUCCAAAAAGGAAAAUCUCCCAUUUCCUUUCUUUUAUUUUCUUCAUUUUUGCAAUCCUUUUUUUUUUUUUUUUUUUUGUAUGUAUUUGUAUUAGCCUCCCAAAAACUCAAUUUUUUUUUUUGAAGAAAAUCCACUUUCUUUUCUUUUAUUUCCCUUAUUUUCGAAAAUCAAAAUGUUUCUCUCUUUCCAUGUAGGAUCUCCUCUUUCCAUAUGUAUGCAGCCACAUUAAUCCUCUUUUCCCUCCAAUAUAUAUAUAUAUAUGUAUAUAUAUUUACCUUCUUUGAGUGCACAUGCCUUAGUGAGAGUUGAUCAAUAGCUCCCAAUUCUCUUGUCAAACGAUAAAAAAAUAAAAUAAAAUAAAAUAAAACCAAAAAGAGUUAGCAAUCUUGCAACACAUAAAAGAAUAAAGUAGAAUAAAAAUAAAUAAAUAAAGUAAAACAAAAUAAUUAAAUAAAAUAAAACAAAAUAGUCAAUCCUAUGCGGGCCAUGCAAGUCAUGCGACUAUGUGAGUCAUGCAAGAAACACUAAAAAUGUCUAAUAGGCUAAGUGUUCCUAAGAGGGCCUAAGUGAACCUAGAUAGACUUAAGGUAUCUACAUGACCUAAGGUGGUGCCUAAUGGGUCGGGUAUACCUAUACGGGCCUAGGGUGAGACUAAGUGGGCCUAACUAAGUCUAACCUGAAGUGCACCUAAAUGAAGCCUAAUCUAAACUUGAAGGGCAGCCAAGGUCAUAAUGUGAAGCCGGAUAAACCCCUCAACUAAAGUCUCCGAGGUGGCUCAGAAAAAGUAAGCUACAUGAGUAGUAAUGGGCCAUCAAUGAACCACUGUGGAACCCUGGAAGUGAACUUAAAGACAUGUGCUAAAGGGACAAAAUGGAGGGUCUACACCAUGCUUCGUUGGUCAGGUCUUCUUUAUACAUAAACCUAUUUUUUGUGCUUAACUUGGAGAAGCUGCCAAUAAGACUGAAUAGUCACAUAUCUCUUAGAGAAUUGAGAAUCACACAACUCUUUCAUUUUUUUUUUUAGGAUUGGCUUGUCAUCAAAUCUUUUGCUCAGUUGUUGUGAUGGUUUGAAAUUGCUAUCUGAUGGUUAUAACCUAUAUAAACAACAACUUGUAUUAACUUAUCCUGAGCAUUAUUUUGCAAACAUGAUUUUUAUGAGCACUUCUAUUUGGAUGUCUUUCUAACAGUUGUUAGUAUUCAAUAAAAAUGACCUUUACUAAACCUGCAGAUUUUUUCAGGUGAUAUUUUUUUUUUUUUUUACAACAAGGAAGGGAGGCAUUUUUCUUGGCAGUGUAUCCUAAUUCAUAGAGUAUAAACCCUUGCAAAUUGAAAGAAAGACAAUUUACAUAUCAUUAAAGGGUGAUCUAUAAGCACUCUUAUAGGCCUACAUCUUUCUCAUUUGGAUUUGGAAUUUAACCUCUAGUAAGCGUUUACUUGUUUUUAAUCUGUUUUUUAGGAAGCCAGUUGAUGAGAUUUUGCCAACCAAAAAUAGAGGUUUGUUAGCCCUCCUAUCUUCAGGCUAGUUCUCUUGCAUAUGCUUGAAAAAUAUUGGAAACCAAUUAAUUAGUCAUUGCAGUUUCAUAGUCUUACAAGAAAUCUUGUUAUGGUGGCAGGAGAACAAACUACAACAUAAUCUCAUUUCCCUUCAUGAUUUAGACAUUGUAAAGAUAAAAAAAAAUAUAUGUUCUUGGUAAUAUAAGAAGAAGAGAAGCCAAAAAACAGGAACAAAAUGUAUUGGAACCUUGUGGACUUGAAUAGCUGAUAUUCAAGUGGCAAAAAUACAUAAAAAUGCACUUAACAAACUACUAACCAGCAGGCUAAGAUUCUACUUCUAAGAGACAGGUUUGUCAUCAAUGUCAAGAAGGCUCGCACUUCAUUUUUGUGGGACUUUGGCAUCAACAAAUUUCUAUUCCCAGAAUUCUUUCGUAAAUGUCAUCAUCCUGGCCAACUUUCUUUAGUGUUGAAAAAUAGGGUGAUACCAUGUUGCUAAAAAUUGCAGUCCAUAUGUACUAGAUAGACAAGAACUAGAACACUUGUAUUAGAAACAUCUCUGUUGCCUGGAUUUGCAUUACCUGCCAUAAUUAAGCACAUUUAUAUUAUUGUAGAACUGUGUUUCAAAGUCACCCAUACCUAAUCCAUCUCCAUGUAUCUCAAACAACUAGGUUCAUUGGUAGCAGAAGAAGAGCAACUUGAAUAGCUAGUCAUUUCCUUUUAUAAUUUAGGGAUAAAGGUAAAAAAACUACAACACUUGAAUAGAUGGUAUUCAAGUGGACAAGAACUGCAACACUUUUCUCAAAAAUAUGUAUGUUCUUUCUUCAACUCUUACUCUAUUUCCUGGAGUUGCAUUAUCUUCUAUGAGUAAUCGCCUCCUAUUUAUUCUUGUGGAGAAACAAGUUUUGGUGUAUGCAGAGACUAUACUAUUGUUGCACCUCUUGAUUUUCAAGACCACCCAGCCUCACCCCAAGCAUUUGGAAUUGUCAAGCUAAUUUUUGGCUAACCUUCCAAUGACCUUAAGGGCUUCAUACAAAGUAGAUCUAGUGCAAGAGAUUUAGAAUUAUCUCUACCUAAUCCAUCUCUAUUUCUUUAGAAUAACUAGAUGCUAUGGCCAAAAUCUCACAUAAGGCGUCAAGUUCAUGUUGGGGCUUAUUCACAAGAUUAAGAUGAAUAUAGCAGGGAAUGUUCUUGAUCUACCACCAACCAUGUUGUCAAGUUGUUUAAUGCCCUUAUGUUGACUAUGGCCACAAUCACAGUUGGGUGUCGUUUCCUAAAAGAAAUGUCAUUUUGAAACUUUUAAUGUCAACAACAGAACUUUCAUGUUUCUACAUUCAGGUACCCAUAAAAAAUUGAGUCCAUGUUAGCAUCCAAUGAUGGAAGUAAUAUACCUCCUAGAAAUUGAUGUGGAAGGUGGUGACUAACAACAACAUAGAUGUAUAUAAGGGAUUUACACUUAGUCUUGUGCAUCAAACAACCCUCAUUUAGUAUAAACCAAAAAUUUUGGCAACUCAUGAUCCAUAAUUUAGAGCAUGGGAGGAAGAAGACCUGUUGGCAAGACAGGAGGAGACAGUUAAAAACAUGCAAGAAUUCCAUAGAUGAGUUGUUGUUAUGAAUUAUUCAGAAUCCAUGGGAAAAUUUAAAGCCCAUUGAUUUUGAAUGAAGGACCUACUUAGCAUGGAUCAAAAACCUAUUUUGGAGAAAGAAACCAAGUCUUGAGGACUAAUUCAAUUACCAAAUCUCUGGGAAGCACUGAGGCUUUUUUAGUAGCUUCCCAAUUAGUGCAUAAGGUGGCAAUGCUAUUUGCUUUUAUGUAAGCUCUUCUUCUUCUAGUACCAAGGAAAAUUCUAUAAUCCUAAAUCUCCAUUCUCCAUGUACAGAUGUUUUCUUCGAUGCAUGCUGUCAGAGAAGAUGAGUAAGCUUCAGAAUAUUAGUUUACUGAUUCGAGGAUGUAAAUCCAGUCGGGUCAUUUAAUCAAAAACAUUUAUAAAACCUAUGCCCUCAUACUAGUGUAGCAAAGCUACUAUAGUAUAGUGGCUCUAGGGUCAAACUCUAGGAUGGGUUUUCAUUCUACCAGUGAUAUACUCAUGAUUAGGAAUUGAAUUUAAUGAUUUCCUUUAUCAAAAACAUAGAGUUUAAAAGAAAAUAAAAUUUGUUUUGAAAGUGUUUGAAACUAAAUUAACAUAAACUAAUUAAAAAUGGAAGAAAGAAAGUCUCCCGGAGCUCAGGAUUGCUAGGAUCAAGUUUAGAAUGCAAAGUGGAAAAUUCUGGAUUUUUCUCCUCGCAUUGAGGAUUUAACCUAUAGUUAUUUCCUGAACCGGUAUAGGUUUAACAAUGAAGAUUUAAUCCAUAAAAAUCAAUAGAAAUGGUAGUCAAGGUUCAUUAAUGGCUUUAGACACUAUGGGUCUUCACCUUGAACCACUUUCCAAUGGCUCGUACAUGAUAACUAAUGGACUGAUAUGGAUCUAGUAAUAAGCAUCCACAGAGACCUGAAGCUUACCAUGUAUUGGCCAUUCAAAGUGAUUCUAAGGGAUUUAAAGCAAAACUUUGGAUUUAAAAGCCAUUUAUGAACUUCAACUACCUGUAUUUAAGGCACGAGCGUUUUCCACCUUGCAUCUGGACUUUUCACCUAACUUCCAUCACUCCAAGAAACCAAAAGUUUAGCCUCUCAUCCUCUGAGAAAACAUCCUCAGAGAAAACAUCCUCAGAGGUUGUUUGGCUUCCAAGAAAAAGAAAAUAGUAAAGAGAAAAGGGAAAACGAGAGAGCUCUGUAUAUUUUUCUAAGUGUAAAACAUAACACGCGUGAUACCUCCAAGAGGUGAUUUCCACCCCUUAUAUAGUUUUUACAAAAGCAAAGCUUGUGAUUGGCUUGUUACAAGGAGAAGAAAGGAAAUUACAUCAAAAAAUACAAAAGAAAAUAUCUAAAGUGGAAUCGGCAAAAACAGAGGAAAAUUCGCACCACGCAUGGGGUGUGCGAAUUUUCGCACACCUGAGGGGGGUGUGCGAGUUUCGCACACCAUUCGCACAGCUAAGGGGGUGUGCGAAUUUCGCACACCAUUGGCACACCAUUCGCACACCUGGAGCAGUUGUCUUCCGAAGGCCAUAUCUUCCUCGUUUCAGCUCCAAAUCGUACACGGUUUAAAGCGUUGGAUUCUUGACUUCCUGAUCUUUGAAAUGGUAUAUAGCAUGUAAAAAAUGGACUUCGGGAAGUGCUCCAAAAGUGCCAAAGAAGACUGCAGCUGAUGUCCUCUGUUUUCCUCCUUGCUUCUCUUUGCUUCUCUUUGGUUUUCUUUGCUUUUCUCCUUUGGAUGGCUUGUCUUAAUGAUCUAAAAAGAUGUCAAAAACACUAAAACUAGCCACAAAUAUGAUUAGGAGUCAUUGCUAGGUCCUUAACAUGCCAAUUGGAAUAAAGAUGAAGAAUUACUAACCAAAAGUGCUUAAAACAUAAUGACUUAAAGGUGUGAAAUAGCACUUUUUGGGUAGUAAUCACUCCCCCCAACUGACACAUUGCUAGUCCCUGAGCAAUGAAGGAGAGAAAAAGAAAGAAAAAUAGAUAAUAAAAUAAUUUACAAAAUCAUGCUGAUCACUCCAAAAAAUAAUCAAGUGGCAUGAUUGGAUCAAACUCUCACAUGGCAAGUCAAGGAUAUAAAACUCAAUCAUCAACAAGAGUUAUCAAAUAACUUACCUAUCACAACUUGCUAAGAGCGGACAUUAUGCAAAUUUGAGUAUCAAAAUAAUUUCCACUCCCAACGGAUCAAUUCUUAAUCUUCCACAAAAAUCUAAGUGUUAAGGUGCUUAGUUUCCAGUUAUAGUAUGUCAAACUAUAUUCUUCCCCCCAACUAAGGUUUUUCUCUAACUUUAGCAACACUAACUCAUAUAUAAAAGGCUAAGAACACACCUUUUUUUUUUUUUUUUUAAAGGGACUCCACCCAUCCACCCAUGUAACGAGCAGUGAGGUCGGUGACUCCCAACCAGUAAAGGCUUAGGGCACCAGGCUUUAAAGAUUUUCACCAUAUACCCCUCGGACCUUGCUCGGGUUUCAAAGCAAGUGAAGCAAAAAUUAUUCAUAAGACACAUUGGCCUUUUAUAAGGUGUCCCAACACUAAUAGAAUGAAGUCAAUGGCACCAAGUCGAAAAUUUCCUAAGUUUAGGGGGGUGAGAAAGUUUUCCAUCUUAUAACUGGAAUCUAAUGUGUUCAGUGUGUGAAAAGAUUAGAGUGGAAGACUUAAGAUUGAAAUCAAAAGGAUCUUCAACAAUUUAUCAACUUAAAUAAGCAUAAUACAAACUCUGAGACUAUGGCAAUAAGAUAAGAAUUUAAUUUCUCCCAUUUACUUUUGAGAAUUUAUCUUUGAGAAAACAAAAAGAGUUUGCAAAAAAAUUUGUUAGCAAAAUAACUUAACCAAAAAUUCAACAAAUUACUUCCUCAACUCUCCCCCCAACUAGGAUGAACAUUGUCCCCAAUGUUCCAAAAGCAAGAGAUAAUAAAAGGGAGGAAGUGAUACCUCCUGAUAGUAAGGAAGUCUCGACAUGAAAGUCUCUCGAUCGGCAAUCGGAGUUGCCCUCAAUGGGCAAGCUGGGUCUAGGGCGCCUGGCGGAAGAAGGCUGAGACUGUGAAUCCUGAGGUGCUCUAGAGGACUCUCCUGGCUCUGAAGUCUUGGCUUUCUUUGUAGGGGGGGUGUGCGAGUUUCGUAGACCUCAAGGGGGUGUGCGAAAUUUUCGCAUAGGGUACUAUUCACCCGCGCGUUUGAAAAAUUGUGGCUUGUUUGAGAUGGUGAAAAUUUGUGGCCUUUGAGGGUGGGAAAAGCUGGCUUAGGUAUGAAAAAGAUUUGUCAUGGUGAAUAGGCUUGGAAAUUGGAGCUUUUCAAGAGGAAAAUUGAAGAUUGGGAGCUCCCAUGGCCGGCGGCAAUGGGUUUCUUAUGAAGAAACCAUGGCUUGAAUGCUUAUGGUUUAGGCUUUGGUUUGGUAAGAACAAGGUUGGGAUUGGAUUGUGGAUGGAUUUAGAGGGUUGGGUGAAGAUUUGAAAGGAUUUUGAUGGUGGAAAGAGGUGAAAUUGCCGAAAAUGGGAAGUGGUGAAUAGUGAAUGCGCGGCUAUGGAAUGGAGCUAUGGAGAUGGGCUGCCAUGGUGGUGUUGAUGAUGAGGAAUGAUGAAGAAGAGAGGCUUUAUGGAUGGAAAUGGGUGAUCGGAAGAGAGGUUUUAAGAGAAUUGAAGAAGAAGUUAAGACUUUGAAGUGGAGAACAUAGCUUUUAAAGAGAAAAAUGAAUUUCGCACAGGGGAAAAUGGUGUGCGAAAUUUUCGCAUACCUGUGAUUCUCCAAGACAGAGAGCAUGGUUUUGAAAAUUGGCGCAAAAAAUGAAUUCGCACAAGGUUCGCACAAGGUUCGCAUUCCUGUGAAAUUCGCACAANNNNNNNNNNNNNNNNNNNNNNNNNNNNNNNNNNNNNNNNNNNNNNNNNNNNNNNNNNNNNNNNNNNNNNNNNNNNNNNNNNNNNNNNNNNNNNNNNNNNAAAAAAUAGAAAUCAAACCACAUUAGAAUGAAAUUAAAGUCAAAAAUAGAAAUCAAAACAUGCAUAAACACAAGAAAACAUUAGAUUAAACUAAAAUCAACUUAAAAGAGAACAAAAAGAGGAUAAACUUUUUAGUCUUUGGAGAGACUAAGUUCAACCAUGAACCAAGUGUUUUCAUGUUGGAGGUGGAUCAAGGAGGAUGAAUUCCUCCUUGUCUCGGGAAAAAGAUUCGAUAUAGGGCUUGAGACGAUGCCCAUUAACUUUGAAAGUUCGAGUGCUAUUGAAGUUGAGUAGUUCCACUACUCCAUUUGGUUGCACUUCAUGAAUUAUGAAAGGACCCGUCCAUCUUGAUUUCAAUUUUCCCGGAAAAAGAUGAAGCUUAGAGUUAUAAAGCAAGACUCUUUGCCCCUUGGCAAAAUUCUUCUGAUUUACCAAUUGAUCAUGCCAUUUCUUCAACCUCUCCUUUGCAAUUUUUGAAUUGAGGUAAGCAUCAUUCCUCAUUUCCUCCAAUUCAUUCAAAUCCAAACAUCUUUUCAACCCGGCUCUUGUCAAAUCCAUGUUGAGUUUUUUGAUUGCCCACCAUGCUUUGUAUUCAAUCUCCACUGGAAGAUGGCACGCUUUGCCAUAAACAAGGCAAUAAGGAGACAUUCCAAGAAUGGUCUUGUAAGCGGUCCUAUACGCCCAUAAGGAAUCUAGGAGCUUAAUAGACCAAUCCUUCUUAUUCACAUUCACCACCUUCAUUAAUAUAUUCUUGAUCUCCCGAUUGGCUAACUCAACUUGGCCACUUGUUUGAGGGUGAUAAGGUGUAGCUACCUUGUGCUUAACCCCAUAUUUGGCUAGAAGAGUCUCAAAAGGUUUAUUGCAAAAGUGGGUUCCUCCAUCACUUAUAAUGGCCUUAGGCACUCCAAAUCUUGCAAAGAUGUUAUCCUUGAGGAAUUUAAGAACCACCCUAUGAUCAUUGCUCCUACAUGGGAUUGAUUCAACCCACUUAGAGACAUAAUCCACUUCCACCAAAAUGAAGGAAUGUCCAAAUGACAUUGGAAAUGGUCCCAUGAAGUCUAUCCCCCAAACAUCAAAGACAUCCACUAUCAAAAUGGGGUUCAAGGGCAUCAUAUUUCGGCGUGUAAGCUUACCAAGCCUUUGACACCGAUCACAUCCCUUGCACAUAGAGUAGGCAUCCUUGAAAAGAGAGGGCCACCAAAACCCUGAUUGGAUCACUUUCAUAGCUGUUUUCUGGGAGGCAAAAUGACUUCCACAUGCACUAUCAUGGCAAUGGGAAAGAAUUCCUGAUUGCUCUUGUUCAGGAACACAUUUCCUUAUGAUUUGAUCCGCACAAUAUUUGAAGAGAAAAGGCUCCUUCCAAUAAUAGGCAUGGAUCUUAGCAAAGAAAUGCCUCUUGUCUUGGGCACUCCACUCGCUUGGAACUUCCCCAGUAACCAAGUAAUUUGCAAUGUGAGAAUACCAAGGAGCUACAUCUAUUGACAUGAGAGACUCCUCAGGGAAGUCAUCAUUGAUAGGCAGACCAUGUGAGUCAUGUGCUAUCACAAGUCUUGACAAAUGGUCAGCUACCACAUUUUCUACUCCCUUUUUAUCCCGGAUUUGGAGAUUGAAUUCUUGGAGCAAAAGGAUCCAUCUUAUCAAUCUUACCUUGGCAUCUUGCUUGGUUAGCAAGUACUUCAAAGCGGAAUGGUCAGUGAACACCACUAUAGAGGACCCUACUAAAUAGGCACGAAACUUAUCCAAGGCAAAAACUACUGCCAACAACUCCUUCUCAGUAGUUGUGUAGUUCCUUUGAGCCUCGUUCAAAGUUUUGCUCGUGUAAUAAAUCACAUAAGGCUUUCCAUCCUCUCUUUGCCCCAAAACAGCCCCCAUAGCAAGAUCACUUGCAUCACACAUUACCUCAAAAGGUAAUUUCCAAUUUGGGGCUCUCACUAUUGGUGCAGUUGUGAGGAAUUGCUUCAAUUCCUCAAAACUCUUCUGACACUUCUCAUCCCACACAAACUUGGCAUCCUUUACCAAGAGUUCACAAAGAGGCUUUGAGAUUUUUGAGAAAUCCUUAAUGAACCUCCUAUAGAACCUGGCAUGUCCUAGGAAUUGCCUAAUUCCUUUAACAUUUGUGGGAGGUGGCAACUUAACAAUUAGCUCCACCUUUGCCUUGUCUACCUCAAUGCCAUUUUUGGAGAUUACAUGUCCUAAGACAAUGCCUUGUUGUACCAUAAAAUGGCACUUCUCCCAAUUUAGCACUAGGUCUUUCUCAAUACAUCUGUGGAGAACAGCUUCUAAGUGCAACAAACACUCCUUAAAAGAACUUCCAUAUACAGUGAUGUCAUCCAUGAAGACUUUCAUGAUGCGUUCCACCAUAUCACUGAAGAUGCUUAGCAUACAUCUUUGGAAAGUUGUAGGAGCAUUACAUAAACCAAAGGGCAUUCUCCUAUACGCAAAAGUACCAAAGGGGCAUGUGAAGGUUGUUUUUUCUUGAUCUUCCAAAUAAAUCUCUAUUUGGAAGUACCCCGAGUAACCAUCUAGAAAACAGUAGAAAGGAUGUCUUGAGACUCUCUCAAGGACUUGGUCCAUGAAAGGCAAUGGGAAAUGGUCCUUCCUAGUCACUGAAUUCAACCUCCUGUAGUCUAUACACACCCUCCAUCCUGAGGUAGGACGUGUAGAGACUUCCUCCCCUUUCUCAUUCUGGAUCACAGUGAUUCCAGAUUUCUUUAGAACUACUUGGGUGGGGCUCACCCACAAGCUAUCUGAAAUGGGAUAUAUGAUCCCUGCUUGUAGUAGCUUCAGAACUUCACCCCUCACCACCUCUUGCAUGUGAGGAUUCAACCUCCUCUAGGGCUGCCUCACUGGUUUUGCAUCUUCCUCCAUGUAGAUAUGGUGGGUGCACACCAAAGGACUAAUCCCUUUAAGAUCAGAAAUUUUCCAUCCAAUGGCUUUCUUGCAUUUUCUGAGGACUCCCAAAAGACUAUCCUCUUGAUCACUUGUGAGAUUUGAAGAGACCACCACUGGACAUUUCUCAUCUUCCUCCAAGUAUGCAUACUUCAAAUUAACAGGAAGUGGCUUCAAAACAAGCUUUAGAGGGUCCUCCAUAGCUGCUCCUUGUGAGUCCUCCUUAUUGAACAGUGGUAAGAUCUCUUCCCGUCUCCUCCAAGGAGACAUGAUAGCUAGCACAUCAGAGGGUUCAGGUAACCCUUCUUCAAACACUUCAAGGUUUUCAUUCAAGCUCUCUUCUAAGCUCUUGUCACAAUGCUCUUCAACCAAGGUGUUGAUCAGGCACACCUCCUCCAAUCCUUCAUCCUCAUCUGGGUGAAGAUGCCUCUUGCAAAGAUGGAAUAUGUUUAAUUCCAAGGUCAUGUUUCCAAAUGUGAGUUGCAUCACCCCAUUUCUACAAUUGAUGAUGGCAUUGGAGGUAGCCAGGAAAGGUCUCCCAAGGAUGAUUGGCACGUAAUUGGCUUCCUUAACAGUGGGAUCAGUAUCAAGCACAACAAAAUCCACGGGAUAGUAGAAUUUGUCCACUUGAACUAGAACAUCCUCUAUCACCCCCCUUGGGAUUUUGACAGACCUAUCAGCUAAGGAGAGAGUGAUGGUUGUGGGCUUCAAUCCUCCAAGUCCCAGUUGCUUGUACACAGAGUAUGGGAGCAAAUUCACACUUGCCCCCAAGUCUAGUAAAGCUUUCUCCACAAGUGUCCCUCCAAUGUUGACUGCAAUGGUGGGGCAACCCGGAUCUUUAUACUUAACUGGAGACUUACUCUGAAUGAUAGCACUUACUUGCUCAGUGAGGAAUGCAUUCUUUGUCACAUGUAGCCCUCUCUUAACCGUGCACAAGUCCUUUAGAAACUUUGCAUAUGUGGGGACUUGCUUGAUCAUAUCAAGUAAGGGUAUAUUCACCUUCACUUGUCUCAAGACUUCAAGAAUUUCUGAUGAAUUCUUGAUUUCCUUUUUUCCAUGUAAAGCUUGAGGAAAAGGGGGAGGCAUAUGUUUCUUCAUCAUAUCUUCUUUAAUCACUAUCUCGGCUCUUCUUCAAUGCUUGAUUUGGAUGCACUUUUCUUCCCACUCUCCUCUUCUUGGUUAUUGCUCUCUUUAACCAAGGUUUUCUUUGACAAGAGUUCUUCAUCUUGCCUCACCUUAGGCAAGGGUUGAUCAACCUCCUUUCCACUCCUCAAGGUGAUCAUAGCUUUGACCUCCCUCAACUUUGAAGAAUCCCCCUCUUGGGUUUCAACUUCAUGAACACCCUUAGGAUUUUGGCUUGGUUGAGAGGGGAACUUUCCUUUCUCAUUCACUGUGUUGAGGUUGGUAAGCCUAGAGAUAGAGUAUUGAAUAUUAUCUAUCUUCUGAUAUAGAUCAUUUUGCAUCCCAUCCAUUCUCUUAUUUAGAGAACUCUCAACAUUCUCAAUCUUUUGGUGCAAUUGGGAGUUGAUUGCCCUUUGUUCACCCACAAAGUCAUUCAUGACUUUACUUAGGUUCGCAAUGGCUUGCUCCACUGAAGAGGUUUGUUGAGGUGCUUGAGUUUGGGCUUGUGGUUGGUAUAGAGGUGGUCUUGGUUUCCAAGAAAAAUUUGGAUGGUUUCUCUAGCUUGAAUUAUAGGUGUUUCCAUAAGGUGCAUUGUUGUUAGGCCUAAAUUGCCCCACAACAUUGGCUUGAUCACCUAACAUCUCCCUCACAGCUGGCAUGGUUGGGCACUCAUCUACCACAUGAUCACAUGAUUGGCAAAUGGUGCAUGGCAUGGCAUGGGCUUGAGUCUCGGAAAUGGCUUGGACUUCAUGCAUCUUUUUCAACUCAAGUUCUUCCAACCUCCUUGCUAUUGUUGCCACCUUAGCUUUCAUGUCCAUGUCUUCACUUAACAUGUACAUUCCACCCUUUGGAUUUACAGGAGCUUUCAUCCUUCCCAAUUCCUUUGAGUUGGGCUCAUCCCAUCCUCUUGUUACCUCAGAUACAUAACUUAAAAAAUCCAUGGCUUCUUCCGGAUUCUUACUCAUAAAAUCUCCCCCACACAUGGUUUCAAGAAUUUGCUUCAUGGAGGAAGACAUCCCAUCAUAGAAAUAGCUCACCAAGAGCCAUGUAUCAAAGCCAUGAUGAGGACAAGCAUUGAUGGCCUCCAUAUACCUUUCCCAACAUUCAUGGAACUUCUCAUUUUCUUUUGUAGAAAAUUUUGAGAUUUGUCUCUUCAACCCAUUGGUCCUAUGGGUGGGGAAAAAUUUCUUCAAAAACUCGGCCUGAAGAUCAACCCAAUUCCUUAUGCUCCUUGGCCUUAAAGAAUUAAGCCAUAUUUUUGCCUUGUCCUUCAAAGUGAAAGGGAAUAGCUUGAGUCUCAUCAAGUCUAUUGAAGCUCCUCCCUCUCUAAAGGUAUUGCACACCUCCUCAAACUCCUUGAUGUGGGCAUAUGGAUUCUCACUCUCCAUUCCAUGGAAAUUUGGUAGAAGGGGCACAAUAUGGGGCCUUAUAAUCAGCUGCUCAAGAGGAGGUAUGAUGCAUGAGGGUGCACUCAUCCUUGGUGGGUGCAUUCUAUCCCUCAUGGAUAGAUAUGCAUUUGGAUUACCCCCUUGACCUUGUUGAGAAUUCUGAUCCUCUUGUGGAGGGUCCAUGAUGUUUACACAGAUAUCCAACUCUGUGUCUUGAGGAUUCUCAAUCCUUACUAAUCUUCCCUCUUGGUCCUGAAUCCAAUAGGGCAUGCACAAAUCACUACUUGCCUGAAAACAAAACAAAGACAACAAAAACAAAAGAAAACUAGAAGAAAGUUAAAGUUAGAAAGAAAACAAAAGAAAUUCUACAAUAAAAAAAAAAGGAAAUAAAGUUAGUGAAAAAGGAAUUCACCAAACUUGUGAUGAAAAUCACAAGUAGCCUCUAAAAGGUUGUAUCACUGUAUCGUGGCACCAUCCCCGGCAGCGGCGCCAUUUUGAUUCGCGUAUGUAAAUCUAGUCGGGUCAUUUAAUCAAAAACAUUUAUAAAACCUAUGACCUCAUACUAGUGUAGCAAAGCUACUAUAGUAUAGUGGCUCUAGGGUCGAACUCUGGGAUGGGUUUUCAUUCUACCAGUGAUAUACUCAUGAUUAGGAAUUGAAUUUAAUGAUUUCCUUUAUAAAAAACUUAGAGUUUAAAAGAAAAUAAAAUUUGUUUUGAAAGUGUUUGAAACUAAAUUAACAUAAACUAAUUAAAAAUGGAAGAAAGAAAGUCUCCCGGAGCUCAGGAUUGCUAGGAUCAAGUUUAGAAUGCAAAGUGGAAAAUUCCAGAUUUUUCUCCUCGCAUUGGGGAUUUAAUCUAUAGUUAUUUCCCGAACCGGUAUAGGUUUAACAAUGAAGAUUUAAUCCAUAAAAAUCAAUAGAAAUGGUAGUCAAGGUCCAUUAAUGGCUUUAGACACUAUGGGUCUUCACAUUGAACCACUUUCCAAUGGCUCGUACAUGAUAACUAAUGGACUGAUAUGGAUCUAGCAAUAAGCAUCCACAGAGACCUGAAGCUUACCAUGUAUUGGCCAUUCAAAGUGAUUCUAAGGGAUUUAAAGCAAAACUUUGGAUUUAAAAGCCAUUUAUGAACUUCAACUACCUGUAUUUAAGGCACGAGCGUUUUCCACCUUGCAUCUGGACUUUUCACCUAACUUCCAUCACUCCAAGAAACCAAAAGUUUAGCCUCUCAUCCUCUGAGAAAACAUCCUCAGAGGUUGUUUGGCUUCCAAGAAAAAGAAAAUAGUAAAGAGAAAAGGGAAAACGAGAGAGCUCUGUAUAUUUUUCUAAGUGUAAAACAUAACACGCGUGAUACCUCCAAGAGGUGAUUUCCACCCCUUAUAUAGUUUUUACAAAAGCAAAGCUUGUGAUUGGCUUGUUACAAGGAGAAGAAAGGAAAUUACAUCAAAAAACACAAAAGAAAAUAUCUAAAGUGGAGUCGGCAAAAACAGAGGAAAAUUCGCACCACGCAUGGGGUGUGCGAAUUUUCGCACCACGCAUGGGGUGUGCGAAUUUUCGCACACCUGAGGGGGGUGUGUGAGUUUCGCACACCAUUCGCACACCAUUCGCACAGCUAAGGGGGUGUGCGAAUUUCGCACACCAUUCGCCCACCAUUCGCACACCUGGAGCAGUUUUCUUCCGAAGGUCAUAUCUUCCUCGUUUCAGCUCCAAAUCGUACACGGUUUGAAGCAUUGGAUUCUUGACUUCCUGAGAUUUGAAAUGGUAUAUAGAAUGUAAAAAAUAAACUUCGGGAAGUGCUCCAAAAGUGCCAAAUAAGACUGCAGCUGCUGUCCUCUAUUUUCCUCCUUGCUUCUCUUUGCUUCUCUUUGGUUUUCUUUGCUUUUCUCCUUUGGAUGGCUUGUCUUAAUGAUCUAAAAAGAUGUCAAAAACACUAAAACUAGCCACAAAUAUGAUUAGGAGUCAUUGCUAGGUCCUUAACAUGCCAAUUGGAAUAAAGAUGAAGAAUUACUAACCAAAAGUGCUUAAAACAUAAUGACUUAAAGGUGUAAAAUAGCACUUUUUGGGUAGUAAUCAUUUACAAAUUAAUUGGAGCAAUGGAAUUGGAACAGGACACAAACUUCAAAACAUUAAAAAUCAGUAAUGCAGAUAAGGGCAUUUAUAUGUACACAUAUUGAUCAGAAAAUGAACUUCAUCCUUUACCAACCUAAAAACUCAAAAGAAAGAAGUAUAAUUUCAGAUAUGCAAGAUUUUGAUCUAUUAAAGCCCAAAUCAUUUUAUGUUCAUAGAAAUGAGAAGACAAAAUGGCAGCCGACUUUUAGGAUUGAAAGAAAAAUGAAUUGAUGCUACUUCCCAAUGCUAAUGCCAUUAAUUUGUUAUUACUCUUUGUGGCCAUGUCGAGUCUGUCUAUCAAAUAAGAUAAUCCCUUCUUUUUUUCUUCUUUUUUUCUUUACAUAGUCAAUCAUCUUGUUUCAUGUUUGCCCUAUAGUUGGUCUGCUGAUGAUAGGCUUUUUUUUAGUGGAAGCAAGUACUCUAUACUGAAGGUAAAUUAUGGGAACUAUGUCUUUUUGUGGUAUCGACGGGGUUAUCAUAUAGCUGAAUGAUUCUAUACUUCCUUAUAGCUUUUCAAGGCAUUAAAAAAGAAAAGAACAAAGGUAGAACUAGGAAAAAUAUUUCUUUUUGAUUUCAAGUAUACUCUUUCCUUAUGAAGUUUUAUUUUGGUAAAUUACAGUUAGAUAUAAUCACAUGGCAAUAUUUUUUUCUUCCAAGUUUAAACAGUAAUUCAAGAGAGUGUAUUAUGAAAAUAUACUAAAAUAAAAAAAUCCCAUGAAUGCAUUCUACUUUGGAUAUUUCUUAUGAAUCUUCCCCUAUACUCCUGGCCAUCACAUACACUCCCAUCACACCAAUCCUUGUAGUUGUUCUAAAUUGUUUCAAAUCUGUCAUAAACCGAUUACUAAUAUUAAGGACUGCCAUGUCUACUAAUUUGGGGCUAGAAUUUUUAGAGCAUGUGGGAAAUUCUGGUUAUAGUGGGAAAUGUGAGUGCUACUGUUUUGCCAAAGUGGCUUUCCUUAUUCAUGCUAACAUCAACAACAUAGCAAUGAACUUGAUUUAAUAUUAUUUAUCAUAUAAGCUUGAGAUAUCUGGACACAAAAGUUAAAACAAGAUCUUCGAGGCUUUGAAGAUGAGGUAUUUUCCUCCUCUUAAGUACUAGUUAAUAUUCUUCUUUUGACAUUGUACUUGGUUUAAUUAAUGUUUUCCUUUUUUUUCGUAUUCUAGAAAGGUUUUUGUUGUUGAUUUGAGUCCAUAUGGUGAGAAGGUAGUCUCCGAUGGUACGAAACAGAGUACUCAAUUUAUGGAUGGCUUGAUGGCUGAAAAAGGAAGAGAUAUAUGAAAUGAAGAUUGACAUGAUUCUUCCACAACAUGAUGGACUUGGUAGGCACUCAAUUUUUGCCUACAGCUAAUAGUCUACCAUAUGUGUAACUUAAAGGUUGUGCACUAAGUUAUUAUGUUAUGAAGAAUCAAGGGUGGUUUGUGCACUAAGCUCUUCUAAAAUGUUUUUCUUUAUUGAGCUGUAAUGAUUGUAUUAUUUGGAUUUAAUUGUAUUCAUUAGGUUUGCACAUCACGAUAUAAUUAUUUUCCUCUUUGAUCAUGUAAAGUUGGGAAACAGUUAUGGGUUAUUGUAAUAGCGUGGUAUAUUGAUGCACACAGUUUGUGGCAUAACAGUUUGAUGAAAUAACAGAAGUGUAGCACUCAUGGGCAUAUCAUGUGAACCUUAUUCAAUGUGGCAUUGACAGUUAGCUUAAAUUUACAUGGGUGUAAUGUCGCACCAGUAUCUUCUAAUGAACCUUGGAUUCUUUUUUCUCCAUUUCUUCCUCUCUUGGUCAAACCAAACAAUUUAUCUUCAUGACUUCCUCAUGUUACCAAAAAACAACAUCUUGUGUUCUCCAUCUCUUUAUCCUCUUAUCAAGACAUAGCAAUCUAAUGCAUCUUUGCAUUGGGUUGCUUCCUCUCCUUCCCUUCUCCUUCCUCCUUAUAUCAUUGCUUAGUUUUGGCUACUCUAUUUCUUUGAUCGUUAUGGUAGAGCAUCAUUGCAAGAUGUACAAGAAAUGUGUUGUGGUGCAUUAUCCCCUUCUCUACCACCCGAAAUAUGUUUUCCAUGAUCAUUAAUACCAAGACGUUUAAGCAUCAAGUAAGGCAUCUCUUGACAAUUAUGUGAAAGAUAAGAGAUAAGCAACAUACUGGUAUUCAAGAGAAGUGAUGUUCUACAUUUGCAGUUGACAACGUGCAUUUAGUCUGAACUCCAAAUUUGGGCAACUCAGAAUCUCCACCUUCAUUAGGAUUGCAGAAAGUUGGCUUCUUGGAAAGAUGUGGAAAUGGGGCAUUUAGAAAUCAGAAAGAAUCCCAGUGGCCUGUUGCUACUUUCGAAUCAUUCCAAUCAACAACAACUCUAAAGAUAUAUAUACAAAUCUGUCCCUGGGAAAGAGAUCCAUGUUUCUUAGGCAUGCAACCAUCUCUCUUAACAGACUUAGGGUUCUACACCCUCUUGGUGUUUCUUAUAUAUUGCACCAUCUGAUUUGUAGAUAUCCAAUUGCCAAUUUCACUACACCUGAUGAACUAGAAGCUAUGCUAAAAGUGAAGUUAAACAACCCAUCGUAGAAAGAAUCCUAUAGGAAUACACUAAAAAGAAUAUCUUAUUAACAUAAAUGAACUCAUCCAAUUAAAGGAUAAAGUUGCAUGAAAAUUGAAUUGGGAGAGAUACAAAUACUGAUGCUUAUGUAGGACUAUGGAAAGGAUCAAAAAGAGGAACAAACAUUGAAUAGUAAAUGUAAAGUCAUAAAGCUUCUAACAUCUGUCAAAAGCUACUCUGUAGUGAAGUUUUUUUAACGAUAAAGGUAACUGAAAAAUUCACCAAAUAGCUCCACUUGAAGGAAAUUUCAGUGGUAUGAAACUAGGAUAUGGUGAACUCUCCUUGCUUAUACUAUUGUUGUGAGCCAUUAUAGAUCAAAGAUGAAUCUCACCAUAUGUUUUCACACAGAAGAUGUGGGCUAUCUUUGGGUCAUCUCUCAUCAUUGGAUUUAGGAGUUUGGUCUCUCAUAUAUAGUUUCACUUGCCAACUACAAAUGGAGCUUAGUAGAUGUCUCCAUGAUGUGGAGACUGAGCAACAUACAUAAUUCAAGGGAUGUGCAGUUGUUCUUGUGAAUCACCCAAUCUUCAUCUAAUAUAUAUAGACGCAUAAAUUUUAGCAACUUAUAAUCUCCAUAUUUUAGAGCACUGGAGGAAGCUAGCCUAUUCAACAAACAUAACAUAAUUAGAAAAAUGCAAGAAUUCCAGAGACAUGUUGUGCUAUCAUGUAUUCCAAUCAGUAAGGAAUCAAAGUGCUAUAAUUUUAAACUGUGCAAUAACAGACCUAUCUUAGGGAAGUAAAUUGUCUUGAGCACCAAAUCAAUUGUGAGUUCUUUGAGAGACUUGGACACCAACUCAAUCAAAGCUGCUAGUUGUUUAUGUGGCAGCUUGUAUUCGUCCACUAAUACUGGAGAAAAUGCUUUUGAAAACCCUUAAUCUUUAAAUCACAAAGGGAAAUUAAAUUAUGUUGUUAUUUGAUCUCCAAUCUCUUUGACACAAAUGGAUGAUUUCCUUGCUACAAACAAUGUCUAAUUCUAUCACUUGUACUCUAGCAUGUGAUUUAGGAGGAGAAUUAAGCUUUGGAAUAUUGCCAAUAAACAAGGAAUUGAGAAAGACCAAGUGGGCAGCCACCACAACUAGUUCACGAACAAAUGGAACCAUUGGGAGUGGAACAUGACACAAAAACAAAACAUGUUUUCCAUAUUCAUAAAUACCAAGGUGUUUAAGCAUCAGGUAAGACAUCUCUUCACAAUAAUAUGAGAGAUAGAGACAAGUAGCAUACCGUUAUUCAAGAGAAUUGGUGUUCUUCUUUUGUAUUUGACAACAUUCAUCCACUUUACACCCCUAUUUUGGCAACUUAGGAUAUCUCCACCUUCAUUAGGAAUAUUGCAGGAAGUUGACCUCUUAGAAAUACAUGAGAGGACAUUUAGAAAUCUGAAAGAAUUCUAGAGACUUGUUAUUGCUUGAAUUGUGAAUCAUUCCAAUCAGUAACAACUGGAGAGCCCCUAUACACAAUUUUUAAUUAUUAGCCUUCUUACAUUGGAUGAAAAAUCUAUCCCUAGAAAAGAGACAUGUCUUGGGCCAUGCAACCAUCAAUUACUCUCGAAGAGGCUUGAAGCUGUGCACCCUCUUGGUAGCUUAUCGUUCAUUACAACAUAUAAAUUCUAAAUAUCCAAUUGGCAUGUCACUAUAAUUGAACAUAAUAGGAAACACGGUGAAUAGGAAGUUAGAAACCCUGUCAUAAAAAGAAUCUUACAAUAAUACACCAAAUAGAACAUCUUGCUAAUUCAGUUAAACUAUUGUGUGAAAAUCUAAAUUGGGAGAGAGAAAACAUCAAUGCUUACAUGGGACUGUGGGAGGGACCAACAAGGGGAACAAACAUUGAAUAGAAAAUGUGAAGCCUUAAAGCUUGUAAUUGCUGUCAGAAGCUGCCCCCUAGUCAAGUUUUCAACAAAAAGGUUCAAUGCUAGGAUUCUCGCUCAACUUGUAGAAAAUUUCAAUAGUAUGACAAUUUAUACUCAAAAAGAAGAUAAAAUGUAAGAAUUAUGUGUUGGGAAUAGAUCACUCUUACUGAAUAUAUGGAUAGAAUAAGGUGAACUCCACCUGCUUCCAUUUUUGGAAUCCAAAUUAUUAUGGAUCAAAGAUGAAUCUCUCCAUCUAUUUACAAAUAGAACCUAUGGGCAAUCUUGAACUGAUGUCUCAUCAUUGGAUUUAGAACUGGUGUAUAGCUCUGAAACCAUGGCAUGGUUCUCCUUUAGUUGCCAAAUACCACUAGAGCUUAGGUGAGGUCUUGGUGAUGUAGGGAAGUCAUGGAUUCUUGAAUCUUUACAUGAAAAUAUACAUGAGAUACAUUGGAAGAAAGAGCAGGCCAUCUAAGAAGAAACACAUCUUAAAGUAUACCAUCAAUCAUGAGUUGUUUGAGAGUGAGGAGUCUUUGAAGGCCUCACUCAGAUAAGGGAUGUCUUUGACAUUUCUCACUCUUCAAUCUCAGGAAGGUACAUCAUCAAUUAGAACCUUAGGAAUGUGAGUCAUCAUGGGACAACUUGUUUAUGUUCUUUAUUCUUUUCUCACCAGAGGGCAUUGAAGGAUAUGUAGUUGCAAGGGCAAAAGACGUAGCCAGUAGUGAGAGCAUUGAACAAUCCUUCUCUAAUGCAGACCACCAAUUUUAGUAACUCAUGAUCUCCACAAUUUAAAGCACAAGGAAGUUGGCCUAUUGGAAAGAUGUCACAUGACAUUUAGAAAUGGGCAAGAAUUCCAUAGAUCAUUCCAAUCAUUAAGGAAUCCAAAGCCUUAUAAUUUGAAUAGGGCAUCUACUUGGCAUGGAUAAUGCACCUAUCUUGGGACAAAGACCACAUGUUGAGCACCAAUUCAAUUAUCAACUCUCUAUGAAACUAGAGAUACAAGGUAUUAAUGUUAGUACAAAUUAACUGGUAACUCUUCUUCUUUUACUGGUAUUGGAGGCAAAGCCUUGCAAAAACCCUCAAUCUACAAAUUACCAAGGACAUGAGAUCAUGUUGUAAUCUUAUCUCCAAUCUCCAACGGCAAAUAGAUUAUUUCUUUCAAUUAACAAUCUUUAAUGCUUUCGCUUCUAUCAUAGGAUAUGCAAUUUGGGAAAACAAGUAAGUUUUAUAAUAUUAAGAAUAUGCAAGGAAUUGAUGAAGGUCAUGAAUCAACUUAAAAUCAAAAAAUAAAAAAUGAAAAAACAAAGAUUUUUUCACCCAUGAAUACCGUAACCAACUUCCAAAAAGCAUUAGGUUUUGCAAUAACCAAAUGUUCCUCAGGUAUUAAAGUUAAAGUUCAAAGUUACCAAGAGUGCAUUUUUUUACCCGUGCAUAAAAUAAAAAGAAAAUAAGAACGCAUACCAUAUAACUCACAAUUGUGUCAAGUAUGAGUUCAGUUUAUGUUCAUGCAUAAUUGCAUUAAGUAUUUGAAAGCUAAAUAAGACUAUGUGUAAUUCAAAGAAUACCUACAAUGCUCACAGCUUAUCAUAGAAUGAGAACUCAAUUGUCUUUCUUCCAGUCAUAAGAGUUUGUGCUCUUUGAGCCUCUGACUUGCACAACUCAAGAUGGCAGGACGUGCCAAAAAGUCUUCUUCACCUUAAAUGUUAUUCAAAUCUGCAAUAUAAAUCUUGAUAAGAAAAUUUUCUACAAAUAUAACAUGUUACAAAAAAAAUAACAAUAUGUUAGUUUAAAAUUGAAGAGCAUUUCAAACCAAACAAAGUAGAAAAUUUUUCAAUGUUUAUCACUGACCUAAAAACUUGUAUGUUGGAUAAAAUUCAUGCUAAUGAAUCCUGACAAUUGCUUGCAAUCAAAAUUUAGUAAUGACUUAUAAAAAUAAAUUACAAAAUUCUUUAGCAAUGUUCCAUGAAAAACACAUUGUACAUUGAUUAAGAAAUUCAUAUGAAAUCCACUAAUUUGAAAGACACCAAAAACCAGAUGUUGUCUUAAGUUCUCCAUGUAUCAAAAUAGAUGCAAGUUUCUAUUCGAGCCACCACAAUCACGGAGUACGAGACUUCUUAGCAUGGAAGGCAUACUAGAUUUCAAACAAAGUUCUUAACUUUCCAAGAGACAUAAGAACAUGGUGUGUUGCAUAAACUGUAGAAUAAAUAAAUGGAAGUUAAACACACAUGCACUUGCUACUUAUUUUUUUUAAUCAUCUAUGAAAUAAAUAAAGAGGUGUUACUUGCAUUCAAUCCAAACUUGUGGUCUUCAAUGUGAAAUCCAAAUCUCAUUUUGUCAACACAAUAAGAGCAUUAAACAUACAACAAAUUGAAUCCUUCCCUUUAACAAUGUGAAAACCUGAAAGAAAUGACUUGGGAUCAUAAAUAAUUAUACGAUAAAGAAAACUUUCAUUAUUUUUUCUAAAAGAAAAAUCUGUUAUUUCCUUGAUUACGGAAGAUAGAUAUUAUUAAGGUAAACUUUGUGCAUUAUACAUUGAAAUUAGAAAAUUGUAUUUAAAUCCAGUUAGAAAGGUGCCACAAAAAAUGCAUAAUUGAAAUGAAGGCAUCCAUGCCAAUUUGUGACUGUUGUCAAAUAACAGCCUCCCUUGACAUUUUGGGUCCCAUGCCUGCAUGUCAAAUCUCCAACUAAGACUACUCAAAGAGCACCUAAAAGAAAAUUACCAAGAUUUCAUCACAUGCAGAACUCGAGAUGCUAACAUGGAACCAUGGGAGAAAUCGAAAAGAAACAAAAUACUCACCCAUAAGUUUGUAAUUUUUGUACUCAAAACCCGUUUCCUAGUCAAACUUUCAACACAACUCCAUAGAGACUUUCACAAAUAGUUAAGCCACUAGUAGAAAACAACAUCAAUAUGAGAAAUUGACAAGGUACUGUGUAGAUAAAAAAGUAUAAAUAUGUGUUGAGAAUAAGAGUUACCUUAAUGAAUGUAAGGAUAGGAUAGGGUUGAAUUAGCUCUGCACCUAUUUUUGCAAUUUGAAUUUGUGACGGUUCAAAUAUGAGAUUAUGAUCUAUCCUCACUUUAGGGGAAGCGGGCAAUCUCCUUGAAACAUCUUUGAUUUAGAGAUUCGAUAAAACUCAUCUUGAAGCACCUUAUUACUGAUGAAUUGAGCACCAAUAAAUCUUGGUGUUGAUAUAGCUAUGAAUGUGCGCAAGUGCUCCUUCUUAUAAAACCUUUCAAACUUUUUAAAUGUAUCAUAAUUAUCACAAACAAGUGAUGAAUGACGAGUACUUUUAGGAAUGAGAUAUUACAAAUUCUUUUUGAACUCAUCAUCCAAAUGCAAGCAUGUAUCUCUAGCAACAUAUUUAGCUAGAGCAUGGACAAGGUCAUGCAUCAUGAAUCGUGAUCUAUUGCUACUCGACGAUUGAAAAAAUGACCUUGACAAUAGCUCAUCAAAAUACUUAUCACCAAGAUCUUCCAUUUUCCUAUUAUCUUUUGAUUGUUAAAUUAACCCCUCCACCAUCCACAGGAGGAUUAACUCUUGCUUUGUAAACUCAUAAUCCUGUGAAAAAAUUGCACAAUAAGUAAAACACCUCUUUAAAUGUGAAGACAGAUGAUAGUAGUUCAAUCUCAAGGCAGGGAUGAUGUCAUAUUCAUUUUUCGUGAAAUCCCAUACUUUGUUGUACAAUACUCUUUCUCAUUCAUAUUCACGUAGUUCAGAGCGCAAAAGGCCACCAAAGGCUCUUGCUGCUAAGGGUGAACCUCCACACUUCUCUACAAUUCUCCUACCAAUUGAUUCCAAAUUUGGGUGCUCAUCGAUAUUCAUAUGUUCAAAAGCAUGUGUUUAAAUAUCUUCAAACAAUCAUCAUAAGGUAACUAUUUGAGCUUAUGUAAGUUCUUGCGUCCUCUCAUCUUGUUUGCAACAUUAUUAUUUCGAGUUGUGACUAGAAUUUUGCUUCCCUCUGCUCCCACCUAGAAAGUGGAGAAUAGCCUGUCCAACUCAAAGUAAUCAUCAUUCCACAAAUUAUCCAAAACUAUCAAAAAAUAUUUUCCCUUCAAUUCCUUCCUCAAAGUUUCUUGAAUUUGAUGCAGUCUUGUGAAUCACUGCUUUGAGAAUUAGUCACCAAGUUGAGAAUUGCCUUUGUUAUUCUCACUGCAUCGAACUGAUCUGAGACACAAACCCAGGCUAUUUUAUGAAAAUGCUCGGUUAUGGUCUUAUCGUCAUCGUACACUAGUCUUGCUAGUGUGGUCUUACCCAUCCCACCCAAGGCCAUGAUGGAAACUACAGAACAAUUGGUUUUAGUGGGUUCAUUCCUAAGCAGCAUAUCAAUUAUAAUAUCUUUUUCUGUCCCCCUGCCAUAAACCUGAGGUUCAUAUCCUAGAGAUAUAGUGAUUGGCCUUCCCCAAGCAAAGUUGGUUAUCGCAGCCACCUUUUCUAGAUGAAGCUUAGAUUUUUUAGCCGAAAUAUUGAUUACUACCAAAAAGUGCUAUUUUUUAGACCUAAUUAUAAUGGUUUUAAGCACCUUUGAGUAGUAAUCAUAUUCAUUUAACCCAAUUAAUUCAUUAAGGUCCUUAGUAAUUGGUUUUAACCAUUUUGUGGCAAGUUUACAUGUUUAUAUCAGCUUAUGAAUCAAUUCAAGCAUGCCAAAUGAUGGAGGAGCUACUUGGACAAGUUAAAGCAAGCUUUUAGCUACACCAAAGCAAGCCAACAAAAGGAGAAAAGCAAAGUGAAGCAAAGAGAAGCAAAAAGAAGCAAAGAGGAAAACAGAGGACAGCAGCUGCAGUCUUCUUUGGCACUUUUGGAGCACUUCCCGAAGUCCAUUUUCUACAUUCUAUAUACCAUUUCAAAUCUCAGGAAGUCAAGAAUCCAACGCUUCAAACCGUGUACGAUUUGGAGCUGAAAUGAGGAAGAUAUGGCCUUCGGAAGACAACUACUCCAGGGGUGUGCGAAAAUUUCGCACAACACCUUCCAAAUUCGCACACCCCCUUGCGUGGUGCGAAUUUUCCCCUGUUUCUGCCGACUCCAUACGAGAUCUUUUCUUUUGGAUAUUUUUGUAUAAAUUUCCAUUCUUCUCCUUGUAAUCCACCAAUCAUAAGAUUUCUUAGCUAGGAAGGUUGGAAAAACUUCUCUCUAUAUAUUCCCUUGCAUCCGGUGUAACAGAUAUCGAUCAAUAUAUAGAAUUUUUACAGAGCUCUCCCGUUUCUAUUUUCUUAGUAGCCAAACAGCCUCUGAGGGUUUUUCCUCAAAGGAUGAUUGGCUAAAACUUUUAGUUUCUCAAAGUAUGGAUGUUAUGUGAUGGCUUGGAUGCAAUCCCAUGGAAAUUUCUCGCACCCGGAAGGUAAGGUAGUCGUUUUUCAUUAAAGGUUCAUUAAUGCAAAGUUUGGUUUUUAUUUCCUUUGGACAACUUCCAACGGCCAAUACUUGAUAAGCUUUUAGAUUUCUAUCCAUUAGUUAUCUCCUACGAGCUAUUGGAAGGUGAGGUUUUCAAUUCCAAGUUUUGUAUUAAUCCGUUAGAACCAAUUUCAAUGGCCAUUGAAAGGUGAGUUUAUCACCUGGAAUGACUUUGAGUUGCCAAUAUUUGGUAAGCUUUUGGCUUUAGACCAUUAUUUAUCUCUUACGAGCCAUUCAAAGGAAGUCUAAGGUGAAUAACCAUUGAUGAAAUUCACUACCAUCUGUUUUGUCAUUUUAAAGGAUUAAAACUUGAUUUGCUAAAUCCAUACCGGUUCGGGAAGCAAGCAUCACCAUAGUUGCAACCCCAAUGCGAGGAGCCUAUCCUGAGAUUUCCAAUUUGCAUAAGAACCAGAGCAUAGCUAUCCUAUCUUUGAGAAACUUGUUUUUACACCCUUUCAUUUUAGUCUUUAAUGUUAGCUUAGAUUAGUUUAAAUCUUUCUAAAACAUUUACAUCUUCUUUUAAAGCUAACAUCCAUAAGAAAAUCACCUAUUUUCCUAAUUUGAAUAUCACUUGUGUUUGCGAAAACCCUUCCCAGUGAACGAUCCUAGAACCACUAUGCUAUAGUAGCUUGGCUACUUUAGUAAUAGUAUUCAAGGUAUAAAUUUUGUUGAUACGCCUUAAGCUAAGCUACCAUGAGUCGAAUCAAAUAUCUCGUAAGCGGCGAGUGAUUUCCAACACCUUGGACCUCAUGUUAAUAUAACGAAUAACCUCAGUAGGAUUGAAAAUGCCAAGACAAGUGGAGAUGAGCUUGCAUACCUUGCUUGGCCUGCCUUGAUGAUUAGCUUCGUUGGUCAUGAGCUCCCGUUGCAAAGCUUCCUAAGCGAACUCAUCCAAGAUGUCCUCCAUAUCAUAAGCCAAAUAUUUCAGAUUGCCCAACCACUCUUUCAUAGGGCAAUUCAUGAUCUGCUUGUCCUCCGUGUCAUUAAGCUCUUCACGAAUAUCUGACAAUUCUAUCUCUCAUUUCUUGAGAUCAGAAUACGUCCAUUGUUGGCGUGCAAAGUCAAGCAAAUCAGUGGAGGCCAACUUGUCAAACAAGAGGUCGAUGGUUGUAGAAAGAAGAGCCUUUCCCACAGCUUCCACCGCUGGUUUGUACUUUGUUUGCAGAGAGAGCAAAUCAAGCAAUGGGUAAAAAAAUAAAGCAGAAAGAAGGAGGUCUGCUCUGUGAAGGCUUUAAAUAUUAGAAACUCAUAAAACAUUUGUAAAAAAUGUUAUGCUGAUCAUAGAAGGAGACCCCUAGAGUUCCAUAUAGGAGAUCACGUGUUUUUAUCUGUAACACCUCGGAGAGGCCUAUUUCGAUUUGGUAAAAAGGGAAAGCUUACUCCAAGAUAUAUUGGGUCCUUUGAAAUCCUUCAAAAGAUUGGAGAGGUAGCAUACAAUUUAGCCUUACCACCACAGCUAUCAGGUAUACAUGAUAUGUUUCAUGUCUCCAUGUUGCGAAAGUAUGAGCCUGAUACCACACAUGUACUAGAUUGACAUGAUUUGAAUUUGCAAGAAGAUGCAACGUAUGAGGAAGGGCCGAGAGAAAUUUUAGAUAAGAAAAAGCAGGUACUACGAGCCAAAACCAUACCUCUAGUGAAAGUGUUAUGGGAUCAUCAUGUAGUGGAAGGAGUUACAUGGGAGUUGAAAUCAAAUAUGAGAAACAAGUACUCAAAACUCUUUACGGUUCGCUUUUUUAAAUUUCGAGGACGAAAUUUUUGUUAGGGGGAGUGGAUGUAAUACCUAGUACUAAUAAAUUAAAUAGGCAAUAAUGAUUAUCUUAGUACUUAACUUUAAAUGUGCUUAAUUAGAUGUUAAAACUAGUUUAGUGCUAAUCUUAUUUAAUUAUGAAUUAAACUUUGAUUAAGGUUAAGUGGGAUUAGUUAAUGACUUAAGCAUGCUUAUUAGGUUCUUAGGGGCUGAUUAGAGUUAUGAAAACCUAAAGGACUAAUGGGCAAUUGUAGGUUUAAUAUUGGCUAAUUUGGAGGACUGAAGUGCAAAAUUGGAAAGUUGGGGUUGAUGGCAGCCAUGUGGCCUGCCAUCUCCUACUUGGCUGCAUGGAGACCCCUUUAUAAGGGUUUGCAGCUCGUUUUGCAGCAUUUUACCUAUAGCAGCUUGGGUUAGAGAGAGGAUCUAGAGAGAGAAAGUGAAGAUUUGAGGUAAGCAAAUUGUUUAAUUUAGUAAUUUUGGUUUAUUUUGGUUCCUAAUAGUAUGUUGAAACAAAUUAACAAUAAAAUUUGUAUAAAACUUGAGUGUAAUUAGCUAUAAACAUAUUUUAGUUAAAAAUCACAAUUAAUUAAGGAUUAAAGUGUUUUACCUUAAGUAUUUUAUUAAUGGUGAGAUCAACAUAAAUCUUUGUUUAGUUUGGUUUGAUUGAAAAAGAGAUUGGUAAACAUGUGAUUAAUUAGGUUAUUUGGACAUCGAGACUUGUUAAUGGGUUAGGCUUUAGGAAAAAAAUCAAAACAAUUAGUGUUUGGUAAUUAUUUGGAGAAUAUGAGAAUUAAAAAUUAAUAAUAGUAAAUUGUUAAAAAUUAGUAAGAAAUGAAAAUUUCAUAAGUUUUAAUUGAAUAAAUUUUCAUGGUUAAGAAACCUAAAUUAUGUUAUUUUAUUUCAGUUCCUUGUAAUAGGUAAAGAUCACCUACAUAGAAGAAUCACAAAGGGCAAGUCAAUGUAAGGUAGGGAAGUUUAUGUUGUUCCAUGGUGUAUCUAAUUUCUUUCCUUGAAACAUUUAUUGGAAUUUCAUGUCAUUUCUAUGAUUUCAUAAAAUGUUUUAAUAUGUCAUUGCAUCUCGGUUUAUUGUAUUGAAAUGUUACAAUGAUAUUGGAACGUAUAUUGGUAUGAAGAUUCAUGGUUCUGUGUUGUGGAAAUGGUUCAUAGUGUGGCUGCAUUGCAAGAAGGAUAUGGAAUAAUCACAGAUGAUAUUCAGAGAAUUGAUUGUUGGGAAGUGUUUAUGUGAUGCUACAUGCAUUAUCCUUUGAUAUAUUGUUUAUGCGGGACCUUGGGUCCUUGGGUGAAAGUUCCUAAAGCCCUUGAGGAAGACACUCCAAUGUGGGUGUAUAGGGUUGGUCCUGCCACUAGGUUUUAGUCCCUAAAGACAUGGGGUUGGUCCUGUCCCUUUGUUUUAGUCCUUAAAGACACGGGGUUGGUCCCGCCCUUGGGCAUGAGUCCUAGAAAACACGGGGUAUGACUUACCCUUGGAUGAUGUCCUAGAAUAGUCAUUAUUAUAUUGACCGAGUAUCUUGUGGAGCAUUGAUAUCUGAUGUGUAGAUUGGUGGGGGUUAACAAUUUAUCAAUUGUGAAAGGAUAGAUAAGAAAAAGCAAAGAUGAAACUAGCAAACACAUGCAUACAUGUUUGACAUGAUUACAUAUUUGUUAAUGGUUAUGAAAUGUUUAUCAAGCAUGUUAUUAUACAUUUAAUUCAAGGUUUUUAAGGGUAUGCUUAGGAUGGUUAUAAACUUUCCUACUGAGUUGUGAACUCAUCCUAUCCCUUCCACCUUUAGAUGCAGGUCAGAAGACCUAUGCUGGAAAUAAUGUUUAAGCAUUGCUUUUAUGUUGAUUGGAUGUUGUUUGCUCGCAUUGAAAGUGUUUUGAGGCUUUGCCUUUGUAUUAAAGACUAAAUCUUUUUGAAGUAAUGAUGUAAUGUAUAUUUGUUCUGUACACUUGUAGUAUGGGCUACCCGUAGUGAACCAUGGGGUUUUGGUAUAUGUAAAUUAACGUAGUAUAAGUUUCUUUUGUGAAAAGAAUCAUAUUUUGUUAACUACUAGUUACAAAGUUUAAUACAGGAUGUACUCUUUAUAAUAGGUUUUGCAUAUUCUCUUUUUGUGCAAAAUCAAGCUGGAACUCAACAUUUAAAUUUUUCUAUCCCCAUAUUUUGUUUGAGAGCACUUAUGUUGUGAUUGAGUAUCAAUUGUUAUGUUUGAAAGAAAAAAAAUGGGGGUGUGACAUUUAUUAACUUAGGUUUACAAAUUAAAAGUAGGUUGAUCUCCUACCUAUUCUUUUUAAAUUAAUCUUAAGAUCAAUAAGAAUCAUACAGACCAUAAUCAUUAGAAGUGCCAAAACAAAAAUCGGUUUGAUAUUUAAUUAGUUCAUUUUAUUAACUAUAGAAGAUGUAAAAUUUGUUAGGAGGUGUCUUAAAUUCCAAAUUAUAAUAUAUUUUUUUCUUUUGUAAGAAGAAUAUUACAUAGAAUAUUUCCAAAGUUUAUAUGUGAUUGUAAUUAAAUUGAAGCUAAUACAAAUAUAUUAAUAAAUAUUUUAAGACAUGAAGAGAAAAAGUUAUGGAAGAUAUGAAAAAGAUAUGUGAUCAAGAGUGAGAGACGUUGAUAGAAUACGAGGGUUCACUAAGGAAGGGUGUAGAUGUGAAGAAGAAUGAGAAACACUUAGUGGAGCAAAAUGAUUCAUGGUUUAUGAUAGAGAUACAAAGAGCAGGAAAAGUGGGAUGUUUGGGCCUUUGUAGUUGUCUAACCUUUGUAUGUGGUUUGCUUUAUUAAUGUGUUCUUCCUUUAAUAUGUUUAAAUUGAGGUUUCCGCUUUCCUUUUGGUCCUAAGAUGGAUUUUUUCAUGUAAUCAAUUAUGCUCAUUUCCAAUUUCAUUAGAAACUUGUGUUCUACAAUUUGGCAAACGAAAAUAAUUAUUUUUGUAUAAUUUUGUUAGUUAAUAAAAAGUAGAAAAUAGAUAAUAUUAGUGUAGACCCCCAUUUUGGGGAGACAUCUCUACAGCCCGAUUAUGAAAAGUGUCAUCGUCUGGGAUGACCACGUGUCACUCCAGGACUGGUUGAUAAGGUAUCAAGUUAGUGGUUUUGAUGGUCAAUGGAAGCUUGACACGUGGAGAUUUCUUUCAGCAGAAAAAGCUGAAAACCGUUGAGGCUGGCAGCUGCAGGGUAGUGGGGGGCAGAGGCUCGGCCGUUAGAGGGUGAGAGAGAGGUAAGUUUUUGGGGAGUUGAGAGAGAUUCUUGGAGAAGCAAGCUGAGAGAACCAGAGUGCUGCCUGGAGAUUUUUGUCGGAGGAAAGAGGGAAAAAGAGAGAUUCUGGAGGAGCAAGCUGGAUAUUCAGAGGUGAGGGAGGCAGCUACAGGGAAGCUUAAGGGAGGAGAAAAUAGAGGUAUGACUGCCCUGUAUCCGGGGAUUUUCUUUAUCACACUAUAGUCUUAUUCCCUUUUUCUUGAUAUUUUCUGUGGAUUUGUUCGAUUAUACGUUCAGUUUUACGAUUCCUGUGUGGUCCAUGGAUUUUAUUAUGGCUAUUUCAUCUAUUUUCCUUGGGGUGAUUUGAGAAUGAUACUACUCUGUUUUAGUUUUUACUACGCAUCAUAUAGGAGUCUUAUUUUGUUCUUAUCUCCAUGGAACGUAUUCUAGAUCACUCACCUACAGCCAAGCCUGUUGAUCUAAACAUGAAACAUGGCUCUGGUUGUUUUAUUGGUUUCAUUGGUUUGUGCUCUGUUUUGUUUUGCCAUUCCCCUGUUCUUGGUAUCCUACCUUGUUGUACAUCAGGCUGUAUGUCCCUACCUGAGGGAUUCAGGUAAAGCUAUCGUAGAACUAAGCUUAUGAGGGUUAUGGAUGAAUAAAGCUCCUCCAGAUGGUUUGGGUUUGCGCAAAGAUCUCGGAUAGGAAAGAAGCAGGGUAAUGCUCAAGUUGUAUCUUGAGGAAAUACUACAGCCGUGGUUGAUCUGGAUCAGUUUGUCACUAAGGAUAUUAUACCGAUCAACGAGAAAGAAGUCGUGUUGCCAUUAACUCAAGAGUUUCCUAAUUUCUACAAUAAGGAGUACCUUGCCUUGCCUAGUGAACUAGAGCCAUUUUCAGAGAAAGCCUCCUUCAUGACUGCCAUUGACUAUGUCGUUUAUGAGAAGAGUGAUAUUUUCAUGCCAUCUCAUGCCGGAAAUCAUGUGCUCUGAGUUGUGAGUUUUAUUUCAUAUAUGAUUGAUUUUGGUUGACGAACCAGAUGCCAUUGCACCUUGCCGUGAGUGCACUCUUGCUGCUGUCUUCACCGAACUGCUCCAGUUUAGCUGACCUUGACCAUUCCGAAUGAAUAUUUGAGAAUGAUACAAGUAUUUGGAUGCCUUGUUCACUGCUGCAGGAGGAUCUCGGGUCUGGCUGAUACCAUCCGUGGCGCUAAGGAAGCUCAGAGGAGCAACAGUCGCGAGUUUCGUCUCCGGCGACGCCCACUGAAGAAGUCCAAUGUUUUUUUUCUCUUCAGAAUCACCCCGUCUGCACCACCGCUGCCGUCACCACCGCGAGCAUCAGUCGUCCAUCCACUCAUCGGACGAUCAGAAAUCUCAUGGCCUGGGACAGAGCCUCUCACCUCUGCUUGAGCGCACUCUAGUCUUUCAAACCAUCACUCCAAAGAUUGGCUGCNNNNNNNNNNNNNNNNNNNNNNNNNNNNNNNNNNNNNNNNNNNNNNNNNNNNNNNNNNNNNNNNNNNNNNNNNNNNNNNNNNNNNNNNNNNNNNNNNNNNGCUCUUUUGCUUGAACUAGAAAAUCUCUGCUCUGUAGGUUCCAAAAGUAUUUUAUUUAGCCAGUGGACUGCCUUUCUCGACCUCUUGCAGAUUCCCCUUUCUCGGAGUAACAUAUCAUUUGUUCGUCUGGAUGGAACUCUGAAUCAGCAGCAACGGGAAAAAGUGAUUAAACAAUUCUCAGAGGAAAGCCACAUCCUGGUCUUGCUAAUGUCAUUGAAGGCUGGUGGAGUUGGAAUAAACCUAAUGGCUGCGUCCCAUGCCUUUGUUUUGGAUCCAUGGUGGAAUCCAGCUGUAGAGGAACAAGCUGUUAUGCGCAUUCAUCGUAUUGGACAAACAAAAAGGGUAAUGAUCAAGCGGUUCAUUGCGAAGGGAACAAUACAGAGGAGUGCAUUGAUUGCUUCAAAGAUGCAAAGUAGAGCAACAUGAGAAAAUGCGCACUGCAUGGCCACCUUUCUGAGCCACGUGCCACCCCCCAAAAUUCUUUCCCUUUAGUUUCAAAAAUAAUUUCCUAACUCCGUUUUCAAAUGUUUUUCUAGCUUAUGUCAUUAUCAUUAUUAUUAUUAUUAUUAUUUUAUCUUUUUAUUUUUUUAAAGCGACUUCAAAUCAUCAAAUCUCUCAUCUUUAGAGUUUUAGGUAUCAAAAAUCCUAUUUUCAAUAAAAUUUGGCCGCCACUUUCUUUUUGGCGAGCCACCUUCGAAUUUUUCAUAAUUUUAAAAUAUUUUAAAAUAAACAUGAAUUUAAAUUCUGUAAUUCCGAGUGAUGGAAUUUACGGAAUUAAUUCAUGCAAAAAUAACGGGCUUUGGUGGGGGCCCUACAUAUGUGAUUUCAUGAUUGAUUUACUGAUUAGUUGAUUGGCUUUCCCGACAUGAUUGAUUUGCUCUGUUCUUGAUAUGCGCUUAAUUAUAUCUGUUCAUAAUUCACUAACCCUGUUCCAUGUUAGCGCGUUGCUGUUUGCUUCCCAGGUACGCAUCCGCUCAUAUUCUGGUUAUUUUCUAUACAUAUUCUGAUUCUCAUAUGUGCAUGAUUGAUUUGAGUAUUUAUUGAUUUCCUCAUCAUUGCCACACCAGCUUCAUUCUAUUAGUAGAGACCCGACAUUAGGGACUUAGAGGGAUGCUACGGUCCGUACCGUACCUUCCCGAUAAGUAACCUGACCCCUGAACCCGAUCCGGUUUUUCACAAACCGCCUUUUCCAAAAUAAGGAGUCACACUUAGGGUUUUUCUUUCUUAUUUUGUUUACCCUUUUAAAAAUAAAACAAAAAUAAGUGGCGACUCCAAGUCAUUUUUGAAUAAAUAAAAUUCAUUUUUCAAAUAAAAUAAAGAUCGAGCUCGUCAUCGAGUGGGAAACGCAUGAGCACGAAAUGCGGGGUCCACAAUUAGCCAUCAAAUAGAAAGAUAAAUAUGACAAUUAAUGUAUUUUCAAAUCAAAUUUGUACUUAGAUGGUUUUGCUUAUAUGAAGUAAUUUAAUGCAACUAUGAAGAUUUAUAUGUAGUAAACUUUAUAUAAUUUUAGAUUUAAUAAUCAAUUAAUUUUUAUUUGAAGAUAUAAAAACAUAAAAUAAAAGUCUUGUUUGAAAACUAUUAUUGAAAACAACAAGAAAAAUGGGGUUUUUUCACUUAGAAAUAUACAUUUGACAAACUUCUAAUAUAAAACAAUUUAUUUUUAGAAUUUAUUCUUAAAAUAAGUUAUUUUUUAGAACAAAAUUGAAAUGUUUUUAUUUUUUCACAACAAUUUAAAUAAAAAUUGAAGAUAUAGAUAAUAUAUAUUUUGGAAAAUUUUGUAUCAUAUUUAAGUGUACAAUUCCUUUGUAAAGAAUAAAUCGAAACGAAUAAUAGCUAUUUUCAAGAAUUUUGAAGAAUUAUUUUCACAAAUGUUGUGAAAUAAGCUCAAAACUUUCUACAACAUUUGUAUUAAUCUUGAAUUCGAUCAAAAUCUUGCCACAAUUGAAAAGAGAAAAAAAAUGUUAAUUAGUUGGUUAAUUUUUACAAUCCUAAUAAUAAUAAUAAUAAUAAUUCAAAAGUUUUAAAAUAAAAAUCUCACUAGCUAAAAUAAAUAUUAACUAUCAAAAUAAAAGAUUAUAUAAUAUUUUUCUAUUUUUGACUCUAUAAUCAAGAAUGUUCUUAUAAUUUCUUUUACAAUAACAAUAACAUACUAAAGUAGAAAGAGAUUAAAAUGGGAAAAAAAAUUAUUAACAAUAAAAUUCAUAAAAAGAAAUGAAAAUUAAGAAGAUUUCAAUCCACUUCAAAUGUAUUUCAAUGAAAUAGUAUUACAUUUAAAUUAUUGAAGGUCAUACCAAUUUAUUUUCUUCCUUUUUUAAUACUUAAUUUUGUUAUCAAUCAAUGAAAAUUUUAUUAAUCAAGGAAAAUGAGAAAAUAAAAUAUUUUUCUUGAAAGGUGAUGAAUUUGUUAAGAAAGGAAAACAAAAGGUCUUUUAUGGGAUACUUUAUUAAAUUAAGUUAAUAACUUAAUUUAAAUCAUUAAAUAAAUUAAGUAUGUUUAGUAAAAUAACAUAAUUGAUUUAAAUCAUUAAUAAUGUUUAUAUGAAAGCUUCUGGUAGCAUAACUUAAAGAAUGAAAGAAAUAUUUAAGUUAUGCAUACUUUCUAGAAAAUAUCAAGGAAAGAAAAAUAUUUUAAAAAAUAAUUUUUUUUAUAUUUGGGUUUAUCAUAAAAAGUAAGAAAGAAAAUCGGAUAUAGUUAAAGUUAAUUAGAGAUUAAUUUAUGCUUUUUAAAAUUAUUUAAUCUUUACACAAAAAUAUUAAAGUGUAAUGAAUUUGAAAUAACACAAAAUAAUUUAUUAACUUGAAAUCUAUUUUUUAUUUUUCUUUAUUUUUUCUUUCUUUCUAAUUUUCUCUUUGUUUUCUUUUUCUCUAACUCCCUCAAAUUUUCUAGAAACCAAAUAUAGUCUUAACAUGUGUUGGACAAUAAACUUGUUAUUUUAUGAACUUCAAAUAUUCAAAUUUCACGGAGAAGGAAUCUAAUAUCUAUCUCAAUUUAUAUGCAUCCCAUUUUUACCACUAGCAAACCUUAAUCACAACUUUGUUUAAUAAUGAAAGAACUUGUACAAGUAAAAAUAGAAUUUCUAUAAGAUGCAAAAAAAAUUUGGCUUCCACAUCUACUCAAAUAAGCAUAGAACUUUUUCUUCAACUUUUAAGUUUUUGACUUCUCAAAAAUCAAUUUAAAUUGGAUUGAUAAAUUAUAAAAGGUUACAAUAUAAUAUUACAAUGUAUAAAUAUUAUUUUUUCUACUAGAUUUUCCAUGAAAUUAUUUAUUUAUUGAAAUUGAAAUGUCCUUUGGUAUUUGUUUGUACCUAUAAAAAUUAAAGAAUUAUUUUAAAUCUUAGGUAUGGUGAUGCUUAAGUAUUUAAUAAUUUUAAUUAGAUAAUUACAUUUUACAUAUAAAAUAAUUAAUUACAUUUUUGUAGACCCUCGUUUUGAGGUCUUUGGUUUUAUUUUGAGAGCCUUUUUUGGGUGGGGCCACUUUGGAGGAUUUUUGGGCAGCACCACUUUUGAAAAAAAAAAACCGGGCAGCAGCUGGUUGUUUUUUGGGGGGAAAAAUAGAUACUUUUAGGAUAGGAGCAGCUGGGAGAUUUGAGAAAAAAAGAAGAGAAAACAGGGGCAAAAAGAAGAGAGGUUUUUUUUUGGGGGGAAAAGAAAAUCUGGAGAGAAAAACGGGCAGCCAGCAAGGGAAGUUUUUUUGGAGAAAAAAAAAAUCUGGAGAGUUGAACUGAAAACGGGCAGCAGCUGGGUGAUAUUUUGGAAGCGGAUUAGUUCAUGUUGGAAGGAGCAUUUCUGGAGGAAUCAAUCUCCGGAAGCAUUUGCCUCCAACAAAGAUCUGGUUUGUUUUUCUUCAUUUAAUCUUUUAGGGUUUUGAUAUCUUUGAGUAUCAGAGAAAUGUACUGAACAUAUGAAAACAUUUGUACUGCCUAGUUCUUAUUCGUGCUUUGCAUAGUGGUGAUUUUUCAUGAUAUUGAUGUUGGGUUUUUAUCUUGUUUCUCCAUGAAUGGUUUGGUUUGGAUUUGCUGAAUGAAAUAUUACCCUUCAGUGCAUUUACAGUGGCCACGUGUCAUUUUUUUAUUUUAUUUUUAUUAUUUUAUUAUUUUAAUGUUAAAAGUUUUGUUUAUUUGAUUAUUUUAUUUAUUCUUUUUCACGUAUAUAUUCUCCAAUAACUCUUUAAAAUUUCCUAAAAUUUCAAAGUUCCAAAUUUAUUUAUUUAUUUAUUUAUUUUAAAAAUACCAUUCUCGAAAUAGUUUUCUAAAAUUUGAUUUUAAAUUUAGUUUUCAAAACUUUAAUUCUCGACAUUCACUCUUCCAAAACUCUAUUUUUUAAAAUUUAAUCCUUUAAAAUUCAAUUCUCGAAAUAAUUUUCUAAAAUUCUAAUUUUAAAUUUAAUUUCCCAAGAUUCAAAUUUUUAAAAUUUAAUUUUCCGAAAAUUCCACAACCCCAAAUUUAAUUUUUAUUUUUAUUUUUUACUUUUUUUAUUUUAUUUUAUUUUUUUCUAUUUUUUUUAUGCCACCUUCAAAUAAAUUAUUGAAACUCCAAUUCCUUUUUAUUCAUUUACUUAUUAAUUUUUAAAAUUCCAUCUUUUAGAUAAUUCUUCAAAAUUCCGAUUUCCGAAUUUAAUUCUCAAUUUCUGAAAUUCCAAUUUUCUAAUUUCCGAAUGUAAUUUCUAAUUUUUAAAAUUCCAAAUUCUCAAAUAAUUUUCAAAGUUUCAAUUUCUUUCAAAUUUAAUUUCCGAAAUUCCAAUUUUUAAAUUUAAUUUGCGAAUCUCCAAUUCUCGAUUAAUUUUCGAAAUUCCAAUUCCUUUCAAAUUUAAUUCCCAAAAUUCCAUUUCUUAAAUUUAACUCCCAAGACUUCAAUUUUCAAAUAAUUUUCGAGACUCCAACUUUCAAAUAAACUUCAAAAAUUCAGUUUUCACCCGAACAAUUUUAAUUCUACUUUGAUUUUCAAAUAAUCUUCUUCUUCUCUUGAUUUUACAUAAGCACGAAUGCAAUUUUCAUAAUUCCUGAAUAAUGGAAUUUGUGAGACUAAUUCGUGCAAGAUAGAUCGAGCUUUGGUGAGGGCCCCACAUACGUGAUUUUAUGAUCGAUUAAUUGAUUGGUUGAUUGGAUUGUCAUGCGGAAUUGAUUUAUGCUAUUCUAUAAUAUGCACAUGAUUAUUCUAUGUUGGUUCACUAACCUUGGCUUCCCAUGAGACAAAUCUGUUCUUCACUUAGGUACGUUAUUUGUCUCUCCUAUUCAUUCAGUUAUUCUGUUUUGAAUUAUAUUUAUUGGUAUCCAUGCUUGAUUAAUCAAUUGCCAUGAUUACUUCAUUUUAUUAGUAGAGACCCAUUUUAGGGGCUUAGAGGGGUGCUACGGUCUUUACCGUACCUUCCCGAUAAGUAACCUGACUCCCGAACCCGAUCCAGUUUUUCACAGACCAUCUUUUCCGAAAUAAGGAGUCACACUUAGAGUUUUUCUUUUUUAUUUUGUUUACCCUUUAAAAAUAAAACAAAAAUAAGUGGCGACUCCAAGUCAAUUUUUUUUCGACCAAUUAAAUCAUUUUUCAAGUAAAAAUCGAGCUCACCAUUCGAGUGGGAAACGCAUGAACCAAAAUGCGGGGUUCACAAUUUUAUAUUAUAUUAUUUAAUUAAUGAUAUUUAAAUUUUAAUUAGUUUUUAAUAAUUUAAUUAAUAGUUAAAUAAUUAGAUUUAUUUAUGUUUAAAUCUAAUUAACAAUAAGUUCAAUGCAACAAGAAAAAAAAUAGCUUAUCGUUAUUAUUUUGAAGUGGAUUUUGAUUUUAAAUUUUACUAGUAGAUUUGCUUGACUAACCUUAUAAAUUAGUAGAAUUUAACAAGUUACAAAUAGUUCCCCCACCUAAUCUUUUAAAUUAAUCUUGAUGUUGACAACCAUAAUUAUAAAAAGACAAAUAAGUUGAGUUAAUUUACUAGAUUGCAAGUGGGUGCCCUUACCUAAUCUUUUAAAUUAAUCUUUAUGUUCACAAGCACUUUGCCAACCAUAAUUAUAAAGGACAGAUAAGUCAAGCUGAUUUUACUAAAUUGAGAUUAAUAAAUUGCAAGUGGGUGCCCUUUACCUAAUCUUUUAAUUUAAUCUUCAUAUUGAUAAGAACCAAAUCGGCCAUAAUUAUAAAAACAAGAAGACGACAAACUAUGAUUACUUUUAUUAACUAAAAUUUAAUAAAUCACAAAUUCUCUUACCAAACCUUUAGAUUAAUCUUGAUAACUUUGCAAUAGUAAUUAUAAAAAGAGGAAGAUGACAAACUAAUUUAAUUGCUAAUUUUAUUAACUUAGGUUUAAUAAAUUAAAAGUAGGUUGAUCUCUUACCUAUCCCUUUUAAAUUUAAUCUUGAGAUCAAUAAGAAUCAUACAGACCAUAAUCAUAAGAAUAGCCAAAACAAAAGUCGAUUUGAUAUUUAAUUAGUUAAUUUUAUUAACUAUAAGAUAUAAAAAAAAUUGUUAAGAGGUGUCUUAAAUUCUAAAUUAGAAUAUACGAUUUUUUGGUGAAAAGAAUAUUACAUAGAAUAUUUCCAAAGUUUAUAUGUGAUUGUAAUUAAAUUCAAGCUAGUACAAAUAUAUUUAUAAAUAUUUUAGGACAUGAAGAGAAAAAAUUAUGGAAGAUAUGAAAAAGAGGUGUGAUCAAGAGCGAGAGACAUUGGUAGAACAAGAGGGUUCACUAGGGAAGGGUGUAGAUGUGAAGAAGAAUGAGAAACACUUAGUGGAGCAAAAUGAUUCAUGGUUUAUGAUAGAGAUACAAAGAGCUAGAAAAGUGAGAUGUCUAGGCCUUGGUAGUUGUCUAACCUUUAUAUGUGGUUUGCUUUAUUCAUGUGUUCUUCCUUUAAUCUUUUUAAAUUGAGGUUUCCAUUUUUCUUUUGUUCCUAAGAUGGAUUUUCUCAUGUAAUCAAUUAUGCCCGUUUCCAAUUUCAUUAGAAACUUGUGUUCUACAAUUUGGGAAAUGAAAAUAAUUAUUUUUGUAUAAUUUUGUUAGUUAAUAAAAAGUAUAAUAUAGAUAAUAUUAGCCAUCAACUAUAAAGAUAAAUAUGACAAUUAAUGUGUUUUCACAUCAUAUUUGUACUUAGAUGGUUUUGCUUGUAUGCAGUAAUUUAAUGCAACUAUGAAGAUUUAUAUGAAAUAAGCUUUAUAUAAUUUUAGAUUUAAUAAUCGAUUAAUUUUUAUUUGAAGAUACAAAAACAUAAAAUAAAAGUCUUGUUCGAAAACUAUUAUUGAAAACAACAUGAAAAAUGGGGUUUCUUCACUUAGAAAUAUACAUUUGACAAACUUAUGAUAUAAAACAAUUUAUUUUUAGAAUUUAUUCUUAAAAUAAGUUAUUUUUCAUAACAAAAUUAAAAUUUUUAAAAUUUUUUCACAAUAAUUUAAAUAAAAAUUGAAGAUAUAGAUAAUAUAUAUUUUGGAAAAUUUUGUAUUGUAUUUAAGUGUACAAUUCCUUUGUAAAGAAUAAAUCGAAACGGGUAAUAACUAUUUUCAAAAAUUGUUUUGAAGAAUUAUUUUUUGAGAAUUAUUUUCACAAAUGUUAUCAAAUAAGCUCAAAACUUUCUACAUCAUUUAUAUUAGUCUUGAGUUCAAUCAAAAUCUUGCCACAAUUGAAAAGAGAAAAAAAAAAAGUUAAGUAGUUGGUUAAUUUUUACAAUCCUAAAAAAAAAAAAUAAUAAUAAUAAUAAUAAUAAUUAAAAAAAUUUUAAAUAAUAAUCUCACUAGCUAAAAUAAAAAUUCACUAUCAAAAUAAAAUAUUAUCUAUUAUUUUUCUAUUUUUGACUUAUAAUCAAGAAUGUUCAUAUAAUUUCUUUUACAAUAACAUACUAAAGUAGAAAGAUAUUAAAAUGGAAAAAGAAAAUGAUUAACAAUAAAAUUCAUGAAAAGAAAUGAAAAUUAAGAAGAUUUUAAUCCACUUGAAAUUUAUUUCAAUGAAAUAGUAUUGCUUUUAAAUUGUUUAAGGUUGUGAAAUCAAGGUUUGGUUAAUCUCGGUUUUGAUGAUAACAAAACAAGGUUUAGAACUAAUGACUAUAUUUCAAGUGUGAUUAGGCAAGACGAUUUCUAAAGUGGCAAUCACAAAGACAAUUCAAGCUAAAGAGAAAUCAUGAAGAAGAAGACCACCUCAAAGAGAAGAAUUUUUUCAAGACCAAAGCUUCAUAAGAUCUCUUUGUAAGGUUGUUGGUGCACUAGGAUUUUCAUGCAUUAUUUUCUUUACUUAUGCACCUAAAUCAUCCAAGAGUUAUUUUGUUUUAAAUAUUUUUAAAAUUGGAUGAUUUCAUGUUUUCAACUAAAACCUUGUGUCAAAUGUUGUUUCAAACUUGUUUAAAAGGUUUUAAAGUUGAAAAAAUUGGUUUUUGAGCCAAAAACGGCUCAAUCGACUAAAUCGGGUUAACCGGAUGAACAGUAACCGAUCGACCCCUAGCUCAACCGGUUGAGGUAUGAACAAUACCGGUUGACCCAUGAACAGUCUCGGUUGACCGGUACAAAAAUUUUCUCUCUCUUCCAGAAUGCUUGUUCAACCGGUCAAGGUUGAACCUCAACCGGUUGAGGUCCAGUUGAGGCCCAACGGUCACCUGCCAACAUUAAAUGCUAACGACUAGUCAACCAGUCGACCCCUAGCUCGACCGGUCGAACCUCCAACGGCUAGUUUAGUUUUUUUCUUCUAUAAAAAUGCUCUAAUCUUCAUUGUUUCAUAAGCUUAACCUUCUCAAAUUAUUCUUGAUUAUAUUUGAGUCUUGGAAGAGUAUUUUUUAGUGCACUAUUAUUCCAAAACUUGCAUAUCUUUAGUGCACCAUUCAAUCCUAGUUUUUCUUGUAUCAUUUGAGCUUAAAAGUUUUGUACUAGGAUUUUGUGAGAUAUUUAUUUGUAAACCUUUGAGAGGAAGUUUCUCAAGCGUGUGAUAUCACUUGAAGGGUUGUUCAAGAGUGGGAUAUCACUUGAGAAGUGUAAAGGGUGCUUGGAGCCAAAAGUCCAAGAGGGUGAAUUGGAACCAUAAUCCAAUUGUAUAGCUUGAAGGCUUGGUUUGGAAGCCUUGAAUUAGUGGAACCUCAAGCUCGGGAUUGAAGCUAGAGGAGAGUGGAUGUAAGUCGGGUUGCGUUGAACCACUAUAAAUCUUGUGUUUGCAUUCUCUCUUCUCUACUCUUUUAAAUUAUAUGCAAUUGUCAUUCUAUUGUUUAUUAUAUACUUGCAUAUAAUUGUUUCUUACUUUCACUUAGUUUAAAUUUGCAAAAAGAUACCAUCACCCUAUUCACACCCCCCCCCCCCCCCCCCUUUGGGGGAUUACCAUAGGGUGGAUUAACCCAAAUUUCCUAAAAAAAGGCAUACCAAAGGAUUUUCUUUCUUUUUUAAAACUUAAUUUUUUUAUCAAAAAAUGAAAAUUUUUCUAAUCAAGGGAAAUGAGAAAAAAAAAAAUUUUUUUUGAAAAUUUAUGAAUUUUUUAAAAAAAGAAAAAAAAAAGGCUUUUUUGGGAAACUUUUUUAAAUUUAAAUAAUAAACUAAUUUUAAAUUUUAAAAAAAAUAAAGAUGUUUAAAAAAAAAACAAAAAGGGAUGAUUUAAAAAAUAAAAAAAACUUUUAAAAAAAAAAAAAAAAAAAUAAAUUAUUCUUAAANNNNNNNNNNNNNNNNNNNNNNNNNNNNNNNNNNNNNNNNNNNNNNNNNNNNNNNNNNNNNNNNNNNNNNNNNNNNNNNNNNNNNNNNNNNNNNNNNNNNGUAGAAAGUUUUGAGCUUAUUUUGAUAACAUUUGUGAAAAUAAUUCUCAAAAAAUAAUUCUUCAAAACAAUUUUUGAAAAUAGUUAUUACCCGUUUCGAUUUAUUCUUUACAAAGGAAUUGUACACUUAAAUACAAUACAAAAUUUUCCAAAAUAUAUAUUAUCUAUAUCUUCAAUUUUUAUUUAAAUUAUUGUGAAAAAAUUUUAAAAAUUUUAAUUUUGUUAUGAAAAAUAACUUAUUUUAAGAAUAAAUUCUAAAAAUAAAUUGUUUUAUAUCAUAAGUUUGUCAAAUGUAUAUUUCUAAGUGAAGAAACCCCAUUUUUCAUGUUGUUUUCAAUAAUAGUUUUCGAACAAGACUUUUAUUUUAUGUUUUUGUAUCUUCAAAUAAAAAUUAAUCGAUUAUUAAAUCUAAAAUUAUAUAAAGCUUAUUUCAUAUAAAUCUUCAUAGUUGCAUUAAAUUACUGCAUACAAGCAAAACCAUCUAAGUACAAAUCCCCCCCCCCCCCCCCCUUUAGGGUGAUUACCAUAGGUUGGAUUAGCCUAAAUUUCCUAACAAAGGUCAUACCAAUGUAUUUUCUUUCUUUUUUAAUACUUAAUUUUGUUAUCAAACAAUGAAAAUUUUACUAAUCAAGGAAAAUGAGAAAAGAAAAUAUUUUUCUUGAAAGUUGAUGAAUUUGUUAAGAAAGGAAAACAAAAGGUCUUUUAUGGGAUACUUUAUUAAAUUAAAUUAAUAACUUAAUUUAAAUUAUUAAAUAAAUUAAGUAUGUUUAAUAAAAUAACAUAAUGGUAUGAUUUAAAAUAUAAAAAAAACUUUAAAUAAUAAAUAAAAAUAAUUAACUUAUUCUUAAAUUCAUAUUUUUAUUUUACCUUUUUAUCCCAAUUUGCCAUAAUUACCUUCACAAUCUCCUUUACUAUUCCACGACCUUUAUUUUUACACGACCUCAUUUACCCUAAUUAUAAUUUAUGAGGAUAAAUAUGUCAAUUUGAUCAUUUAGAAUUAAUCAUAAGUUAUUUUUAUCACACAAUCUUAAUACUUAAAAUAAGAAUUAAACAAUAAGUUUUAAGUUAACAAUUUAAGUUUAAUUUAACUAAAAGCCAACUUAAAUCAUUAAGUAAUUAGUAUUAAGUUUUAUCAAACACUUCCAUAUAAUUAGUUAAUUUUGAUUAAUCUAAUAAUAUAGAAAGUGAAAUAUACACAUUUUUUUAUUGGUAAGGUUGGUCUUGAACUUCUUUCACCAAAUCAUUUUUAUUAAUCUUAACAUCAUCAUUAGUUAAUUAUAUUUAAAGAAAAGAAAACCAAAAAAAAAAGUCAAUUUGGGUGACCAAUUUUUAUUGAAAAUUAAAACCAAACAAAAGUUGAUCAAUACAAAAGAAAAAAAAAUGAAUGGUAUGAAGUAGACAUUUUGUCUUUAUGAGAUUAUUGAUGGAAGUGUAAUAGACUAUAAACAAGUCUAUGAGAAUCAAUUCUAAUGAGUCCUAAAACAUAUCUAUAAGAAAUAAAAUAAAACCAUGAUAUAAAGAAAUGAUAUUUAAGUGUUUAUAAAUAGGAAUCGGAUACAUAUAAAUAAAAUUUAGAUUAAUUAUAAAUGAAACUAUUUUUAUUAUGUGGUUGUUUUUAAUGUACCACCAAUUUUUAUUUUUAUUUAUUUUUAUUUAUUUUUAUUUUUUUAUAUUCCAUAGAAAAAUUAAUUUCCAAUACCAUAGAAUCACCCUAAUUUCAAAUUGAGAUUUACUAUCUUAAAUUUUAAAUUUUUAAAAAAAUAAUUUUUAAGAGCAUGAACCAAAUCUAUAUUUUUUGUUAAGAAUUUCUAUUCUUUAUAUAGAAGUUUUUAUCAAUUUUUAUUUUUAAAAACAAAAAAUAAGUACUUAGAGUGCGUUUGACAAUAAUUUUAAGAAGUGUUUCUAAUAUUUUAAAUACUUGAAAAAUAAAUUUUUUUAUAUAUUGAAACAAUUGCAAAAUGCACUUUUAGUAUGUAAUGAUAUUAAUUUCUUCGAAGAGAGAGAUUUACAUUUUAGAUAAAAAUAAAUAAAUAAAACAAUACAAGGAUAAAAAAUUAUUUAAAAAAAAACUUUUAACUUCGUGUACUUUAUUAUUACACACUUUUUUCAUUAGAUGCUUUAAAUAAUUUUUUUGAAAUAAAAUUAUAAUUAUAUUGAUGGAGGGCUAAUUAACUUGGCUUUAGGUGAGAAAGAUAGAGAUAAGAUUGAAGUGGGUCCACAUCUAAAACAAAAAUGAAAUAAAAAGUAAAGAUGAAGAUAAGGUUGAGGUGGGUUCACAACUAAAAAAAGAAUGAAAUAAAAAGUAUGAGAUGAAUUGACCAAAGCUUAUGCCUUCUUCCAAAUAGUAAAAGCAAAGCCCAAUAGUAUAAAGUGAUGACACUAGUCCUAUUCAAGGCUCCACUUGCAUAAUUGCUACAUCUUUUGACUUGAUUUUAGUUCAAUUUCACUAAAAUGAAAUCAUUUAUUUGAGCCCAAAAAUUCAAAUCCAAAUCCAACCCACUUAUUUAUAUACAUUAUUGGCAUGGAAUGAGAAAAGUUAUAAAGUGAGAAAAUUUGAUCAUAUGAUAAAUAGUAAUUUUUCAAAGUUGGAGCCAAUCCAAUGCCCAAUGGGUAUAAAAGAAAAAUGAAAGAUGUGGAAAUUAUAGUGGAAUCUUGAAACAAAUUUUUGAGGUUUGAGGUGAUGUGACAACCGUUUCCAAGUAAUUGCCUAAGAAUGUGAGAUGUUAUUGCAUUGAAAAUUGAUAUUAAAUCUCAUUGGGUAACUAUAAGAAUUGCUUUACAUAAAGGCAAGUAAUAAAUAUAUCCUGCCUUUUCAAAAAGUUUAUGACCCUAACUAAGUGAAUAAAAUGGUGAAUAAAACUUUUAGAGUAGGAUGAAUGCAUUUCACGCGAGUCACGUCCUAAAUAUAUUUUUAGAAUUUUCUAGCAGGAUGUCGAGGAAAACUCUAUGAUGAGUGCUCUCUUUCUAGUUAAGGUAGGUCCAAUUUGGUGCAAUUUGCCAACAUAAUUCAAACCCAACAUAUGUUUUAGGGAUUUGAAUAGAGUAAAAUCAUAUUUAAAUUAAAUUAAUCAUAUGAAUCUACAUAACCUGUUUAAUAAAUAGAUUAUUUUUAGGUCUAUUUGGAUAACUCACAUUUGACUCAAAUUAACUUAUUUAAUAAUGGUAUUGAUUAACCUAAUAAUAACUUUAACUUAUUGAACUCAUAUUUGACUCAUGUAAAAUUUGUUUUUCAAUAAGUAUGUCAUAAUUGGGUCAUAAACAUGUCAUAUUAGAAUAUUAACCAUAUUAUUUCAUUCAACAUUUAACUUGACUUGAUUAUGAAAUAACAUCUUAUUAUUAAAUCAGUUAAACCGGUUAUAAUGUAUCACCUAGAUAAUAAUUAUAUUGUGUUUGAGUUUAUGUUUUAAAUUUUGAUUAUUAUUCAUGUCAUGUUUAGGUUGAGUUAUUUAGCGGAGGAUCUAACCUUUGAUAUAACACAAACACAACCCACUAACAUAAAUUGUCAUUCUCACUUCUACUAAUAAGUGAUUUGUUUAUUACAAUUAAGAAAAUUGAGAAGAUAUAAUUGUUUUAAAAAUCUUAAAUGCAUGAUUAAAAUUAAUUAUAACUUUUAAAAGUUUUAUAAUUCAUAUUCCAUCCAAACUAACAAAAUAUUAGAAAUCUUCAAUGGUUUUGUCUACAAUAAAUGUGUUGUGCUAAAUUAUCAACUUCUCUACUAACCAAAACAUGUUUUUUCUCAAUCAAAUAUCAACAUGUUUAAGCAGCCGGUGAGGCAUCUCUUGACAAUGAGGUGAAAGGUAGAAACAAGAAACAUACCUAUAUUCAAGAGAAGUGUUGCUUCUUCAUUUGCAUUAGACAACAUUCAUUUAGUCUAAACUUGAAGGUGGAUUGCUAGAAUCUGAGCUCUUGGAAAGACAUAAGAGAAGUACAUUUAGAAAUCUGAAAGAAGCCUAGAGACUUGUUGCUACUUAUGAAUCACUGUAAUCAGAAACAAUUCCAGAUAAUCCUGCAAUUUUGGACCUUUGAUUUGCUCUGUUCCAUUUUGCCAAGGACAGUUCUAAAAUUUUUCCUUUAUUGAGCUGUAAUGAUUUUUUUAUUAGGAUUUAAUUGUAUUCAUUAGGUUUGCAAAUCACAAAAAUGGUGUCGUGCGUAUGUAUAUUUUCCUCUUUGAUCAUGUAAAGUUGGGAAGCAAUUAUGGAAUACUAUGAUAGCACAAUAUAUUGAUCCACAGUUUGUGGCAUGACAGUUUAAUGAAAUUACAGAAGUGUAGCACUCAUGGGUAUGUCAUGUGAACCUUUUUCAAUGGAGAUACUUGUUUAAAUUUACAUGGGUGAAUUGUCACACCAAUAUCCUCUAAUGAACCUUGGGUUCUUUUUUCUGUUUCUUCAUCUCUUGGUCAAGACAAACAAUUUAUCUUCAUAAGGACUUUGUGUUACCAAUAAGCAGCAUCUUGUGUUCUCCUUCUCUUCAUCCCCUUGUCAAGACACAGCAAUCUGAUGCAUCUUUGCAUUGGGUUACUUCCUCUCCUCUCCCUUUCCUUCCUCCUUGAGGUAAAAUCGCAUCAUUGCUUAGUUUUGACUAUGUUUCUUUUGAUCAUUGUGAGAGAGCAUCAUUGUAAGAUGCACAAGAAACGUGUUGUGGUGCAUUAUCCCUUCCUCUACCACCUAAAAUCUAUUUUACACGAUCAUAAGAACCAAGGUGUUUUAAACAUCAGGUAAGGCAUUUGUUGAUAAUGAUGUGAGAGAUAGAGACAAGCAACAUACCAGUAUUCAAGAUGUGAUGUUCUUUUGCAUUUGACAACAUUCAUUUAGUUUGAACUCCACAUUUGGGCAACUCAGAAUCUCCACCUUCAUUAGGAUUGCAGGAAGUUGACUUCUUGGGAAGACAUGGAAAGAGAGCAUCUAGAAAUUUGAAAGAAUUAUAGAGGUUUAUUGCUACUUUUGAAUAAUUCCAAUUAAUAACAACUCCAAAAGAUAUAUACAAAUGUGUCCCUAGGAAAGAGAUGUGUCGUAUGCAUAUGCAACCAUCUCUCUAAUAGACUUAGGGUUAUGCACCCUCAUGGUAGUUUCUUAUAUAUUGCACCAUAUGAAUUGUAGAUAUCCAACUACCAAUAUCACUACACCUGAAUGAACUCGGAGCUAUGCUGAAAGUGAAGUUGACAACCCAUCAUCGAAAGAAUCUUGUAGGAAUACACCAAAAUGAAAAUCUUAUUAACAUAAAUGAAUUCAUCCAGUUAAAGGAUAAAGUUGCCUGAAAAAUUGAAUUGGGAGAGACAAAAAUAUUAAUGCUUUCAUAGGACUAUGGAAAUGACCAACAAGUGGAACAAACAUUGAAUAGUAAAUGUAAAGCCAUAAAGCUUGUAACUACUGUCAAAAGCUGCUCCCUAGUGAAGUUUUUUCACAAUAAAGGUAAGGGCAAAAUUCACCUAAUAGCUCCACUUAUAGAAAAUUUCAAUGGUGUGAAACUAGGAUAUGAUGAACUCGCUUCCGCUAUUGCAGUGAACCAUUAUGGAUCAAAAAUGAAUCUCACCAUCGGUUUUCACAUGGGAGAUGUGGGCUAUCUUUGGCCCAUAUCUCAAUAUUGGAUUUAGGAGUUCUGUCUCUCAUAUAUGGUUCCACUUGCAAAAUACAAAUGGAGCUUAGCUGAUGACAACAUAUUUAGAAAAAUGCAAGAAUUCCAUAGACAUUUUUUGUGCUAUCAUAAAUCAUUCCAAUCAAUAAGAAAUCAAAGUGCUAUAAUUUUGAAUUGUCUUAGGGAACAAACCCCAAUUCAAUCUUGUGGAAGUAAACUAUCUUGAGUACCAACUCAAUUCUGAGUUCUUUAGGAGACUUGAGACACCAAUUCAAUCAAAGAUGCUAGUUGUUUCUGAGGUAGAUUGUCUUCCUCCAUUGAUACUAGGGAAAAUGCUUUUGAAAACCAUUCAUCUGCAAAUUACAAAGGGGGAUGAGAUUAUGUGAUUUAGGAAGAGAAUUAAGCUUUGAAAUAUUGCCAAUAUGCAACCAACAAUUUCUAAUUCUAUCAUUUCUAUUUUAGCAUGUGAUUUGGGAAAAGGAUUAAGCUUCAAAAUAUUUCCAAUAUGCAAGGAAUUGAGAGAGGCCAAGUGGGCAACCACCAUAGCUAGUUCACAAACAAAUGACAGCAUUGGAAGUGGAACACAACACAUAAACUUCAAAAACAAAACAUGUUUGCCACAAUCAUAAAUACCAAGGUGUUUAAGCAUGAGGUAAGGCAUCUCUUGACAAUGAUGUGAGAGAGAGACAAACAACAUACCAGUAUUCAAGAGAAGUAGUAUUCUUCUUUUGCAUUUGAUAACAUUCAUCUAUUCUGCAUCCCAAAUUUUAGCAACUUAGGAUCUCCACUUUCAUUAGGAUUGCAGGAAGCUGGCCUCUUGGAAACACAUGAGAGGAUAUUUAGAAAUCUAAAAGAAUUCCAAAGACUUGCUAUUGCUUGAAUUGUGAAUCAUUCCAAUCAUAAAUACCAAGGUGUUUCAAGAUCAGGUAAGACAUUUCUUAGCAAUGAUGUGAGAGAUAGAGACAAGCAACAUACCAGCAUUUAAGAGAAGUAGUAUUCUUCUUUUGCAUUUGACAACAUUCAUCUACUCUACACCCCAAAUUUUAGCAACUCAGGAUCUCCACCUUCAUUAGGAUUGCAGGAAGUUGGCCUUUUGGAAACACGUGAGAGGACAUUUAGAAAUCUAAAAGAAUUCCAGAGACUUGUUGUUGCUUGAAUUGUGAAUCAUUCCAAUCAUAAAUACCAAGGUGUUUCAGGAUCAAGUAAGGCAUCUAUUAGCAAUGAUGUGAGAGAUAGAGACAAGCGCCAUACCAGUAUUUAAGAGAAGUAGUAUUCUUCUUUUGCAUUCGACAACAUUCAUCUACUCUACACCCCAAAUUUUAGCAAUUCGGGAUCUCCACCUUCAUUAGGAUUGCAGGAAGUUGGCCUCUUGGAGACACGUGAGAGGACAUUUAGAGAUUUGAAAUAAUUCCAAAGACUUGUUGUUGCUUGAAUUGUGAAUCAUUCCAAUCAGUAACAACCCCAAAGCCCUAUAUACAAUUUUGAACCAUCAACCUUCUUACAUUGAAUGAAAAACCUGUCCCUAGGAAAAAGGUGUCUUGGCCAUACAACCAUCAAUUAUUAGCUCUCGAGGAGGCUUAAAGUUGUGCACCUUCUUGGUAGCUUCUAAUUCGUUACAUCAUAUAACUUCCAGAUAUCUAAUUGACACGUCACUACACCUGAAUGAAGUAGAAAACAUGGUGAAUAGGAAGUUAGACAACCUUUCACAAAAAGAAUCCUGCAAUAAUACACCAAGCAAAACUUCUUGUUAACAUAAAUGAAUUCACUCAAUUAAAUUAUUGUGUUAAAAUUUAAAUUGGGAGAAAUAAAAAUACAAAUGCUUACAUGGGACUAUUGGAUAACCAACAAGAAGAACAUACUUUGAAUAGAAAAUGUGAAGCCAUAAAGCUUGUAAUUGUUGUUAGAUGUUGCUUCCUAGUAAGGUUUUCAACAAAAAGGUUCAGUGUAGGGAUUCUCUAGUAGUUGAAUUGGUAGAAAAUUUUAACAGUAUGACAAUUUAUACUUGUAACAAGAAGAUAAAAUGUAAGAAUUAUGUGUUGGGAAUAGAUGAAACUUGCUAAAUAUAUGGAUAGGAUAGGGUGAACCCUCUCUACUUCCAUUUUUGGAAUCCAAACUAUUAUGGAUCAAAGUUGGAUUUCUCCAUAUAUUAAAUACAAUUGGAGCUUAGGUGAGGUCUUGGUGAUGUAGGAAAUUCAUGGAUUCUGGAAUCUUUACAUGAAAAUAUACAUGAAUGAUACAUUGGAAGAAAGGGCAGGCCUUGGUCAUCUGAGAAGAAACAAAUCUUAAAUAUACUAUUAAUCUUGAGUUGUUUGAGAGUGAUGAGUCUGUGAAGGCCUCCCUCAGAUAAGGGAUGUCUUUGACAUUUCUCCUUCUUCAAUCUCAAGAAGGUACACCAUCAACUAGAACAUUAGGAAUGUGAGUCAUCAUGGACAACUUGUUUAAGUUUUUUAUUCUUUUUUCACUGAAGGGGAUUAAAAGAUAUGUAGUUGUAAGGACAAGAGAUGUAGCCAGUAGUGAGAGCAUCAAACAAAUCCUUCUCUAAUGCAGACCUCAAAUUUUAGCAACUCGUGAUCUCCACAAUUUAGAGCAUUGAAGGAAGUUGCCAUGUUGGAAAGAUGUGACAUGGCAUUUAGAAAUAUGCAGGAAUUCCAGAGUUCAUUCCAAUCAUUAAGGAAUCCAAAGCCCUAUAAUUUAAAUAGGGCAUCCCCUUGGCAUGGAUAACACACCUAUCUUGGGAAAAAGACUGGGCAUCAAUUCAAUGAUCAACUCUCUAUGAAACUUGAGAUACAAGGUACUAAUGUUAGUUGCUUCCAUGGCAGUUCUUUUACUGGUAUUAGGGCAAAGCCUUUUGAAAACCCUCAAUCUACAAAUUACCAAGGACAUGAGAUCAUGUUGUAAUGUCAUCUCCAAUCUCUAGCUACAAACAAAUUAUUUCUUUCAAUUAACAAUCUUUAAUGCAUUCACUUCUAUCAUACGAUAAGCAAUUUCGGAAAACAAGUAAGCUUUAUAAUAUUAGGAAUAUGCAAGAAAUUGAUAAAGGCCAUGAAUCUACCUUCAAAAAAUAAAUUAUUAAAAAAAAGAUUUUUUCACCCAUGAAUAUUGUAAUCAGCUUCCAAAAAACAUUAGGUAUUGCAAUAACCAAAUGUUCCUUAGGUUACCAAGAGUGUUUUUUUUACCCAUGCAUAAAAUAAAAAGAAAAUAAGAAAGCAUACCAUACAACUCACAACUGUGUCAAGUAUGAGUUCAAUUCAUGGUCAUGCACAAUUGCAUUAAGUAUUUGAAAGCCAAAUAAGGUUAUGUGCAAUUCAAAGAAUACCAUACAACUCACAACAGAAUCCUCACAGCUCACCAUAGAAUGAGAAUUCAAUUGUCUUUCCUCUAGUCAUAAGAGUUUGUGCUCUUCGAGCCUUUGACUUGCACAACUCAAGAUAGCAGGACAUGCCAAAAAGUCUCCUUCACCUCAAACAUUAUUCAAAUCCAUAGUAUAAAUCUAGAUAAGAUAAUUUUCUACAAAUAUAACAUGUUGCAAACAAAUAACAGUAUGUUGGUUUAAAAUUGAAAAGCAUUUCAAACCAAACAAAAUAGAAAAAAUUUCAGUGUAUAUCACUCACCUAAAAGCUUGUAUGUUGGAUAAAAUUCCUGCUAAUGAAUCCUCACAAUUAUUUGCAAUCAAAAUUUAGUAAUGAUUUAUAAACAAAAAAAAAAUCACAAAUUUUUUUAGCAAUGUUCCAUGACAAACACAUUGCAUAUUGAUUGAGAAAUUAAUAUGAAAUCCACUAAUUUGAAAGGCACUAAAUACCAUAUGUUCUCUUGAGUUCUCCAUGUAUCAAAACAGAUGCAAGUUGCUAUUUGAGCCACCACAAUCACGGAGCAAAAUACUUCUUAGCAUGGAAGGCAUACCAUAUUUUAAACAAUGUUCUUAACUUUCCAAGAGACAUAAGAACGUGGUGUGUUGUAGAAACUGUAGAAGAAAUAAAUGGAAGUUAAACAUAUGCACUUGCUACUUAGUUUUUUAAUCAUGUGUGAAAGAAAUAAAGAGGUGUUACUUGUAUUUAGGCCAAACUUGUAGUCUCCAAUGUGAAAUCCAAAUCUCAUUUUGUCAACAGAAUAAGAGCACUAAACAUAUAGCAAAUUGAAUCCUUCCUUUUGACAAUUUGAAAACCUUAAAGGAAUGACUUGAGAUCAUAAAUAACUAUACGAUAAAGAAAAUUUUCAUCAUUCUUUCUAAAAGGAAAAUUUGUCAUUUCCUUGAUUACAGAAGAUUGAUAUUUUAACAUAAAGUGCACUUAUUAAGGUAAACUUUAUGCAUUAUAUAUUGAAUUAGAAAAUUGUAUUCAAAUCCAAUUAGAAGGGUAUCACAAAAGAUGCUUAAUUGAAAUGAAGACAUCCAUGCCAAUUUGUAACUGUUAUCAAAUAACACCCUUCCUUGUCAUUUUACGUCCCAUGCUUGCAUGUCAAAUCUCUAACUAAGACCGCUCAAAGAGCACUUCAAAUAAAAUUACGAAGAUUUCAUUACAGGUAGAACUUAAGAUGCUUACAUUGACCAUGGGAGAGAUCGAUAAGAAACAAAAUACUCACCCAUAAGUUUGUAACUAUUGUACUCAAAACUUGCUUCCUAGUCAAACUUUCAACACAACUUCUUGGAAACUUCCACAAAUUGUUGAGCCACUAGUAAAACACAACAUCAAUAUGAGAAAUUUACAAGGUACUAUGCAAAUAAAAGAGUAAGAAAUGUGUAUUGAGAAUAAGAGUUACCUUAAUGAAUGUAAGGAUAGGAUAGGGUUGAAUUGGCUUUGCACCCAUUUUUGCAAUUUGAAUUUAUUAUGGUUCAAAAAUGAGUUUAUGAUGUAUCCUCAUUUUAGGGGAAGCGGGCAAUCUAGGGCCAAUCUCUAUCAUUCUCCUUGAAACAUCUUUGAUUUCGAAGUUUGAUAAAACUUAGAAGACAACCUUUCACUUGGUAAGAAGGACUAGAACAAGGCAUCCCUCAAUCUCUACAAGUUAAAGAAAUGAAGUUUUGAAGACCAAGGGAGGGGGCUAGGAUUUCAAAUUUGACAAUAUUUUCAUUGAAAGAUCAAUGAGUUGUAGCAAGAAAUCCUGUCAAAAGGAAAUUGCAUUUAACAAUGUACAAUAUAAAAUGAAUGAACUGAGUUUUUAGAGAGGUGAAUCUUUGGAGGCUCCACAAAGAUAAGGGGUUUUAAUACCCUUGCAAGUGUAUUCGUGAAAUUAUUUCCUCAAAGGAAACCUGAACCUGGACAAUGUGCAACACAAAGCUGUUAAAGAGAUGUAAGACUCUAAAUCUGAUGAGGUAGGACUUGAGAUCCACAUUUUCUUAAGUGAGGAAUUCUGAGGUUGUAAACACACCAGUAGUUUCCAGAUUUAAAUACUUCUCUUCAAAUAUUUGUAUAACGUACAUCUUCUUUGACAUUGCUGCUCCAACAGGAUGUCCAAUAGGAUGUGCAACCUAUUUGGGCAUACUACAUGUACAACAAAAAAUUUCAUUAAAACAAAAAACUUUUACUAAAACAAAAAUAUGAAGUUAAUGUAUAAGAAGAUAAGAUUUAUAUAUAGUGAAUGAGCAUGAUUGAUUUUAGCACAAAGGGAAUGACGCUAAAAUUUAUAAGAAUAUCAUCACCAUAAGUACCUAAUUUGCAUCAUUAAAAAUUCCACAAGGAUUUGAUGAUUAGGCAAUAAAAUAAUUCUAGUAAAUGAGUUAAAAUCAGCUGCGCUAAGAAAGAUUAAAUCCAAAUAAGCAUCAAUCAUUAAAGAAUUAACCAACUACAAAAGACUUCAAAUGACUUUGACUUUUUCUCCGUAAUUUCUUUUCCUAAUUGGCCUCAUUUGCUUAUACCAAAAUAUUAUUAAUUUGCUUUAAAGGAAGUGGGUGACUCAUAUCUCUGAAAGGAUGUGAGAGGUGGAAAUCCCUCGAUCUCUAGUGAUUCAAGAGGAUAAUUCAUAUGGCUAUUGUUGUCAUCAUACAUCAUUCAACUAGCUAUAGACCACAAAAUUGAACAAUCAUGAAUACGUUGAUGCUUAAAUAUGGUAUGUACUUUAACUAGUGGAAAAUCUUAUGAGACUUGGACAUCUCGAGAUUUCCAGGAAUUAAGAUAGAUACAAGUUGUUGCUUCCUGUUAUAAUUUAUCUGGAUUGCAAUCAUCAAGCACUAACUCCAUUCACUGCAUGUUUUGAGCCUUCAGCAUAAAACCCAAAUUCCAUUCUAUCAACUAAAAAUAAAAUAAAAAAAUCACUAAUAACUCCUUUGGAAACCAUUUUAUGUUGCUCAGAUUAUAAAAUGUAGGAUUUAACUGACUUCCAUCAUUGAAAAUGAAUUGAUAUAACUUUACAAUACUAGUAUAUUCAGCUUUUGACAUGGUUGAAACUGAUCCUGGAAUCAAAAAUCACAUACACAAGUAGAUAUUUAACAGAAGAGGAUCCAAAAUCUCUUCAAUUGAUUAAUGUAUAAAUGAAUUAAUAAAAAAUUUUCAAGAUAAUUAUGGGAAAAUGAACCUUGUACCUCUGAGUUUCUUAUUCUUCUUGAAUAGAGCAAUGAGCAUCAAGUGUUGAGCACCCAGGAAUCUCCCUUCCUCCACAGGCAAAGUCUGAACAAUCUAUCCUUUCUUCAUAUUCCACUUCCUUGCAAAAGUCAAAACAUGAAGAAAAUAUCAUCAAAAUUGAGACAAAAAUAAGUGCAUCAACUAUCUUAAGAAGAGAUUUAUGCCUACUGCUUACCUUUUGAAGAAGUCCACUUGGUUAGAGCACAUUUUACAUGGACGCCCAAUCACUGCAAGCUGCUGAACCAAAGGAGAGUUCAAGCAUCUAAAAAAUUUGACGAACUCAAGUAUCAUAGAAUACUUCAUAUGAAUUCUAAAUGAUCUCAUAUCUAAAAAACAUUGGCAUAAAAUUACUGUUGUUUACCUUACAUGUUUCUUCCAUGGUCAUAAUCAAAACUUUGUUUAUCAUAAGAAAUCUUCUAUGCUCAUCUUGAUUACUUACAAUGAACACUGAAAUGAAAAGAAAAAAAACACAAAAAAUGAUGAUUAGUUUGGUUUGAUAAAUUUAGCAAACAUAAUUUCCUUUUUCUUGCAUGAGAAAGGAAAGAGUAAUAUAUAUAUAUAUAUAUAUAUAUAUGAAUUUAAUAAUUUUUUAAAAUUAGCAAUUAUAAAACUAUUUUGGUUCUCAAAAAAUUUAUGGGAAAGUAGGGAAAAAAAAAUUAUAAACUUCUUUUCGUGUUUGAUUAUUUAUCGGAAAAUUAAGGGAAAAACAAAAAUCUAUGAGAAAUUUAUUUAACACUUCUGAGGAACCAAAAAUGUUUUAGAUGUUGUCAAAUCGAUAAUUUAAACGUGUUUAAUUCCAAUUAAAUGAGUUUAAUCAAACACAUGAAAUUGUGAAUAAAAUUAUUUAAAAGCAUUGAAAUUCAAGUCAUUAAAUAGAGAACACUUAUAAGUGGUUCAUUUCAUUUUUGCAAACUGCCAAAUCAAAAUAGAGCAUGAAAAUGUGUUCAAUAUUUGUUUCAGGCUUGAAGCUUCAAGAAAAAGAAAAUCUUAAAUCAAAUAAACAGGACUAGCGAAUGAAUGGGAACUUGAAAGAAAAGUUUAAGCGCAAAAGAAUUACCUGACUGUGUAUUGGCGAAGUGGCACUUUGAUUAGGAAUGAGAUCUAUAUAACGCCAUUCUUCCCCUUUCUCCAGUAAAUGACCUGAUUAGAACUACAAUAAGUGAAGUGAUAAUGUCAUCUAAUUAGUAAACCAAACCAAGUCAAUAAACUACAACUUCCUCUAGUAUAGCCUCGAUGUAAAAGAAAUUUAAAAUCUCAUUUAUUGCACUUGGCAAGGUAGAAGUAGUAAUGCUCAUUUUUUAUUGUGACAGAUUAUAGAGAAAAUUAGACACUGCGAAAAUACCAAGCCAAGAGCUGCUUUCUUGUUAAAAAUUAAGUCCAAUUAGAAAAUUACAUAGCGCGUAAGAGAAAUUCAAAGUGGUGUUGAGAAGAGAAAGAGGAAGAAUGAUGUGUUGGGAAUGAGAUGUAAUACCUUCUUUAUUACUCAGAUGGAUUAGUCAUGUAUGUCCACACAGGGGAUGUGGGCAAUCUUAAGCCAAUCAUCUCCUUCCUCCUUCGAGUACAUUUGUGUUAGAUGUGGGCAACGCCGCGCAUGCAGUCGUGAAAGGGUGUCAGGCAAUAGUCCUUCCCUUGGCAAAAUCGAUCGGAGCUUAGGGCAAUCGUAGAUUUCUAGCUCUUCAAGAGAGGUGAGGGUUUGGAGAGACAGGGAGGCUAGGGAUUCCAGAUUCUGGAAUCGUGAAAGGAUAAGGGAGGUGAGAGUUGUAGGAAAAAGAAUCGAGUGGGGGUCAUCCGAAAAGGAAGUUGCAUCUGGAAACAUGCCACUAAUCCAGAGGCGUUUAAGAGAGGUGAGUCUGGAAAGACCCCAUUGGGAUAGGGGGGUCUUGAUAUUCUCGCAAUCUUGAAUGAUAAGCGAUGUAAGACAAGUGAGGUUUUUUAUCUGAGGAAGCAACAAUUCCAGAUUUUCAGAAUCUUCAAUAACUAGAUAUGUGAGGGUGUUGAGGCAAUCUGGUAGGGUUUUGAGAUUAGGAUACCUCCCGAGGAUUAAAGAUUGAAGUGAAUUAUUAGUAGAGUGAAACAUCCCCUCUGAAAUUGACUCGAGGUGUUUACAACCCCGAAUGUGAAGUCGCUUAAGAGUAGAGGGAAACUUACCUCUUGGGAAGGAUGUGAGAGAUGGACAUGUACAGAUUUCCAAGGCUUGGAGAGCAGCAGCAUUGGUGGAAUGUUGGUGCAUUAUUCCCUCUGGUAGAGACUUUAGCCUUCUACAAUCAAAUAUAAUGAGCAUCUUGAGAGUGGCGGGUAACCCACCUUUCGGUAAUCCAAUAAGAGACGGACACCUCACUAUAGUUAACUCUUCAAGGGCACACAUGCCCAUCAUUCCUUCUGGAAGAGACUUGAGAUCGUCACAAAACUUUAUGCGUAGACUCUUAAGGGUGGUGGGUAAUUGCCCUUUUGGAAAGCAAAUGAGAGAUGGACAGUUCCAUAUACUUAAGCAUUCAAGAAGACACAAGUUGUUGCUGUCAGUACUGUCGUUCCUCAUCUUCAACAUCAUGCCAUCAGGUAGACUCUUUAGACCUUUACAAUUUCCAACAGUAAGACUUCUCAGCUUUGGUGGGAAACCUACAUCUGGAAAUGACGCUAGCUUUGGACAAUCCCUGAUUGCCAAUUUUUCAAGGCAUGUUAGACUCUGCCAUCCAUUUGGAAGCCUCUCUAGUUUAUCACAUUUAAUUAUUUCCAAAGACUGAAGAUUGCAUCCCAAGGAUACAAGUUGGUCACAAUCUCUAAUCUCAAGAGAAUGAGAGUUUUCCGAUCCAAAACCAUCCUCCCACAAAUAUACGAGUUCUUCGCAUUCCGAUACUUUCAAAACCCGAAGCCCUUGCAAAACUUGCACAAAUCCUUCAUGCAAUUUGAUAAGCCCUGAAAUCUCAGAAAUUGUUAACUUGCUCAAGACCGCCUCAUUACAUUGUCUUACUUGUAAUUUCUUCAGCAGUGGAAGUCUUGAAAGUGGAGACUCCAAUUUUGGACAGAAGUGUACAGAGAGCUUUGUAAGAGAAGGUAGGUAAGUGGGUAGUUUCAUAAUCAAUUUGGGGCAAUACUCAAUUAUAAGCUCAUGGAGACAAGGGAAUAAUGACUCUGUUGAGGAAGACCAGUCCUCCCAGUGCUCCCAUUCUGACAUGCUUUUAAAAUGUAGAGACUCUAGUGAUGGGAAAAACUUACCUCCAGAAACACGAGUCUCUCCAUAAAACUCUGCACCCACUUUUUUUACUCCAUCCAUUCUUUGGAUCCUCAACUGUUUGAGCGAUGGCAACUGCCCCAAGCACGGUAAAGACGUGCACUUUCUGCAAUCUAUGAGACUUAGAUCCACCAUCUUGGAGAACAAGGCAUCUCUUAUCCAACGUGGGAAUUCUGGACCACCAUAAAACUGAAUGCAGAGUUUAUUUAGAUUCAAACAAGGUUGUAGAGAGUCAAGGACAUCCAUUUGAUUCCGCUCAUUCCCUGAACCAUCCAGCUCAGAACUCCACUGCAUUAUCAAGCUUUCAAGGUUACGCUUCAAUUUUAAAUCGACAUCCCUUGCAUCUUGAAUAUUCACCACAUUUUCCAAUUUCGAAAUGCAAAGUUCUCCUCGCAGAUGUGACAUGUCUUUCAACCCUUUGAUUGUCAAACCGUUGUUUUUGUCCACAAUGAAAUUAGACAAUAUCCGCAAAUCUUUUAGUUUGCCAAUUUGUAUAGGCAUUUCUUGUAAUCUUAUUGCACCAGCAACAUCAAGAUGUCGAAGAUUGAUUAGGUUACCGAUGCUAAUAGGCAACCUAAUAAGCUCUUUACAGCAUGAUAAUUUCAAUGUCUGAAGGUAAAAAAGAUUACCAAUUGAAUCGGGUAACCAUUUUAUACUGGUGUAGGACAAAUUAAGGUAUCUCAAAUGUUUCAACUUACCAAAUGAAUCUGGUAUCUCACUUAUCGUGUAACGAGCCAAUGAGAGCACCCUUAAGUGCCCUAACUUUGGUAUCAAUUCUUCAAGCACCUUAUUACUUAUAUAGCAACGAUUUGGACUAGUUGGUACAUCAAUCGACAAAGCUAUGAACGUGCGCAAGCGCUCUUUCUUAUGAAACCUUUCAAAUUUUUUAAAGAUAUCACAAAAAUGACGGAUGAAUGAUGAAUGACGAGUAUUUUCAGAAAUGGGGCAUUGCAAAUCAUUCCACAACUCAUCAUCCAAAUGCAAGCAUGUGUCUCCAGCAAUAGAUUUAGCUAGAGCAUGGACAAGGUCAUGCAUCACGAAUCGUGAUCUAUUGCUGCUUGACGAUUGAAAAAAUGACCUUGACAAUAGCUCAUCAAAAUACUUAUCACCAUGAUCUUCCAUUUUCCUAUUAUCUUUUGAUUGUUCAAUUAACCCCUCCGCUAUCCACAAGAGGAUUAACUCUUGCUUUGUAAACUCAUAAUCCUGGGGAAAAUUUGCGCAAUAAGUAAAACACCUCUUUAAAUGUGAAGACAGAUGAUAGUAGCUCAAUCUCAAGGCAGGGAUGAUGUCACAUUCCUUGUCUGUUAAAUUCCAUACUUUGCUGUACAAUACUCUUUCCCAUUCACAUUCACGUAGUUCAGAGCGCAAAAGGCCACCAAGGGCUCUUGCCGCUAAGGGAGAACCUCCACACUUCUCUACAAUUCUCCUACCAAUUGAUUCCAAAUUUGGGUGCUCAUCGAUAUUCAUAUGUUCAAAAGCAUGUGUUUGAAAUAUCUUCAAACAAUCAUCAUAUGGUAACUGUUUGAGCUNNNNNNNNNNNNNNNNNNNNNNNNNNNNNNNNNNNNNNNNNNNNNNNNNNNNNNNNNNNNNNNNNNNNNNNNNNNNNNNNNNNNNNNNNNNNNNNNNNNNCCCCUAGCAGAGUNGGUUAUCGCAGCCACCUUUUUCUAGACGAAGCUCAGAUUUUGAGCCGAAAUAUCUCGUAAGCGGCGAGUGAUUUCCAACACCUUGGACCUCAUGUUAAUAUAACGCAUAACCUCAUUAGGAUUGAAAAUGCCAAGACAAGUGGAGAUGAGCUUGCGUACCUUGCUCGGCCUGCCUUGAUGAUCAGCUUCUUUGGCCGUGAGUUCCCGUUGCAAAGCUUCGUAGGCGAACUCAUCCAAGAUGUCCUCCAUAUCAUAAGCCAAAUCCUUCAGAUUGCCCAGCCACUCUUUCACAGAGUGAUCCGUGAUCUGCUUGUCCUCCGCGUCAUUAAGCUCUUCACGAAUAUUCGACAAUUCUAUCUCCCAUUUCUUGAGAUCAGAGUACACCCAUUGUUGGCGUGCAAAGUCGAGCAAAUCAGUGGAGGCCAACUUGUCAAACAAGAGGCCGAUGGCAGCAGAAAGAAGAGCGUCUCCCACAGCUUCCAUGGUUGGUUUGUACUUUGUUUGCAGAGAGAGAGAGAGCAAAUCAAGCAGUGGAUAAAAAGGUGAAGCAGAAAGAAGGGGGUCUGCUGUGUGAAGGCUUUAAAUAUUAGAAACCCAUUUUCAUUUUAAUUUAUUUGAAGGUCCUUGUAGAGACAGCUGGAUCAUAUUGGAGUUUGAGAUGGCCCGACUGCCCACCUGCAUGCCACUGUUGGUUUGUUUGUGUACUUUAAUUUAAAAAUGUCUCAAUUUUAUUAUAAAUUUUUUUUUUUAAUGUAACUAUAUAUAUAUAUAUAUAUAUAUCCCUCUUUUAUUAUUUUUUUAUUUGCAUGAUAUUUCUUUCAUACCAAUCAAAACUAUGAAGAGAUUUUUCUUAAAAUUCAUAAAAUAUCUUGUUUUUGUUGCAUCAAUAUGUUUCAUUUCAUUGUAAGAAAGCCCAGUAAAAUGUGAUAUUUUCUAAUUUCUGAUUUGUAACAUUUUUUUUUCUUAUUUAUUCCAAUCUUAUAUGCAUAUUACACUAUUAGGCAAAGUUGUCAAUGACAAUGAUUGUUAUUUAUAAUGGCUUGAACUUAGAAGCAUCCUAGCUUAUGAUACUCAAUUAUAUUCACCUCUACAACUUAAUUUCAAAAUGUUGGAAUGCAUACCAAAUUCCUAAUUAAUCAAGGUUUAUUUUUUUGUAAAAAAAUGUUGUAUAGAAUAUUUCCUAAGUUGAUACAUUAUUAUAAUAUUAAAUUUCCUUCUAGAAUAAGGAAUAUUAUUAGAAAUAUCUCUAUAAAUAUUAUAGGUAAAAGUGAACAUGAGCUUUUAGUGACUCUACGAAGUUAAUAAAGAUACUCAGUAAAGUGAGAGGGCUCGUGGUUCAAGGUAUGGAUACAAGGAGUGACACAAAAUAAUUUAUUAACUCAAAAUCUAUUUUUUAUUUUUCUUUAUUUUUUCUUUCUUUCUAAUUUUCUUUUUGUUUUCUUUUUCUCUAACUCCCUCAAAUCUUCUAGAAACCAAAUAUAGUCCUAAUGUGUUGGACGAUGAACUUGUUAUUUUAUAAACUUCAAAUAUUCAAUUUUCAUGGAGAAGGAAUCUCAUAUCUAUCUCAAGUUAAUUAUAUGCAUCCCAUUUUUACCACUAGCAAACCUUAAUCACCUUAUUAUAUGGAAAUUGGGUAUAACUAGAUGUAAUAAAAAACAAAGUUUUGUGAAUAAUGAAAGAACUUGUACAAGUAAAAAUAGAAUUUUAAUAAGAUGCAAAAAAAUUUUGGCUUCCAUAUCUAGUCAAAUAAGCAUAGAACCUUUUUCUUCAACUUUUAAGUUUUUGACUUCUCAAAAAUCAAUCUAAAUUGGAUUGAUAAAUUAUAAAAGGUUACAAUAUAAUAUUACAAUGUAUAAAUAUUAUUUUCACUUCUAUAUUUCCCAUGAAAUUAUUUAUUUAUUUAUUUAAAUUGAAAUGUCCUUUGUUAUUUGUUUCUACCUUUAAAAAGUAACAAAAAAAUUAUUUUAAAUCUUAGGUAUGGCAAUACUUAAGUAUUUAAUAAUUUUAAUUAGAUAAUUACAUUUUCUUUUACAUUUUACACAUAAAAUAAUUAAUUAUAUUUUAUAUUAUAUUAUUUAAUUAGUGAUAUUUAAAUUUUAAUUAGUUUUUAAGAAUUUAAUUAAUAGUUAAAUAAUUAGAUUUAUUUAUGUUUAAAUCUAAUUAACAAUAAGUUCAAUGCAACAAGAAAAAAAAAUAGGUUAUGGUUACUAUUUUGAAGUGGAUUUCAAUUUUAAAUUUUACAAGUAGACUUGCUUGACUAACCUUAUAAAUUAGUAGAAUUUAACAAGUUGCAAAUGGUUCCCUUACCUAAUCUUUUAAAUUAAUCUUGAUGUUGACAAGCACUUUACCAACCAUAAUUAUAAAAAGACAAAUAAGUCAAGUUGAUUUUACUAAAUUGCAAGUGGGUGCCCUUACCUAAUCUUUUAAAUUAAUCUUGAUGUUCACAAGCACUUUGCCAACCAUAAUUAUAAAAAGACAUAUAAGUCAAAUUGAUUUUACUCAAUUGAGAUUAAUAAAUUGCAAGUGGGUGCCCUUUACCUAAUCUUUUAAUUUAAUUUUCAUAUUGAUAAGAACCAAAUCAGCCAUAAUUAUAAAAACAAGAAGACGACAAGCUAUGAUUACUUUUAUUAACUAAAAUUUAAUAAAUCACAAUUUCUCUUACCUAACCUUUAGAUUAAUCUUGAUAACUUUGCCAACAGUAAUUAUAAAAAGAGAAAGACGACAAGCUAAUUUAAUUGGCUAAUUUUAUUAACUUAGGUUUAAUAAAUUUAAAGUAGGUUGAUCUCUUACCUAUCCUUUUUAAAUUAAUCUUGAGAUCAAUAAGAAUCAUACAACCAUAAUCAUAAGAAGAGCUAAAACAUAAGUCGAUUUGAUAUUUAAUUAGUUAAUUUUAUUAACUAUAAGAUAUAAAAAUUUGGUAGGAGGUGUCUUAAAUCCCAAAUUAGAAUAUACUUUUUUUUUCGUGAAAAGAAUAUUAUAUAGAAUAUUUUCAAAGUUUAUAUGUGAUUGUAAUUAAAUUCAAGUUAGUACAGAUAUAUUUAUAAAUAUUUUAAGACAUGAAGAGAAAAAGUUAUGGAAGAUAUGAAAAAGAGAUGCGAUCAAGAGCGAGAGAUGUUGAUAGAACAAGAGGGUUCACUAGGGAAGAGUAUAGAUGUGAAGAAGAAUGAGAAACACAUAGUGGAGCAAAAUGAUUCAUGGUUUAUGAUAGAGAUAUAAAGAGCAGGAAAAAUGGGAUGUUUGGGUUUUGGUAGUCGUCUAACCUUUGUAUGUGGUUUGCUUUAUUCAUGUGUUCUUCCUUUAAUAUGUUUAAAUUGAGGUUUUUGUUUUCCUUUUGGUCCUAAGAUGAGUUUUGUCAUGUAAUCAAUUAUGCCUGUUUCCAAUUUCAUUAAAAACUUGUGUUCUACGAUUUGACAAAUGAAAAUAAUUAUUUUUCUAUAAUUUUUUUUAUUAUAAUUUUGUUAGUUAAUAAAAAGUAGAAUAUAGAUAAUAUUAGCCGUCAAAUAGAAAGAUAAAUAUGACAAUUAAUGUGUUUUCACAGCAUAUUUGUACUUAGAUGGUUUUGCUUAUAUGAAGUAAUUUAAUGCAACUAUGAAGAUUUAUAUGAAGUAAACUUUAUAUAAUUUGAGAUUUAAUAAUCGGUUAAUUUUUAUUUGAAGAUACAAAAACAUAAAAUAAAAGUCUUGUUCAAAAAUUAUUAUUGAAAACAACAUGAAAAUGGGGUUUUUUCACUUAGAAAUAUACAUUUGACAAACUUCUCAUAUAAAACUUCUUAAAAUAAGUUAUUUUUUAGAACAAAUUUGAAAUGUUUUUAAUUUUUUCACAACAAUUUAAAUAAAAAUUGAAGAUAUAGAUAAUAUAUAUUUUGGGAAAUUUUGUAUUGUAUUUAAGUAUACAAUUCCUUUGUAAAGAAUAAAUCGAAACGAGUAAUAGCUAUUUUCAAGAAUUGUUUUGAAGAAUUAUUUUCACAAAUGUUGUCAAAUAUGCUCAAAACUUUCUACAUCAUUUAUAUUAAUCUUGGAUUCAAUCAAAAUCUUGCCACAAUUGAAAAGAAAAAAAAAUGUUAAUUAAUUGGUUAAUAUUUACAAUCCUAAAAAAAAUUAAAAAAAAAUAAUAAUUCAAAAUUUUUUAAAUAAAAAUCUCGCUAACUAAAAUAAAAAUUCACCAUCAAAAUAAAAGAUUAUCUAAUAGUUUUCUAUUUUUGACUCUAUAAUCAAGAAUGUUCAUAUAAUUUCUUUUACAAUAACAUACUAAAAUAGAAAGAGAUUAAAAUGGAAAAAGAAAAUGAUUAACAAUAAAAUUCAUAAAAAGAAAUGAAAAUUAAGAAGAUUUCAAUCCACUUCAAUAUUAUUUCAAUGAAAUAGUAUUGCAUUUAAAUUAUUGAAGGCCAUACCAAUUUAUUUUUCGUCCUUUUUUAAUACUUAAUUUUGUUAUCAAACAAUGAAAAUUUUACUAAUCAAGGAAAAUGAGAAAAGAAAAUAUUUUUCUUGAAAGUUAAUGAAUUUGUUAAGAAAGGAAAACAAAAGGUCUUUUAUGGGAUACUUUAUUAAAUUAAAUUAAUAACUUAAUUUAAAUCAUUAAAUAAAUUAAGUAUGUUUAACAAAAUAACAUAAUGGUAUGAUUUAAAAUAAAAAAAACUUUAAAUAAUAAAUAAAAAUAAUUAACUUAUUCUUAAAUUCACAUUUUUAUUUUACCUUUUUACCCCAAUUUGUCAUAAUUACCUCCACAAUUUCCUUUACUAUUCCACGACUUUUACUUUUACACGACCUCCUCUACUCUAGGUAUAAUUUAUGAGGAUAAAUAUGUCAAUUUGAAAAUUUAGAAUUAAUCAUAAGUUAGUUUUAUCACACAAUCGUAAUACUUAAAAUAAAAAUUAAGUAAUAAGUUUUAAGUUAACAAUUUAAGUAUAAUUUAACUAAAAGUCAACUUAAAUCAUUAAGUAAUUAGUAUUAAGUUUUAUCAAACACCUCCAUAUAAUUAGUUAAUUUUGAUUAAUCUAAAAAUAUAGAAAGUGAAAUAUACACAUUUUUUUAUUGGUUACGUUGGUCUUGAACUUCUUUCACCAAAUCAUUUUUAUUAAUCUUAACAUGCGCCAUUUGAUGCGACUGAUGGUAGCUUAGCUUUAAAGGCGUAUCAACAAAAUUUAUACCUUAAAUACUAUUAUUAAAGUAGCCAAGCUACUCUAGCAUAGUGGUUCUAGGAUCGUUCACUGGGAAGGGUUUUCGCGAACACUAGUGAUAUUCAAAUUAGGAAAAUAGGUGAUUUUCUUAUGGAUGUUAGCUUUAAAAGAAGAUGUAAAUGUUUUAGAAAGAUUUAAACUAAUCUAAGCUAACAUUAAAGACUAAAAUGAAAUGGUGUAAAAACAAGUUUCUCAAAUAUAGGAUAGCUAUGCUCUGGCUCUUAUGCAAAUUGGAAAUCUCAGGAUAGGCUCCUCGCGUCGGGGUUGCAACUAUGGUGAUGCUUGCUUCCCGAACCGGUAUGGAUUUAGCAAAUCAAGUUUUAAUCCUUUAAAAUGGCAAAACAGAUGGUAGUGAAUUUCAUCAAUGGUUAUUCACCUUAGACUUCCUUUGAAUGGCUCAUAAGAGAUAACUAAUGGUCUAAAGCCAAAAGCUUACCAAAUAUUGGCAACUCAAAGUCAUUCCAGGUGAUAAACUCACCUUUCAAUGGCCAUUGAAAUUGGUUCUAACGGAUUAAUGCAAAACUUGGAAUUGAAAACCUCACCUUCCAAUAGCUCGUAGGAGAUAACUAAUGGAUAGAAAUCCAAAAGCUUAUCAAGUAUUGGCCGUUGGAAGUUGUCCAAAGGAAAUAAAAACCAAACUUUGCAUUAAUGAACCAUUAAUGAAAAACGACUACCUUACCUUCCAGGUGCGAGAAAUUUCUAUGGGAUUGCAUCCAAGCCAUCACAUAGCAUCCAUACUUUGAGAAACUAAAAGUUUUAGCCAAUCAUCCUCUGAGGAAAAGUCCUCAGAGGCUAUUUGGCUACUAAGAAAAUAAAAAUGGGGAAGAACAGGAGAAGAGAGAAAAACAGAGCUUUAUAUAUUUCUAAGUUAAUGUACAGAGGAUCGAUCCCCCAAUAUCUUUUGGAGGCGUUGUGCACCUCUAUAUAUAGCAAAAUUACAAGAUAAAGCCUUAUGUCAGCUGAAUACAAGGUUACAAAAGGAAUUUACACGAGAAAAUAUCAAGCUAAAAAUAUCUGGGAAGUCGGUGGUGCGUGCGUGGAGAAACAGAGGAAAUUUGGCAAGGUAAAAGGUUACUUGCGAAAUUUUGGCAAGGUAAAAGGUUACUUGCGAAAUUUUGGCAAGGUAAAAGGUUACCUUGCGAAAUUUUCGCAAGGUGAAUUACUCAUGAUGCGAAGUGCCAUAUUUUCGCAUCAUGAAUAAAUUCACCUUGCCAAAUUUGGCAAGGUGCAUUUUCACCUUGCGAAAAUUGCAUUUUGGCAAGGUAUUUUGCCUUGCCUUGCGAAAUGGCUAUCCCUUUGUUUGUGCUCGUGUUUCCACUUGAAAUUCAAGCCUGUAAACUUCCAAAAUCCUUGCUUUAACUUGUCCAAGUAGCUCCUCCAUCAUUUGGCAUGCUUGAAUUGAUUCAUAAGCUGAUAAGAACAUGUAAACUUGCCACAAAAUGGUUAAAACCAAUUACUAAGGACCUUAAUGAAUUAAUUGGGUUAAAUGAAUAUGAUUACUACUCAAAGGUGCUUAAAACCAUUAUAAUUAGGUCUACAAAAUAGCACUUUUUGGUAGUAAUCACAUCAACAUUAGUUAAUUAUAAUUAAAGAAAAGAAAACCAAAAAAAUAAAAAUAAAAAAGUCAAUUUGGGUGACCAAUCUUUGUUGAAAAAUUAAAAACCAAACAAAAGUUGAUCAAUACAAAAAAAAAAAAAGAGAAAAAAAUUGUAUGAAGUAGACAUUUUGUCUUUUUGAGAUUAUUGAUGGAAGUGUAAUAGACUAUAAACAUGUCUAUGAGAAUCAAUCCCAAUGAGUCCUAAAACAUAUCUAUGAGACUAUUGUUGAAUAGAGAUUUAAAAUAAAAUAAAACCAUGUCAUAAAGAAAUGAUAUUUAAGUAUUAAUAAAUAGGAAUUGGAUACAUAUAAAUAAAAUUUAGAUUAAAGAAGAAAUGAAACUAUUUUUAUUAUGUGGUUGUUUUUAAUGGACCGCCAAUUUUUUAAAAAAUUAUAUAUAUAUAUAUAUAUAUAUAUAUAUAUAUAUAUAUAUAUAUAUAUAUAUAUAUAUAUAUAUAUAUAUAUAUUCCAUAGAAAAAUUACUUUCUAAUACCAUAGAAUCACCCUAAUUUCAAAUUGAGAUUUACUAUCUUAAAUUUUAAAUUUUUUAAAAAUAAUUUUUAAGGGCAUGAACUAAAUCUAUAUUUUUUGUGAAGAAUUUAUAUUCUUUAUAUGGAAGUUUUUAUCGAUUUUUAUUUUUAAAAACAAAAAAUAAGAAGCACUUAGAGUGUAUUUGACAAUGAUUUUAAGAAGUGAUUCUAAUCUUUCUAAUACUUGAAAAAUAAAAAUUCUUAUAUGUUGAAACAAUUGCAGAAUACACUUUUAGUAAGUAAUGAUAUUAAUUUCUUCGAAGAGAGAGAUUUACAUUUAGGAUAGAAAUAAAUAAAUAAAACAAGGAUAAAAAUUUAUUUUUUAAAAAAACUUUUAACUUCUUGUACUUUAUCAUUACACACUUUUUUCAUUAGAUGCUUUAAAUAAUUUUUAUUAAAUAAAAUUAUAUUGAUGGAGGGCUAAUUAACUUUGCUUAGGGUGAGAAAGAUAGAGAUAAAAUUGAAGUGGGUACACAUCUAAAACAAAAAUGAAAUAAAAAGUAAAGAUGAAGAUAAGAUUGAGGUGGGUUCACAACUAAAAAAAGAAUGAAAUAAAAAGUAUGAGAUGAAUUGACCAAAGCUUAUCCCUUCUUCCAAAUAGUAAAAGCAAAGCCUAGUAGUUAAAGUGAUGACAUUAGUCCUAUUCAAGGCCCCACUUGCAUAAUUGCUACAUCUUUUUGACUUGAUUUUAGUUCAAUUUCACUAAAAUGAAAUAAUUUAUUUGAGCCCAAAAAUCCAAAUCCAAAUCCAACCCACUUAUUUAUAUACAUUAUUGGCAUGGAAUGAGAAAAGUUAUAAAGUGAGAAAAUUUGAUCAUAUGAUAAAUAGUGAUUUUUCAAAGUUGGAGUCAAUCCAAUGCCCAAUGGCUAUAAAAGAAAAAGGAAAGAUGUGGAAAUUAUAGUGGAAUCUCGAAACAAAUUUUUGAGGUUUGAGGUGAUGUGACAACCGUUUCCAAGUAAUUGCCUAAGAAUGUGAGAUGUUGUUGCAUUGAAAAUUGAUAUUAAAGCUCACUGGGUAAUGGUAAGAAUUGCUUUACAUAAAGACAAAUAAUAAAUACAUCCCACUUUUUCAAAAAGUUUAUGAGUGAAUAAAACUUUUAGAGUAGGAUGAAUGCAUUUCACGUGAGUCAUGUCCUAGAUAUAUUUUUAGAAUUUUCUAGCAGGAUGUCGAGGAAAACUCUAUGAUGAGUGUUUUCUUUCUAGUUAAGGUAGGUCCAAUUUGGUGCAAUUCGUCAAUAUAAUUCAAACCCAACAUAUGUUUUAAGGAUUUGAAUUGAGUAAAAUCGUCUUUAAAUUAAAUUAAUCAUAUGAAUCAACGUAACCUGUUUAAUAAAUAGAUUAUUUUUAGGUCAAUCUAGAUAACCCACAUUUGACUUGAAUUAACUUAUUUAAUAAUGGUAUUGAUUAACCUAAUAAUAACUUUAACUUAUUGAACUUAUAUUUGACUCAUGUAAAUUUUUUUUUUUUCAAUAAUUAUGUCAUAAUUGGGCCAUAAACAUGACAUAUUAGAAUAUUAACCAUAUUAUUUCAUUCAACAUUUAAUUUGACUUGAUUAUGAAAUAACAUCUUAUUAUUAAAUCGGUUGAGCCGGUUAUAAUGUAUCACCUAGAUAAUAAUUAUAUGGUAUUUGAGUUUAUGUUUUAAAUUUUGAUUAUUAUUCAUGUCAUGUUUGGGUUGAGUUAUUUAGUGGAGGAUCUAACCUUUGAUAUAACACAAACACAACCGACUAACUUAAAUUGCCAUCAUCACUUCUACUAAUAAGUGAUUUGUUUAUUAUAAUUAAGAAAAUUGAGAAGAUAUAAUUUAUUUUUUAAUUUUAAAUGCAUGAUUAAAGUUAAUUAUAACUUUUAAAAAUUUUAUAAUUCAUAUUCCAUCCAAACUAACAAAAUAUUAGAAAUCUUCAAUGGUUUUGUCUACAAUAAAUAUGUUGUGUUAAAUUAUCCCCUUCUCUACUAACCAAAACAUGUUCUUUCACAAUCAAAUAUCAACAUGUUUGAGCAGCCGGUGAGACAUCUCUUGACAAUGAGGUGAGAGGUAGAAACAAGAAACAUACCUAUAUUCAAGAGAAGUGGUGUUUCUUCAUUUGCUUUAGACAACAUUCAUUUAGUCUAAACUUGAAGGCGGAUUGCUAGAAUUUGAGCUCUUGGAAAGACAUAAGAGAAGUACAUUUGGAAAUCUGAAAGAAGCCUAGAGACCUAUUGCUACUUGUGAAUCAUAGUAAUCAGAAACAAUUCCAUAUAAUCCUGCAAUUCUAGACCUUUGAUUUUCUCUGUUCCAUUUUGCCAAGAACAAUUCUAGAAUGUUUUUCUUUAUUGAGUCGUAAUGAUUUUAUUAUUAGGAUUUAAUUGUAUUCAUUAGGUUUGCAAAUCACAAAAACAGUAUUGUGCCUAUGAAUAUUUUCCUCUUUGAUCAUGUAAAGUUGGAAAACAGUUAUGGAAUUCUAUGAUAGCACAGUACAUUGAUCCACACGAUUUGUGGCAUGACAAUUUAAUGAAAUUACAAAAGUGUAGCACUCAUGGGUAUGUCAUGUGAACCUUUUUCAAUGGAGCUACUUGUUUAAAUUUACAUGGGUGAAUUGUCACACCAAUAUCCUCUAAUGAACCUUGGGUUCUUUUUUCUGUUUCUUCCUCUCUUGGUCAAGCCAAACAAUUUGUCUUUAUAAGGACUUCAUGUUACUAAUAAGCAGCAUCUUAUGUUCUCCUUCUCUUCAUCUCCUUGUCAAGACACAACGAUCUGAUGCAUUUUGCAUUGGGUUGCUUCCUCUCCUCUCCAUUUCCUUCCUCCUUGAGGCAAAAUUGCAUCAUUUCUUAGUUUUGAUUAUGUUUCUUUUUAUCAUUAUGAGAAAGCAUCAUUGUAAGAUGUACAAGAAACGUGUUGCGGUGCAUUAUCCCCUCCUCUACCACCUAAAAUCUGUUUUACACGAUCAUAAGGACCAAGGUGUUUUAAGCAUCAGGUAAGGCAUUUGUUGACAAUGAUGUGAGAGAUAGAGACAAGCAACAUACCAGUAUUCAAAAUACAUGAUGUUCUUCUUUUUCAUUUGACAACAUUCAUUUAGUCUGAACUCCACAUUUGGGCAACUCAGAAUCUCCACCUUCAUUAGGAUUGUUAGAAGUUGGCUUCUUAGAAAGACAUGGAAAUGGGGCAUCUAGAAAUCUGAAAGAAUUCCAAAGGCUUGUUGCUACUUUUGAAUCAUUCCAAUUAAUAACAACUUUAAAAGAUAUAUACAAAUCUGUCCCUGGGAAAGAGAUGUGUCAUGUGCAUAUGCAACCAUCUCUCUAAUAGACUCAGGGUUGUGCACCAUCAUGGUAGUUUCUUAUAUAUUACACCAUAUUAAUUGUAGAUAUCCAACUACCAAUAUCACUACACCUGAAUGAACUAGGAGCUAUGCUGAAAGUGAAGUUGGACAACCCAUCAUCGAAAGAAUCCUGUAGGAAUACCCCAAAAUGAAAAUUUUAUUAGCAUAAAUGAAUUCACCCAAAUUAAGGAUAAAGUUGCCUAAAAAGCUUGUGAGGCAUGUACCGGAUAUUCGGCUCAAUUUAAUCUCUGUUGGAAAGUUAGAUGAUGAGGGCUACAACAACAAUUUCAGUGAUGGAAAAUGGAAGCUCUCCAAAGGUUCUCUAGUGGUAGCAAAAGGAAAGAAGACUUGUUCUCUUUACACUGUGCAAGCAAAAAUCUGCAAGGGUGUUGUGAAUACCUUAGAGAAUGACUCAUCCACCGAUUUAUGGCAUAGAAGGCUUGGACAUAUGAGUGAGAAAGGAUUGCAAGUUUUAUCCAAGAAAGAGCUUCUAGCGAGGAUAAAAGGUACGCCUUUGAAAACAUGUGUUCAUUGUUUCCAUGGUAAACAAAAUAGAAUAUCAUUCCGUAGAAACAUUGCAUCUAGAAAAUCUCAUGUUCUAGAUUUGAUACAUUCUGAUGUAUGUGGUCCUUUGAAAGUUAGGACACUUGGUGGUGCUUUAUACUUUGUCACUUUUAUUGAUGAUCACUCGAGAAAAGUUUGGACUUAUACACUGAAAACUAAAGAUCAAGUUCUAGAUGUGUUUAAGCAUUUUCAGGCCAAGGUUGAAAGAGAAACUGGUAGACAGUUGAAAUGUGUCCGCUCGGAUAAUGGUGGUGAAUAUAUUGGACCAUUUGAUCAGUAUUGCAUUAAUCAUGGCAUCAGGCAUGAAAAGACAGUAAAAAAGACACCUCAACAGAACGGGGUUGCAGAGAGAAUGAAUCGCACCAUUCUUGAGAGAGUCAGAUGUUUGCUCUCACAUUCUAAAUUGCCAAGAUCUUUUUGGGGUGAGGCAAUGAGGACAGUAGUUGAUCUUAUCAAUUUAUCUCCUUGAGUUCCGUUGAAUGGUGAUGUGCCAGAGAAAGUUUGGACAAGGAAGGAAGUCUCCUAUGAUCACUUGAGGGUAUUCGGCUGCAGAGCUUUUGUUCAUAUUCCAAAAGAUGAGAGGUCCAAGCUUGAUCCAAAAGCAAAGCAGUGCAUAUUUAUUGGCUAUGGGCAUGAAGAAUUUGGCUACAGGUUGUAUGAUCCAGUUGAUAAGAAAGUUGUCAGAAGCCGAGAUGUUGUUUUCUUGGAAUAUCAUACUAUUGAAGACAUUGACAAGCUUGAGUCAGCUGAGUCUAGUACUAAUGAUCUUGUUGAUUUAGAUCCUCUUAAUCCACCUGUUAUUCAUGAUAUUGAUGAGGAAGUGCAGACACCUCAUGAUGAUGCAGCGGAAGAUGAUGUUGAGCCAGAGAUUGAGGGGGAACAGUCAGCCCAAGAGCCACUACCACAGACACCGUUGAGGAGAUCUACCAGAGAAAAACAGCCAUCCAGAAAAUAUUCUUCAAAUGAGUAUGUGAUGAUAUCAUAUCAGGGGGAGCUAGAGACUUAUCAAGAAGUCUUGAAGCAUGAGAACAAAACUGAAUGGCUCAAGGCAAUGAAAGAGGAAAUGAAGUCUUUGCAUGAGAAUCACACCUAUGAUUUGGUGAAGCCGCCUAAAGGGAAGAAAAUUUUGAAAAAUAAAUGGGUCUUCAGACGAAAGAAUGAUGGGAACAGUUCUCAACCGAGAUUCAAGGCACGACUUGUUGUGAAAGGUAUUGAUCAGAGGAAGGGAGUUGAUUUUGAUGAGAUCUUCUCACCAGUUGUGAAGAUGUCCUCCAUUCGAAUUGUGCUUGGUAUAGCUGCGAGUAUGAAUUUAGAAGUUGAGCAGCUUGAUGUGAAGACCGCAUUUUUGCAUGGUGACUUAGAAGAGGAAAUUUAUAUGGAGCAACCUGAGGGCUUCAUAGAUAAGGGUAAUGAUCAGUUAGUUUGCAAAUAGAAGAAGAGUUUGUAUGGAUUGAAGCAAGCACCGAGGCAGUGGUACAGAAAAUUCGAUUCUUUCAUGACUGAGCAUGGGUAUUCAAGAACCACUUCAGACCAUUGUGUGUUUGUGAAGAAAUAUCUAGAUGGUAAUUUUAUUAUUCUCUUGUUUUACGUUGAUGAUAUGCUUAUUGUGGGCCAAGACACGAGCAAGAUUAGCAAGUUGAAGUCAGAGUUGAGCAAGUCCUUUGCCAUGAAGGAUUUGGGUCCAGCAAAGCAAAUUCUUGGGAUAAGAAUUGUUCGCGACAGAUCACAUGGGCUGAUUUGGUUAUCUCAAGAGAAUUAUGUUAAAAAGGUUCUUGAGAGGUUCAAUAUGGACAAAACAAAGCCUGUUAAUUGUCCACUUGUAGGCCACUUCAAACUUAGCUCAAGUCAGUGUCCUACAAGUGAUGAAGAGAAAAAUGAGAUGCAGAAAAUUCCCUAUGCUUCAGCAAUUGGUUCUUUGAUGUAUGCCAUGGUUUGUACUCGACCGGAUAUUGCUCACGCAGUUGGGGUUGUUAGUCGAUUUCUGUCUAAUCCGGGAAAAGAACACUGGGCAGUAGUGAAAUGGAUUCUGAGGUAUCUUCAGGGCACUUCAAAGAUGAGUUUGUGUUUUGGUAAAGGCGAGCCUAUUCUUGAUGGGUUCAUAGAUUCUGAUAUGGGUGGUGAUGUUGAUAGUCGAAAAUCUACUUCUGGUUAUUUGAUUACUUUUGUAGGGGGGGCAGUGACAUGGCAAUCAAGAUUAUAGAAAUGUGUUGCUCUCUCCACCACAGAAGCUGAGUUCAUCGCCAUUACAGAAGCCUGCAAAGAAUUAUUAUGGUUGAAGAAAUUCUUACAAGAGUUGGGUUUGAAACAAGAAAGGUAUGUCCUUCAUUGUGAUAGUUAGAGUGCAAUCCACUUGAGUAAGAAUUCUUCAUUUCAUUCGAGGUCGAAACACAUUGAUGUUAGAUAUCAUUGGAUUCGUGAUGUCUUGAAUGAUAAGUUGUUGCAACUUGAAAAAGUUCACACUGAUGAUAACACUUCGGAUAUGUUGACUAAGGCAUUGACUAAGGACAAGCAUGAGAAGUGUCGACUAUUGGCGGGAAUGGUCGAUUCCUCCACAUAAGUCGGGAGGGGGAGAAUUGUUGGGUUUCCCUCCUUUGUGGGAUUCUUAAAUUUACUAAAUAUGGUUUUGCUAUUUUGGCCAACACCUUGGUUAGCACAUGACUCUUGGCAUAUUCAAGAUUGGUUUGAAGUCUUCAAGGAAAGAAAAAAAAAACUACAAGUCUUUUGUCUUUUCCUUUGGUUCAUCAUCUUGGUCGGCAAGAAGACUUUUGGGAUACCUUUUUGGUUCAAAACAAAAAUCAGCCUUCUUCUUCUCCAUUUUUUGGUGCUACACAAUCGGCAAGUUUGUUCUUCAAGUAGGUAACGUUUCUUCACUUGAUAUUUGGGGUUUCUUGCGGUUUGUUCUUGGAGAUUUGGUUUACUUUUGUGAGGUAUUUUCCUCUUGUGAUUUACACCUUGGUGUGUUUGUAAGGCUUAUGCCUUUUGGCCACUUUGUAAACUCUUUUGGUGAUAGUGGAAGAAACUGACCUCCCGGUCGUCGUGGACGUACCUCAAGUUAUUUGAGGGAACCACGUAAAUCUUGUGUGCUCAUUUAUUUUCUGUUAUUCUAUUUAUAUUGCUUCCAUUGAUUUACACUUGUGGGAAAGCCUAUUUUUUUUCAACAAAUUUGACCAACUAUCAUAAGGAAUUUCUUUCAAAAGAGAGAUAAGUAAUAAAUAUCUGUUAUUUAUUGGAAAAAAAAUAUUAUCAUACUAUUAAUGUGUUUAAUUUUUAUUUUUUUUUUAAAUAGAGAUUGUUAUAUCUUUUUGUAAAAAUAAGUUUCCUUAUAAAAUAAGAAAAAGUGGUAGAAGUAUUUCUAUAAAUAUUUUAUUAAGAGAAAAAACUAUAACAUGAAGAAAAACAUGUAAAGUUUAUAUUUAAAAGAUAGUGAUAUGGGAAAGAGUGGAAAACAUUCCUUGGAAUGACGACAUGUGAUUCAAAGUAAAAUCUCAUUUUUGUUUUCUAUAGUCCUUAUGACUUUUGGUUUUUCUAUUGAGUGCCAAUAAAUAAAAGAAAAAACCCUCCUUUUUUGAAAGUUCAUUUGAACAGUUGUUUGAAGAAAAAAUCUUUAUUAAUCCAAACCCUAUCAACUUAUAUAUGACCUAUUACAUGACUAUGAAGUUUUUUAAAGUAAUUUUAAAGACAACCAAAAAAAAAUUGAUAUGAUAAAUGAUUAAAACCACUUUAUAUUCUAAUAGUAUUUUCUAUCAUAUAACAUCUUAGUGAAAUGUUUCAUAACAAAAUGAAUUAUUCUAUGAAUAUGACUUUGGAUUCCAAAUUUUGAACUUUCUAAUGCCUUAACUUAGUGGUGAGUCUCAUAGAAAAUGAAAGUUAUGGAGAAGUAGAAUGUGGACGUACUUUUUGACUUAAUAAACUGAUGUUACAACACCUUCAAGUAAUUACCUUAAAAAUGAUAUGUCAUUGCAUUGAAAAUGAUAUUAAAUUUAAUGGAGAGAUAAUUUAUAAAAAUAUCACUAAUUUUUUAAAAAGAAUAAUGUGACCUUACUGUUGUGUUAGGUUGGAAAGAAAUUUAUGCUGGUGUUAAUUUAUUUAUUUAUUUUGCAUAUUGUAAGGUCUCAAACUCGUUUAGAAAUAUGAACAAUGAUGAAGAGUUAAAAAUUUAAAAACAUUAAAUGUAUGGUUAAAGGUAUGGUUAAAGCUAUGUUUAGAUAGUUGAAAUUGCAACCAAAAAAACAAGAAAAUGAAAGAAGUUCAAAUUUUAUUUGAUUAUCUUAAAAAUAUGAAAUAAAUUACAUAUAAUGAAAAUUGUUUAGAGUUUUAUAUACUUUUAAUAUUUACUCUUUACAAAAAAGAAAAAAAAGCAAGUCAAUUUUAAUGAACUUAUGGAAAAUAUUAAACUUAAGCUUAAUUUUUUAUUUUUCUUGAUUUUUCUUUCCUUCCAUAAUUUUCCUUCACAAUCUUUCCCACUUUAUUCAAACUUUCCAUGGUCUAUACUUUAUACAUGUUUUAUCUCCUUUUUAAUUAAAAAAAUUUAAAUUUUCCAAUUAAAAUUCCAAGAUAGGCUAAUAAAAACUUAAAAUUAAUAUUACAUUUUAAACAAACUAGAUUGAUUUGAUAGAUGAUUCAAAUCAAACCUAAAUUCAAACUUAACCCAUUCAAAUUUAGCCUCUAAUGUGAGGUAUUUGACCCAAACUUAGCUCAAACUCAUUUUUACCUACUAAAGUUAGGCUUAAAUUGACUCAUAGUACUUUUAGUUGAGUUGAUUAGGUUGUAUGAUCAUAACUAGGUUUGGUAAGGUUGAGUUAGUUUGAAACUAUUCAUAAUUUUUUUUCUUUUUUAUACUUCUUUUAUAUCAUAAUUUUAAAAAUUAAAUUGGAUAACUUUUCAACAUAAUAACAAAAAUAAAUCAAUUUAUGUAUCCGUCCAACAAAAAUGAAAUAAUACAAUUAAAAUUCAACAUUUUUCUUUAAAAACUAAAAAAAAUAAAAACACACACACAUACAAAAUAGGUAUCAUUAUAUAAAAUAAUAUAAAUUAUAAAUAUAUAAAAUUAGGUUUGGGCUAGCUUGGGUUGUCAAACCUUAGCCUAAGUAGUUUCACGAUUCUCUACUACUUGUAAAAGUUUUUGGUAAAUUUUAUUAAAAUUAAUAAAAAAGAAAAAAGAAAUAAAAUGUUUUUAAAAAAUAUAAAUGCAUAAUUAAAAUUAUGCUAAUGAAACAAAGGGAAGCAAACAAGAUCAAAAUUUUUCUCUCAAAAGGUGUAGUGUAAUGACUUCAAUUUUUAAGUUUUGAAGGUCAAUCUGCCUUCAAUUAUAGAGAUAAGAAGCUUGUAGAGAAUAAAAAAUAUAUAGCAAGUGGGUAUAUAUAGAUAUAAAAUAUAUAUAUAUAUAUAUAUUGUAUGCAUCCCACUUUUGUCACGAGCAAACCCACUAGUAAACCUUUAUCAUCUUAUUAUAUAACAAGUGGGUAUAACUAGAUAUAAUAAAAAUAGGUCCUUGUUUAUUAAAUUCAAAAGUUUAUGAUCAUCACUUAGCAUUUAACAAAGUGGUACAAAUGAAGGUAAAAAUAGUAGUAUAGUCAAUAUUUUCCUACAAAAAAAGUUACUUAAUUUAAAGAAUAUUAUAAUUGAUGUGUGAUUUUUAUUUUUAUUUUUAUCAAGAAGCGAUUUUAGAGAUAAGUUUUUAUCAAGAAACAAUCUUCAAUGUUAAUUUACCAUCAUUAUCUCUAAUAUUGUACCAUUGAAUGCAAUUGCAAAACAUCUAUGUAAUUGUUAGUAAAAAAAUUUUCAUGCUUAUUAUGCAAUAUUUGUUUUAAUUUUCAAGUUGCAAUUAUAUAGUCUAAAGGUUGAGGUUCUUAGAUAAUUAUUGUUUUGAUGAGAAGUCUAAUCAUGUUGUUGUUGCUCAUGUCACUUUAAUUAGACCAAGUUUAAUGAUACUUUAGACCAUAUUUAAGGAUCCUUUUCAAAUAUCUAUCUAACCUUUGGUAUGCAAUUUGAAAAGAGGAUGGAGAGAGGAUGGUUGUUCUCCAUAAUCCAUUAAUAAAUAAAUAAAAAUAAUUAUAUUUAGCAGGAAAAUGAAAAAUUAUUGAGAUCAUUAACAAGUAAUUUUGGUAAAACUUGAUAUUUAAUGAAGUAAGAUGACUUUAAGUUAAAUUAAUUGUAAUUAAGUCAUUAAGUCUUAGUUAUUAAGACGAUUUCUCAAAAUCAUUUUUAAAUUUAUUCUUAAAAUUAAGUCAUGAAAUUGAUUUAUCAUCACCCUCUAAAGUCUUUUCAAUUUUGUACAUUUUUAUGAUACAUAUUUAAUCAUGCAUAAACAAUAAAAAAAAGGUGUUACCUCAAAAUUUUUAAUUCAAACUCCUCCAAGAUUAUUCAUGACUAAAAUUCAUUAAUUAAUUUACAUUACAAGCUUUGAAAGAAACUUGUUUUAGAACAUAAAAUUGAUAGAGAUAGUACAUAUUUUAAACUUUUAAUUAAAAUAAAAAAAUCACAACAAAAUAAUUUGAUGGAUGUUUUAGUAUUCGAAAAUAUCAUAAGUCAUUUGGUCAUGAUUUUAGAAAAGUUAGAAAUGUUCUAUAAUGCUUAAAAACAUUUUUGUUACAAAAAUUAAGUAUUUGAUAAAGUUAAAAUUCAUUUUCUAGGUAAUUGGUGGUGCCUAUGAAAUAUUUUUUUUGGUUAUACAAAUUUAUUAGUGUGAGAUGAUAUGCAACAACUUUAAAGUAUAGCAAUUAUUGAAGUUUGGACCAACCAUAUAUGUUAAAGGUGCUUCACUCCACCUUCUCAUUUUGUAUAAUCUUGUACCCUAAAAGAUUUGAAAUGAGUCUUAUUUAUAAACAUUAUAAAUAAUGUUGUGGACCCCGUAUUUCAGCUCAUGCGUUUUCCACUCGAUAGCGAGCUCGAUUUUUGUUUAAAAAAAUGACUUGGAGUCGCCACUUAUUUUUGUUUUAUUUUUAAAAGGGUAAACAAAAUAAAAAAGAAAACUCUAAGUGUAACUCCUUAUUUUGGAAAAGGUGGUCUAUGGAAAACCGGAUCAGGCUUGGGGGUCAGGUACAUCAGGAAGGUACGGUAAAGAUCGUAGCCCCCCUCUAAGUCCCUAAAGUCGGGUCUCUACUAAUAAAAGGAAGCUGACGUGGCGAUCAAUAGGAAAAUCAACAUAUACUCAAAUCGAUCAUGCACACAUGAGAAUCAAAACAUGCAUAGAAAAUGACCAGAAUGGGAAUGGAUGCAUACCUGAGCCACGAACGAGCAAUGCGCUAUCAUAAAAAUGGGGUCAGUGUAUAAUAAAGAGCACAAAACUUAUCACAUGCGUCACCAAAUAGAAAUGAAAACUGUUCGAGGGAAAAUUGAAUUUUUGAAAAUUGGAGUUUUAGAGAUUAUUUGAAAAUUGGAGUUUUAGAUAUUGUUUGAAAAUUGGAUUUUUAGAAAUUAAAUAUAAGAAUGAGAAUUUUAGAAAUUAAAUUUGAAAGAAAUUGGAAUUUUGAAAAUUAUUUGAGAAUUUGAGAUUUUUUUUUUAGAAAUUAAAUUACGAAAAUUGAGACUUUAGAAAUUAAAUUUUGAAAGAAAUCAGAAUUGAAAGUUAUUUGAGAAAUAGAAACUAUGAAAAUUGAAUUAUAAAAAUUGGAAAUCUUGGAAAUCGUUCGAAGGCAGAAUUUUUAAAAAUAAAUGAAUAAAAUGAUAAUAAUAAUAAUGAUAAUAAUAAACAAGUAACGAAAUAAAUGCGAGAAUUGGAACAUUGGAAACUGAAAAAAAUUAAGUUCGGAAAUUGGAAAAUUGGAAUUUCAGAUAACUAAAUUUGGAAAUCGGAAUUUUGAAGAAUUAUUUAAAGACGAAAUUUUAAUAAACGAAUAAGUGAAUAAAUAAAUUAAUGGAAUAAUAAUAAUGACGAAAUAAUAAAGAUUAGGUAAAUAAUUGCGAAAAAUAAAAUUUUAGAUAUUGGAGAUUGAAUUUAGAGAUUGAAAAUUUUAAGAAAUUAUUUAGAGAUGAUAUUUUUAAUAAAUGAAUAAGUGAAGAAAUAAAUGAAUGGAAUAAUAAUAAUGACGAAAUAAUAAAAAUUAGAUAAAUAAUUGCGAAAAAUAGAAUUCUAGAGAUUGAAAUUUGAAUUUAGAGAUUGAAAAUUUGAGAAAUUAUUUAGAGAUGAGAUUUUAAAUAUAUGAAUAAGUGAAUAAAUAAAUGAACAAGAUAAUAAUAAUAACGAAGAUAAUCAUUUAAACAACUGAAUGUGAAUAGUGAGAUUUUUUAGAUUGGAAAUUAAAUUUGGAAAAUAGAAUUCUAAAAAAUUGAACUUUAAUUAUUGGAAUUUGUAAAAUAAAUAAAUGGAAUGAUAAUAAUAAUAAUUAAAAUAAUAUUUAAACGAAUGAACAUGAAUAGUAGAAUUUUUUAAAUUGAAGAUUAAAUUCGAAAGUCGGAUUUUUGAAUAAUUGAACUUUAAUGAUUUGAAUUUUUAAAAGAAAUAAAUAAAUAAAUAUAGAAUAAUAAUAAUAAUAACCAAAAUAAUGUUUAAACGAAUAAACAUGAAUAGUGGAAUUUUUAAGAUUGAAAAUUAAAUUUACAAAUCAGAUUUUUGAAGAAUUGAACUUUAAUGAUUAGAAUUUUUUUUUAAAAAAAAUAAAUAAAUAUAAAAUAAUAAUAAUAAUAACAAAAAUAAUGUUUAAACGAAUGAACGUGAAUAAUGGAAUUUUUUAGAUUGAAAAUUAAAUUCGAAAAUCAUAUUUUUUAAGAAUUGAACUUUAAUCAUUGGAAUUUUUAAAAGAAAUAAAUAACUAAAUAUGGAAUAAUAAUAAUGAUAAUAAAAAUAAUGUUUAACGAAUGAACGUGAAUAGUGAAAUUUUUUUGAGAAUAAAAAUUAAAUUCGAAAGUCAGAUUUUUGAAGAAUUGAACUUUAAUGAUUAGAAUUUUUAAAAUAAAUAAAUAAAAUAAUAAAAAUAAUAUUUAAACGAAUGAACGUGAAUAGUGGAAUUUUUUAUAUCGAAAAUUAAAUUCGAAAGUCAGAUUUUUGAAGAAUUGAACCUUAAUGAUUUGAAUUUUUUUAAAAUAAAUAAAUAAAUAAAUAUGGAAUAAUAAUAAUAAUAACAAAAAUAAUGUUUAAAUGAAUGAACGUGAAUAGUGGAAUUCUUGAGAUUGAAAAUUAAAUUCGAAAAUCAGAUUUUUGAAGAAUUAAACUUUAAUGAUUGAAAUUUUUAAAAGAAAUAAAUAAAUAGAAAAUAAUAAAAAUAAUGUUUAAACGAAUGAACAUGAAUAGUGGAAUUUUUUUAGAUUGAAAAUUAAACUCGAAAGUCAGAUUUUUGAAGAAUUGAACUUUAAUGAUUGGAUUUUUUUUAAAAGAAAUAAAUAAAUAAAUAUAGAAUAAUAAUAAUAACAACAGAAAUAAUAUUUAACGAAUGAACGUGAAUAGUGAAAUUUUUUAUAUUGAAAAUUAAAUUCGGAAGUCAAAUUUUUGAAGAAUUGAACUUUAAUGAUUGGAUUUUUUUUAAAAGAAAUAAAUAAAUAAAUAUGGAAUAAUAAUAAUAACAAAAAUAAUGUUUAACGAAUGAACGUGAAUAGUGAAAUUUUUUUUAAAUUGAAAAUUAAAUUCGGAAGUCAAAUUUUCGAAGAAUUGAACUUUAAUGAUUGGAAUUUUUAAAAAAAUAUAUAAGCAAAUAAAUAAAUAGAAUAAUAAUUAAAUAAAUAAACAUGAAUAUUGGAAUUUAAAAAUGUGAAUUUUAGACAGUUACAUGAUAACAGAAUUUUUUUACAAAAACUAUAUUUUUAACAUAUAAAGAAGAAGAAUCAAGAGGGCCAAACACUAGGCCAAUGGGGUCUACACCUAACAAGCAACGGACUAGGUCCAUAAAAACCAAAUAGCCUUCAGUAAAGCCCAAUCAUAGAGGGCCCAAAUGAACAUUACCAAUCAAGUUCAAGGUUCAUCAUUCAUCAUUGUGAGAAAUCAAAUGUGCCAAAGAGAGGCACACAGAAGGUUCAUUGAGUUCCAUUUCAUAAGAGUGUUUGUUCCACAUUCUAUCCCAGUCCACUAACAUGAUAAAACAACAGCAAAAACAAUAACGCAAGUCAACAAAUCUGAAUCUUCAAUCCUAAAAAAAAAACCAGACCCCUAAAAGGGGAACUAAAAUAAAGCCCCCGUUGAAAGCAGCUUGGUCCAUUCUCUGAAGACAAUAAACGAACAAACACAGAACUCAAAAUUUCAAGUUUGCUUAACGAACCUCUGUCUUCUCUCGCUGUGAUCUUCCCUUCUGGUCGUUCUCGUUCUCCUUCCUGUUAUGGAAUCUGCUUCAGCUCCAGGAAUCUUUUUUUUUUUUUCAGUUCCCUUCCCUCUCGUUUUCUGCAACCCUUCUCUUCUUGAAUCAGCCGACCCACAAUCCCUUCUCAAGAUACUCCAUUUUCAGUUCAGUUUCUCCAUAAAUAUCUCUCUAUUUCUUGCUUUCCUUUCGCUCCCCGAAAAAAAAUUCCUAUGCGCUCAACUCUCCAAAAAUUCCCUAGAACCCUCAAUCUCCGGAACUGAAAAUCUCCUCUGUUUUUCUUAUUCCUUCCUCAGCUGAAAAUCCCCCGGUCCCGAACCCAAAAAUCCUCCACCCAACUCUCCUUUUUUUUUUCUCAAUCUCCCCUUUUUCCCGCUACUUCUCGUCCUCUUCAGCCGCCCAAAUACUGCUCGCCCCGUCCCAUCUCAUGGCCGCCCAAAGCAGUCCAUUCUGUCAUCUCUGGCCGCCACCAACGGCUGACCCUCGGUGUGGUAAAAAGAGGGAAAAAAAAAAAAAAAAAAUUCUGUCUCCAAAGGGGUCUACAAAUGUAUUUAAAUAUUUGUUUGAUUCUUUAAAGAUAUUAUUUUUUAAUUAAUCAAAUAGGAAGAUUUGAAAAUUUAUAUUUUGAUAGUCUUAAUUAUUUUAAAUAUUAUUUUUUAAUUAAAAAUAAUAUUUAAAAAGAUUUAGAAGAUUAUAUUUAAAUUAUUUUUUUAUAGGACUUGAUAAUUACUUUUUUUUAGUUAUUGAAUUUAUCAAUUUUUGUUUUUUCUAACCAUUGAGUGUGUGACUCAUGUUUUAUAGAUUUUUUGUUUAAAUAUUAUUUAAAAAAAAAAAAGGGUAACCUACAAAAUAUUAAAGGUUCUACCAUAAAAUUGUCAACUAAAAUUUGUCUUUUCAAAAGAUGAGUUCAAUAUAAAAAAAUAAAUUUACAUUUUUCAUUGAACUCAUUUUUUAAGAGAUGAGCUUAAUAUAUAAAUACUAAACUCUUCUUUCCAAAAGAAAAGUUUGUUGAAAGAUACUAUACUUGUAUUUUCAUAAAACAAAUUUCAUGUAAAAAUGUUUAACUUGUUUUUUCAAAAGGCGAGGUUUAUAUGAAAAGAUAAAUCUUUUUUUUUUUCUUGAACUUAUUGUUCCUAAAAGGUGAGUUCAAUGUUGUUGUUGUUUUAAUUUAAUUUAAUUUUUUUUUACCCCACACUAUACAUGACAUUAUAGAUUUUAUUGACAAGAGAUAUAUACUAUGUGACAAUGUUCAACUUAUCAUAAUUAAAUUUAAAUAUUGAUAUUUAAUUUCUUAUUAGUUCCAUGAAUAAUUAACUUAGUUUGAAUAUACAAUGAUUUCAUUUGGAAUAACUUUCUUUUUUUCACUUUAGUGGGAAGCUGAAGUUAUAAUUUCUCAAUGAUAAUUUUGGGCAAUAUAAAAAUUUUAUUAAUCAUGAAAGAACUUAUAUUAGUCAAAAUAAAGCUUUCAUAAAAAGUAAAAAACAAACUUAGCUUCCGUAUCUUCAUUUUAAACCAUAAGCUCUCUGAAGAAAAUUUAUCAAAGAGAGAUAGAAGUCCUUGAGCUUAUGAAAGAGUUUUUGACUUCUCAAAAAUCAAUCCAAAUAGGAUUGAUAAAUUGUAGAUGGUUAUAAUAUAAUAUUGCACAAUAUAAAUGUUAUUUUCGCUUCUAUAUUUUCCAUGGAAUUAUUUAAUUAUUUGAAUAAAGAUUUUUCCUUCGUUAUUUUUUUGUGCCUUUAAAAAAUAAAAAAUUAUUUUAAAUCUUAGGCACGAUAAUGCUUAAGUAUUUAAUAAUUUUAAUUAGAUAAUUAAAUUUUAUUUUAUAUAUAAAAUAAUUAAUUAAAUUUUAUAUUAUAUUUUAUAUAUAUAUAAAUUUAAUUAAUAAUUCAAUAAUUAUAUUUAUUUAUGUUUAAAUCAAAUUAACAAUAAGUUCAAUGCAACUAGAAAAAGGUAGCAUAUAUUUAUUAUUUUAAAGUGGAUUUUGAUUUUAAAUUAUUGCAAGUGUAUUUACUUAACUAACCAAUUAGUUGAAGUUCACUCAGCUAAUCCUUCAAUUUAAUCUUGACGUUGACAAGAACCUUGCCGGCAAUAAUUAUAAAAAGAAAAAUGCAUCAAGCUAAAGCUAAUUUUAUUAAUUCGAGUUUAAUAAAUUUUAGGUGGGUGCCCUUACCUAAUCUUUAAAAUUAAUCUUCAAGUUGAUCAUAAGAACUAAGCCAACCAUAAUUAUAAAAACAAAAAAAACGACAAGCUAAUUCCAUCAAUUUUAUUCUCUCAAAUUUAAUAAAUUGUAAGUAAGUUCUCUUAUCUAAUGUUUUAAAUUAAUCUUGAUAUAGAUAAGAACCUUGCCAACCAUAAUUAUAAAGAGAGAGAAAUGACAAACUAAUUUAAUUGGCUAAUUUUAAAUAACUCAAGCUUAAUAAAUUGUAAGUAGGUUAAUCUCUUGCCUAACCUUUUAAAUUUAAUUUUGAGAUCAAUAAGAAUCAUAUAGGCCAUAAUUAUAAAAAGAGGAAGAACACAAGCUAAAGGAAUACAAUCACAAUCAAUUGUAUAUGAUGAUAGUGAUUACCUUUUAAAUCUUCACAAGGUUAGAUCUUGAACAUGAUAUGUAUUUACAUGUGGUAAUCAUAAUGAUGAUAUUAAACAAACAAUGGUAGUCAUUUUUUCAAAUCAUUAAAAAAUACAUAAUACAAUAUUAUAUAUAUAAUUGCACAUAUUAAAAGAAAAUAUAUUAAGGGUGAUAGAAGUAAGCAUAUAUCAUUCAAGUUCUUUUAUAUUCAUAAACUUCAAAAGAGUAGUAAGAUCAAUAUUCAAAAAGUAAAAUCAAAUUAUAAUUUAGUAAACUUAUUCACAAAAGCAUUGUCAACUUCAACUCUCAAGAAGCUUAUAGAUAAUAUUGGAAUGGGACAACUCAAAGAUCUUUACAUUGGGUUACUAUGAAUAUAAUCAUGUCAACAUGAGGGGAGCAGAUAAAUAAGGAUGUUUGUAACAUCCUAUGCCCCUAGGCUAGGGGCAACCUUAUCAAUUUCACAUAUCCAUAAAAAUAAUGAAAUCACAAUCACACACAAGACAAUCAAUUUUACGUGGAAAAAUCUCUUGCUAAUAUGGAGAUACAAAACUAUAGGGUCUAAGAUCUCUAAUCUAAUAAUCCACUAUAUUAGAUCAAAGUACAUAGAUUUAUCUGAUAGCUUUACCCUAAAAACUCACUCCUACCUAUAACUUGAUUCAUGUCUCAAUGCUCUAGUGAAUUCACCUCAGCCUUUAGGAAGAUGCAAGUCCUUGUAACAAACCAAAAUUCGAUUAGUGAAUUCUUUGUUGAGAGUUUGUGAAUGAUAGAGCAAGUUGGGGUUGAUUAUAUCAAAGCAUCCAACCCCAAAACAUAUUUAGGUAAAGUAUAUAUAAGCCUAAGAUCCUAGAUGGUUGGAAAUGAAAUUUUCUUAAAAAAUAAAAUAUCAAAUUUUCAAAAUUAAUUAAGAAAAGAAUUUUUGUUUAAAAAAUAAAAUAUCAACUUUCUAUAAAUUAAUUAAGAAAUUCUUAAAAAAAAUUCUCAAAAUUGCCAAAAUUUAAUUAAAAUAUUUUAACUCAAUUAAUUUUAAAAUUUCAUAUCCAACUCUACCUUAAUAUAAAAAUAACUUGCCUUUAAUAAAUAUUUUUACACUUACUUGUAACAAUAUGGUUAAAUGAGUAGUAACAUUUAAUCUUCAAUGGAGUAAAAAAAUUCCUAUACUAGAACAAAAAAGAUUUCUUACUGGAACUAAAAUCAAAUUGACAACAUCUAACAAUUAUUAUAGACUUCAAUAUAUUUUUAAAAUUAUUUUAUAAAUAUAUUCUAUUAAGUAAAAGAGCCCCAAUAAUUGCCACGUAUCCGAGCCAUCUCUUACCAAUAAUUGCAUACAAGGGCUCCGCUUGCAGACACCUAGCUAGCCUACACCCCAUGUUUUUUCCUUUUUUUAUUUCCCAUGAAAGAAAUGUAUAGAAUUAUGGUUUUAUUUUAUUCUAUGGCAUGUACCAAGAGAUGGAAAGAGAUUAUCAGGAAAUUGACUUUCCUUUAAUAUUAUAGAAAAUGUGAGAGCAAAAUUUUUUAUUUGGCAUGUCUCAAAUGGUAUCACAUGUUCACGCUCAAAUCUCAUUUGUUUACAUUAAAGUCUCAUUUAUUUGUCUUUUUAUUUCUUGAUCCAAAUUAUUUAUAUUUUUAUUCAAUAAUCUAAUUUUAUCACUUGAUGGCUUAGUAUUUUCCUUUUAUCUUUAGAGGCUACAAUAUUUUCAAUAACUCAACUUCCAUUUUCUAUUUCAUUGUCCUAUCUCAAGACCCAUUUCAAUGAUAUCUCUUUCUUUUGAAAAGAAAGUUAGUCAAUCAUUCAUCAAAUAAUUAUAAUUUUUUUAUAAUAGAUAAAAAUAUCAUUAAUAACACUUAAUUGCAAAAUAUUUUAAUAAGAAGUGAAAAGAUUAUAUCUAAUUUGUUUCUUUGUCUUAAAUUUAAAUAGAUCUUUAUUGAAUUUUAAAUAGAACUUAAACUCAUUAAGAUUAAAUUGUUUAUUUUUAUUAAUAUUUAAAUAUUCUUAAACAUUAAAUUACUUGUUCUUAUUAAUGUGUUAAUAUUGUUAUGUGUUAAACAAAUAUUUUUCUAUCCUUAAAAUAAUAAUUUGUAUCUUCUUAGUUUUUAUAAAAAGAUAAAUCUAAGGUUAUUAUAAUAUUUUUAUGUUAUACAUCUUUACGAAAGAAUUUUCAAAGUCUUGGACCUUUUUUGGAUCCUUGUCAUCUAUUUAUGCCUUCUUUGAUAAUUUUUUGGAGCAUUCAAAUAUAUGUAAAAUCCAGAUUAUUAAAUAAGAAUUUUGACCGUUCAAACAUAUAUAAAAUCUAGAUUAUUAAAUAAUGAUAAAAUAAAAAUACUUAGAACUCUUAUGGUACGUUUUAUAAAAAAUAAAAAAAAAGGAAAGAAUUUGAAUAUCUUAUGGUACGUUUAAAAGAAAAUAAAAAAUGUGGACAUUAAAGUGGAAUGUAAACACAAUUUUAAAGUAAAGUGAGAUGAUGUUAUAGCUCCUUAAUUAAUAUGGACAAAUUUUAUGGUGUAAAAAUUAGAACGACACAAUGGUGGUGGGCCUCCCACCAAAAACUAAAAAAUGUCAAAUUAAGCAUAUGAUCUGCUUGGAAGUGGAGCACUUAACCUAAAUUAUUUGUUUACAUCUUUGUAAGUUUCUCCCAUAUAUUUGUAACUUAUUUCUAUAUAUUAUUGAAGGAAAAGAUUUUGGAUCAUGCAUGUAAUCGUUAGAGAGGGUUUCCAAUCAAGAUUUAAAUUUGGUUGUUGCAUCCUUAAUGUAAGAAGUUUAAAAAACCUGGAACUAAUCUAGUUCAUUGGAUCUUAACAAUAUAUAUAUAUAUAUAUAAGAUUUUAAAAUUGUUUAGAUAAGUAUAAUAAUUUGUAAAUAAGAGUUAAGUGUAUAAAAAAACAAAUGAGCAACUACUUUGAUUACUUUAAUACAAAUUUUCCACGCAAUGACUUGUAACUUCAAGAUAAUUAAUUGAAGUUGUUGUAACAUCACAUCAAAUCUUAAUAAUUGUGUUUAUAUUUUACUUUAAUUUUCAUUUUCAUUUGGACCCAUAACUAGCAAGGAUGAAAAUUUUCAUAUAUAUCGGCAAAAUAUCUCGGAUAUAUCGUGUAUCAGGAGUGCCAAUAUAAAUUUUCACUGGCCCAAUUUUUCCAUUUUUAUUGUCGAUUCACCAAUAUAUCAAGUUGCUGCUACUAGGCCUCGGUCAAACACGGUAAAAAAUCAAGCUGUUGUUGAGGGGAUUUGAACCUGACAAUAACCGCUAGAGCAAGUUGCUCUUUGAUAAAAGUUAUACACCAAAUUGUAUAUAUAAGAACAUUAAAAAUUAUUUUAUUAAAUAAAUUAAUUUUAAUUAUUUUAUUUUUGCAUUUGAUUUAAUUUAUUACCAAAAAUGUAAAAACAUAAUUUUUUAUAUUUUUUAUGUAAUCUAUAUAUUUAUCAAAUAUAAAAAAUAUAAAUAUUAAAAAAAUUAUACAUAUUUUAUUAUUUAUUUGAUAUAAUUGAAUACAUUUAAAUUAAAAUUGAUCCUAAUUUUAAUAUUUUAAAAUUAAACAUAUUAUCAUAUUAUUGUUGUAAAAGAAUGUUGUGCAACUUAAUAAUAAAUGUAUGGUUAUAAAAUAUAUUUUUUUAUUGAUGCAUACAAUAUUAUUAUCAAAUAUGAUAAAUUAUAUAUAUAAAAAAUUUUUGAACAAAAUAAAUUUAAAAUGUCUAUUAUACUUUCAAAUUCAUUUUUAUGAAGUUUUUCUUAUAUUUUUAGGAGUUUUGAUAAUUUUAAGUCUAUUAAUAUUUUUUUCUAAAAUGUCUAUCGAUAUAUCUCUAAUAUAUCUAUAAAAUCAAUAUAUUAAUAUAUCCGUUAUUACCGAUAUUUUCAUAAUUCAUCAGUAGCAAGUUCGAAUUGACUCAAACAUUAGGAUCCAAAAGUCACCAUAGAGACAUUGCAUUGACACAACCUAGAGAAGCUUCCAAGUGGACUGCACAUGCUAACAUGUCUUGGAGGGUUGAAAAUCAAUGGUUGUCCAAAGUUGGUGUCAUUUCCAGAGUUAGGGUUCCUGCCCAUGCUUAGACAUCUUGUUAUUGUUAGUUGUGAAGGUCUACAAUGUCUAUCCAAUUAGAUGAUGGUGAUGAAGGAUGGUAGUAUUAACAGUAGCAACAUGCGUCUCUUUGAAUACUUGGAGAUAGAUACGUGCCCAUCUCUCAUUGCUUUUCCAGACGUUGAGUUACCCACCACGCUUAAGGAACUCAAGCUAUGGAGGUGUGAAAAACUGGAGUCUCUACCGAGGGGAUGAUGCACCAUGAUUCAAACACCACCACCACCACCAGUGAUGGUCUUCAUGUCUUGGUCAUUGGGGUAUGCCCAUCUCUCACAUUCCUCCCCACAGACAAGUUUCCCUCCACCAUCAAGAAACUUUAUAUUAUGAAUUGUACACAACUGGAGUCAAUUUCAGAAAAGAUAUUAUUACAAGGAAAAAUGGAGAGAAAAAUUGGCAGAUUCUCUUUUCAUUGAUUGAAAAAAUGAGCUGUAUAGAGAGCACCAAAACAGAGUAGCAAAAAUGUCUUUUAUAAUAGAAGUCACGCAUAAGGAGUUGUAGAGCUCUGUAGAGAAAAAACAACCUAACCAACUAUUGGUUAUAACAGAAAAAAUAAAAUAAAAAUAAAAAACUAAAACUAAUAUGCUAAAAUUCUCCCUCAAGAUGGAGAAUAUAGAUCAUGAAUUCCCAUCUUGCCCAAGAGACCAUGAAAUUGAUUGGGAUGGAAAGCCUUAGUAAGAAUGUCAGCAAGUUGGUUUUGUGAGGUAACAUGUAGAGUCUUGAGAAUCAUAGCUUGAAUCUUCUCUCAAAUGAUAUGACAAUCAAUCUCAAUAUGUUUGGUGCGCUCAUGGUAGACUGAGUUUGUUGCAAUGUGGAUAGCAGCUUGGUUGUCACAAUAAAGAACAGUUAGCCCAUGAUGGGCUAUCUUCAAGUCGUGAAGAAGAGACAAGAGCCACAGAAUCUCACAAGUAGUGUUGGCCAUGGAUUGGUACUCGGCUUCAACAGAUGAGCGAGAGACAAUCGGUUGUUUCUUGGACUUCCAAGAGAUGAGGGAGGUCCUAAGAAACACACAAAAACCAGAAAUAGAACGAUGAGUGUCAAGACAAAAGGCCCAAUCAGAAUCUGCGAAGGCUUUGAGUUGCACUUUGGAAUUUGAUGAAAAGAAAAGUCCUUGGUCUAGGGUUCGCUUGAUGUACUGUAAAAUGUGAAAAACAACCUGAAGAUGUGGCUUGCAAGGGGCUGCUAAGAAUUGGCUAAGACGAUUUAUAGAAUAACUAAGGUCAGGACGAGUAAUAGUAAGAUAUAGCAGCUUACCAAUGAGUUACCUAUAGUUGGUAGGAUUUUCAAUCAAGUCACCAUCAUCUUGAGAUAGUUUCAAAUUAGGAUCCAUGGGAAUGGUGGUAGGUUUGCAACCCAAAUGUUCAGUGUCUGAGAGCAAUUCCAACGCAUACUUGCAUUGACAAAUAGAGAUACCAACAAUAGAUCGAGCCACUUCCAAGCCUAGAAAAUAUCUGAGUGGCCCCAAGUUCUUCAUCUUAAACUUGUAGUUGAGGCGAUGCUUUAAAGUAUCCACAAUAAGUUGAUCAUUACUAGCAAUAAUGAUGUCAUCAACAUAGAUCAAAAGAGCUAAGAAAGAAGUACCUUGAUGUUUUGUGAACAAGGUGUGAUCACUAGUUGAUUGAACAAAACCUUCUGAUAAGAGAGCAUUGGAGAACUUGUGGAACCAUUGAUAGGAGACCUGUUUCAAACCAUAGAUAGACUUAUGCAGCCUGCACACAGCAUUAGGAGGCAAAUGUUCCCCCUCAUGGCAAGUGUAUCCAGGGGGAAGACUCAUGUAAACUUCCUCCAUAAGGUCACCAUGAAGGAAUGCAUUAGUGACAUCAAGUUAAGUGAGAGACCAACAAUGAAUUGCAGCUAAAGAAAACAACAUUUUAACAGUAACUAGCUUGGCAACAGGAGAUAAGGUAUCAAGAUAAUCAAUACCUUCUUGUUGUGCAAAUCCCUUAGACACAAGGCGUGCUUUGUAUCUAUCCACAGUGCCAUCAGCUCGAAACUUGACUUUGUACACCCAUUUACAACCAACCACUUGUUUGCUAAUGGGAAGAGAGCAAAUGGACCAAGUGUCAUUGCUUUCCAAUGCCUGCAAUUCAAUAUUCAUAGCAUCGCGCCACACUUGAGACUCAAUGGCCUGAGAGAAUGAUGUUUGGUUUUGUUUGAGAACUAAUGGUGAGAGCAAGUUCAUGGUAUGGCCUGGAAAGCUUGUGGUAACUCAAGCAAGAGGAAAUAGGAUAUAGAGAAGGCUUAGAAGAAACAUGUCCAAUGAGGUAAUAGUGAUAAUUAGACAAGUAAGUUGGUUUUGUGGUGACACGAUGUGGACAUAAGGCUGUUUGAAUUGGGGCUAGUGAGGAAAUGCACUCUGGACUAUGGGAAGAAGACAUGUUGGGCUGACUAUAAAAAGGCUCGGAGAUGGACUGAAUUGGCUUAGAAAAGACACGAUCAUUAAACAAAUCAAUUCAUGAAAAAUGACAUUCCAAGAAAUGUAGAUCUUAUUGCUUUCUAAGUCAAGUAACUUGUAACCCUUAUAACCAAAAGGAUAGCCAAGAAAAACAGAAGCUCGAGCACGAGGGACAAACUUUGUACGUUGGUUAGAAAGCGUGGAAGCAUAACAUAGACACCCAAAAAUGCGAAGAUGGUUGUAGGUGGGUUUGUUGUUAUUCAACAACUCAAAUGGGGUUUUAUUGGAUAGUAAUGGAGAGGGUGUACGAUUGAUUAAAUAAACAACAGUCAAAACACAAUCACCCUAAUAACAAGAAGGAACACAAGAUUGAAACAAUAAGGCUUGUGCCACAUUAAGUAUGUGUUGAUGUUUACGCUCUACAACUGAGUUUUGUUCAGGUGUAGCAACACAAGAAUGAUAAGGAAUAAUACCCUUGGUACGAAAAAAAAAUAAUGGAAAGCUAAUUUAGGGGCAUUAUCGAAAUGGACAUAUUUAAUUGCAGUGUUAUAUUGAGUAGAAAUCAAAUUGAAAAAUUUAGGAAAGAUAGUGAGAACAUCAGUUUUAGCACAAAGAAGAUAUACCCAAGUAGCACGUGUGCAGUCAUCAACAAUAGUGAGGAAAUAUAUGUGUCCAACUAGUGUACUAACAUUAAAUGGUCCCCAAAUGUCAAUGUGAACUAUAUCAAAAGGAUUAGUUGACAUAUUAUUAUGUGAAACAAAAGGUAAACGUUUUUGCUUGGCCAUAAGACAAAUUUUACAGUGAGAAGACAAACGGGAUAAAUAAUUGGCAAUGUGUAAUUCAUUGUGAAGAAUUUGAAUUUUUACAUGAGAUGGAUGUCCAAGGCGAAAAUGCCAAAAUAUCACUUUUCGACAUUACAGAAUUUAUAAAAAUAGAAUUACAAAAUUCAUUCCCUGAUUCUAGAAAAUAAAGGUUCUUUCGUCUUCUACCUUUCCCAAUCGUCAAGCCCCGAGUGAGGUCCUGAAUGAAACAUGAAUUUGAAAGGAAAUUAACACUACAAUUAUGGCUAAGAGUAAGAGCACUAAUGCUGAGAAGAUUGAAAGUGAACAUGGGGACAAACAAGACAUUAUCCAAGUUCAAAGUAUCAGACAACCUCACAGAACCUACACGAUUGAUUGCAACAGCAUGACCAUUAGGAAGAGUGAUUGUGGUAUUAUGAACCAGUCUGGAAUGAGAAAACAAAGAAAUAUUGCAACAGACAUGGUGGGUGGCCUCUGUGUCAAUCACCCAAGCAUGGGAAGGAACAAAAGGAUGAGAAAAAAACUGAGUAGAACAAUUGUUACCAUAGAUUUGAGAAAUUGAAGGUUCUGAUGUCGAUGGAGACUCAAGUGGGUUGAUAGUUUGUUGUUGAAGGUGCGUGCUAAGGUAGGCAAUGAGUUGUUGAACUUGAUCCGAUGAGAGAUAGACUGGUGGUGGGGAAGAUCCCACUGUAGCAACAGCAGCGGAAGGGAAAUAAUGAAUGCCCUUCAAUGGUUCAGUAAAGGAGCUUGGUGAAGUAGAUUGGGAUUGAAGGGGGCUUGUCUAGGCCAUUUAUGUUUGGGCUUUCCCUUUGGGCUUAUAACCUGGUGGAAAACUGAUUACUACUCAAAAAGUGCUCUUUGAUAGCUUGUAAUAAACUCUUUUAAACACUUUUGAGUAGUAUUUAUUGCCUUUUAACCCAAUUAACAUGUUAAGGACCCUUUAAAUCAAUUCUAAUCAAAUUGUGUUAAGUUUUAGUGUUUUGAUAGCCUUUUGAUCACCAAAGCAAUCCGAGAUUGAGGAGAGUUAUAUGGAAUCUUGGGCAAAGCAAUUGGAAGCUCAGAAACAUGAAGAACUAAAGCUUGGAAGUCCUUUGCCAUGAGUAAAUCAAGAAUGCAAGGAGAAGAAGUAAAGAGAAUCUGCCAUGAAGCAUAUUCUUGAUGACAGUCGUGUUAGCCACUUUUGGAGCACUUUUUGAAGUCCAAUUGAUGCAUGCUAUAUACCAUUUCAAAUCUCAGGAAGUCAACAAUCCAAUACUUCAAACGGUAUGCAAUUCGGAGUUGAAACGAAGAAGUUACAGCCACUACAAGUCAAUCACUCUAAGCUGAAGGAAGCAUUUUGCAAAGUGUUGCGAAAUCACCCUUUUGUUGCGAAAUGAUUUUGCAGCUUUUUUGUACAGUGUUGUGGAUUUCCACCUGAAGUUUCCCGAUAUAUGCCGCACGUUGGAAGGUGAGAACCUCAAGAUGAAAGCCAACUUCGCAGCCCUGCGAGAAUAGCCUUUUGCUGCGAAAUGAUUUCGCAGCCCUUUUUGUAUGUCUGUGAAAUCUCGCAGACAUCAUUUUCUCUUGCGAAAUGGUCCUUAGUGCUUCCCGAUAUUUGCUACCGACAUUGGGAGAUAUUUUCCAUUAGAUUUUUGUUGUCUAAAUCCCAAAAUUCUCCUUGUAAGCCACCAAUUACAAGAUUCCUUAGCUUUUAAGUUAGUAAAAAGAAUAAAUAUCCAUGUAAUAAUUAGUUUUGUAUUAUGUUCAUAUAUAUACUCCUCGAGAGCCUGUUCUCGAAGGAGGAGACUGUUUGUAAAUUUUUGGGGAAAGCAAGUAAAGUUCAGGUCCUUUGUUUAGCCUUACCUUCCCACUUUGUAUUUUUUAUUUCUUACUAAGUUAUGCACUCUCUGAGGAAUUUUCCCUAGAGAAUGAGUAACUAAACCUUUAGUUCCUUGGAGCUAAGGUUGCCGAGGAAGGUUCCAAGUGCAAGAAUGCAAAGCUUUGUGGUUUCAGCCAUUAAUGAAGAGGAAGUGAAAUCCUUUAGUGAUUUCUAUGUUUUUAGUUAACUUAAAACACCUUAGAGUCACCUGGGCCAACACUUGGUAAGGCAAGUGAUCUCCAACCAAGGAGAUGCACUAGUUUACCCCUUGCGAGCCUCUGGGAGGUGACUUUAAGGUAGGAUUUUCUGGAAUUGCCAACACUUGGUAAGCUUUUGGACUCCAAGGAGACAUCCAUUAGUUAUCUCUUGCGAGCUUGAGAAGGGAAAUCCAAGGUUAAAGAUCACCUUGAAUGGUUAAGGCUUAGUGAGAGGCUUGAACUAUUGCAAGUUGCAUCAGUGAGAGAAUUAAAGUUGAAAUCUAAUUAAAGGAUGUAUCUGUAUAACACCGGUUAGAGAAUUGACUAUAUGUUGAAUCUCUAACGCGAGGAAAUGAACCAUCUGACCGGAGCUAUGUCUUUUGCAUGAGGAACCACCUCAGUGAACCUGACCCUCCAAGGAAUGUUUUUCUUCCUAAGUUAUUCCCAUUACUUGUUUUGUAGUUAGUUUAAAUCUAAAUCUUUACCAAUUAAAGUUUGUGUUUUAUUUCUUAAGCUAACCUUGAAAUGAAACAAGACCAAUUCACUUUGAAUUGGUAUCAUUGAUAAUUUGCUAAUCCUUCCCAGUGAACGAUCCUAGAGCUGCUAUACUAUAGUAGCUUUUUCUUUGCUACCCUAGUAUAUGGUGUAAUAGGUUAAAAAUAUUGUUGAUUACUCCCUCAUCCAAGGAGCACCAACUGGACACGAAUCAUCUGAGACACCAAUUGGGCAUGAAUCAAAUGGCGCCGUUGCCGGGGAAGGUGUCAAGUCUAUAGUGAUACCAUUUUAGAGCACUUGUGAUUUUUUAUCACAAGUUUGGUAACGUUUCUUUCACUUUACUAAUUCUCAUUCUUUAUUUAUUUAUUCAUAAUCUAAGUUUAUCUUUUAAAUUUAGCCUAGUUUAAUUUUUUUGUAGCCCUGUUUUCUUUUGUUGUCCUUUAUUUUCAUUUAAGUUGCAGAUAGAUACUAGUUGUGUAUGCCAAAGUGGAUACGAGACAGUGGAGGAAGGCUUGUUAAGUGUGAUACAUCUCAUAACAAAGAAUUCGAAUUGAGCUUGAAUAUCAUGGAAGCUACACCUGAAGAUCAGCAUAGUCACCAAGGUCGUCAAGACAAUCUCAAUGAAUUCAGAUCAAUGAGGGACCGCAUGCAUCCACCUCGUAUGAGUGCACCAUCAUGUAUAGUGCCCCCUACAGAGCAGCUAGUGAUCAGACCGUAUCUUGUUCCACUUCUACCAACUUUCCAUGGGAUGGAAAGUGAGAAUCCCUAUGGACACAUCAAGGAAUUUGAAGAUGUUUGUAAUACAUUCCAAGAGGGGGGAGCUUCAAUUGAUUUGAUGAGGCUUAAGUUAUUUCCUUUUACUUUAAAGGAUAAGGCCAAAAUUUGGCUUAAUUCUUUAAGGCCAAGGAGUAUCCGCACUUGGAUUGACUUACAAGCUGAAUUCCUCAAGAAAUUUUUUCCCACUCAUAGAACAAAUGGCUUGAAAAGGCAAAUUUCGAACUUCUCAGCUAAAGAGAAUGAGAAAUUCUAUGAGUGUUGGGAAAGGUAUAUGGAAGCUAUAAAUGCUAGCCCUCACCAUGGCUUUGAUACUUGGCUAUUGGUGAGCUAUUUUUAUGAUGGGAUGUCUUUCUCAAUGAAGCAACUCCUCGAGACAAUGUGUGGAGGAGAUUUCAUGAGCAAAAAUCCGGAGGAAGCCAUGGAUUUCUUGAGCUAUGUAGCUGAAGUUUCAAGGGGAUGGGAUGAACCAACCAAAGGAGAAGUGGGUAAGAUGAAUUCUCAACUGAGUGCUUUCAAUGCUAAGGCUGGGAUGUAUACCCUGAAAGAAGAUGAUGAUAUGAAAGCAAAGUUGGCAGCUAUGACAAGAAGAUUGGAGGAGCUGGAGCUGAAAAGAAUACAUGAAGUGCAAGCUGUUGCUGAAGCACCAGUGCAAGUGAAGCUGUGUCCUAAUUGUCAAUCAUAUGAACAUUUGGUGGAGGAAUGCCCUGCAAUUUCAGCUGAAAGGGAAAUGUUUAGAGAUCAAGCAAAUGUUGUUGGACAAUUCAAGCCCAAUAACAAUGCACCUUAUGGAAAUACUUACAACUCAAGUUGGAGGAAUCAUCCAAAUUUCUCAUAGAAGGCCAGAGCAACUCAAUACCAACAGCCGGAUCCACCAUCUCAACAAUCUUCAAGUCUUGAACAAGCAAUAGCGAAUCUCAACAAGGUAGUGGGAGAUUUUGUUGGAAACCAAGAAGCCACCAAUGCUCAAAUCAAUCAAAGAAUUGACAGAGUGGAGAGUACUUUGAAUAAAAGGAUGGAUGGAAUGCAAAAUGAUAUAUCCCAAAAGUUUGAUAAUAUCCAAUACUCAAUUUCAAGGCUCACAAAUUUGAACACAGUGCAAGAAAAUGGAAGAUUUCCUUCUCAACCCCACCAAAACCCCAAAGGUGUCCAUGAAGUGGAAAGCCAAGAGGGAGAAUCAUCACAGAUGAAAGAUGUCAAAGCCUUGAUCACUCUAAGGAGUGGUAAAAAAAUUGAGAAGCCAACACCCAAGCCACAUGUUGAGAAAGAAGAAGAGAUAAAGAAAGGGGAAGAAAUGGAAGACAAAGAGAGUGAGAUCAGUGGAAAGAAGAAAGACUAUGAUUCAACAAUGAAUGAAAUUCCAGAGAAGGAACUUCUGAAGGAAGAAAUGCUGAAGAAAUCAACUUCUCCACCUUUUCCUCAAGCAUUACAUGAGAAAAAGGGGAUUAGAAAUGCAGCUGAAAUCCUUGAAGUAUUGAGACAAGUGAAAGUCAAUAUCCCACUGCUGGAUAUGAUUAAACAAGUUCCAACGUAUGCAAAAUUCCUAAACGACUUAUGUACUAUCAAAAGAGGGUUGACUGUAAACAAGAAAGCCUUCUUGACUAAGCAAGUAAGUGCAAUCCUACAAUGUAAGUCUCCAUUGAAGUACAAAGAUCCGGGAAGUCCUACCAUUUCAGUCAUGAUUGGAGGAAAGGUAGUGGAGAAAGCUUUGUUAGACUUGGGAGCAAGUGUGAAUUUGCUUCCAUAUUCCAUCUACAAGCAAUUGGGACUUGGAGAGUUGAAGCCAACGGCAAUCACUCUAUCUCUAGCAGAUAGAUCAGUAAAAAUUCCAAGGGGGGUAAUUGAGGCUGUCUUGGUUCAAGUGGAUAAUUUCUACUAUCCAGUAGAUUUUAUUGUUCUUGAUACAGAUCCUACUGUAAAGGAAGCUAAUUUAGUUCCUAUCAUCCUUGGAAGGCCAUUUCUUGCUACCUCAAAUGCAAUCAUCAACUGCAGGAAUGGGCUGAUGCAACUCACUUUUGGCAACAUGACACUUGAUCUCAAUAUUUUUUAUAUGUCUAAAAAGCAAACCACUCCGGAAGAAGAAGAGGGUUCAGAAGAGCUGUGCAUUAUUGACACUUUAGUGGAGGAGCACUGUAAUCAGAAUAUCCAAGACAAGUUGAAUGAAAGUCUUGGGGAUUUUAAGGAAGGGUUGUCUGAAUCCCCUAAUGUGCUUGCUACUCUACAAAGUUGGAGAAAGGUAGAAGAGAUUCUACCUUUGUUCAAUAAAGAAGAAGAGGCAGCUGCUGAAAAAGAAAUUCCAAAACUCAAUCUGAAGCCUCUACCUGUGGAGCUGAAAUAUAUAUAUCUUGAGGAAAAUAAUCAAUGUCCUGUUGUAAUAUCUUCAUCUCUGACCAGUCAUCAAGAGAAUUGUUUAAUAGAAGUUCUCAAGAGGUGUAAGAAGGCAAUAGGAUGACAAAUAUCUUACUUGAAAGGCAUUAGUCCUUUAGUUUGUACUCAUCAUAUAUAUAUGGAGGAGGAAGCAAAGCCAAUUCGUCAACUUCAAAGGAGAUUGAAUCCUCAUUUACAAGAGGUGGUGCGAGCUGAGGUGCUGAAGCUACUUCAAGCAUGCAUUAUUUACCCUAUAUUUGAUAGCCCUUGGGUGAGUCCUACUCAAGUGGUACCAAAGAAGUCAGGGAUUACAGUGGUUCAGAAUGAAAAAGGAGAAGAAAUUACUACACGCCUCACUUCAGGUUGGAGGGUGUGUAUUGAUUAUAGAAAGUUGAAUGCUGUAACCAGGAAAGGUCAUUUUCCAUUGCCAUUUAUUGACCAAGUGCUGGAGAGAGUCUCUGGACAUCCGUUCUAUUGCUUCUUAAACGGGUAUUCAGGGUAUUUUCAGAUUGAAAUUGAUGUGGCAGAUCAGGAAAAUACUACUUUUACAUGUCCAUUUGGAACAUAUGCUUACAGGAGAAUGCCUUUUGGUUUAUGCAAUGCACCUGCUACAUUUCAAAGAUGUAUGUUGAGUAUUUUCAGUGAUAUGGUGGAGCGAAUUAUAGAGGUUUUCAUGGAUGACAUCAUCGUAUAUGGAGGUACAUUUGAGGAAUGCUUAGUCAAUUUGGAAGCAGUUCUUCACAGAUGCAUUGAAAAAGACCUGGUGCUCAACUGGGAAAAAUGCCAUUUUAUGGUACGUCAAGGAAUUGUCCUUGGCCAUAUCAUCUCUGAAAAAGGCAUUGAAGUUGAUAAAGCAAAGGUGGAGCUUAUUGUCAAAUUACCAUCCCCAACAACUGUAAAAGGAGUAAGGCAGUUCCUUGGCCAUGCAGGGUUCUAUAGGAGGUUUAUAAAAGGUUUUUCAAGUCUUUCAAAACCUCUUUGUGAGCUGUUAGCUAAGGAUGCUAAGUUUAUAUGGGAUUAAAGAUGUCAAAAUAGCUUUGAUCAACUGAAGAAAUUUUUAACAACAACUCCAAUAUUGAGAGCCCCUAACUGGCAACUAAUUUUUGAACUGAUGUGUGAUGCCAGUGACUUUGCUAUAGGAGUUGUACUUGGCCAAAGAGAAGAUGGGAAGCCCUAUGUGAUUUACUAUGCGAGCAAAACACUGAAUGAAGCUCAAAGGAACUACACAACUACAGAGAAAGAAUUGUUAGCUGUGGUAUUUGCCUUGGACAAAUUUCGUGCUUAUUUAGUGGGGUCUUUCAUCAUUGUUUUCACUGACCAUUCAGCCUUGAAGUAUUUAUUGACAAAGCAAGAUGCAAAAUCAAGGUUGAUUAGAUGGAUUCUUUUGUUACAAGAAUUCGAUCUCCAAAUCAAAGAUAAGAAAGGAGUGGAAAAUGUGGUAGCUGACCACCUUUCAAGGUUAGUUAUAGCACAUAAUUCCCAUUCCUUACCUAUUAAUGAUGAUUUUCCUGAAAAAUCACUCAUGUUCCUAGUGAAAACUCCUUGGUAUGCUCAUAUUGCUAAUUAUUUAGUAACUGGUGAAAUUCCAAGUGAGUGGAAUGCACAGGACAGGAAGCACUUCUUUGCAAAAAUUCAUGCUUAUUAUUGGGAAGAGCCCUUUCUUUUUAAGUAUUGUGCAGAUCAGAUCAUAAGGAAGUGUGUCCUUGAAGAUGAGCAGCAAGGGAUUCUAAACCAUUGUCAUGAGAAUGCAUGUGGAGGCCACUUUGCCUCUCAGAAAACAGCCAUGAAGGUGUUGCAAUCAGGGUUUACUUGGCCAUCUCUUUUCAAAGAUGCCCACAUCAUGUGUAGGAGUUGUGAUAGAUGUCAAAGGCUUGGAAAUCUAACAAAAAGAAAUCAAAUGCCUAUGAACCCCAUUCUAAUAGUUGAGCUAUUUGAUGUAUGGGGCAUUGACUUCAUGGGGCCUUUCCCAAUGUCUUUUGGUAAUUCUUACAUCUUGGUGGGGGUGGAUUAUGUUUCUAAAUGGGUUGAGGCAAUCCCCUGUAAACAAAAUGAUCACAGGGUGGUUCUCAAGUUUCUUAAAGAGAACAUUUUCUCGAGGUUUGGGGUGCCCAAAGCCAUAAUCAGUGAUGGAGGUGCUCAUUUUUGCAACAAACCUUUUGAAGCUCUAUUAUCCAAGUAUGGAGUGAAGCAUAAGGUUGCUACACCUUAUCAUCCUCAGACUUCCGGGCAAGUUGAGCUAGCUAAUAGGGAAAUAAAGAACAUAUUGAUGAAAGUGGUGAAUUCAAGCAGAAAAGAUUGGUCUAUUAGGCUUCAUGAUUCAUUGUGGGCGUAUAGAACAGCUUAUAAGACUAUUCUUGGCAUGUCUCCCUAUCGUUUUGUAUAUGGCAAAGCAUGCCAUCUCCCUGUGGAGGUUGAAUACAAAGCUUGGUGGGCAAUUAAGAAGCUGAACAUGGACUUGAUCAGAGCCGGAGCAAAGAGAUAUCUAGACCUUAAUGAGAUGGAGGAAUUAAGAAAUGAUGCUUAUAUCAAUUCCAAAGUUGCAAAACAGAGGAUGAAGAAGUGGCAUGAUCAACUAAUCUCCAACAAGGAAUUUCAAAAAGGACAAAGGGUUUUACUGUAUGACACAAGACUCCAUAUCUUUCCUGGAAAGCUCAAGUCACGGUGGAUAGGCCCGUUCAUUAUUCACCAAGUAUAUGCCAAUGGAGUGGUGGAAUUAUUGAAUUCCAAUGGCAAAGACACCUUUAGAGUCAAUGGAUAUCGUCUCAAGCCAUUCAUGGAGCCAUUCAAACCAGAAAAUGAGGAAAUCAACCUCCUUGAGCCACAAAAAGCCUAAGCAAAUAAGGGUUUGGUGGACGUGGUUUUACCACAGUCCAAAAUUUUUGUAAAUUUUGUAAAUUUCAAAGUUUUUUCCAUACUUUUGAUCUUAGUUUUUUUUUAUCUUAAAUCAUGUUUUUAUUUGUGUUUUAAUCUUUUUGAAUGAUCUCAGGUGGAAGAAAAUGCAAAGAAAUUGAAAGGAAGAAAUCGAAGCGAAAUCGGAGCAAAAACAGAGUGAAAACAGAGCAAAAACAGGGCUCUGCGAGACUUCGCAACCUAAGGAAAUCUUCUGCGAAAUUAGCACUUUGCUGCCAAACCAUUCCGCAACUCAUUUGACUCCUUUGCGAGAAUUUUGGUAGCUGCGAAACUGAUUUUGGCACACGAGUGCCACUUCGCAACACAGGAGCCCCCAUUUCGCAUCUGCGAAAUGGAUGCGAAGCGAUAAAGCGUGAAAAUCCCUAAUUUCGCAACCAAAGUUCCAUUCUGCAGGGUAUUUCGCAAUUGCGAAAGCAAUUUUGGCACACGUGUGCCACUUCGCAGCACAAUGACACUCAAUUCGCAGCUGCGAAACGGAUUAAGAAAAUGGGCUGCGAAAAUGGCUUUUUGCUACGAAAUUAGCCUUUUUCUACGAAACUCAAAAUGACACUUAAUCUUCCGUUAUUUUUAUUUAUACCGGUCAUUUGAGCUGCGAAAGGGUUUCAAAAAUAGAGCGCGCCAUACUUGCAGACUAUUCAUUUCCUUGCUCGAGCCCGACACCGCACAAACCUCCGUUCAUCUUCUCCGGUCGUCACUUCCGGCCAAAUUUCGGAAUUCCGAAAUGGCGCGAACCAGAGGAGCUAAAUCUUCCUCUCCUUCAAGCCGCAAGAGAGACCUGCGAGGGGAGCCCAUUCUAGAUCCCACCUCUGAGCCUCUACGACCUAAAGCAGUUUCUCCUCCGGUGAAGCCCGCGCCGCAGAAGCCUCCGGCGAGGCGUUAUCUCACCAGGUCAGGGGGUCGGCCACUGCAAAAGAGAGCCAGGGUUGAAAGAUCAGAGCCCAUUGAUCUAACAGAGUAGUCCCCAGAACCCUCGCUGGUUCCAUUUCCAGUUCUAUCUUUGGUGCCAUCUCUGGCGCCGCCAAUAGAGCCUAAGGAGCCUCAGCCGCCACUUCCCAAACUCCAAAAUCCAUCUGAGAUAGCCCCUAAAGCAGUAAUCAGGCGGCCGAUGCUGACUCAACCUUCAAUUGAGGGGAAUUUGGACUGCAGAGCUCGGCCAUUCCACUCCGAGCUGUGCUUUGACACAGCCACGUUCCAAUUGCGGCCGAAGCUUGCACAAUCAUUCCACCUGCUGCGAAGAUACCACAUGGAGUAGCUGUUGGCUCCAAGAGACUUCUUCUACCCCAGGGUAGCCAUGGAUUUUUAUCAGUCCAUGACUACCAAACAGGUAAGGGAUCCUACUUUAAUCCAUUUUACCAUUGAUGGGAGGCAUGGCAUAUUGGGAGCUCGCCAUAUAGCUAAGGCCUUGCAAAUACCAUAUGAGCCAACUCAUUUUGAGGAUUUCAGAGUGUGGACCAGUCCUACUGAGCUGGAAAUGGUGCAUAUCCUAUCUAGAGGAGCUUCCACACGACCACAUCUAUUGAGGGGGGAGCUUCCUUCAAUCAUGUUUCUUAUUGAUGCAUUUUUGCAUCAUAACCUCUACCCACUGCAGCAUUGGACUCAGAGGAGAGAAGUGCUUCUAGAGGCCUUAUUCAAGAUUUCUGAGGGAUAUUUCUUCGACCCUCACCAUCUGAUUAUGGCUUCCAUUCUCUAUUUCGAAGAGAAUGUGCAUAAAAAGAAGCUGCAAAGAGCUGAUGCCAUUCCUCUUCUCUUUCCAAGGCUGCUGUGCCAAAUUCUAGAGCACCUGGGGUAUCCAUCAGAGCCUCAGUUGGAGCGCAAGCGCAUUUGCCGAGAGGUAUUUACUCUCGACAAAUGGAACAACAUGACAGUCGAUAGAGUUGAGCAGUCAGAGCACCCACAGCCAGCUACUAAGAGAGCAUCCCCACGACACAUACCUGAGGGUAUGCCUAUUGCUGCUCCUGCCAUUCCCAGAGCUCCACCAGUUACUCCAGCUUCAGCUGAGCCAUCCACUUCAGCUGAACCAAGGAUGGCCAUUCCCAUUUCUGAAUAUAGAGAGUUAUGUCGUUCAUUGCAGACCCUUACAGCAUCUCAGAGUAGCCUUGCUCAGGAGAUGGCAGCCAUUCGAGCAUGCCAAGAGCAGAUGUUGGCCACCCAGGCUCAGCACACUGCCAUCUUGAGGCAACUCCAGCAUCAUUUCGACCUGCCUUCAGCUGCUGAGCCCUCCACCUCCACCACUGCAGUGCCACACUCUCAUCCCACAGAGCCUCAAGCCCAUUCUGGAGCAGCUACUGAAGAGGCAGACCCAUCUGCCUAGCCCCAACACCACCCACUCAUCAGAUCAUUAUAUAUAUCUACUGCAUAUGUCUUUUAUGUAUUUCGUUUUUAGUUUUUUUUUAAAAAAUCCCAUUAUUUUGGUACCAUAUAUGGGAUUGCUUGUAUUGUCUUCUUUUUCAUUGUACUCAAAUGGAUUCAAAGUAAUACAAGUCUAAUAUUUUUUUUUGUUAACCUUUAGCAUUAAUUUAUUCUUAUUUCCUUUUCUCACAGCUUUUAUUCUUUUUGAAACAUGUGGUUUCUCCAAUUAGUAUUCGAAAUUGAUAUCACUCAGGAGGUACCACUUCCUCCCUUUAAUUGCAAUCACCCAUAUCACAUUGAGGACAAUGCUCAGUUUGGUUGGGGGGGAGAAAUGAGAAAGGAAUGAAGUAUGAUAAGUUAAAGGCAGUAUGCUAAAUCUUUUUGGUAAUGCAAUUAGGUUGGUAAUCAGUUGUAGUUUUUGCUUUUUACCCUUUUUAUUCUAUUCUCCAUGGAUUUUGAGGAAAAAUUUUCAAAUUAAAAUAAGAGAAAUUGAACUGUUGCUUUUCACUUGACUUAGAGUAUGGAUUAUGCUUACUAAAGUGGUUCAAUUGUUGAAGCUUCUAUUGAAAUCAAAUUUAGUUCUUCCACUUUAAGCUAUUCACACACUGUGCACAAUAGGUUCCGAGUAUAAGAUGAAAAACUAUUUCCCUCUUGACUUAGGAAAAUUGUGGGACUUGGUACCUUUGACCUCAUUUGAUAAAGUUGAGACACCUUGUGAAAGGCCAAUGAGCUUUUGAAAUAAAGAAAGAAAGUGUUUGCUUGCCUUGAAACCCGAGCAAGGUCUGAGGGGUAUAUGGUGAAAAUCCUUAAAGCCUGGUGCCCUAAGCCUUAAUUGGUUGGGAGUCACCGACCUCAAUGCUCGUUACAAGGGUGGAUAGGUGGAGUUAGCAUAUGGUAGGUGCAUGGGUAUUAAAAAUUCAUUCUCAAAAGUCCGGGGAAAAAUCCGAGGAGUUAGUGGUUGAAAGAUCCUUAAAGCUUGAUGCCCUAAACCUUAAUUGGUUGGGAGUCAUCGAUGGACCCCCGUUAUAUGGACAAUUCAGAAAGAAUACCCCUUUAAGCCUCCUUAAAAAAAAAAAAAAAAAAAAAAAAGUGUGUUCUUUUCUUAUUGAUUUUGGUCAGUUUGCUAAGUGUUAAAGAGAGAUAGGUUGGGGGGGGGGGGGGGAGAUUAGUUUAGCAUAUUAUAUUCGGAAGCUAAGGAACCAAUACACAUAGAUUUUUGUGGAAUAAUAAAGUUUGGUUCUUUGGAAGUGGAAAUGAUUUUAAAACUUCAGUUUGUAUAAUGCAUUCCCUUGAUUGACAGUGUUUAGCAUAGCUUGUUAUAACUCUUGUUGAAAUUUGGGUUUGUAUUUCUUUGAUGUCUCAUGUGAGAAUUAGAUUAUCAUGCCAUUUGAAAAUUGUUUUUCAGCAUGAUGUUGUAAAUUAUAGUUUAGUUUGCUUGUUUUAUCUCUCCUUUAUUGCUAAGGGACUAGCAAUAUGUCGGUUGGGGGGAGUGAUUACUACUCAAAAAGUGCUCUUUGAUAGCUUGUAAUAAACUCUUUUAAACACUUUUGAGUAGUAGUUAUUGCCUUUUAACCCAAUUAACAUGUUAAGGACCCUUUAAAUCAAUUCUAAUCAAAUUGUGUUAAGUUUUGGUGUUUUGAUAGCCUUUUGAUCACCAAAGCAAUCUGAGAUUGAGGAGAGUUAUAUGGAAUCUUGGGCAAAGCAAUUGGAAGCUCAGAAACAUGAAGAACUAAAGCUUGGAAGUCCUUUGCCAUGAGUAAAUCAGGAAUGCAAGGAGAAGAAGUAAAGAGAAUCUGCCAUGAAGCAUAUUCUUGAUGACAGUCGUGUCAGCCACUUUUGGAGCACUUUCUGAAGUCCAAUUGAUGCAUGCUAUAUACCAUUUCAAAGCUCAGGAAGUCAACCAUCCAAUUCUUCAAACGGUGUGCAAGUCGGAGCUAAAACGAAGAAGUUACAGCCACUGCAAGUCAAUCACUCUAAGCUAAAGGAAGCAUUUUGCAAAGUGUUGCGAAAUCACCCUUUUGUUGCGAAAUGAUUUCGCAGCUUUUUUGAACAGUGUUGUGGAUUUCCUCCUGAAGUUGCCCAAUAUAUGCCGCACGUUGGAAGGUGAGAACCUCAAGAUGAAAGCCAACUUCGCAGCCCUGCGAGAAUAGCCUUUUGCUGCGAAAUGAUUUCGCAACCCUUUUUGUAUGUCUGCGAAAUCUCGCAGACAUCAUUUUCUCUUGCGAAAUGGUCCUUAGUGCUUCCCGAUAUUUGCUACCGACAUUGGGAGAUAUUUUCCAUCAGAUUAUUGUUGUCUAAAUCCCAAAAUUCUCCUUGUAAGCCACCAAUUACAAGAUUCCUUAGCUUUUAAGUUAGUAAAAAGAAUAAAUAUCCAUGUAAUAAUUAGUUUUGUAUUAUGUUCAUAUAUAUACUCCUCGAGAGCCUGUUCUCGAAGGAGAAGACCUUUUGUAAAGUUUUGGGGAAAGCAAGUAAAGUUCAAGUCCUUUGAUUAGCCUUACCUUCUCACUUUGUAUUUUUUAUUUCUUACUAAGUUAUGCACUCUCUGAGGAAUUUUCCCCAGAGAAUGAGUAACUAAACCUUUAGUUCCUUGGAGCUAAGGUUGCCGGGGAAGGUUCCAAGUGCAAGAAUGCAAAGCUUUGUGGUUUCAGCCAUUAAUGAAGAGGAAGUGAAAUCCUUUAGUGAUUUCUAUGUUUUUAGUUAACUUAAAACACCUUAGAGUCACCUGGGCCAACACUUGGUAAGGCAAGUGAUCUCCAACCAAGGAGAUGCACUAGUUUACCCCUUGCGAGCCUCUGGGAGGUGACUUUAAGGUAGGAUUUUCUGGAAUUGCCAACACUUGGUAAGCUUUUGGACUCCAAGGAGACAUCCAUUAGUUAUCUCUUGCGAGCUUGAGAAAGGAAGUCCAAGGUUAAAGAUCACCUUGAAUGGUUAAGGCUUAGUGAGAGGCUUGAACUAUUGCAAGUUGCAUCAGUGAGAGAAUUAAAGUUGAAAUCUAAUUAAAGGAUGUAUCUGUAUAACACCGGUUAGAGAAUUGACUAUAUGUUGAAUCUCUAACGCGAGGAAAUGAACCAUCUGACUGGAGCUAUGUCUUUUGCAUGAGGAACCACCCCAGUGAACUUGACCCUCCAAGGAAUGUUUUUCUUCCUAAGUUAUUCCCAUUACUUGUUUUGUAGUUAGUUUAAAUCUAAAUCUUUACCAAUUAAAGUUUGUGUUUUAUUUCUUAAGCUAACCUUGAAAUGAAACAAGACCAAUUCACUUUGAAUUGGUAUCAUUGAUAAUUUGCUAAUCCUUCCCAGUGAACGAUCCUAGAGCCGCUAUACUAUAGUAGCUUUUUCUUUGCUACCCUAGUAUAUGGUGUAAUAGGUUAAAAAUAUUGUUGAUUACUCCCUCAUCCAAGGAGCACCAGCUGGACACGAAUCAGCUGAGACACCAAUUGGGCAUGAAUAAAAAACCAUGCAAUUUAUAACACCUAUCUACUGUAUGCCCUGUGAGCCCACAAUGGGUGCAAAUUGGGCAUUCACGUCUAGGCUUUUUGUGAGAUGAUGCACUAGCUACAGAAGGAGUGGAGAAGAGGCAUUGAACACCAUGGAAUUCGAUGGAGCGGAGGACCUAGAUCCAAUAAACCGUUGGCAUUCUUCUUGAACAACAAGAUUGAAUACUUUCGCCACAAGAGGGAGCGGAUCAAGCAUUAGAAUUUGCCCUCUUGUGCUAGCAUAAGAUUCGUUCAAACCCAUUAAAAAUUGCAUCACAUACUCCUGCUAUUGAUAAUCCAUCUAAGUUUUCGUACCUCCACAAUGGCAGACGGGAACUGGUUGAUAGUUUUUGAGUUCAUCCUAGAGAAUCUUCAAUCGAGUAUAAUAGGUAUUAACAUCGAGCGAGCCUUGUGAAAGACCAUGUAGUCGUUGCUUGAUUUGGAAAAUUUGUGGAGCAUUGCUCUGAUGGAAGCGUUUGUGCAGAUCUGCCCAAAUAGCAUGGGCACUCUUGAGAUAGAGAAGACUAUCAACUAUCUCUUUUGAGACAGCAUUGAGGAGCCAAGAUGUGACCAUGUUGUUGCAUCGGGACCAGAUUCCGGUUGUAGGGUCAUCGGUCAUGGGCUACAAAAGAGUGCCAUCAAACAAAUCCGAGCUUAUUCUUUGCAUUGAGAGCCAUCAGCAUAGCCCAACUCCAUGUAUUAUAGCUUGAACCAGUGAGGAGAUGCGAAAUGAGCACCAAGCCUGGAUGAUCACCACUAUGUAAGAAAAAUGGGUUAUUAGUGUUCUCCAUGAGAGAUUGAUCUGAUUGUGUUAUCGUGCUACUAGAGGUAGGAAUGUCAGGGGCUAAAAUCUAUUAUCAUUGUUAUGCUAACCACCAUGAGCCAUUUCAGUGAGCGGCAGAGGUAAGAAGCUCUGAUAUCAUAUUACAAGGGAAAAUGGAGAGAAAAAUUGACAGAUUCUCCUUUCAUUGAUUGAAAAAAUGAGUUGUACAGAGAGCCCCAAAACAGAGUAGCAAAAAUGCUUUUUAUAAUAGAAGUCACGCAUAAGGAGCUGUAGAGCUCUACAAAGAAAAAACAACCUAACCAACUAUUGGUUAUAACAUAAAAAAUAAAAUAAAAUAAAAAACUAAAACUAAUAUGUUAAAAGAUGUUUCACUCCAAUAAUAGUUUACUUUAAUAUUUGAGUAUUGGAGGUAUCCUUGUCUCAAAAUCAUACCAAGUUGCCUCUACAAACUCAGAGAAUUGGAUAUUGAUAAUUGUGAGAAUAUGGAGCUGCUACCUCAUCAGCUGCAAAACCUCACUACUCUUACAUCACUUACUAUCUCUUAUUGUGAGAAUAUCAAGACGCCCCUAUCCCGAUGGGGCCUUGCCACACUUACCUCUCUUAAAAAACUCACCAUUGCUAGCAUAUUUCCACAAGUUUCAAAUGCUCAAAGACUACCGCGUCUUCCGAAAACCCUCACCUUUCUUUGCAUUAAAGAUUUCUAGAAUCUGAAAUCUUUGUCCUCACUGGCUCUCCAAACCCUCACCUCACUUGAAGAGUUAUGGAUCCUAUGUUGCCCUAAGCUUCAGUUGUUUUGCCCAAGGGAAGGGCUGCUUGCCACUCUUUCACUACUAUAUAUCACAGACUGCCCACUCCUCAAACAAAGGUGCUCAAAGGGGAAAGGACAAGAUUAGCCCAACAUCGCCCACAUUCCCUGUGUGGAAAUGGAUAAUGAAAAUGUCUUUGAGCAAUAAUAAGAUGAGGGAUUGCAGAACAUAGAAGCAAACACCAUUCAACCCUCACCCAUCUUUUAUUUAAAUAAGGUACGCCUGUUCUUUCUUUUUCACUCCUUAAUACUGCAUUCAAUUUCUCAUAUACGUUAUAGCAGUUUCCCCUAUUAAUUACUUGUAAGUUUCUUACUGGAAUUUUUGUUGAAAAUUUGCCUAGGAAGUGACUUUUGAAAUGGCUUGUAGCUUGGUUUUCUCUUCAAUCUGCCAUAAUUCGAGGUAUCACUGUCUCUGCUUCUCCAAUUCUAUUUAUGAAAUCUUGUCCAUAAUCUCCAUGGGGUACUCAUUUUUCCUUUUUCCUUUGUUCUUUUUAGUUCUCAGUGACCAUUGAAGUUGAAGAGGUGAUAUGUGAUUCUUACGACUAUAAAAAGGAUAAGAGAUAAUCCAUUUAUUCCAUUCAAGGACAGGUGAAACAUUUAGCAAUAGCCACUAGUUAGUAAUGUCUUAUUCUAAUUUUUAUUCCAUCAAUUGUACUAUUCAAUUGCAUUUUUAAAUAUAAUAUUCUAAUUUCUAGAAUAUUGUUCAGGCUGACAUACAGAGGAGGCUAUACUAGAAGCAAAUGUAGUUUAUUAAUAUUCAAUUAUUGUGGUAAUUAGAUAGCCUUAUCAAUUCCUUUGUGCUGCCAUGAUUUUUUUAGUUCAACUUAUUAGAUGUCAUCAUAACUACUAUACAAUGUCUUGUCAUCUUGUUAUCAAAUUUUUACAUUUGUGAUGCAGGUUCUCAAAAAGGAUGGAACUCUGAUGAUUAUAUCAAAGACUUCAAAGUAUGGAAUGAAUGCAGCUAGUUCCGGUUGUCCCAUGUUGCUUUUUUUUUUUCUUUUUCUUUUUUUCUUUUUUUGUUUUUGAGUGUCAACAUGGGACAAAGAAUAACCCAGCAAGACUAUAGUGAGUGACCGUUAUCUAUAUAUUUUGUUUAUUUAUUUUUCUAUUUUAAUGACUAAUUUUCUUGAAUUUUCUUCUUGUCCACUGGAUGUUCAUUCCCAACAUGCAGUUCUUCCUCUUUCUCUCCUUAAUACCACUUUUUAUUUCCCAUACACAUGUUAUUUCAAUUAGUUGCCAUUUAGCUUGGCUACCUCUUAACAGUAAUAAUAAGUCUUAUAGUUUUUAUGUACCAAAUUGUUUACAUUGAUGAUGCAGGUGUCAAAAGGAUGGGUUCAAAGUAUCAUAGGAGGUACAUGUGGUCUUUUUAUUGUGUUGACUGAUUGGAAUUUUCCUCCUAUAUCAAAGGCUUGUUGGCACUUUAUUACCAUUUUUUAGUAUGACAAAAAGAGGAUAAAAUACAAUCUAGCAAAAUUGUGGUCCAUGACUUUCAUUUAUAUAGUUGAUUUUAUAUAUUAUUGUGUUCUAAAGACUAUCUUUGUAAAAUUUUAUUCCUUUUAUGACUUAUGAUGGAUUCUACAAUGCUUUAUAAAGGUCCUUUGAAUGAAUAUUUCAUCUGCAUCUUUAAUAAAUAAGAACCUUUUUUCUUUCCCUCCUAGGGAAGCUGCUCAUAAGGUUGUAUGAUCUUUAUAUAUCCUUCGAAAUUUGAGGACCAUCCAGUGCAUGAAACUCGUCUUUCACAAGAAACAAAGUGGUCUUUUCUUUGUGACUGUGAUAGCCCAAAACUACGUAAUGGAAUUAUGACAUAGCAACAACAGCAACUUGUAUUUGUUCUAAUGUAUCUAACUUGUUUCCAAAAUGUGAGCUACCAUCAUAUUUACAUACGCCUAGUAGUACAGAUUUGAGCAAAAAUAAAAUGGUUUUGCGUCCAAUUUCUAAAGUUUUUAAUUUGAUGAAACCAUAUCUCUUCUUUUAGAGUUUGUAGGCUUUAAAGGUGCAUGUCCUAGGUGCCAGAGUAUAAGUAUUUUUCUUCUUAUUGAAGGGAAUUUGGGUUUUACAUUUAGAGGCUCCAAGUCUAUAGUGAUUGUGGCAAAUGCCUAUUGCACUUGUUAUUUUUGUUUCUAUUGUUGAUGUUGAGGGUGUAGAAAGGGGAUAAACAAAAGCAUAACAAGAUCAUGGUGUGUUACAAUUUUAUUGGUCUUUUUAGAUUCGUAUUUUUACUGACUUUUUUUUUUUUCUAAAUUUUCUAUGUUUAUGACUUGAGGUGUUCCCUAAACACUUGCUACAGAGAGGAUUUUGGCACCAGAAUUAUCCUUGGACAUUGCUUAGUUCACCUGUCUUCCAUAGAUAUGAACCUAUUUUUGUGCCAUUUUGAAGAAGCUACUAGUAAGACUGAAUAGUCACACAUCUCUUGGAGAGUUGAGAAUCACACAUUUCUUUAGGUCUUUCUGAGGAUUGGUUUGUCAUCCAUGCUAUGAAGUCUUAUGCUCAGUUGUUGUGAUGGUUUGAAAUUACUCUCUGAUGAAACUAUGACCUAUAUAAACAACUGCUUGCAUUUGUUUUACACAGAUGAAUUGCUUGUCUUUUUGCAUUAUUUUGCAGAAAGGAUUUUUAUGAGCACUACUAUUUUUUUUUUCAUAUCCUUUUAUAUUGAUGCAUUUCCUAUUACUCCUUUUAGGUGGAUGCACAAUGCUGAUCAACUCUCCUCCUUUUGGAUGUCUUUCUAACCAUUGUUAGGAUUCAUUAAAAAUAACCUUUAUCAAACCUACAGAUUUUUUCAAGUCAGUUAUAACCAAUGUUUUAAAAACCGGACCGGUGAUCGAACCGGAAAAGUUACCGGUUCACGGUUCACUGGUCGGACCGGCGGUCGAACCGCUAUUGAACCGGUGAUGUAAUAAAAAAUUAAAAAUAUAUAAAAUUACAAAUUUUAAUAAUGUUUGAUUUUUAUAUUUGGUAUAUUAAAUUAAAUUAAAUGAUAAAGUUUAAUAUUUUAAAUUUGAUUAAAUAGAAAUAUGUAAUAUUUAAGAAAGAAUAUAUAUUUAAGAUAAAAAAAUUUAUAAUAUUUAAUUUUAUCUUUUUGUCUUUGUAUUUUAUUGUUUUAAAAUUAUUAUAUUAAUUAAUUUAUAUUAUUUUUUAUAAUUAUUAUUAUAAAAAUAAACAUGAAUUUAAAUAUUUACAUUUUUUUUAAAAGAUUUUAUAGGAUAAAAAUUUGAAAUAAAAUCAAAUUUCGUGCGUCCAACCCUCAAGAGGCAAUGUUUUCCUCUAAUGAGUCUCAUUCCCAAUCCCACAUUGGAAGCACAUGAAUUUUAUGUGCUCCAUGUGCUCUAUAAAUAGCUUCCCACUUGCCUUCUAUCCCAACUAGCCAGCAAGCUGGGCCUGGAAGCAUGGCCCAAGUUGAAGUGUUAUUUUAAAAUAAAAAAUGGCAGCAAAUUGGGCUUCUGUGGGGCAUGGCCCAUAUAAAGUGUUAAUUUUAUCUUUGGAUAAGGUCUAGGGACCUGGAAAAAGGAAGACCUUAGAUUGGGCCUGGAAUGGGCCUUUUACAUGGUAAACAAAAAAUUGUUUCUAAGGUGUAACCGGUUUGCAGAAAAUUGGACGAUUUGUCCGGUUCGACGGUUCAACCGUCGGUUUGACCGGUUCAAUGCCGGUUCGACCACAAACGGUUCAUUGAAACGGACCGAACCGGAAAGUUCACUGGUCGACAGUUCAACCGGUUGGACCGGCCGGUCCGGUCCUGUUUUUAAAACCAUGGUUAUAACUUGUACAAACCUUAUGUAACUCGAAACACUUUAUUUUUAAAACAAUCCAUGACUACUGGCAACUUACAUGUUUUUCACUACAUUUUUUUUCAAUGAGGAAAUGAGGCAUUUUUCUUUAGUAGUAUAUUGUGAUUCACAAAGUAUAAACUCUUGCAGAUUGAAAGAAAGACAAUUUACAUAUCAUUCAACAGUAAUCAGUAAGCACUUUUAUAUGUUUAUAGCUUCUUUUUAUAUGGUUUAUCUUUUAUGGCAUUUACUCUUUUGUUAUUCACAUAAAAAAAAACACUUGAUUUACCCUUCAAAUAUAAAAUUCAGUUAUGCAGGAAGGACAUAAAUUGAUUAUGAUAAGAUGGGAAAUGUGUUUCAGGACAACUUUGUGUUCUUGCAUUAUAAGGUUUAGUAAUUUUGUGUAGUUCUACAAUAAACAACAUUCUAUUGACUUUGGAUUUGGAAUUUAACUCUAAUGAGCAUUUACUUAUUUUUCAUACAUUUUUCAAGAAUCCGGUUAAUGAGAUUUUCCUUACAAAAAACUAGAGGUUUGUUAACUCUCCUAUAAUCAGAGCCUAGUUCUCUUGCAUAAAUUUCAAGCAAAUUUAUAACCCUCUUCUUUGACAGUCUUUUAUAUUGGAAUUAAACAUCUUGGUGUCUUUGAAUUAUUUAAAUAUUGGAAGCCAAUUAAGGAGUCAUGCAAUGGCAUAUUGUGAAACUUGAUACACAUAAAAAUAAGAUCUAUUAUGUUAUUUUUCUCGCUAAAGAACCAAAACAUAUGCUUUUGAUUUUGAAUGUUUCAGACUUCAUGUCUUCUCUUUCAUUUAUGAUAUUGUCGUUGGUGAAUUGGGAAUGUUGUUAAGAAUUUUGGAGCUUGACCAUCUGGCCUUUUCCAAUUCCUUAGAGAUUGGUAAUAAUCCAACGAUCAAUUGUUUUCCCAAAGUGGCUUACGCUAGCAUUAGCAGAUGUGAAAUUAUCAGUGACCGUUCAUUGUAAAGAAAUCUUGUUAUUAUGGCAGGAUAAUAGACUGUAAUUCAGUCACAAAAUUUUGGGACUUCGACAUCAACACCUUUUUAGGACUCAGAUUUCUAAAUGGAAUGAUGCAAGGCAUCAACACAUUCAUAGAAUUCUUUAAGAAUUCUAAAUAUGAUCUUGGUAUCUUAAUGACAGGCCAACUUUCUUUAAUGUUGCUAAAUAUACUAGAUGGGAAUCCACCCAUGGACAAGAAAUGUAUGUUGCUCUAUCCUCACCUCUCACUGUCUCACUCCCUAUUGCCUCAAGUUGCAUUACCUGCCAUAAUUAAACACCUCUUUUAUCAUUGUGACAAAACAAGUUUUGCCAAAACGAUAUGAGAUUCCCUUUGAUUUCAAGUUAUGCAAGAUCUAUAAGAGCUCAAUUGUUUUGAAAACAUGAUUCAUAAAUACUAUGCUAACAUUCAGUUCAUGAAUACCAUGUACCAGAAGAAGGCUCUAAGAAAUUUAUGUCAUUUACUUUCAGGAUUCUAUCUUCAACUCUAGUUCAUGCUCAAUUGUUUUAUUAACUACAGUUUCUUUGAAUGAACAUGUCGAAGUACAAGUACUAAACUAGUUCAUUUCCAGUCAAAUUACUAUCCCUAAUUUACAGAGUAUAAACCCUUGCAAAUUAAAAUAAAGAAAAUUUACAUAUCAUUCAAUAGUGAUCUGUAAGCACUCUUAUGUGUCUACAUCUUCCUCAUUUGGAUUUGGAAUUUAACUUCUGAUAAGCGUUUACUUGUUUUUAAUUUUUUUUUAGGAAUCCAGUUAAUGAGAUUUUUCCAACCAAAAAUAGGGGUUUGUUAGCCCUCCUACCCUCAUGCUGGUUCUCUUACAUAUGCUUGAAGAAUAUUGGAAGCCAAUUAAUUAGUCAUUGCAGUUUCAUAGUCUUACAAGAAAUCUUGUUAUCGUGGCAGGAAAACAGACUGCAACAUAGUCUCAUUUCCCUUCAUGAUUUAGACAUUGUGAAGAUUAAAAACUUGUUACCUGAUAAUAGAAGAAGAAAAGCAGCCAAAGAACAUCAACAAAAUGUAUUGGCACCUUGUGGACUUGAAUUGAUGGUAUUCAGGUGGCAUAAAUAUACAAAAAUACACUUAACAAACUACUAAUCAGCAGGCCAAGAUUCUACUUCCAAGAGACAGGGUUGUCAUCCAUGUCAAGAAGGCCCAAACUUUAUUGUUGUGGAACUUUGGCAUCAACAAAUCUCUGGAAUUAUUUCAGGUUUCUAAAUGGAAUGGUUCAAGUCAUCAACACAUUCCCAUAAUUCUUUUGUAAAUGUCAUCAUCAUGGCUAGCUUUCUUUAGUCCAUAUGUACUAGAUGGACAAUAACCACAGCACUUGUAUUAGAAACAUGUCUGUUGCCUGGAUUUGCAUUACCUGCCAUAAUUAAGAACCUUUUUAUUAUUGUAGUAGAGUGUUUCAGAGUCACCCAUACCUAGUCUAUCUCCAUGUCUCUCAAACAGCUAGGCCCAUUGGUAGCAAAAGAAGAGCAACUUGAAUAGUUGGUCAUUUCCUUUUCAGGAAUUAAUUGUACCGCAUUCCUAUACAUAGUGACUUUACCCUUUCUCUUCUUUGUUUUUUUCAAUCUAAAUUGGAGUGGUGUGACUGUGUCACUAUUGCCAAAUUUAAAUGUUAAUGUCAUAGAAUGCAUUAAUAGUUUUCUAUUAGAAUAAUAGAAUGCAAUUCGACUAGAUACUAGACAUAAGUAAGCGUAGAAUAUAGAGCAAAUGAUAAAUGAAAUGAGGGAAACAAAUGAUUCUAAGAAGGGUUAUUCAUCUUCCUAGUCUUCUACAUAAGAAAGGAAUUUUCUACAUCCCUUUCUUGUGUAUAAAUAAUAAUGAUCCUCAACACCUUUGUCAAAAAUUCCUAUUCUUAGCUUAGAUUUUUUUCUAGGUUUAUCAUAAUUUUAUAUUUAUUAUGUAUAAGAAGUAGUGGACAAACAAAAAAAAAAAAAAGGAAAUUUAUUGAACAAAUAGAACUUCUUCAAUGAAGUUAUAAAAAAAAAUUUCAACUUUGAUUAGAUACUAAAAUAAAUAAAGUAAGAAUCUAUUAGUAUAGAAAGGAUUUGUAUGAUAUCCGAUAUAGGGAAAUAUAUAUAUAUAUUAUACUGUGUCAUCACAAAAAUUGAGUGAUUCCUUAUUUCUUCUAACUUUGAAAGGAUCGAUAGAUACUAUCAAGGAGCAAAUGUUCUCAAUCAAUCAAUCAAGUUCGUUUUUCAAAAACAUCAUCAGAAAAAACAAUGAAAUGGAGUUUUUUUAAACAUUGUAAAAGAAGAUUUGUUUUAUCUGGCAUUUAUACGAAUAAAAUCUUAUGAUUAUUAAGAACUCAAUAGGACCUUCCCUCUCGAAUCAGAGCCAAAGAGGGGGUGGGUCCCAUUGAGUUCUUACGUUUUCAUGUCGACAACUCAAUUCAUCCAAUUACUAUAGGGAACCAUAAAAGAAAAAGCCUAUUAAACCAAUCACAGGAAUUUCAGUUAUAGUACCUAUUAGCCAAAGAGGAAUCCUUCCAGUAGUAUCGGCCAUUUACCCCACUUUCCUCCACAUUUCAUCAAGUGGUCAUACUAAAGACAUAAAUAGUCAUGGAUAAUUAUGAAAUGAGAUCCUUUCGAAUAAGAUAAGAGAAUUCUUACUAUUAUUAUUUAUUUUAUUAGUCUCUUUCGUUCUCUUAAUUCUUAAUUGAAAAAAUAAUUGGAAAAUAAAACAACAAGUACAAAAAUGAGUAAUAACCCCCAGCAAAGACCGGUACGAUUCAAUUCAACAUUUUGUUCGUUCGGGUUUAAUUGUGUCAUAGCUCUAUAAUUUGGAUUAGGUUUAUUGUUCGAUGAACUGCAUUGUUGAUAUUGACCCUAAAAAAGAAACGGUAGGUAUAGCUAGUCCGUGAACAGCCAAUCAUCGCACUGUAAAAAUUGGAUAGGUUCGAUCUAUGGUCAUUGGGGCCUCCUAAAAAGAUCUACUAAAUUCAUCGAAUUGUUCCAAAGGACCAAAAUGACUGGUUAUUAAUGGAAUUCCUUGUUGGCUCUCUAUAAAAUACUCGUUCGACUGAGGACUUCCAAACACAUCGUAAGCUAAACCUGUGCUGAUGAAUAACCAACCUGCAAUGAAUAGGGGAGGUAUAGUAAUGCUAUGAAUGACCCAGUAUCUAAUACUGGUAAUAAUACAGACUACCCAUUUCAAUUGUUGUGCUUUCUUAAAUUGCAUACCUAUACAAGGGUUCAAGUUUCGAUUGAUAUUUGGGGAGUUGAUCAUCCCUCUCGAAAACGAAGAUUUGAAGUGGUCUAUAAUUUAUUGAGUACUCAAUAUAACUCACGCAUUCGUGUACAAACCAGUGCAGAUGAAGUAACACGAAUAUCUUCGGUAGUAAGUCUAUUUCCAUCAUCCGUCCGGUGGGAGCGAGAAGUUUGGGAUAUGUUUGGUGUUUCUUCCAUCAAUCAUCUGGAUCUACACCGUUUAUCAACAGAUUAUGGUUUCGAGGGUCAUCCAUUACGAAAAGACCUUCCUCUGAGUGGAUAUGUGGAAGUACGCUAUGAUGAUCUAGAGAAACGUGUGGUUUCUGAACCCAUUGAGAUGACCCAAGAAUUUCGUUAUUUCGAUUCUGCUAGUCCUUGGGAACAGCGUAGCGACGGAUAAUUAAGAAUUUAAAUAGGUCCAGUCCAGGGGACAAAGAAAUAGGAAAUGUUAUUUGCUUCGUCAGAAUAAGUUCUAUGAAAUGAAAGAGUUUCAUGGGAAUUGUCUUGAUCGUUAGAUAUCAUUGAGAAAUAGUUAUCGAACAAUUUCCUGUAAUUCUUCCCAGUAUGGAAUGAGUAAAGAAUCAAGCUGUAAGUCUCGAUCUAUAUGAAACGCACUGGGUUUUUUUUUUGUCUUUCUUUAGGUUUCAUUGAUAGUGGAAGAGCCUUGUCUUACUCUAUAGGGGUGCUAGCACUUUACUUUAUAUUAAAAGUAAAGGGGCCUAAAAAAACGUAAUAGGCUGCUACUCUAGGCUCGCUUCGCUUCUUCAAGCUCCGCCCCUUAUUUCAAACUAAAGCACUAACGCGCCUUCUAUUAUUUAGUAAAGCAACCUUUAGCGCUAGGCACUCCUUUUUUUUUCUGGGUGGAAGCUAGCGAUAGGGCUGCAGAACAUGCAAGGCGAUAGAUUCUAUGAGACUCUUCUUGAAUGGGAACCUGUGAAGGAAAACCGUGAAGCUCCGCCGCUAUCGGAGAACCCUCAACCAUCAACCUCUCCAAAGAAAUGGCAACUCUUAAGAUCUACGACCACCAUCUCCUCUUCUUCAAAAAACAACGAAGGUAUCCAAGAUCAGAUGACAAAUUCGAUCGACGUUCCUAAUCAGCAACACGAGGACUUUCUUCAGAUUGAAGGAGAGGAAUGUGCUUCUAGACAUGCCAAGCUCCACAUAUUCUUGUACAGUCAAAGGACGAUCGAUUUCGUAAAAAAUGAGAUCAAUAAAUAGAAAUUCACUGAAAAUGGAUAUUUGUGAGAUCGUCAAUAUUGUACCGAGGAUGUCUUUAGAGUAUACUCAAUCAGUAUAGCUAUCCUUCUUCUACCAUAGCAACACAAUUUCAAAAACUACAGCAUUUGAAUAGCUUGUAUUCAGGUGGACAAGAACUACAACACUUCUCUUAAAAAACAUGUAUGUUCUUUCUUCAACUCUUACUCUAUUGCCUAGAGUUGCAAUACCUGCCAUGAUUAGUCAUCUCUUAUUUAUUCUCAUGGAGAAACAGGUUUUGGUGUAUGCAAAGACAAUAUACAAUUGUCGCACCUCUUGAUUUUUAAUCGUGUCAAACAUUUGGAAUUGUCAAGCUGAUUUAUGGCUAACCUUGCAAGGACAUCUAGUGCAAGAGAUUCAGAAUUAUACCUAUCGAAUCCAUCUCCAUUUCUUUAGAACAACUAGAUACUAUGGCUGAAAUCUCAUGUAAGGUGUCAGGUUCAUGUUGGGGCUCAUUCACGAGAUUAAAAUGAAUAUAGCAAGAGAUGUUCUUGAUCUACCACCACCCAUGUUGUCAAGUUGUUUAAUGCUCUCGUGUUGACCAUGGCCACAGUCACAGUUGUGUGUCCUUUCUCGAAAGAAAUAAUCAUUUUGAAACUUUUGUCAACAACAUAACUUUCAUGUAUCUACUUUCAAGUACCCACAAAAAAUUGAGUCCAGCUUAGCAUUUAAUAAAGAAAAAGUAAUAAUCUGAACAAGGGAACAAAUGUUUUCCUUACUCUUUUUCAGUAGGAACCUAGUUUAUUUCUAAAAAAUUGAAGAAAAAACUAAUUCUAAACAUGGAAGCCAGGUACUUGAUUUCUGUUUAACUAGUGGAACAAUUCGAACGUAUUUAUAGCUUUAGCAUUAGAAAAGUUUAACAAAAUCACUAAUUAACCCCCAAACCCCCACCCACCAUAGAGAUAUGUUACAAAGAUUCCUCUACUCUGCAUUGAAACAAAGUGUAAGGGGUUUUUUCCUUUCUUCAUCGUCAAAUGAAACAGCCAUUUUCAAUAAAAUAAUAUGAGAAAUUGAGAGUUAAAACCAUUUUAUUUCAUUGUACUCUCUAUUCCUCUGCUUCUUCCUAUCUUAGUCAAGCCAAAUAGUCUGUGGUUUCUCCGUUUCUUCUUCACUCCACAUCAAAAAGUAGCAUCUUGGGUUCUCCCAUCUCUCUAUCCCCUUGUCAAAACACGUAAUUUAAUGUAUUGUUGUCUUGGAUUCCUCCUAGUUAAAAGGAAGCUUGAAAUAUCUCCACUGCUUCUAUGUUUCUUUGAGUCAAGGGAUAGAGUCUUGCUUUUCUUUGUUUAUUUGAGAUGCUAGAAGAGGUUUGUAUAGAACUAAUGUGAUGUCAGAGAGGUAGGUAGUAUCUGAAUUCCCUCUAGUCAUGCAAAGUAGCCUUAGAGAUUUUUGGAGGCUUGGGUAUUAUAGUAUAUUAAGAUAUUCAAAAUGCAUUAUUGCACAUCUUCUUGACUUGUAACUGAACUUGUUUUUCACAAUCAUAAAUAUGGAGGUAUUUAAUUAUGGCAGGUGAUAUACCUCUUAGAAAUUGAUGUGAAAAGGUGGAGAUUAAGGGAUGUGCACUUGGUUUUGCGAAUCAAACAACCCUCAUUUAGUAUAAACCACAAAUUUUGGCAACUCAUGAUCCACAAUUUAGAGCAUGGGAGGAAGCAAGCCUGUUGGAAAGAUAGGAGGAGACAGUUAAAAACAUGCGAGAAUUCCAUGGAUGAGUUGCUCUUAUGAAUUAUUCAGAAUCCAUGAGAAAAUUCAAAGCUUUUUUUUUUUUUUUUUUCCUUUACAUAGUUAAUGAUCUUGUUUGAUGUUGGCCCUAUAGUUGGUCUACUGAUGGUAGGCUUCCUUUGAGUGGAAGCAAGGACUCUACACUAAAGGUAAAUUGUGGGAACUAUGUCUUUUUGUGGUAUUGAUGGGGUUAUCAUAUAGUUGAUUGAUUCUAUUGCUUCCUUAUAGCUUUUCAAGGCUCUAAAAAAGAAAAGAACAAAGGUAGACCUAGGAAAAAUAUUCUUCCUAAUUUCAGUUACUCUUUCUAUAUGAACUCUUUAUUUUGGUAAAUUACAGUUAGAGAUGAUCAUGUAGUUGAACUAGGUUUGCUUCCUCUCCUUUCCCUCUCCUUCCCCCUUGAGGAAAAUUUUUAUCAUUGCUUAGUUUUGACUACUCUAUUUCUUUUGAUCAUUAUGGAAGAGCAUCACUAUAAGAUGUGCAAGAAACGUGUUGUGGUGCAUUAUUCCUUUCUCUACCACCCAAAAUCUACUUUCCACAAUCAUAAAUAUCAAAUUGUUUAAGCAUUAGGUAAGACAUCUCUUGAUUACUACUCAAAAAGUGCUAUUUGAUAGCUUGUAAUUAACUCUUUUAAAAACUUUUGAGUAGUAGUUAUUGCCUAUUAACCCAAUUAACAUGUUAAGGACCCUUGCAAUCAAUUCUAAUCAAAUUGUGUUAAGUUUUGGUGUUUUGAUAGCUUUUUGAUCACCAAAGCAAUCUAAGAAUGAGGGAGAGCUGUAUAUAGUUCAUGGCAAAGCUUUUGGAAGCUCAAAUUCAUGAAGAACCAAGCUUUGGAGCCUCACAGUCCUUUGCCUUAGUCGUUCAAAGUAUGCAAGGAAAGAACAAUAGAGAGAGGAAAAACAAAGUGAAGAAAAUAGAGGACAGCAGCUACAGUCUUCUUUCAUACUUUUGGAGUACUUCCCAAAGUCCAUUUUCUACAUGCUAUAUACCAUUUCAAAGCUCAGGAAGUCAAAAAUCCAAUGCUUCAAACGGUGCGCAAUUUGGAGUUGAAAUGAAGGAGUUACAGCCAUUGCAAGCCGAUCACUCCAAGCUGAAGGAAGAAUUUUGCACAGCACUGCGAAAUCACCCUUUUGUUGCGAGAUGAUUUCGCAGCCUUUUUGUACAGUGCUGUGUUUCCCCCCUGAAUUUUCCCGUCACGAUGGAAGCCGAAUACCACAAGUUGAAAGACCACUUCGCAGCGUUGCGAAAUUAGCCUUUUGCUGCGAAGUGAUUUCGCAGCCCUUUUUGUGUGUCUACGAAAUCUCGCAGACCUCGUUUUCACCUGCGAAAUGGUCCUUAGUGCUUCCCGAUAUUUGUGCACCGACUCUUUUAGAUCUUUUCUUCAGAUAUUUUUGUAUAAAUUUCCAUUCUUCUCCUUGUAAUCCACCAACCAUAAGAUUUCUUAGUUAGGAAUGUUGGAAAAACAUCUCUAUAUAUAUUCCCUUGCAUCCAUUGUAAAAAGGAUCGAUCAAUAUAUAGAUAUAUCAUAUAUAGAAUCAAAGAACAGAGCACUUGCUCUGUUUUUCUUGUUUUCUCGUUAGUUUUCUUUCUAGCCAACCAAACUUUGAGGAUUUUUCCUCAGAGGAUGAGAGGCUAAGCUCUUUGUCUCUUGGAGUGAAGAAAGCCGGGUAAGUUUCCACAUGCAUAAAUUGGAAGUUUUGUUGUUUUAGUUUUUAAUGAAGAGAAAGUGUGACCCGUUAAUGGUUUUUAUCUUUUUAGUUAACUUAAAACGCCUUUAAAUCACUUGGGCCAACACUUGGUAAGGCAAGUGAUCUCUGUCCAUGGAGAUGCACUAGUUUACCCCUUGCGAGCCUUUGGGAGGUGGUUUGAAGGUAGGAUUUUCUAGAAUAGCCAACACUUGGUAAGCUUUUGGACUCUAAGGAGACAUCCAUUAGUUAUCUCUUGCGAGCUUUUGACGGGUAAUCCAAGGUUAAAGAUCACCUUGAAUGGCAAGUGUUAGGUGAGAGGUAUGAGUCAUUGCAAGGUGCAUCAAUGAGAGGGAUUUAGUGUUUGAACCCAUUAAUGGGAAGCAUCUGUAUAACACCGGUUGGAGAAGGAACUAUAUGUUAAUUCUCUAAUGCGAGGAAAAGAAACAAGUGACCGGAACUCCCUUUUUGUAUGAGGAAUCUGAGCCUAGUGAUCUGAAACUCCAAGAAACAACUUUUCUUUGUAAGUAAAAUCAGUUACUAUUUUUGGUUAGUUUAAAACCGAACCUUUUUCAUUCGAACAUCUUUAUGUUUUCUUUUAAAGCUAACCUUGAAAUGAAAAGGCACCAAUUCAGCUUUGAAUUAAUAUCAUUUGCAAAGUGAAAACCCAUCCCAGUGAACGAUCCUAGAGCCACUAUGCUAUAGUAGCUUUGUCUUUGCUACCCUAGUAUAUGGUGUAAUAGGUUAUAAAUUUUGUUGAUUACUCCCUCAAUCAAGGAGCACCAGCUGGACACGAAUCAGCUGAGACACCAAUUGGGCACGAAUCAAAUGGCGUCGUUGCCGAGGAUCGAACCCUGAAUCAAAUGGUGUCAUUGCCACUGCCGCUGUUAGGGACGAAUCAUCUCUUGAUAAUGAUGUGAGAGAUAUAGACAAGUAAUGUUACUAAAUAACAAGAAUAUGCAUAAAAAAAAAACAAGAAUACACAUAUUUAUGUGGAAAACCUUAGAUGGGAAAAACCAUGGGUAGAGGAGAAGAAAAUUCACUAUAUUAAAAAAUUGAUACAAAAUGGGAGAGAUGCGAGCGACUACUUUAUAAGCAUAGACAUCAUAGUCCUAAUCUUAUACAUAAUUGCAAAUAUAUAUAUAUAUAUAUAUAUAUAUAUAUGUGUGUGUGUGUGUGUGUGUGUGUGUGUGUGUGUGUGUGUGUGUGUGUGUGUGUGUGUGUGUGUGUGUGUGUGUGUGUGUGGGAGAGUAAUAAACAUCAUAACCCUAAAUUCUAUUAGCCCGAUCCCUCCGCUACCACCACAGACUCUCCAAAAAUCUCACAAAUUUUUCUUCACCACAUAUGUCGCAUCACGAGCUUUUUGGGUAAAACUAAAUAGAAUUCGAGUUACCAAACUCUAACAAACAACAUACCAGUAUUCACAAGAAGUGAUGUUAUGCUUUUUCACUUUACAAUAUUCAUUUAGUUUGAACUCCAGAUUCAGGCAACUCAAAAUCUCCGCCCUCAUUAGGAUUGUAGGAAGCUAGCUUCUUGGAAAGACAUGAAAAUGGGGCAUUUAUAAAUAUGGAAGAAUCGCAAAGGCCUGUUGCUACUUUUGAAUCAUUCCAAUCAAUAACAACUCCAAAGAUAUAUACAAAUUUGUCCCUGGGAAAGAGAUGUUUCCUGGGCAUCUAACCAUCUCUUUAAUAUACUCAGGGUUGUGCACCCUCUUGGUGAUUUUUAUAUAUUGUAGUGAACCUAUCACACCCCAAACCCACUCCAAGGGCAUUACGGUCAUUUCACACCUCAAGCCCAAAGGUUCAAAAUGGAAACAAUACAAACAUUCGUAUUGUAACUGAAAAUUUCCCAAUUACCAAAUUCCUAUUCAGAGUAGUAGGACAAAAUUCUAAAACCUCUAAGUAUCAACUUUUUUUUUUUUUUUUUAAAAAAAAAGAACUAAUAUAUCAACCAAAGUGUUAUUGUCCAAAUAACUCCAAACUUAAAAUAAUUCAAAUGAGAAUUAAAUUUUUAACAUUUAAACAAUGUCCAAAAUAAAAAGAGUUUAAACAAAUAUCCUAUUAAAGCCAAAUUUCCCUCCUAACGAUCACUCAUCGCUCGAACUGAGGUUACAUGAAAGAUUAUCAACAAAGGGGGAUGAGCUCAAAACCUAAUAAGAAACAUUAAUAUAGUUUCAUGGAUCAAACAUUUUCAAUCAUCCUUGCAAAUAGGAGAUAUAACAUAUACUUAUUUUCAUAAAAAAAAAAAUUUUGAGUUCAAAAUGUUAAUACAUUCAAACUUUUCAACAAAACUUUCUCAUAUUCAUUUCAAAACCAAAUCAAAUACAUUCAAAAUAUCUUUACUCAAGUUAUCAAAUGACAAAUGGUACCCAAUUAGGUGGUACUUCACAAUUGAGCAACUAGUUUCAAAUUUGUUCCAUUUAAGGUGAACGAAACCAAAUGUCAACAAUUACAACUUGUUGACUAGGGUCAUAUAAUCCAAAGUCAAACACUUUAUUUCAUUAAUUCAAACUUACAAAACAAAAUAUCGUAUCUCCUCAAUAUUACUGUUGUUACUGUUGCUCCUCUUCAGCAUCAGCAAGUACAAAUUUGAAGCAGGACAGUGUGUCCUUAUGCUUCAUAAACUCCUCUUGAACCAUACAUCUCUACGAAAACAAAAUACCCUAACUUCAUCAAAAGAUUGUCAACAAUAUUACUGAAUGAAAUUUGUUCAGCCAUCUUUCAAAGGUCUAAGGGAAAAUGAAAGGAGUUUUAGCAACAGAAAAAAUGAGAAAAGCCAAGUGAGGACUGAAGGGUCUGAAUAAACUUGGGUGUGUUUGCUCUGUUCAAUUCAAGUGGGAUUAAUUACUUGACCCUCAUGAUUGACCUACCCACCAUAUUUUUCAUUUUUUUUUCUUAUUAAAAUUUUCAGACAAAUAAAAUUACUUGAAAAUUAUUGGAUAUUACUUAUUAUUUAAAAAUUAAAAUAAAAAUUGCUAACCUUCUUGUAAUAUAAUUAGUAAACAUAUUUUCAUUUUAUAAGCUAUAAUCAAACUGGUUUAUAUAUCCUAUUUUUAAAAAUAACAAAGACAGAAAAUUGUCCAUUGAGCACCUAAAUAUUUUAAACUCAUUAUAAUGAAAAAAAAAUGUCCAAAAUAUUUAUUAAAAAAACUAGUUUAAUUUUAUAAUCAUUUUUCAACCCAUAAAUUAUCCAAAAAUAAACUAAAAUCUUUAUCAAGGUUUUUCUAAGUAGAAUUUAAAAAAUGAGAAAUUAAUAUUUGAAACUCCUAAAAAUCAUUAAAUUAAAAUUUAAAAAAAUAAAAUUUGUUUGAUUGUAUUAGAAUCGACAAUAGAAAUGCAAACAUGAGUUUAUAGCUCUUAACAGAUUAGAUUAUGAAACUAAAUGUAUUUUAGAUAGUGGAGUUAGUUCAUACAACAGAAAGGAUGAGGUAUCCAAGAUGUCAAAUAAGGUUGGGGUUGAAGGAAGUGAAGGGAAAUUACCAUAGAUGUGAAAUCGAAAAGGUUGUGAUCCCAUAAGACAUCACUUGACAAUAUCCAAGAAAAUGAAUGACAAAACAUCAGAAUAUCAACAAGCAGAUUGCAUACUUUAUAUCAAGGUAUUUAAUCGUUCUGAUGCAAGCAUUUGAAAUUUUUUUGUUGCAGAAGCUCAAACAUUUCCUAAUAGAUCAUAUCGGUGGGUUGAUGCUAGAGAUGUUGUCAAUGCACACAUUCAAGCAUAUGAGAUCCCAAAGCCAGUGGAAGAUACUGCUUAGUAGAGAGGGAUUUACACUAUUCUGAGACACUGAAGAUUUUGCACAAGCUCUACCCUAAUUUACCCCUGCCCAAAAAGUAAGUUUCUAUUAGUUAUUGCUAGUACUCGUUUGUGCCAUCAUUAGAGUACUUGCCAUUUAAUCUUCUUUUUUUAAUCUUUUGUAAUAUUGUUUGUUGUAAUAGUAGAAUGAUUGUUUCUAUCCAUUAGAUGUAAAUAUGGUGAGACAAACCAUAUUUAAAACCCUACAUGCGUCAUAUUAAUAAUUUAUUUUUAAUCUUUAUAUUAAUGCAUCAAUAAAUGGUAUUGAAGAAAUUACUAGUACAACAAAGGUUACAAGAUUAUAAGUGGGAUCACUCUGAUACAAUGAUGGGAUAAAAGAAAUAGAUGGGGUUAUUGAAUGCAAACCUCCAUACAUAAAUGAUAGAGACUUAACUUGUUCAAUAUAAGUUCCUUGAUGUAAAAUAUCAAUUUUGUUUUCCAAAGUCUUUAUGGCUAUUGGCUUUUCCAUGGAAUACCAAAGAAAGAAAAAAAAAAACAAACCCUCCUUACCUGAGAGUUCAUUUGAACCUUGUUUUUAUUAAUCCAAACCCUAUUGAUUUAUAUAUGACCUAUCAUGGGACUAUGAAGAGUUUUAAAACAACUCAAAGAUAACAAAAAAAAAAAAAUUGAGGUUAAAUAGUGAAAACUACAUUAGAUUCCAAUAAUAGUUUUUACGAUAUAAUGUUGCAUUGGCAGGUUUCAUAAAAAAAUGAAUUAUUCUAUGAAUACUAUUUUUGAUUCCAAAUUUUGAAUUUUCUAAUUCCUUAGUUUAGUGGUGGGUCCCAUAGAAAUUGAAAGUUGUGGAAAAGUAGAAUAUGGACACAAUUUUUUACUUAAUGAGUAGAUUUUACAACACCUUCAAGUAAUUACCCUAAAAAUGAUAGGUCAUUGCAUUGUAAAUAUAUUAAAUUUAAUUGAGAGAUUAUUUAUAAAAAAUAUCAUCAUUUUUUUAAAAGAAUAAUAUGAUCUUACCAUCGUCUCGGGUAGGAAAGCAAUUUAUGGUGGUGUUAGAUUUUUCUUAAUAUAUUCUUGUUCCUUUUUCUUUUUUUCUUUUUGGUGCAUAUUGUAAGUGUGGACCCCGCCCUUUCGAUUGCUCGAAUGCGUUUCCCACUCGAUGGCUAGCUCGAUUUAUUAUUUUAUUUCAAAAAUUGAUUUUUAUUGAUUAUUUGAAAAUGACUUGGAGUCGCCACUUAUUUUUGUUUUAUUUUUAAAGGGUAAACAAAAUAAGAAAGAAAAACCCUAAGUGUGACUCCUUAUUUUGGAAAAUGUGAUCUACGAAAAACCGGAUCAGGUUCGGGGGUCAGGUUACUUAUCGGGAAGGUACGGUAAAGACCGUAGCACCCCUCUAAGUCCCUAAAGUCGGGUCUCUACUAAUAAGAUGAAGCUGACGUGGCAGUCAAUAAGAAAAUCGAUGAAUACUCAAAUCGAUCAUGCACAAUACGAGAAGCAAAACAUGUAUAAAGAACGAACAAAAUAUGAAUAGAUGCGUACCUGGGCGGCAAUCACGAAUGCGCUAUCAUGAAACAUGGUGAGUGAACAAUGAACAUAUAUAAUUAAGCGCAUAUCAAGGAAUAGAGUAGAUCAACCAUGCAUGACAAAUAAAUAAAUCAAUCAGUCAAUCAAUCAUGAAGUCAAGUAUGUGGGGCCCCCACCAAAGCCCGAUUUAUCUUUGUAUGAAUUAGUUCCAUAAAUUCCACUAUUUGGAAUAACAGAAUUAAAUUCGUACUUAUUUUAAAACAUUUUAAAAGUCCAAGAAGGAUUUAAAAAUUGCUUACCGAAUAGAAAAUGGAAGCAAAUUUGAUUAGAAAGGGAUUUAUUGUCUUUAAGAUUACUAAGGAAAAAAAUAAAAUAAAAUGGAAAAUAAAUAAAUAAAUAAAUGAGAAAAUGAAAUAAUAAAAUGAAAAUAAUAGAAUAGAGUGAAAUAACGGAAAUAUUAAGGAGUAGAGAAAACUGUUUGAAAAACGAGUUUUUGAAAUCAAUUUUUGGAAGUAAAGAUGGAGAAAUUAAAAAAAAUGAAAUCCACUUGUUUUAAUAAUGGCUCACCCAAGGAGGCCAUGCGCGCCAUGCAUAAGUGGGUCUUAGGGAUUUGCGUGGCAGUGGGAAAUAAGAGAUUUUCAAUGCGUCAAACUGAUAACUUCCACAAUGGUUGAAAUGUCAUUCGUUCAUGCUACCCGCCAUCUAUAGAAGGAUGAUCCCGGCCGUUCGUUUUGACUCAAAUGCUUUCUUGUAGAUUCUGUUAGAUUAAUUUUUGUAAUUAAUCUAUAAUUUGGGCCACACAUGUAAAUAAUUAAAAUGUGUGUGCUAUCAUUUAAUUAAGCCUAAAUAUAGUGAUCUAAUUAAUAAUUGAUUAAUUGGCUUAAGGGUAUAAUUGUCAUGAGAUUAUUGUGUAGAUACCAUUAGACAAUUAUUAUUUCUAUGAGGGGCAGAAAUAUAAUUGUGAUAAAAUUAAAACUGCCCUAGCAGUUUAUAAAUAGGGUUAUGGUCCCCAUUCUACGACUACGCAUUCCAAUUUCUGAAAAUCCUCUCAGAGAGAAAUUGACACAGAAUCUAGUGGCUAGAAUUGGAAGACCAUCUCAAAGGGUUUUUUUUUCUAUAAGGUUUCUCCUUCAAUGGAUUCAGGUAUGCUUCCGCUAUUAUUUUUCUACUCAUUGUUUUUAAUCAGGAGAUUCCAGUGUAUAUAUAAAUUAAGGUAUUCACCUUGUUAAAUAUUUCAGUACAUAUGUAGUUAGGGUAUUCACCCUAUUAAAUAUUCCAGUACAUAUGUAGUUAGGGUAUUCACCCAGUUAACUAUUCCAGUAUAUAUGAAAUCAGGGUAUUCAUCUUGGUUGAAUACUAACAAGUGGUAUCAGAGCCUACUCCUUGAUUAAUUCUUUGAGUUAUUAUUUUAAUAUAUAUAUGUCAAUGGAUUAAGAUUUAUGAAAUAUUGAGUUGAUAAAUUUUUAUUUUAUUAUUAUUAUUAUUAUUAUUAUUAUUAUUAUUAUUUAAUAGCAUUUUAUGAUAUUAAUAUUUAAGUUAUUGAUCUAGCAUUUUAAAUAGGCUAAUUAAAGCGGAAAAUCACCAAAGUGACAUCUUCCGUGUAGAUUAGUCUGUUCGGGGUGUUAGAUAUUUGUGUGUAUGUGAUUCAUGCGGGUAUUGACUGGCCCAAAGGAAAGUUAAUAUUUGGUUAAAUUGCAUACAUACUUGUGGUGAUAAAUAUGUGAUGAUUAUAAAGGUAACUUAAUGUGAAUAAUAAAUCAAUCCAAAGAUAGAUUUAUUAUUUGACAUAACUUAUCAUCAAUGUUUGAUCACUACAACAAGAGUACCACUUACAGUUAAUAUUACUGUCCAAAGACUUAAUAUUAAUGUUGUGCUAGGUAUCUUGAAAUGUCAUAAUUUGCUUUUAAAUUUAAAGAUUAUGUGUUUAAUUGCUUAUUUUAUGUGAGCAUGAUGGUUUAUUUGAUUCAUUUNNNNNNNNNNNNNNNNNNNNNNNNNNNNNNNNNNNNNNNNNNNNNNNNNNNNNNNNNNNNNNNNNNNNNNNNNNNNNNNNNNNNNNNNNNNNNNNNNNNNNNNNNNNNNNNNNNNNNNNNNNNNNNNNNNNNNNNNNNNNNNNNNNNNNNNNNNNNNNNNNNNNNNNNNNNNNNNNNNNNNNNNNNNNNNNNNNNNNNNNNNNNNNNNNNNNNNNNNNNNNNNNNNNNNNNNNNNNNNNNNNNNNNNNNNNNNNNNNNNNNNNNNNNNNNNNNNNNNNNNNNNNNNNNNNNNNNNNNNNNNNNNNNNNNNNNNNNNNNNNNNNNNNNNNNNNNNNNNNNNNNNNNNNNNNNNNNNNNNNNNNNNNNNNNNNNNNNNNNNNNNNNNNNNNNNNNNNNNNNNNNNNNNNNNNNNNNNNNNNNNNNNNNNNNNNNNNNNNNNNNNNNNNNNNNNNNNNNNNNNNNNNNNNNNNNNNNNNNNNNNNNNNNNNNNNNNNNNNNNNNNNNNNNNNNNNNNNNNNNNNNNNNNNNNNNNNNNNNNNNNNNNNNNNNNNNNNNNNNNNNNNNNNNNNNNNNNNNNNNNNNNNNNNNNNNNNNNNNNNNNNNNNNNNNNNNNNNNNNNNNNNNNNNNNNNNNNNNNNNNNNNNNNNNNNNNNNNNNNNNNNNNNNNNNNNNNNNNNNNNNNNNNNNNNNNNNNNNNNNNNNNNNNNNNNNNNNNNNNNNNNNNNNNNNNNNNNNNNNNNNNNNNNNNNNNNNNNNNNNNNNNNNNNNNNNNNNNNNNNNNNNNNNNNNNNNNNNNNNNNNNNNNNNNNNNNNNNNNNNNNNNNNNNNNNNNNNNNNNNNNNNNNNNNNNNNNNNNNNNNNNNNNNNNNNNNNNNNNNNNNNNNNNNNNNNNNNNNNNNNNNNNNNNNNNNNNNNNNNNNNNNNNNNNNNNNNNNNNNNNNNNNNNNNNNNNNNNNNNNNNNNNNNNNNNNNNNNNNNNNNNNNNNNNNNNNNNNNNNNNNNNNNNNNNNNNNNNNNNNNNNNNNNNNNNNNNNNNNNNNNNNNNNNNNNNNNNNNNNNNNNNNNNNNNNNNNNNNNNNNNNNNNNNNNNNNNNNNNNNNNNNNNNNNNNNNNNNNNNNNNNNNNNNNNNNNNNNNNNNNNNNNNNNNNNNNNNNNNNNNNNNNNNNNNNNNNNNNNNNNNNNNNNNNNNNNNNNNNNNNNNNNNNNNNNNNNNNNNNNNNNNNNNNNNNNNNNNNNNNNNNNNNNNNNNNNNNNNNNNNNNNNNNNNNNNNNNNNNNNNNNNNNNNNNNNNNNNNNNNNNNNNNNNNNNNNNNNNNNNNNNNNNNNNNNNNNNNNNNNNNNNNNNNNNNNNNNNNNNNNNNNNNNNNNNNNNNNNNNNNNNNNNNNNNNNNNNNNNNNNNNNNNNNNNNNNNNNNNNNNNNNNNNNNNNNNNNNNNNNNNNNNNNNNNNNNNNNNNNNNNNNNNNNNNNNNNNNNNNNNNNNNNNNNNNNNNNNNNNNNNNNNNNNNNNNNNNNNNNNNNNNNNNNNNNNNNNNNNNNNNNNNNNNNNNNNNNNNNNNNNNNNNNNNNNNNNNNNNNNNNNNNNNNNNNNNNNNNNNNNNNNNNNNNNNNNNNNNNNNNNNNNNNNNNNNNNNNNNNNNNNNNNNNNNNNNNNNNNNNNNNNNNNNNNNNNNNNNNNNNNNNNNNNNNNNNNNNNNNNNNNNNNNNNNNNNNNNNNNNNNNNNNNNNNNNNNNNNNNNNNNNNNNNNNNNNNNNNNNNNNNNNNNNNNNNNNNNNNNNNNNNNNNNNNNNNNNNNNNNNNNNNNNNNNNNNNNNNNNNNNNNNNNNNNNNNNNNNNNNNNNNNNNNNNNNNNNNNNNNNNNNNNNNNNNNNNNNNNNNNNNNNNNNNNNNNNNNNNNNNNNNNNNNNNNNNNNNNNNNNNNNNNNNNNNNNNNNNNNNNNNNNNNNNNNNNNNNNNNNNNNNNNNNNNNNNNNNNNNNNNNNNNNNNNNNNNNNNNNNNNNNNNNNNNNNNNNNNNNNNNNNNNNNNNNNNNNNNNNNNNNNNNNNNNNNNNNNNNNNNNNNNNNNNNNNNNNNNNNNNNNNNNNNNNNNNNNNNNNNNNNNNNNNNNNNNNNNNNNNNNNNNNNNNNNNNNNNNNNNNNNNNNNNNNNNNNNNNNNNNNNNNNNNNNNNNNNNNNNNNNNNNNNNNNNNNNNNNNNNNNNNNNNNNNNNNNNNNNNNNNNNNNNNNNNNNNNNNNNNNNNNNNNNNNNNNNNNNNNNNNNNNNNNNNNNNNNNNNNNNNNNNNNNNNNNNNNNNNNNNNNNNNNNNNNNNNNNNNNNNNNNNNNNNNNNNNNNNNNNNNNNNNNNNNNNNNNNNNNNNNNNNNNNNNNNNNNNNNNNNNNNNNNNNNNNNNNNNNNNNNNNNNNNNNNNNNNNNNNNNNNNNNNNNNNNNNNNNNNNNNNNNNNNNNNNNNNNNNNNNNNNNNNNNNNNNNNNNNNNNNNNNNNNNNNNNNNNNNNNNNNNNNNNNNNNNNNNNNNNNNNNNNNNNNNNNNNNNNNNNNNNNNNNNNNNNNNNNNNNNNNNNNNNNNNNNNNNNNNNNNNNNNNNNNNNNNNNNNNNNNNNNNNNNNNNNNNNNNNNNNNNNNNNNNNNNNNNNNNNNNNNNNNNNNNNNNNNNNNNNNNNNNNNNNNNNNNNNNNNNNNNNNNNNNNNNNNNNNNNNNNNNNNNNNNNNNNNNNNNNNNNNNNNNNNNNNNNNNNNNNNNNNNNNNNNNNNNNNNNNNNNNNNNNNNNNNNNNNNNNNNNNNNNNNNNNNNNNNNNNNNNNNNNNNNNNNNNNNNNNNNNNNNNNNNNNNNNNNNNNNNNNNNNNNNNNNNNNNNNNNNNNNNNNNNNNNNNNNNNNNNNNNNNNNNNNNNNNNNNNNNNNNNNNNNNNNNNNNNNNNNNNNNNNNNNNNNNNNNNNNNNNNNNNNNNNNNNNNNNNNNNNNNNNNNNNNNNNNNNNNNNNNNNNNNNNNNNNNNNNNNNNNNNNNNNNNNNNNNNNNNNNNNNNNNNNNNNNNNNNNNNNNNNNNNNNNNNNNNNNNNNNNNNNNNNNNNNNNNNNNNNNNNNNNNNNNNNNNNNNNNNNNNNNNNNNNNNNNNNNNNNNNNNNNNNNNNNNNNNNNNNNNNNNNNNNNNNNNNNNNNNNNNNNNNNNNNNNNNNNNNNNNNNNNNNNNNNNNNNNNNNNNNNNNNNNNNNNNNNNNNNNNNNNNNNNNNNNNNNNNNNNNNNNNNNNNNNNNNNNNNNNNNNNNNNNNNNNNNNNNNNNNNNNNNNNNNNNNNNNNNNNNNNNNNNNNNNNNNNNNNNNNNNNNNNNNNNNNNNNNNNNNNNNNNNNNNNNNNNNNNNNNNNNNNNNNNNNNNNNNNNNNNNNNNNNNNNNNNNNNNNNNNNNNNNNNNNNNNNNNNNNNNNNNNNNNNNNNNNNNNNNNNNNNNNNNNNNNNNNNNNNNNNNNNNNNNNNNNNNNNNNNNNNNNNNNNNNNNNNNNNNNNNNNNNNNNNNNNNNNNNNNNNNNNNNNNNNNNNNNNNNNNNNNNNNNNNNNNNNNNNNNNNNNNNNNNNNNNNNNNNNNNNNNNNNNNNNNNNNNNNNNNNNNNNNNNNNNNNNNNNNNNNNNGAGCAAAUUUUGAGCUCAUAAGGUUAAACACAUUUAUUUGAUUACAUAUGCAUGUGGCCCAGUGGGAGAUUGUUAGAUUAAUUUUUGUAAUUAAUCUAUAAUUUGGGCCACACAUGUAAAUAAUUAAAAUGUGUGUGCUAUCAUUUAAUUAAGCCUAAAUAUAGUGAUCUAAUUAAUAAUUGAUUAAUUGGCUUAAGGGUAUAAUUGUCAUGAGAUUAUUGUGUAGAUACCAUUAGACAAUUAUUAUUUCUAUGAGGGGCAGAAAUAUAAUUGUGAUAAAAUUAAAACUGCCCUAGCAGUUUAUAAAUAGGGUUAUGGUCCCCAUUCUACGACUACGCAUUCCAAUUUCUGAAAAUCCUCUCAGAGAGAAAUUGACACAGAAUCUAGUGGCUAGAAUUGGAAGACCAUCUCAAAGGGUUUUUUUUUCUAUAAGGUUUCUCCUUCAAUGGAUUCAGGUAUGCUUCCGCUAUUAUUUUUCUACUCAUUGUUUUUAAUCAGGAGAUUCCAGUGUAUAUAUAAAUUAAGGUAUUCACCUUGUUAAAUAUUUCAGUACAUAUGUAGUUAGGGUAUUCACCUUAUUAAAUAUUCCAGUACAUAUGUAGUUAGGGUAUUCACCCAGUUAACUAUUCCAGUAUAUAUGAAAUCAGGGUAUUCAUCUUGGUUGAAUACUAACAGAUUCUUGAGCUACUCCUCUCGUGUCCUCUCAAACGCAUCGUAAUCCCCCAGGUAAGACUUCAGUCAUAAAACAUCAUGAAGGUCAAGAAGAUUCAUGGGUACAUCAAGUCGUAAUGAAUCAGGUUCUAUACACGGUGCACGAGCAAGAGCAAUUCGCGUUUGCCAACUUUCAGAAAAGGUUUUCUUGUUGCUCUAUGCCGCAUUCUAGGAGUGAAACCGAGAUCCACAAGAACGGAGCCUGCACGGGACUUAGCGGAGUAUGCAUCAAUGAACUCAAUCCUUUUGUAUGUCUCUUCAAGCCUUUGUCCAACAACAUCUUUGUCAAUAUCCCCAUUCAGUUUCUCUUGGCUCUCUAGUCUGCUACUCUCUGGAUCUUGGCGAAGGCUGUAAACGAUUCUACUGCUCAGCGUUCCAACUGAACCUCCUUUCCAUAGCAGCCAUUUUGAGUGGAUUCUCCUUUCUGCUUAGGUCCAUUAGCAUCAUGAAAGGCGUGACUUUUGCUGAAGGUGAUAGAAGCCAAUGUCGGGAAUCUUCUCUAACCGGACCCCAUCAAUACUUAAUAGCCCGAUUCCAAUAAGCCUUGAGUUCCGAGGACUGGGCGCGCUUUAAACAGAUUGAAAAUUCCCCGACUCUGUGAUUAUGAGGAUUGCCCUGUAAACUUGGAAAAAAUAACAUAGUUGAUGACAGAUUCUAAGUCUAGUCCCAGAAUAGAAUCUUUCUUGAAGAAGGUCAUGCCACCCUAAGGCCUUUAAGCAACUUGUGUGCUGUUGUCAUUACAAUAUCACAGGGCUUAAAGGGGUCAGCAACCACGGAAGCAGCAACAAGUCCAUUAAUGGGAGCCAUAUCCACCAUGAGAAAAAUCAUCAACGCCACCUGUAGAUUCAUCAAUUCGAUAAGGCAUAGACUCAAAAUGAAUUGAUGUGUCUGAUGCCCGUCUUUUAAGAGUCAUGAGACCAUGAGACAAGUGGCUCUAUGAGGUGAAUUUAAACCCAAGGCUCUGUCAUGUAGAUUAAGAAGGGCAGUAUACGCUUCAAAGUUAGCUGGAGAGCCAGAUAAUGCUUGAACAUUGAUACCCCACUUCCUAUCGUCUAAGUGAAAUGCUGCCAAAACCCUCUUCUGUCAGAGUGUUCCCAGCUCAUCAAUGAGCUCGUUAUCACCAUAAUACUUUUUACCAAGCAAUCCCUCAGAACAUUUGUUUGGUGAGGCAAGGAUCAAUGGCUUCCAUCAUUGUCCGGGAUGUAAAAUCCUCUGAAGCAAUAAACUCUAAACUCUUCAUUUGUUGUUUUUUCCCUCAGGAAAUCCCCUUCAUGAAACCGUCUUCUGGUCCCGAGCUUUGGAAACCGUGCCCAUAUGAAAACCCGAGGCUCAUGCUGGACCAAAACCCUUCUCCUUGAGGGUAUGAAUGGCCAUCGAGAACAGAGUAUAAACAGCAAGGGAGCAAAUACAAAAACAGAGUAUCAACUGAACCAAAGAAAACACUAACCCGAGCUCCAUUUCAUAUUGGAGCCAGUGGGCUUAUGCAUGGGUGGGAAAAACCAGGGGAAACUAAGAUCUCAAAGAUAUGACUCAAAUAUUCAAAUGAGAGUUAUAAAGGAAUCAGAUUAUACUAAAACAAUUUUUCAAUGAAGAGCAAAGCACGGAUACAUUAUCACAAAGUAACAGCAACCCAAAUGACAUCAAUGGAAAUCCAAAAUGUGGUCUAGCAAACGUACCUGAGGAUGUUCCUUUUCUUCCCUUUAUUUUCUUUUAAUUUCUCUCUGGUUUUCCUCUCGAACUCACCCACAAAACCAGUCUGCUCCUCUCUGUUUUCUCUCCAGUGUUUUUCCCCUCAAACGCUUUCUCUCAUCCUAAAAGCACUCUGGUUCUCUCAGCCUCCUUCUCCAGAAUCUCCCUUCUCUCACCUUAGCAGCCUGCUCACUGCAAAAUCCGCCACCAAAAGCCCCCACCACUACUCUGCAGCCUUCUCCUCUCUUUCAGCUCCCUGCUCCUCUCCAGCUUGCUCCUCCUUUUUCUCUCACUCUCCCUGCAGCUGCAUCCUCCCUCUCUACCCAAAGUAACCCAACCAAAAACUCCUGCCCCCACUCUAAUGGAAAAGCAUCUCCCUCUCUCAUCCGCUCCUCCCUGCAGCUGGCAAAACGGUUUGCAACUUUUGCAGAUUCCCUCACACCCCGUGUCACCUUCUCAUUGGCUCUUAAAACCACUAUUUUGAUUCCACAACAGCCAAUCUCAGGACAGCAUGUGGACUCCUAGGAUGGUGACAUCUGGCCAUAGCUAGCUGCAAGAAAGGAAACGUGAGAAAAAUCACAGCUCCCCAAAAUGGGGGUCUACAGUAAGGUUUCAAGUUCCUUUAGAAAUAUGAACAACGAUGAAGAGUUAGAAAUUUUGGAACAUUAAGUACAUAGUUAAAGCCAUGUUUAGAUAGUUGAAAUUCCUAUAAAAAAAAAAUACAAAAAUGAAAAAAUGAAAGAAGUUCAAAUUUUAUUUGAUUAUCUUAAAAAAUAAAAGAAAUUACAAAUAAUGAAAAUUGUUUAGAUUUUAUAUACUUUCUAAUGUUUACUCUUUAUAGACAAAAAAAACAAAUAAUUUUUUUUGAGGUUCUGAAAAUAAUUAAACUUAAGCUUAAUUUUUGUUUUUCUUGAUUUUUAAUGCCUUUCAUAAUUUUCCUUUACAAUUUUUCCCACUUAAUCCAAAACUUUCCAAGGUCUAAAUUUCAUAGGUGUUUCAUCUUCUUUUUAAUUAAGAAGUUUUGAAUGUUUCAAUUCAAAUUCCACAAUAAGGUAAUAAAACCUUAAAAUUAAUAUUACAUCUAGGUUGACUUGGUAAUCAACUUGAACCAAACCUAAAUUAAGAAACAUUCAGUCCUAACCUAACCAAAUAUAGCCUCAAAUAUGAGGUGUAUAGUUAAAACUCAACUUAUUUCUAUAUAUUAAAGUGAGGCUUAAAUUGACUCUGGUAUACUUGUAGUCGAGUUGAGUUGUUUAAGUUGUAUAAUCAGAGCUAAGUUUUGUAAGAUUGAAUUGGGGUGAACUCAUUCAUAAUGUUUAUUUUUUUUAACUUCUUUUAUAUCAUAAUUUAAAUAGCAAAUAGGACAACAUUUAAACAUAAUAAAAAAAAUGAGAAUGAAUUUAUGUAUCUUUCUUACAAAAAUGAAAUAAUAUAAUUAAAAUUUAAUAUUUUUUUAAAUACUAAAAAACAUAAAAUAGAUAUUAUUAUAUAAAAUACAAUAAAUUACAAAUAUUAUAAAAAUAUAAAAAUUAGGUUAUAUAUGUAUGUAUGUAUGAAUGUAUGUAUAAAAUAGUAGUGUGAUAGGUGUUUGCUACUUGUAAAAAGUAUUUUUGCUCAUUUUUAAAUUGAAAUUAAUAAAAAGAAAAAGAAAUAAAAUGUUUUCAAAAAUAUUAAAUGCAUAACUAAUAUUAUGCUAAUGAAGUUUUUUGUUCUUUGUAAUUUAGAGUUGUCUCAUUCAUAUUUUAAGGUAAACUAAUAGAACAUUAAACUCCCCAAUAUUGUAUCCAUCUAGAAUUUAUCACCAUUUUAUUUUAUAUCAUAUCACAAUUAUAUUAAUUAGUGGCUUCAAGAAAAAAAAAAAUUAUUUAUAUGUUAGACAACAUGGAAAAGAUAUAUUUUUUAAUGCUUAUUAAUAAUUUUUAUUUCAAAUUUUAAAACAUGAAUAUAUAAAUUUUAACAAUUAUGAAAUAUUAGUCUAAAUAUCUUUUAAUAUUUGGUUAUGUUUGCAAAGCAUUUUUAAUAAAAAUUAUGAAAAACAAUUUUUGAGAGUAAUUUACAAAAACAUUUUUUAUUUAUUUUUAAAUAUAUUUUAAAAAUAACUUUAUCUCAUAUAUAGUACUUUAUUUUAAUCGUUCUCUAUUUAAAAUAACUCUAUGAAAAGAAACGAAAAUAAUUAAAAGAUUUAUCUUAAAACAUUUUAUUUUUUUAUUUUUAUGAAUAGAAAACUUUUUUUUUUUGUCAAAUGUGUCUUCUUGUUUUUGUUUUUGUUUUUUUAAAAAACAAAAAACUGUUUUAAAAAAUAAUUACCAACCAUGCUUGAACACAAAGCCCGAAGCUCCCGUGGGGCUGGUUUUGGGCCUUUUAGGUUUGGGAAAAACAGUCGGGCCUGGCUGAGCACAAAUUCUUCUCUUUUAAAUCCAAAAAGCCCGUCUCAAGCCCAAACUUCAGGUUGGGCCGGGAAGCUCCUGGCUUAACACAAAUUAUUCUCUUUUAAGUCCAAAAAUACAGUCUGAAGCCCAAAAUUUCGGGUUGGUCCGGCCGGGCGGGCGGAUAUGAAAUAUAAGAAAAUAAAUAGGGAAAACUGUGUUUUGGUCCGCCCAUUUGGGCCUAAUAGCUUUUUGGUAACCCAACUUUCCAUAACCCAAAAAAUGUCCACUGUUGCCCAAAAAAAUAUCCCUUUCAUGCACUAUCCACUGUUUUAUAAUUUCAUUUCCAAAAUUACCCCUCCAGCCUUCCAUAUCAGCAGCCAUCUCCCUCUCCAUGUCACGGGUUGUGCUUUCAAAUAAACACAAAAAUCUUAAACAAGUUAGCAAAACCCACGCAAGACCUGACUCUGAAAUUUGGGAAACCAGGUUAGGGCAAAAGGAGAGAAAGUCACAGAGAGUCCUUAGCUUCUUUCUCUUCUCUCUCUUUUCUCUCUGUUGUGUGAAUUUCUCAGUGAAAAAUCGAAAGCUUGUAAGCUGUAAUCGAAAGUUAGGUUCAGUGCUUUUUUGGUACUUUGUCGGAUGGCCCAAGCAGCCAGUAGCAGAUACUCAAAUUUUAUGCUUGGGUUUUACUUGAAUGCUCAUACAUUAGCUGUCAUCUUCAAGGUCCAUUUGGUUUUAAUGCAUCUGGAUCACGCAGCUGAGCAGAGGAAAGAGGAAAUGAAUCUGUUACUGGUUUGAUAUUUUUGGGGCUUAGGUGCUUACGAGCUGUACGGUGUAAGCAAAAUCCUCGUUAAAAGUCUAACUUAAGACAACUGGCUCUAAAUAGCAUAUGGCCCGGCGUUGAAAGUGGCUGUAGCCUACAAUCUCAAAUCAAGGGGUAAGUCCCAUACCAUUUAAAAGAAUUGUGACCUUCAGUGUCAGAAAUUUUCAGUUAAAUACAAAUGAAUUGCAUCUUCUUCACUGAAUUUUCAGCCUCCGGUUUCAUCUUUGCGAGGUGAGAUUCACAUUCAUUUUCCAUUGAUCGAAUUCCCCCUCCUCUGCCACAGCCUGGCUAGGGACUCGGUUAAGUUAAGAUGCUAACACUGAAUGAAAAUUGAUUCCAACAAUUUUCAUCAAUCAAUUCCUCAAGUACAAAAGCAGAUGGUGUAUGGUGGAUUGCAGUAAUAGAUGAAGUUGGUUUAGUUUAUCCCUCCUUUGAUGGGCACAAGGAUAAAACCAUCUAUUGCUGGGCAAGGUAGCUAGAUGCAGCUUUCCCCAGAAGGCUCGAGGUAGCAGAAUGUCCAUUUUGGUCUCAAGUCGUUCAACAUUGCUGAAGUUCCUUUGCAAUCCUAAUGGAGACUGCCAUUGGGCAGUUUGUCUUAAUUGCGUUGGAGGCAAUGUGUGACCUGCUAACAGCAUAUCCCUCCUGCAACAACCAAAUCCAACAUAUGGACUGCAUCAGUUUCUGUAAACCAUUUGUUGGAGCUCCAGACCAUAGCAAAUAUCUCCAACUUCAAUUGGGAGUGAUCAGCUUCUAUAGAACAAUAAAAUGCCAUACCAUAUUAUAAUUUCCCCUUAUAUUUUUCCCAUUCUCCUAAGCUGGGGCUUGAUGAGUUUUUAGACCAAAAGACUUGUGCAAGUAAACAUCAUCUGGAUUAGGCAACAAAAAAAAAAAUACCUGACUCUGUUUCUUGGCUAAUGACAAUUGAAAAGCCUCUAAAAGAGAACACUAGGAGGAUACCUUGUUCAGGGCGCUCAUCAUGGUCAUGAGGGGAGGAGAGUUUAUUUUUGCACGGCUUGCUACCUAGGAACAUAAGAGGAAAAUCAAUAAUGAAAUUGCAUUCAAUUUCCAAGCCAUGCAACAGAGCCUGAGAAUUAAUUCACAACCAAAUCAAGAAUCUAAAACACAAAAUUAUGUUAUUUGCAAGUAAACCUCAUCCAAUUUGAUGUAUCCAAAUGGUAAUUUAGGGUCACUCUCAUCGAUCAUUUGCUUCAGAAGUUUUCCCAGAUGAGUUUCAGUGUCAUUGCCAGUCCAUCCCCAUUGCUCAGCUAAAUUUAGCAUUUCUGUAAGGUAGGAAGCAUUAUGGCAGAGAUUAUCAAAUACAGUGGUUUUGCUUUUAAGUUGCUUAGGUAUUACCUUAAUGACCUUUAGGUACUACCUUAGUGGCCUUCAGGUACUACCUUAAGGGCCCCUAGGUACUACCUUACCAAAACUUCAACUCAACCUCUCCUAAGCCUCGGGUUUUCCUUUGUGACCCUUAGACCAUGCCAUUAUAUGCUUCUCUUGAGUCCUCAAGUGGUCCACCAAUGGUUUUAUGCUACUGUUCCUUAGGUACUACCUUAGUGCCCUUAAGGUACUACCUUAGUGGCCUUCAGGUACUACCUUAAGGGACACUAGGUACUACCUUAGCAAACUUCAACUCAACAUCUCCCAAGCCUCGGGUCUUCCUUUGUCACCCUUAGACCAUGCCAUUAUAUGCUUCUCUUGAGUCCUCAAAUGGUCCACCAAUGGUUUUUUGCUACUGUUCCUUAGGUACUACCUUAGUGGCCUUAAGGUACUACCUUAGUGGCCUUCAGGUACUACCUUAGUGGCCUUCAGGUACUACCUUAAGGGACCCUAGGUACUACCUUCGCUAAACUUCAACUCAACAUCUCCCAAGCCUCGGGUCUUCCUUUGUCACCCUUAGACCAUGCCAUUAUAUGCUUCUCUUGAGUCCUCAAAUGGUCCACCAAUGGUUUUUUGCUACUGUUCCUUAGGUACUACCUUAGUGGCCUUAAGGUACUACCUUAGUGGCCUUCAGGUACUACCUUAGUGGNNNNNNNNNNNNNNNNNNNNNNNNNNNNNNNNNNNNNNNNNNNNNNNNNNNNNNNNNNNNNNNNNNNNNNNNNNNNNNNNNNNNNNNNNNNNNNNNNNNNNNNNNNNNNNNNNNNNNNNNNNNNNNNNNNNNNNNNNNNNNNNNNNNNNNNNNNNNNNNNNNNNNNNNNNNNNNNNNNNNNNNNNNNNNNNNNNNNNNNNNNNNNNNNNNNNNNNNNNNNNNNNNNNNNNNNNNNNNNNNNNNNNNNNNNNNNNNNNNNNNNNNNNNNNNNNNNNNNNNNNNNNNNNNNNNNNNNNNNNNNNNNNNNNNNNNNNNNNNNNNNNNNNNNNNNNNNNNNNNNNNNNNNNNNNNNNNNNNNNNNNNNNNNNNNNNNNNNNNNNNNNNNNNNNNNNNNNNNNNNNNNNNNNNNNNNNNNNNNNNNNNNNNNNNNNNNNNNNNNNNNNNNNNNNNNNNNNNNNNNNNNNNNNNNNNNNNNNNNNNNNNNNNNNNNNNNNNNNNNNNNNNNNNNNNNNNNNNNNNNNNNNNNNNNNNNNNNNNNNNNNNNNNNNNNNNNNNNNNNNNNNNNNNNNNNNNNNNNNNNNNNNNNNNNNNNNNNNNNNNNNNNNNNNNNNNNNNNNNNNNNNNNNNNNNNNNNNNNNNNNNNNNNNNNNNNNNNNNNNNNNNNNNNNNNNNNNNNNNNNNNNNNNNNNNNNNNNNNNNNNNNNNNNNNNNNNNNNNNNNNNNNNNNNNNNNNNNNNNNNNNNNNNNNNNNNNNNNNNNNNNNNNNNNNNNNNNNNNNNNNNNNNNNNNNNNNNNNNNNNNNNNNNNNNNNNNNNNNNNNNNNNNNNNNNNNNNNNNNNNNNNNNNNNNNNNNNNNNNNNNNNNNNNNNNNNNNNNNNNNNNNNNNNNNNNNNNNNNNNNNNNNNNNNNNNNNNNNNNNNNNNNNNNNNNNNNNNNNNNNNNNNNNNNNNNNNNNNNNNNNNNNNNNNNNNNNNNNNNNNNNNNNNNNNNNNNNNNNNNNNNNNNNNNNNNNNNNNNNNNNNNNNNNNNNNNNNNNNNNNNNNNNNNNNNNNNNNNNNNNNNNNNNNNNNNNNNNNNNNNNNNNNNNNNNNNNNNNNNNNNNNNNNNNNNNNNNNNNNNNNNNNNNNNNNNNNNNNNNNNNNNNNNNNNNNNNNNNNNNNNNNNNNNNNNNNNNNNNNNNNNNNNNNNNNNNNNNNNNNNNNNNNNNNNNNNNNNNNNNNNNNNNNNNNNNNNNNNNNNNNNNNNNNNNNNNNNNNNNNNNNNNNNNNNNNNNNNNNNNNNNNNNNNNNUUACUUUUCUUUAUGGCUUUAUUGUGGUGAAUAUUGGAAACAGCUUGGAUUUGUUUAAUUUCCAUGGAAGGUCCAAAUAGUCCAUGAGACAUGUCUUUGUAAUAUGAGUUAAGAGAAUGUUGACUUGUUAGUGUUAGUGUUGGACGGCCCAUCCAAAUGGCAUGUAUUUAAACUUGCCAUACAGGAAUCAUAGAGACAUGUCUUUAUUUUCCCUAUAAAGUCCCAUGUCUGUUCUGAUUAACUUUCCAUGGUUUAUAAUCAAUGAAGGUGUUCACUACUCACCAUUGGAUGGUUCGGAUAUACAAAUUAAAACCUCCGAAGAACAGGAUCCGUGUAAAAACAAAGAAAUCAAAAUCGGUAUGCAUGAUAAACACCUGUAGAUUGUAUUCGUUUCUGAUUCAGUGCAAAAUUACCCACUGACCUUUUGUUGCCUCCUCCCUUUGCAGAAAGCAAGCUCCACAACCAGCUCAAAAAAAUAAGUGGAAAAAAAAAAGAAGAAUCCCUGGCAAUGAAAGGCACUUUCAGAAGAUGUUGUCUCCAAUCAGUUACUUGUAACCCACAUAUUUAAUAUCCAAAACACUAAUUUGUUCUCUUAAAAGUAAUUUCUACAGCAAUUUUAUCGUGGUCAAUCCCAAACAGGCCUUUAUUAUGAUUUCUAUAUCCAUAUCCUCUCUUUUCAAUUUCUUCCUUUCAUUUUCCCUCUCAUGUGGGAUGGGUAAACUUUGCACUUUCUAAAGUCAUCUUUAAUGUUCUAACUGAGUGGUAUCCUACAUAAAUAUUUUCUACAAACUCAGAAUGACCUCAGCGACAAAAGCCAACCCCUUGAAGUAGAGGUAUAGAAGUAAAUUGCAUUCACAGCUAAUUUUGUCCCCUAUUUUCAAUCAAGUCACAGCUAACAAUUUUAUAUAUAGCAUUCAAAUUGCAUUCCACUCCACAGACUAUACAACAUUCAGAUGCAAAAUUGUCUUCUUACCCUUCCAGAAAGCCUAUAUCUCAACCAAUCAUUCAAAACUAGGACAUAGAAAUGCCAAAAGUGCAUAAACAGAAUGCCACCUUAUGAAUCUCCACAGUAAAAUUAUCAAUCUUUUCUCAUGUCAUUCAACAUUGUUUUCAUAAUUUUCUCACUUUCAUACAAGGAGUAUAUAUUCAAAAAACAAAGAAACAGAAAAAUCAAUUAAAUAGGCAAGAUUAAUUGGACAGAGUUUCUACUGGAUAUGAGGUAGUUGGCUGAAGAAGAGAAAAAUUGAUCACUGAUAUCUGCACACUUUCUUUGAGCAUAGAAACUCCCAAGCUUAAUUAAUCUUCCAAACCAUCGAUCAAAUACACUAUUCUGAGUGAGACCGUGGAAAGGGCAUCUCAGCGAAAAAAAUCCAACAACAAAUUUUACUAUACAGGAGCUAUAUUUUAUUCCAAAAGGAGACGGUCUUUGAUCUUGAAGCCCAAAUCAAUAUAUAUAUAUAUACUAGGAGCUUCUGACUUCUCCCUGGUGUAAUAAAAAGUGAGCUACAAAAUGACCCAGAGCAGGUCCCACCUCAGAAUUACCUUCAUCUGGUCAUUUUCUUGACACCUCAUAAUUGUUACAGUUUCUUAGGCAGGUUGUAAUUUUUAUUGAGAAUGCACAUACCAUUACUGUAAUAUAUAUUACAGUCCUCAAGCUUCCUCUAUAUUCAAUGGAAUGUGUCUUAAAAUAUAGAGGGAACUAAAGCCUAACUACCCUUAUCCAAAUAACAAAAUAAACCAAGGAGCCUAUUGUGAAGUCUUCAUCUUUGAUAUCUCCUCCAACAGUAAUCUGGAUUUAGCUGCAAAAUCAACUGCCACAACAGCCUUGGCUGUUAUCCACUGCCUUUUCUCAUUCAUGUAUUCAUGUUGUGCAACACUAAUCCGGAAAAGAUGAGGGACCCAAAUAGCUUCCUUCAAUUUCUGCUGGAAUCGGUUCUCCUCUCCCUCCUGCAGAGAAAAUUGGGUUUUUAAAACAUCAGAUUUUGAAUGCCAGAAGUUCAUCAUUUUUUUCUUCCAUAGAACCCAACUAGGCUACCAAAUAAGUAACCAACUACAUAUGAAUUAAUGCAUCAAUGAGCAACUCUUUCAAGUUAACUAAGAUUUGGACAAACUCCUAGAUAUUUCAAUAUUGCCAAGAGUUUACCUGUGAUUUAAGCUUAUCAAGCUCAUCAGCAGAGCACCCAAAUAUUCUCUCUGCUUGUUCAUUAAACAGAGCAAGGCAAGCUUCACCACUAUCAUCUGAAACUUUCACUACCAUUAUGUACCUGGAAAACAUAACAGAAUGUAACAAAGAAACAUCAUUCAUAGGACAACUUUUCCUAUUUUAAAUACUAUCACUGAAUUCUUAUUGAUUCAAAUUCCAUGAAUCCCUCACCUUCAACUGCACUCAUCAUCAUUCUUUUCACAUCCUUCACACCAAUACCCAGAUUCAAUAGCAUCUGUGACUUUCUUGUUGCAUGUCUUACAAGCCUGGUACCACAUUGUUUGCUCAGGCUUGAUGAAGCUUAUGUAUGCUCUGAUGCUAAAAAAUGAAGGCUAUACAGAGACAAGCCCACAUUAUCAAAACUUAAAAUGAUUUUAACUUAAAACUUUGGCUAAGACCAGUUUGAUCAUGUUAGGUUAUUUUAAUGACAGUAAUUAUUACCUUGUCUUCACCCAAAGAUGGGUUGCUGGUUACAUGAGAAAGGGAAACCCUGUCAUAGUACAUGGACCUCACUCCACCCUUAGAUGAAGGACUGAUAUCAGACCCAAUAGAAGCUAAUCAUGAUACCUGUGAACAAGAACAUGUGGUCAGAAACUCUUACUAGAAGAACUAACAAGGUAAUAGGUCACUGGAUGAUUCCUUACCAGGAUCUCAACUUUUUUUAUUCCGGUGUAUCUGGAUUUACCAGUGCAAUACUUUUACUCAAUGUUGACAGUGACACACCUAAAACAAGAUAUGAAGAGAACAUUACAAAGAGGACUUCUUAUCAUUCUCAAGUUUUUGAGAAUGUGCUUAAUUGCCAUAAUAAUACCAAACUUCAAGAAAACAAGGGGAAUUACCUUGGAAGUCUCCAACUUUGAGAGAUUUAAUUGCAAUAAUUGGAAAUUUAUCAGCAUUAUCCAACAAUUCCUACCCUACAUUAGUAGCAUGAUCAUUCCACAAAGAGACCACAACACUUUUCUUCCUACAAUUGAAACGUCCAUAAGUUCAAUAUGAAGCAACAUUAGACCAAAGUGACCAGUGCAAAAAAUAAAAUAUACACUCACGUCUUGUCCGCAAUAGUAAUAUCACGCUUAGGAACAAUCUCAUUGUUAUUCUUCCUUCGUAUCCUCAUUGUAGGAGAGACACUUUGAACAACUCCACUAACAUCUGGAAUUAAUAAUGAUAUGGGUCAUAUUACACAAAAGCACCUAAUGAAAUUCACAUCACAACAAAAAAAGGAAGUCAAUAGUAUAAUGAUAGCUCUUUCACAUGAUACUAACAACUUUAACAUACAGAUCCAAACCAUCCAAGAAAUGAGAACUUACAACUGGCAUGUGCAAGUGAGAUCGCAUUAAUGAGGAGAACCUUGGUAUUUUCUUGUUCUUCUUUUCUCAGUGCUUUCCCAGCUUACGAACCACCUCCAGAUUCUGCACCAUUAAAUUUCCACUGAUAAAGCCUACAUGCUCGAAUAUACAAACAAUAAGCCUCUAUAUUUUUCAGCAUAUAUAAUUCUAGUAUAAAGUUUUUAGUAAUAACUAUCAAAAUCACUUGACAAGGUACUUAUCACACAAAACAUAAAUUAAUAAAUAAAAUACUUCACGGGAUAUUCAUUCUAAUGUGCGUCUUCUCUUAUCAAAACUCGCAAGAACACUAAUAAAUGGGAGCUUGAUAUUUACAAUAUACCUUAAAUUGGAUUAAAAAAGUACACCACUAUAUGGUUUUCAACAAGAUUAGCCUACUAAGAAAUGAAGCAAAAGGAAUUAUGAUAAAAUUCUUGAUGUAAUAUUACCCAUUACAACACACCAAUGAUAAGUGUUACAUAUGUGUUCUUGGUUGGUAACAACCUUUAGAAGAGUGUUCAAAACAUGUAAUGGAUAUACAAAAAACACAUAGUUUCAGUCAUGGAAGAAUGUGACAGCAUUGCACUUAAGCCAAAGGGUUGUUGCACGUUUUCCUAUUGUGCCCGGAAGUAUGACAUCUUGAGCAAGAGACAGUCCGUUUAUCUUGCAAUUGGGACUCAAUGCGCUUCUUUCUUGGUCUGCCGGGAGGCCGCUUGGUAUGGGGUGGGUUAAGAGAGAAGAAAACUUCACCGGUGAUAGAUCGAACCAAACCAUCAUUAGCGACCAUUGGCAUGUCAUGGGUCUCUAUACCGGAGAAGGAGCCCGAGUAAAUCAGCUCUUGCAUUGGGAAUUUGUACCAAUCUUGAACAAAAUCAACAACAUUCUGACCGAUGGAAAGAAUAACGGCUGCCGCAUGUUCACAAGGGAUGCCCAACAUUUCCCAACCCCUACAUGUGCAAGUACGCUUUAUAAUGUCCACAUUCAAGAAGGUGGUUCCAAUAGAAACCCCAAAUAUUCCGUUCAUGAAAGGAGUGACCGGAUACACCUCACCCUUGGCAAUUUUCUGCUGAACUUUUUCUUCAAUUUUUGGCCCUAUGCAUCCUUUCCAAUUGUUUGAUUCCUCUUUAUGUUUGACAAGCAUAGAACCUAACUUAGCCAUAUGCUCCAUUAGAAAUGUACAAAUGGAGUGAUGUCUUUCAUUCCUUAGCCAAGCAUUAAACGACUCGGCAAGGUUUGUGGUCAUUUUAUCCCAUCUUUGUUUUGGGAAUUUGGACAUAGCCCAAUGUUCGGGUUCAUUUUCUUCAACCCAUUUGGCCAAAGCGUCAUUGUAUUGUCGUAGUUCAAACAUGGAAACAUUGUAAUCGUGCUCUAACCUUGCAUAGGCUAUACUAUCAAGGAAUUGGAGUGCAUUUUCUUUACCUUUGUUCCCUCUUGUGUUAUGUUUGCUCAAGAAAGAGCUGAAAUUUUCCUUCAAGUGACAGUAACAGUAGGCAUGGUUUUCAAGCCCAAACACUUUAGGAACACUACGAAGGAGGGCGGGAUGUCUAUCCGAGAUAAUAACGACUUCCUUAUCUCCAACAAGCUUCUUCAAAUUUUGCAAAAACCAAGACCAAUCGUCAUAAUUUUUUGAGCUCAUCACGCCAAAGGCUAAGGGGAACAUGGCAUCAUUAGCAUCGUAUGCGGUCGCCGAAAAUAACGCACCCCUAUAUGGCCCACUCAUAUGGGCGGAGUCAAUAGCUAUGAUUGGCCGACACCCCAUUGCAAACCAUUGGAUAGAUACCGAAUGAGCAACAAAGAGUUGCUCAAAAUGUCCAUCACUUGAAUGUCCCAACUCAACAAUGCUUCCCGGAUUUGUUGCAACCAUUUUCUCACACAUCCAAGGCAACAAUUUGUAAUAAUAUUUGGGUUCUCCAUAAAUGCGCUCAUUUGCCUUCUCCUUGAUAUUCCAUGCUUGAAGAUACGUCAAUUGCAUCCCAUGUUGCCUUUGAAAGUCCUUACAAAUUUGGCAGGGUUGGUAAUUGGGAGUGGACCGGAUGACAUCAUCAAUAAGCAAUGAUGCCCGAUUAGAUCUCACUAAAGGUUGGCAUGCAGCAACAUCUUCCAAACUAUGAUUAUGAUGGUUAUGAAAAGUGUGAACCUGGAUGAUGUUCGAAUCCCCAAUUGCACGAGCUGUGACUUUCCAAGGACAUUGAGUAACUGUGCAAACAACUGUCAUGUGUUUCAUAGUAUUCCUCUUGAAGCGAUAACGGAAUCUACCAGCAAUUGACAUCAAAUAAACGGCAUCACGGAACUUGGCAGCAUUGGAGAAGGUAUGUCCACUACCCAUAAUGGAAUUUUCAAACCGCCUUGAGUCACGUUCGAGUAUAUUUGCUUCCGCACAUCUAUGGGAAAACCCAUAUGACUCAAUUGUAAGAGAGUCAUUACAAAUAUUAAUUGGCAGAUCGCCACCGGAUGGAAGUAAGUGUGCAGAAUUCGAACCAACAAUAGGAGAAGGGGCACUACAAAGGAAGAAAAAAAAAAUCAUCCAUCUACAUAUAUUUGAAGAAAAGUUAAUAGACAUAGUGGAUGAGAUGUUGGGAAGGCUAUCAAUACCUAGUCGGUGCUAUAUAGCCUUCAACAACUUCACUUGAUGAUGAGACAUAGACGUGACAAAACAUUUCGUUGAAUCGAAACAUCUUAAGUAGGGCUGCAUCAUCAUGCAACGGUAGUAGACAUGAUGGCUCAAACUUGACCGUGAAUUCCAAUUUGAUAGAAUUCUGGUCAAAGUGCAAUGCAUCACACAGUUUUGAAACAAAAUCACUAUGUGACAUAUGUCGACUAACAACCAUCGAUUCGCUACGACCACCUUGAUAUUGAACAGACCCUCCAACACAUUUAACUAGCUGACCGCCUUCAUGAAUGUAACAGAACAUGUCCUCUUCCAUCACCUUAAUUAAAUAAAAACUUGUUACAAAAAAAAUGACAACAAAAGUAAAUAGGGAUUAUGUAUGAAUAUAAUGAUGAAGGAAAGAGGAGAAGAGAGGGUGGAGAGAAAGGCCAUAAAGGGGUCAUCGUCGGGCCAUGUGAUGGUAAUCGAACGUCUAAGAUUUUUUUCUUAGUGACACAUAAGAUGAAGAGGAAACGAGGGAGCAUGGAUUGAAGGGCCCCUUUCUAUAUUCAAAUCCUUAGUAUAUACAUGUAUCCAUAAUCUAAUGCCAUGAAGUUGCUUAAGGAAUAUGAAUGUUGGCUUCCUCCCUACCCACAUUUCCCAUGUCCUCAUCUACAACCGAUAUUCUAUGUUUCUUUCCACUUCCAUUCCUCAUCAUCCUAAAAACAUAAUUACAUCUUAUAACAGUUAUCGAAAAAAACCUUUUACAAGGGACAAGACAUUAAUAGUUAAAUGAUCGCACAUAUCGAAGAUGGACAUUAUUUUGAUGCAAGUAGUUUAUGACUCUCACUCUCACUCUCAUGUACAUAACUUUCUAUCUUAACUUUGUAGGUGUAUACCUAGGCCUAAUGUGUUUAUACAUGGACCUUGAUUCGAAAGUGAAAAGUCCAUCGUAUCUUCACAAAGAUCUCAAUAAAUCCCAUAUUAUAGUUUUGUUCGAAAUCAAUUUGUAUAAUGCAUCAAAUUCGUUCAUAGAGUUAAUAUUCAAUCACCUCAUCCUUUGAAGGUAAGAAAUUGAAAGCAAUUUUGGUAAACAAAGACAAAGCAAAAAUAUGUUGUAAACAAUGAGUGAUUAAUGGGGCUGACUAUAAACAAAUAAGUUACUGUCUUAGUGAACUUAAGAAAUGAUAAUAGUUGCACAGUUUGGAAGAAAAGUUGAUUGCAGAAACAUCACAAUAAUUAUGGGUUUUCCUUACAUUUGCAUGAUGUUCUCGCAAGAAAAUGAGGGAGAGACGGAGACAGACACACAGAGAAGAAAGAAGAAGGAGCAUAGGAAAAAGAGAAUACCUCAAAAACAGUUCCCAAGUAAUCUAUGAAUGCUACAAAGUUGGUUUCUUCAAAAAGUCCGUAUAUAUAUGUAGUCCAACAAGGAGAAGCUGAGAAUGGGAAGAGAAAAAGGGACAUUAGAGGAAUGGAAAAGCUUAGAUAUAGUACAUAAUGAAUAAACUAAGAAGGAUUAAUGUUUAUUGUAAAUAACAUAGGGCUUUUCUGGUAUGUUUGAACAAGAAGAAGUUAAAGUCACUUAUGUUUGGAAAUAAAUAUGACAACAAAACAAACAUUUUAUAUAGGUAACAUUUUUGCCCUCUCCUAAAAAUUAAAAUGGAAACCUACAACGAUCCCACCCCAACACUUUGCUACGCCAACCAGGUUUCAAGGGCUAUGAAAAGGGAGGCCAAAAUAAGCAUUGAAGACAACUUUUAAGAAGCAAGAACCAGCAAGAAAGAAUCUGGAAGCUAAUAUAUCACAAUAAUUAUUGUUUUACCGUAGAUGCGCUUGAUGUUCUACCAAGAAAAAGAUAGAUAGAGACAUAGACACACAUACAGAGAACAAAUAAGCAGCAACAUAGGAAAAAGCAAAUACCUCAACAACAAUUCCCAAGUAAUCUAUGAAUGUUGGAAUCUUGACUUUUGCAAACAGUCUAUAUAUAUCUGUAAUCCAACAAUGAGAAGUUGAGAAUGGGAAAAGAAAAAGGGACAGGGCAGAAAUUUCAAAGCUGACAUACAAUACAUAAUGAAAAAGCUAAAAAUCAUUAAUGCUUAUUGUAAAUAACAUAGGUUUCUUCUUGUAUGUUUUAACAGGAAGAAGUUAAAGUCACUUAUGUUUGUAAAUAAGUAUCACAACAAAAUAAACAUUUUAUAUAGGUAACAAUUUUUUCCUCCCCUGAAAAUGAAAUUGGAAACCUACCAGCAUCCCACCCCAACACUUUGCUACUUGAACCAAGUAUCAAGGGUUAUAACAAGUGGCAACAUAAUAAGCAUUUAAGACAACUUUUGAGAAGCAAGAACCAGCAAGAAACAAUCUCGUAGCUAAUAUAAACAAAUCUGAAUAAAAUUACAGCAUAUAAUUUCAAAUUAAAUAAUUAAAAUUGUAUUUUUGUAAUGAUGAACCUUAACAAAUUUAAAAUAAAUAUAUCUUAUCAAAGAGUAUCAUAGUCCAAUGGUAGCAGUGAUUGAACCCAACCCAUGGUUUUCAUUUAAUAAAAAUUAAGAUGGAUAAGAACCCAAGCUUUCGAUUUUUCACUGAGAAAUUCACACAACAGAGAGAAAAGAGAGAGAAGAGAGAGAAGCUAAGGACCCUCCAUUUGGCACAAAGUAAGAAAACCUUAUUUGCUGUUUGAUGUGAAGCUCUAUGCAUUAAAAAAAGGAAAAACAAAUUAUAAACUUAAUUUUAAAAUAUAUCAUAAAAAACAGCUCUCUAGGUGGCAGGAGAGGUGGGUUUUGGUUCAAAUAGCUUAUACUGCCUCUGGCAUCUGUUCUUGAAUUCUCCAACUUUGUCUCCCAAACAUGUCCUAAUUCCCAAGAGCUCAUAUUGCCACACCUACUCAUUAGGGUUUGCAUCAGUUUCCAUUAACAUUUAACUAAAAAGAGUUUAAAAAUUCAAUCAAGGUCAAACAAAAUCAACCAUCCCACAGAGCAGAAGUUACAUAGAUAUUCGAGAAAAUAAGUCAUGUCACAAACUAAGCAUCUAAUCACACAGCAGAAGUUCAGAAGUUCAGCUUUCCUCAAUCCAACCAGCUUUGAAUACAUGCUUAUAGGCUUAUAUAAUCUGCUCCUUACCACCUUUAAACAAAACCCUUGAACGAAUUAAACCAAAAAACCCAGAAAAAAAGAAAAGAAAAAAAAAAGCACAGAAAAUUAGGAUUACAAUCAAUCAAUCCACACAAAGUGCUAAAAAACAUUAAUAAACAAACACCCAACAUAAAAACAGCAAGCUUUUAUUAAAAGAACACAAAAACAAAUAAAAUAAAAACAUACCCACAACUUUAUCUUACCUCAAGAACCAAAUCCAAGAGCAAAAAAAGAGUUUAAAAAUUCAAUCAAGGUCAAACAAAAUCAACCAUCCCACAGAGCAGAAAUUACAUAGGUAUUCGAGAAAAUCAGUCAUGUCACAAACUAAGCAUCUAAUCACAGAACAGAAGUUUAGAAAUUCAGCUUUCCUCGGGUGCUAAAUUGCAAUUAAAAAUAAAAACACUAAUUAAUUGUCAAUCUCAAGAGAACCUAAAUCCCAAAAAUUAGGCCAGAAACCUAAAUUACGUGCACUGAAUAGUUCCAGAUGCAUGAAAUCAAUGAAAAAAAUUACCAAACAAAAAUAGUAAUCAGGAAAGACCAAGUAAAGAAUACACAAAAAUGUACAUAUUUAUCGUUCGUUCGUGUGGUCGCCGGAAGAAAAAAAACGGGAAUAAAGAACAAAGCUCAAGAUUUACAGCUGCGCCUAAACAUUUGCUCUCUUUCAUUGCAAAGAAACCAACAACAAUAGAAAAAAAAAUAAUCAUAUAAGUUUCGCCUCAUAUUUUCCUCAUUUACCUCAGUUUUCUGAGCAACCAAACAGAAGCUAAAAGAUGGACUAGAAAGCGAAUCUAACUUGAAUAGUGUAAGAGAGCUCAUAACAGAGUGGAAAUCUCUAAAUGAAGGCGAGAACCUGGAGAUGAAAUCGCUUUAUCUGAAGAAAUUUGCGGAUCAGUAGUACGGCGACACGCGUGAAUCGAUUACAGCUUACAAGCUUUCGAUUUUUCAUUGAGAAAUUCACACAACAGAGAGAGAAGAGAGAGAAGAGAGCGAAGCUAAGGACUCUCUGUGACUUUCUCUCCUUUUGCCCUAACUUGGGUUCCCCAAAUUUCAGAGUCGAGUGUCGCGUGGGCUUUAUUUGAAGAAAUUUGCGGAUCAGUAGUAUGGAGACACGCAUGAAUCGAUUACAGCUUACAAGCUUUCGAUUUUUCACUGAGAAAUUCACCCAACAGAGAGAAAAGAGAGAGAAGAGAAAGAAGCUAAGGACUCUCUCUGACUUUCUCUCCUUUUGCCCUAACCUGGUUUCCCCAAAUUUCACAGUCGGGUGUUGCGUGGGUUUUGCUAACUUGUUUAAGAUUUUUGUGUUUAUUUAUUAAAAGCACAACCCGUGACAUGGAGAGGGAGAUGGCUGCUAACAUGGAUGUGGAGGGGUAAUUUUGGAAAUGAAAUUAUAAAACAGUACAUAGUGCAUGAAAAGGAUAAUUUUUUGGGCAACAGUAGACAUAUUUUGGGUUAUGGAAAGUUGGGUUAUGAAAAAGCUAUUAGGCCCAAAUGGGCGGCCCAAAACACAGUUUUCCCUAUAUUGUAUCAUAAGAAAAAGAAAAGAAAAAAAAAGAGUGGAGGGGGAGGGGGAGAGGUGGGGGGCUAUGUUGUAAACAACAGGGUAGCCUGUGUAAAGCCCCCAGUUUUUACUUAGAGACCUCAUUACCCAUUAGGAAAAGGGUCAAUGACCUAUUAUUAAUAAUGCAAAAUUACCCAAAGAUGGAUAUUUGAAUUUUUUUUUUUUUUUGGAGAAUUUAAGAAUUGUUGACACAAUAUAGUGAAACUGCAUAUACAAAUAUUGGGGUCAUUAGUUCACUUGACUUAAGCGAUUAAGAACAUUGAAGAGGAGACAUGUUGCUUGAUAAGCCCACCUGUCUACAUCUUGAGCAGCCACAGUUUGUUGCUCAUGAGACUUUUUGGAAGACACCUCCAGGGAUAAGAUUGAGUAAUUUAAAUUCCAUUAACAGAGUUCCUCUCUUUCAUUAGCCUUUAGGCCCUUAGGAAUCAAGCUUAAACUCGAAAGAUUCUAAAAUCUUACUCCCUUCUAACCUCAGGAAAGUUUUGAGAGCUCAGGUAUCCACAAAUAUCUUGGUACAUUCUAACAAGUCCUAUACCACUUUCCACCAUUCAAUUUAUCCCAAAAUAGCAUAAAUGUCAAGGGGAUACAGGAGACCAGAACUAAUAAAGGCAAUGACAUUAAACGGGAGAAAAAAAUAUCAAAGCAUGAUAGAAGAGUUAAAUACUUAAACAAGUUAGUGUUGGUAUUUUAAUUAUAGUAUUCCAUUAAUACAGUACCAAAAUACUGGAUGCCAUAUACUUUUGUCUAACAAUGGAUGGAAUAAUAGAUAUACAAGCACAAGAAAUAUGUUUCACUAACAUGAAAAUGAAAUUUAUGAAAGGCGGCUAGAUUCGAGAAAUACAAACAGGAUAGAACACCUAUGAAGCAUGAAAUAUUUUUGAACACAAACUUUAACAAAUCCAUAACAUGAAUAAAUGUUUGGAACCACCACACUAGAUCAGCAAUCUGUAGCUUCUCAAUAUCAUAACUGUUACAGCUAUAUUCGACUUCUAACCAUAUAAGCUAAGCCUAUGUUUUGUUUCUAGAAAGUUUUAAGGAAAAAAAAAUAGAGCAGAGAAAUAUAAGAAAAAAUUAUAAAAGUUUUCUUUUAUUUGAUUGUCCAUUGAAAAGUUGAAGGAAAGAAAAUUAAAUUGCUAAAGAAUGUAAUUUCCACUAACUUUCCUCAUUUUUUGUUAAGGAAAAUGGACACCACCACCACCCCAACCCUUUUCUUUCGUUUUUUUUUUCUUCAUCUUUCGCAUGGUACCCAAACAUGAGAAAACCAUUUUCACUAGCAUUUUUUCCUUUCCUUUUCUUAUUACUUUCCAAGAACCAAACAUAAGGUAAGUUUAUGACACCCUUUCUAACACAACCAUUAAUAGACGGCUCAAGGUACUUCUAACAGUGAAAGAAGAAUUUCACAAAUACUUAUUGUAAAUUACAGAAUAAGCCAAAAGUGAAGAUAACAUCUAUUAAUACCUGCCUUUUUCAUCUUCCAAAUUCUGAAGAUGUUUUUCAUCUUCACUUAAGUCCAAUGCAACUUGGACGUAGGAAAAAUUAGAACAAAAAAAUAAUCAAGCAUUCUUUUCUCAGCAUCAUCAUGCAAAAUUUUCCACCAUAGCAUAAAAGGAAAUCAUGAAGAAAAAUAAAAAAUUAAAAAAUAAUACGCAUGCUCUCUACAAUAAUCACAAUAAAGGCAAACUACUCCAACAAAUUAUUAGAAAAAAUUGGAAAAAAUAAAAUUCAGAGAAUGGAAAUCCAUUUUCACCUCCAUAUAAAAUACACCAUGAAAAACAUUGGAAUCUAGUAAAGCUCUAGGUAAAAGAGGUAUUUCAGGCCAAUUUAAGAGCUCUAUCAGAAAUUCAAAUGUCCAUUCUGAAAUAGAAAAUUUAAAACCUAAUUGAAACUUAACUAUGUAAUCCGAGUACCAUAAAAACAUUGAAAAAGUCACACAAAUACUCGCAUAAUCUUAUCAAUCGAAAGGUUAUAAUACAAGGUGCAAAACACCAGAAUCAGAAAUAAGUUUCACAUUCUACAAAACUUACACUAAAAAGAGAAAGUUAAAAGGUCACAGACAGUCGAAAAUAACCAGAAAAUAAAGGAAAAUAAAAGAAAAGGGACCUGUUUGGCGAUAAGUUCUCUCUUAGAGUGGGAUGGGAGUUGGGAGACACUCAUCUAAUAUAUAGGGAAAGUUGUGUUUUUUUUCCCUCCCUCUGUUUUCUGGAUCUAGGGGUCUCUUUGCUUUUGUGCCAUUUGAAUUAAAUUUCACAAACCCUAAACCCACGAUUUUUUAGCCAGGCUGAAAAAUACCACCUUUGCCUGCAAAUCGUGAUCAGAUUACCAAAUAGCAUCUUAUUGUGCCAUUGGAAUUAAAUUUCACAAACCCUAACCCACGAUUUUUGAACCAGGCUCAAAAAUACCACAUUUGCCUGGAAAUCGUGGUCAGAUUACCAAAUAGCAUCUUAUUGUGCCAUUGGAAUUAAAUUUCAAAAACCCUAAACCCACGAUUUUUGAGCCAGCCAGAAAAAUACUACCUUUGCUUGCAAAUCGUAAUCAGAUCACGAAAUAGCAUCUUAUGUUUUUUUAAAAAAUAAAAAUCAAAAAGCUUGGACAGCUCGUGAACAAUGCAAAACAACAUUUAGCCCAAAUUUUUUCUCAACAGCCAAACAAAUUGUUAAAUGGAAACUCACCUGCGAUUACUCCAAAAGGAAGACGAAGCUCCACCGCCGAUUCCAGAAACCACCCAUGAAAAUGCAGGCAAAAGGAGAGAAUAGGGCAAAAAGCGAGGAAGUCAGAGCGUUUCCCCAAAUUUUUGAGUCGGGUCGUGGGUUUUGCAAAUCCUAACUCUAAAGCUUAAUAUUUUUGUGUUCAAUUAUUAAAAACACAACUUCCCGUGCUGACACGGAUAAGGAGAUGGCUGCUGACAUGGAAGGCUGGAGGGGUAAUUUUGGAAAUUAAAUUAUAAACAGUGGAUAGUGCAUGAAAGGGAUAUUUUUUUGGGCAACAGUGGACAUUUUUUGGGUUAUGGAAAGUUGGGUUACCAAAAAGCUAUUAGGCCCAAAUGGGCGAGCAAAACACAGUUUUCCCCAACUUUAAAGUGUAGCAAUUAUUCAAUUAUGAGAGAGAGAGAACAACUUUACAGUGGAGCAAUUAUGAGAGAGGGAGAGAGAACGACUUCACAGUGUAGCAAUUAUGAGAGAGAGGGAGCGAGAGUUAUUGCUAUGGGAUGGGAUGCACCAACUUUAAACUGUAGCAAUUAUUCAAUUUUGAAGUGUAGCAAUUAUUGAAUUUUUGACCAAGAGAGAGAGAGAGAAAAUUAUUGUUGUGGGUGGCAUGCAACAUCUUUAAAGUGUAGCAGUUUACAGUGUAGCAAUUAUUCAAUUUUGACAGUGAGAGGGAAUUAUUGCUGUGAGCUGGCAUGCAACAACUUUAAAGUUAGCAGUUAUUGAAUUUUGACCAAUUAUGUUAAUGGGGUUAUAUCCUCAUCCAAAGUUCCCAACCCAUCUUGGUUACUUCAACAAAUUUUUAUCCCGUACUAGAGUAAAUAAAUUAUUUUUCAUAAAUUUUACAUCCUAUCUUGAUAAAAAGUAAAUUGGCAGCUUCAAUUUAAAUACGUUUAAAGAGGAAGAAUGGAAAAAGAAAUUAAAUUAUUUUUACUUAAUUUUAUUUAUAAAUGAGAUGGAUUGAGAUAAUACUUUAAAGUUUGUUUGACAAUUAUUUUAAAAAAAUGUUUUUAAUUUAAAAAAUAUUUUUUUUUAAAAUAAAUUAAGGGUAUAUGUGACUACUUUCGAAAAUAGUUUUUGAGAAUAGUUGUUUUUUAAUAUUUUGUAUAAUAAAAGUUUGUUUGAAAACUUAAAAUAUUUUUGACCAAUUUUUAAUAUUUUUAAAUAUAUUUUAAAAAUAAUUUUUAUAUCUAAUAUUUUAUUUUUAAUCAUUCUAUAUUUAUAUAAUUAUUUUUAAAAACAAUCAUUAAAAAAUAAAUUAAAAAAGUAAAAAAUAACUAAAAGAUGUUAUUUAAAAGUACCCUAUUUUUUGUUCUUAAUAAUAGAAAAUGGAAAACAAUUUUUUAUUAUCAAAUGUGUUUUCUUGAUUUUUUGUUCUGGGGAACAAAAAACUAUUCUAAAAAAUAGUUGCUAAACAAGCAUUAGGUGUUAGACAAAAUUUUAAAAAAACUUCUACAAAUCUAAAAAAUCAUUUAUACUAUUUUUUUUAGAAAAUCACUUAUAGUGUUUUCUAAAAAAUUAUUUGAUAGAUAAUUUUCUUAAAAACACUUCAAGUAAAAAUACCGUCAAACACAUUAUUAAUAUUAUUUAAUCCAACCUUGGAGUUAAAAAAUAAUUUAUCAAAUCCAACCUCGAUCGGUUUAAACUCUCCCAAACCCAUUACCAUUUGUAAUACCUGGUUUUGAAAAAAUAAAAAUAAAAACAUAAUAUAAAGAGUAGGAGGAAUGUCAAAUAUAAAAAGAGGGUUAAAAAUGUUUUGUAAUGGUUGGAAGUGUUUUUCCUACAAAUAAUGAUGCAUUUUGAAAAUUUUUAAAAAUUAAGAGAAUCACUUUGAACUUACAUUCGAUACACACUUUAUCUAAAACCAUUUUUUAAAUUAUAUUUCUUAUGAUCAAAAACAUUUUUAAGACACUUCUUUUGAUUUGUAUCUUAAUGCUAACCUACAUUUAAAAAAAUGUCAAGAUAAUUUUUUUAUAAAAAAAAUCUUUUAAUUUAUUGUACUUUUGUGGACCCCGUAUUUCGGCUCAUGCGUUUUCCACUCAAUGGCGAGUUCGAUUUUUAUUUGAAAAUGAUUUCAUUUAUUAAAAAAAAAUGACUUGGAGUCGUCACUUAUUUUUGUUUUAUUUUUAAAAGGGUAAACAAAAUGAGAAAGAAAACCCUAAGUGUAACUCUUUAUUUUGGAAAAUGUGGUCUAUAAAAAAUCGGAUCAGACUCGAGGGUCAGGUUACUUAUCGGGAAGGUACGGUAAAGACCGUAGCACCCCUCUAAGUCCCUAAGUCGGGUAUCUACUUAUAAAAUGAAGUUGACGUGGCAAUCAAUAGGAAAAUUAAUGGAUACUCAAAUCGAUCAUGCACAUAUGAGAAUCAAAAUAUGCAUAGAGAAUGACCAAAAUGGGAGUGGAUGCGUACAUGGGCCACGAACGAGCAAUGCGCUAUCAUAAAAAUGAGGUCAGUGUACAAUAAAGAGCACAAAACAUAUCACAUGCAUCACCAAACAGAAAUUAAAAUUGUUUGAGGGAAAUCUGGAUUUUUUGAAAUUUAUUUGAAAAUUGGAGUCUUAGAGAUUAUUUGAAAAUUGGAGUUUUAGAGAUUUGAAAAUUGGAUUUUUAGAAAUUAAAUGUAAGAAUGAGAAUUUAGAAAUUAAAUUUGAAAGAAAUUGGGAUUUUGAAAAUUAUUUGAGAGUUUGAGAUUUGAAAAAAUUAAAUUACGAAAAUUGGGACCUUGGAAAUUAAAUUUUGAAAGAAAUCAGAAUUGAAAAUUAUUUGAGAAGUAGAAACUAUGAAAAUUAAAUUAUAAAAAUUGGAAAUCUUGGAAAUCAUUCGAAGGCAGAAUUUUUAGAAAUAAAUGAAUAAAAUGAUAAUAAUAAUGAUAAUAAUAAGUAAGUAACGAAAUAAAUGUGAGAAUUGGAAUAUUGGAAAUUGAAAAUUAAGUUCGGAAAUUGGAAAAUUGGAAUUUCAGAAAACUAAAUUUGGAAAUCGGAAUUUUGAAGAAUUAUUUAAAGACAGAAUAUUUUAAAUAAAUGAAUAAGUGAAUAAAUAAAUGAAUGGAAUAACGAAAAUAAUAAUGAUUGGAUAAAUAACUACGAAGAUAGGAAUUUUGAAAAUUGGAAAUUGAACUUAGGGAUUGGAAAUUUAAAAAAUUAUUUAGGGAUGAAAUUUUAAAUAAAUGAAAAAGUGAAUGAAUAAAUGAAUAGAAAAACAAAAAUAAUAAAGAUUGGAUAAAUAAGUGGGAAAAGUAGAAUUUUGGAAAUUGGAAAUUGAAUUUAAGGAUUGGAAAUUUAAAGAAUUAUUAAGGGAUUAAAUUUUAAAUAAAUGAAUAAGUGAAUAAAUAAAUGAAUGGAAUAAUAAUAAUGAUGAAAUAACAAAGAUUAGGUAAAUAAUUGCGAAAAAUAGAAUUUUAGAGAUUGGAGAUUGAAUUUAGAGAUUGAAAAUUUGAGAAAUUAUUUAAAGAUGAGAUUUUAAAUAUAUGAAUAAGUGAAUAAAUAAAUGAAUGGGAUAAUAAUAAUAACAAAAAUAAUCAUUAAAUAACUGAAUGUGAAUAGUGGAAUUUUUUAAAUUGGAAAUUAAAUUUGGAAAAAGGAAUUUUAAAAAAUUGAACUUUAAUGAUUGGAAUUUUAAAAAUAAAUAAAUAAAUGAAAUAAUAAUAAUAACAAUGAAAGUAAUAUUUAAACGAAUGAAUGUAAAUAGUGGAAUUUUUGGAAAUUUGAAAAAUUGUUUAAAGAUAGAAUUUUUAGUUAAAAUAAAUAAACAAAUAAAUGAAAUAAUGAUAAUAAUAACGAAAAUAAUACUUAAAUGAAUGAACGUGAAUAGUGGAAUUUUCGAAAUUGGAAAUUAAAUUUGGAGGACGGAAUUUUGAAAAAUUGUUUAAAGAUGGAAUUUUUAAAAUAAAUAAAUAAAUGGAAUAAUAGUAAUAAUGAAAAUAAUAAUGAUUAGAUAAAUAAUUGUGAAAAUUGGAAAGUGAAUUUAGAAAUUGGAAAAUUGAAGAAUUAUUUAGAGAUGGAAUGUCGGAAAAUUAA